UUUUUUAUUGCUCUGUAUCUCCAUUAUUGCUUCAUAUCUUGCAUCUUCCAGCUGUCGAUUUUAUCUUCUUCUAUUCCAGUAGUUGAAUUUCUAGGACAAUAUUAUCUUCUCCAUUACAUUUUGAACAUUGAUGGUCUGGAUAUUUAUGUCCAAUUAACUUGCAAUAUCUAGUGAAUAAUUCUUCCGAAAUAAUUUUUUCUCUAAUGGCUCUGGCGUUAGGUUUUUUCUCUGGAUUGAGUAACGUCAAGAUUCAUUGCCUAACGUCUUCCAUAUCUGCUUCUCGUAGUUCCUUUGAAUUUGAGUAUACUAUUACAUUACCUCUUAAAUAAUAACUCCAUAUGAGAUUUCUGUUGCGAUAAGUGUUUGCUAACUCUUGAAGAAUUGUGGAUAAUCCGAUAAUUCUCUUAUUUGCAUAAAAAUUUGGUAUCUCAAUUCUAGGUAUUUCUGAUUGUGGAAUAAUAUCUUCUGGUAUAAUCAUAUCUCGGGUCAUUCCUAUUUUUACAACUUGUAGAGGUGAUUUAAGUUCAUCAUACAAUAUCUCUGUUGUUGCCGUGUAAAAUUUUAUAAAAAAUAGGUUACCUUUGGUUAUUCUUUUAAAAAUGUUAAAUGAAUCAUAUAUUUCUGAUAUAUUGGAUAUUUCAUUUCCGUCUUGGGUAUAUAUGUUCUGAUAUAUUGGAUAUUUCAUUUCCGUCUUGGGUAUAUAUGUAACUAAGUAGUCCAUAUUCGUAACAGGUUUUAACUAGACUUGGUUUGGUUUUGGGUAAAGCAAUUAGCUUAUUGUAUUCGAUUAGCUUCUGGGUUAUGUAGUUCGUAUGUGGUUCUUGGAUGUUUAUAGCUCUGGGGUUGGUAUUUAAGAAGGUUUGUAUUUUGUAAAUAUUUUCUAUGUAUGCUCGGGCUGUAUAGUUGUAGGUCUUUUUGUCUUGGUUUAAACCAUCUCGGUAUGUGGUAAUUUGUGGGGGUAUGAACAUAAGAUCUUUUGGUGUAUUUGGAAUAAAUGGUUUAUCAAAUAGCCUAUUUAGGUUCAUAUUUGUGUUUUUUCUAACUCCUUUGCUUGUACCUACAGAAGCAGAUUGAUAAACGUUAAGGGUUUUAUGGAGUGUCCCAACGUCUCCUUCUAGCUCUGGAAUUUUAAUGUCUUCUGAUCGACAUAGCCCUGCACACUGCUGAGUUAGCUGAUUUAUAGCUAUAGACUUCAGUUUAACUUCAUUAGUCUUUAGCUUUUCUAUUUCAUUACCCAUACUGUCCACUUUCAUUGAAAGCGUAGUUAGGGUGUCGAAUAUCUUUUCUAGAGUAUCCUCUUCUAUUAUAUCAAUCUGUGUAGCUUUGUCUUGAUAUAUAAUCUGCAACAACAAUUUUGAUAGUACUAAUUACUUCAAUUGUAAAUGUGAAAUUUAAUAUAUUCAAGACUAGUCUCCAAAUCUCUUUUGUUGUAACUGAAUUUUGUAUUUUCUUUGUUAGCCACCAACAGAAUACACUAAUUACUUCAAUUGUAAAUGUGAAAUUUAAUAUAUUCAAGACUAGUCUCCAAAUCUCUUUUGUUGUAACUGAAUUUUGUAUUUUCUUUGUUAGACACCAAUGUACCUGUGUAUUUUGUUGGUGGCUAACAAAGAAAAUACAAAAUUCAGUUACAACAAAAGAGAUUCGAAGACUAGUCUUGAAUAUAUUAAAUUUCACAUUUACAAUUGAAGUAAUUAGUACUAACAAAAAUAUUGUUGCAGAUUACAUAUCAAGACAAAGCUACACAGACUGAUAUAAUAGAAGAGUAUACUCUAGAAAAGAUAUUCAACACCCUAACUACGCUUUCAAUGAAAGUGGACAGUAUGGGUAAUGAAAUAGAAAAGCUAAAGACUAAUGAAGUUAAACUGAANNNNNNNNNNNNNNNNNNNNNNNNNNNNNNNNNNNNNNNNNNNNNNNNNNNNNNNNNNNNNNNNNNNNNNNNNNNNNNNNNNNNNNNNNNNNNNNNNNNNNNNNNNNNNNNNNNNNNNNNNNNNNNNNNNNNNNNNNNNNNNNNNNNNNNNNNNNNNNNNNNNNNNNNNNNNNNNNNNNNNNNNNNNNNNNNNNNNNNNNNNNNNNNNNNNNNNNNNNNNNNNNNNNNNNNNNNNNNNNNNNNNNNNNNNNNNNNNNNNNNNNNNNNNNNNNNNNNNNNNNNNNNNNNNNNNNNNNNNNNNNNNNNNNNNNNNNNNNNNNNNNNNNNNNNNNNNNNNNNNNNNNNNNNNNNNNNNNNNNNNNNNNNNNNNNNNNNNNNNNNNNNNNNNNNNNNNNNNNNNNNNNNNNNNNNNNNNNNNNNNNNNNNNNNNNNNNNNNNNNNNNNNNNNNUCUAGUUAAAACCUGUUACGAAUAUGGACUACUUAGUUACAUAUAUACCCAAGACGGAAAUGAAAUAUCCAAUAUACCAAAAAUAUAUGAUUCAUUUAACAUUUUUAAAAGAAUAACCAAAGGAAACUUAUUUUUUAUAAAAUUUUACACGGCACCAACAGAGAUAUUGUAUGAUGAACUUAAAUCACCUCUACAAAUUGUAAAAAUAGGAAUGACCCGAGAUAUGAUUAUACCAGAAGAUAUUAUUCCACAACUAGAAAUAUCUAGAAUUGAGAUACCAAAUUUUUAUGCAAAUAAGAGAAUUAUCGGAUUAUCCACAAUUUUUCAAGAGUUAGCAAACACUUAUCGCAAUAGAAAUCCCAUAGGGAGUUAUUAUUCAAGAGGUAAUGUAAUAGUAUACUCAAAUUCUCAAAUUCAAAGGAACUACGAGAAGCAAAUAUGGAAGACGUUAGGCAAUGGAUCUUGACGUUACUCAAUCCAGAGAAAUAACCUAUCGCCACAGCCAUUAGAGAAAAAAUUAUUUCGGAAGAAUUAUUAACCAGAUAUUGCAAGUUAAUUGGACAUGAAUAUCCAGACCAUUAAUGUUCAAAAUGUAAUAGAGAAGAUAAUAUUGUCCCAGAAGUUCAACUACUGGAAUAGAAGAAGAUAAAAUCGACAGCUGGAAGAUGCAAGAUAUGAAGCAAUAAUGGAGAUACAGAGCAAUAAAAAGAAGACGGAGCAAUAAUAAAAAGAAGACAAGUUAAUGCUAGGAAGUGACAUAAAGAAGACAAGUUAAUGCUAGAAAAUGACAUGGGAGAUUAGAUAUCUUUCCUAAUUCAUUUACGUAAAUUAUUAGUUACUUUUUGACUUUUUGGCAAAAUGUCAUUACUAAGUUUUGUACUCUUGUAGAAAUAAUUUAGGACCUUUGUAAAUUUUUUUUUCUACUUUUAUAGAUAGGUGUAAAGACUUUUGUAAAGUAGGUAGGUAAUAGAUUAGGACAGAUGUAAAAAUGUAAAACGUUUACGGGUUUUCUUAAAAAUAUAAAUAGAAGAGCAUUUGCUCAGAAGAAGGCAAGCCUUCGUACGAUUGAAGCAAAAAAACUCUCUUGUCUACAACAAAUAAUUUGAUUAUUUAAAAAACAGGUAUAUUUCAAUGAAAAAAUUUAUGGAGGAACAAAGCUUAGAAUUAUCAAAACUACCACAACAGGUAUAUUCAUUUACUAUUAUGAAUAGCUAAAUUCAUAAAUUCCUAACAAUCAUGAUAUGAUAAAAUAAGUUCAUGUUAGUUGUUUUAUAGUAAAAUUAUUCGAAAAAUAGCAUGUUAAGAAGUUUAUUAGCAAAGUGAAAAAGGAGAAAAAUCUCUAAGAACUAUGUCAUCCUAAAGGUGAAACCAGUGAGGCAAGAAAGCCGUAAUAGGGGAGUAACCAGAGUAGAGGCGGCGUUUAAGAGAAAAGUAUCCAGAUUAUCAUGCUAAUAGUGACCGAAGAAUAUGUUAUUUAAGAAUAAUCUAUAGCAAUCUAAAGUGAUCAUAUUUUGUUAUGUGCAUGAUUGAAAGGAAUAUUUUGAAAAUAGCAAUUUUAUGAAAAAUGGAUGAUUAUUUAUCUGACGAAAUGGUAGAUAAAUUUAAAAUAUUCGUUUUAUAUGUACUUUAGAAUAUAGAAAUAGUAGAUAUAAGAAAAAUCAUAUUGAAAAAAAUAUUUGAUAGAUAUUUUAUAACUAGAAUUAAUUAUAUAUCACACCUACCAAACUACUCUUAUAAAUACUUACAUACCAAACCCACAUACUAAUUAUGAUAAAUUAUGUAUUUAGAAUCUUGGAAAAUAGACAUAAAAUACAUACAAUUUCUUAGUAAAAAUAUAGACAAUUAAUGAGAUUAAAACAAACAACUACAAGAUAUUAUAAUAAAGUAUUUAACCAAUUUUAAAUGAUAGAUAAUCUUAAAAUAUUAAUCUAAACAGUUAUACCUAGAUAAUUAUCUAGAUGGAUAUUAUUCAGAUUAAAAAAUGUUAGAAUAUAUUAGAAAAACUAGAGAAAACCAAGAUAAUCUAAAUGAAGAAAUUAAUUAUAGAAACUGAAUUAGAAAAAUAAUGGAGAAUCUAAAAGAAAAAUUAAUAUGGAUAGAAGAAACCCUAGAAAAUUUAGAAAAAAAUACAUGUGAUAAUUUAUAUAAUUUAAAAAACUCGCUAUGAGAAGAAUAACACAAGAUAAUAAAUAGCAUUGAGAACCUAGAAUUAGAUAUACAUUACAGUACAAUUAGGAUAACUUAUUAUACAGAAAUUUGUAAUUCUACAAUUACUACAGGAUAAAAUGAUAGACUAUAAAUAUUUAAAAUAUUGGAGACAAAAUAUGAAAGAAAUAAUAUUAUUAGAAAAACUUAUGAAAGAUAAUCUAAUUGAAUAUUUUGAAACAAAAGAUAUAGAAUAUUUAGAAUACCUUCAAAAUAAUAUAGAAGAAUUACAAAAACUAGGGGAAAAAAAUAAAGAAUACUAUAGUAAAGCAUUUAACCAAUUAUCAUAUAAUCACCCCCAAGAUAUGAAUCUGAAUAUCGAUAAAACUAACAUAAAUAUAUACAAAAUAAAAAUAUUUAGAGAAGUUAAGAAAUAUCCACGCAAAAAUAAAAAUAAAUCCAUUAUAUUUAUAAUAGAUGUAUUUUACCACACAAGUUAUCCGCACCCCUACAAUUGGCCAUUAAAUCAAUGAUAGAAAGCAUAUCAGUUAGAGUGGUACAUUAUUUUCGGGAAGGCAACACUAACUGAUUUUUUUACUAACCUAAUUUCUGAUUUCGAAGGUGAUUUUAAGUAUAACAGUUUAAAACAGGUGCCAAUGGGAGGAAGAAAUAUAAUUAAUCUAGAUAAAAAUGGGACUCCAAAUAUUAGAAGAACCACACAACAGACAUGAGACAAUAACAACAGCAACAAAUACAGAAGGCAUACAUCAAUCACAUCAGAUGGAGAAACAAUAUCAAGCAGAUUGGACAAUCAAGGCUCGUAAACACUAAGAAGAAUUAGAGUGUUACCUGGAACAUGCAACUGACUAGAGCAUACUCCUACUUGAAAUACAGUGGGGAAUCCAGUGUUGAUUAACCUCAAAUUACAAGAAUAAGGAAGUGUAAAAAGGUUAUAAACUAACCAAAUCGGGGAUUCUAUAAGGAGAUGAUGAUACCUGUCGUUUGAAAUGACUUCCUUUGAAUACAAAACCUGUAUCCAGUGAGAGUUUGAGACGUCGAUGGUCUGAGUAUUCAAAUAACAGCUAGGUCAGAUCCAUAAAAAUCCCUAGAGACCAUUAGAAAUAAUCCAGUACAUCUACAAAGUCUUUAAAACCUAAAUUACUUGGAUCUAUCUUCUAGAUAAGGUGCUUGUAUUAGCUUCCACAGAAGUUUAAUCCACCGAUCUAGGAGAGGGAAGAAAGUAAGAUAACGGUUAGAGACUUAGCUUAGAUGAUGAGGAUGAAGCUGGUGGUGACCUGAGAAUCAUAUGCGACAGAUAUGAAGUAUUGGUAUCACAAAGCUGAUCGGAGAAGAUGAAGAGACAACAAGAGGCGGAUGAGGAAAUUUACUUUCCUAAUUGACCUGGUGGCCUUUUGUAUACCUUAUCUUUGUUUUUUGGAUUCGGGUUAGGUCGCUUUUGGGCCUGAUCCGAUUAAUGUAAAGAUUCGUUUUAUUUUAUCAAAUGGGCUUUGGCCCGAUAUAUAUAAAAAUUGAUUUACUUUUCAAAUUUUAUGUGUGUCAUAUAAAUUGAACAAAAAAAUAGUAUAUAUUGAGCUCGCAUUUGCACGACUGGUGUAUCUGGUACUCUAAUAAUUAACGAGAGUCGAAAAAAUACCUUGUUGAAAAAGCAUACUUUUGAAUUGUGAUUUUAGUGAAGGAUCAAUAUAUAAUCUUGACAAAAACAAAAAUUAUACAUUCAGAGAAAAUAAAGGAAUAAGAAAAAGAAGAUCGCUGCUUCAUCGUCAUUUUCAACCAAGCAACAGAAUAAUUUGAUUGCAUCUGAACAAACAUUUGAAAUUUGAAUUGCCAUGCUCACAUAAUUACACCAGCACUUAAGACAGCUAAGCACUGUGAAUGAAACAUUAUCAGUGUUGAGUGUAUCUCUUUUAAAAGAAAAAAAAAAUGAACUAGCAUAAAAUACUUGGAGCCACAAUCAACUGCAAAGCUACCACUACAAUAUAUUUUAAGGGGUGGCAUAAAGAUAUAUACCUACGUCUAUAUCUUCAAUAUAUUUAAAAAUAAUUUAAAUUUUUUUACCCUUUCUUAAAAAGCUUCACAAUAGACAAAAUAAUUUUUUCAUAAAAAAAAAACAUGAGCUAUACUAAAAAAAUGUAUGAAAAGUUAAUGUAAGUCGAUUUUAUUUUUCCUUUUGUACAUUAAAAAGAAACUCCAACAGAUAUGAUAAAAGUAAAAAGUAGUAUUUAAAUAAUAUCUAUAUUAAGCAAAUAACUCAUCAUGUGCAGUAGGGGUGGGCAUUCGGUAAUUCGGUUCGAUUUUAUUUUGUUUUAAUUCGAUUUUCGAUUAUUGUAAUAGAUGUACCGAAAAUCAAACCGAAUUUGUUCGGUUUGAUUCGAUUUAUUUAAGUUCAGUUCGGUUAUGUUUCACUUUAAUAAUUUCGGUUUUUCAGUUUUGGGCUUAUUUAAUGGGUUAAAUUAAAUUUGUAAAUUGGACUAUUUUUUAAGAUUAAAAAUUAAUUGGAAUAUAUAAAAUUAAUUGCCCAAACCAUUUUUACACAAAAAAAAAAAACACUAGCCCAAUUUUUUGUUUCCACUUUUCAGACCAAAUUAAGAAGAUACAAUUACAAAUACAUUACUAAAGCAUUAAACUAUUAAAAUUUAAAGCCAAGUUUAUUGAGCUUGCAACCCCUUGCUUAAUUCAACUAUUGCAGAUUGUCACAUUAUAUUGUCACGUUUGAGGACUUUUUUUUUCAUAAUAUGAAACAACAUAGUGCACUUUUUUUAGUUUAGAAAGUGACAGUGUCCACUUAAAAAUAUAACAAACCAAACUAUAUAUUAUGUUUUUUUUGUCUCCAACUUAAUACGAACUUAGAAAAAAAUAUAGACUACACACUUGACUACAUGAGUCUGAGUCAUCUUUAUCACAUUUUAUGAUUUUAUGGCCAAACUGAUACUAGACUAUUAUUAUACUACACACUUGGAGAAACAAACAAAAAUUAGGAAUCCAAGAAUUUUGAGAUUUGUAAAGUGUUAAGACACUUAGACUAAUAUAGUAAUAACUAAUAAACUUGGGCUGAAUCAACAUUUCGCAAUUGGGCUGUAGUACACUAUUAAAUUAAUUGGGUUGUAGCUUGUAUAUUAAUAAUUUGGUUUAAACCGAAAAUCGAAAUAUACAAAAUCAAUAACCGAAUAUCGAAAUUAUAGAAAAAAAUAAACCAACACAGAACCGAAAUAUUGAAAAAUCGAAUUAGUUCGGUUCGAUUUGAUUUUUCGAUUUUCAGUAUUUAUACUCACCCCUAAUGUGCAGCACUUUUCUGUCGACGUCUUUGUUAAAAAAAACUUCUUUAUUUUAUUAUUUUCACACUCCAAUACUUGAUAACGGAUUCUCAACUCCAAUUGCUUUAUUAAUAUUACACAGUUUGAUUUUUAACUUGAUAUAAUCUAAUUUAUUUUGAAGCUUUAUUUAAUAAUUUUUGUGUUCCAUGUUAAAUUUUACUUUGUUUUUAUUUUCGUGAUAUCCUCUUAUUAAUUAUGUGUAUUUUUUGUUUCAAUCAUUUUAAAAAAAUUUAUUUUAUGUGUUUUACUAUUUAUCUUGUGUAUUUAUGAUAGUUGUUGUAUCAAAGCUAUAAUGUUAUCAAGCUCUUGAUAGAGAACUUUCGAUUUUCUUCCAUCAUAAUUUUUUAGGUAUCAUCUUCUACUUUAUUAUAAUUCAUUUUGAAGUAUGUUUUUAAGUACUCUGCUAUUAUUAUUUUUCUUUUUGGGAAAAGGUAUCGUUUGCAUCCCAAACUAUACCUGAAAAGUCGAAGUCACACCUAAACUAUACUAGUGACUUAUUAUACACCUAAACUAUAAAAAAGUGAAACUAUUUACAACCUGUCAGGCUACCACCACUUGCAUGUGGUGUAGUGUUUUACACGCGCUGUCACGUCAGCGCCACGUCAGUAAAAAGUAUCACUUUUUUAUAAUUAAGGUAUGUAAUAGGUCACUUAUAUAGUUUAGGUGUGGAUUCGACUUUUCGACUAUAGUUUGAGGUGGAAACGAUGCAUUUUUCCUUAAUGUUUUUAGCCGUUUACUUUUGUUAUUUAAUAGAUUGGACGCGCCUAAAAUAAGUGUAACACACGCGCCAUAGAAUGGGGGUUGCGAGGAGGUAAUAAUAUCACUUUUAUAUAGUUAAGGCGUGUAAUAGGUCACUUAUAUAAUUUAAGUGUGAUUUAAAUUUUUCUUGUAUAGUAUGAGAUGGAAAUGAUGUCUUUUCCUUUUUUUUUUUUUUUUGAAUUAAAAAUAUUAAAUGCUUCAUGACCAACCAUCAGACUCAAUGAUGUCUGCAACCUUUUUCUAGAAAACCAACAAAACAUCAACGUUUGAGAAAUAAAUAUUUAGUGUUGCGGAGAUAUGCAAAAUUAUAUUCCAUAUAACAUAUAUGAUAAUAUGACUAGCAGAAUAAUAUGCACAGUAAGAAUUUUGGAGAAACCACCCACCGAAAUAAUGAAUGCUAUGUUGGGUUUGAAAUUGAGAGGGUGUCAUACGGAAGCUACUAGUUAUAAAUUAUGAGACGAUAAAUCAGACGACAGAGAAAAUAAUACUAAAAAACAUAUAUUAUUAAUAUGAUUUGGUCAAACGACCUACAUAUAAAAAAUCUAUAUUGAAAAAUAUAAAAUUUAUUGGGAGAAAAUCUCCAUCUAAAUAAUACUACAUUGUGGAUGUUAUUAUGUUAUAAUAUAAGAAGAGGGUAUUCUAUUUAUAGAGUUCCAAAAUCUUUCCUCCACGAAAGAGGUUUGCCAAAUAUAGAAAAGUUUUAUAAUUUUCUUUUAGUAAAAGUAAAAGUAUUUAUGGUUACUUUUAUUUUCCUUACAAGAAAAAGUAUAACUUAAUUUGGGUAAGAAAAUCAGGGCAAAAACCAUAACAUACUAUAAUGGCAUGUAUGUGUAUUCUAAAAUUUAUCCUUGCUUUUUUUUGGUUAUACUAGAUAAUGAAGGGCUCGUUUAGGGCUUAAUAUUACAAUUUUAAAUAUAUUUAUAGCUAUUUAAUUAGCUUUUAAAAAAAUAAUCAUUAAUAUUUAAGAAUAAACACAAUAGAAAAUAUAAGUAGAAAUCACAUAAUAUAAUAAAAUAUAACUUUUUAUUUUUAUAAAAUCAAAUAAUAGCUUACAACUUAUUUAAGUGUUCAUAAUUAACAUUAGAAUAUCAUAUACACUAAUUUUUAUUUUAACAUUAGGUCAAACACAUUCUUUUAGAUUAAACAACUAAUUUUAAUAUUUUUCUUUUUCUACUUUAUUUAAAAAUUAUACAAGAGAAUAGAUUAAAGAUAUCAUUAUUAACAUUUUCUAUGGAAUCAUAUGAAGCAAUAACAGAUCAAAAUUCAUACAUAAAUUGACUUUAAUCACAUUUAAAUUUGUUUUAUGGAUUGUGGUAGGAUAUUUAAAGUCUUUCAGUGUCUUUUGCUUGGUACGUAGCAUUAGCUAUGUUGUCUUCAAAAUUUUAUUCAUCAAUUGUGUCUAUAUUAUCAUCGUCAUCUGUCUUUAGAAUACCUACAAAAUCAAUGCAAAAUAAAUAAAAUAUUAGCAAUAUUUUUUUUUUUUGAUGUUAAGAAAUCGAAUUCUAAAUAAAAAAUAAAAAAACCUAACCCCCCCCCCCUCCUCCCCAUAAAAAAAACUAUGCAUAGAAAAAAAAGUAUAGGAGGAACAGAAGUAAUUUCAAGGGGAUAGGUAUAAACAUCCAUGUAUUUUAGGAGUUUUAAUAAUUUUUUUCCAUUUGUUUUAGAAAAUUAAAGAGGGAAUAAAUUUUAGAUUCCUAUUUGACUUAUAAUAACUAACUAGUCUAAUAUACGUGCGUUGCACGUGUAGCUCCUGUCAAUCAAUAAUACUAUAAAUAAGAAAAAUAAAAUUAUUAAAAGGUAGAUAUUAGAAUAAAGAAUUAGGUAGCAAUCUAAUGAAGAUUUGCAUAUUAACUAACAAGUUAGUCAUUGAAAGUUUUGAUCUUUAUGACUCUUGACACUCAAUCGAGACUCAACCUUAACCGUAAAAUCAACUUCCAAGAUCCUGAUUCCUGACCUGACAUGGGACACGAAUUUGUAUCUUAACCUGUGGUUGAACUUACGGUCCAACUCCAUAUACCUUUAACUGCAAUUCCUGACUCUCGACCUUGAACCAAAUCUGAAGCCCUAGACUCGGGAUUCAACUUUGAUACGGGACCUACUCUAAACUAGAUUUCAAUCCCAAAACUCGAUAAUCGAUCCAUGACUCCAAUCGGGACUCAAGUUUCGAUCCAACUUCAGAUUCAAUUCUCAACAAAAUUAAAUAAAGAAAGAGAUAAAAUUUUAAUUUUUUCAACUACUUCAUUCACCGACGAUAUCUUUAUUUUGGCCAAUAUUCCAAUCAGAAAUUACAUUUUCCUCCAAAAUUCUAUUAGAAACUAAAUUUUUAAUAUAACAUAAAAAUAUAUAAAUUUUUCACGUUGUAUCAAUACAUGCAAUACUUUGUAAAUUUUGUGUAUUGCAUAUGUAUGGGUAUAUUGUUGAUCUAUUCAUUUUUGCACAUACAUAUUUAGAGUGAGUGAACAUUUGAAUCUUUAGUUCAUCCAAGAAAGCCUUGGCUUAAAGUUAGACAUGAUUAGUCUCUUUAAUCAAUUCAUAGACGUAGAAGUACCCAACAUAAAAUAUUUCACUUGAAUCAUAUAAUAAUUUAUUAAUUUAACUCUUUUAUUAUUUUUUUCCUUUUCAUCAUCCUAUCCCACCUAACAUAAAAUAUUUCACUUGAAUCAUAUAAUAAUUUAUUAAUUUAACUCUUUUAUUAUUUUUUUCCUUUUCAUCAUCCCCCCCCCUUAAAUUUGGUUAUAUAAGUAAUUUGACUUAUUUGUUUUUCUAAAUUCUUUAAUCAUUUUUUUUUUAAAUUUAAUAUAAAACUUCUUGGAUAAAAUAUAGGUGAGGUUUAAAUUAUGUCUUUUGCAGUUAAAAUUUUAUAUUUUUUAGUGGAAGAUUUGAAUUCUAAAAAAUCUACACGUAAUUUAAUCAUACUUUAAUCAUACUGCAUUAGAAGUAAAUGGCACAUAAAAGUACGCCAUUACAAAAAAAAUAUGACUCAUAAAGCAAAAAGAAUUUGACAUUUUAUUCGAAUUUAUGACCUAUAUAAAAAGGAGAGAAUAAUAUAUGUUUGCAUAACUAAAGUAACUUUUACAUUAUUUAUUCGAGAACUUGUCUUAUGAACAUUUAUUUUGUCCUCAAAUAUAUUUUGGCUAUUAAAUUAGAGUAGGAAACUGUAGAGAUAUUUAUCAGAAAAGCAGUCAAAUUCGCUAUCUUUAAAGGUAAACUUUAGACACAAGUCAUCCCCACCCGACAUCACCCAAUAUGAAGAAACAAACACACAAAAAGUUAAAAGGAUUUAACAUCUACUUCAUAUAUGUCAAAAUAAUUUCAAUCAUAUACUCCAUAAAUGGUGUAGCUCUUCUGACGAAGAAAAUAUGGAUAAAGCCCCCUUACCUUACAAAGCUCAGCCCUGCCCUUCACACACAAAAAUAUGAAUUGUUAGUGUAAUAAAAUUUUUAUAUUAUCAAAUCAUCUAAAAAUAUUUAGAGACAAAAAGUAGUUAAAUAUGAAAUGUGAAAUUUGGAAAGCAAGACAAAGUUACCUGCUAAAACAAUGAUUUGAUGAAUGUGACUUAAACUCACAAUAAAACUAAACUUGAUGUAUAUACUUAAACUUAAAACAAAACUAAGACAAUUUCACCAACUAAUACUACUGCAGUACGAAAAAAAUUCAACAGAAAACAUCACCACGCUCUUUUUUCUCUUUCAACACUUUAUAAAAGCCUCCCUCUCCCAUUCCUUUUUCUUUUACUUUCCCAAUCAUAUCACUGCAGACUGCAAGAGCUUUAAAAGAUGUUGAAAACGGAUAACAACAUAACACUAUUAGUUUAUUUUCUUCUUGUGAUCAUUUUAGUGGCUGAUCAUAAUCACUAUGCUCUUAAUGUUAAGUCCUAAUUUAUUUUUAAGAAAUUUAGUUGGAGGAAAAAGGUGAAAAGACAGAUUGUCAAAGAGUUUGAAUCACCUUUCUAAGGGUCUUACCUUUUGCUCUUAAUUCGUUGCAACCAUAUAUCUUUUCUAGGAGCUUUCACCUUCGAUCGAACAUUAAUCUAUAAUAUACACUUGAAAUUAAUGAAAUUAUUAUAAACCGCACCUUCAAAGCUCAUCGAAAAAAUAGUUAUAAAAAUAUCUCUGCCACCAACAUUCCUAAACCAAAAAAAAAAGCUGAAAAAAAUAUAAUAUAAUAUAAUACAAUAAAAUACGAUACAUUAUAAAAUAUUAUGUAAUAAAUACCUCUGGACUUGGCCUUUAACCUGGUUGGAGAACUCAUUGAGUACACUGUAAAAACCAUUAUCAACAGUAGCCAAAAACCACUAUCUCAUCACUUUUGGCUCCUCUAACCUCUCCUUAUCUAAUUCGUUCUUCACUGCCUAUAUAUUCAGCCUUAGCUACAAACUUCAAACAUUAUUAAAUCUUACUUAGCAAUCUAAAGAGUCAGAAAACCAAAAGCAAAGAAAACAAGAGUUACAUUUUAGGAGAAAUUAAGUCAAAAUGAGUUCAAGCAGGAGAGAAUGGAUAGUAGCUACAAGUAUUGGAACAGUUGAAGCGUUAAAAGAUUAAGUUGGAUUAUGUAGAUGGAAUUACCCAUUAAGGUCUUUGGCACAACAUACAAAGAAUAACAUAAGGUCUUACAGAAUAACAUAAGGUCUUACCCUCAAGCCAAGAAACUUUCUUCUUGACUAAUUGCAAACAAAGCAGAACAAUCUGAAGUUAUACAAUAUGAUAUAAUAUAAUACAAUACUAUACAUUAUAAAAAAUUAUAUAAUAAAUACCUGUGGUAAUUAAAUGGAUAAACAUGUUACAUGUGUGCUUCACGUCGAAUCGCCAAUCGAUAUAAAAUAUAUAAAAAAAUAAAUAAAGAUAGUCACGUAAAUAAAAAAUUAUUUUUAAACAUCACAUAACAAAUAAUAAAAACAAAAACAACAUAUAGUGAGAAAUUCGAAAACAAACCUGUUGUAAUGGAACUAAUAUUCGAUGUAAAGUAUGAUUACUUUUAUAAAUAAGCAAAUCACGUAAGAGUUUUUUGCUAGCCAUAUUCCAAUUGUGUUGUAUUUGUUUAAAACUAAAAGGAGAGGAUAUAACAACAUUUGAAAUCAUACAAUCACAAUAUCAAUUAUGAAUUACCGAUGUAACUUAAAAAUCAAUAACAAUAAUCUCAUAAGUGUGAUCUAAAAAGGAUAGGAUGUUCGAAGAUCUUACUCUUUGCAUGAAAGUGAGAUUAUUUUCAAUAGUCCCCGAUUCAACAAAACAUAUAAUAGAAUAACGAAUAAAGCAAGUGGUCAAUAGUUGUGCUAGAUUUUGACAAGAAACAAACAAUACGUUGAGUAGGUUGAGAAAUUACCGUAGUGAUGUAACAAUAUGGUCCCUGCGAGCAAUGUUAUAACCUAUUUGUGGUGGCAUUCGAUCUCCAUCUAUCAAAGUUUGCACAGAGACGAAGAAGCGGCCGUGUCAAGUAUGUUAUUUCAAAAUUUGAUCAUAAUAUUACUUAAAUAGAAUUGAUUUUUUUAAUUAUUUUAUAUAAGGUAAAGUUUUAAUUGAUUUAGAAGUCAAUUGUUAUGAUUUCCUAUCUACAUCAAACAAGGACUUUCAUUAAUUUUUGACAUAUAUAGUAUUCUUUUCAUAUAUUUUAGGAGUCAUUAAUUUCUUUUUAUAUAUAUUUAGGGGUCCUUAAUUAAAUUAAAAUUAUAAACAUUCUUUUUUUAUAUGAAGUGAAACUCUAAUUUAUUUAGAAUUGUUAAAUAUUAUUAUUUCUUAUCUAAAUUAAAUAAAUUUUUUAAUUAAUUUGAAAGUCUUAAAUCUUUGGACAAUCAUUAUACCGUCCUUUUUUUUGCUUCUUAAUUUUUUUCCUUUUCAUCCAUAAUUUUCUUUUUAUUACUAUUAAAUUUUUUUCCUUUUCAUGCCUAGCUUUUUUAGGUAGGACUUUCUGUCCCCACUAAAUAUUUGACACAUUUAAUUUUAAAGAGACUUUUUCUUUCCUCUAUUAACGAAUUUCCCCUUAAAUUUUGUUGCUUUUAAUUCCUUUUCACAGGCCACUUCUUAUUUGUUUUUUUGGUAUUAUAUUUUAUUUUUUGAAAAAUUUUCUUCUAUUAUUCUGAUUUUUCCUCAAAUUUCGACAUUUAUAGUUCCUUAUUUAAAUAGAAUUAUAGAUUUGUUUUUUUAUAUAAGGUAAAUUUUAAUUGACUUAAAAGUGUUAAAUAUUAUGAUUUCGUACCUAGAUCAAAAAGGACUUUAAUCAAUUUUAAAAUAUUAAAUAUUAUAUAAUUUAAUAAUAUGAUAAUUGAAGAAAAUACGUUAAAAGACACCUUUGUCUAUUGCAGGGACUUUUAAUAAAGGGCAAAAAGUUCAAAUCACUUUUCUAAGGGUCUUCACACUUUUAAUACAUUAUAGAUAUAGAUUAUAGAUAAGUCAUUUGUUAUAACUCAAAAAGGACUUAUAAGUUAGUAGAAACGUACGAAAAGAUCUCUGAAGAAUAUAUAUAUAUUAUUAAUAUUUAUGUAUAGUUAGAAUUUUAAAGAAUAGUAAAAAGACGAUUUUGUCUAAAGGAGAGUGUUUUAAUGAAUAGAAACAAGUUUGAAUCACUUUUAUAAGGGUCUUCACACUUUUAAUAUAUUAUAGAUAUAGAUUAUAUAUAUUAUUACUAUUAUAUUAUAUUAUUAUAUUAUAGAAGUUAGUAGAAACGUGCGAAAAGAUUUCCAAGGAAAAUUUUUCACUUUGUUAAUGAAGGAAAAUUUCUUUUGAGUUUUUCUUAGACAUUUUUAGACGUUUUUUUCCCCAAAAAUAAAGCAACUGUCUAAAGAUGGGACAAAUUUGUUAUUUUAGUGUUAUGUUGAAUUCUAUUUCAAACAAGUUGUAUAGUUCUAGACUAAUAAAACAAUUUUGUUUUACUUCUACGAUUGUAUUUAUUUGCCAAAUAUAAGGUACUAUAAUUAGGACUCUUUUUAAUAAUGGUGUUUUUUUUGUUUUUCCAAAAUCAUAUAUUAUUAGUAUUUAUGUAUAAUUAUAAUUUUUAAAAAUAGUAAAAAGAUGAUUUAGUUUAAAGUAGAGUUUUUAAUGAAGGGUAAAAAGUUCGAAUCACUUUUCUAAGGGUCUUCACACUUUUAAUAUUACUAGUUUAACCGCUCGUGCCUUGCACGUGUAACGUUCGAUUAUUUAAAAUCAAAUAAUUUUGCCAAUUGCAGAGAUUUUUAAUGAAGUGUAAAAAAUUUAGACCGCUUAUCAAAUAUUCUUUAACACUUUAAUAAUAAUAAUAUAAACAUAAACAUAUAUUUUAGUGUAAGCAUAUAUAUAUAUAUAUAUAUAUAUAUAUAUAUAUAUAUAUACAAAAUCAUUGAUUACAUUCUUAUUACGUACUUAAAAAAUUUUAAAAUUUGGUACUUCUUAAAUUUUUUUAUUUUUUUUUAUAUUUAUUUUUAGAUUUUUUAAAUCUUCUUAAAAUCUAAUUUAGUUGAUUUAGAAUUCUUAAAAUAAUGAAAAAAUAUUAUUUGUUAUUAAUUUUGAUGACUUCUAAUAAGGAAAGGUUUUACCAUAAAUAUAUUUAAUUAAUUUUUAGCUCUUAAAAAUUAGGAGAAAAUAGUGAAAAGACGAUUUUAUUUAAAGCAAAUACUUUUAAUGAAGGGCAAAAAGUUCAAACAAUAUUUCUAAUCUCUUUUAUAUAUAUAUAUAUAUAUAUAUAUAUAUAUAUUACAAUAUAGAUAUUCAAUCAUGUUCUUAAAAGUACAUAAAUUAUCAAUAUUUUCUGAUAAACAUGACAAAAAAUGAUAAUGAACAUUACACUUUGCGGUAGUUUAUUUUUUAAACAAAAUAUAAAAUCAAAGAAUAACUUAUAACUUAGUUAAGUUGCAACAACAAUGAUUACGUAAUAUAAUUUCAGACACAAAUGUUGAAUUAAAUACAAACUUUAAGUGCAAAUUUUAUAUAUUGAAUAUAAAGUAUGUAACAUCCUUCAAUUAUAUGAAUUAACUUAAAAAAAAAUUAGUAAACCUCAAGCAUGUUUCAAUUGAGAUGGAUAUGUUCCAUUAAAGAAUAUGACAUAUUUUAUUUGGUUAACUUAACUACCUAACAAAUAUUUAUCAAUAUACACAUUUUAUUUUUGUAAAAUUUGAAUAAAAAUAUGUUAUGAUUUUUAGUUUUUUUAUAACUUACUUGUCUAGAUUUAGCUGAUAAAAACUUUAAUACAAUUUCUUUGGUGUACGAUUUAUAUUGCAUAUAAAAUAAGCUUUAAAGUUUUUUUUUUGUUGCUCAAAUAGCAAAAAAUAAUAUUAUUAUAUUUGGCUAUCAACAUAAAAAAUUUAGAAAAUCAAGUUUGUCAUUUAGUAUGUUCUUGAAAUUUAUUAAUAUUUUCUUUUUAAAAGAAGAUAAUUUGCAUAUAAAAAAAUUAUUCCCACUUUCUUAUUUGAGAUAAAAGAAGUAUUAAUCUUAAAUUUGCUCGUGAAUGGGUCCAAUAUUACAGUAUAGAUAUGAAAAAAUUACAAAAAGUAGCUUAUUUAAGACUAUAAUUAUAAUAAAUAGCAACACUUUUACAAAAUUACAGUUUGUAGCAAGAUUAACAUUAUUUUGCCCAUUAACUAGACAAACAUCUGUUUUGCUCCCACUACUUUACCUUUUCCUGUUUUCACUCCACUAUUUCACUACUUCCCCCCCUCCCCCCUCCCCCCAAUAUAGCCGUAUCUUCUACUCUUUUAUUUCAUCUUAUUUUUUUUAUCAUUUUAUUUAAUUUUUUUUAUUUUUUUUCCACUUUAUUUUCUCCCUCUUCUAUUUCUCUUCUUAUUUUCCUUUUUCGUUUUUUUAUUUUUCAUUUUCUUUUUUUUUUCCUUCUCAUAUUUGAAGAUAAUUAUCUUCAUGAUCUUAAAAAUUUUGAAAAAAAACAUCAUUACUGUUUUUUUUCUCUCUUUCACUCUCUUAUAUCUCUAAUUUUUUUUUCUUGUUAGUUUUUUUCAACUUAUUUUUUUAUCAUUUUAUUUUUUUUCUUUUUCAUUUUUUCUUUUCCACUUUAUUUUCUCUCUUCUAUUUCUCUUUUUGUCUUUUUCAUUUUUUUCUUUAUUUUUUUCCUUUCUCGUAUCUUUUUUUCUUUUUCUAUUUUCGUUUUUUUUCUAUUUUUUGUUUCUUCUUUUUUUCUUUUAUUUUUACACUUCUAUUUCUCUUUCUUCUAUUUUUUUUUCAUUUUUUUCAUUUUUUUUAGUUUUUUACUCUUCUAUAUCUAACUUUUAUUUUAAAAAGACAAAUGUGUAUAUUACAUACACAUAUUCAAAAAAUAUACAAAUACAUAGUCAUACAGAUCUGGAUAUGUAUUUACAGUACAAAACAAACAUAUGUAUCUACAUAUGUAUUUACAAAAAUACAUAUCUCACUCAUAUGUAUAUAUAAACAUAUAGGACACAAAAUCUCUAUAAUAAAAAGGACAACUAUAUAUAUAUACAUAAUCAAAAAAUACAUGAUACAUGUCUUAAAUAGUAAAAAAUACAAAUAAAUACAUAUGUUACCAUCUAGAAUGGCAUAGAACAGUUCAAAGACAAAUUCAACACCAUACAAAAAUACAUAUAGAUAUGCAUUUAUAUAUACAAAAUACAAAUACAUUCAAUGCCCCAAAACAAUUUAUAAUACAUUUGUGACAUAAUACAUCUACCUAAUUGUGCUUGAACUGCAUAUUUCUUCUUGUUCAUGUAGACACCACAAAUAUUCUUAUGAAAAAAAAAUCGUGUACUGCUCCUUUGAUAACAUCGCCUUAAUAUGUUCUUCAAUAUCAUUGACUAUGUGAAUUUUUAUAUGUGGUGCAAACCUUGGAAGUACUCUUACCAUGAAUAUAUCACGCAAUACCUAUAGAACAAAAUAAUGACAUAAAUCUAUAUUACAUGUACUUUUCACAAAAAUUUAAUACAAAAUACAUAGUAUACAUAUAUAUUUUUUUUUACAUAAUAUAUAUUACAUUACAAACAAUACAUAUAAUUUCUACAUAUGUAUUUACAGAAUAUAUGUCUCAUUCAUAUGUAUAUUACUAUACAAAAAAUACAAAUAUGACUUUGCUAUGUAUUUACGAAAUACAUAUCAUAUUCAUAUUAAACAGUAACAAACAUAACUAUACUAUAUAUCUUCAUAUGUAUUUGCGAAAUACAAAGGCGACUCAUAUAAAACAAGAAUAUACAUAUGGAUCAGGUAUGAAUUCUGUAAAUACAUAUGCAGAGCUAUAUGUAUUUUGUACGGUGUUGGAUUUGUCUUUGUACUGUUCUAUGUCAUUUUAGAGGACAACAUAUGUACUUAUUUGUAUUUUUUACUAUUUAAGAUAUGUAUCAUGUAUCUUUUGAUUACCUAUAUGUAUAUAUAUUUAGUUGUCCUUUUUGUAUGUACAAAUGCAUAUACAUAUGUAUUUUUGCACAGUGUUGGAUUUGUCUUUGAAUUGUUCUGUGUCAUUUUAGAGGGUAACAUAUAUACUUAUUUGUAUUUUUUACUAUUUAAAAUAUGUAUCAUAUAAUUUUUGAUUACCUAUAUGUAUAUGUAUAUAGUUGUCUUUUUUGUUAUAGAGAUUUUGUGUCCUAUAUGCUUAUAUAUACAUGAGUCAGAUAUGUAUUUUUGUAAAUACAUAUGCAGAUAUAUAUGUGUAUUUUGUACUAUAAAUACAUAUGCAAAUCUGUAUGUCAAUUUAUUUUGUAUAUUUUUUAAAUAUGUAUAUGUGAUAUAGAUAUUUAUCUUUUAAAACUAAAAGAUAGAGACAGAAGAGUAAAAAAAAAGAAAAAAAUACAUAGAAAAGAUAAAAAUCGAAAAAAAAUCUGAAAAAGGUGAAAAAGGAGAAAAAAAUAAAGACAAAUAGAAGUGAAAAAAAAAAGAAAAAACGGAAAAGGAAAAAAAAUGAGAAAGGAAUAAAAUAAGAAAACGAAAGCGAAAAAAUAAAGAAAAAAAUGAAAAAAGAAAAAAAAAAAAGAGAAAUAAAAGCGGAAAGAAAAACGAAAUCAAAAUUAAAAAUUAAAACAAUAAAAAAAGAUGAAAAAAAACUAAAAAGAAAAAGAGUUAGAGAUAUAAGAGAGUGAAAGAUAGAAAAAAAAAUAGUAAUGAUGCUUUGUUUUGAAUUUUGAAGUUGAUGAAGAUAAUAAUCUUUCAUAUAUGAGUUUGAUUUGGAAAAUGAAUCUAUUAGUUGAAAUAAGAGUAAUUUAUGAAAAAAAGAAUCUAUUGCAGUAAUUUAUGAAAAAGAAAUUUACUGAUUCCUUAUUUAACUCAAUUGAUUUGAGUAAAAGAAGGACAAUAAAUCUCGUUUUAUAUGUAUUUUAGUAGCAACACUUUAAUAAAAUACAAAAUAUAACUUUCUAUUUUUUGUAAUUAUGAAACAGUUGCUAUAAAAGUUCUAAUUAUAGCUAUAAGUUUGGUACUUAUGAAAAAUUCUCAGAUAUUCAGUCAUGUUCUUAAAAAUAAAUAAAUUAUCAAUAUUUUCAGAUAAACAUGACAGAAAAUGAUAUUGAACAUUACACUUUGCAGUAGAUUAAUUUUUUUGUUUUUUUAUAUAAAAUUAAAUCAUAAUUUAUAACUUAGUUAAGUUUCCACAACUAACACAUUAAAAAAUUACAUAAUAUAAUUUUAGACACAAACGUUGAAUUAAAUAACAAACAUUAGGUGCAAAUUUUAUAUCUUGAAUAUACAAUAUGUCAUAUCCUUUAAUUUAUGAAUUAACCUAAAAAUAGGAGUUAACCUCAAGCAUGUUUUUGUUGAGAUGGAUAUGUUCAAUUGAAAAAUAUGACAUGUUUUAUUAGGUUAACUUAACUACCUAAUAAAUAUUUAUGAACACACAUUUUUUUUUUUCAAAUUUGAAUAAAAAUAUAUUACAAUUUUUAGUUUUUUCAUAACUUAUUUGUCUAGAUUUAGCUAAUAAAAACUUAAUAUAAUUUCUUUGGUGUACGAUUUAUAUUACAUAUAAAAUAAGCUUUAAAGAUUUUUUUUGUUGCUCAAAUAGCACAAAAUAUUAUUAUUAGAUUUUGCUAUGAACAUAAAAAUUGUAGAAAAUCAAAUUUGUCAUUUUGUAUGUUCUUGAAAUAUAUUUAUUUUUUUUAACUAAUAAAACACAAAAUUACUCAAAAAAAUGUGAUUAUGAAAUAUAUAAAAUAAAUUACUCCAACUUAGGAUUCAUAUCAAAGAGGGGCACAUAAUUUAUGAUCAAAUAAAAUAAGAAUGGGUGGAUAGUGGGGCCUACAUCUGGGGUCUAUGUUUUGAGAGAAGAAAAAUAAGGUGAUAUUGAUGACAUAAGUAUAGGGGGUAAAUAGGUCAAAAUAUCUAGAUCUUUCUUCUUGAGCUACAGUAAAGCUCCUUUUUCAUUUUUUUGGUAACUAAUAUUUUAUUAUUCACCAAGUGGAGAAUUACAAAACCGUAGAGGGUUUAUAACUCAACCAUCUACCACUCAGUUUGUCAUAUUGCCAUUGCCUAGGGGCAUACAACAAAUCUAUUGGUUAACACUUUCAAUCUAGGUGGUGCUCGUAUAUCAUUGAUCGUCCCUCAUACUCAUCUUUCUAUAUAAUAAAAAAAUAUAAUAAUAUAGAGUUACAUGUUAAACAUCUAAAAUGUCAUUAUGUUAGCUUUUAAAUUAAAUAAUGCCCUUGGUCUCGUUUUAUGGACCCAAUAUUACAGUUUUAAAUAUAUUUAUCAGUAUUUAAUUUGUGUAUCAAAAAAAUUAAAUUUAUAUUUUUAAAUAAAUACGAUAGAAAAUAAUAAUAAUAGAGAUCACACGUUAAAAAAACUAUCUAUUUUUUAUUUUUAUAAAAUCAAUUAAUAGCUUACUACUUAUUUAAAUUAUCCUAAUUAAAGUUGAAAUAUAAUAUACUUCAAUGCUUAUUUUAACAUCAGGUCAAACACAUUUUCCUGAAUUAAGUAGCUAAUUUUAAUGUUUUUAUUUUCAAUUUUAUUUGAAAAUUAUACAAGAAAAUAAAUUAAAAUUAUAAGCGCCAAUAUAUUAAUAUAUUUUUUAUAAAAUCUUAUAAGCAACAUUUUCUUAAAAUAUGGUCUUUUUUACCUAAUAUACUAUAUAAAUAAAAGUAAAUAACGUUUUUAUAUUAAGGAGAUAAGAGAUUGUUCUUAUACAAAUAACUAUAUCAUACAUUCAUUUUCAUAAUGAAAUAAUAUAAAAAUACUAAAGAUACAUUACUGAUAGUUGAAAAUUAUAUAUAAAAAAAUAGAGCACAAAUCAAAUUAACAUUGGUGGAGUUAAACUUUUUAUUAACAAGAUUAAAAAUAUAUAUGUUAUUUAAUGUUAGUUUAAAGUUAUUUUAUAUGCAGGUUAAUUUAUAUAUUAUAUCGUACUCUCUAUUUUUCUUUUUAUUUGCUUUAUUUGGGUUAGACACACACUAUAAUCUCUUGCUCCUAUAAAGUUAAAAGUAAUUUCGAAGUCUUAUAUGAAUAUUACAUAUGCAAUUCUUUUUUAUUCUAGUAAAACAUUUAUAGACUGAUUUAAUGAUAUUUUUUAUAAAAUUAUUAAUGAACAAAAAAAAAUAUCUUUAAAUAUGUUAACAACUUUAAAUUUUAACCUACCAAGUUCAUGCAUGAUAAAUUUUUUGAGCAAAAAACUAAAAUAUUAAAAUCUUGGAGUAUUGAAAAUUUUGACGGAGUCGGAAUUUUCACUUAGAAAGUUUAAAAUAUAAGAAAAUAAAUAAACGAAGAAAAACAAAUUCAACAUUUAACACAUAAAAAUAAAAAAUAAUUUUAGUUCUAUAUAAACAAUCUAAUAUUUCAUGAAUGGAGAUUCAAAUUAUAAAUUUAAAUUUAUUUAAAAUAUUACUUCAUAAAUAAUGUGGUUGAAAUAAGUUGAGACUUGAAAGUAAAAAUAUUGUUAGCUACAUAAUAGGUUCACUUAGAAAAUGUAGACACAAAAGCUAGAAAAAAAAAGAAAUGACUAAUGGAGUUCUUUGUUGAUAUUACUAUUGACUAAUAAUUGUACCAUUUAGAUGUGAAAUGACAAAUAUACCCUUGAUCGUCCUCCGACUCACUCUUUUAUAUAAUAAUAAUAAUAAUAAUACUAAUAAUAAAUACUAGAUAGGUAUUGGCCGUGCUGAGCACGGCCUAACACACUACAUUUUGAUAUAUUUUUAGGAGAAUCAUACCGGAACUUAAUUUAUUAUUACUAUUCAAAAUUCCAGCCUUUUUAAAUAAUUAUAUAAAUCUUUAAUUUUACUUAAAAGCUUAAAUAUAUCAUAAAAGAAUGUAAUGUAUUCAUGUAGAAAUAAGUGAUUAUGUUUAUGUAAAAUUAAGUAACUUAUCCGAAAAGUGGGAUAUAUUAAGUGAAGCAUUUGAAAGAAUGUGAUGUAUUCGUACGAAUUAAAUUAGAGGUUUUAAAUAAUUUUGAAAAAAAAUUGAGAUAGAGAGUAAUUAUCUCUAAGAGGAUUAAGAGUUAGGUAAUUCUACAAUUUUCUAUUAUAUGGUUUGUAUUGGUAAUGAAGAUAAAAGCCCUAAAACAUCAAUGUACUUAACAAAGUGCAAAAUAACAUGGUGAAUAUGACAUUUUCAUGUACAUGUAUGAAAUAAAAAAAAUAUUACAAAACGACUUUCAGAUACAUCUUGGUAAUAGCUGAUGUAAUACCAAAAAAUAAAUCAUAGAUAAUAUUAAAAAAUUAUUGAUAAUAUUUGUGAAUGUUAAAAUUCAUCACAAGCACAUGAAAUCAUCAUUUUCUGUUACCAGGAGGCACGAUCUAUCUUGGUAAUCAAACUUUUUAUCAUUCCAAAAAUCACAAGGAGAAUCUUUGGAUUACCUUCAAGAAGUAAGAAAAUACCAACCAUAAAAAAAUUGAGAGAAAAGCAAAACACAAAUAUCUAGCAAAAAAUAACAGAAUAUAAAAAAUCAAAUGAGAGAAACAUUGAAAAGAGGGAACUAAUGCUUUUAAAAUUCAAGAAGUAUGGCCUUCCAAAAAAAAUAAAAAAGAAUGCUUCCUUAAUUUAGUAAGGUGACCAACUAAUAUAAGGCAACUAUUUUUGGUAAAAUGACAAACUAAUAUGGGAUGAAAGAAGUAUUAAAGAAGCCAUUCAUUACAAUUUAUUUAUUCUUCAUAAUCCUUUAUACCGAUAGUAAAAAUAAAAAGACACCCUAUACACUAAAGAUCCCGCUAUGCGCAAGGUUCGAAAAAGGACCCCACCACAAGGGUGUAUUGUACGCAGCCUUACUUUGCAUUUCUGUCAGAGGCUGUUUUCAAACCUUGAACCUGUGACCUCCUGGUCACAUGGAAACAACUUUGUUUCCAAGGCUUGAACCCACAACCUUACAUGGGAACCACUUACUCCAAGGAUCCCCUUUAACGUGAGACUAAUUUUGGACAAAAUUAAUAUUUUUUAACUCUACCUCAUCUUCAUUGAACUUUCCUGCAUCAAAUGAGUUCAAAGAGUUCUCCACCACGUGCAUAUUCCAUAACAAUGGAAAGAUGAGUGGGAGUUCACAUAACCUGGAUCUCACCAAAUAAUGAAAAUUAAGCCAACUUUUUCUCAAUUUUUUCUUGCGAUUUUUGAACCAAGAAAAAAUCCAUGAAAGUAAUAGAGCAUUACAAAAUGGUAGUGAAGAUCUACCACGUUUCCUUGCAUCUAAUUCAGAUUUUAAUCGUAUUGAAGCUGAAUAGCACCAUAGUUCAUCUUUGUCACGCCCCGAAUCUGAUACCCGGAACGCUACACGGUGCCCAUGACCCCGAAGGACCACAAGCUAACCCAUGACUGAUAUAUGUAAACUAAGCACUGAAUAAUAGUAAUAAUAUCGUAAAUACGGAAACAUUAACUGAAAGGCCAUAAGGUUCAAUACUAGUACAUAACUGAAAAAUGUGGUAUAACAAUACCAAAACAACUGAGAUAAUUAUCUAAACAUACUGUAGUCUGAAAGCCUCUAAAAUGUCUAAAUAAGGAGUUGAUGAGACAUGUCCCCAACUAACUCCAACUACUGCAAUAGACUAAAAAAUGAAAUUGUAAUGUGAUCAUCAUGUCCUCGAAGGAUGAGGACUCACUGCUAACUCUGAUCACUGAACUGGGAUGCUAGAUAGGACUGAGAUCCCUAGAAGCAAUCCCUAAGUUCCAGAACUAUGUAGCCAACGUAGGUACGAGAUAUCACCCGUUAGAUAAGACUGACAUACUUAGGGAUCACCCGUUAGCGUAUUUAAAUGUAUAGGACUGAUCCCAGGGGUCAUCCGCUAGAUUAGGACUGACUCCACAGCAGUUGUCUUUACCAGUGGCACGGUACUGACACCCUUCCAGCUGGGGUUACAGGUUGGACCCCAGUUAGCUUAGUAUGGGGCAUGUCGGUUAGAUGAAUACAUCCCAUAAUUUUAGUUACAGAAUCAGGGCUCAGAUACAGUUAAUUCAGUUCAGUAGUAUAGAUUUAGGACUAUCAGACACAGUCACUCCUUAUCAUUUUAAAUAGACUCUGGGAUCACCCACUAGAUAGGACUGAUCUCAACUAUGGUCAAUCAGUAAUGGUAUCAUCAGAUUUAGAGAUCAUUCGCUAGAUAGGACUCAUCUCAGGUUCAGUUACUCAGAUACAAUACGAAACUCAGCUAAUUCCAUCAGAUUCAGGACUGUUAGAUACAGUUACUCAUGUUAUUAGUUAUAUCAGUUAUCAGAACUUAUGUUAUUAAUAUUCAGCUUCAGGACUGUCAAAUACAGUCAACCAGACCAGUUCUUCAUAAUCAGAACUGUCAGACACAGUUAUCCAUUUAUUAAUAACAUAGUAUCAGUCCCUUAGUAUUAAGUAAUACAGUAUCAGUUUCUCACUCAUCAGUGACUCAGAUGUUAAUGUCAGUAGAUUCAGUAGUCAGAACUUAAUAUUCAGUCCUAUCAUGAUCUCAGUUACAGUUACGUAUGUAUGCAUGUAUUCUCACGUUUAUGUUAGUCAGUCAGUUAGUAUUGUUCAUGCAUAUGAACCUAUUACAUUCAUCCUACCUCACUUGCAUACCAGUACAUUAAAAGUACUGACCCGUUUGUGCUAUGGUGUCUUAUACCAUAGGUUUAGAAGCACGAGCUCCAGAGAAUUAGUAGUACCCAGUUCAGCGAUCAGAGUUAGCAGUGAGUCCUCAUCCUUUGAGGACAUGAUGAUUACAUUACUAUUUUAGUUUUCAGUUUAUUUUAGUAGUUGGAGUUAGUUGGGGACAUGUCCCAUCAACUCCUUAUUCAGACAGUUUAGAAGUUUUUAGACUAUAGUAUGUUCAGACAAUUAUCUCAGUUGUUUUGGUAUUAUUAUACCAUAUUUUUCAGUUAUGUACUAGUAUUGAACCUUAUGACCUUUCAGUUCAUGUUUCUGUAUUUAUGAUAUUAUUACUAUUAUUCAGUGUUCAGUUUAUAGAUAUUAGUCAUGGGUUUGCUUAUGGUCUUUUGGGGUUAUGGGCACCGUGUAGCAUUUCAUGUACCAGAUUCGAGGUGUUACGAACUUGGUAUCAGAGCUAGGUUCAACAGUGUCCUAGGAAGUCUGAAAAGCCGCAUUUAGUAGAGUCUUGUACAUGCGUGUGUUGUGCACCACACUUAUGUGCAGGAGGCUAUGAGAUUUUAGGAACAGUUUCUCUUCUUUCAGUAUUCAUGUCGUACCAAUAAGCAUAGGCUCAAAGUUAAACUCUCAGUCAAAGUUAAGCGUGGUGAGCCCAUAACCCACAGGUCCCAGGAUCAAAAUUUGGCUCUAAUACCAAGUUUGUAACACCCCGAAUCUGGUACCUAAAAUGCUAUAUGGUGCCCAUAACUCGAAAGGACCACAAGCUAACCCAUGGCUAAUAUCUAUAAACUGAGCACUGAAUAAUAGUAAUAAUAUCAUAAAUGCAGAAAUAUGAACUGAAAGGCCAUGAGGUUCAAUACUAGUACAUAACUAAAAAAUGUGGUAUAAUAAUACCAAAACAACUAAGAUAAUUGUCUGAACAUACUGUAGUCUGAAAGCCUCUAAACUUUCAGAAUAAGGAGUUGAUGGGACAUGUCCCCAACUAACUCCAACCACUAAAAUAGACUAAAAAAUGAAAUAGUAAUGUGAUCAUCAUGUCCUUGAAGGAUGAGGACUCACUGCUAACUCUGAUCGCUGAACUGGGUACUACUAAUUCUCUGGAGCUCGUGCUUCUAAACCUAUGGUAUAAGACACCAUAGCACAAACGGGUCAGUACUUUUAAUGUACUGGUAUGCAAGUGAGGUAGGAUGAAUGUAAUAGGUUCAUAUGCAUGAACAAUACUAACUGACUGACUAACAUAAACGUGAGAAUACAUGCAUACAUACGUAACUGUAACUGAGAUCAUGAUAGGACUGAAUAUUAAGUUCUGACUACUGAAUCUACUGACAUUAACAUCUGAGUCACUGAUGAGUGAGAAACUGAUACUGUAUUACUUAAUACUAAGGGACUGAUACUAUGUUAUUAAUAAAUGGAUAACUGUGUCUAACAGUUCUGAUUAUGAAGAACUGGUCUGGUUGACUGUAUCUGUCAGUCCUAAAGCUGAAUGCUAAUAACAUAAGUUCUGAUAACUAAUAUAACUGAUAACAUGAGUGACUGUAUCUGAAAGUCCUAAAUCUAUACUAUUGAGCUGAAUUAAUUAUAUCUGACAAUCCUGAUUCUGUAACUGAAAUUGUGGGAUGUAUUCAUCUAACCGACAUGCCCCAUACUAAGCUAACUGGGGUCUAACCUAUAACCCCGGCUGGAAUGGUGUCAGUACUGUGCCACUGUUAAAGACAAAUACUAUGGAGUCAGUCCUAAUCUAGCGGGUGACCCUUGGAAUUAGUCCUAUACAUUUAAAUGUGAUAACGGGUGAUCCCUGAGUAUGUCAGUCCUAUCUAACGGGUGACAUCUCAUACCUACACUGGUUACGUAGUUCUGGAACUUAGGGAUUGCUUUUAGGGAUCUCAGUCCUAUCUAGCGGGUAAGUCCCCAUCCCUAGGCUUGCUCGGUGCUGAAUCCUACUCCCAUCUAAAAGACACUAAAUUGAUUAACUGAACUGAGCUGAAUUGAUACUAGUGGUAUUGUCUAGUGGAGCUAAUCUGAAUUUACUGAGUUCCAUUAACUGACGGAAUGUACUGAGUUCUGAGGACUGACUGAGAAUAUUGAAGUUACUGAGAUUACUGAGCUACUGAAAUUACUGAGAUUUUUGAGAUUUCCUGAGUCACAUGACUAACUAAGUUCUAUGGAUCAUAGCUUGACUGAGGAGAUCGUGAAAACAUGACAUGACUUUAGGCACACAGUUAAAUAUUCGGGUACAAGUACCCCCAGGACUCGAUUGAAUAUACAUCUAUACAAAUCAAUUCCAUACAAAAUUGAUCACCCAACAUGGAUUUGAAUUCAAUUGAUCAUUCUCAACAUAAACAACACAAACUCAACAUGAAAUUCAUAAAGAAAUCCAUAAACUUAAACUUAGAAACGAGAUUCUCGGGCUUCAUGGACAAAAGGAGGCCAUGAAUGAACACUACGCAUACCUUAGUUCAUGAUUUUGUGAAAAUUAACGAUGAAACCUUCUUGAAUUUGAAUCCCCAAUUGAAACCGUAGCUUGUUCUUGAGAGAAACUUGAGAGAAACUAGUAUAUUUUGGGUGAAGAAUGGCUAAAUCACGUGUUAUUAGGUUUAAAUAGGGUUAGAAAAUUGACAUUUUUAACCCUGGAUGCAUCUUUUAUUUCUGAGAAAAAUUUCCCAAUUUUUAUCCUUGGCGCGACGCGCCACUAUUGCGCCAAGUCACUGGAAAGUGACAAAUGGGAAAUUGCACGGUGGUGCGACGCAGAGCUAUCGCAUUGCCACCUUGUCUGUGACCUAGAAGUUUUGUGCGAUGCGCCACUAUCACGAAGCAACACUGGAAAUUGACAAUUUCCAUUUGAGCUAUCUCCGCGACGCGCUGAAGGCUCAGGUGAUACACUGUCUCACUAAAAAGGCUCUAACUCUUCACCCGGAUGUCGGAUUUGGGCGAAUUUGGUAUCGAUGGAAAGAUUAUUCGAUUCCCCAUAUGAUAAAAAGUGAAAAUCUUGAAAAUACCAUGUCUACAAAAGUGUAUUUAUUUUUCAAAUAAAGCUUCUAACAUUCUUGGGAAACUUUUUAAGCUAGGAAAAGUAUGGGGUAUUACAAUCUUGUUGGAUUUUCAAUAAUUAUAGCGUCAUUUCAUACUGUAUUGUGAGGUAGAAUUUCUCUACUAUUGGAAUAAAAGAAACCAAAGAAUGGACAUUUCUUGAUUUAUGUGGAGAAAUCAGAAAAAGUGAUAUGGAAUGAACUUGAAAUAACUCUUACAAUUGUGCAAAAUAACGUCUUUGCUCUUGGUUGUCCUUUACUCUCCUUUCUAUAUAGUAGAAAAAUAUAAUAAAAAAAAGAUUAUAUAUAUAUAUAUAUAUAUAUAUAUAUAGAUGGAUAGAGAGAGAGAGAUAGAUCAUAGUUAUUUAGAUGUUUCUAUAGAGUUGUAGGUACGCAAAAUAUCUAAAAUAUCAUUAUGUUAGCUUUGAAAUUACAGUAAUUCCCUUGGCUAUCAUUGAACUCACCGUUCUAUAUAAAUAAUAAAAAAUAAAUAUAAUAGAAUAAAGUAUGUUAUUUUUGUGCAAAACAAAACCUCAACUCCAUAAGACUAGAUUUUGUUAAAUUGAGAGCAAUUUUUGUAUUAAAUUAAUUUUUCUGGGUCUUUGUAAAAUUGAGAGCAAGUUUGAUAUCAUAGUUAAUUUUUUUUGAUUUUUGGAAUCCACUUAGAUCUCAAUUACAGUAAUGUCUUUAUUGAUGGCAAUAUUGAUUAGGUAUAUUUUUUUUGUCUAUGGCUUUAUAUCAUGUUUUGUUGAGCGCGGGAUCAUGAUAUAAAGUUUGAUAUCUUAUCCUUUUCAAACCCCACUUAUAAGACUACACCAAAUAUGUUAUUAUUAUUUAAUUGAUUUUAAAGUUUGAGUGUUGAUUCAUGAUUGAUUUGUGAUUGUAUAGUUUUGAAUAUCACGUUAUAUAUAUAAUUAAUUUGUAUGACUUGAAUACAUAGUCUUCAAGAGUGAUUUCGGUUAUGGUAGAGACAAUUGAACUUGAAAGUAUUAUUCUAGAGCAAUUUUAGAUUAUGGCAAAGCGUUUUAAUCAUUUAAUUCUUUUCUUAAUUGAACUAUUGUCACAACCUAAUUUCUCAGGUCAUGAUGGCGCCUACUAUAACCCAUUAAUAGGCAAGCCAAACCUAUAGUCUGAAAUGUCUAGUAACAGACUAUCAAUCAAAAUAAGGAAAGAAUGAAAAAUAAAUGUACUAAAAGAUCAAAUACAUAGACAAAUCUCAAAACCUGGUGGUAUUAGUACAAAAUCUUCUAAUAUAACAAGAGUACAUGAGUGAAAUACAAAUGAAUAUACUGAUAUAACUUAUCUCCGAAUACAACACAGAGACUAGCCUAAUACAUAAAGGAGAGAUAAGUAAUACUCCGAACAUUAGGAUCUCACUCUAAAUCUCCAAACAAUGGUUACUCUGCUCAACACACACAUCAACAGUGAUAUCUCGUACUAUGAUCUGUAGGCUGCAAAAGUGUAGUAUGAGUACCAAAUAAAUAGUACUCAGCAUGCAACUACCAAUUGAGCUUUGAAGAUAAAGUAGAUAUAUAACAUAUAAACAGAAUGAAAAACUACAUUCAAAAUUCCAAUAUCCAUAAAAGACAAACAAUAAGGUAACAAGGAUAAACUAUCCUAUUCAUGUCCAAGAGGAUAACAUAUUAAGACUAAGGGAGUAACAAAUAUGAACUAUCCUAUUCCAGUCAUAUUAAUAAUUCUCAACAUUAUACCGUAUAUCACUGUCCAAUAUGCAAAGUACAAGUGGAAGGAAGAUACACAUAACUUUACAAGGCCAAGGAAUGAGUAUACAAUAUGAAUAAUUGAAGGAAGGGAUAUAUGGUAGUCCCAUAAUUAUAUAUAGCUAGGUAUGUGUGUGUGUAUAUACAGACACACACAUAUAUAUACACACACAUAUAAAUACGAAGUCAACUCAAAGGAUAACCUAAAUCAUCAUGUCUUCACUUUAAGACCUCAUUAUAAUCCUAUCCGAAUUUAAUACUAUCAUACUCAGGGUUCUAAUCCGGAUGGCUAGACAUGAAAUAAUCAUGCAUAAUAAUGCAAUCAUAAGAUAGAAGAGGCCAAAAGUAUACCUCAAAUAUUGAUACUGAAUUAAUGACCAAUCUGUCAUAAACUAUCCAUAAUAAUGAUCAUAACAAUGAUAAUAACAAUAUUAAUAACAACACGAGUAAUUGGCUAUUUCGGACAACCAAGUAUAUAAUCGAGCCUAUGUGUAUCCCCGCUGCUCCAGAAUCAGAAGGUUCAAUCAAUAUUCAACAACACAAGUCAUAACCCAUAUCUAUGCAACCAUCCCACACAGGGUGAUAGACAUAGGUGCAUACUGGUGAUAGAAAAUGCGCAUGAAAGAAUGAAUGCAACAGAAUCUACAAUACCAUAAUCAUCAUCAUCAUAACCGUCAUCAUCAUAAUUAACCUCCGACCUUGCUGAGUAUAUAAUCAUCACAACAUCCUUUAGCCUUGCCGAGUAUCAUCACACUAUUAUAAUAUCCUUUGGUCUUGCUAGGUAUUAACAUCAUCAUCGUAAUAUCCUUCAGCCUUGUCGGGUAUCAAUAUCAUCAUCAUAAUAUCCUUCGAUCGUGUCUAGUAUAAAUAUUAUCAUCAUAAUAUCCAAACUAAUGUCACAUAAUAGAGAGCAAGCCCCACAAGGGCUAAAGUAAAGUGCAAGCCCCACUAGAGCUAAAGUAAAUGACAAGACCAUGAGGGCUAAAAGAAAUAGAUAUGAAAAAAGAAGCAAGGUAGAGUAUAUUUCCAUAAUUCAUCAUUCAUCAUCAAUAUCACAUCCUUAGUAAGUGUAUAUAUAAUUGGUGCACGGACUCAAGCCGUGGCUAAAAGAGUGUAAAUCUGUAAGUUUGUUGCUCGGAGUGAACUUCAGAACUAGAUCUCUAUGAAAGUGUCAGAAUAUCUCAAUACCAUAGUAAAUAGUAGUGUCAUAUCAUGGACCGAAAUAUAUCCCAGUCAAAUCUCUAACAACAUCAUUAUUAACCUCUACACAUUUAACUUAUUCAUUAAGUUAGGCAUUUAUUAUUGUGAAGAAACCCAUUUUUAGGUGGAAAGUGGGCUUUAGCCCUUAGUUAGUGGCAACACAAAUAAGAUUAUAAUCUAUUUGGAAUCGUAUUAAUCAUCUAUGCGAAUCUAUGCAUGCUAUCAUCAGUAUUCAAUCAUUGGAAUCAUAUAUAUCAUACCACAUCUUCCUCUAUCCUAUGUUGAAGAUAUAUAUAUAUAUAUAUAUAUNNNNNNNNNNNNNNNNNNNNNNNNNNNNNNNNNNNNNNNNNNNNNNNNNNNNNNNNNNNNNNNNNNNNNNNNNNNNNNNNNNNNNNNNNNNNNNNNNNNNNNNNNNNNNNNNNNNNNNNNNNNNNNNNNNNNNNNNNNNNNNNNNNNNNNNNNNNNNNNNNNNNNNNNNNNNNNNNNNNNNNNNNNNNNNNNNNNNNNNNNNNNNNNNNNNNNNNNNNNNNNNNNNNNNNNNNNNNNNNNNNNNNNNNNNNNNNNNNNNNNNNNNNNNNNNNNNNNNNNNNNNNNNNNNNNNNNNNNNNNNNNNNNNNNNNNNNNNNNNNNNNNNNNNNNNNNNNNNNNNNNNNNNNNNNNNNNNNNNNNNNNNNNNNNNNNNNNNNNNNNNNNNNNNNNNNNNNNNNNNNNNNNNNNNNNNNNNNNNNNNNNNNNNNNNNNNNNNNNNNNNNNNNNNNNNNNNNNNNNNNNNNNNNNNNNNNNNNNNNNNNNNNNNNNNNNNNNNNNNNNNNNNNNNNNNNNNNNNNNNNNNNNNNNNNNNNNNNNNNNNNNNNNNNNNNNNNNNNNNNNNNNNNNNNNNNNNNNNNNNNNNNNNNNNNNNNNNNNNNNNNNNNNNNNNNNNNNNNNNNNNNNNNNNNNNNNNNNNNNNNNNNNNNNNNNNNNNNNNNNNNNNNNNNNNNNNNNNNNNNNNNNNNNNNNNNNNNNNNNNNNNNNNNNNNNNNNNNNNNNNNNNNNNNNNNNNNNNNNNNNNNNNNNNNNNNNNNNNNNNNNNNNNNNNNNNNNNNNNNNNNNNNNNNNNNNNNNNNNNNNNNNNNNNNNNNNNNNNNNNNNNNNNNNNNNNNNNNNNNNNNNNNNNNNNNNNNNNNNNNNNNNNNNNNNNNNNNNNNNNNNNNNNNNNNNNNNNNNNNNNNNNNNNNNNNNNNNNNNNNNNNNNNNNNNNNNNNNNNNNNNNNNNNNNNNNNNNNNNNNNNNNNNNNNNNNNNNNNNNNNNNNNNNNNNNNNNNNNNNNUUUACACUCCCACGAGAGCUGUAGAUUGAGCGUUAUCAGAUUCCCCUGUACCCCGCAGACUCCAUUAUUAAAAUCACUUGAGAGAUUCUCGUGUACCCCACAAAAUUUUCAAAAUCAUCCUUAAUCAAUUAACCAUUUAUGUCAUGCAUUAGUUUCAAGAAACAAAUCAAACCAAGUAAUAAUGUAUAAACCAAAAUCAAUUAUGCAAGUUGUUACCUAUUUUCAUACAAAACCAAUUAAUUUGGGGAUUCCUUUGUACCCCGAUUUCCAUCCACCAUUCCCUUGCAAACCUAAUGCAUUUACUAACCAUCAAUUUAAGCACAAUAGUUUCCUAGAUAUAUGGAAAAGUAUUUAAACAAUUUAUAUUAAAAACCCUCAACCCAUAGUUCAAAACUCAACAUCAAUAUCUCAUGAACAAUACUUUAAAUCACAUGCUUUUACAAUAUUGACAAUAAAGGAAGAGUAACAUGCCUGAAAUACUAAGAAAUUUGGAGAAGAAAACAACCUUAGAACCUUAUAUGACCACUUUCUUUAAAACCCUAGCCUUAACUUAAACUGAGAGAGAAUUUGGGAGUGUUCUAUUGGGAAUGAUGUGAUAAUAAAGCCCCAAGGAAGGCUUUAAGUCGUGGGGUCCAAGGGGUGAAAUUGAGAAAUGCCUAGAGUACCUCAACUUAAAAACUGAAAAAGUGUUGUCUUUGAUUAUGAGUCAACCAUCGACUCAUAACUUUCCUUGCGACUCAUCACUAUGGGUCAUAACCAAGGUAGUACCACUAAGGAAUCCCACACUGUUAUCCUUACGACUCAACCACAGGACUCGUAAUAAGACCUUACGACUCGUAGGGUUCAGUCGUAAUCAACACAUAACCCAAAUUGGGACUUACACUGGACACCCUACGACUACACCUAAUGACUCAUAACGUAUCCUUACGACUCUUGGUGAGCCACUCGUACUUAGAGCAGAAUCAAGCCACAAACUUACUAGUUAGGUUACGACUCAUCCCAACGACUCGUUAGGACACUCUACGACUCAUAAGGUCUAAUCGUAACCAGGGCAUUGAGCUCGAAGCUCAAAGAAUUUUCAAGGGCCAAAAAUCCAAGGUGUUUUAAUGCACUUUUAACUAAAGUGAUUAUGUGAGGUUGAUUUAUAAAUAUAGGUAAUUUUUUAUUUUUAAAUGUUAAAAAAUAAAAAUUUUAGGACAUUUUUUAUAUAAAAAUAUAUUGAAAGCUUGUAACAAUUUGGAUACGCUAAAAAAUAUGUAAACUUCUGAUGUAAUAAUGGGUUCAUUGAAAAAUAAAGGAGAACGAUGAAGAAGAAAUUGGAGGAAAAAGCUAAAGAGAAGUAACAAAGAGAAAAAGAAAGAAAAACUAUAUAUUGAAGGGCUACAAUUUCAUGAUAUUAUUGGUGUUAUCUCAUGUUUUAAUGAUGACUGAAUGAUAUCGAAGGACCAGGUCCCUCGCCUACUUUGACCAGGCACAACUAUCAUAUUCUACAAAAUUUUGUCUGAUAGUGCAAUAAUUGUCCAGGUGUACAGUGUACCAGAAUAUACAUCUGGUUCAAUCAAAAUUCUAUCACUCAAUCUACACUACUAUAAAUACAUAAGAAUGCUCUUUCCUCCAUAGUUUUUACAAAUUGAAGAAUCUCACGGUGACGACCAAAACUCUCUCUAAGUUCAAGUUCUAAAUCUCUUUAUAUUUAUAGUGUAGGUAUUCUUGAGUCGAGUCUUAUAAUCAAUUUACUCAAGGAUUAAGAGUAAAACUUUUCUUUUGUUGUUGAGUUUCUUAGGUAGAGUUAUCUAAAUUUGUGUUGGUUAGAGUUAACCAAUAUUGAGAGUGACAUUGACAGAGUUGUCAAGAGGUGAUUGUAAUAGAGUUAUUUACAAAUUAGAGAAACUUAUAGUUUAGUUCGAAUGAAGUCUGUAAUCAAGAUGUGUUUUGAUUAUAGUGGAGUUUGAGAGCCUGUGAGUGCAGGUUAUGGUUUUUUCUCUCUUGAGUAAGGAGGUUUCUACGUAAAUAAUUAUGUUGAUUUAUUUACUGCAUCUUUGUGUGCUUGUUGCUUUAUUGUCAUAUAAUUCACUUUCGGGACCUGGUCCCUUAGUGAUGGUGUACCCCUCACGUUUUUACAAUUGGUAUCAGAGCGAGGACACUCUAAAAGGUUAACACCUAGAGUGAAUUCUUGAUCAUGGUUACACCACCUAAUCAGGAGGAGGGGCAAUAUACUACUAGGCUACCCCAUUUCAAUGAGCAAUACUAUGGGUGGUAGAAAAUUAGGAUGUAUGAUUUCAUUAUGACUAAGGAUGGAGAGCUAAUGAAUGUGAUACUUGAUGGUCCCCAUGUGCCAGUAUGAGAAGUCAAAGAAGGAGACAUAACUAGAAUGAUUGUUAAAACUAGGAGAGAAUAUGAUGAUGAAAAUUGUAAAAAGAUUGAAAAGAACUUCAAGGCCAAAAAAUUAUUGGUUGAUGGGAUAGGACUAGAUGAAUACAAUUCUUGUGAGAAUGCCAAAGAGAUCUGGGACUGCCUGAGAACAGAUCAUGAAAGAGCAACUGAUGUAAAUGAAUCAAAAGUGGAUAUGUUGACCACUUAGUAUGAAGUCUUCCUUAUGAAGGAGGGUAAAACUAUUCAAGAGAUGCACACAAGAUUUACUUCAAUCACAAAUAAGUUGCAUUGCCUUGCUGAAGUUAUUUCCCUGCAUAAACAAGUAAGGAAAAUUUUGAACUUCUUCCUAAGUCAUGGGAGAGAAAAGUUGAUGCUAUCUCUGAGGCUAGAAAUUUAAAGAUACUCACUAUGGAUGAAUUAAUUGGGAACUUGAAAAUUCAUGAGUUGAAAAAACAAAGGUCAAGAAAAGAAGGAGGUUAAAAGAGAAAGUCACUAGCCUUAAAAGCUUCAAAGUCUGAGUCCAGUGAUGAAGAUAUUGAUGUUGAUUACUUAGAUAAAAGGAUUGUGGAGGUCAUGAAGAAAAAUGGUCAAUUGCAAAGAAGAGAAAACAACAGUAGAAAAAGAGCACUAUUGAAGUUUAUCACAAAUAAUCAGAAGGAGAUAACAGAAAAUAGAAGGACCAGGUCCUCAAGAAGUCAAGAAGGAAAGUAGUUGUUGAUUAUGUAGUUAACAAAGCCCUAACUAUCUAGGAGAUACCUCAAGUGAAUCUGAUGAAUCCGAAAAGAUUGAUGAUACUUCUAUGUUAGCUGUGGAAGUAAUGAAAUAUCCUACAACUCUCUUUUUGUUCUCAUGGUAAAAUCAGAUGAAUAAGUAGAGAAUGAGGUAACUCGUUUUUAUAUUAAGCAGAACUUGAAUGAUUAUUCCCCUAAGAAGAUGAAGGAAAUCGCAAAUAUCUUGAUUGAUUAUGUGUGUAAACUUAUUUAUGAGAGAGAAUUACUUAAAGAUAAGGGAGAAAAUCUAGAACAUGAAAAUUAGCCUUAAUCAUUCAGUUUUCUGAAGUAGGAGAACGGUCAUUAAAAUUAAAAUCUGAAAACAAGGAUUUGAUGGAUAAACUAAAGAAGAUAGUUGAGUCUAAUGAGAAGGUAAAAAAAAAGCUUUAAAUUUAUCUUGAAGAAAAGUUGAAGAAUUCUCAAAAGCUUCUUAUGACUGCACUCCAUAAUAAUGAAGAAUUAGAAAGGACCUGGUCCGUAUAAAAGAAGAUCUUAAAAAAUCUAUAAAAUGUACCACAUCUUCACAAAUCCUUACAAAUCUAACCAGUCAGGGUAUCAAUAAUUAUAAAGGUCUUGGGUAUCUGUACAACACUCGUGCUCUUAAGUCCCAAGGCAAACAUGUCUCUGUUUCUAAAAAUAAGGCCAAUAAUCAUUUAUGCACUCACUAUAUCGGGAAUGGUCACUUGAAGGAGAAAUGUCAGGGAUUGCUUAGAGUUAAAAUAAACGUUGCUAGAUAUGUCCAGCUAAAGCAGUAUUUCCCUAAGGGAUCUAAUUCCUUGAAAAAUUUUAAGUAGAAUAAAUUACCUAACAGGACCAAGAAAGCUCUGAUCACUCUCUUGUCUUUCUUUUGGGAACUCAGACUCAAGUGGGUUCCCAAAUUUAACAAGUGACCUCUGUAAACAGGUGGGAGUAAGAGAAGGCAGUCAAAGCCGGUUCAUGGAUAGUGGAUGCUCUAAGCAUAUAACUGGAAGAACUAACUAUUUUCUCUCACUCAAUGCACUUCAAGGUGGAGGUGUCUCCUUUGAAAAUAAAAAAAAAGAUAUAUUCAUGGUGUUGGAAAGAUAGGGAAAUCCUUAAAUCACGCCAUUGAGGAUGUGUAUUAUGUGAAUAGUUUAAAUUAUAGUAUUUUAAGUGUGUCCCAAAUCUGUGACAAAGGAAAUAAAGUGAAGUUCCUAUCUGAUGGGUGUACUUUAUCCAAUUUAAAAUUUGGGAAAGUUAUACUCAAAGCUAAAAGGUGUAAGAAUAUAUAUGUGGUUGAUUUAGACUCAGUAGCUGAUUGUGAAUUAACAUGCCUAAGUGCUCAAAGUGAAACUAUUGAUUUGUGGCACAAAAGGUUGGGAUAUGUAAGUUCCUCUCUACUUAACAAACUAAUCUCAAAGGACCUGGUCCAUGGUGUUCCAAACCUGCAGUUUUCAGAAAACAAGAUUUAUGAUGUUUGUGUCAAAGGAAAACAAACCAAAUCAUCCUUUAAGCAGAAGAAGUAGGUAAGUACCACAAGACCCCUUGAAUUAUUGCACAUGGACUUUUGUGGACCUAUCAAAGUUCAAAGUAGAGGUGGGAAAAGAUAUGUUUUUGUCAUUAUGGAUGAAUACUCAAGAUUCACUUCGACCAUAUUCCUAAAAGCUAAGGAUGAAGCUUAUGAAGUACCGGUGGUCUUUACCAAGAAAAUUUAGGUGAAGCUGAACAACAAGAUUGCAGGAUUCAGAUCUGAUCAUAAACUGAGUUUGAGAAUUUCAAAGUUGAAGAAUUCUAUGCUUAAAAAGGAAUUAGUCACAACUUCUCUGCUCCAAGAACUCUUCAACAAAAUGGAGUAGUUGAAAGGAAGAAUAGGACACUCAUAAAAUUGCUAGGACUAUGUUGAUUGAUAGUGGCCUUUCAAAAAGUUUUUGGGUUGAAGCUGUCAAUACUGUCGGUUAUAUGACCAAUAGAUACCUGACCAGAUCUCUCUUGAACAAAACUCCAUAUAAACUUAUUUUUGACAAAAAGGCGAAACUUGAUUAUUUUAGACCCUUUGGGUGCAAAUGUUUUAUUCUAAAUAAUGAAAAGAAUGAGCUUGGGAAAUUCGACUCCAAAAGUGAUGGAGUUGCAUUUGUAGGCUACUCCUCAACAAGCAUAUAGAGUCUUCAACAAAAGGACUCUGUGUAUGGAGGAAAAUGUACAUGUGAUCUUUGAUAAAUCAAGAAAGUUAAAAGAUUCUGCUGGAGGUGAAGAUUCUGUCAUGAAUGGAUUUAUUCCUAUUCAAAGGGAUGGUAUAGCUGAAGCUGAAGUUCAAGAACAUAAUGAUAGAGUUGUAGAUGAAGAAAGUGAUGGUGAAUUAGGUCCUUAGUUGCUGAAUCCAAAUUUAAAAGAGGAACAUCAAGAAAAACCUGUUCAAAAUCCUCAAGGACCUAGUCCCAACAGACCUCAGUCAAAAAGAUUAAAUUGGAAGCACAAAUCUUCUCACUACCUUGAAAAUCUGACCUCUUCCUUGGAAUCUGGAAUGCAAAGAAGAGCUCAAGCUUCUUGUCAUAGGUUGAGCAUAAGUAUGUAAAAAAUCCCUAAAAGAUGCUGACUAGAUUAAUGUUAUGCAAGAACAACUUCAACAAUUUGAAAGGAGCAAAGUUUGACACCUGGUCUCCAAGCAUAUUGACAAAACAAUCAUUGGGAUAAAAUGGGUGUACAGAAACAAACAAGAUGAACAUGACACUAUCAGUGGAAAUAAAGCAAGAGUUGCUAUUCAAGGAUAUAAUUAGGAGAAAGGUAUUGACUAUGAUGAGAUCGUUACUUCUAUUGCAAGGAUGGAAGUAAUUAGAAUUCUUAUUGCUUUUGCUGCUUAUAUGGGUUUCAAACUCUUCCAAAUAGAUGUCAAGAGUGCCUUUUUAAAUGGUAGUUUGAAAAAAGAAAUUUAUGUUAAACAACCUCUAGGUUUUGAGGAUUUUGAUUUCCUACAUCAUGUUCUGAAGCUGGAUAAGGCUCUCUAUAGGUUGAAGCAGGCACCUAGAGCUUGGUAUGAGAGACUAUCAAAGUUUCUUCUGAAAAAUAGUUUUAAAAGGGGAAAAUUAAAAAUACCUUCUUUCUGAAGCCCAAAGGGAACAACUUGAUAAUUGUGCAAAUCUAUGUUGAUGACAUAAUCUUUGAAGUAACCUCUAAAUCUCUAUGUUGAGAAUUUGCCAAAUUAAUGGUGAGUGAGUUUGAAAUGAGCAUGAUAGGUGAAUUGAGCUUCUUCCUAAGGCUUCAAAUUUAAAAGAUAUCCCAAGGUACAAUGAUUUGUCAAGAAAAAUAUAUCAUAGAGCUACUGAAUAAAUACAAUAAGUGAGAUGUCAAGCCAAUUGAUACUUCCAUUAGAACCAAUUCAAAGAUAGACAAUGAUGAACAUGGUCCUCAAUUAAUGGGACCAUGUAUAGAGAAAUUGUUGGAGCCUUAUUAUACCUCACUGCUAGCAGGCUAAAUAUUGUGUUUAGUGUUAGUAUGUGUGCUAGAUUUCAGACAUGUCCAAAGGAGUCUCAUUUAAAAGCAGCCAAGAGAAAUUCUCAAGCAUCUGAAAGGGAUAGGGGACUUGAUCCUAUUUAUCCAUCUAAAUAGAUUAGGUUAUGCUGAUGCUGAUUAUGUUGGGUACUUGGUGGACAUAAAGAUUACCUCAGGAAUGGCUCAUUUCCUUGGACCCUCUCUAAUUUUCUGGGGAUCUAAGAAACAAAAUUCAGUUGCACUAUCUACUAUUGAAGUUGAAUAUGUUGCUGCAACUUCUUGUUGCGUUCAAUUUUUAUGGAUCAAACAGCAACUGGAGGAUUUUAGGAUUGUCUCUGAUCCUAUUCCCUUGAUGUGUGGCAAUAUAAGUUCUCUAAACAUGGCUAAAAACCCAGUGCAACAUAAAAGGCCAAAGCAUAUUGACGUGAGGCAUCAUUUACUGAGAGAUAAUAUUUAAAAAGGAGCCAUUUGCAUGAAUUCUAUAAGACUAAGGAUCAGGUAGCUGACAUCUUCAUAAAGGUUCUUCAUAAGGAACAAUUUUUGAAGAAUAGGCUGAGGUUGGGUUUGAUCAAGAUGAAUUAACCUACUUGGUAGAUCAAGUUCUUCAAUUCAUUGGCUAUGAUUAGAAGAUAGGUAUCCUUGAUGUGCUUUUUAGUGUAACUCAGUACCAUACCAUUUUAGGUAUACACGCAUGGUAAAACCACUUUAAAGGAAACAGAUGAAAUAGACACAAUAUAAAAUAUUCACUCAAGCAAGGGAGGGACCUGGUCCCGUACCAUAGGUUAGUAUCAUUAAUGUGCACUUUAAAAAUAUAUAAAUUUUUGUCUGAAAAAGCCAUAUUUUUCCCUUCUCUAUCUGAAAGUUGUCAAAUCCUCUGAAAAAUGAAGAGUUGCACCUAUUGUGACCAGAAACAUCCUAUACCCUUUAAUCUCAAAUGUUGCAAUCUUUUCUUCCUUUAAAUACAAAAUCAAAUUCCCUUUUCCACUCACUUUUCCAAAAUUAACUUUUAAACUUUUCUCUCUCAAAAGCAAUUUUUUUCCUAUUCUAAAAAAAUUAUCUUUCCUUAUUUUAAAUAAUCUAUUAAAAUUUCAAAUGACUAACAAAACCUCGUCCUUAAGAACCUCAUAUGAAGCCGAGUCUGUCCAAACCUCUUCUCUUCUCUCUAAAAUACCAAUUAUUGAGUCGUCUUCCUUACUUGUCACUAAGGAAGGAUCUACCAUGGAAGAAUCCGUAAAAAUAGUAAAACCUACCUCUAAGACAGUUGUUAUGGUUGACCAAAGUGAAGUCUAUGGGUCAUCCAUAGAAGUUGAGUUCCCUCAAAACCCCGUUCCUUUAGAAAAACUAGAAAGACUAACUAUUCUGAAACUCUGAACGAAUCUGGUUCUCCCACCCUUUUUGAUUCAAACCCUAUCCUUUCCCAAUUGAUGAAGAUCUACCAGUAAAAAAAUCAAACUCCGCUAGUAGUGAGUUAGCUGAGGAGGAUUAGGUUGGUGAGAACUCAAUUUUGCUGUCAAAUUACCCCAGGGACAGUUUUAUAGGGCUGGAGAAAAUAAGUUGUUGGCGAUGAAAAUAUUCUCCCCACAGGUGAUUUAUCUUCUAAGGACGAUGAGCCUAUUGGUUCAUUUAUUCCAUCUCCUAAUAAAGAUGAGGAUGACUUGCUUUUAAGGUGGUCAGUACAAAAACAAAGAGGCAGCAAAGGAAAGGGUAAAGUGGAGGAAACAGGGAAAGUAACUAAAACUUACGCAACAAGUAGUGUUGAAAAUAAGCUCAGGGGGGAUGUUAUAAAGGCAAAUAAGUCUGGAACUAUUAAAAGAAGAAGGUUAAAGAGGGGGAUUGUUAUUAAGGAAGAAAAUGUAAAAGUGGUUAAAGUUAGUGAAGAAGAGGAAGAGAUUGAUAUUGAUACUGCUACUGCAACAGAAAAAAGGAAGAAAGAAGUUCAAGAUGAAGGAAGGACCAGGUCCUUCCCAAAAAAAUUAAGGAGUCCCAUCGGUAUGAAACAAAAACACAGAGAUGUGAAAAAGAAAGAAAGUAACUCGGAGACCUGGUCCCAAGAAGAGAAAAAUGGCUGAAUAAAAACCAGGUAGUCGUUAUAAAAGAAAAAAAGUGGAGCAAGUAGAGAAGAGUUGACUUGGGAAAAAAGAAAUGAGUCUGAGAACUUAGAAGGUAUUGACUGGGAGAGUCUUUGACUCUAGGAUUUUUUAGAAACCUGAUAUGGUGGAGUUAGUUGAGUAUGUUAGACAUCAGGUUGCGCCUCCUAGAGGAACCAGUUCCCUCUGUCUUUGAAGGUGAAGCAAGGUAAUUCUACUAUACAAUAAAGUUCUCAAGUGAUGGACUAAGCUUAACUGCUUUAGUUCAAGGGAAGAAACUGAAAUUAGAUGAAGAGAUUCUUGGAAAAAUUCUAGAUGUUCCCAUAAUUAGAGUUAGGAUUGUGUUAAAUCAACACCCCUCAACAAAAUUCAUGGUUGAUGCUAGGGGUGUACAAACCGAACCGUUAAGCCAAACCGAACCAAUGAAUCAAACCAAACCGAGGAAAAAAACUGACUUAUAGUUUGGUUUGAUUGGUUUGGUGUUGGUAAAAAAAAUUGAUCAUUCUUGGUUUGGUUUGGUAUUAGAAAAAAUAAAAUCAAACCGAACCGACGUAAUACAUAUAUAAUUUUAUUUUUUAAUACGUAAAAAAAUAUUACUUAUAAUCUACUUUCUGAUUACUUUUAUUAUUUUUCUUAUAUUCAGAAAAUAGAUAUAUGUAUAUAUAUUCUUGGGCCUUUACUUAUAGUAUUUUUCCAUUAAUAACAAAUUAAUACAAAGCCCAAUAUCUAUAUCUAUAUUUAUAUCUGUAUCUAUAUCUAUAUCUAUAUCUAUAUCUAUAUCUAUAUCUAUAAUCUAUAANNNNNNNNNNNNNNNNNNNNNNNNNNNNNNNNNNNNNNNNNNNNNNNNNNNNNNNNNNNNNNNNNNNNNNNNNNNNNNNNNNNNNNNNNNNNNNNNNNNNNNNNNNNNNNNNNNNNNNNNNNNNNNNNNNNNNNNNNNNNNNNNNNNNNNNNNNNNNNNNNNNNNNNNNNNNNNNNNNNNNNNNNNNNNNNNNNNNNNNNNNNNNNNNNNNNNNNNNNNNNNNNNNNNNNNNNNNNNNNNNNNNNNNNNNNNNNNNNNNNNNNNNNNNNNNAAAAAAACACGUCCCACCUCAAAAAGAGAAAAAAAUAAGUAGUGUCAGAUUGUAGUUAGCAUACGACCUAAUUUCUUUCUUUUAAGUAUGGUUUUUGAUUUAAUUAGGAGUCCUUAAUUUUCUUUUCUUUUAAGUUUCAUUUGUCUUGAUUUUCUAUAAUAAUUAUUUUUUUAUGAAAAAAGUUUCUCAAAUUAGAUUAGAUUUCUUCCAUGUUUCAUCCUCUUUCUUAAAAGGAAAAAAAAUUGUACAUCUAUAUAUUGAGCAUUCCUUUUUUCCAAUAAAUUAUAGAAUAACAUUCACAAUUUAAUUGUUAAAGAGUAUUUUCAAGAGAAGAUUAGUUUUAUGUUCUUUAAUAUUAGUUUUUAAUUUGUAGGUCAACAAUAUUAAAUAUUAUGCAUCUUUUAUUAACGUUUUUUUAUCAUAUGAUUUAUUAUAAUUUCAAUUGUUAGCUUUCGCAUGAUGUGCAGGUAAAGAAAAAUUAUGUGAGUGUGUGGUUGAGACUUCGUGCCGAUUAUGAGAGGAUUUAAAGGUAUGUUUUUUUUUAAAAAAAAAUUAUUUCUCAUUCAUAUCGGUACGAUUUAUGUUGUUAAGGCAUUGAUUAGAAGUGCACGUUUUGCUCUUUGAUUCGAUUUUAUCAAAUUUCAAUUCAAUUUUUUGAUUUACAAUUUUAAAAAGUAGACAUCGAACACCGAAUCGAACUAUUUCAGUUUGGUUCAUUUUCUUUCAACCUUGUUUUUAUUUGAUUCGGUGUUCAAAAAUAUUUAAACUUUUUGUCCUUCGUUAAAAGUGUCUGCUUUAGACAAAAUUAUUUCUUCAAUAUUUAAGAAUUGAAAAUUUAUCAAAUAUUUUAGUAAAAUAUAUGUUAUAUUUGCGCUAUUUUAUCAAAGUGUGAAGGAUCUUUGAGAAGUGAUUUAAAUUUUUUGCUCUUCAUUAAAUUUUUUUGCAAUAAAUAAAAUUAUCUAAUUUUAAAUAAUCAAAUGUUACACGUGCGGCCUCGGGAGUGUUGUGUGAUAAAAAGGUGCCGCCCAAACUUAAAGGUAAAUUCUACAGAGUGACAGUCCGUCCGGCCAUACUGUAUGAAGCGGAGUGUUGGCCAGUCAAGAACUCCCAUAUUCAAAAACUGAAGGUGGCAGAAAUGCGGAUGUUGCGUUGGAUGUGUGGGCUUACUAGGGAUGAUAGAGUUAGGAAUGAGACUGUCUGAGAGAAGGUUGGUGUGGCUUCGGUGGAGGACAAGAUACGGGUAGUUCGGUUGAGAUGGUUCGGGCAUAUGAUGAGAAGAGGCACGGAUGCCCCAGUUUGUAGAUGUGAGAGGUUAGCUUUGGAUGGUUUCAGGUGGGUAGGGGUAGGCCAAAGAAAUAUUGGAGAGAGGUGAUUAGACAUGACAUGGAGCAGUUACAGCUUACUGAGGACAUGAUCCUAGAUAGAAAGGUUUGGAGGACACGAAUUAGGAUAGAAGGCUAGUGCAUGCGGGAGGGUCGUAGUUAGUAAUUAAGGGAGCGUCGGUAUAGGGGGUGCCUUUGGUUCGUUAGCGUAGGGUAUUACUUUAUGGGUGUCUUAUUUCUGUUGUUCCAUCUUGUUUCAUGUUUUUACUAUAAAUUUAUUUAUUACUCAUUGUCUUGAGCCGGGGGUCUAUCGAAAACAGCCUUGCUACUUCUUCGGAGGUUGUGGUGUGGACUGCGUACAUCUUACCCUCCCCAGACCCCACUGUGUGGGAAUACACUGGGUUUGUUGUUGUUGUUGUUGAAAUCUUACACGCGCGAGACACGUGGGGUUUAACUAGUUAAUAUAAAAACCUAAAACUCUUUAAUUUCUUCACUUUUUACAUUUUACUUUCCAAGUUUUUAGAGAGUUCUCAUUAUUUUCUCAUCUUAAUUUUCUCAUUCGUCAAGUUGUGAUUUAGGUCUGUUUCUCUUCUUUCACUUUUUUUUUAUGGAAUUAUGUUAUAAUUAAUUACUUUUUGGAGUUAAGUUUUUAAUAAGUUGUCUCCAAUUCUUCAUUCUUUUGUGUGCUCACAUUUUAUGUGAAGAAAACUUUUAAACAAGCUACUGUGUCUAGUAACUUAGAAAUUGAACUACUUAGGUAUCCACAUAAUAUUACUUUGAGAGAUAGUAGUUUAGACGUCUUAGUAAUUUGCCAACUUAAUUUUUAUUGAAACUACUCUAUGACCUUUUUUUUUAAUCUUUUUAGUGAAAAUAUUUAAUUUUUUUCUUCAAUCACAUUAUAAUUGUAAAAAAACUGAGAAAAUCGAAAAAUCGAAAAAAUCUGACUAAAACCAAUAUAAAAAAACCGAUUGUAUAUCGGUUUGAUUUGGUUUAGAGAUUUAGAAAAUCGAUGUUAUUGGUUUGGUUAUAUUUUAAUAAAAAACUGAACCAACCCGACCUAUGCACACCCCUAGUUGAUGCUUUAAAAAUAGGACAAUAGCUUCUACUGUGGAUCUGUAUGUGAUUGAGUGUCUGAGCAAGUUCAAACUUAUCGGUUUGCCUGCUUUAAUGAUAAAGCACAUGUAUAAGGUUAUCUAUGCUAAGAAAGGAAAACAUGGCAUACCUUAUGAAUAUUUCCUAAACAGGGUAUUUGAUCACUUUGGGGUUGUUGGUGAAAAGGAGACUCCUGAAACUGCAAAGCAGAUGUUCACUCUGACAACCUUGAUUGAAAAUGAAUAUGUAGAAGGAAAAGUAGGGACCAUGUCCAAGGUGUCAGAAUUGUUAUUAGCUAAGAAAAGAUUGAGCAAAGAGGUGGAGGAAAUGAGGAUCGAUUUAGCUGCUAAGAAUGUAGAGAUAAUACAGUUAAAGAUAGGGAACCAAUAGCUUUCCACUGAGGGACCAGGUGUUGCUGAAGCACUUAGAACAGAAAAUGCAGAACUCAACCUAAGGUCUCAGCACUCACACAGGAGGUUCAAGGGUUGAAUGCAAAAGUAAAGGACUUCACUAAGCAACUGUUGAACUCUCACGCUACAGAGAGUUCUAGGAUGAAAUUGUUGCUUAAGUCCCUCUCCCCUAAAUAUCCAUCUACCUAAGACUCUCCACCCCCCCUUUGUUUCCUAUUGGAACCCGGUGUUAGUUUCCCCUUGUUAUUUCUAAUGGCUUUUUAGGUUCAAGAAUUUUAUGUUAAUUUUAAUUGUAUUGUAUGGUGUUUGCCUAUCUUUAAUGAUUGAAAUCAUAUUUUGUGCCUAUCAACUAUUUCUCAUUCUUUAAGUUGUUGAUUCAUGUUAGUGUGGCCCCAGUGGGCAUGAGUUAACCAAUUUGUGCUUAAUCCUACCUUGGUUUACUGUUCUUACUUUUUUAUGAUGCCAAAAGGAGGAAAUUGAAUUUACUAUAAUAGGGACCAGGUACCAUAAGUAAUGAAUAUUGGAGUAUUGAUGAUGGGGUAAUAGCUAUAGGGGGAACACACACUGAUGCUAUUGUGAUGUGUGUGAUAAGAGAGAGAGGGAGUAAAGAGAUACUACUGAUAGGGGGAAUGUUGGUGUAUGUGUAGAUGUAGUUACUCUAAAUCUAAAUGAAUUUUGAUGCUUCGUGGACAUGGUUUUUCAUUAUCAUAAAGGGAAAAAUUAUUGUCUCAUGUUUUGAUUAUGACUGAAUGAUAUCAGAGGACUAGGUACCUCGCCUACUUUGCCCAGGUACAUCUGUCAUACUCUGCACAAUUUUAUCCACUAGUACAAUAAUUGUGCAGGUGCACCGCAUACCAGAAUGGACUCCUGGUCCAAUCAAAAUUCUAUCACUCAAUUCUAUAUUACCAGAAAUACAUAAGGAUGCUCUUUCCUCUAUAGUUUUUGAAAGUUAAAGAACCUCAUGGUGGGGGCGAAAACUCUCUCUAAGAUCAAGUUCUAAUCUCUUCAUACUUAUAGUGUAGGUGUUCUUAAGUCAAUUCUUGUAAUUGAUUUACUCAAGGAUUAAGAGUAAAGAUUUUAUUUUGCUAUUGAGUUUCUUAGGUAAAGUUACCUAAGUUUGUAUUGGUUAGAGUCAGAGGUGGAGCAAAAAUUUUUCUUAGGGGGUACAAAAUCUGAAGAAAAACUCAUCGAAGGGGGUUCAACAUCUAGAAUAUAUAAAUAAAAAUUAUUUUAACCAUGUAUUAAUAAUAUAAUUUUUUGUCGAAGGGGGUUCGAACGAACCCCCUUUAAUAGGCUAGCUUCGCCUCUGGUUGGAGUUAACCAAUAUUGAGAGUGACAUUGAUAGAGAUGUUAAGAGGUGAUUAUAAUAGAGUUAUUACAAAUUAGAGAAACUCAGAGUUAAGUUCACAUGGAGUCUGUAAUCAAGAUAUGUUUUGAUUAAAGUGGAGUUUGAGAGUCUGCAAGUAUAGGUGUGUUAAUUUAUUUACUGUAUCUAUGUGUGUUUGUUGCUUUAUUGUCAUAUGAUUCACUUUAAGGACUUGGUCCCUUACCGAUGGUGUACCCCUAUGCUUCAACAGUUGGAAUUAGAGGAAAAUAUAAAGGAUAGAAAAGUAAAUAUUUAGGUCAAUCUUAAAAAAAAAAUCUAAAAAGUAAAAAGUUAGGGUACCUAACUUCCCACUUUUUGCUUUUCUUAAUUAAUUUUUUAUUUUUGUAAAACACUUUUUAAUUUUAUCAAACACAUAAUAAAACUAAGAAAGAGAUUAAAAGUUGGUUUGAUCAGAUUUAAUUUUAUCCAAACGGACUCUUAGUCCUAAUACAAGAAUGUUUUAUUUUGUCUUAGAUAAAAUUUCAUUUAUACCUAUUAGUAUGUUUUCAGAUGGAGAAAUUAUAGCAUAAUAGGAUUACCCCGUAUAGCCGGGCUAUAUGAUUUACCAAAAAAAUAGCAUCCUCCUACUUCUUCUUCUUCUUCUAAUUAGGCUUCUUCUUCCUUCUUUAAUUAUACCAUAUAGCCUCUUCCUUAAUUCUACUUAGUAUUUUUCUUCCUUCCUUCCUCGCUUCUUCUUCACUCUUCACCUCUUUCAUAUUCUUUUCUAAUUGGCAAAAUAACCUUCUGGACUCCUGUACUAUGUCGGUUUUGUAAGUUGGACACUUCUACUUACAUAUUUGUCAUCUGGACCCCUGAACCCACAAAAAAGCUAUAUUUUAAACCCUUUGACCGUUGACUUUGCCUAUAUGACAUUAAAAUACUGUCUAGGAUAAAGAGAGUGAUUACACUCGCUUGAAGUACGAGUGAGAUCAAUUUUUGGUCAAUUUUAUCUUAAACUAAUUAAAAAAAAUUAAAAAUAAUAUUAAAAUUGAAAAAAAAAUAAAGAGGGUUUUUUAUUCACUUUCUCAAACUUACCCUUUGCACAAUUUAAAUUUUACUUUCAUUUUGUUCUCCUUUCACUCCAAACAUGCCCUUUGCGCACUUCACAAUAAUGGCCGCCAAGAAAUUCCCCCGUAACCCUAACCUAAUCAACGGAAUCGGCAAAUUCUUUCGUUCCAAAAUGUACCACAAAAAGGGGAUUUGGGUUAUCAAGAAGAAGAAGGGCGGUAAAUUCCCUACCUACCCAAAAUCCACCAUCGUCGUUGCUCCGCCCUUAACCGCUGCCAUCAAACCACCAAAAUUCUACCCAGCUGAUGACGUGGAAAAAUUUCUCAUCAACAAACACAAACCAAAACCCACAAAAUUAAGAGCCAGUAUUACACCUGGUACUGGUUUGAUUAUUCUAGCUGGGAGAUUUAAGGAAAAAAGAAUUGUGUUCUUGAAACAACUUGUAUGUUCUGGACUAUUACUUGUUAGUGGAUCGUUUAAGGUUAAUGGGAUUCUAUUAAGGAGAGUUAAUCAAGCUUAUGUUAUUGCUACUUCAACGAAAGUGGAUGUUAGUGGAGUUAAGAUUGACAAGAUUCAAAGGAAGUUUAUGUUAUUCCUUGUCUUUGUUGUGGUUAAUAUUAUCGUUAUUCAUUAUAAAAAAAAAUAUUGUUGCUCCUGAAGAGGGUCUUUGUUGGUUGAUAUUGUUAUUGUUGUUCAUUGUCAAAAAAAAAUUAUAUAUCCAUGAAGAGGGUCUUUGCUUUGCUGUGGUUGAUAUUGUUAUUGUCCAUUGUAGAAAAGAAAAUUUGUUGUUGUUCCCAAAGAGGGUCUUUGCUGAUUGAUAUUGUUGUUGUUGUUGUUCAUUGUAAAAAAAAAAUUAUAUAUCCUUGAAGAGGUCUUUGUUGUGGUUGAUAUUGUUGUUUGUUGUUCAUUGUCAAAAAAAAAAAUUAUUCUUGAUUUACUUUUUAAAUUUUUUUAUUCAUUUUCUCAAUUAAAAUUUUUCAUUUUGUUUAGGAUUAAUUUUGUAACUUUUACAAAUUGUUGAAGAUAUUUAAAUAAAAAUUAAAAAUUCAUUAUGCUUGUGUAAUGUGAAUUUAUAGUUAAAACUUUAAAUUUAUAAUUGAAAAUUUAAUUUAAAUUAAAAAUUUAUUGUAUUUGUGUAUUAGAAUUUCUGUAAUUUAUAAAAAAAAAUAUUUAAUUAAAUUUAUUUUAAUAUUUAAUUUCUUGUGUAGCAUUUUAAAAAUAACAUAAAAUUUAAUGUAAUACUUAAAAAUGACUUGGCGGCUGAUGUGGCAGCAGACGUGGUAGACGUGUAAGCUGACAUGAUAGCUGAUGUGGCGAGAGUGUGUUACACUCACCAAAAAGUGUUUAAAAUGUUGUUUUUUAGUGGGUUUAGGAGUCCAAAUGACAAAAAUGUAAGUAGAAGUGUCCAACUUACAAAAGCGACAUAGUACAGGGGUUCAUCAAACCAUUUUGCCUUUCUAAUUUUCUUCAAACUUCACUUUCAUAGAUGCUAAUUGAUAAUUAUAAUAGCUACCUAUUGAGUUUCGUUGUUUAUUUUUUUUCAUUCGAGGGAAAACAUUGUCAUCUCCAUCUUGAGUAAGUUGGGACUAAGCAUUUCGUUGAUCGGAGCUCUGUUAUCUGAAAAACGAGAAGAUGAGGAAAGGGGCUGAGGGUGGUGAAACAGUUUGCGGUUAUUGUGGAGUUCGGUGGUGGUUUGUAACUUGAAUUUCUGCUUCAAUAUAUGUCACACACACAUUUACUAGUUAAGUGUUUGUGCGUUGCACAUGGAUAUCACGUUAAUUAAUAGUAAAUAUAUACAAAACAUAAAUUAUUAUGUGUAUGUUAUAUUUUUAAGUAUAAAACUUUAAAUAAGUCACUAAUACACUAUUAAAUCAACAUGUUAAUAGUAGAAAAAAGUAAACAUCAAACAAUUUUUAAAGGCUAAACCCAUCGGUGGUCCCCUAAACUUGGCACGAUCUUUCACUUAGGCACCCUAAGUGGACGUUGUUCACUUUUCACACCUCAAAUAGCAUACGCGGAUGUUAUUUUGACACGUUUUGCUUAAUCAGCAAUAUUAUACUGUGUGCGUGUAUUACACGCGCCGAUGAAGUGUAAAGUGACCAAUAAUAUCAUAACAUUUAUCAUUUUUCUUCAAAUUAAAUGUUAAAUAUCUAUUUUUAAUUUAAAAAAAAAACAAUCAAAUAUUGCCACUCGGCAAUUUUUAACUUAAAUAAUUAUAAAAAAAAUUAUAAAAUUUAAUUUCCUCCACCCCACUAAUCCUCAUCGUCUUCUACAACCUACCUCACCCCUUCACCACCUGCCCACUCCCCCCCUUCCCCAUUCAUCUUCUCCAACCCGCCCACCCGCUCUCUACCUCUUUUGUUCUCCUCCUUCUCCUCCAUUUUUUUAAGUCUCCUUCAUAUUUUUUUUUAGUUAUAUAUCUGAAAUUCAGAAAGCUAUUAACUGAACAUUGGCCUCCUCGAUCAUCAAAUGAUUGAAAUUCGUGAAGCUUUUAAUGCGGAUUUACUUUUCUGGAAAAUCCAACCUCCAUUAAUGGAGGUUAAGCUUAAAAAGGCAAGGUAAAGUAUGGAAAAAUGAGUAAUCUUCCGGUGAUUUUAUAAAGAAGAAGUUGUUAAUGGUAGUUUGGUGGUUUUAUUGAAGAGAGAAUUCAUUAAUAUCAAAAAUUGAAAUUAAUGGUGAAGAAAAUGAAUUCUUCAACAACGAAAGUUUGUGAAGGAAAAAAAUGGUGGAAAAGGGAGAAAGAAUGAGAAAAUAUUUGUUGUAUUUGGCCUGUUCUGUUUUUAAUUAAUUGUUGACAUUCUUUUUGGGGUGUUAAUGAUGUCAUUGAUUAAUGAAAGGAGUAUUAUUUGGUGUUUAUGAUGUGUAUUGUUGUUAUAGAUAUGUUCAUGGAGUGAGUAUUUUGUUAAUGGAGUAAAAUUUUGUUAUCAUUCUUGAAAAGUUCAACCUCCAUUAAACUCCAUUAAUGGAAGCUAAAGAAAGUUGUGUGGAGAAAACAACUCCAAAAUAAUGAAAAUACCCCUCAAAAAUUACGAAAAUGCCGCUGAAACGCGUCUAAAAGCAAGUGUAAUACACUCUCUUUGCUGAAUCAGCAAAAGGUGCCAAAAUGACACAGUUUAUAGCUACUUGAGGUGUCAAAAGUGAACAACGUCCACUUGAGGUAUCUAAGUGAAAGAUCGUGCCAAGUUUAGAGUGCCGCCGAUGGGUUUGACCAUUUUUAAACCAUCUCUAAGAUAGAAAAUGAGAGCAUAUUGCCAUUGGUAUCCUACUACCAUGGAGUUUAAGUUUUAUGUAUUCUCAUAGGCUAAAUUAUUUGUACCAUAGCUCUACUACAAUCAAAAUUAUUUUCUACUUGUCUCUCAACAUCGAUCAUUGCCAAAACAAUGCCUCAUAUUGCUCUAUUUUACCGUCUGUAGGUUUUGAAUUCUAAUAAUUAUUGCCUCAAAUAACUCUAAUACUAAUUUAAUAGAUGCACAUCAUCAACGUAUUAUAUUUCCAACGUAGGUUCACAGUUAUCUUAGUUUUUAGAUUUAUAAUCAACAUUUGAGUAUCAGUAGCAAAAAAUAAAAGUUGAAUUGUGAAAAUUGCUCAAAUUAUUUAGAAAUUACAUAAAAAAGUCUUAUAAAUCACAAUAAUAUCACAUAAUUUUAGAAUUUUUUUCACAUUAACCAAAUAGAAUAUGAAUUUGAAAAAAAUGACGUAGGCUGAAAAUUUCAUAUUUAGCUAGAAGAAUAAAAAAAGAAACCAUGUCAUACAAAAAUUCCAAAAUAUAUUCAAACUAAAAUAUUGAUUGAAUUGAAAGUUCACUAUAAGCUAAAAUUGAAAUAUUAAUACAAUUAAUAUAAAAUAUUUUAAUUAUUUACAUUGGUAGUAAUCUCAAAAUUUUUCUAUUUCUUCUUUUUCUUUAAUCAACGACAGUGUUACAUUAAAUGUUGAAUCAAGUAUGUUUACUUUUUAACAAAAAACUUAGAGUUAAUACAUAAAAAUAACCAUAAACUUGACACUAAAUUAUAACUUUGACCUUAAACUUUGAUAGUGUACAAAUAGGACCUUUAACUAUUCAAAACCUGAAUAAAUAUGACCUCCGAUUUUGCAAUCCCAUGCGUGAGUCUCACUCGUGUCUACGUGGAAAGGUAAUCCAAUCACACGGUGUCACGUCGUUAAAAGGGAUGACUUGGAGAGAGGUCAUAUUUGUGCAGAUUUGAAUAGUUAAAGGUCAUAUUUGUACACUGUCAAAGUUUUACUUUUUGUGUUAAAACGACGUCGUUUUUAUUAUUAUUAUUAUUAUUAUUAUUAUNNNNNNNNNNNNNNNNNNNNNNNNNNNNNNNNNNNNNNNNNNNNNNNNNNNNNNNNNNNNNNNNNNNNNNNNNNNNNNNNNNNNNNNNNNNNNNNNNNNNNNNNNNNNNNNNNNNNNNNNNNNNNNNNNNNNNNNNNNNNNNNNNNNNNNNNNNNNNNNNNNNNNNNNNNNNNNNNNNNNNNNNNNNNNNNNNNNNNNNNNNNNNNNNNNNNNNNNNNNNNNNNNNNNNNNNNNNNNNNNNNNNNNNNNNNNNNNNNNNNNNNNNNNNNNNNNNNNNNNNNNNNNNNNNNNNNNNNNNNNNNNNNNNNNNNNNNNNNNNNNNNNNNNNNNNNNNNNNNNNNNNNNNNNNNNNNNNNNNNNNNNNNNNNNNNNNNNNNNNNNNNNNNNNNNNNNNNNNNNNNNNNNNNNNNNNNNNNNNNNNNNNNNNNNNNNNNNNNNNNNNNNNNNNNNNNNNNNNNNNNNNNNNNNNNNNNNNNNNNNNNNNNNNNNNNNNNNNNNNNNNNNNNNNNNNNNNNNNNNNNNNNNNNNNNNNNNNNNNNNNNNNNNNNNNNNNNNNNAAUUUUUUUAUUAUUAGUAUAGUUUCAUCUUUAAUUUAAUAUUUAAAUAAAUAAUAUUUAGAUAUAUUAUAUAACUUAAAUUCGUCCUCUGCUUUAUAAUAUAUAUACAUACCCGCUCGAUUUUUUCAUAUGAGGCUGACCCGCCUAAUUAAUAAAUCUUCAAUAUUGCUCUUUUUCCGCAAUGACAAAAGAAAUUAGAUGUCAUUUUCAUCUUUGAGCCAAAAAUAAUGAAAAAAUAAUAAUGAAGAGUCAUUUAAAAGUCAUAUUUAUGCAGUUUUGAAUAGUUAAAGGACAUAUUUGUGCACUGUCAAAGUUUAAGGUCAUAUUUAUGUAUUAUGCCCUUAGAUUUUAAGCUGGACGCGCCCAUUUUACGUGUUGAGCACGCGUUUUGCCACGUAGGAUUAGAAGUCAUAUUUGUGCAGUUUUGAAUAGUUAAAGGUCAUAUUUUUGCACUGUCAAAGUUUAAGAUCAAAAUUAUAAUUUGGUGUUAAGUUUAGGAUAUUUUUUAUGUGUUAACUCAAAAACUUAUUCUAUUUCUUUUUUUUUUUAAAUCAAUGACAGUGUUACAUCACAUGUUAAAUCACGUAGGUUUACUUUUUAACAAUGUUGAAUCCUAAGGGUAAUUAUUGUUGUUGACAAUUUUUUUCGUCCAUAUCUUUUCCAACAAUAGGCAUCAUCAGGUAUAUCAAGCAGACUUCUUGUUUGAAAAGCAAAUCUGGGCUUCUUAAUUUUCGUAUGAUCUCCCUUCAUAACAUUUCUAUUUCUUUUCUUUUCUAUUACAGAGAAGAGGUGGUUCCAACCACCUCUCAUGCAAUUACCAAAAUAUCUUUUCGCUCUCACUUAAUUAUAUACCAUGUUCCAAAUAUAUAAUAAUUUUAUUGUUUUAUCAUAAUGGUUUAAAUAUUUAAUAUAUUCUAUUAAUUUAUAUUAAUUAACUAUAACUACAUAUUGGAAGUAAAUUUUUUUUAUUGAUUUAAUUGGCUAUCAUGUUCAAAACUAAUUUGUUACCAUGAAUCACAAUAAUUAAUAAUUUAAAAUAUUUAAAAGUCAUAUAAAAAUUUUAUUGCCUCUCAUUAUUUUAGCAAUGCCACAUAAAUCGAGAUAAAUGAAAAAGUACUGCAAAUCAUAAUAAUUAACAACUUAAAAUAUUUAAAAGAUAUANNNNNNNNNNNNNNNNNNNNNNNNNNNNNNNNNNNNNNNNNNNNNNNNNNNNNNNNNNNNNNNNNNNNNNNNNNNNNNNNNNNNNNNNNNNNNNNNNNNNNNNNNNNNNNNNNNNNNNNNNNNNNNNNNNNNNNNNNNNNNNNNNNNNNNNNNNNNNNNNNNNNNNNNNNNNNNNNNNNNNNNNNNNNNNNNNNNNNNNNNNNNNNNNNNNNNNNNNNNNNNNNNNNNNNNNNNNNNNNNNNNNNNNNNNNNNNNNNNNNNNNNNNNNNNNNNNNNNNNNNNNNNNNNNNNNNNNNNNNNNNNNNNNNNNNNNNNNNNNNNNNNNNNNNNNNNNNNNNNNNNNNNNNNNNNNNNNNNNNNNNNNNNNNNNNNNNNNNNNNNNNNNNNNNNNNNNNNNNNNNNNNNNNNNNNNNNNNNNNNNNNNNNNNNNNNNNNNNNNNNNNNNNNNNNNNNNNNNNNNNNNNNNNNNNNNNNNNNNNNNNNNNNNNNNNNNNNNNNNNNNNNNNNNNNNNNNNNNNNNNNNNNNNNNNNNNNNNNNNNNNNNNNNNNNNNNNNNNNNNNNNNNNNNNNNNNNNNNNNNNNNNNNNNNNNNNNNNNNNNNNNNNNNNNNNNNNNNNNNNNNNNNNNNNNNNNNNNNNNNNNNNNNNNNNNNNNNNNNNNNNNNNNNNNNNNNNNNNNNNNNNNNNNNNNNNNNNNNNNNNNNNNNNNNNNNNNNNNNNNNNNNNNNNNNNNNNNNNNNNNNNNNNNNNNNNNNNNNNNNNNNNNNNNNNNNNNNNNNNNNNNNNNNNNNNNNNNNNNNNNNNNNNNNNNNNNNNNNNNNNNNNNNNNNNNNNNNNNNGUCUUUCGAACGAUGAUUUUACUAUAUCACUCCUUAUUAUAAAUCAUUUAUGUAUUAGAAAAAUAAGAAUAACAAAAUGAUAUGUCAACAUAAAAUAUUUGAUUGACUAUCAAAAUUAUAUUAGUGCCACAUAAUUUGGGACGGGACAGAAAAAGAUAUAAAAAACCAUAUAUUAUUUGAAAAUGAAAUUAAAAGUACUGUAAAUGACAAUAAUUAACAAUUUUUUUAAAAAAAAUUGACUGAUUUCUGCUGCUUCAAUCGUGAUUUUAAUGUAUCACCCGCAAUUAAUUAUUAUAAGUCACUUAUGUAUUGAAAAUUAAUAAUAUUGAAUCCAUGAUUUUACUNNNNNNNNNNNNNNNNNNNNNNNNNNNNNNNNNNNNNNNNNNNNNNNNNNNNNNNNNNNNNNNNNNNNNNNNNNNNNNNNNNNNNNNNNNNNNNNNNNNNNNNNNNNNNNNNNNNNNNNNNNNNNNNNNNNNNNNNNNNNNNNNNNNNNNNNNNNNNNNNNNNNNNNNNNNNNNNNNNNNNNNNNNNNNNNNNNNNNNNNNNNNNNNNNNNNNNNNNNNNNNNNNNNNNNNNNNNNNNNNNNNNNNNNNNNNNNNNNNNNNNNNNNNNNNNNNNNNNNNNNNNNNNNNNNNNNNNNNNNNNNNNNNNNNNNNNNNNNNNNNNNNNNNNNNNNNNNNNNNNNNNNNNNNNNNNNNNNNNNNNNNNNNNNNNNNNNNNNNNNNNNNNNNNNNNNNNNNNNNNNNNNNNNNNNNNNNNNNNNNNNNNNNNNNNNNNNNNNNNNNNNNNNNNNNNNNNNNNNNNNNNNNNNNNNNNNNNNNNNNNNNNNNNNNNNNNNNNNNNNNNNNNNNNNNNNNNNNNNNNNNNNNNNNNNNNNNNNNNNNNNNNNNNNNNNNNNNNNNNNNNNNNNNNNNNNNNNNNNNNNNNNNNNNNNNNNNNNNNNNNNNNNNNNNNNNNNNNNNNNNNNNNNNNNNNNNNNNNNNNNNNNNNNNNNNNNNNNNNNNNNNNNNNNNNNNNNNNNNNNNNNNNNNNNNNNNNNNNNNNNNNNNNNNNNNNNNNNNNNNNNNNNNNNNNNNNNNNNNNNNNNNNNNNNNNNNNNNNNNNNNNNNNNNNNNNNNNNNNNNNNNNNNNNNNNNNNNNNNNNNNNNNNNNNNNNNNNNNNNNNNNNNNNNNNNNNNAUUGAAAAGAAAUAAAUAUCUUAAUGUUGGGCCCAUGCUGACACGAGUCAUGCUCCUCUAAUAUAUAUAUAUAUAUAUAUAUGAAAGGGCCCAUUUAUGGGCCAAUAUUAUAUUCUUAAUAUUGUAGGUUUUAAUUAUUUUUUAAGUAAAUAAAUUAUUUUUUUGAUAGAAUAGGUAAAUGAAUUAAUCAUCAAUAUUCCAUAUAAAUGUGAUAGAAAAUUAUAACAUGAAUCACAUCAAUUGUCCUUUUAUUUUUAUAAAAUUAUACAAUAAUUUACAACUUAUCAAAGUUACGACAAUUAACAUUAAAAGAGUGUGGAGUGGCUUGAUUAUGUGUACAAAAUGAUAAUGAAUAAGGUGUGUUAGUAUUGCUGGAUUAGUUAUAUUGAAAUAGUUAUGCUGAUAUUAUUUAUAGAUACGUAAUUUCGUCCUUUCACAAAUUUUAUCGUUUACCUCAUUUUACUACGUACCUUAUCCGCGUAGUAAUUUUUUUUCUCCAAGAAAAUAAAUAACCACCUCAUUUUUUUACUCAUUUAUUUAUUUGUUUUUGUUUUGUUUUUAUCCCAUUUAACAAACCUAACUAAUUUUGUCUUAUUUUAAAGAUUCCAACAACUCACCCUAUUAAAAAUUGACAACACAUCCUAACCCCUACCCCUCCUACCCCCACCUCACGUGACCCAUCCCCCCUCUCUUGUUUUACUUGUCAACAAAGAAAGGACCCAAGGAACUUUCCAGGAAAUUCCCUAGGGGGAUGGACCCACAAGUCUCCUCACACAUUUUUCUUUCCUUUUGAAAUAUAUACACACACAGUGCACGAGAAAGGGGGAAUUUUUUUAUCAUCCAUUCAUAUCACAAAGAGGGGCCCACAAUAACCAAAAGGAGGCCAUUUUUAUUUUUGACAUCAUCUUCUUCUUCACUAAAAAAAAAUUUCCAAGAAGAAUAGAAAAUCACACUGCAAAAAUAUUCUCCAUGGUUUUGUUAAAACACACAUACACCUAGUAAACACACUCAAUGGCACACACGUAGAAACAAAAAGGUUGAGAGUGAGAGAUUGUGCGAGAAAAUAGAUCGAAGAUAACUAAAAAUGGAGAGAUUCAGUCUUUCUCUAAGAUUUUUUCGGCUAAACUUUCACCGGAGUUGAUUUUGGUUCAUCAUCUGGCCAACCCAAUUUAAGAGGUAUCGAAAUUUCUUUAUUUUUCUUUGAUUUCUAGGUAGAAUUAGUUGAAAAAUACUAAGAUUCGAUGGAAAACAGAACCAGUAGUUUUGUUUAUUGGUCUUUGAUUUCUAGGUAGAAUUGGUUGAAAUCAGUUCUAUUUCAGAUCAUCUUUGCGAUUUGUUUCCUCUUGGGCUGGUUUAUGUCGUUGUUAUUUAGUUUUGGGUCUCAUCGGUCACCAACUUCCGCUACUGAUUGGAGAAUUUAAGUCUCGCUCAUCCUGAUUUGUUCAUCCGACUAGUUUUGGAGUUUCAAAUUUCAAUACCGAGUUUGGAGUUGGUUUAUUCGUCGUUGGGGUUCUUGUUUGAGGAUUUCGAUCUCGAAUUUCUUUAUUAUUAUCAACGAAAACAAGUGCUAUUGAGGUCCAUUUCCUUAAUCCGCUCUCUUUUUAUUUAUUUUGGUUUGUUGAAUUGACUCUGAUUAUGUGUGAUGUGAUUAUGUUUUGUUGGAUUUUUGUUAUGUUGAUGUUAUGAUCAUGAUGCUUGGUGAUACGAUUGUGGUGGUUUGAGGAAUAAAUUUGAUCAUGUUUUAAUGGAUUGAUAAAAAAAAAGUUGGGGGUGAGGAUUGAAAAUUAACAAAAAGGAUAGAUUCGGUUUAAUUUUGAUUUAUUGAUUGAUUUGAAUCAUGAUAGAUUUAUGAUGUAUUGAAACGGAUAGGCAAUAUAGGUUCGGGUAGGCAAAUUUUAGAACUUGUUGUUUUGAUUGAAUAUUGGAAUGUACGUGUGAAUGUUUCUUUCUAGUUCAUCCUAUUUAAUUCAAAUGGAUUCAUUUAGCCGGGGAAUGCUCCGAGAAACCUUGUAUUUACUCACCAGGGAAUUUCCCGACGUAUUAUGUUGGUGAAAGACGUUUAUGAUGAAGGUCCGAGGCAUCGGGUAGAGCGCGGGAGCGUAGUUAGGGUUAGUGUAGGUUAGAUAGGAUUUAUUUUUGCAUUUUUAUUUAUUUUGGACUGCAUAAUUAGGCUGAACACUAUAUUUUGGAUUUAUUUUGUUUCGUGUGUUUGGAUGUUUGUUUAUGUGGUUUAUACGUCCUUAGUGUCAAAAUUAGCCGAUACGCUUCACCAAGCGAUCAUGGUCAAACCACGAGAACGAGGGGUUCCUAACACCUUCCCCUCGGUCAAUAGAAUUCCUAGUCGGAAUCUCUAUUCACAGAUCAGUUUUACAGAGUCAAAAAUUAUUUUGAAAAGGAUUUUCCAAAGGUGACUUGGCACACCGUAUUAUGCCAAGUGGUGACUUUGAGUUUUGAAUAUAAAAGACCCUUUUUGAAACAAAUUUUCAUCUUUUAUCACUUUGAUAAUAAAAACCCUUUCAAACUUAAAAAUGAUCUUUUUGGUGGUAAAAAAGGGGUGUGACAGCUCUGGCGACUCUGCUGGGGAUUUUUCAAAAUUCGAGCUAAUUUUUGGAGUUGUAUCGGCUUUGUUUAACAUUAUGGGGGUAUAGAUAUUGAUUGUGUCAUUUUUUAUUUAUUUUAUCAUUGUUGAGUGCCUACGUGCUCUUUGUUUAUAGUUUUUAUCCUAUGUGUUAGCAUUUUAUAUCUGUCAUCAUGGGCAUAACCCGAGUCAUUCUUUCUGCAACAAGACCGUAGUACACGUGUUGUACACAACCUAUAGUUGAGUCACCCUUAUCUUAGGUGGGGGAGCCGUCGGUGUUAUGGAUUUGGUGGAAAGCUCUCGCAGCCACUAUUGACCAUACGCUUCCCCGAACAGCCUUGUUAGUGAACCCAACGUAGGUCAGCCCUUAGGUCAUGCUUAUCUGCAUCAUAUUGAGACCUAGCAGGACCCACUUGGUCCUUUGUAGGAGACUCACCUCUAAAACAUCCUUACGUGCUAAAUGUCGCAUCUCUGAGGGUAACGUGGUCAUUUGAUGGACUGAUUUAGGGAAAAACAUAUGCUAGAAGUAAAGUGUGUAGACAAGAAAUGUGAAAAAUUGAAAAAAAAAAAGAGAAGCGUUUUGUAGUUUUUAGUGUUCUUUAUGACUUGAUUUUUACAAUUCAAAAAUUCAAAAAUAUUUUUUACCUUUGGCACUCAUUUAUAAAAAAAAAAAAUCUAAAGCUUUUUACUUUGUCCCCUUUAGCAUGCAUUCAUAAUUCAAAAACUUUAAAAAAGUUUUUUUAAUAGAAGCCUUUUAUAAUUCAAAAAAUAUGGUAGAAGUUUUGUACAUUUCAUAUAUCAUAUAACAAAAAUACCAAAAGAUUUUUCCUUCAUAUUUGUUGGUGUCAAUUUUGUUUGGAGUGUCUAGUUAAAAACCCCAAAAAAGAUUUUAUUCGUCAAUCUUUGGUUAUGUCUCUUAAGUUAGGGUGCAAUCUAUUAUUUAAUCGUUAAUUGUCCAAUUUGGAUGAACUACGCAUACCUGAUUUCCAUCCCUCGGGGUGGGAUACGUAGGCAACCCUCGGUGGGUCCGGUAAUCUCUUUAUUUUUUGAUCUUUGUCUCGAUUUUAGCCUAGGUUCUAUCUCUGCAUAAUCUAUUAUCGUUAACCGAUCCUUGCCAAGUAGGCUGAUUUUAUUCGGCGAUACUGUUCGGUGAUUUGGAGUCAUAAGUGGUCUGUCCCUUCGACGUAUGUCUGUGUCAAAUUUCCAAGGGUUGGGAAUCUUUUUCUCUAAUUGAAUUGCUUGUUAAGUUAAUGUCCUAUGUGUUAUUUCAGGAUGGACCCAACCACGAGGUAUAGAGUUCGGAUGGUUUCCAAGGUCCCUAAAAAGUUAGUCAAGUGGUGGGGUACGUUCAACUACGCUAAGAAGCACGAGCUAAAGAUAGUGUUAGGUAAUCUUACAGCCCUCCUGCGUCUCGCUCCCCGUCCAGAUCUGAUAGAGGCGGUGUCGAAUUUUUGGGAUCCUAGUAGUUUGGUGUUUAGGUUUGGAAAAUGUGAAAUGAUGCCUACUCUAGCAGAAAUAUAUGGUCUGUGUCAGUUGUCUUAUAUCCGUCUAAAGAUGAUCCGAGCCCGCAAUCAUACUAGCUCAAGAUUUCUUCAGCGUUGUGGUUUAAAGAGUAAGAAUAUGCAUUUGGGAUUCCUUAAUCAAUCAUGGAUUUCCCUAGACUACUUGUUCGCUUGAUUCGGAUCAUUGGGAGGUUUUGAUUAUUUUUGGGAUGAGUUUCAUAUAACUAGGAAGAAAUGGGAAAGAAAAUGUCUUGAAAUCUUCGCUCUCGCUUUGUUAGGCACUUUAGUGUUUCCACGAGACGAAAGACGUAUUAACACUUGGUUGCAAUCUGUAGUGAUGUCCUUAUUUCAUAAGGAUCAAGAGAGCAAGGUUACUCUAGUGCCUAUGAUUUUAGUAGAGAUAUAUAAGUCCCUAACUGAAAUAAAAGGGAGGAUGUGGUUCUUCGAAGGAAGUAAUCUAGUGUUGCAACUAUGGAUGAUGGAGCAUUUGCAUGCUCCGUCUUUGAUAAAAUCAGAUGUCAUUGAUCGUUGCUUCUCUGAUCGAGUGAAAGCCAUGGAAGAAAGAAUGCGCUUUGAUAAAUUCUCAUUGCCAGUGGGAGUCGAGGCUUGGAUUGAAUUUCUUGAAUAAUGAACAAAUGACAAUGUUCUGUGGACCUAUUUUUGGCUUCACCCGAAAACAAUCUUGGUCGAAUGUAGCAUGCGAAUCCUGCUUGUUUUGUUGGGACUUAAUUGUACUCGACGAUACACCCCUUUGAGAGUAAUGCGUCAGUUGGGUAGACUGCAAGAUGUUCCACUGGUAAUGGACCUCCAAAAGGAUGUUGGGUAUUUUAGAGACCAAGCAAAGGAUGAGAUUAAAUACGACCAGUUCUGUGAUAAUGCAACGUAGCAGGGCGUGAAUACCCUCAAGGAAGCUUUAGAUAAUCCAGGAUACACUUCAAGAUAUGGAAUCUGGCUAUAAUCCAUUCCUCGGGGUGUCAUUACGCCAUUAACAGCACAACUUAGAGGGAGAAUACAAGAAGAAUGUAUAGUCUACCGCCAGGAUGAAAGUGCGGGGGCCAAAGUGGAAGAAUUGAGAGCUCAGUUAGCAGGUUUGCUCACAACUGUAGAAGGGUAUCAGAACAGUCUUUUCAGGUGUACUCCCCAUGAGGCCACAAUAUGUAGUAGGAGCUUUCUUCCAAAUAUAAAGGUGUUAUUUCAGGGUAUGUUGCAAAAUUUGACUGGUAAGACGAGAACUUCACAGAUGGGUCCAUCUCAGCCAGGGAUAUCACAGAGAGCACCAGUUUGAAGGUGCACUUCUUAUCUUUAUUUAGUUUGAGUCAUUUAUUUUCUGUCAUUGUAUUGACGAGUCUUUGUUAAGUUCAUGUCAAGUUUGUUUUAACAUUAUGGCCUUUAUUAGGAAUGUCUCGCUUUUCGUUUUAUGGGUCUAGAGUGUUGUUUGGUAUUUGGUGAUUGAUUUAAGUUGUCUUAAUCUGUUUAGUUAUCUCUCUUAUGAAUAUGUCGUGAUGUGGAAUGGUCCUAUCAUUUUGUUUGCUAAGCUUUACAAAAAAUAAAAUAAAAUUGGAAAAUAAAAAAUCUUCAAUUUCGUGAUAUUUAUGCAUAUGUUGCCCGAACUACGCAAGAUCUAAUUCAUGUACAACAUGAUACGUAGGCAACCUACUUUUGGGUUUGAUCUAAUCAUUUUGUUUCUUUGAUUUUCCCCAAUUUUCCUCUUUUAGAGAAAAACAAAAGCCAUAAAGAAUUAUAAAAGGAAAUGAGAUUGCGAGAGCAGGAAAGAAAGAAAGAGCAAUAAGAAAAGAAAAAAGAACGAAAAGAGAUUAAUGCAAAGAAGAGAGAAGUAAAGGUGAAAAGCAGAAAGAACGAGGUGUGAUAAUGUAAUGGGGAAAUCGGGAUGAUGUUAAAAUGGUGCCAUUAUCCUCAAAUGCAGGUAGAAGUGUGCAUAAACCUAGGAUGUAUACAAUGUGAUUUCAAUGCUUGUUGCCUGACCUAAAUCUAAUGGGUUUUGUGUUUGAUGAGCAUGUUCUUUCAGAUAAGUGGUUGGUUUGUAGCACUCUUGCUAGUCAUCCGUACUUCACUAGAUCAAAAGCGAAGCUUGCCAUGGCUAGUAGGGAGAUUGAAAAUUCACUCAUUGACCCAGAUCAGGAUCCCAGAGAAGAAAGUUCAGAACGCAAUGAUGAGGUAUUGAGACUUAGACAACAAUUGAUAGAUCUGCACCGAGCAUGGGCUAGUGGCAUGCCUCCUCCUCCACUCCUGAAGAUCUUGGGAAUAUCCCCAAUUGCCCACCGCUCUCUCAGGCAUAAUUCUCUGUUCCCAUUGAGUCAUCGAAACACGCACCAGGAUUCACUUCACGACAAUAUUACCCUGGCACUUCUAGUGUGCUCCUAGCAGUUCCUCAACCAAGGCCCGUGACUCAGCCGGCGCCACCGGCAGUGCUUGUGUUCGUGGCUCCGCCACCACUUGAAACUCCCAUAUAUGUUGUACGUCCGAUAAUGGUGCUUCCUCGGUCUGCCAGUGAGCCAGUAUUAAAGGUUUCAGAUAGUUAGUAUUAUGCCCCGGAGCCUACUUUGAGAAUGAAUGAACCGUAUGGGUACGCUCAGCCACCUGCAUUUCCAUUUAAUACGGAUAAACCUGUCGCAACAGAGGAAUAAGAGGUCAUAGCACGAAAAUUGAAAAGUUUAAAAUAGGUCAUGAGGAAUCUGCAGGGAACCGGAGGUUAUAAGUGUUUCCUAUAAAGAUCUUUGCAUGUUCCCAGACGUCAACCUUCCCCUCGAUUUUAAAAUGCCCAAGUUCGAGAAGUAAGCUGGGCACGGUGAUCCCGUGGCACACUUGAGAUGUUAUUGCAAUUAAUUGAGGGCUACAGCGAGAAAGAAAAAGUUACUUAUGGCUUUCUUUGGCGAGAGUCUUUCCGAUCUGGCUUCAGAAUGGUUUGUCGAUCAAGAUAUCGACAAGUGGAACAGCUGGGAUGACUUAGCUUCCAAGUUUGUGCAACAUUUUUAGUAUAACGUCGACCUGAUUCCUAAAGAAAAAUCCUUGGUUAACAUAAAUAAGAAAAGCACUGAAGGCUCUAGGGAAUACGCAAUAAGGUGGCGUGAAUAGGCCACCAGGGUGAAGCCUUCAAUGAAGAAGAGUAAGCUGGUAGAGGUCUUCAUUCAGGCACAGGAUGAGACCUAUUUUCAACAUUUACUUCCGACAAUGGGAAAGUCUUUUAUUGAAGUCCUCAAAAGGGAGAGAUGAUAGAGGACAAAAUUAAGACCAGAAGAAUAGUGAGUUUUGUUGCGUUAAAAGCCACCACACAAUUGAUUCAAGGUGGAUCUGGCGCGUUCGAAGGUAAAAAAAAGAAAGAGGACGUGGUGACCAUUGUUGUUGGACCCUAUUCCUAUCCCAAAAGACCGUCUCGCCCUUAUCCCCAAUCCCAAGCCCAAGCCUAUGUCAAAGCUCCAUAUAUUCCUCCCCACCAUUACUAACCUCCGCAAAAUCCACCAUAUGUCAUUCCACUCCCUCCUUACCCAGUAUAUAGCGCACAACAAUAUGCCCAAACCUCUUCUUACCCGUAAUGGCGUGCGCAAGCUCCAUAAAAUCGUCCAUCAGCUCCACAAAAUUACCAAAACCCCUCCAUACCCGAUUUCCAACCCAGGCCUGAGUACAAGAAAGAGAAGGCGAUCAAAAAUUAGUUCACGCCUCUCAGGGAGACAUAUGUUAGCUUGUUUGAUAGGUUGAGAAAGAUAAAGGUCUUAAGCCCGAUUCAAGGAAGGCUUUCAAAUCCACCUCCGAGGAAUCUCAAUUAUUCUUUAAGGUAUGCAUAUUGUUCUGACAUGCUAGGCCACGAUAUCGAGAAAUGCUGGUAUUUAAAGAGAGCUAUCCAAGAUUUAGUCGAUGCAAAUCAGAUUUUGGUCCAGAACUUGGAGGUUCCAAACAUUCACCAGAAUUCGUUGCCAACCCAUGCUGAAACUAAUAUGUUAAAAUUAAUAUAUGAUGGGAAAGAUUCAUCAAGGUGUUAUAAGCCUAUUGUCAGAAUACAGACCAAUGAAGAUAAAUCAGUGAAUGUGGACGACUCACUAAAAGCAAUAUCAUUGAACUAGGAAGAAAUGGGAGAAGAUAAAUUCUAAGAGAACGAAAAAAAACCCGUGAUCAUAGUAUAAGGCGCCAGAAAAGAUGUCGGUUUAAGUCAGGACAAACCUAAGUUGACGGUGGUAGGAGCUUCGGGUAAGCCUAUUUUGACGGUGAAAGGGGCAUUUGCAGCACCUAUUAUCUCAAACCAGUGAUCCAACCUCCGAUAGUUGAUAUGAAAAAGGUUCCCUGGAACUAUAAGCAGACUGUGAUGACCUAUCAGGGGAAGGAAAUAGUAGAAGAUAUAGAUGAGGUAGGGGGUUUGACUCGGUCAGAAAGAUGCUUCAUGCCUGAAAGUUUGAGGAAGUCCAAGACGAUUGGGAGUGGACCUUCAUCUAUCAAAAAGACUGUCACUGAAGAAGAAGGCAAAGAAUUUUUGAAAAAGAUAAAAUUGUCGGAGUAUUCAAUAAUAGAUCAGUCGAAGAAGACCCCUGCUCAAAUUUCCCUCUUAUUGUUGUUGUUGCAUUCCAAGGAACAUCAUGAUAUUAUAUUGAAGGUAUUAAAUGAAACAUAUGUUCCUAAGGAGGUUACAGUAAAUCAGCGUGAGAAAAUGGUCAAAAAAAUCUUUGAGGUCAAUCGGAUCAGCUUCUCUAAUGACGAAUUGCCAAUUGAAGGUACAGGGCAUAAUCGGUGGCUUUAUAUUACCGUGAAGUGUGAAGAUUUCUACGUCACUCAUGCCAUGAUUGACGGAGGUUCUGAAGCAAAUAUUUGCCCUAUUUCCACCUUACAAAAGUUGAACAUUGGUGUUGAGAGGAUCAGGCCCAAUAAUGUAUGUGUCAGGGUUUUCAAUGGAACAAAGUCCAACUCCAUUGGCGAAAUAAAACUAAUGUUGAUUAUAGGGCCUAUUGAAUUCACCCUAGAGUUUCAAGUAUUGAAUAUCAAAUUUUCUUACAAUUUAUUGUUGGGAAGACCAUGGAUCCACAAGGCCAAGGCGGUUGCAUCUAUAUUGCACCAGAUGAUCAAGUUUGAGCAUGACAGGCAAGAAGUGGUUAUUCAUGGUGAAGAGGAUUUGUCCGCCUACGAAGAUUCUCCCUUUUCUCUAAUUGAAGCAAACAAUGUAGAGGAGAAAUUUAUCUAUCAAACUUUUGAUACAGUGCCAGUAGAUCGUAUCCUUUAAAGACAGGUUGUUUCGGGACCACAAUUGUCUUCUGCUUCUAUCAUGAUGGUGAGUGAGCUUUUGAAAUAUGGAUUUAUGCCAGGGAAGGGUUUGGGAGUGUCUCUUCACUUUUUAUCUGGGAUUAGAACCUAUGGCUGAAGAUUUGAAGAAGUCUAAGGGAAGGAAAAAGGAAACAUGGUAACUCCCUCGCCCAAUGCCUCUACUCAGUGAAUCGUUUGUCAAGAGCGAUGUCACAAAACCUGUAGAAUUUGAAGCUAAAUUAGAUGAUGACUUCCAGAACCUGCUGAUUGAUGUUGACAUGGUUAAAGUAGGAGAGGGUACCAGUAAGGCAGACGUGCAGUUCAUAGGUCCUAAAGUCCAGCUCAACAAUUAAGAAGUCACUUCUCUCCCCAUUAGGAGGGAGUUUUGGUAGUUUAUUUUGUUUUUCUUUUUAUUUAUCUGAGUUAUUCCAGGGAUGUAAUUCAGAAUUUAGCUUGUUUACAUUCUGUUGUCAUUUGUGUUUAAACCCUCCUAUCUUUCCCUUUAAAUAAAAUACAAUGUCCCCUUAUUUUGUGUCUAAUAUACUUUGUUUUUGUCUUUUUCUUUAUACAACUCUCUUUAUGCUAAUUCUAAUGACAUGACAUGCAUGUAAAAAUUUUAGCCUGAUCUUAAAAUCCAAACUAAUCAAGAUAUAAUAAAGCAAGAGGGCGAAUAUGAUGAAGAAGAGGCAUUAGAAAAAAUAAGCAAAGAGUUAGAACAGUUUGAAGACAAGCAGAAUCCUAAUUUGAAUGAAACUGAGCCAAUUAAUCUAGGGAAUCAAGAAGAUGUUAGGGAAACUAAAAUUAGUGUACAUGCUUUACCACAGCUAAAAGAUGGAAUGAUUCAAGCAUUAAUUGAUUAUAAGGAUGUUUUUGCAUGGUUUUGUGAUGAUAUACAUAUUUAAGCACUGAAUUAGUUGCCCAUAAAUUGCCAGCUGAUCCCGCAUUCACCUCUGUCAAACAGAAGUUGGGGAAGUUUAAGACUGACCUAAGUAUCAAAAUCAAAGAGGAAAUUAUGAAACAACUUGAAGCCAAAGUCAUUCGAGUGUCCCGUUAUACCACAUGGUUAUCCAAUGUUGUUCUUGUCCCAAAGAAAGAUGGCAAAAUUUGAGUAUGUGUUGAUUACCUUGAUUUGAACAGAGCAAGUCCGAAGGAUGAUUUUCCGCUGCCCAACAUCCAUAUUUUGCUGGACCAUUGCGCUAAACAUGAGGUAGGUUUUUUUGUAGAUUGCUAUGUCGGAUACCACCAAAUCAUUAUGGAUGAGAAAGACGAGGAAAAAUGUAUUUUAUCACACCAUGAGGGACUUAUUGUUAUCGAGUGAUGCCAUUUGGUUUGAAGAAUGCUAGAGCAACAUACAUGAGAGUCAUGACCACCAUGUUUCAUGAUAUGAUGCAUAAGGAGAUUGAAGUCUAUAUAGAUGAAGUGAUUAUUAAAUCAAAGAGUCAGACUGACUAUGUUAAAGCUUUAAGAAAGUUCUUUGGGAGGCUUUGCAGGUAUAAUCUCAAGCUCAAUCCGGCAAAAUAUGUAUUUGGAGUUCCGUAUGGAAAGCUGUUGGGGUUUAUAGUCAACUAUCGAGGAAUUGAGUUGGAUCCUUCAAAAAUCAAAGCCAUCCAGGAUUUGCCUCCACCCAAGAAUUGGAUGGAGGUGAUGAGUUUUCUGGAUAGAUUGAACUACGUCAGUAGGUUCAUUGCUCAACUCACAACCACUUGCGAGCCCCUUUAAGUUGCCGAAGAAGAAUGCUGCGGUUGAGUGGACUGAAGAAUGCCAGAAAGUGUUUGAUAAAAUCAAAAGAUAUUUGUUAAAUCCGCCCGUGUUGGUACCAUCGGAGCCUGGUAGGCCUUUGAUCUUAUAUUUAUCAAUCAUGGACAAUUCCUUCUAUUGUGUCUUGGGUCAACAUGAUGUCACGGGCAAAAGGGAGCAAGCUAUUUAUUACCUUAGUAAGAAGUUCACAGCAUAUGAAGCCAAGUACGCACUUCUUGAAAGGACGUGUUAUGCCCUGAAUUGGGUAGCACAGAAGUUGAAGCAUUAUUUUUCGUCCUAUACUACUUAUCUCAUCUCCCGCAUGGAUCCACUGAAGUAUAUAUUUCAGAAGCCUAUGCCAACGGGUUGAUUGGCAAAGUGGCAAAUAUUGCUUACCGAGUUCGACAUUAUAUAUGUGACUCGAACCACCAUGAAUGCCCAAGCCUUAGCAGAUCAUCUUGCUGAGAAUCCCAUUGAUUAAGAGUAUGAGCCAUUAAAGACAUUUUCCUGAUGAAGUGGUAUUGUGUGUCGAUGAAGUCAUUAUAGAUGUUGAUCCAGAUUAGAAGCUGUUAUUUGAUGAAGCUGUCAAUAUGAAAGGAGUCGGAGUAGGUACAGUUCUUAUCUUUGAGGUGGGGAAAUAUUUUCUGGUGACAGCACAACUUCAAUUUUAUUGUACCAAUAACAUGGAAGAAUAUGAAGCUUGUAUUCUGGGUUUGAGGCUAGCUGUUGAUAUGGGAGUCCAGGAACUAUUAGUGUUGGGGGAUUUAGAUUUGCUCGUCCAUCAGAUUUAAGGUGAUUGGGAGAUGCGAGAUUUAAAGCUAAUACCGUAUCGACAAUGGUUGAAAAAUAUGUCAACAAUUUGAAUUCACAAUGAGAUUGCUGAUACGUUGGACACUUUGUCUUCGAUGCUCCAAUAUUCUGAUAAGGUCUACAUCGAUCCAGUGCAUAUAAAGAGUCGUGAUCAAUAUGCUUAUUGUAGUGCCAUUGAAGAAGAUCUCGAUGGCGAACCUUGGUUCUUUGAUAUCAAGCAGUACAUCCAGUCAGGAGAACACCCAGCACGUGCCACCAAUGAUCAAAAGAGGACUAUUAGGCAUUUGGCUAGUGGAUUUUUCUUGAGCGGGGGAGUCUUAUACAAGAGAACCCCGGAUCUGGGACUUUUGAGGUAGGUUGAUGCAAAAGAAGCUUCGGCAAUCAUGGUUGAAGUUCACUCCGGAGUAUGCAGGCCUCAUAUGAACGGUUAUGUCUUGUCAAAGAAGAUUCUCAGAGCAGGUUAUUAUUGGCUUACUAUGAAGAGGGAUUCUAUUUGAUUUGUUCGAAAGUGUCAUAAAUGUCAGGUACACGGUGAUUUGAUACAUUCACCUUCUGCUGAGUUACACACAAUGGCUGCUCUUUGGCCUUUCGUAGCCUGGGAAAUGGACGUGAUGGGACCGAUUGAGCCAAAAGCAUCAAAUGGGCAUAGAUUUAUUCUGGUGGCCAUUUAUUACUUCACAAAGUGGGUGGAAGCAGUAAUUUUCAAGUCAGUGACAAAAAAAGUGAUAGUAGAUUUUGUUCAUGCCAGCAUCAUUCAUAGGUUUGGAAUUCCUAAGAUGAUCAUUACAGACAAUGCUGCCAAUCUCAAUAGUCAUUUAAUGUAAGAAGUGUGUCAACAGUUUAAGAUCACACAUCGAAAUUCCACUCCAUAUCGUCCAAAGGCUAAUGGCGCUGUGAAAGCCGCCAAUAAGAAUAUCAAGAAGAUACUGCAGAAAAUGGUACAAGGGUCUAGACAAUGGCAUGAGAAGUUGCCAUUUGCAUUGCUAGGUUAUUGCACUACUGUUCGCACUUCAACAGGUGCAACUCCAUAUUUAUUGGUGUAUGAGACAGAAGUAGUCAUCCCUGCAGAAGUUGAUAUUCCUUCUCUUCGAGUCAUUGUGGAAGCAGAGAUUGAUGAUGACGAGUGGGUCAAAACCCAACUAGAAUAAUUGAGUUUGAUUGAGGAAAAAAGGCUAACGUCGGUAUGUUAUGGCCAAUUAUAUCAGAAGAGAAUGGCUCGAGCGUAUAACAAAAAGGUACGACCAAGGCAUUUUGAAGUUGGUCAGUUGGUAUUGAAGUGUAUCCUUCCUCACCAGGUUGAAGCUAAAGGCAAGUUCUCCCCAAACUGGCACGUCCCUUCAUUGUGAAGAAAGUGUUGCCCAAUGGAGCCUUAUAUUUGAAAGAUAUUGAAGGCAAAAUGGCAGAAAUGGCUAUCAAUAUUGAUGCGGUCAAAAGAUAUUAUGUAUGAUAUUUUAUACUUUGUUGAUUUUAUUGCUUGUUAAGUACUUGCAUUUUUUAAGAUUGAUAUGAUGAAGACAUUUUAUUCUUCUAUCCAAACAUUGUGUCAUCCUUUGUUUACCCAUUUGAGCUUAGUUUUAUUUUUCUUUCAUAUCCUUUUUUUAGAAUCAAAAUGGAGUCAAAGAUAAAUGUCAGAGAAAUAAGAAUAAAAGAAAGAGUUAGAAAAUAAAAGAAAAAAAAAGAAGAAAAAAAAUCAAAUCAAAACAAAGAACAAGAUGAUGGAACUAUGUGCGACCUGAUUCUCCUCUCUCGAGGGUGAGAUAAGUAGGUUGCCCUAUUCGGGCUCGGUCUAACCAAAUAAAUUUUUUGAGUCACCCAGUCAAUAAAAAACUGGGGCAUGAGUUGAUGUGUUGUUUAAGUUGAUUCCAUAAGUUGUAAGUCCCACCCCCACUUCAAGUGUCGUUUGAGCCUCUUGCCAUCCUUUUCUAACAUUAUCCAAAAGCCAAGUUACAACCAAAGAAAGUUCUUUAGAUCAAUUUUUGAUAAUGUUAAGGCUAAGCAUGCAAUGGAUAUGAUGAUACAUCGUGGGGUACUACUUGUUUUCCUCAACAUAAGAAAUUAGGAAAGAAAUGAAAAUGAGAGUCUUAUUGGUGAAAACCCUCGUGAGCACCAUAAGGCGAUGAUGAGUUGAAAGAAAUAAAAAUGAGACAGUCUUACUGGUGAAAACCCUUACGGUCACCAUAAGGCGAUGGAGAGUUGAGAGAAAUAAAAUGAGCGAUUCUUAUUGGUGAAAACCCUCAUAGGCACCGUAAGGCGAUGACGAGUUUGAAAGAAAGGUGAAAAAAAAAAGAUUUAUUGGCGAAAAUCUUUCAAGAUGUCGUCAAUUGAAUGAGAUAUAUGAGUCCAAUGGAUUGGAAGAAGCAGCAGCGGCGAAGGCCCGAACUCAACAACAAAUGGGAAGUUUGGAUAGGAAGAUCAGGCAGCUUAAUCCAAAAUGCAUAUCGUAGUCAUUGGAGUUGGUUGUCAUCUUCAGAUAAGUUUUCUUCUUUGUUAAAAAGAGGGACAUUGCCUUUUUUUUUAUUUACAUAUUCAUGCUUUUGUCUUUUUAUGUCAUUUAUCAAAAUAAAAGUCACCAUCAUUUCUUUAUAUUGUAAGUCAAGUCUGUGUCAAAACAAGCGAGAAAGGAUUUCAAAACUUGCUAUCAGUCUUUCCAAUUGUAUGAGGAGAAGCCAAGAACCAGCACAUGAAAGAAAUAUGAUAGUAAUUCAACACAAAACAAAGGAAGUCUAUCAACCGACCGGCUGCUGGGUUUGUGGGAGCAUUCAGAUUUGGAAAAAGGGUGCAUCUCGGAGGCAUGGUAAAAUGGAAAUUCAUUGUUUGGGUCAAAACUCAUUUCCCCCAAUCUGGUCUGGGUCAAUGAUGUAGCAAGACAGGGGCAAGUAUCAGUAAUCAAAAACAAAGACGAAAGAAAUAAAUGCUGGAGCGUAUGCCUGGAAAGCCAAGUGCUGGAAGCCACCACUAAGUUUUAACUGACAAAUUUUUCUUUGAUGAAAUAGGGGCAAAGUUUCUGUUCAGUAAGUUCAGCUACCGUUGGGAAGUAUGAUCGGGGACUUUACUUUCUGUUCAGGACCCUCUUGAAAAAAUGGGAUUUUACUUUCUGUUCAAGACCCUCCUGAAAAAUGGGAUUUAACUUUCUGUUCAGAACUCUCCUGAAAAAUGGAAAUUUACUUUAUGUUCAGGACCCUCCUAAAAAAUUGGAAUUUACUUUAUGUUCAGGACCCUCCUGAAAAAUGGGAUUUAACUUUCUGUUCAGAACUCUCCUGAAAAAUGGAAAUUUACUUUAUGUUCAGGAUCCUCCUGAAAAAUAGGAAUUUACUUCAUGUUCAGGACCCUCCUGAAAUAAUGGGAUUUUACUUUCUGUUCAGGACCCUCCUGAAGAUGGGACUUUACUUUCUGUUCAGGACCCUCUUGAAAAAUGGGACUUUACUUUCUGUUCAGGACCUUUCUGAAAAAUGGGAAUUUACUUUAUGUUCAGGACCCUCCUGAAAAAUAGAAAUUUACUUUAUGUUCAGGAUCCUCCUGAAAAAUAGGAAUUUACUUGAAAAAUGGGAUUUUACUUUCUGUUAGGACCCUCUUGAAAAAUGGAAAUUUACUUUAUGUUCAAGACUCUCCUGAAAAAUGAGAAUUUACUUUAUGAGAAUUUACUUCAUGUUCAGAACCCUCCUGAAAAAUAAGACUUUAUUUUAUGUUCAGGACCUUCCUGAAAAAUGAGAAUUUACUUUCUGUUCAGGACCCUCCUGAAAAAGGAGAAUUUACUUUAUAUUUAGGACCCUCCUGGAAAAUGGGAAUUUACUUUAUGUUUAGGACNNNNNNNNNNNNNNNNNNNNNNNNNNNNNNNNNNNNNNNNNNNNNNNNNNNNNNNNNNNNNNNNNNNNNNNNNNNNNNNNNNNNNNNNNNNNNNNNNNNNNNNNNNNNNNNNNNNNNNNNNNNNNNNNNNNNNNNNNNNNNNNNNNNNNNNNNNNNNNNNNNNNNNNNNNNNNNNNNNNNNNNNNNNNNNNNAAAUUUACUUUAUGUUCAGGACCCUCCUGAAAAAUGGGAUUUUACUUUAUGUUCAGGACCCUCCUGAAAAAUGGAAAUUUACUUUAUGUUCAGGACCCUCCUGGAAAAUGGGACAUUACUUUCAGAAAAAAUGAAGUCUUUCUUUAUCUUAAUCUUUGUUAGGGAUAAUUUUUUUUCUAGUGUUUAUAUUGAUAGCAGGAGCCCGCCUGGAGAACAGAAUGAUGAAUCUGUAAGUCAGGAGCCUACCUGAAGAACAGGGUGAUGAAAUGGGAAAUUAAAGAAACUGCAAGUCAGGAAUUCGCUUGAAGAACAGGGUGAUAAAAUUGAAGGAUAAAAAUGGCAAGUCAGAAGCCCGCCUGAAGAGCAAGGCGAAUAAAUGAAAGUCGAGCAACGAAGUGAAGCAAUGGAAAACCAAGCAACAAGUUGAAAGAAAUUGUAAGUUAGGAACCCGCCUGAAGAAUAGGGUGAUAAAACUCAAGUCAAGAGUCAAGGAAAGCUGCAUAGAUAGGAUUUUGUAAUUUCAUUUAUGUUUUAACUUGUAAUUCUCAUUUUUGAUGUAAUGACAGAGCCGCGGACCGGAACCUCGAUGGAACCUCACUCGACUCUCCAACUCGGUAUAGUCCAUCUCUUUCCAAUCCUUUGAUAUACCUAUCACUUGAUUACCUCAUAACUUGGGUAGGUAGGAUAUCCGCCAAGACUCGGUUGUCUUUCUUUCUUUUGUUUCUUUCUUCGAAUAAUGAUCGGGAUAAAAUUCUAUCUCGUUGUCUAUUUCUUUGUAUGGAAACACUGGGUGUUUACAUUCAAAGGAGGCAUGAUCUAGACACGUAAUUUUGUCCCUUCACAAAUUUUAUCGUUUACCUCAUUUUACUACGUACCCUAUCCACGUAGUAAUUUUUUUUUCUCCAAGAAAAUAAAUAACCACCUCAUUUUUUACUCAUUUAUUUAUUUGUUUUUGUUUUGUUUUUAUCCCAUUUAACAAACCUAACUAAUUUUGUCUUAUUUUAAAGAUUCCUACAACUCACCCUAUUAAAAAUUGACAACACAUCCUAACCCCUACCCCUCCUACCCCAACCUCACGUGACCCCUCCCCCCUCUCUUGUUUUGCUUGUCAACAAAGAAAGGACCCAAGGAACUUUCCAGGAAAUUCCCUAUGGGGAUGAACCCACAAGUCUCCUCAAACAUUUCUCUUUCCUUUUUAAAUAUAUACACACAGUGCACGAGGAAGGGGGAGAUUUUUUUUAUCAUCCAUUCACAUCACAAAGAGGGGCCCACAAUAACCAAAAGGAGGCCAUUUUUAUUUGUCAUCAUCUUCUUCUUCACUAAAAAAAAUUCCCAAGAAGAAUAGAAAACCACACUGUAAAAAUAUUCUCCAUGGUUUUGUUUAGUUCUAAAACAUACAUACACCUGGUAAACACACUCAAUGGCACACACGUAGAAAUAGAGAGGUCGAGAGUGAGAGAUUGUGCGAGAAAAUAGGAGACAGCUAAAAAUGGAGAGAUUCCAUCUUUCUCUGAGCUUUUUCCGGCUAAACUUUCAUUUAAGUUGAUUUUGGUUCAUCAUCUGGCCAACCCAAUUCAAGAGGUUUCAAAAUUUCUUUAUUUUUCUUUGAUUUCUAGGUAGAAUUGGAUGAAAAACACUACGAUUCGAUGGAAAACAGAACCAGUAACAAUUUUUGUUGUUGAAAUCAGUUCUAUUUCAGAUCAUCUUUGUGAUUUGUUCACUCUUGGACUGGUUUAUAUUGUUAUUAUUUGGUUUUGGGUCUCAUCGUUCACUGGCUUCUGCUACUGAUUGGAGAAUUUAAGUCUCGUUCGUCCUGAUUUGUUCAUCUCGACUAAUUUUGGGGUUUCAAAUUUCAAUACCUAGUUUGGAGUUGGUUCGUUCGUCGUUGGGGUUCUUGUUUGAGGAUUUCGAUCUCGGAUUUCUUUAUUAUUAUCAAUGAAAAUAAGGGCUAUUGAGGUCCAUUCCUUAAUCCGCUCCCUUUUUGUUGAUUUUGGUUUGUUGAAUUGACUCUGAUUAUGUGUGAUGUGAUUAUGUUUUGUUGGAUUUUUGUUACGUUGAUGUUAUGAUCAUGAUGCUUGGUGAUUCGGUUGUGGUGGUUUGAGGAAUAAAUUUGAUCAUGUUUUAAUGGAUUGAUAAAAAAAAAGUUGGGGGUGAGGAUUGAAAAAUAACAAAAAGGAUAGAUUCGGUUUAAUUUUGAUUUAUUGAUUGAUUUGAAUCGUGAUAGAUUUAUGAUGUGUUGAAAUGGAUAGACAAUAUAGGUUCGGGUAGGCAAAUUUUAGAACUUGUUGUUUUGAUUGAAUGUUGGAAUGUACGUGUGAACGUUUCUUUCUAGUUCAUCGUAUUUAAUUCAAAUGUAUUCAUUUAGCCGGGGAAUGCCCCGAGAGACCUUGUAUUUACUCACCAGGGAAUUUCCCGACGUAUUAUGUUGGCGGAAGACGUUUAUGAUGAAGGCCUGGGACAUUAGUUAAAGCGCGGGAUCGUAGUUAGGGUUAGUGUAGGUUAGAUAGGAUUUAUUUUUGCAUUUUUAUUUAUUUUGGACUGUAAUUGGACUGAACACUAUAUUUUGAAUUUAUUUUGUUUCGUGUGUUUGGAUGCUUGUUUAUGUGGUUUAUACGUUUUUAGUGUCAAAAUUAGCCGAUACGCUUCACCAACCGAUCGUGGUCAAACCACGGGACAGAGGGGUGCCUAACACCUUCCCCUCGGUCAACAGAAUUCCUUAGCGGAAUCUCUGUUCGCAGAUCAGUUUUUACAGAGUCAAAAAUUAUUUUGAAAAGAAUUUUCCAAAGGUAACUUGGGACACCGGAUUAUGCCAAGUGGCGACUCUGAGUUUUGAAUAAAAAAGACCCUUUUUGAAACAAAUUUUCAUCUUUUGUCACUUUGAUAAUAAAAACCCUUUCAAACUUAAAAAUGAAUCUUUUUGGUGGUAAAAAAAGGGUGUGACAUUAUUUACGAUCAACUGUUGGCUUUUUGUAUUAAGGAAUCGUGAGUGUAUAAGAAUAGUAAUGAAUUAAUGUAUUAAUACUGUCGGAAUUAGUUAUGCUAAAAUUAUUUUCUAUUCACUUUUUGAUUUGAUAUAUUAAGAGAAAUUCUACUGUUACUUUUCCUUGUCUAUGUAUUCAUUCCAUAUAUUGUUGAUAUCAUGGUUCACUAUGUAUUAGUUAUGUAUUCUAUAAUAUAUAAUAUGAUGUAUAUAAUAUAUACAUUGAUUAAUACAUCUUACACGACAAUCCUUAAAUGAAUAUGAAUGGUAAUGAAUAAGGUGUAUUAGAAAAAAAAUAGUACCAUAUAUUGUUAGCAAUGAUUUACUAUGCAAUAGUUAUAUAUAAGUUGAAAAUGCUGUCAUAUAAAAAAUUAAAUAAUAUCAAAUCUAAUACAUAUAUUAUUUCCUCUAUUGCCUCAUAGCAAACGAUUCUGUAUAUGUUUAAUACCAAUUUCAACAUUAUGUCAAAAUAUAUAUCAAAUUAAACAACUGAUUUAAGUAUUAUUAUUUUUAUACUGUAUCUAAAAAUUCUACAAUCAAAUAGAUUACCCUGAUAAGUGUAUUUUAUUUUAUCAACUUUUAUAAAAUUAGACGAUGCUAAAAAGCAUAUCAAUUUAUCUCUAAACUAAUAUUGAAUAAAUUUCUCUUGCAAGUAUUCGGCCAGUAAAAAUAAUCACCUCUUUGAUGAGAGUUAAAAUGAACUACAUUAUUUUUAUAAAUUGAUAAAAAAAAUGAGAAAAAAAAAUUUAUGUACUUUUGUUAGGGUUUUUUUCCUGAUUUUCUUACCAAAAUUAAGUUUUACUUUUUCUUGAAAGAAAAAUAAAGGUAACCAUAAAUACUUUUAAAAGAAAAAUAUAAAUUUUUUUCAUAUUUGGCAAACCUCUUCCUUGGAGGAAAGAUUUUGGACAUCUAUAAACAGAAAACUCUCUUCUCAUACCAUAACAUAAUAACAUCCACAAUAUAGUCUUUAAAGAGUCUUUGUUUAGGGAGAGAUUUCUCUCAAUAAGUUUUAGGUUUUUCAAUUUUAUUUUAUAAUAUGUAGAUCAAUUGACCAAAACAUAUAAUAAUUUUGUGCCUUUUUAGUAUUGUUUUCUUUGUCGUCUGAUUUAUUGUCUCAAGGUUUGCAAACUUUAAGCUUCCGCAUGUCGUCCUCUUGAUUUCGAACCCAACAAGUGGUAUCAAAGCCUACGGUUCAAAGAUCCAAUGAUUUGGUGAAACGAGAUUAAACAGGUACAAAGCGGUUUCAAAUCAAGUUGCAACCAGUUUAGCGAUAAUGACGUUUUUGUCCAACUACAUGUGGAGAAGAUAUUUCAAUCAUAUUUUCAACAAUCCUGUUGUCACAUCUUUAAAAAUAAAACUCUCUUUUAACCCUAUAAAUAGCUCCAAUAUUUUUAACUCAAAAGGGCUCAUAUAUUUUUAACCCAAAAGGGCUCCAUUUUUAAGCAUGACAAUUAGCAGAGAUAUAUGAAGAUUAUGUGAAGAAUAAUCAUGCAUGUGAUGUGAAGAAGGCGGAUAAGUAAAGAAAAUCAAGCCAAACAAGAGGAGAUUUGUUAGGGUUUUUUCCCUGAUUUUCUUACCAAAAUUAAGUUUUACUUUUUCUUGGAAAGGAAAAAAAAUAACCAUAAAUACUGUUACUUUUACUGAAAAAAUAAUAUAAAACUUUUUCAUAUUUGGCAAACCUCUUCCUCCUUGGAGGAAAGGUUUUGGACAUCUAUAAAUAGAAGACCCUUCUCAUACCAUAACAUGAUAGCAUGCACAAUGUAGUCUUUAAAUAGUUUUUGUUUAGGGAGAGGUUUCUCUCAAUAAGUUUUAGAUUUUUCAAUUUUAUUUUAUAAUAUGUAGGCUAAUUGGUCAAAACACAUAAUAAUUUUAUGUUUUUUAGUAUUAUUUUUACUUGUCAUCUGAUUUAUUGUCUCAAGGUUUGCAAACUUUAAGCCUCCGCAUGACGUUCUCGAUUUCGAACCCAACAACUUUAUGUUUUAUACGCAGUAAAAUCAAGGAAACAAUUUAGUACAGCAAGCAAAUAGAGCUGCCACAGAGAGAUUUGUAUACAUAAUAAGAUGAUAUACAACCUCAAAAUAAAGAACCAGAGAACAUAAAAAAAUGACGUGAUAUCCUUAUUAAUUCAAAAAUAAGAUAAUUAAAAUUAUAUUUUUGAGAUAACUUGUUUAAAGAGAAAUUAUUAACUGAUGUGAAAAUAAUAAAUAUUUGAACGUUAAUCCACAUAAAUUAUACAUAACCUAUUUUUUUUUUCAGAUAUAAAAAUAUAUAGUCUUGAAUUAGUGACAUAAUUAUUCAUAUUUUAAUUUUCAUAAUGAAACAAUCUAUAGUGUUAAAAUUAAUGACAUAAUUAUUUGUAUGUUUAUUUUUAUCAAUAAAAAAUGUAGCCUUAAAUUAUAGUAUAUGAGUAAAUAAAAUAAAAUAAUAUAUUUUUAAGGACACAAUCGAUUUGUAUUUAUGCAUAUGGAUAUCUCGUAUAUUAAUUUUCAUGGUGAAACAAUUUAAAUUUUUUAAAUGAUAAUAGAUGGAAAUUACUCAUGAAAAUCAAAUACAAAAUAUAGAUAUUAAAUAAGUUUAUGUCAUAUAUAUUGAUAGUGUAAAAAAUGUUAUACUAUUAAGGUUUAUUUGUCAUUGUAGUGUAUUAUUUCUGUUAUACUUUUAAAAUUAUUUUUCAAUAUCUGAAAGUUUUUAUUUGAAAUUGAGUAUUUCUCUGUUUCAAUUUAUUUGUUUGAUUUUGACUUAGCAUGAAGUUUAACAAAGUAAAAAGUAAUUUUUAAUCUUAUGAUCUUAAAUUAAUACAUGUGGAAUGUGUCAGAAUAUAUUUUAAUCUUAUGAUUUUAAAAUGACAUGUGAAAAUUUAUAAUUCAAUAGUUAAAAAAGACAUUUUUUUGAAACAAACAUAAAAGAAAAGUAGAACAAAUAAAUUAAAUUUGUGGACUACCAUUUAAAUAUUUAUAAAUAUUAUUAUUAUUAUUUUAUUUCAAUAAUUAUUUUGUAGAGUAAUUAAAUAUAUAAAUAACAACUAAUUCUAUUUUUUUCUGGAUAUUUCAAUAAACAAAACUAAAAGUUUCAUCCUAUAAAAUGGAAUAGAAAUGAGUAAAAAAAAGUUUCAAGACAAAGUGCAAUUCCCUUAAAGAUUAGAAAAAAAGAUCAAACAUUAAUGAAUACUAACACAAAUCAAUUUUUAAGAAGAGUUGGUUGGGAAGAUGUGGGUCCACGCGAGAUAUCAUAUCAAUUGAGAUGUGACUGAUAUUUAGAAAAGAGGCUUGUUUUUGUUGUCAUUAAGAAUUUAUGGUCGAGCUUUGAAGCCUAAAGCAUAAGUAAGCAAGGUAGAACUUUUGUGAAAUGAUAAAUAUAUCCUUAGUCGUAUAUAUAUAUAUAUAUAUAUAUAUGUAUAGGUGCUAUGAAAGGAAGUAGCUUGCUAGAGUCGGAAUAUGGCUUCUCUGAUAAUUAGCCAUCGAUCAGCGCAAGUAGACAGCCAAACAAAAUCCUAACCUACAAACACGUCUAAUAUCUACAACAACAACAGCAGCAACAACAACAACAACAAUAACGAUGCAUGUGGAACUUACCCUUACCCUACCCUACUAUUACUAUUUUCAUGAGGUAAGAGAUUAUUUUUUAUGGAUCCUCGACUAUAAUAACAAUAAUCAUCAAAUCAAAAAAUAAAUUAAUAAACUUACCAUAAAAUCAUACUUAUUUGAGAUGACCAGAUACUAUAAAAAUAAAAUUAAAAAAAUCAAUAAAUUUGGAAUCAGAGAAAAAAAAAAUACAUAAGAAUAUUCAUGAAAAUAUACUACAAAGAAUAAAUAAAAAAUAAAGAUCUAACCUAAUCAAAUAUAUAAAUAAAGGACUCCAAGACAAUUUAUAACCUUUCAUUUUCCAAAAAUAAGGCACCUACGACAAUUUCUUUUGCCAAAAUACAAUUCUUUAUUUUUUUUCUAAAAAAAAAGAACUAAAGCAAUUUUGGUUAAAUUUGUUUUAAAAAAUAACUUGAUUCUUCUAUUUUGCUCAGAAAAAUAUUCUUAAUAUUAAUUCUUCUUUCAUAUAUUUAAAAUUCUUUUUUUAUUGAGUCUUUUUGUAAUUCUCCUAUUUUAGGAGUGUUUUUAUUCUAAUCGAAACUCUUUUCGAUUCUCCUAUUUUAGGAGUUGUUUCUAAUUGAUCAAGAAAACAUUAAUUAGUUCUUAUUUUCAUAUAUUUUUAGGACAGUAAAUAGAUAAUAAUUAUUUGAGAAUAUUAGUGAAAGGACGAUUUUGUCUAAAGCGGAGACUUUCAAUGAAGGACAAAAUAUUCGAAUAACCUUGUUAAGGAUCUUAAUACUUUUAAUAUAUUAUAAAUUAUAUAAUUAUUUAUACAAUAUCAAUACACGUGUACGCACCAUUUAUACGAUAUUGAUAUAAAUCUAUACACCAUUUAUACAAUAUCUAUAUACGUUUAUAAUACAACAUUUAUAUAAUAGCGAUAAAUUGUAUAAAUUUUAUACAAUAUUGAUACAUUACAUAUUACACUACAUAUACAUGCGACUAUUUUUUUUUGUGUCUAGUACAUUUUUUUGGCUAUAUUUUUUAGAGAGAAGUAUCAAUUACCCCCCUGAACUUGUCACGUUUUAUUCAUGGUACACCUGAACUUUGACUUGUCCUAAGUACCCCGCCCCUCAUCCCCGAACUUGUUGUUUUGCAACGUCGCGAGGUCCUUUUUUGCUGAUGGACUAGUGCGUGUAAACGACACGUUUACACAUGGAAAAAAGUGUUGAUGUGGCUGUCCACGUGGAUAAAUACGAUCCACUUCUCUUAUAUUUAUUCUAUAUUAAAAUAUAACUAACUUCUACCCUUAAUUAUCCUAUUUCUCUCUAAAAAAAUUAUAUUUUUUAGUUUUUUCUCUACUCCAAAAUAGUGAAAGGUUGAAUUUUCGUCGAUCUAGUAAGCUGUUAUUUAAAAAUUUAUAUUUUUUGGUGUGUGUUAAAAAUGUGAAAUUAUUUUUUCUAGUUAGUGUUUCAUAGUAGUCUUUGAUUAGUGUUUCAUUAGGAUUUUGAGGAGAUUCACCUGUACAAAUACGUUUCUUAUUAUAAUUAACGGAGUAAGAAAUUGCAAUUUAAGUUAGGGGUGUACAAAAAUCGAACCGAGAAAAAUGUUAUUGAUUUAUCGCUAUAGGGUUAACGAUUUUUUAAUGAUUUUAUAUAAAAAAAUAUUAUUGGGUUAUUGAUUCGAUUUUGAUUUUUCUUACUGGGUUAUUGGGUAAAUCGAUAACCCAAUAAGUUUAUGCUAAAUUAUUAUUUUAAGAAACUUAAUAUUUGAUACGGUAUUUGAGGAGAACCCCCCCCCCCCCCCCCAAAAAAAAAAAAAUUUAAUUACAAAAACAAUCCAUAUAUAUUAUGAUAUAAUCAAUUAAUCUCCAAAAAUUAACUAAUAAAAGGCCUAAACUCUUUGAAACUAAAAACUUCUAGCUUUAUUGAUAAAUAUAAAUCAAACACUUAAUUAUAUAUAGUCAUAACUAAUAUUCAUUGCAAAUAAAUUACCCAAAUUUGUGCAUGAUUUCCAACAAUUUUCAUUCCUUUCAAGCAUCAAAUAUUAAAAUAAUCAAUUCCUUUAAUAUUUUUGGAGUUUGAUGAUUUUUUUUUUAGAUUGGAAGUUAAAUAGGAAGAGGGAUAGUUGAAUUUUUUGAAAAAAUUAAAGAAAAAUAUUUUUUUCGUUUUUUAAACAUUGAAAAUGCUGAUUUGGCCAAAAAAUCACUCCAUCACGCUCGUGAUGGAGUGUGAAACCAAACAUUUUGCCAUGUCAGCAAAAAAUCGCCAUGCGACGUUGCGAAACAACAAGUUCGGGGGUACUUAGGACAAGUCAAAGUUCAGGUGUACCAUGAAUAAAACGUGAUAAGUUCAGGGGUAAUAGAUACUUUUCUCUAUUUUUUAUAAACUAAUUACUUUGUUGCAUAUAUUUAAAAAAAAUUAUUUAUUUUUUGUUUUUUUAUAUGUUGUUUAAUACUUGAAUUUUGAUUAAAUUUCAAUUCGUAUGUGUGUUGGAAGGCUCAUUUCAAUGCUCCUCAAUAAGAUUUUUUUUUCUAUUUUUAAGAACUCAAAUCCAAAAGCUGAUUAAGAAUGAAAAAAAAUUCAAACUCACUCACUAUAAAUCAUGUUGGUUCUAACUAAACAAUUAAAAAAUAUGAUUUCUAAUAAAAGAGAAGAAAAUAAGGACAAACAGCCCGAUCAAAGAAGGAUUCCAUCUUUCCAAUUUAAGAAAAGAAUUGAUAGACCCUUUUUUUACCUAAUUAAUUAUCAUUUGAAUAAAGUAAUUUUAUCCUCCAUCAAAGAUUGAUAUAAUACCCAAGCUGACAUCAAAUUUAACUCCAAUUGGCAAGUAGCUACUGUAAUUUUGAGAUCGCAUAAUUACCUCAACCUGACUCAAUUGACCACUAAACACUUUAGAACUUGACCCAGUUGACAAUUAAAUACUCCAGCUCAUUUUUAAUGUAGCUCGUGGACACUCAAUACUGACGUGACACACAAAUUCUAAAGGUAUCUAGAUAAUUAUUUUAUAAGUUAAGUAAUCUAUUGACACAGUAAAAGAUAAAUUAAGGUGUCUAAAUUUGCUUACUCAAAUCUGGAGCAAAUUUGAGUUUCUCUUAUAUAUUAUGCCUUAAAAGAUUACGUCUAAUCUUACUCACGCCAUCAUAGGAGAACUCAUUUUGAUCGUUGACUACUAAUUGAACUUCAAUUAGAGGAUACUUUAAAUCAUUGUAAAAAACUGAAUGGCAAAUUAAACCUUUUACCAUUGGAGAAUCUGAACAGAUGAAAUUCAUUCUUUUAAAGUUGUUGCUCAUUAAUGAUAAAGGCAGAUAGGAUAUUUUCAAGUUAAUAAAUGAUAUGAAUAAAUAAAAGUAUAAAUAACAUAAAUACCAACUCUUUUAGAAGUAAUUACACACUCUCCCACUUUUUUAAUUACUUUACUCUCUCUCCCUAUUAAUAUACAUAAUAUAGCCGAAUAUACAUAGCAUUCUGCGUAUAUGUUGGGAUUUUUGUAAUAUGUUUAGGGAGUAAGAAUUUUUUGUAAUAUUGAAAACAUAAGUUGUGUAUUUGUAUAAUUUUUAAUAAAUAAAAUAUCUAAUAAAAACAAGGGAAAAGACAUAGGUUUUUAUCUAGAAGUUCCUUGCUACCCUAUGUUUUCCUCUUUAAUUAGCUCUUAGAUGAUAUAGGUUUUCAUCAACCCCCUUUCUCUCGCAAUUAUUCUCCUAUGGCUCUUGCUGGCGUAUAAUCAUCUUCUCGAACAACCCUUCCAAAUAAAUUUAGACGAGAGGAAUUUCUAUUGGUAUUCCGUUCUUGUUUGAUGCAGUGCGAUGCUUCGAAGGCCUUCUCAGAGUCCAAUGCACACUUAAAGUUAAGUCCAAUCGCUAUUGGAUCUCUACAAUGACACCAAAUAUUGAUCCUUUUUCAAAACUUGACACAUAUAAAUGUGAGCAACAACCGUCAUUAGUUCGUAAUAGGGUAUCGACACCAUCUUUAUGGGCCCCUCGGCCUCAUCAAUUCGAACCUAUCAAACUAAACUGUACAAUGCAGGAUCUUGUUUGAAUGAUCAAUGCCUAAUCGGUUAAAAACUGUAUUCACAAAAUUAUUGUACUUUAUAUGUGUUGUCCCGAUGAUCUUAUUAGUAAUACAUCACUCCCACACAUGAAAGUGGAUCCAUCCAUCUGCACACACCUUAUUCUUCCUAGCCCAUCUAUGGCUUGAUUUGAAUAAACAAAUGACUAACUUGUUGCAACUGAUGACACAUCUGUUAAAAUUAUCAAAUAAUUAUAGACAUCUGUUUCGACAGAUGAUCAAUCUGUUGCAAUAUAUGACUUAUUUGUUGGAAAAAUCAAACAAAUAUAUCUAUAUGUUGCAACAGAUUGUCAAUAUAUUGUUAAUUUUCAAACAGAUAUAGUAUAUUUUGCAACAAAUUACCCAUUUAUCUGUUAGAUUUAUUUUAAUUUACAUAUUCAAAAAUUCACCAGUUUUAUUUAAUUAAGGGAUGUAUUUAUAUAUAACUCCACUUCUAGAUAUGGCUGGUCCGGAUUUGGUCAAGGUGAUUUUGCCGACUCUUGCAAGAACUUGAAAGCAGAUUCAUAAACUCAGGUAAGAUUUGGGCGACACGAGAGCAAGGCUGAGGAGGGCCCUGCUGCUACCGGAUAAUGAUGGGCCGGGUGACAAUAAUAAUAAUAAUAAUAAUUAGGUUAUGUUUUUUCUUUUACUAGUCAAAUAUACGUGCUUUGCACGUGUGCUUCAUGUCAAGUCAUAUGUAAGUAUUGAUAUCUUGAUCGUCUCCUAUGAUGUGAACUAUCACAUCACAGAUAAUAACAAAAACAACAGAUAGUAGUAGAUCAGAAACUAUAACAAAAUAAAUUAAUUAAAUCUAACCUUUACACAAAAAUUCCUCAAAGUCUGACCGAACAUUCAUCUACCACUAUAAACUCAAUAAAAUAAUUCAAUAAUCGAGAUAUCAUAACAAUGCGAUUAAAUUCUAACCUUAAGAAAAAUUCUAAAAGCCCGAUUACACGUUAAUCUAUCACUUGAAAAAACAAUAAAUAAUAACAGAACAGAAACUACUGUAUUGAAGAAUAUUACAACAAUAUCAUCAAACAUAAUCUUAACGCAAAAUUUUCAAAGUUCGACCAAACAUUCAUUUGCAACAUAAACUUGAACAUAACAGAAACUACAACAAAAUUAUACGAUAAUCAAAAUAUUAGAAUAAUACAAUUAAACCUAACCUUUUGUGAUUGUAGAUGACACCUUUAGAGCUCAUAAAAAAUCAGUUAUUAGAAUAUCUCCGCCAACAAAUUUUACAUUGUGGAUGUUAUUAUAUUAUUAUAGAGAAAAAGAAUUCUCCAAUACCUUUUCCUACAAAAAAGAAUCAUUUAAAUAUGAAAGAUUUUUAUUUUUAUGUUUCGAAAGGAAAAAAUUAAUUAUGGUAUCAAAUUAAAAUAUGGAAGUUUUUUUUUAUGCUGCGAAAUAAAAAAAAUUAAUUAUGGCAUUAAAUUAAUGAAAAAAAGAAUUCUCCAAUACAUUUUCCUAUAAAAAAAAAUUAUCUAAAUAUGAAAGAUUUUUAUUUUUAUGUUGCGAAAAGAAAAAAUAAUAAUUAUGGUAUCAAAUUAAUACUACAACACAACUUUAGAAAAUUAAAAAUUUUUUCCUCAAAAAUCUAAUAAUGUGUUUUCACUUUUUUCCCCUUAAAAAAUUAAAAAAACUUUUUUUUUUUUUUUUUUUGAAACUUUAGGGUAUUUUUUUGUUUUUAGAAAAUUUUUCAAAGGAUAUUUUUCUUUAACCAUAUGUUAUAGAAAUUAUUAAUUUAAAUAUUAUAAUAUAAUGAUAUAAUAAAUGAAGAAAAAUAGUAAAAAGACUAUUUUGUCUAAAAUAGAGACUUUUAAUGAAGGGAAAAAAGUUCAAAUCACUUUUUUAAGAGUCUUCACAUUUUUAAUAUAUUAUAGAUUAUAUGGAUUUACCCAAUGGUAUUUUUUUUAUUGUAUAUAUUUAUAUAUAAUGGAUUCAAAAAUCUAUGUUUGGUCGACUUUGGAUUUAUAAUUCUUAUUUAAUAUUUACUUUUUAUUCUGUCUAUUCCUUAUUCUCAACAUGUUGAUGGUUGGAGGUAGGGAUUGAGCGUUUGUGGCAACGGAUGAACCAUAUGUUGCAACAGACGAUUCUUAAUAAAAAAAAAAAGGUUAUUGUUGUUAUUAAGGGUGAACGUCAUGACUUUUUGAUUAUUUAAUAUGAAAAAUGAUUCAUAAAUAAAUGAUAAAAAAAUAAAUGAUAAACACAAUUUAUAACCGUAAUCGAACGGUUAUUUAAUUUUAAUAACUGACCGUGACUUUUCACCAUUUUUAUUUUUAUAUUAUUUAUUUAUUAUAUAAUAAAAGUCACAACAUUGGAUUAAGGGAUAUGAUGAUUGUUAAAAAAAGGUGAACAAUCGUGACUUUUUGUAAAAACUCACCAGCUUGAUUUAAUUAAGUCAUUUCUUUCACAGAAAACUAUACAAAAAUAAUUUAUAACUGCAAAAAAUAGUUAUUUAAUUUUAAUAAUUGAUGUUAAUAUAAAAUAAGCUACAAGUAGUGACUUUUCGUUAUUUUUAUUUUUAAAUCUGUUUCUUAAAUUUAUAUAAUUAAAAAUUUAGAUUAAUGAUAUAAUGACUAUUAAAAAAGACAGAUUACAUGUUGCAACAGAUAGAUUAUUUGAUGCAACAGGUUGUCGAUUUGUUGCAACAGAUGGUAUAUCUGUUGUCGCAGAUGGGUUAUUUGAUGCAACAAAUGGUAUAUCUGUUGUCGCAGAUGUGUUAUCUGAUGUAACAGAUAUAAAAUUUGUUGGCACAACUCAAUAAAAACGGUUAUUGAAAAGAACUAAUUACUAAUAAUAAUCUGAAAAGUCAUGACUUAUCACAAUAAUCAAAAAGUCAAUCAACAGCUUCAUUUAAUUAAGUCAUAACUUUUCAAAGUAAUUAAAAAGUCGCCAGUUUGUAUGUAAUUAAUAAAUGGAGGUGAAUAGUCGUGCAUUUUUGCCUAACUCAUUCAAAUUCAAUCCUCUAUAAAUAGGUCUCUCCUUACUCGUUCAUUCUACUAAAUUUAUUUCUUGCAUAUUGUCUUUCAUAUUACACCUUCAACCACUUUCUCUUCCCUAACUCAGGUAGGGUUUUUGCUUGCUUUUUGUGUAAAUACAUCCAAUUGGUAGUGUACGUUGUAUUACAUUCGGAUUCUUUUCUUUACUUUUGUUUUAACAUUUUUUGUCAAUUCAUUCGUGCUCUAGAUAUGGUUGAUCCAGUGUGGGAUGUUACUAGUUUACAAGACAUCGUACGGGAGCUUCAAACUCAGGUUCAUGAUGACCUUCAAUGGGAGUUGUCUGCAAUGAGAGCCAGAAUGCUUCGGGAGAUCCGCAGGCUGAGGAGGACACUGCUGAUGCCAGUAGAAGAUUGGCUGGCUGGCAAUAAUGAUGAUAAUAAUAAUUAGAUUUUUUUUUCUUUUAGCCUAUGUAUUUUUAUUUGUUUUUGUUUAAUUAAAAAAUUAUGUUUGAUCGACUUUGACAUUUUAAUUCUUAUUUAUUUUUCAUUCUGUCUAUUUCUUCUUCUCUACAAACAUGUCGAUGAUUAAGGAAUAAUUUGAAUCUAGUAGCAAUAGCAAGAGUUGAAACUUAAAACUUGACCCAAUGCAUACAUUAAUACUCAAGUAUAAACCUCUAUUAAAUCAUAUUAAUUAAGCACUUAGUAAAUUAUUAAAGUUGAUCAAUAAAAAUACGAAAAUAAAAACUAUAACAUACCCAGUAUAAUUCCAUAAGUGGGAUUUGGGGAGGGUGGUGUAUCCCCAGACCUUAACCCCUACCUCGUGAAGGCAAUUUUUUUAGCGUAUGUAUUUUUAUUAUUUUUGUUUAUUAAAAAAUUUAUGUUUGAUCGACUUCAACGUUUUAAUUCUUAUUUAAUUUUUAUUCUGUCUAUUUCUUAUUCUCAACAAACAUGUUGACGAUUAAGAAAUAAUUUGAAUCCAGUAUCAAUAGCAAGAGUUGAAACAUAUGGGUUAUCUGUUGGGUUUGUGGCAGGAGCUAUAUUGUGUUGUUCCAAACAGAUUACUCAUCUGUUGCAAUAGAAUAAAGAUCUGUUGCAAUAGAUAAAUAGUCUAUUGCAACAGAUAAAUAUUCUGUUGCAAUAGAUUUCUCAUUUGUUACAAUAAAUAAUUAUCUGUUAUAACAGAAUAAUUAUCUGUUACAACAGAAUAAUUGUCUGUUGCAACAGAUAAUACGUCUGUUGCAACAGAUUAACCAUUUGUUUGUUUCAUGUUACGGGCACUAAAGAACCAUAAAUAUGAAUUCAAUAUAUGAGUCUUCUGUUGCAACAAAAUAUGUAUAUGUUGCAACAAACUGAGUGAUUUGUUUAAAUUGUAGGCUCUUAUAUUGUAUUCAUGAACGGGUUCUAUCCAUUGUUGAAAAAAUAGCAGUAACAGUGUACCCAGAUGACAAAUUCAACUAAAAAUCAUAACUUUACUUACCAAAGUCACCUAUGAAGUAAUGCCAAAGUGCAAAGUGAUGUACGAAAUAAAAUUUCACCUAAAAAAUUGGUCAAGUAAAGUAGCAGCAGUAGCGGUAAAAACAACAACAAUGGCCGACAAGAAGAAGAUGAUGAUGAUAAUGAAGUAAAAGAUGAUGAUAAUGAAGCAGAAGUUGAUGAAUAAAGCAACAGCAAUAAUGAACAACAGAAAUCGCAAAGAGAGAGAAAACAACAAUGGACGAGAAGAAGAGAGAGAAACACUCCUUUUUUCCUCUGUUUCUCGUUAUAUUAACUAACAUUUAGAUCAACGUGUAAAUUUAAAAACUUAUGGGUUAUUUCAAAUUUUUUCAAAUUUCUUAAUCCAUAAUAAAGUAAUUGUCACCUCCACUCGAUUAUUAAGAUUUAAGUCACCUACACCACAUUUUCAAACUCUUUUGUCACUUUUAGCUCAAAGCCCCAUGUGUUAAGCUGGUGUAUUUUUUAAUUCAAUUAGUUAGUAGAAUAUUAUUUUAUUGUUAUCUAGUAAAAUGGAGGAAAACAUCCAAAAAGCAAAAAAAAAAAAAAAUCUUUUAGGCGAUAAAAAAAUAUUACAUCAGCUUAUUUAUAGAUGUUUAUAAGUAUUUAACUUUAAUUUGUUAAUAUUUUCAUAACUUUCAUCUUAUUUAAAAUCUAAACCUAAAUUUAAAAAAAAAAAUCAGAAAAAUACAAUAUUGGACUCGUUUGCCAUAAAUUCAUAAAAUCAGCUGGUAGAAAUCUUUCUUGCCUCUCUCUUUGUUUUACCUUAAAUACAUGAUGAUAGAAUAUUAUUGUUAAGAUGAUUAUUAUUAUGAUUAUAGAAAUUUAUUAUUAAAAAGAUCAAUAAAGAGGAGGAAAAGAUGAGGUGCAAUUAAAAGAAUUAACAAAGUAGUUUUUGAAAUUUUGCAAUGAAGCACAAAUCAAAUAGAAUAAAAUUUCACAAAAUGAAAAUUUAAAAAAAAAAUUAAAAAGGGGCAAAAAAUUCAAAAAAAUAUGAAUUUUUGGUCAAAGAACUAUAUACAUCAUCUUCUAAUUAAUAGACCACAAUUAUAUAUAAAUAGAGAUUGUAUAUUUAAAUGUAAAUGCUUAUAUGAUAAUUAAGUUUUAUGGUAGCCACAAAAUAAUCAGUAUACGUAAAGUUUAAAACUUUGUAGUCAAAUCUUAUUAUUGGAGAGUAUAUAUCUUAUCUUUGGCGAAAUAGCUAAUUGACAACACUAAAAAAAAGCAAUAAUAAGUAUAUUUCUAUUUAUUAAUAAAUCAUUCAAAAAAAUUUACUUUUUAAAACUAAUCUGACCAUCUCUCUUGAUGCAUUAUAGAUUUUUCUUCGUGUUGACAAUGAAAUAAUACGAAACUAAUUUGAUCAUUCUCUCUUUGAAUAUACCAUCAUCAAACUUCCUUCUUCAUCUUGGUGAACUUGUGUUUGGUUCUCAUGCCACAACAAGAAAUUUUGAAUAAAGUCACAUUGCCAAAUUACAUUUUCAAUGUCCCCUCAUUUGGUUAUUGAACACAUGAUUGAUGAAAACAAUGGAAAAAAGUUUCAAAAGGAGAAAAAGAUAUAUACUAAUAAAAAAGAAGAAGGAGAUAUGGAAAUGAACAUCCAACAACUCUAUAGAUUAUGGUUAUUUAUACAUUGAUAAGCCAUAAGAAUAGGCAGAAAGAAGUUUAAAAGGCAUAUUAUUAAGUAGAGAAUACAAAUAGAUGUAGGUUUUUUUAUAACUCAUGAGAUAUAAUUAGGUAUAGUAAAUAUGAUAUAAUUUUUUUAAUUAAUAAAAAAAUAAUUAAUAAAAAGAAUGAAGAGAAAAAUUCAAAAAAAGGAAAAAAUAGAUAAAUAUGAAUGGAGGCCAUAGAGAGGUGCCACAUCACCUUGUCCAUGACUCUCCUUUAUACAUAUGUAUGUAUACAUACAUACAUACAUACAUAUAUAUAUAUAUAUAUAUGUUGAUAGAGCAUAAAGCUUGAUCCCCUCAGCCAGUUUUUCCUCUUGAUCACCAACCUAAAAGAGUAUUUGGAAAGAAGGGAAAGAACAAAAGGUAAGACAACCACCUGGGAAGAAAGACAUUUAUAUAUUUAUAUAUAUAUAUAUAUAUAUAUUUGUAAAUCAUUCAAACUUCUACAUUACACCAAAUUACUUUGACCAUUUUCUUAACGAAGCUUCCAAGACAAUUGAACUUCCUUCUUCAUCUUGAUGAACUCGUACAAAACUGAUGUGAUCAUCUCUUUGAUAAACCUUUGAAGAAUAUCGAAAACAUCAUCUUUGUUAUGUCCUUUCUUUUGAUUAUUAAACACAUGAUUGAUGAAAAAGAUGAAGAAAUAAAAUCAAGAAAGGAGAAAAAUAACUAAAUAAUCGUACUAAUUAAAAAAUUUAGAAAAUAAAAAUUUGCACUCAACAACUCCAUAGAUGAUUGUUAUUUAUAGAUUGGAUAAUCCAAAAGAAUUAGGUAGAAGGGAGUUGGGGAGACAUAAUAUUUAAGUAGAGAAUACAAAUAGAUGGAGGUUUUUUAUAAUUCAUUAGAUUUAAUUAGAAUAGUAAAUAAGAUUGAUCUUUUUUUAUUUGAUAAAGAGAAAAUGGCCAAAAGCACCUCCAACCUCUACUCCAAAUCCCAACUACACACUUAUACUUUGCGGGGGUCCUAUGACCCCCCUGAACUAUUUAAAAGUGGAAUAUAUACCUCCCUGAAUGCUAAGGCGGCACGGUCUAAUUUUUAAUUUUAAUUUAUUUUUUCGAUUGUGUAUUGUUUCAUUUCUUUCUUCUUUCUUUCCUCUUCAACAAAACACCAUGGAUGCUUCUUUCUCUCUUCUUUCUUUCUUUCUUUCUUUCUUUCUUUCUUUCUUUCUUUCUUUCUUUCUUCUCUUCAACAAAAUACCAUGACUGCUCCACACACACACCAAAUUCUGCAAUUUCAUAAAAAAUAAUUCAAUUAACUAUUAUUUCAACACACACCCCCCAAAUGGGUCACCUUCAAUUUCAUCAAAAUAGCAAAAUUAAUAAUUACGUCGACAUUAAUGGAUGCUACAUUAAUGGAUGCUUCUUUCUCUUCUCUCUUCUUUCUUUCUUUCUUUCUUCUCUUAACAAAACACCCUGACUACUCCACGCACACACACCAAAUUCUGCAAUUCCAUAAAAAAUAACUCAAUUAACUAUUAUUUCAACACACACACACCAAAUGGGUCACCUUUAAUUCCAUCAAAAUAGCAAAAUUAACAAUUACAUCGACAUUCCACCAUUCUACUUGCAAUGCAGCAACAACAGAGCUUUUACCAGCCAUUGGUGUUUUUUUUUAUGUCAACAAGCACCAAAUUUUUUCAACAAAAUCUGAUAAUUGUCUCAAAGUUUUUAAUAAAAUCCCUACUACAAUUUGAUGGGAGCGGCAAAAACAACAAAAGGUGGAUAUAAAGGGGCAACAAACAACAAAAUUAAAGUUUUCAUCCUUAUCAACAUGACUCAAUAAAAGAAACCAAGAACCUUUCCACCAACAUUUUUACUCCUAGCCUCUUCAUGGUCCAUGAUACUAGCUGAGGUAGUCAGCACAAUGUACCCGAACUGUUGGGAUAUACAUACGUGCCAUUGAAAUAUUUAGCUUAUGAUCUUGUGGAGUUUAGAAUUGUUUGAUUUGAGGAUCUGUAGAAAUGAAAUUGAGUUGAAGAAGAAAAUGGAACAAAAUGGGGAAUGAGAAAGAGAGAAAUUUUGUUAAGGAGAAAUAAUAUAUAAAGAGAAAAGUAAAUUAAUUAAUUUUUUUUAAAAUGACGUGACAAUGACGUGCAGGUCACUACUUGAAACAAAAUCUGGGUAUGACCUUUUAGAUGGGUAUAUAUUUCAUUUUUAAAAUGUUCAGGGGAGUCAUUGAACCCCUGCAAAGUAUAAGUGUGUAGUUGGGAUUUGGGGUAAAGGUUGGGAGGGCUUUUGACCAUUUUCUCGUAAUAUUAAUAUGAAAGUUAGAAAUGGAAGUGAAAAUUGUGAAAACAACAAAAAGUUGUUUUCAAUAGCUCAAAAAUGAGAAAAGUUUAAUAACAUUGAUGAUAAAAGUUAUUUAAUAUGACUCUCUUUGAUGUUGUGUAUAAUGUUAAGGUGAAUUUUUAAUCUUUAAAAUUAAAAAAAAUGGCUAAAAAAACCACAAAAAAAAAAAUAGCAUCGGAGACCUCUAAGGCAUGCUACAUAGGAUGGGCUAAGAGUCACCUUUAUAUAUAUACUAUUCGGCUUACGCCGUGCUACGCACGCCCCAAUGUUGAUCCUUAAAAAUCCUACAUUAUGUAUAAUUCUAUCAUUUAAUUAAAAUCUUAUUUGUUUGGUUGAUAAAUUCUAAGUUAGACAUAUAUUAUUAUAUUUAAAUUGAUGAAAUUUGUAUAACAAUAUUUUAGGUUGUUCAAACUUCUGUGACAUUGAUAGUCAAUUAUAUUUUUUUAAAAAUAAUCUAAGUUUUUAAUUAUUUUGAUUUAUAAUAUUUUUCUUCUAUUCUUCUAAUUAGAAGUGACAUAGUAAAAUUAUUAUAGCAAAUACUUGUGAAUUUUUUUUAAGUUGUCCCAUAAUACGUCAAGUUAAUUUAAAACGUCAAAAAACAAUUUAUCAUUUUAUGCCUAUUUUAUCUUUUUAUUAAAUAUUAUUAAUUUUUUAAUACUUAAAUGACUUAUAAAAAAUUAAAAAAUAAUUUAUUAUUUUAUGUCUAUUUUAUUUGUUAUUAUAUAUUAUUAAUUUUUUAAUACUUAAAUGACUUAUAAUAAUUAAUUAUGAGUGAUAUAGUAAAAUCACGGUUGAAGCAGCUGAAGCAGCCAUGUCAUAAAUGUCUAUUUUAAAAUUUUUAUUAAAUUUUUUUAAUUUUUUAAUACAUAAAUAACUUAUAGAAAUUAAUUAGGGGUAAUAUAGUAAAAUAAUGGUUGAAGCAGUUGAAGGAGACAUGUCGACCAUGCAGCUUGCUUCGGCUGCUUAUUGUGACAUUAUAUAUACAUAUAUAUAUAUAUAAUUUAUAAUAGUUUUUUGACAUUGUAAUUUACUAUUUUAAGUUGUUAGCCAUUAUAAUUUAUAAUACUCUCCUUGUCCAAAGUUUUGUAGCAUUGAUAGUCAAAUAUUUGUAGAAUAAUUUAAGUUUUUAAUUACUGAAAUUUAUAAUACUUUUCUUCUAUUUCAAUUAAAGUGACACUGAUAUAAUUUCGAGAGUCAAUUAAAUAUCACAACUGAAGUCGGGAAGUAGACAUGUUUUAAAUGACUCAUAAUAACUUAUUAGAAGUGAUAUAAUAAAAUUACUAUAAAAUAUAGCUGUGAGAAAAACUUAAGCAGGCCUCAUAUAAGAUAUCAAGUUAAUUUAAAACAUCAAUAGUUAAUUUAUCUUUUUUUUGUUAAUUUUAUUUUUUUAUUAAAUAUUUUUUGUAAUAUUUAGAUGACUCAUAAUAAUUAAUUAGGGAUGAAAUGGUAAAAUUACGGUUGAAACAACUGAAGCAAACAUGUCAUAAAUGUUAUUUUAGUUUUUUUAUUAAAUAGUAUUAAUGUUUAAUACGUAAAUGACAUAUAAUAAUCUAUUAGGAAAGAACUUGGUCUCUUUAUGCAAUGAGUUUAGUGCCGAGCCCUCCUAAUAUGGAAGAGGUUCAAAAGGCAAUUUUUAGCAUGUCGGCGCGCACUAACCUAAAAAAAGGUCUCCCUCUAUUCCAAUAAAUAGAUAUCCGUGUUAUGAUACAAGUUCACGUUUUUUUUUAAAUGGAUGAGAUCUGCGACCCCUUUAGAAUUCCAGUGUUGCUGGAAGUGGUGUGCUGUGGUAAAAAUGGAGGCAACAUCAGAUUUUUGAAAUAAUGGAUAGCACCAAGUAUAUCCAGAAUAAUUAUCCAAAAAGACUAAUAAAUACUUAUGACCAUUUGAUGAUUGAAAAGGUGAAGGGCCCAUAAAUCAGUAAACACUAAUUGUAAAACAUGAGAACUUUUAUUUAAUCUAUUUGAUAAAGAGAGUUUGUGUGACUUGCCAAGUUGACAAGCGCUACAUAGAGAAGCUAGCCUAGAACUAGAACAAGGUAAAUUAUUAUUGCGAGGACUUGAUUGAGUGCUCGUUGAUGAGGAUGGCCAAGGCGAAGAUGCCAAUAGAAUGAUGAUAGCUUGACAGACACAUAAGCCACGGAAGAGGAGUAUCGGCGAAGUGGAACAGGUAAGUAAUAGAGUCCAUUGUUACUCAGCCCGAAAAGAAGAGGAGUCCUAGUUGUGCGAUCCUUAACAACCAAAUGAUACGGGUGAAAUUAAAAAAAAAAUUAUUGUCAUGAGUGAAUUUUUGAAUGGAUAAAAGAUUCUUGGUGAUAGAAGAAACAUGAAAAACGUUAUUUAGAGGGAAGGAUCGAUUUGAGGAAUUAGAGAGAGUUGCCUUACCAGUAUACUGGAUAGGUAAACUUUGGCCAUUACCAACAUGAAGUUGGUCAUUGCCUCAGUAUUCUUCAUAUUGUGAGAGACUUGAGAGAUUAGGAGUGAUAUGAUGCAUUGCUCCGAAGUCGGGAUAUCAAUUUUGUGUAGAUUGAAUUGGAGCCUGUUAUGCGAGAUGAGUUGCUGGAUUGAUGGAAUGGGCAUAACGUUGAAAGUAAUUUGGCGCUAGAUGAUUCGAGCUAUUACAAAUUGGCAACGCUGCUUGUUUUCAGAGUUCCAGUUACUUCCAGACUGUCAGUUAUUUCCAGAGUAGCUAGGUUGGCGGGAGUUGCGACCAUGACCUCGGAAUGAGUUGUUGUGCUGAUGGCAUUGAAAGUUUGAUGGAGAACGCUGGCCAUGGUUGAACGGGGUUGAGGGGUGAGGUAGGGGUGGCUGGGUGGGGUGAUGAGAGAGAGGAAUGGAUUGGGGGUGACUGGACGGCGGUGAAGGGUGGGGGUAAGGGUGGGUGGCUAGACAGGAGGAAGGGGACUUUUUUAUUUUAUUUUUUAAAUUUAUUAUUUUUAAAUUUUUAAAAAUAUUUUUAAAUUUAAAAAGAUGGAGGAAAAAAAAGGUCCUUUUUUAAUUUUUUAAAUUUUAAUAUUAUUUUUAUUUUUUAAUUAUUUUAAUAUAAAGUUGACCAAAAAUUGACCCCACUCGCACCUUAGGCGCGUGCCUAUAUGCGUGUCAUCCUAAUCAGCCAUUUUAAUGCCACAUAGGUUCGGUCAACAGUCAAAAGAUUUAGAAUAUUAUGUUUUAAUGGGUUCAAGGGUCCAGAUGACAAACAUGUAAGUAGGAGUAUCCAUAUUAUAAUACGGCCAUAGUACAAGGGUCUCCUGAACCAUUUUACUGUAUAUUUAAUCAAAUACUUCUUAAUAUGUUUGUAUGUGUACUCUUUGCAAAAACAAAAUCUUAUUAGAUGUUAUUCUUAAUCUUAUUAGAUGUUAUUCUUUCAUUUUUUCUAAUUUGGUAUGUGUUGACUUGAUAUAAAUCUUAAGAAAAUAUUUAUUAAAAAUUUAUUUUACUAAAUUAAUUUUAUUACAUAUACUUUAAAAUUUAAAUUUUGUUAUGCAUUUCAUAUAAUUAAUGAUAAAAAUAAUAUCAAACUAAAAUAAUUUCUCUUAGUGAAUUAAUUUUGUAAAAUGACUUUAAUACCCUCAAAUUGAUAUUUAAUGCCGAACUAUUUUAAAGUGAAAUUAUUACACCCUUGAAACGUUAUACCCAGUUUUAGAGGAGGCGGUGUAAUACACGCGCCAAUCGCAUUUUUACGCGUAUUUUUUUGUUUAAAAUUAAUUUUUAUUUACUCUCUUCCCCAUUUUUGUCACUUUUCAUCUUUUUUUACCAUUACUUUUCAUCUCUUUUCCUUUUCAGACUUCAUUAUAGCUAUUUCUAUGCAAAUAAUUUUUCGACGACUUUAAAGUGGGAAAUAAUGGAUAAUAUCGAAUUUGAAAUUUCCAAAGAUCUUGAAGUCGGAAAUAAUAAAAAACAUGGAAUUUAAAAUUUCCGACAACCUUGAAGUGGGAAACAAUGAACAAUAUCAAUUUUUAAAUUUUCGACGAUCUUAAAUCCGGAAACAACAAACAAUACCAAUUUCAAAAUUUUUGACGACCUUGAAGCCAGAAACAAUGAACAAUACCGAAUUUAAAAUUUUCGAUGACCUUACAAUCGGAAACAAUAGAGAAUUUUGAUUUUUUCGACGACCUUGAAGUCGGAAACAAUGGACAAUACCCAUUUUAAAAUUUACGACGACCUUGAAGUAGGAAAUAAUGGACAAUAUCAAUUUUAAAAUUUCCGACGAUCUUGAAGUCAGAAGUAAUAAACAACAUCGAUUUAAAAUUUUCGACAACCUUGAAGUGGGAAACAAUGAACAAUAUCAAUUUUUAAAUUUUCGGCGAUCUUAAAUCCGGAAACAACGAACAAUACGAAUUUCAAAAUUUCGACGACCUUGAAGCCGGAAACAAUGAAUAAUACCGAAUUUAAAAUUUUCAAUGACCUUAAAGUCGGAAACAAUAGAGAAUUUUGAAAUUUUUGACGACCUUGAAGUCAGAAACAAUGGACAAUACCUAUUUUAAAAUUUACGACGACCUUAAAGUCAAAAAUAAUGGACAAUAUCGAUUUUGAAAUUUUCGAUGACCUUGAAGUUGGAAACAAUGAAUAAUACCCAUUUUGAAAUUUCCGACGAUCUUGAAGUCGGAACCAAUCGAUUUUGUGCUUGGAGAUGAGGAAGAUGACAAAUUAGUCUUGGAUGUCAUUGAUGAGUUUUUGAAAUUUUUUGUUUGUGAGAAAGAAGAAGAAGAAAGAAAAUAAAUAAAGAAAAAUAAUAAUUAAAAUUAUAUAUAUUUAUGUAAAAGAAACAUUAAAAAUAAAUUUUUAAUAAAGAGAGUGAAACAACACACUCUCAUGCCAUUCAACUUUUAGGAGUGGUAUAAUUUCUGUUUUAAUUAGUUCGGGGGGAGGGAGGGGGUCUUAGACCCCCCGCAAAGUAUAGGUGUGUAGUUAAAAUUUGUGGUAAAAGUUGGGGAAGCUUUUGACCAUUUUCUCAACAAAUAAGCAAUCUAACUUUGAGAGUGCACAUAUAGAUUCCUUAAUUUGAUCUCAAUUGGCAACUAAACACUUGAACUUGUCCUCAUUGUAACUCGCAUACACUUGACACUGAUGUGACAUAAAUUUUGGAGAUAUCCAAAUAAUCAUUUUCUAAAUUGUAGUGUUCGACUAACACAGUGAAAAUGAGUUGAGGUGUUAGAUAUGCAUACUCAAAAUUGAAGUAUUUACUUGUCAGAUAAGAUCAAAUUUGAAUGUCCGAAAGAGCAUGUUAAAACUGGGAUAAGUCGAAAGGAGUUGUUUAUGAAUUACUUGCAUUAUGAAUUACUUGCAUUUCACAAGUAAUUCACAAACAACCCCUUUUGGUUGAUUUCGUCGAGGGAAAAAAACCCCUUUAGGCUCUCGAUUCGCAUUUAACCAUAAACCAUACUAGCUCUUAAGUUCUAUUGUUUCUUACAUGAUGAAAAACUCCUUACAUAAGGAGUCAUGCAUUGUAGACCAAACACACAUGCAUAAGCUUCUUUCUAUAUUUGCAAACUAGACCUACAAGACACAACCUCACAAUACUUAGAUACAAAUAGCUUCUUUCCUAUAUCUACAAACUAGACCUACAAGCUGCAACCACACAAAGUUUAGAUACAAACAUGACAAAGCCUAUGCAUCCUCCGCAUCACUGACACUUGGACGAGUAUCGAUGUAGAAUUCUGUGUCAACUCCGUCAAUGAUCCUAUCUCUGUUAACAGACAACCAGAAAGAGCAUGUAAUGUUAUAUGAAAGAGAUUCAGACACGUUUUGAAUUACAAAUGUUGAACGUGAAUCAACAAGAAAGAAGAUCACACCUUUCAAGAACAAACUUCCCUUCUUUAUACUUCUGGCUUUCCUCGUGUGCAGCCUCCUGCAUGAUAGAAAAGAGAGUGACAGUUGUUAACAAAAUCUCUGGUGUAGGUAAAUCAUGCAUGUGCAAUUGGUAACACAUUUAGAUGGCCAGAGGAGUAACUAUUCUCCUCUUUUUAUCUGUGUGCAUAUUCACAUGUGCACUUGUUUUGGUGUCUAUGUCUGCAUGAGAGAGAGAGAAUUACAUAUUUCCAGCCAACAAUUUGCCCACAACAGCAACAAAAUAUGUCUGCUACUGUGUGCAUCCCAGAAAGCAUCACCCUCUCCUCAUGAGGUCCAAUAGUUACAUUCACCCUGAAUCACAAAAUCAGGCGGACCAGUCAGACCUCUGCAUAUAGAUCAAAUGGAGCACAAUUGCAAAGUGUUGAGAAGGCAGACAGAAAAUGAUGUUGGUAAAUAUAUCAUCCAUUGCACUAUGAAGAAGACCAGAUAAGAAUAUUAUUUAUCUGGAUGAUGUCCUCACCAUUUCUUAGAUUCAUGGACCCAAUUCAAUUCAGUGGGAUUCCUCUCAUUCACAUUUUUUUCCAUCAAGAACGUUUUCUAAAACUCCUCUAAAUACAUCACUUCCUACUGUAAUGUAAACCAAAAACUAUCCUUAUCAACUACAGGUGACUUUUCAGAGAAAAAAAAAAAGUUCAAAGCAAGAUAGGACCACCUUAGGAAAUCACUGCAGAGUGAUCUUUACCAAUUUCUACCAUACAAAACUCAGUUUACGGUUACCUCAUUUAAAGUGAUAAACAUAUAGCAACUGUGUCGAUUUUAUAUACUUCAAUUCAGCAUGCUAUCUAUUGGAUGUAAGUUUGCCUCAGUGGAUUACCUUCUUUUUGUUUUUUAACCAACUUCGCAUAGUAUUCAUCUUCAAACAAAUGAGUAAUGUAAUCAGAGGAUUACUUAUUGAGUUGGAGAUCAAAGUCUUGGGAAUGAAUGUUGAUGAUUGCAACAUAAUACCUAGACAGCCAGGGCUUCUAUGAUCAUCGACCACAGAAAUAGAAAAGAAGUGGUAGUCCUUACCAACUUAAUCUAUAAAACGAAUUUCUUUUUUUUUUUUCCAAACACUCCAUUUUUCUCAUUUUUCUGACCAUGUUUUUUAAAAAUUCACUGUAGUGAGUCCUUCACUUUCAUUACAUUGAUGUGGGUUGCCUCGUAAAUAGCAAUGGAACUUUUCCAUAAAUUGGUACUUCAUAGUAACGGUAAAAUUAGAGAAAAGUUGUGUUAUAUCUAGCAAUCCAAAUUGGGUUAGAAACUAGCUAUUUGUGAAAUCUUUGAAAAAAGAAAAUAUGGGUGGGGGUAGGGGGUUACCAUGUUUUUUUUUUUUAAUAUUUGUCAUAUUAGUUGAUAUUCUAGGGAGUCCAAUUCUAGAAGAUAGGAAGGAUAUGAGGAAAUAUACAUUCCUUGCUUUCGCUUUUCCUCUCAUCCUUUCCCUUUGAAGGAAAAGAAGUUGGAUGCUGCUGCUAGAACAUAAUUGCUCAGUAACAUGAAAUAAAUAUAUGGGGAGCACUAUUGAAAGUUGGGAACUCUUUUGGAUUCAUUAAAUAGUUGCAGUCGCUAGAAAGGAAGUUUUUCCUUCUACAUAUAACAUCUGUCUAGAGGUUAAAAGUUGUAUUACAGUUCAUACAAUGUGAGUUCCCCCAUCCAUUACAAUCUGGAAAACAUGAAGAUGGAUGUGAAAUGCAAUAUGAUUAGUCGCGAACAUGUCGACUGGUAAAUUUAGAGAAUUUGACACAACGGAGGAAGGAUGGAUCAAUUACAUAACAUUGACAAUUAUAAACAUAUCAUAUAAAGAAACGGCAGACAAGGCGGGAUGAUCUGAAACAUAGAAGUUAAUAUAGAAACUAUCUUUUUACAGUAAAAGAUUAAUACUUGGAUGAUCUGAAACAUAGAAGUUAAUAUAGCAAGCAGCAACCAUCUUUUUUCAGUAAAAGAUUAAUACUCCCUCUAUCCCAAUUUAUGUGAAGGUGUUUGACUGGGCACGGAGUUUAAGAAUGAUAGGAAGACUUCUGAAAUAUAAAGUCAAAUGUUACCAAAUAUAGAAAGGUUUCAUUUUUUUUUGGAACUGACAAAAAAGGAAAGAGUCACAUAAAUUGGGACAGAGGGAGUAGAAAAUAUCCUAAUAGUCCAAGUAGAUUACGUAAAGCACAAUCCCACAUGGACUCAACCAUAGAUUAAGCUGCUAUAACAGUUUUCUACCCAAUUAAUUGACUCUUUAUUUUAUAUAUGGUUUGUAAUUUGUAUUGCUUAUUAUUGCUAACUCUCAGGUACUUAUUUAAUUGGAAUCCUUAUUCCAAGGUAGCCAGAAACAUAGUUCAUACGGUCGUUUAAGGACGAACAUAUAUAUCAGUUGGAUAAUGUUUCUUAUUUUGUAUCUCUCUAUCCUUUUUCUUUUGGAAUAAAGUCUUCUUUGGUUUCUUCUGAAUUACAGGAGCAAUCAUUUUAUUUGAAGCUUGCCACCCUAAUUAUAAUGCAACAAUAUCUCACAUUUCCAUAAUAAGAAGUGGAAUUGUUGACUAAAAGUGGUACUCCGUCUGUGUAUAAAUUGUAAGAUACUUUCACCUUGAACUUUGUGGCAUACUAAAAUUUUAAAAAGAUUUCCUAACUUUCUGAAGUGGUAAGAUAUGCUAAGAUCAAAUUCGCAUGAAUAAACUACAAAAAGAAUGCAACAGAUGUAGAUACGCACUCACACUUUAUUGAACAGGUAAGCUUUUCCUCUGCGGCAAUGAAAUCCCUGACCAAAAAACCGACCAUUAGAAAACCAUAAACCAAGCAAGCCAAAAGUGCAAUGCUAUGAAUAAGCAAUCAUAGCAGAAAAUUUCCAGUGCAUAUACCACAAAUAAAGAAAUAUGCCUAUGCUUUGGUAAUUGAAACCAUUGGAUCAAAUCAAUACGGACAAAGAUUGGUUAAAAUGACGAAUCACUCUCCAAGCUUGGUCUAUGAGCAUUUGGUAAUUAAACUUUGCACUUAUUUAUGUGGUGGUCUUCGAGUUUAUAAACAUUGACUAAGGAUAUAAUUGAGAAGCUAUAUGUCAAUAAACAAUAGCACGAACAUGGCAUGUGAAUGUUUAUAGCUAUUCGAGAGAAAAACUUUGGUUAAUUGAUUUUUGGGAUAGAUAGUUAUAAUUGAGAAAAAGAUAAUCAAUAUUUAUAUUCAAAAGUAGAAAUUAACUAAGGAGGGUAAUCUUAAUCCAUGUACAAUAUUCGUUCUGCAUUGAUCAUCCAUUAAAAAAUGUAAGUUAUUCUUCCAUAUACAACAACAACGUACCCAGUGUUAGGAUGUAUGCAGAUCUUCCUUGCCUCAAAAAAAAGUUUUCAAACAAAGGGUGCAGGACAAAUGAUGCUAUGUUAUAUUAUAUGUUCUCUAUGACAACAAAUAUCCGGACAAACGAUAUUAUUAUAAUUAGGUUUGGCUAUACUAUCACAGAGAAUAGCAUGAGAGCAAGUGAAGGAAUUCAAAACGUAACAAAAGCCAGAACAGUAAACCAAAUGGAGAUAUUCGGUUACAAGAUUCAUGCAAAUUGUACAUAAUUCAACCCUUCAAUUGUACCAUAAACAUUUCCAUAUAAAUCAGAAAAUCCAUCGAUCUUGAAAGAAGUUAAAAGCUUCUGUCAACUACUUAGGUUGGAAAUUAAGCUAGGGGACAUGUACUAAACAGGUACAAAUCUCUUACCUAAUGAUGGCAAUCAAAUCACUUCCCACUUGAAGGCCAGUAAGCAUGAAAUUAAGGAUAAGGAUGGCAAUGGGGCACGACAGGACGGGGCAGGGCAGGAUAAAAUGUAAUCUUGAAAGUUUUUAAUGGGGCAUGGCAAGGUCCACAUUAAUAGCUGGGUUGGGUAAAAAAGAGGUGACUCGUGUAUUUUUAUUCUUUUAUUUCCUGAUCCAACAUUUCCUUCGCAAGUCUGCACUUAGCAAUUUAGACUUUGUCUUAUAUAAUAUACCUUUUAUGAUUGUUGGAUGCCAAUUUAGUUGCCACUAUUUAUUAUAAAAUAUUUGUUCUGUCAUAGUUUAAGUCCAAAUAUCUUGCAAAACUGCUAUAAUAGCAUUAUUAUCAUAUCAAUGUUUUUUGAAGUUAAGUUCAUUACAACAACAUACCCAGUGAAAUCCCACAAGUGGGUCUGGGGAGGGUAGGGUGUAUGCAGACCUUACCACUACCUUGUAGAGGUAGAGAGGCUGUUUUCGGAGAACCCUCAGCUCGAGUACAACAAAUCAAAAAUAGUAUGAAAAGGGAAACAAUAGUGAAGCAAACAUAGAAACUAAUAAGGAAAGCAAGUUGUUUUAGUAAUUCAAUUUGAAUUUUACGUGUUGUUGAAUUUCUUGAUCAUUAAGCUUUGUGCAUAUCUUUUUCAGAAGUUAACUCAAGUUCAUUUAGCAAUUCAAAUUGCUUUGUAAGUCUUAAUUAACUGGGAAGCAUUAGUGCAUAUAUCUAUUAGGAGACUAUAUAUAAAAAUGGCAAGACUAUUUCCUUGUUACACUUUUCAUUAGUUUCCAUAAACAUUAUACAUCAUACAUCAUACAGCAAUGAUAAAAAAUCAUACGUUAUUCAGUAGAUAUACAUAGAAACGUUCAUGGGCAAGCCAAUUUCAAAUGUUUCUAUAAAAAGUUGAAAAGGUUUAAAAAAAAAUUAAAAAGCAUACUACCAUAUGAUAAGAGAAAAAGAAUUAGAAAAAGAAAAGUAUAGACGAGGAUGGCUUGGCAGCGGGGGACAGGGCAAUAUUUUUAAAAAACUGCUAUACGGGGCAGGGCAGAGCAGGUUAAAAUUUUAGCGAGUAAAGGCCUACCCUGCCCCCAUUUACAUCCCUGCGUGAAUACCCUACCGAAUCUUAAUUAUCAAGUUGAAUCACUUUCUUCACAGCCCGAAACAAACAGAGCAAAAAGCAUGACUACUCUCUGCACAUAUUUUCAUGUAUUAUUCUAAAUUAUCAAUAUUAUUUUACUAAACUAUAUUCUAUAUAACACGACAUACAAGUGCUGAAAAACUAGCACAAUUACAAGUAGCAAAUGGUCAUGCAAGAAUAUUUCUUUUCAUUCUAGAUGAAUAGCCCUGUUUUGAAGAGUACCCGUAAAGUUCUUGUCAUGUGAUCUGGAGGUCAAACUUUAGAGCUGUGUAAACAGCCUCUUGCAGUAGAAAUGCAAAGUAAGACUGCGUAUAAUUGCAUAAGGUGAGCUUUAGUAAUAGCCCUGUUUUCUGCUUGAGUUAUACUUUUGGAGGCUGUGUAGACACAAACACCAUCUAAUUAUGCAAAACUAAAAACAUCAUAAACUAAUUACUCAAAGAAACAACAAUUCUAAAAAGGCCAACCCAAUGAAAAGCUUAAAAAAAUUAUUUAAAAAAAUUAGGUAGAAAAUAAAAAAGGGGCAAUUGAAGAAAACGGGGUUACCCUAGAAACAACUUCAUCAGCAAGGGCAAGGUGAGUUUUGCAGAAUUUGCACUUGUAUGUUCUGCCUUCAAGAUCUACCACAAAAAUCCUUCCCAUCUUUGAACCACAGAAACAAGAAAAUUGAAUUUUCUCACUUGCGACAGUGAUAGUGUGGGUGUGUGUAUAGUGGGGUUGGGGGUUGGGGCUGGGGAUUAUUAAGGUUAGACGUGCGGUUUGAGGUUAUUUAGGCCACGUAACCAGAGUCAAACUCAAGAUUUGACGUGCGUGGUACAUCAAUGUUGUCAAAGACGUGCCUAAGCUCUGAAACAAUGACUCAAAAUGUAUUAAGUAUUAAUCUCGAUUAAUGUGCGAUUUAGGUUGUAACUUUUCAGGCAUACUUUCCCUUGUCAAUUUGAUUUUCUAUAGAGAUAAUAUUAAACAAUUGAUAUUUCACUUAUAAAAAAAAAAUUUAAUUUUUUUGGUUCAUAUAUUUAUCAUUCAUGCUUAUAUUAUUAGUUUUGAACUAAUAUAUAGUUAUAUUUUUUCUCCCUUUAUGUCUUUUUUCAUUAAAUUUCAUGCUUUAUUUGUACUUUGUGCUUAAACAUAAUAGAUCUUGAAGCUUUUUUGCGCUCUUUGCUUUUGGUAAUAUUGUGGUGCACUAAUAUUAUUUUAAGACAUUAAUAAAACUUUCAGUGUUGAUUAAGGGAUAUUAUCAUAUUCAAUUGGUCGUCAAUUGUAUGAACAAUACUGAAAAUAAAUAUUUAUAUCUAUAUCUAUAAUCUAUAAUCUAUAAUCUAUAUCUAUAUCUAUAAUAUAUCAAAAGUGUGAAGAACCUUAGAAAUGCUGUUUGAACUUUUUGCCCUUUAUUAAAAUUCUUGGGGCUUUGGGCUCUAGGUGACAAAAGAGUUUUAAAAUGAAGUGUGGGUGACACAAGUCUUAAUAAUUGAGUGGAAAGUAAGAAAAGUUUGAAAAUAAUCCACAAGUUUUUUAAUUUACACUUUGAUCCAAUAUAAAACCUAAUAUAACUAGAAAUGGAGGGAAAAAAAGCACGUUUCUCUCUCUUUUCAUUUAUUGGAGUUUUCUCUCUCUUCGUGAUUUUUGUUGUUCAUUGUUGUUGUUGAUUUAUUCAUCAUCAUCUUCUUCAUUAUCAUCAUCUUGUUCUUCAUUAUCAUCUCUUUUUGUUCAUCAUCAUCAUCUUCUUGUUGUUGAACAUUGUUGUUACCGCUACUAUUGCUAUUUGAUUAAAUUUUUUUAGGUCAAAUUUUAUUCGUAUAUCACUUGAGAAUUACUUAUAGGUGAUUUUAUUAAGUAAAAUUAUAAUUUUUAGUUGAAUUUCUCAUCUGGGUGUAUCUGCUACUGCUGUUUUUUCAACAGUAGAUAAAACAUGUAACGUGAAUCCAACAGAUGAGUAAUCUGUUGCACAGACGUGUAAUCAGUUACAACAUAUUGGCUAAUUUGGUGCAACAUAUUGACUAAUCUGUUGCAACAUAUAAGUAAUCUGUUGCAACAUAUAUGACUAAUCUGUUGCAGCAGAUUACUCAUCUGUUGGAUUUGUAUUAUAGUGUUGUAACAUGAAUCCAACAUAUGGGUCAUCUGUUGCAAUAUAUUAGUCAUAUGUUGCAACAGAUUACUCACUUGUUGUAAUAAAUAAUUCAUAUAUUGGAUUCAUGUUGCAGGUUCUAUCCAUUGUAGCAGUAGCAAAUAUACCAAAUAAAAAAUUCAACAAAAAUCAUAAUUAUACUUACAAAAUCACCUAUGAAGUAAUGUCCAAGUGAUAUACGAACAAAAUUUGACUUAAAAAAAUUCUAAAAAUUUCAACAAGGGCACAACGAAUAAGUGAAACACAUGAAAAAUUUCAUGAAACAGGUAAAGAAGACAAAAAUAGUGCAUCAUACAUCAAAUGCAAAAUAAUCGAGGGGACAAACGUUUGAGUUCUCCUAAAAAUAUUUAAGUUCCCUAGCAUUUUAAUUGCUUUCUAAUGGAUAACCCAUUUAUUAUAACAAAUUUUCUAUUUGUUUGAUAAUUUCCAACAGAUGAAUCAUCUGUUGCAACAUGUUAGUCAUCUGUUGAUUCAAAUUAAGCAAUUAUUAGUAAUAACUAAAUUGAUUUAGCUAAAAUUAAAGACAAGUCUUUAAAACAAUGGGACAAAAAUUUGAGUUCUCCUAAAAAUGUUUGAAUUCCCUAGUAUUUUAAUUAUUUUCCAANNNNNNNNNNNNNNNNNNNNNNNNNNNNNNNNNNNNNNNNNNNNNNNNNNNNNNNNNNNNNNNNNNNNNNNNNNNNNNNNNNNNNNNNNNNNNNNNNNNNNNNNNNNNNNNNNNNNNNNNNNNNNNNNNNNNNNNNNNNNNNNNNNNNNNNNNNNNNNNNNNNNNNNNNNNNNNNNNNNNNNNNNNNNNNNNNNNNNNNNNNNNNNNNNNNNNNNNNNNNNNNNNNNNNNNNNNNNNNNNNNNNNNNNNNNNNNNNNNNNNNNNNNNNNNNNNNNNNNNNNNNNNNNNNNNNNNNNNNNNNNNNNNNNNNNNNNNNNNNNNNNNNNNNNNNNNNNNNNNNNNNNNNNNNNNNNNNNNNNNNNNNNNNNNNNNNNNNNNNNNNNNNNNNNNNNNNNNNNNNNNNNNNNNNNNNNNNNNNNNNNNNNNNNNNNNNNNNNNNNNNNNNNNNNNNNNNNNNNNNNNNNNNNNNNNNNNNNNNNNNNNNNNNNNNNNNNNNNNNNNNNNNNNNNNNNNNNNNNNNNNNNNNNNNNNNNNNNNNNNNNNNNNNNNNNNNNNNNNNNNNNNNNNNNNNNNNNNNNNNNNNNNNNNNNNNNNNNNNNNNNNNNNNNNNNNNNNNNNNNNNNNNNNNNNNNNNNNNNNNNNNNNNNNNNNNNNNNNNNNNNNNNNNNNNNNNNNNNNNNNNNNNNNNNNNNNNNNNNNNNNNNNNNNNNNNNNNNNNNNNNNNNNNNNNNNNNNNNNNNNNNNNNNNNNNNNNNNNNNNNNNNNNNNNNNNNNNNNNNNNNNNNNNNNNNNNNNNNNNNNNNNNNNNNNNNNNNNNNNNNNNNNNNNNNNNNNNNNNNNNNNNNNNNNNNNNNNNNNNNNNNNNNNNNNNNNNNNNNNNNNNNNNNNNNNNNNNNNNNNNNNNNNNNNNNNNNNNNNNNNNNNNNNNNNNNNNNNNNNNNNNNNNNNNNNNNNNNNNNNNNNNNNNNNNNNNNNNNNNNNNNNNNNNNNNNNNNNNNNNNNNNNNNNNNNNNNNNNNNNNNNNNNNNNNNNNNNNNNNNNNNNNNNNNNNNNNNNNNNNNNNNNNNNNNNNNNNNNNNNNNNNNNNNNNNNNNNNNNNNNNNNNNNNNNNNNNNNCAAUUUUAUUUGAAAUGAAUCAAAUUAAGCCAUUAUUCGUAAUAACUAAAUUGAUAUAACUAAAAUUAAAGAUGAAUUGAUAAGUUCACUUACAAUUUCAAUUAAUCUCAGAGUAAUUACAUAAUCAACUAUGUGUAUUCGUCUCGAGGAGUGUGAUCAAUUGAUCAAUUUUAUUUCAAAUGAUUCAAAUUAAGUCAUUAUUAGUGAUAAAUAAAUUGAUUUUGACUAAAUUAAAGAUGAAUUGAUAAGUCCACUUACAAUUUCAAUUAAUGUAUUCGUCCUUAAUAGAAUGAUCAAUUGAUAAAUUUUAUUUAAAAUGAUUCAAAUUAAGCAAUUAUUAGUAAUAACUAAAUUGAUUUAACUAAAAUUAAAGACAAGAGCUUAGACAAGGGGACAAACAUUUGAGUUCUCUUAAAAANNNNNNNNNNNNNNNNNNNNNNNNNNNNNNNNNNNNNNNNNNNNNNNNNNNNNNNNNNNNNNNNNNNNNNNNNNNNNNNNNNNNNNNNNNNNNNNNNNNNNNNNNNNNNNNNNNNNNNNNNNNNNNNNNNNNNNNNNNNNNNNNNNNNNNNNNNNNNNNNNNNNNNNNNNNNNNNNNNNNNNNNNNNNNNNNNNNNNNNNNNNNNNNNNNNNNNNNNNNNNNNNNNNNNNNNNNNNNNNNNNNNNNNNNNNNNNNNNNNNNNNNNNNNNNNNNNNNNNNNNNNNNNNNNNNNNNNNNNNNNNNNNNNNNNNNNNNNNNNNNNNNNNNNNNNNNNNNNNNNNNNNNNNNNNNNNNNNNNNNNNNNNNNNNNNNNNNNNNNNNNNNNNNNNNNNNNNNNNNNNNNNNNNNNNNNNNNNNNNNNNNNNNNNNNNNNNNNNNNNNNNNNNNNNNNNNNNNNNNNNNNNNNNNNNNNUUAUUUAACUAGAAUUAAACAUGAAUUAAUAAGUUCAAUUACAGUUUCAAUUAAUCUCAUGGUAAUUACACUAUCAACUAAGUGUGUUCGUCCUGAGUAGAGUGAUCAAUUGAUCAAUUUUAUUUGAAAUGAUUAAAACCAAACCAUAAUUAGAAAUAACUAUAUUGAUUUAACUAAAAUUAAAGAUGAAUUAGUGAUACAAGAUCAAUGGGCUCCACUCCUUUGGGAUCGAUGCUUCAAGGAUCACAUUUAUGGAUCCAAGAUUUGGUUGUUUUAGGGGAACAAAUACGUGUGUGGAUUAUAGCUUGGAGCGCGGGAGAAGCUACACUUGAUGAUGUCAUCCACGAGAGCAUUGAGCCACGACGUGUUUGGAAGAUAGAGUGGGCUUCGAGAGAGCACGGAUACCCAUGACAUUAUUUUAGGCUUUGGGUCACUUUUGGCCCCAAUAGAUUUUAGGGUCACUUUUGGGUCCAUUGUGUAAUAAAGACCCAUGGCCUAUAAAUAUCUAGUUUGCCUUUAUUUUAAAGGGAGAUUUCAGAUGACAUAUUUGUAGCCUCUUUUGAGAGCCUUUUUCAAGGAGAAUCCUUGGGCAAGAUGGAAUCCUUGUGUUGAUGAUUUGCUUAGAAACAAAGAUUGCUUGGGUAUUCCGGUUCCCUUGAGAUCACAUAAGAGAUAGGUUUAGGUUGUGUGUGAUAUUAAAGGUCCAAAAAUGGAAUGAGCUUUUGGAUUGUUAAUAUUACAUCUUCAUUUGUCUAUCUAUCUUUACUUUCUUGUAAUCGUUUAUCUAUAUCUAGUGUAAUCCAAUUGUGUUCUUGUCUUGUAACUGUGUGUUUUUGUUAUUGCAUCUUGUUCAUCAAGUGUUGUUGUUGCUUUUAGUGUGUUUUACUCUUGAUAUCCUUUUCUUUCUUAUUCUUCUUGUGAAUCCGAGAGAGGUCAUCAAAGGGGGUCCUCGAUUUUUCAAAUUGUGACUAUUUUGGUGUAUGUUUUCGUGUCUUCCUUGUCGAUCUUGGAUCAUUUGGUAUCAAAGCCGAGCUUGAUUUUGUUCCUACGAAGUCAAUCUUGGGUUUGUUAUCUUGAAAAUUGCAAAAAAAAAAAGAAGUGUCAAAAUUGAAAUUUUUUUUUAAAAAAGUACUAUUCCCGUUUUUAAUCCUAGAUCAAAAUUUGAUUCUUUCAUUUUGUUGUUUUCUUGUAUUUUUAGUGUUAGAGAAUAAGAAUCUAACACUAUAGGCGUCUAGGGUUCGAAUUUGAGCCAAAUCGGAGUUGAUUUGUGUGUUCUACCCUUGAUGUGGGUUUAAACUUGAAGAAAGAGAGGUGGGUUCAAGAUCUGAAAUUUUUGGUUGAGAAACUGAAAAAAAUUGAUGUUUGGAAUGUGUUUAGAAGGUUGAAAAUAGGCUUGGUUCAAAAUUUCAUCGCAUUCCGAUCAUCGGUUUAAGAGUUAGAGAUUUUUGAAGUUCUUGGUGUUCUUGAGUGUUCUUGAGAAGAUUCAAACCUUCAUCUUGAAUUCUUUUCAAAAGGUGGUGUUUGAUCCUCAAAAUUGAAGAAAAAUUUGUGUUAAGUGCCUAAUUUAUAAGUACCAUGGCUUUGGGAGAUGAGAUCCAACCUAUCUUAAAAGAGGCGAUAAUGAAAGCUCUCAUGGAUUGGCGACAAGAAUUGAAUAGUUGGAAGAAAGAUGGGUCAUGUUUGGAAGGAAACAUGGAAAAGGUGACAUGUCUUGCUACCCAAACCCCACCAAAUAUACCCCAACCACCACAAUUCCACUAACAAACACCUCAUUACCAAAGACCACAUCCAAUUCCACUUCAAGAACAUGUUCCCACUAUAAACCAAGUUCCCGAUGACAUUAUUCAUCCAACCCAAAUCCAAAUUGACAAGACCAAUUCUAACAUAGAACCUUUGUUACUCGCUAACCAAGAUGCUAGCAUUUUACCUAGCAUCACUCCUUCAUUUGUUCAGGUUCAUGAACAAAUAAUAUCAAAGGAGGAUGCAAAAAGAAUGCCAUAUGAAAAUGAGCUUGAAAGCCUAACGGAGUUCUUACCAAAGAAUUCCAAACUUGAAGGUGCAACGACAAGUUGAUAAAGAAGUUGGAUUCGAGGACGAAUCCUCUUCAAGAAAGGGAAGAUGAUACAAGAUCAAUGGGCUCCACUCCUUUGGGAUCUAUGCUUCAAGGAUCAUAUCUAUGGAUCUAAGAUUUGGUUGUUUUUGGGGAACAAAUACGUGUGUGGAUUAUAGCUUGGAGCGCGGGAGAAGCUACAUUGAUGAUAUCAUUCACGGGAGUAUUGAUCCACGACGUGUUUGGAAGAUAGCGUGGGCUUCGAGAGAGCAUGCGCGCCCAUGACAUUAUUUUGGGCUUUGGGUCACUUUUGGGCCCAAUAGCUUUUAGGGUCACUUUUGGGUCCAUUGUGUAAUAAAGACCCAAGGCCUAUAAAUAACUAGUUUGCCUUUAUUUUAAGGGGAGAUUUUAGAUGACAUAUUUGUAGCCUCUUUUGAGAGCCUCUUUCAAGGUGGAAUCCUUAGGCAAGGUGGAAUCCUUGUGUUGAUGAUUUGCCUAGAAACGAAGAUUGCUUGGGUAUUCUAGUUCCCUUGAGGUCACGUAAGAGAUAGGUUUAGGUUGCGUGUGAUAUUAAAGGUCCAAAAGUGGAAUAAGCUUUUGGAUUGUUAAUAUUACAUCUUCAUUUGUCUAUCUAUCUUUACUUUCUUGUAAUCGUUUGUCUAUAUCUAGUGUAAUCCAAUUGUGUUCUUGUCUUGUAACCGUGUGUUUUUGUUAUUGCAUCUUGUUCAUCAAGUGUUGUUGUUGUUUUUAGUGUUUUUUACUAUUGUUAUCAUUUCCUUUCUUGUUCUUCUUGUGAAUCUGAGAGAGUUCAUCAAAGGGGGUCCUCGAUUCUUCAAAUCGUUGACUAUUUUGGUGUAUGUUUUCGUGUCUUCCUUGUCGAUCUUGUAUCAAUUAGUAAGUUGACUUACAAUUUCAAUUAAUUUUAUAGUAACUACAUGAUCAACUAAGUGUUUUGUCUUAAGUAGAAUGAUCAAUUGACCAAUUUUAUUUGAAAUAAUUAAAAUCAAGCAAUUAUUAGUAAUAAUUAAAUUAAUUUAACUAAAAUUAAAGAUGAAUUGAUAANNNNNNNNNNNNNNNNNNNNNNNNNNNNNNNNNNNNNNNNNNNNNNNNNNNNNNNNNNNNNNNNNNNNNNNNNNNNNNNNNNNNNNNNNNNNNNNNNNNNNNGAAAUGAUUCAAAUUAAGCCAUUAUUAGUAAUAGCCAAAUUGAAUUAAUAGUUACAAUUUCAAUUAAUCUCAUAGUAAUUACAUGAUCAUUUAAGUGUAUAACCUAUUACAACGGAUUUAAUCCGUUGCAACAGAUGAGUCAUUUGUUGAAAAUUAUCAAACAGAUACACACAUAUGUUGCAAUAGAUUAGUCAUCUGCUGUAACAAAUGUCUUUAUCUGUUGGUCAUUUCCAACAGAUAACUAAUCUGUUGCAACAUAUGACUUUAUCUGUUUGUUAUUUUCAACAAAUUACUAAUCUGUUGCAAUAGGUAACUAUUCUGUUGCAACAGAUGUCUUUAUCUGUUUGGUCAUUUUCAACAGAUUACUCGUCUUUUGCAGCAUCUUAGUCAUCUAUUGAUUCAUAUUAAGUCAUUAUAUUUGUAAUAACUAAAUUGAUUUUACUAGUAUUAAUAAGUUCAAUUACUGUGUCAAUUAAUUUCAUGGUAAUUACACGAUCAACUAAGUGUGUUCGUCCUGAGUAGAGUGAUCAAUUGACCAAUUUUAUUUGAAAUGAUUCAAACCAAGCCAUAAUUAAAAAUAACUAUAUUGAUUUAACUAAAGUUAAAGAUGAAUUAGUAAGUUCACUUACAAUUUCAAUUAAAUUUAUAAUAAUUACAUGAUCAACUAAGUGUUUCGUCUUAAGUAGAAUGAUUAAUUGACCAAUUUGAUUUGAAAUAAUUAAAAUUAAGUAAUUAUUAGUAAUAACUAAAUUGAUUUAACUAAAAUUAAAGAUAAAUUGACAAUUUAAUCACGAUUUCAAUUAAUCUCAUAGUAAUUGCAUGAUCAUCUAAGUGUAUUCGUCUUGAGUAAAAUGUUAAUUGACCAAUUUUAUUUGAAAUGAUUCGAAUUAAGACAUUAUUAGUAAUAAUAACAUUGAAUUAACUAAAAUUAAAGAUGAACUGAUAAGUUCAAUUAUGAUUUCAAUUAACAUGUUGCAAUAGAUGAGUAAUCUAUUGGAAAAGACCAAAUAGUUAGAGACAUUUGUUGAAAAUGACCAAACGUAUAUAGACAUCUGUUGCAACAGAUGACUAACCUGUUGCAAUAGCUAACCCAUCUAUUGAAAAUUAUCCAACAAAUAUAGACAUCUGUUGCAAUAGAUGACUAAAUUGUUGCAACAUACGACUCAUAUAUUGGAAAUUAUUAAAUAAACAAGAUAUAUGCAAACUCAGAACCAAAAUAAGCCACAGAAUUUAAAAAGUCACCAAAAUAGGUCAUCUAUUUAAAAAGUUACCAAAAUAGGUUAAACGUAAUAAUUUAUUACGUUUUCUAUUUUUUUCUUAACGAUCACUCCUAAAAAAAUAUAAUUCUUGUAUAUAGUAGCAUAUUUGAUCGACGAUAAUUCAACAUUUCACUAUUUUGGAGUAGAGAAAAACUCAAAAGUAUAAUUUUUUNNNNNNNNNNNNNNNNNNNNNNNNNNNNNNNNNNNNNNNNNNNNNNNNNNNNNNNNNNNNNNNNNNNNNNNNNNNNNNNNNNNNNNNNNNNNNNNNNNNNNNNNNNNNNNNNNNNNNNNNNNNNNNNNNNNNNNNNNNNNNNNNNNNNNNNNNNNNNNNNNNNNNNNNNNNNNNNNNNNNNNNNNNNNNNNNNNNNNNNNNNNNNNNNNNNNNNNNNNNNNNNNNNNNNNNNNNNNNNNNNNNNNNNNNNNNNNNNNNNNNNNNNNNNNNNNNNNNNNNNNNNNNNNNNNNNNNNNNNNNNNNNNNNNNNNNNNNNNNNNNNNNNNNNNNNNNNNNNNNNNNNNNNNNNNNNNNNNNNNNNNNNNNNNNNNNNNNNNNNNNNNNNNNNNNNNNNNNNNNNNNNNNNNNNNNNNNNNNNNNNNNNNNNNNNNNNNNNNNUAAAACGUAAGAAUUUCUUACGUUUUACAUUUUUGUAAAACGUAAGAAAUUCUUAUGUUUUUGUAAAAGUCAACUCCGUUAGUUGACCGUUAAGAAAAAAAGUAGAAAAUAUAAUAAAUUAUUACGUUUAGUCUAUUUUGGUAACUUUUUAAAUAGGUGGCCUAUUUUGGUCACUUUUUAAAUUCCGUGGUUCAUUUUGGUUCCGAGUUCGAUAUAUGUUGAAAAGCAAAUUAAAAUACUAAAGCUCAAAUGUUUUUAGCAAAACUCAAACAUUUGUCCCCUUGUCUAAGGUCUUGUAUUAAAGACUUGUCUUCAAUUUUAAUUAAAUUAAUUUAGUUAUUAUUAAUAAUUAUUUAAUUUGAAUCAACAAAUGACUAACCUGUUAUAAACAUCUGUUGCAGUAGAUGACUAACUUGUUGCAACAAUNNNNNNNNNNNNNNNNNNNNNNNNNNNNNNNNNNNUUGCAACAAAUAGAUAAUCUGUUGGAAAAUAAUUAAAAUACUAGGGAACUCAAAUAUUUUUAGGAGAACACAAAUGUUUGUCCCAUUGUCGUAGAGACUUUUUUAAUUUUAGCUAAAUCAAUUUAGUUAUUACUAAUAAUUGCUUAAUUUGAAUCAACAGAUGACUAGAAUGUUGCAUCAGAUGAUUUAUCUGUUGUAAAUUAUCAAACAGAUAGAAAAUCUGUUGUAACAGAUGGGUCAACUAUUAGAAAAUAAUUAAAACAUUAGGAAACUUAAAUGUUUUUAGGAGGAUUCAAAUGUUUGUCCCCUUGAUCCUUUUGCUUUGAUGUAUGGUAUAUUAUUUUUGUCUUCUUUACCUGUUUCAUGAAAUUUUUCAUGUAUUUUACUUAUUCGUUGUGUCCCUGCUGAAAUUUUUUAAAAAAUUUUUAGGUCGUUGAAUUUAUUAUUUGGUGUAUCUACUACUGCUACAAUAGAUAGAACCUGCAUAUGAAUCCAACAUAUGAGUCAUCUAUUGCAACAAGUGAGUAAUUUAUUGCAAUAUAUGACUAAUCUGUUGCAACAGAUGACCCAUAUGUUGGAUUCAUAUUACAACACUAUAAAAUGAAUCCAACAGAUGAGUAAUCUGUUGCAACAGAUUAGUCAUAUAUGUUACAACAGAUUAGUCAUGUGUGUUGCAAUAGAUUACUCAUUUGUUGCAAUAAAUUAAUCAUAUAUAUUGCAACAGAUUAGUCAUAUAUGUUGCAACGGAUUAGACAUAUAUGUUGCAACAUAUUACUAAUCUGUGCAAUAGAUUAGUCAUAUAUGUUGCAACAGAUUACUUUUGCAACAGAUUAGUCAUAUAUGUUGCAACAUAUUACUAAUCUGUGCAAUAUAUUAGUCAUAUAUGUUGCAACAGAUUACUAAUCUGUGCAACAUAGUAGUCAUAUAUGUUGCAACAUAUUAGUCAUAUAUGUUGCAACAAAUACUCAUCUGUUGGAUUAACGUUACAUAUUUUAUCCAUUAUUAAAAAAACAGCAGUAGCAGAUACAUCCAGAUGAGAAAUUCAACUAAAAAAUAACAACAUUAAAAAAAAUAACAAAAAACAUAAAAAAAAUAACAAACACCAACAACACAAGUUUCUCAUUUUCGUCAUAACUUAAAAUCCCUAAUUUUUUACUUGUGAAAAUCGAAAAGAAAUGAUGAAGAACUCGAAGUUGUUGCCGCCGAAGAAUGUUGUCACGUCGACUGACGAUUGAAAGUAAAAAAGGAACGGGCAAGAACUCAAAACUAUUUGUUACCAGAGGUUGAAGUUGCACAAGAUUGAAGGGAGAAAUUUGAAAAGUUGUUGGUUGAAAGAAGUUAAAGAGAGAAACUAUCGAGAGAAAGAGAGAAGAGAGAGAGAUUGAUUUGCAGAGGGAGGAAAGUUUUGUGGGUGUGGGUUAAUUUGUAUUUUUGAAAAGAUUAAAAAGUUUAGAAAAUAUUAAUCAAGUCCACAAUUAACCUAAUCAAGUUUUUUAAUUAUGUUUGACCCUUUAAAUUGGUCAAUGUCACCAAUCCUUCAUUCAAGACUUAAAAGAUACUUUUCCUUCAAUUUUCUCAAAAGUCUUUGCUUUAGACAAAAUCGUCUUUUCACUAUAUUUUUUCUAAUAUUUAAGAGUUGAAAAUUAAUUAAAUGUAUUUAUGAUAAAAUCUUUCCAUAUUAAAAAUCAUCAUGAUUAAUAAUUUUUUCUAAUAUUUAAGUGUUAAAAAUUAAUUAAAUAUAUUUAUGGUAAAGGGUGUGUUUGGUAUGAUGGAAAAUGUUUUCUAGAAAAUGUUUUUCUAUUUUUCCUUGUUUGAUUGUAGUAAAAUAUUGGGAAAACAUUUUCCAAGAUAACUCAUUUUCUUCUAUUUAGGGGAAAGUGACUUCCCUCAUGGACCAAGGGAAGUUAUUUUUCUGAAAAUGACAAAUGUUACUUAUGCCCCCAUCCCCACCCCUCUUCUCCACCCAUAUUCACAUAACUCAAAAAAUUCACAUUUCUAAAAAAUUUACAUUACUCAGAAAUAUUUUUCAUUGUGCUUUAUUUCAAUUUUUCACUGCUUGAAAUAAAAAAUAGUGAAGGCCAAAUUUUUUCCUUUUCCAAUGUUCGUUGAAUGUAUUGUUAUUUCCAUAUGCAUAGAGGAAGACUUACCUAUGUUACUUUUGCUAAUUGCAUAUUUCAUUUUGUCAUCGAUGUAACUUAUUUCACAAGGUUGAAUAAGUUUAUCGUUCCGUUAUAUUUCUAUUGCUUGUAGUAUCUUGAGAUUGUCCUGACAAAAUGUUAAAAAGUGUCUUCUAUAUUUGCUAAUUAAUAGUUUCUUAAAUUUAGUGAUUGUAAUAUUUUAGUAUUCGAUAUUAAUAUUAUUUUCUAUGCUUAAAUUAGUUCUUACAAAUUAUUGAGUUGUUAGAGACACUGAUAUACUAGUUAACAGUUAGUAGUAUUUUCUAAAAAAUAUUUUUGCACUCACCAAUCAAACAUUAGAAAAUAUUUUCUAAAAAAUAUUUUCUACUCACCAACCUAACACCAUAAAAUAUUUUUUGAAAAACAUUUUUCAUUCACCAACUAAACAUGAGAAAAUAAAUUGAAAACCAACUUAUUUUCCAGGAAAUCAUUUUCCAAGAAAAUAUUUCCCAUGAAAAAUAUUUUCCACCAUACCAAACACAAAUCUUUACUUAUUAGAAGUCAACAUAAUUAAUGACAACUAAAACUCUUUUCAUUAGUUUAAGAAUUCUAAAUCAACUAAAUUUGAUUUUAAGAAGAUUUGAAAAAUCUAAAAAUAAAUUUAAAAAGCGUUAGAAUAAAAAAAAAAUUAAGAAGUGCCAAAUUUUAAAAGUUAUAAGUACGUAAUAAGAAUGUAGUUAAUGAUUUUGUAAGAUUUGAUUUUAAAAAUAAGAAAAGAUUUUAAAUAUAGAAACAAAAGAAAAAUAAUUGUAUUAAUACGUUUUUUUUCUGAUAUUUAAGUGUUGAAAAUCAAUUAAAUAUAUUUAUGGUAAAAUCUUUCCUUAUUAAAAGUUAUCAGAAUUAGUGACAACUAAAACUUUUUCCAUUAGUUUAAGAAUUCUAAAUCAACUAAAUUUGAUUUUAAGAAGAUUUCAAAAAUCUAGAAAGAAAUAUAAAAGCGUUAAAAUAAGAAAAAUUAAGAAGUACCAAAUUUUUAAAGUUUUAAGAAAAUAAUAAGAGUGUAAUCGAACAUUUUGUAAGAUUUGACUUUAAAAAAAAGAAAAGAUUUUAAAUGUAGAAAAAAUAAUCGUACCAUAAAUAUGGUUCAAAUUGAUGCGACUCUCUUAGACUCUGUAGCAAGAGAAAGAGGUACUGUAUGACAAACACAAAAGUGAUGAUCAAUCAACCACUCUUCUCCAUUUUAUCACUUUUCAACUUUUUUUUACAAUUACAACCAUAUUAAAUAUUUCAAAUGAUUCCAUUGAAUUUAUGAAGAAAGUUUUUUCAAGUAAUUGAAUGGAAUCUUCCAUUAAUUUUCCAUUGAAACUUGGAAGAUUCAAUUAGCGAGUUCCAUUAAUGGAAUAUUCAAUGAAACUCGCUAAUUGAAAACUCAAUGGAAGAUUCAAUUUCCAUUAAUGGAACUCGGAAGAUUCGGAAAAUUCAUUAAUGGAACUCGAAAGAUUCAGAAAAUUCAAUGUCAUGAUUCAAUUUUCAUUAAUGGAACUCGGAAGAUUCAAAAAAUUCAUUAAUGAAACUCGGAAGAUUCAAAAAAUUUAAUUUCAUGUAUGAAGCUAUUCAAUCUUCCGUUAAUGGAACUCGGAAGAUUCAAUUUCCAUGAAGCUAUUCAAUCUUCCGUUAAUGGAACUCAGAAGAUUCAAUUUCCAUUAAUGAAACUCGUAAUUAAAUUAGCGAGUUUUCGAGUUUGAAUCUUUCGAAUCAUUCAUUGAGUUUCAAUUAGGGAGUUCCAUUAAAUUAUAACCAUUAAGGAAUUUUUCGAGUUCCAUACAUGAAAUUUAAUUCGGAAUCUUUCCAUUAAUUAUAACCAUUAAUCUUUCCGAAUUAUAAUUCCGAGUUUGAAUCCAUUUAUAAUUCCGAGUUCAAAUUAUAAAUGGAACUCAAAAGAUUCGGAAAAAUCUUUCCAUUAAUUAUAACCAUUUCGAGUUCCCUUAAUUUAGAAAGAUUUCGAGUUCCAUACAUGAAUUUUUUUUUCAUGAUUUUUCGAGUUCCAUUAAGAAGAAAGAAGAAUGAAAAAAUAAAUAAAAAUAUAAAACUUUAAAUAAUUGUAAAAUUAAGGGGCUGUUUGGCAAAAAAAAGAGUUUUAAAAUAUUUUUAACACUGUUCAUGCGCUCAAUGCGCGUGAAUCACACGCAGUGUGCCAAGGGGCAGAUAUAUUCCAUUAAAAUACGAAAAAAAAGUCUGGAGGGGGGAGGUAAUAGGACCCCCGAAAAGUUCAGUAUGCUCAACUGUGAAUCCGGCCAAACUUCAAGUAUUUUUGUGGGUAUUAUCCCUUUAAAUUAUGUAUACAGACUCUUUUUUGGGACAAAUUAAAAGAAAAUAUUGUCGUAUAAAAUAAGAUAGAAAACAUAAUAAAUAAAAUAAUAAUUUUAUUCUAUCAUUUUUAUUAAAUCUAUAAUCUAUAUCUAUAUCUAUUUUUAUGUAGCUAUAAAGAAGAAUUUUAAAAUUAAAUUAUUUUAAAUUAUGUAUAAAGACUCUUUUUUGGGAUAGAUUAAAAAGAAAAUAUUGCCGCAUAAAAUAAGAUAGAAAAUAUAAUAAAUAAAAUAAUAAUUUUACUAUAUCAUCUUUUAUUAAAUCUAUAAUCUGUAAUCUAUAUCUAUAUCUAUAUCUGUAUCUAUAUCUAUAUCUAUAUCUAUAUCUAUAACUAUAUUUAUAUUUAUAUCUAUAUCUAUAUCUAUAUCUAUAUGGCAAAAUGAUGUUCUGGACCCCUGUACUAUGUCGAUUUUGUAAGUUGGACACUUCUACUUACAUGUUUGUCAUCUAAACCCUUGAACCCAUUAAAAAACAACAUUUUGCACCCCUUGACCGUUGGCCUCGCCUAUGUGGCACUGAAAUGGUGAUUAGGACAAGGAGAGUGUAGUCACUCGCCUCGGAGUGCGAGUGGAGGUCAAUUUUUGGCCAAUUUUACAUUAAAAUAAUUUUUUAAAAAAUUAAAAUUAAAAAACAAAAUAAAAAAAGAUAUUUUUUUUCCUCCAUCUUUUUAAAUUUUUUUAAAAUAUAAAAAUAAUAAAUUUUUUUUAAAAACCCUUCCCCAUUCCACCCCAGCCCNNNNNNNNNNNNNNNNNNNNNNNNNNNNNNNNNNNNNNNNNNNNNNNNNNNNNNNNNNNNNNNNNNNNNNNNNNNNNNNNNNNNNNNNNNNNNNNNNNNNNNNNNNNNNNNNNNNNNNNNNNNNNNNNNNNNNNNNNNNNNNNNNNNNNNNNNNNNNNNNNNNNNNNNNNNNNNNNNNNNNNNNNNNNNNNNNNNNNNNNNNNNNNNNNNNNNNNNNNNNNNNNNNNNNNNNNNNNNNNNNNNNNNNNNNNNNNNNNNNNNNNNNNNNNNNNNNNNNNNNNNNNNNNNNNNNNNNNNNNNNNNNNNNNNNNNNNNNNNNNNNNNNNNNNNNNNNNNNNNNNNNNNNNNNNNNNNNNNNNNNNNNAAAGUGAGUGAUAGUGAAUAUUGAAAAAAAUUAGUGAAUUUCUCUUUAAAAAAAUUAAACUUUUUGUGAAUUUGUUAAAAAUAUUCAAAUUUAAAAAUAAAAAAUUUAUUGUAUUUGUAUAUAUGAAUUUAUAAUUAAAAAUUUAAAUUAGUUAGAGAAGAAUUUUAAUUAUUUGGAAUGAAUUUGAUGUUUAAUUUGUGAGAAAAAAAAAACAUGAUUAUUCAAAUUUUCUACAAUUUAUAAAUUUUUCUAAUUUAAUUAAAUUAAUUUUAAUAUUUAAUUUGUUAUGUAACAUUUUAAAAAUGACUUGGAAUUUAAUGUAAUACUUUUUUUAUUUCCUUUAUUUUUAUUUUUUAUUUUUUAUUUAUUUAAAAAAAAAUGAUGUGGCAGAUGACGUGGUAGACGUGUCAGGCGUGACUGACGUGGCAACUGACGUGGGAGAGGGUGUAUUACACUCACCAAAAAAGGGUUUAAAAUGUUGUUUUUUAGUGGGUUCAGGGGUCCAGAUGACAAACAUGUAAGUAGAAGUGGCCAACUUACAAAAUCGACAUAGUACAAGGGUCCAGAAGGUCAUUUUGCCUAUCUAUAUCUAUAUCUAUAUCUAUAUGUAUAUCUAUAUCUAUAUCUAUAUCUAUAUCUAUAAUUUAUACCUAUAUCUAUAUCGAUAAUUUAUUAAAAUUGUGAAGGGCCUUAGAAAUGUUGUUUGAACUUUUUGUCCUUCAUUAAAAGAUUUUACUUUAGACAAAAUUAUCUUUUCACUAUUUUUUUUAAUAUUUAAGAGUUGAAAAUCAAUUAAAUAUAUUUAUGAUAAAACCUUAAUAUGUCAUCAGAAUUAAUGACAACUAAUAAUUUUUCAUUAGUUUAAGAAUUUUAAAUCAAGUAAAUUUGAUUUUAAUAAGAUUUGAAAAAUAUAGAAAUAAAUAUAAAAACAUUAGAAUAAGAAAAAUUUAAGAAGUAUCAAAAUUUUAAAAGUUUUAAGUACGUAAUAAGAAUGUAAUCAAUGAUUUUGUAAAGAUUUGACUUUAAAAACAAGAAAUGAUUUUAAAUAUAGAAAAAAUGUCACGACCCAAAAGGCCAUGAGUGACACCCACACUAAUCUUCAUGUGGGAGAACCAUCUAAAUCGAACCAUUACCCAAACACUUAAUCAAUAUUAAGAUGAUAUUAUUAUACAUCAACAUAAAAACAAUAAUCCAGGACUAAUCACUAUUAAUGUGAAAGUCAUACAAACUAUUUACUGAAAUCCAAAAGACCGAAAGUCAUCGUAUAAGAACUACUAAUAAAGAUCAUGUCUAAAGAGAUACCAAAAAAUAAUGUAAAUAAAGAAUAUUUCAUUGCCUGAAAGAUGGACAAGAACAAAUAAGAUGACCCAUGGCAGCCUGGAGACAGAGUGCGCACCCUUGGAUCAAGAUCUGCUAUCAAAUCCUAGAGGUGAGGUCAUGUCUGAAUCUCUAGAACACUUUCUAUACUCAACAAAAGAAGAGUACAGGGUAGUAUCAGUACAAACCACUAUGUAUUGGUAGGUAUCAUAGGCUAACUCAAUUUAAUAGCAUGUACACAACAUAAAUCAAAUAGCAAAUAGACAGGCAUCAUCACAUAAUAAAUAUUCAAUAAAUCAACAAUUCAACAACAACAUGUUAAAAAGUGCUCACAAAUAAGCCACAUAACCAUCAAGAGUAUCAACCAUACUGUAAACAUCCACAGAAUCAACAUAAAUACGUACACACAUGCUAUGAGACUUAUUUUUGCCUAAAUAGUCAUGAACUGCAGGGAACAAUCUAUGUUCAUGUACCGUACCGGCGUGGUACCCAAUUCAACAUAUACAUAUCCGUACGGGCUUGGUACCCAAUCUAACAUAUACAUAUCCGUACCGGUGUGUUACCCGAUCCAAUAUAUACAUAUCCGUACCAGCGUGGUACCCGAUCCAACAUAUACAUAUCCAUAAUGAUGUGGUACCCGAUCCAACAUAUAAAUAUCUGUACGGGCGUGGUACCUGAUCCAACAUAAACAAGUAAUAUCAAUAUCAAAUUUACAUUACCUCACAGCAUACAACACAGUGUACCAAGUUUAUAGGUACACUUAAAGUCAUAAUUCCAUCAAGUAAAUUUUCAAUAAUCAUUUAUACACGCAUUAACAAUCCAAAAAUCAACAAUUUCAAGCAUGUUCAAAAACUAAUCAACAAGUAUCCAACUUAAGAGAAUACACACAAUUAAGUUGAGUCUAAACUCCAAUUAAACCGUAACCUAACUCAACAAAAAAAUUCAAUUUUACUUAGUCUGCAAGAACCUUGCCCUUCCUCGCAACUUCAAAAUGUUCAAAAUCUGUUCAAAUAUAUAAUUCUUAUAAGAGUACGAAUCUAACGACACCCUUUUUAUUAAAUUCUUCCACUUAAAAAAAGAAAGAAUCUAAGCCUAAAACCUAAUUUGUAAAAGAAAAAUACAAUUCUACGUGAUAAGUGAUUUCCCUGAAAAAGAAACUCGGACUGGAACUAGGCAAGAACGAAACCCGUACUGUAAUAGCAUUCAUAAUGCCAAAGAUUUUGCCUUCUACCAUUCCUUAGCCUAUGAUUUGAUUUUCUAAUUGAAUGAUACAAUAAGUAAUGAUUAGUUGUAAUCAUUACAGUGUAUCAUACUUGCAGUAUAUCCCAAUUCGUGUAUUUCCAAUUAUAGAAAGUAAAGAAUCAUACAAUUACUUAGUUUUUAAUAUUCUAUUGCAUUAUUGUGUAUCAAUUAAUUGAAUCUACUCUAACCUCAAAUUGUCAAGCACCUUCUCUUCCCAACUCAAUCACGUGUAAGUUGUCUUUUGUGUGCACUUCUGUUACCAUUCAAAGUUAAACCUACUGACUUUAAUUAAUCUCAAUGUGGGUUAUGGGAGAAGAAAAAUAGUUGUAGUUUUAACCUAUUAUCAUUAAUUAAAUUAAUUAUUUAAAAUACCCAAAAUUUUAAUAAUUCCUCAGAAUUUGUUUGAAAUCCCAUAGAAAUAAAUUAAAUGUGUGUAUUGACUAAAAAGUACUUUCCGAACCUUACUGAAAAUACUAUUGACCAUUAUCGAGUUUAUUGACCAUUAUCGAGUUUAACUUUCUCAACUCAAUAACCCCGUUAGUGACUUAGAUGACUUUCGUGAGUCACAAUCCACGUAUACAAACUACGGAGAGUGCUAAAAUAAAGAAGAUGAGAAAAUUUUACAAAAAAUCGGGAGGGUCGUUACAUCAGAUACCAAUUAAAUACCUGUUCAUCCUCAAACGGAUAAACACAAAACAAUGAGGGAAAUCCAGGAAUUACGGGAAUCCGCAAAAAGAUGUGGAUACUUGCUACACAUUUCUGCUUUGGUUUCCCAAGUGGACUCCUCAAUAGUACGAUUCUUCCACUGGACCUUCACUGACGUAAUCUCCUUAGUCUUCAACUUACGGACAACCAAAUACCUAGAUGAGCCUAUGCUACCCCUACCACCCCAGACUCGGAAGGUUCAAUCAGUAUACAAUAAUAAAAGGCAUAUUCUUCACCCAUAUAUAUGCAACCGUCCUAUACCAGCUGAUAAAUAUAGGUGCAUACUGGUGAUAGGCUAUACGCAUGCAGAAAUAAAUGCAAAGUACACAAUCAAUAUCACAACUCAUCAUCAUAAUCAACCUCCAGCCUUAUCUGAUAUCAACACAUCAUCAAUAGUAUCCUCCGGCCUUGACGGAUAUCAACAUAUUAUAAAUAUAUUCUCUGGCCUUGCCGGGUAUCAACAUCAUCAUAACAGUAUUCUCUGGCCUUGCCGGGUGUCAAUAACAUCACAAUAGUUAUUACUGAAUAACAUACACUAAAAUACUCAUAAGUAUAGUCAUAUCACCAUAGAAUAUCUAUCUAGUCAAUACUUUCCAACUACUCGUUAUUAGCUAACCAAUACUCAUUAUAAUAGAAUCACUAGUUCGCUAGUCAUCACAUAACCCCUAGUUAUUAGCCUAAACAUUAUCCUUCACACAAUCCUUAUUCACGGGAUAACAACUAACCACUAUUUAUUUAAUAGCCAAUAUCAACAUCUAGUCAAGAUUCAUCACUAGACCAAAACUGUCAUUUGUCCAUCAUUCAUUAUUAUCAACUAAUCAUCCUAUAUCCGUUAAUCAUUACUAGAUAAUACAUUACUACUUAUGACCUUACCAUCUUUUAUUAACUGACUCCAUUCAUUAUCUAACAAUCGUUUAUCAACUACUCCUUGCUUAACUAUUCAUUGGUUAACCAUUUAGCAAUGAUUCAAAGUUACUAACUAGUCACCUCUUAUUACCAACAUCUCUUAAUAUCUAACCUCAUUAACAUACAACUCCUCGUUUAUUUACUUAUCGACCUCACAAACUUAGUCAUCAAUACCAACUAAUCUUCACAUAUGCUAGACCCAACCUCACCAUAAGUCAUGCAUUAACCAUCGCUAGCUACUAUGUUUUAACUAAGCAAGUUCAUUAACUAAUACAUUAGAUUCCUAGCCAUCACCAGUAUCCAAUCAAUAAAGUCGUAAGCAACAUACCGCAUCUUCCUCCGUCUCAUACCGGAGAAUGUGUAUGUAUACAUAUAUUUAUUCAUAAACUAUAGUUGUAUCCUUUAUGCUGAUAAACACUUCCCGGAUAUUCAAUCAUUAUCAUAACACAGCCUUUGGCCCAUUAAUUUAUUCAGAAUAGUCACAAUAACAUAAUCACUGCCUUAGGCCGAUAUAUCGAUAAUUAUAUUUAUAAGUCGUAACAUAUCUCUAAUCAUCUCACAUAUAGGAGGUAUCUCACAUAUUGGAGGCAUAAUAUAAAUAAACAUGUUAUCAUCUAUAGGAGAUCUUAUAUCGAUCGAUAGGUCAUACAUCAUGACUAUGAGGAAUAUCACCUCUCUAGGCCAAUUAUCAAGUUUAAGAGGAAAUAGCAUCUCUAUAGGCCACAUAAUGUAUCUAGGAGAAAUAUCAUCUUUAAAUGUCCAAUAUCACUUCCAUAAGAAGUAUCAUAACUAUAACUCAAAGCCCACAAUCCGGGAAUAUCAAUACAAGUUACCAAGUUACGAAGUAACCUUAUUCUAAGGUUUACUAGCCUUAUCUAUGUCUAACAUUAGCAACUAAGUCCACAAGACUUAACAAAAGUUUAGGCCUAAGUGGGCCAGACAAUCGUACUUCUAAUCCUUAAUUUUCAUAAUUAGGCACACUAUGCCUCCAAACUAGGCUAAGGUACCUAGUUCAUCUUCUAGAUAUCAAGUAAGUCAUAUUCAAGCCUAAGAUAGAAGUUUCGACUAGAAACAAGGUAUUCAAGUCAACUCUACCCAACUUACUAUUUCAAGACUACUUCACUAGCCCAAUAAGGAUAAAUAUACAAACCAUGCUUCAAAUACUAAAACCACACCCCAAACAUAGGUUUACAUCAUAACCACGCUACAACUAAUUUGAACUAGAGAGGAAAAUCAAUAGGAUUCAAAAGAGGUAUAGACAUGCCAUUUUAUGGGUGCCAUGAAAUUAGAGCCUACAACACAUUAUCCUCCACAACAUUGUUAAUAUCCAUCUAAUCAUCAUACCUUAACCACUCAAUAAGAAAUAUCUACCAAGUAUCACUCAAGGAAAGAUCAAUCAUGCCAUUUAAUAAUUUAUUUAGUCUCCCAUUCAGGAUCAUCCUUAAUUAUUUUAUGAAUGUAACUAAGCCAUUUGAUUUUGCAUUGCCACUAUCAUGGAAAUUACUAUCCUCUAAAAGUGUCACAUAUCAGCCAACUUUGUGGGACAUGCAAAUGUAUAAUUCAGGCACAAGGUCAAGUCAAUAAUAAUUUAUCUUCUCAAAAUUUUUCCUAAUGCAUAAAUCCACAGCUACAACUUAUGUCUUGACAAUCACUAACUCAAUAUUUUUUCAAUGACAAACACUUUAUGGUCAAGCCAAACCUCUCUUAUGUCACUAACACUAAUUUAAGAUAUACAUAGUCAUUCUUAUUUUUAACUAACAAUAUUUUCAUUACGGGCAUUACUUAACUCUUAAUUACCUGAAGAGUGGUCCCCACACCACUAGCACAUAAGCAAGGCCAAACAAAAUAAAUCGAUUGUAGGUCAUUGACAGUCUCAUCACCAAUAUCAUAUUUCAGACAAGUCAUCGAUCAAAUUCUGUAAGUAUCAACAACCUCUACUAGUUUUUUUUCACUUUUAUUUAAAACUCAUUAUUUUGUAAAGCAUUAAGAAUUUGUUCACAUAAGGAACUUAAAGAUAAUGUCACUUAGCUAGUCCCUAUAAGGAACCCAUUAUAAUUUCAAUAAUAGAACUGCACAAAAAUUCUAAAUACGGUCUCAAUGACCAGAUCACACAAGGAUUUCCAAAUAAUAUCAAAUAAUCGAACUACACAAGGAUCCAUCCACAACAUCAUUAACAAGAGCCUCUCAUUAUGGAAAACACAUAUCACCUUAGUUUUUUAUUCAUGUCACUUUUUCACCAUCUUUUUUUGACAUCAUAUUCUCAUAUCAUCCUCUUAAUUCUCAUACCAUCAAUCUCAUCAGUAUAAUAGUACCAAAAAUACGUAAGCACCAUAGAAUUUCUAGUUUCACAAUAACAAGAAAUCAAAUAAUCCCAUCACAUUUAUCAGCAAAAACAACUUCGUCAAUUUUCAUCACUUAACAAAAAUAAUGCACAAUAAUGAUAAAAAUCUAGCAACACAAGUUUAGCGAAAUAUCAAACACAAGCAAUCAAUAAGUUCACAACUUUCAUAAGUCUUUACCUAUUAAUAAUAAAUUUUAGACCUUAUUAACAGGUACCAAUUGAAAUCUCCUAGAUUUUUAUUCAACAUUAUUAAGAUACUAAUUGGAAUUUUCUAGAUACCAAUUGGAUUCAAUCUAGCAGUCCAAUAUUAGGACGGCCCAAUGGAGAGAAAAAAUGAAUUUUACAUACCUCAUAGCAUUAUGAAGAUUGGGUGCGGGACCCUACAUACUAAUCUACGAACUCUACUUGACAUUAUUUUUAUUAACAGAUUAUUUUUAUUAACAGAUACCAAUUGGAAUCGCCAAGUACCAAUUGAAUUUAAGUAAUAGCUUAUAAAAAAGAAGAAUUUGAAUUUUCCUAGUGUCCUAUAGCCUCUCGAAGAAAAGUACAGACGUCUCCGUACAGUUCUAUAAGAAUCUACUAGACAUGUUCUUGUACGAUGAGAUCGACGAACCUAGGGAUCUGAUACCAGCUUUGUCCCGACCCAAAAGGCCAUGAGUGGCACCCAUGCUACUCUUCAUGUGGGAGAACCAUGUAAAUCGAACCAUUACCCAAACACUUAAUCAAUAUUAAGAUGAUAUUAUUAUAAAUCAAUAUAAUAACAAUAAUUCAGGACUAAUCACUAUUAAUGCAAAAUUCAUACAAACAACUUACUGAAACCCAGAAGACCCAAAAGUCAUCGUACAAGAACUACUAAUAAAGAUCAUGUCUAAAGAGAUGCCCAAAAAUAAAGUAACUAAAGAAUAUUUCAUUGCCUGAAAGAUGGAAAAGAACAAAUAAGAUGACCCAUGGCAGCCUGGAGAUGGAGUGCUCACCCUUGGAUCAAGAUCUACUAUUAAAUUCUAGAGGUGAGGUUAUGUCUGAGUAUCUAGAACACUUUUUGCACUCAACAAAAGAAGAGUACAGGGUAGUAUCAGUACAAACUACUAUGUACUAGUAGGUAUCAUAGGCUAACUCAAUUUAAUAGCAUGUACACAACAUAAAUCAAAUAGCAAGUAGACAAGCAUCGUCACAAAAUAAAUAUUCGAUAAAUCAAUAAUACAGCAACAACAAGUCAAAUAGUGCUCACAAAUAAGCCACAUAACCAUCAAGAGUAUCAACUAUACUGUAAACACCCACAGAAUCAACACAAAUAGUACACACAUGCUAUGGGACUUAUUUUUGCCCAAAUAGUCAUGACCUGCAGGGAACAAUCUAUGUUCAUGUACCGUACCGACGUGGUACCCGAUCCAACAUAUACAUAUCUGUAUGGGCGUGGUACCUGAUCUAACAUAUAAAUAUCCGUACCGAUGUGGUACCUGAUCUAAUAUAUACAUAUCCGUACUGGUGUGGUACCCAAUCCAAUAUAUACAUAUCCAUACAGGUGUGGUAACCGAUCCAACAUAUAAAUAUUUGUACGAGCGUGGUACCCAGUCCAACAUAAACAAGUAAUAUCAAUAUCAAAUUUACAUUACCUCACAACAUACAACAUAGUGUACCAAGUUUACAAGUAUACUUAAAGUCAUUAUUCCAUCAAGUAAAUUUUCAAUAAUCAUUUAUACACGCAUUAACAAUCCAAACAUCAACAAUUUCAAGCAUGUCCGAAAACUAAUCAACAAGUUCCAACUUAGGAGCAUACACACAAUUAAGUUGAGUCUAAACUCCAAUUAAAUUAUAACCUACCUCAACCAACAAAUUCAAUUGUACUUAGUCUGCAAGCACCUUUCCCUUCCUCGCAACUUUAAAAUAUUCAAAAUCUGUUCAAAUAUAUAAUUCUUAUAAGAGUACGAAUCUAACGACACCCUUUUUAUUAAAUUCUUCCACUUAAAAAAAGAAAGACUCUAAGCCUAAAACCUAAUUUGUAAAAAAAAAAUACAAUUCCUACGUGAUAAGUAAUUUCCCAAAAAAAGAAACUUGGAAUAGAACUAGGCUGGAACGAAACCCGUACUGUAAUAGCAUUCAUAAUGCCAAAGAUUUUACCUGCCACCGUUCCUUAGCCUAUGAUUUGAUUUUCUAAUUGAAUGAUACAAUAAGUAAUGAUUAGUUGUAAUCAUUACAGUGGAUCAUACCUGCAGUAUAUCCUAAUUCGUGUAUUUCCAAUUACAGAAAGUAAAGAAUCAUGCAAUUACUUAGUUUUUAAUAUUCUAUUGCAUUAUUGUGUAUUAAUUAAUUGAAUCUGCUCUAACCUCAAACUGUCGAGCACCUUCUCUUCCCAACUCAAUCACGUGUAAGUUGUCUUUUGUGUGCACUUCUGUUACCAUUCAAAGUUAAACCUACUGACUUUAAUUAAUCUCAAUGUGGGUUAUGGGAGAAGAAAAAUAGUUGUAGUUUUAACCUAUUAUCAUUAAUUAAAUUAAUUAUUUAAAAUACCCAAAACUUUUAAUAAUUCCUUAGAAUUUGUUUGAAAUCCCAUAGAAAUAAAUUAAAUGUGUGUAUUGACUAAAAAGUACAUUUCGAACCUUACUAAAAAUACUACGACACUAAUUUGAGGUCGUCUCGAUUAAAGAUUGACCAUUAUCAAGUUUAACUUUCUCAACUCAAUAACCCCGUUAGUGACUUAAAUGACUUUCGUGAGUCAUAAUCCACGUAUACAAACUAUGGAGAGUGCUAAAAUAAAGAAGAUGAGAAAAUUUACAAACAACUGAGAGGGUCGUUACAAAAAAUAAUAAUCAUAUCACAUAUUUAGUUCAAAUUGAUCAUAUCUCAACCUCUAAAGGCAAGGGAAAGAGGUACUGCAUGACAAACACAAAAGUGAUAGAUUAGUCAAUUAUUCAAAACUUCUGGUGGAUAUAUAUAUAUAUGUGUGUGUGUGUGUGUGCUUACACACACACACGCUUAUACUAAAAUAUAUGUUUAGAUUUACAUUAUUAUAUUAAAAUGUGAAGAAUCUUUGAAAAGUGAUUUGAAUUUUUUAUACUUUAUUAAAAUCUCCACAAUAGAUAAAAUAAUUUAAUUUCAAAUAAUCAAACAUUACACGUGCUAUUAACCUAAUAUAAUAAAAUAUUUUAAAAUUAUAUUACAGAAUGACUGUAGUCAAUAAUAAAGGUAAAUUAUCAGUUAAUUGAUGAACCAUCCUUCUUGUUUUUGGAACAAAAUAACCCAGAAACAAGAAUAGAUUUUUGGAGACGCGAAUAGAUUUUUGGUUACUUGUAAUGGUGCGGUGGGACUUUUUGGGUUUUUUAUCCUAUAUAAUAACUGGCAAAGAAGCAAAUGCAGUAGAAUGCUCAUGGUCGACAUGCUGGCUUCAGCUGCUUCAACUGUGAUUUUACUGUAUUAUCUCUGAUUAAUUAUUAUAAGUCAUUUACGUAUUAAAAAAAUUUAAAAUAUUUAAUAAAACUAAAAUAGAUAUUUAUGACAUGACUGUUUUAGCUUCUUCAACCACGAUUUUACUCUAUCACUCAUAAUUAAUUAUUAUAAGUCAUUUAAGUAUUAAAAAAUUAAUAAAAUUUGGUAAAAGAGGUUAAAAUAGACGUAAAAUAAUAAAUUAUUUUUUGACAUUUUUAUAAGUCAUUUAAGUGUUAAAAAAUUAAUAAUAUUUAACAAAAAAGAUAAAAUAAACAUAAAAUAAUAAAUUAUUUUUUAAAUUAACUUGACGCCUUAUAUGCGGCCACUUAAAAAAUAUAAAUUAUUUUUGAUAUUUUAAAUUAGCUUGACAUCUUAUAUGAGACCACUUAUAAAAUUUUCUCAAGUAUUUGUUAUAAUAAUUUUACUAUGUCACUUCUAAUUUAUAGAAUAGAAGAAAAAUAUUAUAAAUCACAGUAAUUGAAAAAAUAAAUUAUUUAAAAAAUAUAAUUGACUAUCAAUGCCGCAAAAUUUUGAACAACUUAAAAUAUUAUUAUACAAAUUUCAUCAAUCUAAAUGUAAUGAUAUAUGCUUAACUUAGAAUGUAUCAACCAAACAAAUAAAAGUUUUAAUUAAAUAAUAGAAUUAUACAUAACGUAGAAUUUUUAAGGAUCAACUUUAAGCUGUGCGUAGCAUAGCGUAAUCCGACUAGUAAGUGUAUGUAGGUGUAAGGAUUUGAAUAGCUUGGACAAAAAAUUAUACUUAAAAAAAACAAAAAAUUAUACUGUUAUUUUUCUUUUGUAAUUUAUUUCUCAAUUUGUUAAAUUUAGAAAGUGCGUUAAAUUUAGGGGGUUAAGGUUUUUCUUUGCUUUCCCGCCCCUGCUAUGCUUUUCCUCCUAUAAUUUUUAGGUAGUUUCUUCUUUAUAUUUAAAGGCGGAGCUAAAGUUUGAGGUUUAGAAAAUUAUAAGACAAAACAAUGAUCUUAAGUUAAUAUAUAUCAACCAUCAAACUAACUAACAAGUACUGAUAUUCUAACUUAUUUAAGAAGAUACAGAUUACUUAAACACAAAAUUUUGGAAAAAGUACAAUUUAGCCAGCUCUGAAAAAAUUGGAAGAAAAAACUUUAAUUUGCCUACACGAGAUCUCACCGGAAACAAUGGCCUUCAUGGCCGAUGGCCAACCUCCAACAUUGGAGAUUGGUCAAGCAACUCUUGAUGAUCCCACAAAACCAAAACCCACUUAUGCUAAUCUAUUACAAACCAAUAAUAAGCCUCAUAAACCACUUCCUCUAAAAGAGAUUUCAUACUUGCAUGGUGAACCACGUAUUAUUUGGGAGGAGGAGGUGGUCAACCAAAUGAUAAUCAAUGAAAAACUACAAUACGUGGUUAUUGGAAAAUUCUCUUAUGGCUGGCCAUAUAUUCAAGAUCUGAGACGUCUAAUCCCAAAACAAUUUGAGUUGAAGGGAGGGGUUAAUAUUGAGAUACUUGGUAGUACGCAUGUUUUGAUAAGAGCUACUAAAAUAGAAGAUUGUGUGCAUUUGUUAUCAAAACUACAGUUCCAUAUUACAAAGAAUUAUUGGUCCUACCCUAUGAGAACUUUGAAAUAGGAUCCAAUGUUUAACCCAGGGGAAGACACUACUACUGCUAUUGCAUGGAUAUCUUUUCCAUCACUGUCUCUUAAUUCUUCGCAAACAAAUCAGUCUUUUCAUUAGCAGUAACUUGUAGGAAACCACUGCAAGUGGAUUUAGCCACUUAGAACAAAACAAGGCCAAGUUGUGCCAGAGUUAAGGUUGAAGUAGAUCUGUUAGGUGAUUUUCCUUAAAGGAUCAACAUUGGUAUGAAAAAGAAGACAAGAAAGGUGAUAGAGAAAUGGAUUCAUAUUAAAUAUGAUUAUGUUCCCAAAUACUAUAAGGAAUGCAAAUUACAGGGACAUAAUGAAAAAGAGUGUUAUGCCAUACAUACAGAGUUAUAUCCAAAGGAUGACGUGGAGGAGGAAGAAGAAAAGAAGACUCAAAAUAAAGAAAAAAAGACUAAAGAAAUUAUUAAGAGAGAUACAGGAAAAGAUAAGGCAUAGAAAGCAACCAAAAAGAAAGGGAUACCAUAGAGUAAGGAAAGAAAAGAGGUGGAAUCAGAAAGACAUACCCAUGAAAGAGUAAGAGGUUACAACUAAUAACAAGUUUGGUGCACUUGAGGAGAAGGAUUCAAUGACUGAUGUUAAUAAAGAUGAAAUAGGAGCAAGUAGCAGGAAAGCAAAUGAUUAAAAACAAAAAAAUCAACAAGAAGGACAUUCUUUGAGUAACAACAAAAUAGGUGACAUAGUUGCAACUCUACAAAGUAGAAAUAAAAGUGCAAAUAUAAGAGGAGACGGGCAGAAAGAGUCACAAAUUUCAGUAAGAGUUAGUGAUAGAGAAACAGGUGACUCAUUUAACAAAGGGCAGAAUGUGACACAAAAAAAAAGACAUAGAAGUUGGGAAUACUAACAAAAUACAUGAAGUGCUGGAAAUAGAAAUAAGGCUGAACAGAUAAAGGGCAUAGAGACGCCUAAAAUACAGAAUUUAACUCAGUAAAAGAAGCAGCAGAGACAGGAUCACGAAGAAGAUGCAGAAAUGGAUGCUAAUAUAGAUCAAAUUGGUAGAGAUGGGGAUUUGUCCCCAAGGAAAAUUGGCUAGUUGAAGGGAGGAAAUUGAAAAGAAAGCAAAAACACUGCAGCCAAAUCACAUAUCAAUACAAGGAGAAAAACAAGUUACCAAUCCAAUAGGGAUCAAUGAUUAAUAAGGUAUUAUUUUGGAAUAUUAGAUCUAUUAGAACUUAAUGUUCAUUUGAGAGACUAAUAGAUCUAAAGAGAAGAAAUAAUUAUUCUUACAUUGGUCUAUUGGAACCUUUUCAAAUUCCUUCAGAAUAAGAUGAAUACAAAAGAAGACUAGGUAUGGCAAAUGCAAAGGAAAACUGUUCAACUAAAAUUAGGGUCUUUUGGGAUGAUGAAUGGCAAGAAAUUGGCUCUUAUGAUUCUUACAAUAGUUAACUUUGGAAUUUAAAUUGACUAAAGGAACAGAAGUUUUCAAAGUAAUUACAGUUUAUGCUAGAUGCAGUCAUUUAGAGAGAUUAGAACUGUGGAAGGAUAUGGAGGAAAUUCUAAAUAAUGCUCAUGUUUCUUGGCUUGUUGGUAGAGAUUUUAAUGUCAUAAUGGAUGAGCUUAAAAAUUUAGGAGGAAUUCAAGUUACACGACAGGAAACUUUGGAUUUUUCGCAGUGUAUAAACUCAUGUGGUUUAAAUGAAUUGAGAUUUACAGGAAGCAGGUUCACUUGGUGGAAUGGGAGAAUUCAGAAGGACUGUAUUUUCAAAAUAUUGGGUAGGGUAUUUGGUAAUAAUGAGCUUAUUUUUUUUGGCGGACUUUAAGCGUUGCUAUAACUUAUUUUAUUUAUCUAUUGCAAUGAUUAAUGUCAAAUGCGACAGUUAUGGUAUUAAAUUAGAGCAAAUAGAACAAUUAUUUUUGGCAACGCUUGCAACCGUUCCAAUAGACAAUCUAUUGCAACACUUUGUUAACGGUCGCCAAAAAAUUCAUUGCCAUAGGGGUAAUUUCCACUAGUGAACUCAUAAUAUAAAAAUAAAAAGGGAUCUUUGGACUCUAUGGGUGAAAAGGGCCCAUGGAUGAACAUCACACAUAUCUUAAACCCAUAAGCUUGAAAGAGAAACACCAAUCUUAAUGCUUUCUUGAAGGUUCUUGUAUUUAGAAACUUGAAUUCUUGGUUUCCUUAGAGAGAAAGUAACAGAAAUUGAUGUUCUUGGGAGGUAAAUAGGGUUUAUUUGAGAGAAAAAUUGAAGAAGAUGGGAAAAUAAUGCCCUAACUGACGUUAUAAUUUGUGAAUUAACUAAUUGAAUUGAGGGGAAAAAACAUAAUUUCCCCUCAGGCAAUUAAAUUCGUAACUGGAACACGGUUUAUAGGGUCGCUGUGAUGCGAUGAGGGUUCCAUCAUUAUUACCACUGGGAUGCAUCUCAAUUGCGAUGAGCUGCUGGAAUCGUGAUCCAAACAUGACCCAAUUCUUGUCCGAAAAAUCCAAUACUUCUCCGAGAUAUGCAUCUUACUCCUCUGAACAUGACAUAACUUUAAAACCAACAUCUCGGGGUUAGUAAGACCAAUUUAAAAAUCAUCAAAGUAAAGAGUCCUUAAAAUGACUAAGUCCCCAAUACUUAGUGAAAUUUUUAGGAAUUAAGCUUCUUAUGCAUGCAACUAGGAGCUGAACUAAGCUAAGUAUAAUACGGGGUAUUAUAAUAUAUCCCCCUGGGAACAGUUAUCCUCGAAUGAGAUUGAUUUAGCUGAGAAUACUGAAGAAACUAAGAUAAUAUACUGAACAUGCAUGACUGAAAACAUGAAUACAUAACUGGGUCUGAAACAUGAUAUAUGAACUGAAUUGAUUUCGUGAAUGCAUGCAAUGACAUGAGAAUAAUUAUAUAGCUGGAAUUGAGAAUGGAAAAUAGUCAAUCUAAGAGGAACUAUUACCUUAAGCUAAGUCUGAGUUUUUAGAGAAAAGGUCAGGGUACUUGGUUUGCAUAUCUGCUUUUGCUUCCUAAGAGGUCCCUCAACGGACUGAUUCCACCAAAGGUUUUUGACCCAAGGAACUUCUUUGUUCCUUAGUCUACAAAUCUGUCAAUCGAGGAUCUCAACUGGGAUUUCUUUGAAGGAAAGGCUACCCUUAACCUUCAUAUCCUCCAAUGGAAUAACCACAGCUGAAUCACCAAUACACUUCUUUAAUAGGGAAAUAUGAAACACUGGAUGUACUGAUGCUAAAUUUGCAAGAAAUUCUAGCUCAUAAGCUACCUUCCUAAAAUGGCUCAGGAUUCUGUAAGGGCCAACACAUCGGGGACUAAGCUCCCCUUCUUGCCGAAUCUCCUUGCUCCCUUUAUGGAAGAGAUAUUCAAAUAAACCCAAUCCCCAACUUUGAAAUUAAGAUCUCAUCUCCUCACAUUUAUGUAAGAUUUCUGACUACUUGGGCUAUCUUAAGCCUCUCCUUACUUAAUUGAACUUUCUCCAUUGCAUCAAACACUGAAUCUAGCCCUAUCAAUGCAGCCUCACCUGCUUCAAACCAACAAAUAGGAGAUCUACAUAUCCUCUCAUAGAGGGUCUCAGAUGGAGCCAUCUGAAUACUGGAUUGAUAACUGUUAUUGUAGGCAAACUCAAUCAAAGGGAAGGAUCAUCCCAACUUUCUUUAAAGUCAAUAACACAUGCUCUCAACAUGUCCCCUCGGGUCUGAAUGAUCCUCUCUGCCUUACCAACUAUCUGAGGAUAAAAAGCUGUACUGAAAUGAAUGUGGGUACCAAGACCCUUCUAAAAAGCCCUCCAAAAGUGAGAGGUAAAUUGAGUACCUCUAUCUGAAAUAAUAGACAAUAAGACUCUAUGCAACCUAACCAAAUAUCUAAUAUAGAGAUUGGCAUAUUCUUCGUUGAAUAAGAAGUAUGAACUAGCAAAAAAUGAGCUUAUUUGGUUAUUCUGUCUAUAAUCACCCAUAUCGAAUCAUGCUGACGAUGCGUAUGAGGCAACCCUAUCACAAAAUCCAUAAUCACCUCUUCCCACUUCUAAGUAAGAAUGCUGAACUCUUGUAAUGUGCCACUAGGCCUCUGGUGUUCAACCUUGACUUACUGAUAGUUUGAACACUUAGUUACGAACUCUAAAAUAUCCCUCUUCAUACCACUCUACCAAUAAUUUCCCACAAAUCACGGUACAUCUUAGUGGCUCCUAGGUGUAAAGAGUAAUGCGCACCAUGCACUUCCACCAAAAUCCACUAUCUUAAAUUAUCAACACAUGGUAUACACAACCUACCUUUACAUUGCAACACACCAUCUCUCAUUUGGGAGAAAACCUCUACCUUCUGAUCUCUAUCUGAUUGCUUCAACUUAACCAAACUGGAAUCCCUAUCUUGAUUUCUUUCGGCAACCAAAGAAGAUUUCGAACCAUUCUGAACCCAUAUACUACCCUCAACUGAAUCAACCAACCGAAUGCCUAAUCUAGAAAGCCGAUGAACCUCCCUGACUGACUUCUUCUUUUCAUCCUCAACAUAAGCAACAUUACCCUUAUACAAUCUACUAAGAGCAUCUACCACUACAUUGGCCUUGCCCGAAUGAUACAACGCACUCAUGUCAAAAUUUUUUAACAACUCAAGCCACCUUCUCUAACAAAGAUUUAAAUCCUUCUAAAAAAAUACAUACUGUAAAAUUUUGUGAUCCAUGAACACAUAAAAAUAAACUCCAUAAAAGUAAUGCCUCCAAAUUUUCAAGGCAAAAACAACAACUUCCAACUCAAGAUCAAGGGUAAUUUUUUUCAUGAGGCUUAAGCUAUCUAGAGGCAUAGGCUAUGACCUUACCUCUCUACAUCAAUACAAAACCAAGACUAACUUUGGAAGAAUCACAGUAAAUAAUGAACCCAUCUAAACCAUUUUGCAAAGUUAAGACUGGGGUUGAGGUGAGUUGAGUCUUCAAUUCCUAAAAACUCUUUUCACAAGAAUCUGUAACUGAAAUUUGACUUUCGUCUGAGUCAGUCAAGACAUGGGGGAUGAAAUAGAUGAAAACCCUUUAAUAAACCAUUAGUAAUAGCCAUCCAAACCCAAGAAGCUCCUGAUAUUUGAUGGAGAGAUAGGUUUGGGCUAGUUUCUUACUAAUUCAGUCUUUUGAGGGUCAACUCUAAUGCCAUUACCAAAAAUACAAUGGCCAAGGAAAGCUACUACAAAACUCACAUUUACUGAAUUUGACGAAUAACUGAUGGGCUCUAAGAGUCUGUAAUACAAUUUUAAAAUGGUCUGCAUGAUCAUUUUCACUAUGGGAGUAUACAUGAAUAUCAUCAAUGAAGAUUAUGAUGAACAUGUCCAAUUACUGCUUGACCACUCUUUUCAUCAGUUCCAUGAAAGUUGCUGGGGCAUUCGUUAGUCCAAAAGACAUAACUAGGAAUUCUAAAUGACCAUACCGAGUUUUAAAGGCUGUCUUCGGAAUGUCAUAUUCCCUAACUCUGAGAUGAUGAUAGUCGGAUCUGAGGUUUAUCUUAGAGAAAUAACUGGCAACCUAAAUUUGAUCGAACAAGUCAUCAAUCAUGGGGAGUGGAUACUUAUUCUUGAUUGUGACUUUUUUCAACUGACGAUAAUCGAUGCACAUUUUGAGAGAACUAUCUUUCUUACGUACCUAUCUUUCUUACGCACGAACAGGACUGGAGUGCCCUACAAGGAAAUACUGGAUCUGAUGAAUACCCUAUAUAAAAGAUGUUUCAAUUGUUCUUUCAACUCUUUGAGCUCAGCUGGCGCCAUUCUGUAGGGCAAAAUAGAGAUAGGCUGGGUAUCUUGAAGGAGAUCUAUUCUAAAGUCAAUUUCCCUUUUAGGAGGAACUCCGGGAAGAUCUUUAGGGAAAAUGUCUGGAAAUUCCCUUACUACUAAAAUAGACUCGAGAUUUGGAGUCUCAAAACUAAAGUCUUUGACUCAAACAAGAUGGUAAAGAUACCCCUUAGUUAUUAUUUUUCUUGCCUUAAGAUAUGAAACAAUUUGAUCCCUAAGCAUGAAGUACUAUCCCUCCAUUUAAUAAUUGGUUUAUUGGGAAAAUAAAAUUAGAUGACUCUAUUUCUAUAGUCAACUGAAGCAUAGCAUGAGUAUAGCCAAUCCAUGCAAAAAAAUAUCAAAAUCAGUCAUCUUUAACUCCACAAGAUCUACUGAAGUGAUUUUCUGGGAUACUGUAACUGAGCAAUUUCUAUAUACUCUUCUGGCUAUGAUUGAGUUACCCAUUGGGGUAGAAAUUGAGAAAUGCUCUGCUAAUAUUUUGGGACUGACACCGAAUUGAUAACUAUAUAGAGGGUUACAAAAAAAAGUAAAGCUCCAGGGUUUAAUAAAACAUACAUAUGAAGAUGAAAAACCAGUUACAUACUCGUAACUACAUCAGGAGAGCAUUCUUAAUAAUGCCAGGACUGGAGUGUGUACAACCUGUUCUGGCGCUGUCUACUGGUUGUAUUGGAAGUGACACCCUGCUGAGUUGGGCGACUGGCUAGAACCUAGGAAUGACUAUGAUGACUAUACUGACCUACCUGUGGGCAUUCUCAGACUCUAUGGCCUGGCUUUUCAUAUCUAAAAGAUACAUCACUGCCAGCCUUACACACACCUUGAUAAUUUUUACCAUAUAUCCCACAGAGUGGAUUAGUACGACCACUGUUCAAACUAUCCUGGGACUUGGUUCCUGGCGUCCUAUCCAAACUCUUAUUUCGAAACUUUAGAACUAGUUGAAGGUAGAGUUGGGGCUAAAAAUUUUUGAUGGAAUUGAGAACAGUUACCACCCUCUGACCUCAGUUGAGAAAAGUUAAAGCUACCUAUUCUGGCCCUCUUAUUCUCUUUCUCUUUCACCUUAAGAUUCUAUUCCUCAAUCUACUGAGCAUGAACUAUAAGCCUAGAUAGGUCUAUCUCCUCGAUCAAUAUAGCAGUCCUACACUCCUUGACCAGAAUAUCAUCUACACCUGAAACAAACUUACUCAUUCUAGAGCUAUUAUCAGCCCCCAUCGAAGGAGCAUACCUUGCCAACUGAGUAAACUUAAGCGAGUAUUCCUUCACACUAAUAUUACCCUACUUCAAUUUAAUGAACUUCGUCACCUUAGCUGUAGUACCCUAAUUCGCUAAACCGGAAUGCUAAACGGUGCUCAUGACCCCGAAGGACCACAAGCUAACCCAUGACUGAUAUCUGCACCUGUAAACUGUAUAAUAUCUCAUAAAAUAUACGGAAACAUGAACUGUAAGGCCAUAAGGUUCAAUACUGAUACAUAUCUGAAAAAUAUGGUAUAAAAAUACCAAAAAGAAACAUAAAUACUGAAGUCUAAACAACUAAUCUGAUAUCUAGUCUAAAAGCCUCUAACUGAACUAAAUAAGGAGUUGAUGGGACAUGUCCCCAACUAACUCUAACUACUGAAAUAAACUAAAAAUUAAAAUAGAAAUGAAAUCAUCAUGUCCUCGAAGGAUGAGGACUCACGUCUAACUCUGACUGCUGAUCCUAGAAUCUACUACUGAUUUGGAGCUCAUGCCUCUGAACCUAUGGUGUAACAUAAGAGAAAGCACCAUAGUGUAAAUCCGUCAGUACGUCUGAAUGUACUGAGUAUACGAGUGAGGUAGGCUAAAUGCAAAGGGUUAUAUGCAUGAAAAAUACUAACUGAUAUGAACGUGAGAGUACAUACAUGCAUACAUAACUGUAACUGAACUCGUGGAGAUACUGACUACUGAGUCUGAAUACUGACAAUAAGAGUGUACUGGUAAUGAGAUUCUGAAAGAUUGAGUUUACUGAUAUUGAUAUGUAAAUCAAUGAUAAGUGAUGGAUCUAAUACUGUAUUACUGAAUACUGGGAGACUGAUACUAUAUUACUGAUAAAGGAAUGAUUGUUUCUGACAAUCGGAAUUAUGAAGAACUGGUCUGAUUGACUGUAUCUGAUAGUCUUGAAGCUGAGUACUGAUAGCAUGAGUUCUGAUAACUGUUGUAAUUGAUAGCAUAAGUGACUGUAUCUAACAGUCUAUAAAUCUAAAGGAAACUAUCUGAGUUCAAUUCUAUUUCUGAGUUGACUGUAUCUGACAGUCCUGAUAUACUGAAAUCUGAAGAACUAUCUGAGUUCUUUACUGAGACUGGGUAGCUAUAGCUGACAGUCAUGAAAUAUGUAACUGAAACUAUAGGAAGUAGUUAUCUAACCGACAUGCCCCAAAUAUGCUAUAAUAGCUAAGCUGGGGUCCAAUCUCUGCCCCGACUGGAGGGGUGUCAAUACCGCGCCACUGGUAAGAAAAGCUGUGAGAACCCUAUACUGAAAGAUACUCAAAUGAGAACGGGCGGAAUCCUAAAUUGAUGGGUUAAGCCACCUCAUCAACCCUAGUCUGACGGGUUAAGAUGUCAUAACCUACGCUGGCUACGUAGUUCUAGAACACAAGUAUGACUACUAAGAAUCACACCCUGAAAUGGUGGGUGAGUUCCCAUCCUUGGGUUCACUCGGUGCUAACUUCUACUCCCAUCUGAAGGACACUAAACUAAAUAACUAAGCUGAACUGAAUAACUAAACUGAACUGAUUAGCUGAACUGAUACUGAUUAACUGGACUGAUACUAGUGGUAUUGUUUAGCAGAGCUAAACUAAGUUUACUGGAUUCCAAUGACUGACGAAAUGUACUGAGUUCUGAGGACUGGUUGAGAGUACUGAAGUUACUAAGAUUGACUGUGAAUACUGAGGUUGCUGAGGUUACUAAGCACUGAGAUUAUUGAGAUUACUAGACUACUGAGAUUACUGAGAUUUCUGAGUUUUCCUGAGUCACAUGACUGACUGAAUUCUAUAGAUCAUGGCUUGACUGAGAGUAUCAUGAAGACAUGACACGACUUUAGGCACACAACUAUAUUUUUUGGGUACAAGUACCCCCAGGACUCGAUGGAAGGAAACUGACACAACUUGAAUUUCUUGAGUACACGACCAUCAAUAAAAAUCCAUAAUACAUGAGUGGGGGAUUUCAUGAAGUACAUGGCUAUCAUAAUAUCUAUCAUGAAUCUCAUAUUUUAAUAUCAUGGGCAUUCCGACAACAUAUACUAUUCAUAGAAAUCUCAUGGAAACCAUUCAAGCGUAAGGGAACGGCAACAUGUAACGUUUAGUUCAUAUUGUAAUGAUUCAGGGAUAUUAUACUUCAUGUAUUUAUUCAACAUCUCAAACAUGGUAGGGAANNNNNNNNNNNNNNNNNNNNNNNNNNNNNNNNNNNNNNNNNNNNNNNNNNNNNNNNNNNNNNNNNNNNNNNNNNNNNNNNNNNNNNNNNNNNNNNNNNNNNNNNNNNNNNNNNNNNNNNNNNNNNNNNNNNNNNNNNNNNNNNNNNNNNNNNNNNNNNNNNNNNNNNNNNNNNNNNNNNNNNNNNNNNNNNNNNNNNNNNNNNNNNNNNNNNNNNNNNNNNNNNNNNNNNNNNNNNNNNNNNNNNNNNNNNNNNNNNNNNNNNNNNNNNNNNNNNNNNNNNNNNNNNNNNNNNNNNNNNNNNNNNNNNNNNNNNNNNNNNNNNNNNNNNNNNNNNNNNNNNNNNNNNNNNNNNNNNNNNNNNNNNNNNNNNNNNNNNNNNNNNNNNNNNNNNNNNNNNNNNNNNNNNNNNNNNNNNNNNNNNNNNNNNNNNNNNNNNNNNNNNNNNNNNNNNNNNNNNNNNNNNNNNNNNNNNNNNNNNNNNNNNNNNNNNNNNNNNNNNNNNNNNNNNNNNNNNNNNNNNNNNNNNNNNNNNNNNNNNNNNNNNNNNNNNNNNNNNNNNNNNNNNNNNNNNNNNNNNNNNNNNNNNNNNNNNNNNNNNNNNNNNNNNNNNNNNNNNNNNNNNNNNNNNNNNNNNNNNNNNNNNNNNNNNNNNNNNNNNNNNNNNNNNNNNNNNNNNNNNNNNNNNNNNNNNNNNNNNNNNNNNNNNNNNNNNNNNNNNNNNNNNNNNNNNNNNNNNNNNNNNNNNNNNNNNNNNNNNNNNNNNNNNNNNNNNNNNNNNNNNNNNNNNNNNNNNNNNNNNNNNNNNNNNNNNNNNNNNNNNNNNNNNNNNNNNNNNNNNNNNNNNNNNNNNNNNNNNNNNNNNNNNNNNNNNNNNNNNNNNNNNNNNNNNNNNNNNNNNNNNNNNNNNNNNNNNNNNNNNNNNNNNNNNNNNNNNNNNNNNNNNNNNNNNNNNNNNNNNNNNNNNNNNNNNNNNNNNNNNNNNNNNNNNNNNNNNNNNNNNNNNNNNNNNNNNNNNNNNNNNNNNNNNNNNNNNNNNNNNNNNNNNNNNNNNNNNNNNNNNNNNNNNNNNNNNNNNNNNNNNNNNNNNNNNNNNNNNNNNNNNNNNNNNNNNNNNNNNNNNNNNNNNNNNNNNNNNNNNNNNNNNNNNNNNNNNNNNNNNNNNNNNNNNNNNNNNNNNNNNNNNNNNNNNACGGGGUAUUACAAUAUCUCCCCCUUGGGAACAUUCAUCCUCGAAUGGAAAUUAACUGAAGCAGGAUAGAUGAUAAGAUGAAGUACAUACAAGAAAUACACUACUGAAACAUGUGUUCAUGACUGGCAUGACUGAAAGCUGAGCACAACAUACUGAACAUGCAUAUCUGAUGCAUGGGAAGCUGAUUCAUGAAUAUAAGACUGAGGAUUCUAAUAAAGUAAGUUUUCUCAAAAUAAGAAUACAUAUCUGAUGCACAACUGAAAGAAUGAAUCCAUGCAUAUCUGAUCCAUGAUUAUAUGACUGACAUAAUACGUAAAUGCAUGACUGAAAGUACUAAUGAGCUGAUCACACAUAUCUGAUGCGUGAAUUCAUGACUAAACUUACUCAUUAACAUGAAAUGGUAAAGGUAUCAAGUUUGAACUGAAAACNNNNNNNNNNNNNNNNNNNNNNNNNNNNNNNNNNNNNNNNNNNNNNNNNNNNNNNNNNNNNNNNNNNNNNNNNACCUUGAACUGAUAAUACCGAUAAGUUUGAGAUUAAUUACUCCAUAUGCAUGAUCGGAAACAUGAGAACAUAACUUAGUCUGGGACAUGGUAGAUAUACUGAAUAUCAUGAUCUGAACUAAAUCUUGAAAACAUGGCAUACAACUGGAGUUAGAGUUUGAGGGUUAAAUUAUGAGUACCCCUUCUCCAAACUGGAUUCAUCAAAAGAAAAUAGAGCAGCAUGUUUAUGUCAUGAAAGUUUAGGGGUAUGAUGUAUCUACCCCUUGGGACACUAUGUCCCUCAAAGAAUACUGACUUGGAUGAGGUACUGAGGGAAAUUGAGGUGAUGCGCAAGACACCUAGGAACUGAGUCAUGACUGAAUAACUAGGAUCUGAAACUGAGACAUGAUACAUGAACUGGGCUGAACACGAGUGUAUAAAUACACUAACUUAUCUAAUUAACUAAAUAACUGAUAGCUGAAUACUGGAUUUGUAAAGCUAAACUGUACUUAGUCUGAAUAGCUGGGCUGAGAUUUUUGAGUUUUAUGCUUAGGAAAUAAGGACUAACUGAGUAUAAUGAGGUAUCUUAGCAUGGAUUCAUGAAUUCUGUAUUAUUUUUGAAUGCGAUACCAAGUAUACGACAUGGCUCUAAGGUAUUCUAUAAACUGGGGUACUGAAACACUGAUAACUAAGUACUGACAACCUAAAUGCUAUGGUUAAGCAUGUCUGGAACUGAACUAAGUUUCAAAUCUGGUUACUGAACUGAAGAUGACAUUAUAACUAAGCCUAUAGCUAGUACAGAAGUACUAAAUUCAAGGACUGAACACUGAUCACUGAGUGCUGGUUACUGAAACUAUAAUUGAGUUGGCAACUGAGUUUUUGAUGGCUACAUGCUGGGGACUGACAUAAGUCAAGGAUCUAAAUGUACACUUACAUUUUGUACUUUCCCAACUUCUAAAUACGACCCCUUGCUAGACAUUUACUUGCAUAUUUAUCAUGAUAUUCAAGACUAUCUUCACAACUACACCCUUGUGCAAAGUAAGCAUGCAACAAUCUUCUCUUAUCUAAACAACUGCUCAUCACUACACUGUUCCAUAAGGAGAGCUAACUGGAGGAGUAAAUCAGAAGGACCUGAAACAUGAAUAGAUACAAACUAAACUAGACACAUGACUGAAACUUGAGGAAUAAAAUAUCAAUAGUUUGGAUUUACCAAUAAGGUCUGAACUGAGGAUAUACAUGAUAUAGAUAAAUGUAUCUGAUCUGUAGGGGCAUAGCAUGAGCCAUGGAAACUAAGUACACUGGAAAGCAUGAUAUGCGUACAUGAGUCAUUAGCUGCAUGACCUGAGUCUAGAGUUUUCUGUACUCGUGGGACAUGAUUCAAAUACUAAGGGAGCUGGAACUGAACCCCUUAUACUGGGAACUGAAGGUGCACAUAAUCCCAUGGAAAGUGUGUAAAAGUAGAUUGUUCUCAUGGAACAUGACUCGUACUGUGGAGUAAAAGGGACUCCUUAUGAUGGAAAUUGAAUUCAUAAUGAUUAUAGUUCGUGACCAUAGAGUUGGUAUGCAAUUCCUGAGUGGAUUUCGUGAUAGCUAAAGUACAAAUCUUUGUACUGAGAAAAGGAUGGGUUGGGAAUCGUCUUCCCUUACUGCUUUUCUAUAUAUACUGGCACUACUACUGGAAUCUUGAGAGUCUGACUUGGUCACUUGAUCUACCAUCACAUACCUAUAUUCUGUUCAACACCUGCCUGUCUUACUAAACACAUCAUCUAAUUCUGUUUUCUCAUAUAAUGCUAAUAUCACAUUCACACCUUCAUGCUUAAUUUUGAGUCAAUAAACUUAAGUGUUUAGCUCGUACUGUUUAAGCCUACUAAUCUAAUCCCCAUGAAUACAUAAUCUGAUAGAAUAAUAUAUCCCAGCUCUACUACUGCUAAACUUCUGGGUUCAAUAAUGAGUUCUCAUAAUCAUGAACAAAAUUUGUACGACCUUGGAACAAUAAUAAACUGAUGGAAUACUGUUUGAGUCUGUUGUUAAUCUCAUAACUGACCGUAGGGACUAUCUGAGAAAGCCCUGUCUUUAGGACUUUGAACUUCACUAUUUCUAUUACCUUGAAAGUAAGGUAAAGUGAACAUGAGGGGUGCAUGAUAUGAAUCUACAUGGUUUCCUUAAAGAAAAUUGCUAUAGCACGAUCUUGAGAUAUGAAAGAAGGGAGACUGUUCCUAAAACAUCUAAUAGCCUUUUGCACAUAAGUGUGGUGCACAACACGUCCAUGUACUAGACUCUACUUGAUGCAGCUUUCAGACUUCUUGACACUGUUGAACCUUAGGCUCUGAUACCAAGUUUGUAACACCCCAAUUCACUGAAUCGGAAUACUAUACGGUGCUCAUGACACCGCUAACCCAUGACUGAUACCUGCACCUAUAAACUGCAUAAUAUCUUAUAAAAUAUGUGGAAAUAUAAACUGUAAGGCCAUAAGGUUCAAUACUAAUAUAUAUCUGAAAAAUAUGGUAUAACAAUACCAAAAAUAAAUAUAAAUACUGAAGUCUGAACAUCUAAUCUGACAUCUAGUCUGAAAGCCUCUAACUGAACUGAAUAAGGAGUUGAUGGGAUAUGUCCCCAACUAACUCCAACUACUAAAANNNNNNNNNNNNNNNNNNNNNNNNNNNNNNNNNNNNNNNNNNNNNNNNNNNNNNNNNNNNNNNNNNNNNNNNNNNNNNNNNNNNNNNNNNNNNNNNNNNNNNNNNNNNNNNNNNNNNNNNNNNNNNNNNNNNNNNNNNNNNNNNNNNNNNUUAUAUGCAUGAAAAAUACUGACUGAUAUGAACGUGAGAGUACAUACAUGCAUACGUAACUGUAACUGAACUCGUGGAGAUACUGACUACUGAGUCUGAAUACUGAUAACAUGAGUGUACUGAUAAUGAUAUUCUAAAAGAUUGAGUUUACUGAUAUUGAUAUGUAAAUCACUAAUAAGUGAUGGAUCUGAUACUGUAUUACUGAAUACUGAAGACUGGUACUAUAUUAUUGAUAAAUGAAUGAUUGUUUCUGACAGUUUGAAUUAUGAAGAACUGGUCUGAUUGACUGUAUCUGACAGUCAUGAAGCUGAGUACUGAUAGCAUGAGUUUUAAUAAUUAUUGUGAUUGAUAGCAUAAGUGACUGUAUCUGAAAAUCCAUAAAUUUGAAGGAAACUAUCUGAGUUCAAUUCUAUUUCUGAGUUGACUGUAUCUGACAGUCCUGAUAUACUGAAAUCUGAAAAACUAUCUGAGUUCUUUACUGAGACUGGGUAGCUAUAGCUGACAGUCCUGAAAUAUAUAACUGAAACUGUGGGAAGUAGUUAUCUAACCGACAUACCCCAAAUAUGCUAUAAUAGCUAAGCUGGGGUCCAAUCUCUGCCCCAACUGGAGGGGUGUCAAUACCGCGCCACUGGUAAGAAAAGCUGUGAGAACCUUAUACUGAAAGUUACUCAAAUGAGAACGGGCAGAAUCCUAAACUAAUGGGUUAAGCCACCUCAUCAACCCUAGUCUGAUGGGUUAAGAUGUCAUAACCUACGUUGGCUACGUAGUUCUAGAACACAAGGAUGACUACUAAGAAUCAUACCCUGAAAUGGCGGGUGAGUUCCAAUCCUUGGGUUCACUUGGUGCUAACUUCUACUCCCAUCUGAAGGACACUGAACUGAAUAACUAAGCUGAACUGAAUAACUGAACUGAACUAAUUAGCUAAACUGAUACUGAUUAAUUGGGCUAAUACUAGUGGUAUUGUUUAGCAGAGCUAAACUAAGUUUACUGGAUUCCAAUGACUGACAGAAUGUACUGAGUUCUGAGGACUGGUUGAGAGUACUGAAGUUACUAAGAUUGACUGUGAGUACUGGGGUUGCUGAGGUUACUAAGCACUGAGAUUAUUGAGAUUACUGGACUACUGAGAUUUCUGAGUUUUCCUGAGUCACAUUACUGACUGAAUUCUAUAGAUCAUGGCUUGACUGAGAGUAUCGUGAAGAUAUGACAUGGCUCUAGGCACACAACUAUAUUUUUUGGGUACAAGUACCCCUAGGACUCGAUGGAAGGAAACUGAUACAACUUGAAUUUCUUGAGUACACGACCAUCAAUAAAAAUCCAUAAUACAUGAGUGGGGGAUUUCAUGAAGUACAUGGUUAUCAUAAUAUCUAUCAUGAAUAGGAAUGCUUAUAAUCAAUUCAUAAAUCUCAUAUUCUAAUAUCAUGGGCAUUCCGACAACAUAUACUAUUCAUAGCAAUCGCAUGGAAACCAUUCAAGCGUAAGGGAACGGCAACAUGUAACGUUUAGUUCAUAUUGUAAUGAUUUGGGGAUAUUAUACUUCAUACUAGGCAUUUUAUCGAACACCUUGCAUGCAUUCUUUAAGGCAUAGGUGAAUUUUAUUCUUGCAUUCUAUCAAUCCAUCUAAAGAUCAUGUUUUUCAACUAACAACAUAACUUUCAUGAGAUAUACAGUCACGAUACUAUUAUAUAGAAAAACAAACAAGCAUCAACAUGGGUAAGAUCAUAUCACCACAAUCAACCAAGCUUUUGUAUUUUAAAGAUUGAUUCUUGAACUUCACGGAUGAAAAAAAUCCGUGGAUGAACACUACGCAUACCUUGGAAGGGAGGUUCUUGAUGAUUGACGAAGGAAUUUCCUUGAAAUUUGAUCUUCAAGCUUGAUUGUGCAACCCUAGUUGUUUUUCUCCUAUGGUGCUCAUGGAUGAUGAGCUUUGAGAUGUUAAUAGGGUUGUAAUGUGUUUAGAAGCUAUAUAUUUCGUAGGGUUAAGUUUAGGGAAGUGUAAGGAGUGUUAAAAGACUUAAUUACCCUCAAAAUAACUCAAAAUAGAGUGUUUUUGGCAUUGGAACUGACUUAGGCGGCGCCUAACCAAUCGCCUAAGUUUGGUUGGGCGGCGCCUAACCAAUCGCCUAUCCUUACUGUCUCUCACAAAAAUGGGCAUAACUUUUUGCUUGGGUAUUGAUUAAGGCAAAAUUGGUAUUGUUGGAAAGCUAAUUCAAUUAUAUACAAUUUGGUAGGUAUAAAUAUGUAGAAAUACCACAUUAACAUUGAGUUAUACUCAUUCAAAGAUGAUCCUUACAAAAUCAAACACUAAAACUUGAUGGAUUCAAAAACUCUUAGCUUGUAUUACCUUAAGUGACUCAUAUGAACAUGCUUAUUAUAUCAUAAGCUAUCUUAUCACUAGGAUACUCAUUGUAAGUCAUGCACUAAAAUGCUACUCAUAGGAUAGGAGGUUUCAUGCGUAGGAAAAAUAGUUCGUCUCCUAUCACGAUGAGCUUCUAAAAUUAUGAUCCAACGUGACCCAAUCCUCAUUUGAAAAAUCCAAAAAUUCUCCAAGACAUGUACCUUACACCAGUGAACAUGACUUAACUUAAAAACCAACGUCUCAGGGUCGAUUAGAAUAAUUCAAAAAUCCUCAAAGUUAAGAGGCCUUAAAAAUGACUAUGUUCUCAACACUUAAGUGAAAUUUUUAGGAAUUAAGCCUCUUAUGCAUGUAACUAGGAGCAGAACUGAGCUAAGAAUAAUACGGGGUAUUACAAUAUCUAAAUUGACUUAUCUUUUAAGAUCAAUUUUUAUCCACCUAGUGUUGAAGACAUUGUGUUGAAUGAUAGUAUAUCAUCUUGUGAAAAUAGUAUUGAUGAACUUGUGUGAGAAAAUUGCCCACCACUUGAGGAUGUGUGUGAUAUGAUUAAUGAACCUUAAGUGAGCGAUGAUGUUGAAAAUAUUGAUCAAGUGAAUAGUAGUAACCCUUUGAGAAUGUCCUCAGUAAAGAUCUUAAUUUUAGUUUGGCUCAUGGGGAUAAUCAUAUGUUUGCAACAUCUUUGAUGCUUGAUAAUUGUCAUUUAGAGAGUGAAAUUGCAUGUUCUACAUCCUCUUCAUAGAUAAACCCUUCUCUCUUUAAGAACAAUAUCUUGUUUAAAGAUGACAAAAUCACUCCUAAUUAAUUACCUAGUGGUGUGGAUAGCAUUGAUGAUGUAGCUCAUCUUGAGGGCUAUAUCUUACAUGACAGUCCACUAUGAUAUGACAACAUUCCUCUUAAAAAUGGAAAUCUCUUCUUGAAAGAUGAGAGUACUCUUAAGGGAAAUGAAUGUGAAGUCUUGGAAAAGAAUAAUCAAUUGGGUGAUGAUAACUUUGAUUUGCUUGAAUAUUUGAGAAACCUAAUUAAUGAUUAUUCCUAUGAAAAUGCAUGUGGUUGUGAUCCUUUGUAUGACACCCCACCUUUGUUUGAUAAUUACGAUAAUGAAUUGCUUGCUUUUUGUGAAAACUUAGGCAAUAAUUCCUUUAAAGUUAGUGGUGUUAUAUGUUUACUUGAGGAUUCUUCCAUUGAAAGAAAAAUUACCAAUUAUUUAGAAAUCGCGUCUUCUUCUUCUACUUUUUGUGCUCCUAUUGUUGAGAAUACUCAUGUCAAUGAUCUAGAAUCUAAUAGUGAGUACAUACAUGAGGACACCUUAGUUAAAGUUGACUUGAGUGAUACCUUUUUAUACUCUUCCUUUAUUUUUGAUGAUGCUUAUGCUAAUGUAGAGAGUAUAUCUUAUAGUUUGGUUAAAGCCUAUGGGGAAAAAGUGUUUUCUAAACCCAUGUCUUUCUCCAUUUUAUCUAUUUGACCUCGGUACCAAAUUUAGAUAUGGUGAUUUUGGCAUACCCAACUUAUUGCUUGGUCUCUAUGACAAACAAAAUUUGAGUGAGGAUGUUGGUAUCCUUCCCUAUGAUGGAAAGUCUUUCUUAGGGAUUUAUGAUCCACUUGAUGGACCAACAUUGUGCAAGGGAAAGAUCUCAAACAAAGAUGAGAGAUUUUUAAAUAAGGGGAGUAGUGAAAAGCUCCAAGAGAGUUCACCAUUGUGUGUUUACACUCUUGACCAAGAUUCCACUACUUGUAGGUUAAGAAGAGAGUCUUCUCUUGAAACUACUUUGGAUGAAUUCCAUUCAUGUGAUACCCUUCUUUAAUACUUGAGUGGAAUUGCUGACCUUCUUCCCAAAGGUGUUAUCAUUCUUAAGAACCCGAGGUCAAAUAUGUCAUUGUGUCCUUUGGGUAUUGCUUAUAAACUUGCAUCCUUGCUUGCCACACUUGUUCUUAAAUUAUGUAACACCCAACUUGUGGAUACCAAGUUGAUUAUUUUCUUGAAAUAAAGAAGUCCUAUGGGCUUAAGUGUCUUAACUCCAUCCUUGUACGCAUCAUGUGCUAAGUAUUGUUAGCCAAAUAAUAUUCUCAUAGAUAAUAGCACCUUGGAUUAUGUUUCUACACUUAAUUCCUUUCUAUACUACCUCUUUACCUAUGAUGAUAUCCAUGCUAGUCUUGGAUGUGUUUCAUGUGAAGGUAGGAAAAUUGUUGGUUUGUCCACUUAUUUGAGUGACAAUGCUAUAUGGAUCUUUUAGACUUUAGAACCAAUUAAGGCACCACACUUGGUGUGGUCUCUUAAAGAGAUAGUGAAACAAUUGUGUCUUAUGGAUCAUAAGGAGAAGGUAGGUAGGAAAAUUAUUGGUUUGUCCACUUGUUUGAGUGACAAUGCUAUAUGGAUCUUGUAGACUUUAGAACCAAUUAAGGCACCACCCUUGGUGUGGUCUCUUAAAGAGAUAAUGAAGCAAUUGUGUCUUAUGGCUCAUAAGGUGAAGGUAGUUCUACCUUUUAGACUAUUUGAUGCCAUUAGGACCUUCAUAGUUUCCUUAUCUCUUGAUUUCCCUAACCAAAUUCUUUGUACAUUUUUCAAUGAAUUUCUAAUGUUUAACAUGAAGGAUCCUUGGUUAUAUCUUAAGUGUGUGCAACUUUGGCAAGAUGCUAUGAUUGAUUGUUCUAACUUUAACCCUCAUGCCACAAGGAUAUUGUGUUUUGUUUGUCCUUUCUUUGGUUUUGCAAGUUUUGGAUUCGAGGUCAAAUCCUUUUCAAGAAAGGGAGGAUGAUACAAGUUAAAUGAGUGUCAAUGUUUUUGAUCAUACAACUCGAGGCCAACAUAAGGAGGUCUAAGCCUUGAUCGCCCUAAGGAUCCAAGAAUGUGCUUGGAGACCCUUUCAUUGAGCUCCUAAUCAAGCAAUGUCAUGUUUGAAAGAUAGCUUGGAGCGAAGGAAAUCCAUGGCACAAUGAAUAAAGAGAGCCCUUGUGGGUAAUUUUCGGAAUAACCACUUUUGGGCUAUUUUUGUAAUAGGCUAGUUGUUCAAAGGAAACUAUUAUAAAUAGGUGCCUUAGAUAUUUCAUUAGUUAGUUUUUGUUUAAUGAUGAUGAUGAAUUCAUGAAAACUCCAUUGGGAGUGUUGAGUGCUUGAAAAAUACAAUGUUGAACCUUAUUUAGAAACGGUGAUUGUAAGGGAGAUCUGAUCCCCCUUUCGGUAGAUGUUAGAGGUAGGUGCUUAUAGGUAAUCAAUAAGGGAGGUCUUUGGGUUUGAUACACCCUUUGGUUGCCCUUUUGUUAUCUUCUUGUGUCUACAUUUCUAUCAUCUAUCCUUUUUAUUGUUUUAUUUUUCGUUUGUCAAUUUCACUGUUUCUUUAGUGUUUUUGUUUGUUCUCGUCGUCGUAGAUUACUCUCGUAUCAAAUAGAAACAUCAAUUUAUAGAAAAAUCUGCAUGUAGAAAAAGAUAUGCAGAAAAAAUUUGUAGUAAAACAACAGAAACAGAUAUGCAAAAGAAUUUGUAAGUUCUGCAAUUUAGAGUUAUCAUGAAAUUUGGCCAAUUCAAGUAAGCAUCGGAAACCUUGACUAAAUCAUGUAAAGUAAUUUUAUAGCUGCACUAGAGUGUAAUUAUCUCUUUUUUUUCUUUAUCUUUUUCGUUUUGAGGUUUAGAAAAAUGAGAAAAGCUGAGGUUGGGUGCCUUUUAUAAUUUUAAAGAGUUUGGAGCAAGUUUUUAAGCCUAAUAAAAUUUACGUAGGUCUAUAUCUAGUUUUCUAAAAUAGAAAUAUGUUUUUUUCUCCCCAACUCAUUCUCUACCUUUUCUCUCCAUGUUCUAAAUCCCUCCAGUCAAUUUCUUUUUCCCCACCUCGAAGCUCUCUAUUCCUCGUUAUCAAGUACGUUAUCUUUUGAUUCUAAAUAUUUUAAGCUCUAUAUUGAUCUUGUUUUUCCUUUUCAGACAAAAGUUCUUGGUUUUUUGACUACUGAUAAAUCUUAAGUUCAUAAAUUUUUGUGUUUUUAUUUAUUUUUUUUGAAAAUUUAAUGUCUUUUUUUGUCAAAACAUAUGUUAAUCUACUCAUCCCGCUUGUUUUGGUCGUCUUUUUUUUUGUUUCUGUUUUGCACCUUGUGAACAGUGAAAUUUUAUUAAAUCUAAAUUAGUACAAAAUUUACAUUAUAUUAAAAUUUAAAAUAUAUUAGUCCAAAUAAAUGUGAUGAAUUAAUAUGGUUGGAUUAAUAAAUUUCAUAAAAGCACAACAUUAGUUUUUAAAGUUACCAAAAAUCCCUUCAGUUUGAAAAAACUACAAAUAUUCCAACUUUAUUAAUUUGGGUUAAAAGUUGAGAUACAUCCUAAUACACCCUUUUUAUUCGAUUUUGACUUUACCAAUUCUUUCUACAUCAAUGACGGAAUUUUGUGGGAGGUUUCAUCCCACAAUUUUCUCCUCUUCUUCACAUUUUUUAAUUAAGGUAUUUUCCCCCAAAUUCAUCUUCACUUUUUUCUUAUUAUGUUCAACGAUUUUUAUCAAAAAUCAAAUUAAACAAAAUCUUAUUCCUUUAGCCCACCCAAUUGACUGUUUGGAGUUUUGUGUUAAAGAUGAUGAUGUUGUCGGUGCUUAAGUUAUGGGUAAAGUCAUUAUUUCGGCAAAGAAAAUUGCCCCUGUUGAGGUUAUUUUCCCCUUGUUUUCCGUCAUCUGUGAUUCAGGUAAACCUCCUAAACCCAACACGGCUCUCCGUCUAUGGAUGAAAUUUGUUUCGUAUGAUAAAACUUCAUUGUACAGAACAGAAAUUGCUUUAGAUCCUCAACAUUUAGGGUAAGACAUACAUAUUUUCCAUUGAGAAAAGGGAGUUCUUUGAAGCUAUACCAAGAUGCUCAUGUUAGCGAUAACUUUAAGUUGCCGGAUAUACAGCUGGAAAACAAUAGCAAGAUUAAUCUUAAGUAAGGCUUGUUUAUAUCUGUUCUUAAAUCUUUCAGAAUCAGCAUUGAACGAGGAAGAAACUGUUACAUAGCUACACUUGGAAACAAUGUAUCCAUUCUCUUUUGCUCCUUGUUGUUGGCAGGUCAGUAACAAGCAUUACCCGAUGAAAUAGACAUGUUGUGAAGAUGAACAAGUUUUAAAUUCAGUUGGUCCUACAAGCAUUUUAAUUAAAUUAAUUAACCUAAUCUCAUAUAAAAUAAGGAUGUUUAAUUUUAUGUCCUUGAGUCUAAUUAUCAACUAAUUACUUGCGGGUACUUUCCGUAUCUUAUACGAAUAUUAUUUAACAACAAUUUCACUUUUCUAGUGAUAACUUUAAGUUGCCGGAUAUACAGAUGGAAAACAUUACAGUUUUUAAACACAACAAAUGCUGGCAAUAUAUAUGUUAUGCAAUUUUGGAGGUUCAUCAUUUGGUUUACAUUGUUGGUUGGUCGGAUUUUCACAAAGUGAAGUUAAUUUGAGAUCCCACCAAGCAAUUGCCACGCGACAAUGCCCACCAAGCCAUUGUUGGGUGAUUCUUCGAAAAGAAGAUCUACCAGUUCAGGAGAUAUAGUUUGUGCAAAAAAAGAAAGAGUUGUUGAAGUUACAACUAUAGAUGCUCCUACCAACGAUAUUACCUGUUUGUUACUGGUCAAGAUUUUAGUCCGAUAUACAUUUUUUAUUACGUUUGCUAUUUUUUCACAUUAUAUCUCUGAGUAUCAAAAACUAUAUAAGUAUGUAUUAUCGUACUAUUUUGUUUGUGUGAAAAAUGCAUAAGAGAGAUACAUAUUAAUAAAGCAAGAGAUACAUCUAUAAUACUUAUAUAUAUAGUAGGUAUCUCUUGAUAUAUAUUUUUUUGGAUUAAUUUUGUGUCUUAGAGAUAUAAGUUAUUACAGAAAGAGAUACAUUUAAGGUUCUUACAUGUUUAGUAUUUAUCUCUUACAAGAUAUGUUAAUAUAUAUAUUACUGUAGAUACAUCAAUUUGCAGGAAUUGUGGACUUUUAUAGCUUUAUUUGUUGAGUAUCUGAGCGAUUAAUUAGAAAUAUCAUGUUCUGGUGUUGUGACAGAAUACCACAUUUGAGAUAUGUAUUCCUAUUAUGAAAGUAUGGAGCUGAUAAGGCGGAGAACAAUUACUUAAGUGACAAUGACGACCCACCGAGGCCUAAACUAACCAUCAUGCAACCAGUUGUAAGAAAAGACGUUUUUAGUCUUGAAUAGUUGUAGUUAUCUUUGUUAUGUUUAACCUUUAAUUAAUAUUUUGUCUUUUUUUAGAUACAAGUCUAUCUACAAUAAUAUUUCAGUUGUCUUUUGUGGGUUUUUUUGUGUUGAACUAAAGUAGACAUGUUUUGUUUAAAGAUUAUGUUUUAUUAAGAAGUAAUUCAAUUUUUUUCUUUAAAUAAGUGUUCCAAAUGCUGUAGAUAUUUGAUUACUGUGGUUGAUUUUUUUAUCUGAUAUUAAAACUUUUUUUAUUUUAGUAAGUGUUCCAACUGGUAGAAAUAUUACAGAUUUCUAUGAUAUAUAUAUAUUACCAAAAAGAGAUAUAUCUAUUAAGGGAAAAGACAUUAUUUCCACCCCAUACUAUACAAGAAAAGUUUAUGCCACACCUAAAUUAUAUAAGUGACCUAUUACACACCUUAACUAUAUAAAAGUGAUAUUAUUACCUCCCCGUGACCCCCAUUCUAAGGCGCGUAUGUUACACUUAUUUUAGGCUCGUUCAGCCUAUUAGAUAACAAAAGUAAAUGGCUAAAAACAUUAAGGGAAAAGGCAUCGUUUCCACCCCAAACUAUCAUCGAAAAGUCGAAUCCACACCUAAACUAUAUAAGUGACCUAUUACACACCUUAACUAUAAAAAAGUGAUACUUUUUACUGAUGUGGUGCUGACGUGGCAGUGCGUGUAAAACACUAUACCACAUGCAAGUGGUGGUAGCCUGUUACUUCGACUUUUCGGGUAUAGUUUGGGGUGGAAACAAUGCCUUUUUCCUAUCUAUUAAUAUAUAAGAGAUACAUUCAAAAACAUAUCAGAAAAUAUUAUUAGAUAUGUAUUAACAGAAAGAGAUACAAGAUUAUAUACCAACCGAUACAUAUAAAUUAAACAAGUAGAUGGUAUUAUGAUUACAUCACUAAUAUAUUAUAUACAACAAUAAUUCAGUUAUAUAUUUUUGUAUCACUUUAUUAUAUAUCACUUUAUUAUAUAUGCAUAUGAUUAUACACAUACAUGUGUCUAUCAAGAUUUUAUGUAUCUCUUGAAAAACUUAUUAAUCUGAAUAAAAUAUUAUAAAUAUUUACCUUUCUGCGUACUCAAGUUAAUACAUAAUUACAUUACAAUUCAAUGAAGGGAUGCUUAAUGUUUAAAAUCAUUAUGUAUCUAAUAUCCACAAUCAAAGAAAUAUAUUUUAUGGAAGUAAUAAAACAUGAUAAACAAUCAGUUAAACACAUAGUUUUGUAUGGUUUAACAUGAUACUGUAAAACAUAUUCACAUAUACGAAAUUUUAUUUAAUGAAAGUAAAAUAAUGAAUUUAUUUAGCCAAAUGUUAUUCAUAAAAGUCUCAAAACAAGCAUAAACUUCUUAAACAAUGAAUUCCAAAUAUAUAAAUAAAAAAAAUAACCUACUAAGAAUUAGUCUCUCUUAUUCAUAAUCCGACAUCAAGGUCACUCCUCUUUUUGAAAAAAAUUACAAGUACGUAUGUUGGUCCUUGACAGAAAUCAGUAUUGUGAUUAAGAGAUACAUUAACAAAAUUCAGCACUGAUGGUAUUAUGAUUACAUCAAUAUUUAACAUCAGUAUUGACCACACAUCUAGCAUACCUUGACAGAAAUCAGAGUUUUCUUGUCCUUGUAGAUUUGACCAACCUUAACUUUAUUAUUGUUGAAAUCUGAAAUAAUAUUUUUCAUCUUCACAUCGACCAAAGACAACGUAUUCAAACAAUCAAAAUUAUCAACAAUUGUUUAUGUAACUUCUUUACAAGAAUUCUCCAAACACAUAACUACCCCGGUUUCACCGUCAAACAUCUUUCUUUCAUUUUUAUUGAUUGUAGUGAUGUAUAGUGGAUACAUCCCAAAAUCGAAUACACUUCUCUUAACCUCAAUAUAAAGCUUUGCACCCAUAUCAUUACGAAUCAACAUGAAGUUGCAUUACCAUCAACAACAUUUUGAGCCUUAAUUUUUUCUGCUUUCAUCAAUUUCAAGUCUACGACAAUAGCGAAAAUCAAUUUUUCAUACUUAACAGGUUCGACUACAAUGAUGACAUCACUCUUAUAGCCCUCAUACUUGAUAUCAUUAAUCCAAACACCGAAAUGACGCAAUAAUACAAAAAUAUUCAUUGAAAAUAGUUCAAAAAAGAAUAAAGAACCAUGAAAAAAAUAAGAAGCAAAAUAAGUCUGCAAAAUGGUUAUGGUAAUGAAUUUGUCCAAAAUUGAAAUUAAUAAUAGAUUACCAUUUUGGGGGGGAUUUUCUUUAGUUAUCUAGAAGAUUGGUUAAGCUAAUUGAUAAUUUAAUGAUUUACUAACUAUUACAUCCCUUGAUUUAAGCUAACCAAUCCUUGAUUUAAGUUAACCAGUUAAAUAAUAAGAUGUAUCAUUAAGAUGUAUCUCGCUUAGUUUGUAUGUAUCUGAAAUAAAAAAAGAGAGAUGUUAUAAAAUUUUGAAAAAAAAGUCGGGAUAACAUGUAAAUAUGGGUAAACUAGUACGAAUUUACGUAAAUUUUACUUAAAAAUCCAAAUGAAUAUGAAUUUGAUUAAAGUCCAAUUUUUAUUAAGCCAGUCCAUUAAUUUAGGCCAGAAAUAAUGGGCGUGAUUUGCUAAAUCCAAGAUUUCAUCAUAUUCUAGAGGACAAUUGACCAUCAUAUGUUGAAUAACGUGGUAUGCUAAGUCAAGUGAAGGAGCCAAUAUGACCAUGCUACAUGUCAAAAUGAUGUAACAUGCCUAAUGAAAUCAAAGGCCAAUCAAAUGUCACUAUGUCACUUAAAUCUGAUUACCAAAAGAAGCCCAUAAUCAUCAUGACUUUUUUCCUUCAGACAACUAUAAUAGGGGUCUCAUAAUUCAAAAAAGGGACGAGCAAUUCUAACAAGAAAUAAGAUAAUGCUCAUGGAUCAAAUGCCACAGAUUUCUCUACAAAUGCAAGCAUUCAUUAUCCAGUUCAUUAAGAUUCAAGAUCAAGACCACGAGAUUCAAGAACAAGCUUAAAGACCCUUGAAUUCAACUACAAGUUGAGAUUAAGAUCAUCAAACCAAUAAAUCUAGAUCCAGUUUAUUAAGAUUCAAGAUCAAGACCACAAGAUUUAAGAACAAGUUCAAAAGCCCUUAAAUUCAAGUACAAGUCAAGAACAAAUCCAUCAAAUCCAUAAAUCGUGUUUAAAUUUGAGAUCAAGUUCAAAGUCCUUGAAUUUAUAUUUUAAAAGGCGAAUUAGAGGAUUCAUAGAGAUUGUAAUAUCCACAUAUUGAAAUCAAUAAAAUGAUUGUUGCGAUAUUUUUCUUGUAUCGAUUAUUAUUUUUGGAGUUGAAUUUUACUGUCUAAUACACCUUCAUCUCGGUCUCUUAAUAGACUUGAAUUUUGACCCUUUUUCAUAUUGACAGUGUUAUUUUUACUUGUUUCAAUAUUACUUUUUUAUAUUUGUUUUUGCAAAUUCAUCCUAGUUCCAAGAGGCAUAAUAGAGAGUUAUCUAUAAUAAUUCAUCAUUUACAUAUAAGAUCAUCAUUUAAGCUUAAUCCCACUGCAAAUCACAAUGUUUGAGUGGUAGUUUCACAUUCAUUUUGUCAAGAAGUUUCUAAAUAUGACAAGAUUUGAGGAAAUUAGAUUGUUAGGAGUGUUGUGGCAUAACUACAAGCUUGAGUAGUAAGGUAAGAGUCAUGUAUAUUUGAUUCUUUUCUAGCCUAGAACUCUAAAUCUCUAGUUACAAUGUGAACUUAUAAUUAUCAGUGAAUUGUAAUAUUUCUUUCCAAAUAAUGUUGAAAUUAUGAUUCUUAUCGAAGUAGGUGUAUUUACUUCCAACAUCUCCUACUGACAAAUGAUGGGAUGAAUCACACAUAAAUCUUUCUUUGUAGACAUUCAUACAGAGUGCAUUGUCGUGACCGCUCAGGCACCAAGUUAGGUGGCUCUUAUACUAGAAGUCCUUUUUUGGACUAGCAUAAAAGACUACUACCCUUUUGAUCAUUUAUAAAGUAGGGUACCUUGCGAGCAAUGAAAUUUUAUUAAAUUCAAAUCCAUACAAAAUUUAGAAUAUAUUAAAAUUCAAUAUAUAUUGGUCCAAAUAAAUGUGAUGGAUUAAUAUGAUUGGAUUUAUUAUUUAAAUCCAAAUGAAUAUGAAUUUGAUUAAAAUCCUAUUUCUGUUGGGCUAGUCCAGUGAUUUGGGCUACAGAUUAUGAGCCUAAUUUAUUGAUCCCAAGAUGUCAUCAUAUUCUAGAGGCCCAAUUGAGUUCCACAUAUCGAAUGAUGUGGCAUGACAAGUCAAGCAAAUAAGCCAAUAAGGCCAUGCUACAUGCCAAAAUGAUGCAACAUGCUUAGUGAAAUCUAUGACCAAAUCAAAUGUCGCCGUGUCACUUAAAUUUGAUUGGCCAAAAGAAGCCCAUCUUAACCAUGACACUUUUCUUCCUAUAACUUUAAAUAGGGGUCUCAUAAUUUUACAAAAGAGAUAAAUAGUUCUAACCAGAAGCAAGAGAGAGCUCAUGGAUCAAACUCUGUAGAUUUCUCUACAAAUUCAAGCAUUGAAGAUCCAGUUUAUCAAGAUUCAAUAUAAACCAAAAGAUUUAAGAACAUGCUUAAAGGCCCUUGAAUUCAAGUACAAGUCGAGAUCAAGUUCAUCAAACCCACAAAUCAAGAUCCAGUUUGUCAAGAUUCAAGAUCAAGACCACAAGAUUCAAGAACAAGAUCAAAAGCCCUUGAAUUCAAGUACAAGUCAAGAACAUAUCCUUUAAAUCCUCAAAUCAAGUUCAAAUUCAAAAUCAAGCUCGAACCCAUUGAAUUUAAAUUUAAAAAGGUGAAUCAGAGGAUUUAUAGAGAUUGUAAGAUUAUAUAUUAAAAUCAAUAAAGUGAUUAUUGUGAUAUUUUUCUUGUCCCAAUUAUUAUUUUUCUGAUUAGAAUUUUGCUGUCUAACAAAUUCUGACACGCCCAGUGGGAUAAUCUCUACCUCUCAUAUCAAAUUUUCCAAAAUCAAAGUUCAAGAACACCGAAAUGACUUCCAAGAAGGUCAAUUAUGAAUCGACUUCUUCCAAGGCUGCUGAUUCUAAAUUCUCUAUUAAAGUAGGAAACAUUCUUGGUAUUUCUUUUGAAAGCUUUAGAACUGUCACAAGGAGUAAAUCCCGCAUGUUAGGACAACAAACACACUAAGUGUUGUCCAUACCAACUCUAAUUUUUGGAUCUUAAACCCAAAAUAAGUGAGGUCCCAUGUAUGUUUUUUAGAAGAGGGAAACUAUGUGGCAGAGACAAUAAAAAAGACUACAUGAGAACUCUAGCAUAAAGAACGAUGGCUGUUCAACCGACACAUCAUCUCUACUUACACCGUAUAAGUUGAGAACGAUCAACUUAUACGAUAAUUCAUGUUACUCCCUAACGUCUCUAUUGAUCAUGAAAGCAAUGGUAGUUGAUGCCUCAUCUAUGGAGGCUCAACUUGCAAACCUAGCAAAGAUAAUUGAUAGUUCUGACUAAGUAUAUGCAAAAUCAAGAUGCUUAGAUUGAUAAGUUAGUGGAUGGGAUGGAAGAAGAUUCUCGCCAUGUACCUAGAAAAGCUCCAAAAAUUCAUGAAACCAAAAUUCCAAAUAAAACAAACACCACCUAAAAGGAGGUACGAGUCUUUUUUGAGGGAAUGAUCAAGAUUGAUCAAUUGAAAGAGUUCAUUGAAGGGACGCUCAAAGACAAGUACGAUGUUUCCACCUAGUCUUUCCUAACAUACGCCAUGCCUUACAUUGUAAGGAUUGAUAGCUUUAAAAUGUCUGUCGGAAAUCAACACCCCAAAUUUUAAUAAUUUAAGGGCAAAGGGAAUCUAAAGCAAUAUGUCACACACUUUGUUGAGACAUGUAAUAAUGUUGGAAACUACAAUGUCUAUAUUGCCAAAUAAUUUAUCUAUUCCAUAAAGAAAAAUACCUUCGAUUGGUACUCGGACCUUGAGCGUAAUUCCAUUGAUAGUUGGGAACAACUAGAGCAUGAGUUCCUGAAUCACUUUUAUAGCAUAUGGCAUAUGAUAAGCAUGGUAGAAAUCAUAAAUACUUGUCAAAAAAAGGAUGAGCUAGUCAUUGAGUUCAUCAAUCGAUAGAGAAAUAUGAGCCUAAACUGCAAAGAUAGGCUCAAUAAAACAUCUCCAAUAGAUAUGUACAUCCAAGGAAUUCACUAAGAACUUCUCUAAAUCUUGAAAAACAUUAAGAAAAAAUCCUUUGAGGAUUUAGCUAUCCGUUCUUACGACAUGGAGUUGAGCAUGUCUUCUAUCAAAAAAAGAGUAACACCUAUCUAUGAACCUCGAAAGGGAAAGGAUAAACAGGAAGAAGAUGGGGAAAAAUUUCACCCAAAAGAGACAAUAAAGAAUCUAUGAAUAUAGACAUGACUCCUAUGAAGUUCAUCAUAAAGGUGAGCAAGAAUCUAAGCUUGAAGAUAACUUCUCAAGCACGUCCAAAUCAAAAGUUGACUUUGAAGAAGAUGUAAACAAAAGAAUACCCAUUCCUUAAUUCUAAUAUUGCUAAAAUUUUCAAUGAACUUCUUGAUCAUAAGAUUAUUGAUCUACCAGAUACGAAGCAGGCCGACAAAGUUGGAAGAAAUGAUGAGCCUAACUAUUACAAAUAUCAUAGGCUAAUGGGUCACCCUAUGAAGAAGUGUUUUGUCUUUAAGCACAAGAUCAUGCAACUGGAAAAUGGGAAGAAAACCUUUUUUAAUGAUGAGAAGGCCGAUUAUCAUCAAAUCUCAAUCACUUUUGGCUCGCUCGAUCCAAUCUAAAGGCCCUUUGAAGAGCAUAAAGAGAAAUCAUUAGAGCAUGACAGGUAUUCAAUCAACGAAGGUGAUUAUAAAGGUUGAAUUUUAGUGACAAGAUGGAGAUGCAAGUAGAUGAGUAUAGAAAAAGAGCCAUCGAAGCAGCUAACUAGAAGGAGGAUGGUGAAGAAACAGAGAAAACAAAGGCUAAUUGACAUGUCAAAGAGGAAGAGGGUAGUGGAGCUUCACCACUUGUAACGACCCAAAAUCACCUCCCUGGACGUCACACGAUGCUUAAGGAUACAAGUAGCCCCAAGCUAACCCUUUGAGCCUUUCACUACAUAAAAUAACUUAUUUCGUGAAGAAAUAAACAAAAUACUGGCAUUGUAAUAACAAAUGAUAGGAAAUAUGAAGAAAAUACUUAGUCCAAAUGACCACAAAACUGGAGAUCUCAACAUACUAACAAUUUGAUAACUAGUCUGACAAAGCCUCUACUACUCCAUGAACUAGAGAGCUAUUGGGAAAGGUCCCCAACUAACUCAAACUAAAUUGAAAGAAAUAACAUAUCUACUAAAAUACAGAAAUGUCUGAUGAUAGGUCCUCGAACCAUGAGGACUCACCACUGUGGAGAUGUAGACAAAGGUACUCAAAAAUCACUGACGAGUCUGGGACUGAGCACCUGAACCUACAUUAUAAGACAAUGUAGCACAUAGAUGUAUAUAUAGAUCAGCACUUGGGAAUGUACUGAGUAUAUGAGGACGUAUACAUUUAUAGAAAACAAUAUCCAUACUCUUUAAUAAAAUCAUGCAUGCAAUUAGGAAUGACUCACAUAGCUUGAAUAAGUCUGAAAUGUAAAGCUCAUAAAUCAUGUAUAAGGAAGCAUGUAACACAAAUCUCGUGAGUCAUUAUACUUUAGCUUUAAAAUCUGAACUCCUCUUAUUCUCAUUACUCGAAGACUAAAGAAAGAUUUAAACAAUACUUUCAAACUCAUGUAUAUAUCUCAUGGAGAGUAAAACUUCUUUAAUGCUUAAGAACUUAGAACUCUUUUAAACUCAAGAUACUUGGAACUCGAAAUUCGAUAACUCUUACUAGUAGAGAACACUACUUUCUUCUUAGGAAAAUUUUACUUUAAGAAACUAUUUUGAAAAUCUUACUAUUAGGAAAAAUCACUUAUCUCAAAGCUUUAGGGAAAAUAUUAUAUCUCAAGGGAAAAUACUUUAGGGAGGUUCUCUUAACCGACAUAAACCAUGCGAGCUACAUAGAGUCCAAUGUCUUAUCCUCUUAAGGAAGAAACCUCACAUUGGGGAGAGGCAUCAUACUCUUGCCAGGGAGUAUAACCUCAACUCAGUGAUUACUUAUAUUGGCAUCGGGCCCAUAAAUAUUAAUCCUACGAUGGCACGUAGUUCUGGGGUAUGAAAUCGUAGUAACUUACCCAACUCGGUGCUAAAUACUACUCUCUUUAGUUUGCUACGCUCAUCUCAUAGAAAUCCACUUUAAAAAUAAUCUCGUGGAUCAUAAAGAAUCCAAUUAUAAAAUCUGUAAUCACAUGUAAUAAAGUGGAUUUCAAAGCUACUAUGAUCAUUAAGUUCAAAACUUUCUCAAUGAUCUCAAAGUACUCAAAUCAUGGGUGCUUAUAGCACAAAAGUUCAUGAAAUUGCAAAUCUCAAGUAGGGUUUAGUGGCCCAUAAUCAAAUAUCAAGUUAAGACUCAUCAAAAUGCAUACUAGAUGUCAUAAGGAUACACAAACCAUAUAGAAAUCUGGAAUGUUUAGUAAUUUGUCUUAAAAUCUCAACAUACUCAUGUACUUCAAUUUCUAGAACAUUGGCAAUCUCAAAAUCUCAUGCAUAGUAAUAUUGGGUAUGUACCCACACUUCAAAUUCAUAGGAGAAAUAAUAAAGUCAUAUAUCUUUGUAAUUUAAAACAAGUUUUUGGUAUAAGAAUGAAAGAAUUGUCCUUGUUCAAACCCCACAUACCUUAGAUUGUGACUUAGUGAACAAACUUGCUUGAGACUCUUCUUCUUACUCUUGAGAGAGGGUUAUUGAAGCCUUUUACUUGAGGAACUUACAUAUUAACUCAAUUUGUAGAAUCUAUGGUGAGUUCUUGAAUUUCUUGGAGAAGGGUUUUGGAUUUGCUCUUGAGAGAGAAACCCUAGCUCUUGGAUAUUUUGAGAGAUAAUGACGCUAGCUGCUUUAUUUUUAAUAUAUCAGGGUAUUAAAAGGGAAAAGACCCAAAAGAUCCUUUUAAAAAUGACUUAAAAAUACUAAACAAGAUUUGUGAUGGUCGGAGUGAUGGUCCGUCACUAGUCUGAUGGUCCGUCGCAUGUUGGUUAGAAAAAGGCCACACUGCCUUAGUUGCGGCGGUCCUAGUGACGGUCCAUUGCUAGCUUGAUGGUCUGUCAUCUUGGUCGUCGCACUUGGGCCAGAAGAGGGAGUCACUACCUUGGUUGCGACGGUUCGGGUGAUGGUCCGUCGCAUACUCGACGGUCCGUCAACCUGUCCAUCGCACCUGGGCGAUUCUGAUAACUCUCAGUAAAACGACCAUAAAUUCUCACCCCAAUAUCGGAUUUGGUUGAAAUUAGUAUUGUUGGAAAGCUAAUUCAAUUCUCUAUAUGUCAAAAAAUCGAUAUUAGGGAAAUUUUACAUGGUUUAAAAAUAUGUCUCACUUGGGAAGUCAACCCUUACUCUUCUUAAAAAUGAAACUCAAAUUAAAGAAAAAUCUGGGGUAUUACAAUAUCUCCCCCUUGGGAACAUUCGUCCUCGAAUGUUUCUUGUUAGACCAAGAACACAGGAAAAACUGAGUACACAUAGCUGAAGCAAUUUGCUAAACGACUCAAAAUCUUUCUAAACUCUUGAAUACUUCGGAAAUUGCAAGAACUUAUGCAAGAAAAGAUAUAUAGCUGAACUUUAGAUUUAGAAGGGUUGAAGUAAGAAAGAAUAAUACCUUCGGCUUGAUCUGAACUCGCUGAAAAGAGGUGCGGGUACUUGGUUUGCAUGUCUGCUUCUGCCUCCCAAGUAGCGCCCUCAAUUGACUGGUUCCGCCACAAAACUUUGACCAAGGGAACCUCUUUGUUCCUCAGUCUACGGAUCUAAAAAUCUAGGAUCUCAACAUGAAUCUCAUGAAUGAAAGACUGUUCUGAAUAUUAACACUCUCCGAAGGAUCCACUACAACAGAAUCACUAAUAUGCUUCUUAAGUAUGGAGACAUGAAAAAUAGGAUGAACGACUGACAACUCUAUGGGCAACUUAACUUCAUAGGCUAAUUUCCUAACACGGCUCAAAAUUCAAUAGGGCCCAACAUAACGGAGACUAAGCUUCCCCUUUUUACCAAACCUCUUCACCCCUUUCACGAGUGAAAUCUUUAAGUACACCAAAUCACCCACCUCAAACUCAAGACCUCUUCUCCUCACAUCGACAUAGGACUUUUGAUGACUCUGAGCUAUUUUUAACCUUUCUCUAAUCAACUUAACUUUCUCCAUAGCCUCAAAUACUGCAUCAGGCCCAAUCACAAUAGCUUCACCCACUUCAAAUCAAUCUAUGGGUGAUCUACAUCUUCUACCAUACAAAGCCUCAAAUGGUUCCAUCUCGAUGCUAUCAUGGUAACUAUUGUUAUAAGUAAACUCUAUCAAUGGCAAAUGCCCAUCCCAACUACCUUUGAAAUCAAGAGUACAUGCCCUCAACAUAUCUUCUAGAGUCUGAAUGGUCCUCUUAGCCUGACCAUCUAUCUGCGGAUGAAAAGCGAAACUCAAAUGAACUUGGGUACCAAGACCCUGCUAAAAUGCUCUCCAAAACUGAGAAGUAAAUUUAGUACCCCUAUCCAAAAUAAUAGACAAGGAAACUUCAUGAAACUUGACAAACUCUCGGAUGUACAACCUAGCAUAAUCCUCAGCUGUAUAACAUGUAUGCACGGGCAAGAAAUGUAUGGACUUAGUCAGCCAGUCUACAACAACCCAAAUAGAAUUAUGAUGACGACGCGAAAGAGGUAAACCAGUCACGAAGUCCAUAUUCACCUCUUCCCACUUCCAAGUGGGUAUACCAAACUCUUUCAUCACACCACUAGGUCUUUGCUUCUCUACCUUAACCUGUUGGUACAUUUCACACUUUGCUAUAAAUUCAGCUAUAUCCUUCUUCAUACUGCCUCACCAAUAGAUUUCUCGCAAGUCAUGGUAUAUCUUGGUAGCAUCAGGAUGAAUGGAAUAUCGCGCACCAUGUGCUUCAUCCAUAAUCCUCUACCUUAGAUCAUCAAUACGCAAAACACACAACCUACCCUGCAAUCUCAAUACGCCAUCUCCCCCUUGGGAGAAAACCCCUACCUUUUAGUCCUUAACUGACUCUUUCAGUCUGAUCAAACUAGGAUCCCGAUCUUGCUUCUCCUUCACUUCCAAAACUAAAGAGGAUUCGAAACUACUUUGCACUAAAGUACUUCCCUCAGCUGAAUCAAAUAACCUAACACCCAAUCUAGCCAGAUAAUGUAAAUCACGAGCUAACACUUUCUUACCUUCUUCUACAUGAGAAACACUACCCAUAGAUAACCUGCUAAGGGUAUCUUCCACUACAUUGGCCUUGCCAGAGUGAUAUGAUACACUUAUAUCAUAGUCUUGUAACAACUCUAACCACUUCCUCUGUCUAAGAUUCAACUUUCUCUAGGUAAACACAUAUUGCAGGAUCUUAUGAUCAGUAAGCAUAUCAACAUGGACACCAUAAAGAUAGUGUCUCCAGCUUUUCAAACCAAAGACCACAAUAGCUAAUUCAAGAUCAUGGGUUAGGUAGUACUUUUCAUGCGGCUUCAACUGUCCAGAGGCAUAGGCUAUAACCUUACCUCUUUGCAUCAACACAUAACCCAAACAACCUCUAGAGGAAUCAUAAUACACCAUAAAACCAUCUGUACCAUAAAGCAAAGUCAACACAGGGGCUGAAGUAAGCAGAGUAUUUAACUCCUGAAAACUCUUCUCACAGGAAUCUGACCAUAGGAACUUAUAUUUCUUUUGGGUCAAACGGGUCAUGAGUGACACAAUAGAAGAGAAACCUUCAACAAAAUAAUGAUAGUUGCUAGCUAGACCUGAGAAACUUCUAAUAUCAGUCAGGGAAAUAGGACUAGGCCAAUUUCUUCCGGCUUUUGUCUUUUGAAGAUCAACUCUAAUGCCUUCGGCUGAAACAAUAUGACCCAGAAAAUCUACUGAUCUUAGCCAAAAUUCACAUUUACUAAAUUUGGCGAACAAUUAGUGAUCUCUAAGAGUUUGCAAGAUAAUUCUAAGGUGAUCUGUAUAGUCGUUCUCAGUAUGGGAGUACACAAGGAUGUUAUCUAUGAAAACAAUGACAAACAUAUCAUGAUAUUACUUGAACACUCGAUUCAUAAGGUCUAUAAAGUCUGCUGGGGCAUUGGUUAGCCCGAAAGACAUGACUAAAAACUCAAAGUGACCAUAGCAGGUUCAGAAAGCUAUCUUUGGGAUAUCACAUUCCCUUAUUUUAAGCUGGUAAUAGCCGGAUCUAAGGUCUAUCUUGGAGAAAUAACUUGCACCUUGCAACUGAUCAAAUAGGUCAUCAAUUCUUGGAAGAGGAUACUUAAUUUUGACUGUGACCUUAUUAAGCUGAUGAUAGUCAAUUCACAUACGCAAAGAACCAUCUUUCUUUCAUACAAAUAAAAUAGGUGCGCCCUAAGGAGAAACACUGGGCCUUAUGAAACCUUUGUCUAAAAGAUCUUUGAGUUGCUCUUUAAACUUCUUAAGCUCUGCAGGUGCCAUACGCUAAGGCGGGAUAGAAAUAGGCUGAGUGUCAGGAAGAAGGUCAAUCCCAAAUUCUAUCUCUCUAUCGGGAGGUACCCCUAAGAGAUCUUUCAAAAAAACAUCAGGAAACUCAGUAACAAUUUGACUGCCUAAAUAGUUGGAGCCUCGAACUUAGUGUCUUUAACUCUAACUAGGUGAUAGAUGUAACCUUCGGAUAUUAUCUUUUUAGCUUUGAGAUAGGAAAUAAAAUGGCUUUUGGGAGAUACCAAACUCCAGGACCACUCAAGAACUGGUUCGUCAGGGAACUAAAACUUGACCACAUGGGUAUGACAGUCUAUAGAUAUAUAACAAGAAUAAAGCCAAUCCUUAUCUAGAAUAAGGUCAAAAUCCACCAUGUCUAACUCUUUCAAAUCAACAAAUAUGAAUCUAUGAAGAACAGUAACAGGAUAAUUUUUGUACACUUGCUUAACAACCAUUAACUCCCCUACUGGUGUGGAAACUAGGAAAGGCUCAGGAAUUUUUUUGAGACUCAUUUCAAAAUUCACAGUGACUAAUGGGGUCACAUAAGAAAAACUUGACCCGGGGUCCAACAACACAUAAACAUCGAAGCAAAAGACAUGGAACAUUCCAGUAACAACAUCGGGAGAGUCCUUCUGCUCCUGACGGGAUAGUAAGGCAUAGAAUCUGUUCUGGCGCUGACCACCAGUAGUGCUAGAUGAAGUGCCCUGAGUAGGGGCAGGACAGGGUACAUGGGUUGGUGCACUAGUAGUUUGUGCCUGAGGUCGAGAAUCUCUGUUUACCUGCCUAGCAUGCGGACAAUCUCUAAGUCUAUGGCCCAACUUACCACAACCAAAAUAACCCCUCGGAUCUACUGAACACUUACCGGGAUGAUCUCUACCACAGUUAGCACAAGGAGGAUAACGGGUUUUUUUACUUAUAAUGUUUUGCGACCUAGACAUAGAAGACCUAUUCCCUUAAUCCUGCCUGCCUCUAGGCAUGAGAGCACUAGCUGAUGAAGGUGCUGGCAUAGAUGAACGACUCUAGAACUGUGGACAGUUCCCUCUAUGAGACCUAGCCUGACUAUAAUCAUGCUGUUUGAAUCUAGUCCUCUUGUUACCCCUCACUCUAUCUCUCUCCCUUAUCUUAUCUACCUCUAUCUACUGUGUAUGCAUCAUUAACCUAGCUAGUUCUAUAUCCCUAUUCAACAUCACCAUCUUACACUUUUUCAGUACCAAACCAGAAACACCUAUCACGAACUUGCUCAUACUAGCUCGGGUGUCAGAAAUCAAAUCAGGAGCAUACUUGACCAACUGGUUAAACUUCAAGCAGUACUCCUUAAUAGUCAUGAAGCCCUGCCUUAAGUUCAUAAACUCUUCAAUCUUUGCUUCCCUUAUCUCAACCAAAAAGAACUUAUCCAAGAAUACAUCUUGGAAUACUUGCCAAGUCAUAGGAGCAACACCCUCACCUCUACCCUUCUUCCAUGCUAAAACCCAGCCAUAAGCAAUGUUUUUCAACCUGUAAGAUACCAACUCAACAUUUCUUCCUAAAAAACAUGCAUCACCUAUGUGAUCUUUCUUACCUCCUCAAGGUAUAACUAUGGGUCCUCACCUGCCUUAGACCCAUAAAACACUGACGGAUUCAUCCGCAUAAAAUCACGAAUCCUAGCAGCAGCUAAAUCGCCUCCCUGCUGAUUUGCUACUGCGGCUUGGUUAUUAACCUGAACAUUAGCAGUGACUGCUUGGGCUAAUACCUUAAAGGCCGUCCAAAACUCAGCAUGAGACACUGUCUCAUUCAAGGGAUCAAUAGGCUGGGGUUGCUCAUUAUCAUUUCUGUAGGUGUUCGCUCUUUGGGGAGGCAUUUUCUGAAAUAUGAGAGCACAAAUUAUUAGAUAAGAUGGCAAACUGUAGGCACGAUAGAAUCUAAAAGAAAGGAAACAAAAUUUUCCUAAAAUGUCUCGUAGUGUCUUGCUCAUAGAUGUGGCGUGCUACACACCGAUGAUCAAGACUCUACUCAAUGCUGCUUGUCAGACUCCCUAGGACUCCUUAAACCUUAGGCUCUGAUACCAAGUUUGUAACGACCCAAAAUCUCCUCCUGGGAUGUCACACGGUGCUUAAGGCUACAAGUAGCCCCACGCUAACCCUUUGAGCUUGUCACUACAUAAAAUAACUCAUUUCGAGAAGAAAUAAACAAAAUAAUGGCACUGUCAUAUCAAAUGAUAGGAAAUACGAAGAAAAUACUCGGUCCAAAUGACCACAAAAUUGAAAAUUUUAGCAUACUAAUAAUCUGAUAACUAGUCAGACAAAGCCUCUACUACUCCAUGAACUAGAGAGCCAUUCGAACAGGUCCCCAACUAACUUAAACUAAACUAAAAGCAAUAACAUAUCUACUAAAAUACAGAAAUAUCUGAUGAUAUGUCCUCGAACCAUGAGGACUCACCACUGUGGAGAUGUAGACAAAGAUACUCAAAAAUCACUGACAAGGCUGGGACUGAGCAUCCGAACCUACAUUAUAAGAAAAUGUAGCACAUAGACGUAUAUGUGGAUCAACACUUGGGAAUGUACUGAGUAUAUGGGGCUGUAUGCAUUUAUAGAAAACAAUAUCCAUACUCUUUAAUCAAAUCAUACAUGCAAUUAGGAAUGACUCACAUAGCUUGAAUAAGUCUGAAAGGUAAAGCUCAUAAAUCAUGUAUAAUGAAGCAUGUAACACAAAUCUCGUGAGUCAUUAUACUUUAGCUUUAAAAUCUAAACUCUUCUCUUAUUCUCAUUACUCGAAGACUAAAGAAAGAUUUAAACAAUACUUUCAAACUCAUGCAUAUAUCUCAUGGAGAGUAAAACUUUUUUAAUGCUCAAGAACUUAGAACUCUUUUAAACUCAAGACACUUGGAACUCGGAAUUCUAUAAAUCUUACUAUUAGAUAAAACUACUUUAUUCUUGGAAAAAUUUUACUUCAAGAAACUAUUUUGAAAAUAUUACUAUUAGGGAAAAUCACCUACCUCAAAGCUUUAAGGAAAAUAUUCUAUCUCAAGGGAAAAUACUUUAGGGAGGUUCUCUUAACCGACAUAAGCCAUGUGAGCUACAUGAAGUCUAACAUCUUGUCCUCCUAAGUAAGAAACCUCAUGUUGGGGAGAGGUUUCAUACUCUUUCCAGGGAGUAUAACCUCAACUAAGUGAUCACUUAUCUCGGCCUUGGUCCCAUAAAUCUCAAUCCUAUGGUGGCACGUAGUUCUAGGGUAUGAAACCAUAGUAACUUACCCAACUCAGUGCUAAAUACUACUCCCUUUAGUUAGCUACACUCAUCUCAUGGAAAUCCACUUUAAAAAUAAUCUCGUGGUUCAUAAAGAAGCCAACUAUAAAAUCUAUAAUCUCAUGUAAUAAAGUGGAUUUCAAAGCUACUAUGACCAUUAAGGUCCAAACUUUCUCAAUAAUCUCAAAGUACUCAAAUCAUGGGUGCUUAUAGCACAAAAGUUCAUGAAAUUGCAAAUCUCAAGUAGGGUUUAAUGACCCAUAAUCAAAUAUCAAGUUAAGACCCAUCAAAAUGCAUACUAGAUGUCAUAAGGAUACAUAAACCAUAUAGAAAUCUGGAAUGUUCAGCAAUUUGUCAUAAAAUCUCAACAAACUCAUGUACUUCAAUUUCUAGAACAUUGGCAAAUCUCAAAAUCUCAUGCAUAGUUAUAUUGGGUAUGAACCCACACUUCAAAUUCAUAGGAGAACUUAUAAAGUCAUAUAUCUUUAUAAUUUAAAACAAUUUUUGGUCACAAGGAUGAAAGAAUUAUCCUUGUUCAAACCCCACAUACCUUAGAUUGUGACUUAGAUGAACAAACUUCAUUGAGACUCUUUUUUUUACUCUUGAGAAAGGGUUCUUGAAGCCUUUUACUUGGGGAACUUGAAUCUCAACUCAAUUUGUAGAAUCUAUGGUGAGUUCUUGAAUUUCUUGGAGAAGGGUUUUGGAUUUGCUAUUGAGGAAGAAACCCUAGCUCUUAGAUGUUUUGGGAGAUAAUAAGGCUAUCUGCUCCGUUUUAAAUAUAUCAGGGUAUUAAAAGGUAAAAGACCCAAAAUAUCCUUUUAAAAAUGACUUAAAAAUACUGAACGGGAUUUGUGAUAGUCGGAAUGAUGGUCCGUCUCUAUUCUGAUAGUCUGUCGGAUCAUCUGUCGCACGUUGGUCAGAAAAAGGCCACACUUCCUUAGUUGCAACGGUCUUAGCGAUGGUCCGUCGCUAGCUUGACGGUCCGUCAUCUUGGCUGUCGCACUUGGGACAGAAGAGGGAGUCACUUCCUUUGUUGCGAUGGUCUGGGCGACGGUCCAUCACAAAUUCGAUGGUCCAUCAACUGUCCGUCGCACCUGGGCGGUUCCAAUAACUCUAAGUAAAACAACCAUGAAUUCUCACUCCGAUACAGAAUUUGGACAAAAUUGGUAUCGUUGGAAAGAUAAUUCAAUUCUCUAUAUGACAAAAAAUUGAUAUUAGGGAAAUUCUACAUGGUUUAAAAAUAUUUCUCACUUUGAAAGUCAGCCCUUACUCUUCUUAAAGAGAAACUCAACUUAAAGAAAAAUUUGGGGUAUUAACCACCAAAAACUACAACGCCCUAUGACAUUGGAAGAAUUCUUUCUAAGUUGAUUCCAUGUAAAGACUUGUCAUGUCAACCUUGAGGUAUGUUGCUUUAAUACUGGUAAAGAAAGAGCAAAGGGUUAAAACCUACCCAUGGAAGUUCCUUCGUCUUUUGAAAAACCUAAUGCACCUCUUAGCUAAGAAACAUACAAAAAACGUAUUUUCAAAUGAUGAUCUCCUAUUUAUUAAAAUCAUAAACAAUCGUUCCUUGUAUAUGGUGGGCCAUGUCCUAGGAAAUAAGAUAACUAGAAUCUUGAUAGAUGAGGGAUCUGGAAUAAACAUCCUACCUAUAUUAAUAAUGAAGGAACUUGGCAUCACAACUAAUAAACUUACUAAAAUCCAUUUUAUUAUCCAAGGGUUCAACCAAGGGGGUUAGAGGGCCAAAUAUCUAUCAAGUUAGAGAUCCAUAUGGACAAUUUGCAAUUAAAUGUAUUGAUGUAUAUGAUCAUUACCAAGACUUCAUACAACAUAUUUCUUAGUAUGCCUUGGGUACACGAAUAUAAAAUUGUAUCAUCCUCAUACUCUCAAUGCAUAAAGUAUCUGGAAGAUUAAAUGGAAAGAAAAAUAGUUGUCAAUGAUAAGCUAUUCAAUGAACCCGAGUCACACUUUACCGAUGCAAAAUUCUACUUAAAGAAUUAUGUUGUGAAGGAGAAAAGCGUUGGUGAUAUCACAACCAUCAAGGGUCCCCAACUUGCAGCUAAGAAGGUUGGGGUAGCUAUCAAAAAAGUCACCACUAAGAAGCCUCCCUACACUUUAAAUAAAGGAGAUAUCACGUCAUUAAAGAAGAAUCCAAAUCUUGUGCUCCAUUACGUACCAAAGGUAAAGAAAAAAGAAGGCCAUCUAAAUUCAAAGAUAAUGUGCUAGGGGCAUUUGAUCCAAUAAACUUGUCCUCAAGGAUACUUAGAGAAUUAGUGGCUCAAAAUUUGCCACAAAAGAUGACGCUCCCUAUGAACAUAAAAAAGAAGGCUUUGAUCUAAAUGCUUAUAAGUUAUUUGUAAAGGUUAGAAAUAAUCCUAAUGAGCCAUCAAGGUUGGGAAAAUUUUCAUUAGAAAGUACUACCAGACAAGUGUGUGGAGGUUAGGGUCCACGACACCAUCUUCUAUUUGCAUUUCCAUAAGAAAGACGAUUAAUAACUACAUUAUUGUGGAAGAAGAAUCUACUGCUUCCAACAAAAUGCCUUCUAUCUUUGAUCGUCUAGGAGAAUCAACCAAAAGAAAUUAUGUAUUGGAGAGAUUGGGUCCACUAAAUAAGAAGAAAAGCAACAAGCAUCAGAGAAUUUAUCAAAGUAUAGUGAUGCACUCUUCACCUAGAAUCUACAAAGAUUUCCAAAGUGUGAUUCCUUCUAGAAUAAAGCGACAGACAAAACUUGUGGUCUCAUAUAAGGAGGUGUUAAAAGAAAGGUCUCAUACUAUAGUUUAUACCAAGAAAUAUAAGAUAAAUGAAAAAAGUGUAGGCUCUUUAUAUCAUAUUACAAUCCAAAAUGAGAAUGAUGUCUGAUCUCAAAUUAAGGUUGAUGAAGAGUUGGAAGAUAUUUCAUUAUGUUACCUUAUAUCUAUCAGCGAUGAAGAUCCAUAAGGGGAGGAAGGUACUGGAGAUGCUCUGUUCAAACUUAAAGAAUGAGUGAAUACUAAAAUAAAUUCCUUGAAGAAAGUCAAUCUUGGCACUGAUGAAGACCUGAGACCAACUAACCUGAGAAUUUUUCUAGAAAUGGAUGAAAAAUUACUUAUAUUGACAUAUUCAAAGAAUAUAAAAAUGUUUUUUCUUGGAGUUAUAAGGAGAUGCCUGAUGUAAACCAAAAGUAGUAGUCCAUCAAUUGGCAAUCAAGAAUGUUGCUCGUCCUGUUAAGAAAGCCUUAAGGUACUUUAGGGAUCUCAAAAACACUUAUCCUAAGGAUUGCUCGUCCUGUUAAGCAAGCCUUAAGGUGCUUUAGGGAUCUCAAAAACACUUAUCCUAAGGAUGAUUUUUCAAUCCCCAUUCUACAGUUAAUGAUUAAUGCUACCACUGGUUAUGAGGUAAUGUCCUUUAUGGAUGGUUGAUCCAACAAUAACCUAAUUUACAUGGCACCAAAGGAUGAAACUCUCACUGCAUUUCAUACACCCAAAGAUAUUUAUUCCUACAAGGUGAUGCCUUUUUGUGAAGAAUGCUAGUGACACUUAUCAAAGGGCCACACGAAAUAUAUUUGAUGGCCUACUUAAUAAAAAUUUUGAGUGCUAUGUAGAUAACUUAAUACUUAAGUCAAGAAAGAGGAACGACCACUUGAAAGACCUAAGGAUGAAAUCUGAGUUACUCUAAUGAUAUCAACUUAGGAUGAACCCUUUAAAAGACGCCUUUGGAGUUACUUUCAGAAUAUUUCUUGGCUUUAUUGUAUGACACCGAGGAAUUAAAAUUAAUUAAGAAAAGGUUGAUGCAAAUUUAAAGAUGCCCGAGCUGAGAAAUAUUCCGAAGGUUGAUGUAAUUUUAAAGAUGCCCGAGCCACGAAACAUUCAUGAGUUAAAAAGCCUUCAAGGAAGGCUAACAUAUUUAAAGAGGUUCAUCUCAAUCCUGGCUAGAAAAUGUCAGCCACUUAGCCAUCUCAUGAUGAAGGAUUCCCCUUUUGAAUGAGACCAAGCUUUUAGUAAGGCUUUUGAAAGUAUCAAAUCAUACUUGAUGAAUCCUCCAGUUCUUGUAGCACCUAUACCUAGAAAAUCAUUGAUACUCUAUAUCAUAACACAAAAGAGGUCAGUUGGAGCACUACUAGCUCAAGAAAAUAGUGAAGGCUAAGAAAUCUCUCUUUACUAGCUGAGCAGAAUGAUGACACCGAAUGAGAUGAAUUAUUCUUUGUUCAAAAAUUUGUGUUUGGCGUUGAUCUUCUCAAUCUGAAAGAUGAAGUACUUCUUUAAAUCUCAUGUCUUUUGUCUUGGGUCUAGGGCAAAUCCCUUCAUGUUUGUGAUAUCAAAACCAGUCUAUAGUGAUUGACUUUUAAGGUGGUACUUUUAAUUUCUAAAGUGAGAUCAUGUACAUUCCCUAAAAGGUUGUAAAUAGACAAAUAUUGGUAGAAUUUUUUGCAAACCACCUGAUACCUGAUGAUUAGGAACUGAUCGAUAAACUUCUUGAUGAAGAUGUAAUGGUAUUUAAAGUUAGACCCCCGUGGAAGAUGUACUUUCAUGUUGACAUACAUCGAGGUGGAGAUGGUACUAGUGUGGUGUUUUUCACUUCACAAGGAGAGGUUAUCCCAUACUUUUUUACCCUAAAAAAUCAAUGCUCCAACAAUGUUGCUGAAUGUUAAGCAUUAAUACUCAGACUUGACAUGACUGUCAAUAUGAAACAACUAUAAUUACAAGUCCUUAGUGAUUCCCAAUUAGUAGUCAAGCAGGUCUUGGGAAUAUACAAAGUCAAAAAGACUGAGCUACACCCAUACCAUGAUUAUGCUUAGAAGUUGAUUGGAUGGAUUUGUGAAGUAACCCUCCAGCAUAUCCCAAGGAAAGAAAAUAAGCAAGCUGAAGCCUUGGUUGCUUUAGCCUUAACCCUAACUCUUUUGAAUUAGACAUGAGUUACAAUCUGCCAAGAAUAGGUAGUACCACCACCAAAUAAGGAUGACUAUUUAGUAAUUAAGGUUGAACACCCCGUUGCUAUGUCUGAAGUCGUAAAGAAAGAUUGGGAACAACCUGUCAUUAACUACUUAUGUUAUGGGAUACUUUUAAAGGAUCCAAAGAUAAAGACUGACAUCUAUCAUCGUGCACCUCAAUUCCUUUACUACAAAGACAUGCUAUACAAAAGAUCAUUUGAAGGAAUACUCUUGUGAUGUAUGGGAGAGAAAAAAGUAGUACAAGCUUUGCAAGAAGCAACUUGGGAGUUUGUGGGUCUCAUCAGUCUGUACCAAAGCUUUAUUUUCAUAUUAAAAGGAUGGGUAUUAUUGGCCAGCGAUGGUGAAAGAUUGCUUGGACUAUGCUAGAAGAUGCAAAACUUGUCAAUUUCAUGCAAAUUUCAUACAUCACCCCCUCGUGAAGUAUUAUACCAAGCUAUAGCAUCUUAUCUAUUUAAUGCUUGGGGGUUGGAUGUUUUUGGACCACUGCCAAAGUCUUCUGGUAGAUACUUGUACAUCUUGGUUGCCAUAAAUUACUUCUUAAAAUGGGCCAAAUCUAUUGCUCUCAAGGAAGUGAAGAAAGAGAAUAUUGUGAACUUCAUCUGAGUGAAUAUCAAAGAGAAUAUUGUGAACUUCAUUUGAGUGAAUAUCAUCUACCACUUUGGAAUCUCUCAGUACAUAAUAACCGACAAUGACAAUCCGUUUCAUAACAACUUGAUGAAUAAAAUUUGUGAUAUCUUUGGUUUCAAGCAUUGUAAACCUUCUAUGUACCAUGUUGCUACCAAUGGUCUGUCUAAAUAAUUCAAUAAGACUUUAUGCAACCUAUUGAAAAAAGUUAUCUCCGAAUUCAAAUUAGACUGGCAUGAACUAAUGGAAAAAGUUUUGUGGGCAUAUAAACCCCAUACUCACUUUCUUUUAGAGUUGAAGUAGUCCUACCACUUGAGCGUCAAAUACCUUCUUUAAGAGUAACUAUUCAAGAAGGGAUAAGCAAAGAAUAAAAUUCUAAGUUGCAUCUUGCAGAGCUAGAAGCUCUCGUGGGAAGGGGUUGGAGGCUCAACAAAAUCUUGAAUGUUAUCAAUCCUGUCUACCUUGUUCUUUCAAUAAAAGGGUUUUCUUGAGGUACUUUAAAGUUGGAUAUCAAGUCCUUGUAGUAAUAAAAUCCAUUAUUACAUGUUGUAAGUCUAGGGAAAAAUUUACCUUGAUGUGGGAUGGACCAUAUACCAUACAAGAGGCAUACUCAAAUGGUGCCUACAAGCUUGUCAAUGCAGAUGGCAUAAAAAAUGGUCCUAUUAAGGCCAAGUUCUUGAAGAAUUACUAUACUUGAAGGAAGAUAACACUACUUAAGGUAUGAUCAUAAAUUGCAUGUCCACUCUUGGCCCGCAAGAGUAUAAACUGUGUACGGCUCAAUAAAUUAGAAAAAGAAAAAAAAGUCCUCUAGGUUGAAAAUCUCGAAAAAGGUGACCUAGAAAAAAGUUAGGACACAAUAUAUAUAUAUAUAUAUUAAAAAAAAUCACUCACCUAGAAUUAUGUGGUGACUUGCUCAUCUUCACCGAGAUAUGUAGGCCAUUGAAAUCUUAUUCUAAGUUCAGUUGCAUGAGUGUUAAAAAUAUGCAUGCUCUUGCUCACGUAAGAAGUCAGUCUUUAAGAGACUUUUUGUUUCAUCAAUCUUCAAAUUUUCACCAAGUAUUGGUGGCUCGAUAGGGGAAAACCCUAUUGAAAUGAGCUUUUUUGACAUAGGCUGAAGUUUUUAAAUUCACUGUCUUUAAGUUGGAGUCUUUCAAAUCUGCCACAUCAAAGAUUUUAAAGCCUGAUAGCUGAAGUAUUUAGAUAAUCUAUGUCUAUAAUUUGAAGUCUUCAAAUUCACUAGGUCUUUAUGUUGGAGCCUUAAAAUUCACCAUGUUGAAGCCUGCACGUUUAUGGAGUCUGUAAGUUGAAGUCUUCAGAUGCUCUAUGUCAAUAAGUUGAAGUCUUCAAGUUGAAUUUUUCUAAUCUGCCGUAUCCAAGUGUUUAAAGUCUGAUAGCUGAAGUCAUCAGAUGAACUAUGUCAAUAAGUUGAAGUCUUUAGAUUUACUAAGUAUUCUUUGGAGAUUUCAAUUUCACCAUAUUGAAUCCUUCAUGUUCAUAGGGUUUGCAAGUUGAAGUCUUCAGAUGCUCUAUUUCUAUAAGUUAAAGUCUUUAAAUUCACUAAAUCUUCAAGUUGAAGUUUUCAAAUCUACCAUAUGGAAGACUUUAAAGUCUGAAAGUUGUCAGAUGCUUUAUGUCUAUAAGUUAAAGCCUUUAAAUCCUUCAAACCUUCUUGAGUUUCCCUUUCUUAGGGCGGGGAUGAGUUUCCAUCCUUAUACACUAAAAGAUUACCAUUAUAUUUACCUUUUUAGAGAGGGAACACAUAUCCAUCCUUAUGUGCUGUAAAAUUAUCUUUACUUAGGGCGGGGAUGAGCAUCUAUCCCUAUGCGCCGCAAGAUUGCCUUUACUUUCUUAGGGUAGAGAAGAGUAUCCAUUCCAAUGCACUGCAAGUUUAUCAUUAAAUUUACCUUUUCUUAGGGUGGGGAUGAGUAUCCAUCCUUGUGCUCCAUAAGAUUACCUUUACCUUUCUUAGAGCGGGGAUGAGUAUCCAUACCUAUGCACUAUAUGAUUACCAUUAAAAUUACCUUUUAUUAGGAUGGGGACGAGAUCCAUCCCUAUUGGCCGUAAGAUUACCUUUACCUUUUCUUAGGGUAAGGACGAGUAUCCAUCUCUUCACCAUAAGAUUACCAUUAAAAUUAUAUUUUCUUAGGGUGGAGUUGAAUAUCGAUUCCUUUGUUCUAUAAGAUUACCUUCUUCAUGCACUAUCCUUUGAAUCCUACUUACAAAAAGAAAAAAGGAAAGACAACACAAAGAAAACACAAGUAGAGGAGAGAUUAUUACUUGUUAGGACGUUUCGAACUCAAAAGCCAUAUAUCACGAAUUUGUAUAGGCUUGAGACAAGAUAUUUUGGUGAGAAUGAAGCCCUCAAAUUCUGAUUUCCAUCAGUCAAAACGCCUUCUAAAGGUGACGUUUCCAUGUCAAGAUAUAAAUUAUUUGGCGAGGCAUUGCAAAUUUGGAAUUCUCUGUUGGAUAGGAUCAAGUCAACUUUAAAAAAUUAUCUAGAAUGAUUCCGGAGGUUUUAAAUUCCAAAUUUUAGUUUUGUGGAAGAGGUAUGUGUAUAGUUUAUAGAAAAUCAAGCGGAUCAUAUGAUUUUAGUACUCCUACAUCAAGCGAUAAAUAUUUUGGUGUUGUCGCACGAAUCUGGACUUGCCGACUCGUGAAAAUCUAAGGUUGACUUUGUAGCAACAUCUGAAAAGAUCCCAAAUGAAUUAAAUGAUGGUUUUCAUAUAUGAUAUAGAUAUUUGGGUCUAGUUUCAAUAGGAUUAAGCGACAAAUGAUUUCAUCAUUUCUUAUUCAAGAUAUGAAAGUUUUAGUAAAGACGUACAAAUAUGAAAUUUUCAGCAUAAUAAAAGUUAAUGCUAACUUCGAAAAUUAUCUAGAAUGAUAUUUUUAAGUCUGAAUUUUGGAUAUGUUGUAGCUAUCUAAUUCUAGUUUCUGGAAUACUAAACCUUUCAUGAUUUCAAUAUCUUUAUAAUUUGAUAUGAAUUUUCUACUACUAACAUGCUAGUCUGGAAAACAAUUAUCUUGCAUUGUGCUCCCUUCUUUGACUCGAGACACAACAAUGUCAAAACAAUAGAGAGUGUCCAUCUAUUUAUAGAUGCAAAAAGGUGGUAAUAGUAUCCUUGUUGAAAAAAACUAGGAGAAGUUUUCAAAUCCUUAAGAAGGUGACAGACUCCUAAAUUGAUGGAAGUUUGGAGAAAAUUGUAUCCUAAUCCUAAGUGAAUCUUAAUGCUUCAACGUUAAGCUACUGGAUGCACAAAGGAUUGGGAAAAGGAAUGCUAGUUGAAGUCAAAGGGGGACAUUUCCUUUUAAAGAAGUAGUGCUGAACUAUUAAAAAAAUGUGUGAUUUAGCCUCUAUAAAAUUUAUUCUCUUGAUUUCACAAGAAAAUAAAUGAAAAAUAUCAAGUGAAUAUAUGAUUCAAAUUCUAACGUAUCUUUACUUGAUACGACAUGUAUUAACCUAUGAUAUAUAUAUAUAUAUUUACAUAAAUAUCAUUGCAAUUAAAAUUUUAAGUUAAUAUUUCAAGUCUAGUCUACAAAUAUCUAAAUACUUCGACAAGUCUUGAAGUAGGAGGUAUUUGUGAGCAAUAACAUUUUAUUAAAUUCAAAUCUGUAUAAAAUUUAAAUUAUAUUAAAAUUCAAAAUAGAUUAAACAAAAUAAAUGUAAUGGAUUAAUUAUUUAAAUCCAUACGAACAUGAAUUUGUUUAAAGUCUAAUUUAUGUUGGGCUAGUCCAUUUAUAUGGGCUACAAAUGAUGAACUUGAUUUUGCUAAGCCCAAGACGUCAUCAUAUUCUAGAGUCCCAAUUGAGAACCACGUGUUGAAUAACGUGGCAUUCCAAGUUAAGAGAAAAAACCAAUAGAAGCAUGCCACAUGUCAAAAUGAUGCAUCAUACCUAGUGAAAUAAAAGGCACAAUCAAAUAUCGCCAUGUCACUUAAAUCUGAUGGGUCAAAAGAAACCUAUCGUCACCAUGACUGAUUCCUUCGUACAACUAUAAAUAGUGGUCUCAUAAUUCAAAAAAGGGAUGAACAAUUUUAACAAGAAUCAAGAGAGAGCUCGUGGAUCAAACGCUGCAAAUUUCUCUACAAAUUCAAUCAUUCAUGAUCCAGUUCAUCAAGAUUCAAGCUCAAGACCACAGGAUUCAAGAACAAGCUCAAAGUCCCUUGAAUUCAAUUAUAAGUCUAGUUCAAGUUCAUAAAACCAAUAAAUCAAGAUUCAGUUCAUCAAGAUUCAAGAUCAGGACACAAGAUUCAAGAACAAGCUCAAAAGCCCUUGAAUUCAAGUACAAGUCAAGAUAAAAUCUGUCUAAUUCACAAAUACAAUUUAAAUUCAAGAUCAAUCUCCAAGCCCAUUGAUGUCGCCUAAAACUACACAUCCUUAGAAGUAAGAAACGGUCAAUGUCAAACUAUAGUAACGUAACUAGGUUGGGGUCUAUCCCACAGAGAAUAGGCCAGACUAUCUCUCGAGCUUAUUGAUAUCAUCAGACAGUUCAGAAAAGUAGAUAGAGGGAUUUGUGUUGAUCACUAUAAAGUAACAAAACUCGAAUGCUUUUGGUUGUAAACUAUCUAAAAAAACACUAGGCUGGUGUUCCCUCUGGCUUAUAACUCCGUAGGUUUAUCGUGCUCAAUCCAACUAUCUCACUGCUAUUUAAUAAAAUCUGACAAGAUAUGUCUCACCAACAGCGUCUCGACACCCUUUGAUGAAUCUGAAUCAUCUCCUCUCAGUAUCAGAGUGUUGAAUUACUAACCCUUUUCUUGUAUUUUAGUUUAACCAUCUCUUCCAGUCUCAAGUUAUUAGACAAGGGUUGAUUGCCUUGAAUCAUUGUUGUGAUCUUCUUUUCCUACUAUCUACCCCUCUUUUGAGUUAGUAGUGAAUUCAAUUGGGUUCUUAACAUUUGCAACCAUUAAGAAAUUAGUUAAAGUGAAGAAAACCACAGUACCUGCAGCAAAACUGAUUUAGAAAGAUUGCACACUUCUAUUACUUCAUUAAUUACAACCUUAGCUAAGAGAAUUAGCCGUACAUCGUGUUGAAAUGAUCCAUGGAAUUCAUAAUUAAAACCAUCGAAUCAAUAUCAUAAUAAUAUAGGAAGAAAACAUCAAAAUCAUCUUGGUUUUAAGCAUCGAAAGUGCCAUGAAAUCAUGGAACAUCAAGGCCCUCAACUCAGACAUUUGCAUAUCUUCAGGAAAUAACACACAACAACGAUGCUUAACCAAGAGAACCUAAGACACCUACAACAGUCAAUCAUCAACUUUAAUCUCAAGAACAUUACCCCCUCCAAUUUUACCACUUCAAAAUCUAACUGUGUGUAUAUCAAUGUAGCAGAAUAAUAUAACACAAAGUAAUCAAGCUAUGACAUUACAUUAGCAACAGACAAUCAUGCAUAUGCACAAGUUAUACUACCCAAACAAAUAAGCAGUUAGCAACAUAACCUUUGUGUUCCAAAGAAGUCCCAGUCACUCAAUAGAAUCAUGUAUGUUACUACAGGGAUAAUCACGAGACACUCACAAUGAAGUUCCAACAAUGUGCAUAGAAUACCAUAGACUUGCCUUUAUUUUCUUUAUCUUAGUUUCCAGAAAGUCGUGUUAGGAUCAGUAUAGAGCUUUACUCGACUUGUAAUGUAGGUUUGGGGGCUAGUAUGAUACAUAUGGAAAUUUAUGACUAAGCCUCCUUGACAUUACAAUUGUGUGAGGGGUCCACUUAUCAACUAAUUUCCUUUUAUUCCACCAUUAUUUUGCCCUUUUUAUUCUUUUAUUGCUCAUUCAGGUUGGGUGUGGUUUAUUUUAUUCAUUCUUUUUUUGUUUUUGCUUUUUAUUUUUGAUUUUUUUUCUCACACCCAACCCUAAUUUCUUUUCUCUUAUUUAUGCCUUUAUUCAUAACCACUUCUAAUCACUCACCCCUAUAAUAGCCACCCUCAACUUAGGUGAUUUGCUUGAGUUGAGGUACAUAAUGUCCAAGGAGGACCUGGUUCAAAAUAGGUUCAUUGUAACUAAUAUGUGAAGGUGAAUGGUGAACACAAGAAAAAUAGUCUAUUAGGCUCAAAAUAGGCAAGACUAGUCAGGAAAAUUCUAGAUUUCAUACACAAAGGAACAAAGUAAGCAUCUCACACACACAUGGCCCAUUAUUGCAUCGCAAACUACUACCUAUCCGGUUCAUGCAAAUGUUAGCUAUGAUUAUUAUUUCCCUAAUACUAAUGCCAUAAUGAGAUUCACAAGGUUACACACACACACAUAUAUAUAUAUACACACACAUUACACAAUUUUAAAAACAAAUUUUCCGAAGGGGUAUCAUUUUUCUAACAUAUUUUAGCAAAAUCAUAGUAAAAUACAUCAACUGUCUUAGGUAUUUAUGUUACUCCUAGUUAAACACAAAAAACAUAAAAUAAAACAUAAUACAACCUAAACAUUCCAGCUCUACUAAGAACGGACUCCGAAAAAAAGAGACAUGGCAACAAAAACCCCAAGAGGACAUCUAAACCCACAAGUAGCCCCAAAACCCUUAACUUGUAAUAUACAUUGUCCCUAAUGCAUUAAACCGCUAAAAACAAGAGAGUUAAAAAUAUGCAUACGACACUGUAGGUGCGUAGAUUCAACGUCAAUCACACUAACACGAACACCAAUGAAAAAAUAACAUAAUACCUUGGGCUGCCUCCCAAGCAGCGCUUGACUUCGGAUCACGUCAUGACAUGGCUAUGUUGGUUACUCAGACUUCACCAAAAAUCCCAUCAAUUUCUUCUCAUGCAGUGCAUGAUUUAAUGUCAUUGUACGAUGCGAGUACCUUGAUUACUUAGACUUCAUUAAGGUAACAAAGGGUUGGCCUUCUAUUUUUCUUUCCAUUUUGACUUAUGAAUUGCACCCUAAAUUUUUUAUCCACUUUUUUUACUAUGGUCAAGGGGCUAUGAAAAUAAAGAAACCAAGCAAUAGAUGUGGCCUGUUGAAACUCUUGACCUUUAAGUGAGGAAUUUGAUUCCUUGAUUUUGGCACAAUAAAUUCAAGAAUAUAGACAUAUUCUUCCUCCUUUUCACUUUCUUUCAUAGGCUCAGAUAGCUCUAUUAAUAUCUUACUAUCCAAACAUAAUGUGAAAAAAUGAUUAGAAUAAGGUCCAAUACAUCCCAACUCAUGAAUUGCAUUUUUGUUUACAUCCUUACAUAACUCUAGUGCGCUCUUUUGAAUUGUGACAACAUCCACCGAAGUAUGAUCAAGUGUUGGCUCCUCCAGUUUUAGCUCCUCAAUUUGGCUUAUAAGAAUCUUUUCAGUUUCACACAACUCAUAACUAAAUUAUUGGACGUCACACGUAUCAACCUUAACAUUCAAAUUUUAUUUUAAGUUGUAAAUAUCCAAGCCAAAUUUGUCAACUUUUUAAUUGGAGUCCUCUUUUUCUUUUGCUAGGAGCAUCAAUGUGUCUAGCAUGUUCUCAUUGUGCUUCCAUAGUAUAUCUAUCAUGCUCUUGUGAUAAUGCAUUAUAUCAAAAGGGUAAGGAUCAAUAAGUAAAGAGUCCUCAUCACUCUACACUUUCUCUUGUAAAGAUAUCAUAUUUUGAAGAGUAGAAAAAUAUAAAAAAAAACUCAAGAACAUCAACAAUUAUGAUCAACCACUUCGCAACUAUCUCCUCCGACAACAACACUAAAAUUUUGAUGUCGCCCAAAACUACACCUCUUUAGAAGUAUAAAGUGGUUGAUGUCAAACUAUAGUAACCUAACUAGGUUGGGAUCGAUCCCAUGGAGAAUAGGCUAGACUAUCUCUCAAACUUAUUGAAAUCACCGGACAAUGCAGUAAAGUAAAUGGGGGGAUAUGUUUUGAUCAGUAGAAAGUAACAAAACUCAAAUGCUUUUGGUUGUAAGAAAUUUUAAAUAAACACUAGGAUUGUGAUUCCUAUGGCUUCUAACUCCAUGGGUUUAUCUACAUCCUUUGGUGAAUCUCACUCAUCUCUUCUCUGUCUCAGAGUAUAGCAUUACUAACCCUUGUCUAAGAUUCCAGUUUAACCAUCUCCUCUCAGGCUCAAGUUAUUAGACUAGGGUUGAUAGCCUCGAAUCAUUGUUGUGAUCUUCUUUUCCCAAUCUCUACCCUUUUCUUAAGUUAGUAGUAUAUACAGGUGGGUUUCUAAUGUUUGCAACCAUUAAUAAAUUAGUUAAAGCAAAGAAACCACAAUACAUGCAGUAAAAAUAAUUUAGAAAGGUUGCACACUCUCCCUACUUCGUUAAUCUGCCAGGGUUCCCACAACCCUAGCUAAGGGAAUUAGCCGCUCAUCACUGUAAAACAAUCUAUGAAAUUCAUAGUUGAAAGCAUAAAAUCAAUAUUACAAUAAUAUGCUAAAAAAAAAAUUAAUAAAUCAACCAAAAACUAAGAACAUAAGAAUCCCAAGAUCAAAAUCCAAUCUUAGAAUCUAAAUAUAUGAUUGUGACUAGUCUGGGUGCGUUAACUUGCCCACAAGGGCCUAUACUAGGCUCAAACAACAUCAAAUAGCACAAACUACCUAAAAAAUGUCAAAAAGUAUUUAUAGGUUACAUGAAAACCCUAGGAAUCAAACCCUAAACAAAAGAGGAAAACUUGAGUAGGUGGCCAUUUGCGCUGCCACUUACGGGCCGUAGGUGGCACCUACGGGACAUAGGUGGCACUAAAUAGUUAGCAAACAUCUUUCACAACUUCAAACUCUCUUAAACUUUAGCUUUUGGCACCUGCAAUCUGUCACCUACGGCCAGUAGGUAGUACCUACAGCUAUUAGGUGCCAAAGUAGGUAGCAGAAAAAUUCAGGUUUCAACCUUUUCUUCUGAUUAACUUCAAAAUCUAUUUUCCUGCAAAAUCAUCAUGAAAACACAUCAUAUCCAACAAAACACACCUAAGUAAUUGCAUAAUUCUUGGUUUUAAGCAUUAAAAGUUCCAUGAAAUCAUGGUACAUCACCCAUGAAUUUAUAUUUUAAAAGGUGAAUCAGAGGAUUCAUAGAUAUUGUAACACUCACAUAUUAAAAUCAACAAAACAAUUGUUGCAAAAUUUUUCUUGUCCUAAUUAUUAUUUUAUCGACUUGAUUAUUAUUGUCUAACAUACCUUCAUCUUGGUUCCUUACAAGACUUAUAUUGUGACCUUUUUAUAUCGAAUAAGUGUUAUUUUCACUUGUUUUAAUAUUACUUUUCUUUUUAUUUGUUUUUGCAUAUUCAUCAUGGUUCCAAGAGGCAUAAUAUAGGGUUUUCUAUAAUAUUUCAUCAUUUCCAUAUAAGAUCAUCAUCUAAGUUUAAUCCCAAUAUAAAUCACAAUGUUUGAGUGGUAGUUUCACAUUCAUUUUGUCAAGAAACUUCUAAAUGUGACAAGAUGUGAGGAAAUUAGAUUUUUAGGAGUGUUGCGGCAUAGCUAUGAGCUUGAGCUGCAAGGUAAGAGUCUUGUAUCUUUGAUUAUUUGCUAACCUGGAGUCCCAAAUCUCUAGUUAUGAAGUGAACUUAUAAUUGUCAAUGAAUUAUAGUAUUUCUUUAUGAAUAAUAUUGGAAUUGGGAUUCUUUGUUUUAGUCGAAGUGGAUGUGGGAUUAGAGUUUUGUGUAUCUUCAAAAGGACAAGAGUAAGGUACAUGAAAGAUUUAAACUCAGAGAUUUAUGUGAAAUAAUACAUAACUUCUUCUCUAGGAUCUAUGUGUGUUAUCACCACCAAUUGACUUAGCAGUUUUUCUUACAAGAUCACUAAGGAGUUUUGUAUAUUAUCCACAACAACUACAUUCUUUAUUUAAGAAAUCUCUCUAAAUGUCUCUUGUGUGGUGUGUAGAAUGAUCUCUUUGGAUGACCUCAAAUCCUCUUUUUUUAUAGUAGAAUAAAUAAACUUUAACUCCCAACUUUAUUGAAGAGUUUCAUAAAUUUAUUGAAGAGUUUCAUAACUCUUCUUUAAUUAACUAGGGAGUUACUAUAGAGUUAGUACUUGUUUCAUUCAUGAACCACAAAUCUACCUCUUUUAUUUUAGGGAGUUAUUUAGUGAACUUGUAACAUUCUUCAUGAAUGAGUUAGUUACUAGUCAAUCCACCAAUGGGUGUAUUUACUUCCAACAUCCCCCACUCAUAAAUGAUGGGAUGAAUCACACAUAAAGCUUUCCUUGUAAGCAUUCACACAAAAUGCAUUGUCGUGACUGCUCAAGUACCUAGUUUGGAAGCUCUAACACUAGAAGUUCUUUUUUGGAUAAACACAAGAGACUACUACCCUUUUGAUCAAUUAUGAAGUAGGGGGUAUUUGUGAGCGAUGAAAUUUUAUUAAAUUUAAAUGCGUACAAAAUUUGGAUUAUAUUAAAAUUUGAAAUAUAUUAGUCCAAAUAAAUGUGAUGGAUUAAUAUGAUUGAAUUAAUUAUUUAAAUCUAAAUGAAUAUGAAUUUGAUUAAAGUAUAAUUUUUGUUGGGCUUGUCAAUUAAUUUAGACUACAAAUGACGAGACUGAUAUAUUAAGCUCAAGAUGUCAUCAUAGUUUAGAGGCCUAAUUGAGCGCCACGUGUUGAAUGACGCUAUGCCAAGUCAAGUAAAGGAGCCAAUAGGACCAUUCCACAUGUCAAAAUGAUGCAGGAGGCCUAGUUAAACAAAGGCCCAAUCAAAUAUGGCUAUGUCACUUAAUUCUUAUUGGUCAUAAAAAACCCAUCUUCAUAAUGACUCUUUCCUUUCUACAACUAUAAAUAGGGGUCUCAUAAUUCAGAAAAGGGAUGAAUAAUUCUGAAAAGAAGAAAGAGAGAUCUCAUUGAUCAAAUGCCGCAACUUUCUUUUCAAAUUCAAAUGCCGAAGAUUUCUUUAUAAAUUCAAGCAUUCAAGAACCAGUCAUCAAUAUUCAAAAUUCGGACUACGAGAUUUAAGAACAAGCUUAAGGGUUCCUGAAUUCAAGUACAAGUCGAUAUCAUGUUCAUCAAACUCACAAAUCAAGAUUCAGUUUAUCAAGAUUCUAGGUCAAGAUCACAAGAUUCUAGAAGAAUCUCAAAAGGCCUUGAAUUCAAGUAUAAGUCAAUAUCAGAUCCAUCAAAUCCACAAAUUAAGUUCAAAUUCAAGAUGAAGCUCGAAGCCUUUGAAUUUAUAUUCGCAAAGGCGAAUCAGAGGAUUCAUAGAGAUUGUAAGAUUCACAAACUAAAAUCAAUAGAGUGAUUGUUGCUAUAUUUUUCUUGUCCUAAUUGUUAUUUUCUCGACUAUAAUGUUAUUGUCUAACAAAUUCUGGCAUGCCCAACAUAACAAUCUCUACCUCUUAUCUUAAAUUUUCCAACAUCAAAUUUUUAAAACACUUAAAUGACUUUCAAGAAGGCCAAUUCUCAAUCGACCGCCUCCAAGGUUGCUGAUUCCAAUUUCUCUGUUAAAGUACAAAGCAUCUUUGGUGUUUUAUUUGGAAGUUUUGGAGCUAUCAUAAGGAGAAAAGCCAGCAUGCUAGGAAAACAAACACACUAAGUUUCGUCUGCACCAAUUCUAAUUCUUAGAUAUUCAACCCCCAAAUUAGUGAGGCCCAUGUAAGUGCUUCAGAACAAGGAAGCAAUAUGACAGUGACAAAUAAGAAAACCCUAGAUCUACUUGAUCACUCUAGUUCAAAAUACUUUUGCACAAAGAACGAUGUUCAUUCAACCAACGUAUCAUCUUUGCUUACAUCACAUAAUUUAAUCAUGAUCAACUUAUAUGACAAUCCGUGUUACUCUACAACAUAUUCAAUAAACAUAAAAAUAAUGGUAACUGAUGCCUUAUCUAUGGAGAAACAGCUUGCAAACCUAGCAAAGGCAAUAGAUGGCCUAACCAAGUAUAUGUAAAAUUAGGAUGCUUGGAUUGAUAAGUUGGUAGGUAGGAUGGACGACUUGAUAGACAGAGAUUCUAGCCAUGCACAUGGAAAAGCUCCAAAAAUUCAUGAGAUAGAUAAUCCUAUAAAACAAAUACCACCUACUAAGGAGGUACAAAUCUCUUCCGAGGGAAUGAUGCCAAUUGAUCAAUUGAAAGAGUUCAUUGAAGGGACCUUCAAAGACUAGUAUGAUUUAUCAACCAUGUAUUCUUGACUUACGCCAAGCCCUAUACUAUAAGGAUUAGUAGCUUCAAAAUGUUUGUCAGUUAUCAAACCCCUAAAUUUCAAUAAUUUGAGGGUGAAGGAAAUCCAAAGCAAUCUGUUACACACUUUGUUAAGACAUGUAAUAAUGCUGGAAACUAGAGUGGCUAUAUUUUCAAACAAUUUGUCUAUUCCCUAAAGAAAAUGCCUUUAAUUUGAAUGUGAACUUUAAGCCUAAUUCUAUUGACCAUUGGGAGAAUCUGGAGCAUGAGUUCCUAAAUCACUUCUAUAGAACACGGCAUACAGUGAGCAUGGUAGUGCUCAUAAAUAAUCAUCAAAGAAUGGACGAGUUAGUCAUUGAAUUCAUCAAUAAAUGAAGAAAUAUGAGCCUAAACUGCAAAAAUAGGCUCAAUAAAACUUUUGCGAUGGAGAUAUCAAUCCAAGGAAUGUGUUGGGAGCUUCUCUAUAUCUUGCAAGGCAUUAAGCCAAAAUCUUUUGAAGUGUUACCUACUCGUGCUUAUGAAAUAGAGUUGAGCAUAUUUUCUGCUAGAAAAGGAAUGUCUAUCCUUGACCCUCAAAAGGGAAAGGAUACAGAGGAAGAAGAUGGGGCAAGUUUAUCUGCACACUACUAGAAAUUACCCCUAUGGUGACAGUUGUAAAACCAUUGCAAUAGACAGAAAAAUCGUUGUCAUAGCUCUACCGUAACGGUUCAGCAAGCGUCCUAUAGGUAGGCGUUGCGAUAGGUCUAUGACAACGGUUUAUGUGACGAUUCUCUGAACCAUCACCAUAGGUCAAGCUAUGGCGACAUUUUCAUACAACCGUCGCCAUAGCUAGACCUAUGAUGACGGUUGUUUUUAGACUUAUUGAAACGCCUAUUUUCAUUUAUUACAAUGGUAUUAAACCGUUGUAACAUCUAUUGCGAUGCUUUUGUUAUUCUAUUGCAAUGUUUUUUGAAUACCUAUUUCAACUAUUUCAUUACUUAUUGGGAUGCCUAUUUUAAUCUAUUUCAAUGACAUUAAACUGUUGCAAUAGCAUCUAUUGCGACACUUUUGUUAUUCUGUUGCAACGCCACAUAUUAUUAAAUUAAAACAAUUUAUAUAAAUAGUCAUUCGUAUUAAUGUAUAUUUUUAUUUACAUACAUGAUAAAUCAUAAAACAAUAUAUACAGACCACAAAACAAAAUCAUUCGUUAAUAAUCUCAUAAUUCAAAAUACGCAACAAGCUAGUAAUUUAAACCCAAAAUAUGCAACAUACUAGCAAGUUCGAGCCGCGAUAAGUUUCAAGAAAGUCAACACAAAACUAUUGAUAUUAGAGAAUUUAUCCACAACCCAAAAAUCUUCUUAAUUAAGGUCAAUGUCUUCAUCACUUUCUUCAUCUCUUUCUUCAUUUUGGACACCUAUAAAAAGAGAACAAAAUAAUAUAAAUUAGCAUGGAGCAUGAUGGGCUACAUAUUUACUUUUAGUGAUAUCACUUUUACUUAUGGCUUGUAUUUCCAUCUCCAGCUCCUGGACAAACCAUAAAGGGAUGCUGCACAAAAACCUCAAUUUCCAGUCAAGGUAAUUUUCAAUUUGCAAAGUGAAGAAAAAUGUACAUCUCAUGCAAACAAUUGUUUUGUUCUUCCCAAAAGUUUCCUUCAUCAAUUUUCUAUCUGAAGUGAAAAGGUCAAAUGUUUUCUCUCUAACAAGAAGAAGAACAAGUCCCGGUAGGCUAACAACUAUUUUGAGAAUGAUUUAGCAAUCUAAAGAAGAAACAAAAACUGAACGAUUAGCAUCGACUAAUGCUGCAAAAUACCUUAUUGUCUGCAUAUUGGAUGAUUUUUCUUGAUAUGGAUGGAUCAUUUAGGUAGCAAACGAAUUUACAAGUCCCUCAUGUAGCUGAACAUGAAAAGAGAAAUCCAAUGAUCAUCUGUUAGCACUCUCACAAAAACUGUAAAAGUCAUGCAACUUACAUUAUUUCCUCUGAUGUAAUUAUUCCUUUGGCUCUUAAAGUGCUAAGCUUCCAAUCUAUUUGUUUCAGUCCUCGUGUGCACCAAGUUCAUUCAAAGACAUAGAAGGCCUUACCUCUUGUAACGCACUCUCAAAGUCCUGUGCAAAAUAAUAUUUUGAAAAUGCUAUGAUGAGAAUAUUAUGGACUCGUAUGCAACUACCCUAGUUCAUUCUUUUCUAUUAUUUUGUGCCAGCAAAUUACCUGAAGAGUUAUUGGCCUCAUAUCCUCCUUUUUUAGCUUUGUAACUUCUAUACCGUGCCUAAGAGCUUAUCUUAGUGGAACCAUGGAAGCAUCCUUCACUAAAUUCUUUAUGUCGGACCCAGAAUACCCUGGAAAUUUAAGCAAAAUGUGAUAAAUAAAAAAUUCACAAAUAAAAGGGGAAAAAUAGGAAUGAUGAGACUUAAAUGUUUUUGAAUAUAAGCAUCAUGAGUUGUGAAUACCGUCUGUGAAUUUGCAAAUGGAAAUAAUAUCCUCAUCUGAAAACUUAAACAACCUAUCCUUUUUCAAUAGAAUCAUGACAAUCCAAGAUCUUCCUUCUGUAUUCCCAGAGAUAUGGUCACAAUAGUGAGCAGUGAUCACAGUAGUCUAUUCGUGAUUAAUAAAAAGAAGAAGGAUCUAGACUGCACCUGAGAAAGGAAGUGGAUCGUAGAGUCUUUUAGUAAGCCUUCUCCUUGCAGCCUCAUCAAGUUCUUGGGGCCUGUUUGUUGCACCUAUUUCCAUGAAUGAUACCAUCAAAUUUUUUUCCACAAAUAACUAAAUUAAUGAUUUUUCUAUUGUAAAAAGAAAUCUGGCAGAUUUAAAUUUCUCAUUGAAUUGCUCAGUUUACAAACUACACCUCAUGGAUACAUCCACAAUAUACACCUCUUGGGCAAACAAAGCAACAAAGGAACUUUUGACUAGCACAUGUUUGUGAUUGGAACUGGUUACUUGGUUUUAAAAUGAGAAUCUACUUUUGUCUUAACAUGUUGAAUUGUAGAGGGUUCUAGAGUUCCAAAAAUCACCUAUAAGAAGAAUCUGUUUGCUCACAUUGUCAAAGAUUUCCAUCUCAAUUAGAAAUUAUGUCUUCAGGCGCCUACUAGAUUCAUGUUCACCUUCUGACUUGCGCUACAACGAUGUAAAGUCUUAUAGAGGGUCUCAAUGUUCACAUUUGCCAAUCAACUUAUGGAAGUAAAGUCGAGCCAAAAACUAAAAAUAUAUUGUCUAAUAUGCACGCCUGUGCAUGCAUGAUUGAUGCUUAUCUCCCAACUUGUGCUGCAACCUUAGCAAGUUUUCAAAUGCAAGGUUACUCCAACAUUCAAAAGAAGAGAACAUUGAAUUCUCUAAAUAUAAAUCAUUUCUUUUUGCAUUUUAGGUCACCCUUUUGUUCCCUUUUUCCCUAAUAAUUCUAUCUAAAACUAUUCUUUCCAAAAUGCCCCAAGUCCCAAAACAGAAGAGAGUCAAAAGUAGGUAUCAUACCAAUUUCUACUUUAGCUAGCUGAGGAGUUGACAAGAGAAAUAAAUUCCUUUUCAGUACACGUCUCAACCAUAAUCAGAUUAAAUACGAUAUUUCCAUUUGUCAGAAAAGGUAGCAAUCAAGCAAUUUGCAAGAUAUGCUCUUUUUCAAAAUAUUGCAUCCCAUUCAGUAAGAAGAAAUCAUGCACUAAGGAAAAGAUUUCUCUUCAAACUGAAGUAUCAGAGAGUUACAUACCUGAGACAACAGAUAAUCUAUUUCAUCAACGAAAAUAAUAGUUGGCUGAUGACAACUGACAACUCCAAAAAGUACCCUCAGCAACUUCUCCCCCUCUACAAUCUACAAUCAUGAAUUCAAAGUCAUUUGCUUAGAUAGUUCCAUCCACCUUUAAAUAGAUAUCUAGAACAAGCUAAGCUGGAACGCAAGUCUUAUGGACUAGAUUUUAGUGAUCCAUCCCAAGCCAAAUAAUAAAUUAGCUUAGACUACCUAUAAUAACUGAAAAUAAAACCUCAUCAAACUCUUUCUAUCAUGUACUCUUGCCCAAUCCUUUACAUUUCCUUGUCAUUUCUUAAAUUUCCCAGGUGUGAAUUACAUGAAAUUUUAUAGCUAUACCAGCUAAGACUCCAAAUGACUUGGGAGUACUUCUGUUCAAUAUUUAUUUAUUUGGUGUUUUCAUAUAAUAAACCUAUUAGAGAGAUGCUUAUUAUAAAAUUGUGUGCAAAGUAAAUGUUUAUGCUGCCUACAAAGAGAUUAUGUUCCCGUAGGAUUUGAGAUCAAAGAGAUGAAUUUAGAACUUCAAAACUAUGGUAUCCCCAUUAGCUUGAUUAUUUUGGUUCAUAUCAAAAGUUAAAUAUCUUGCGGGAAGUUAGGGUUUCAUCCUCCUUUUCUUCCGAUAAAAGGGAUCAAGUACAUUUCAAUUUUCAUAGAAUAACUUGCAUAAACUAAAAUACAACAUACCCACUUGCUCGUCCAAAAGUUGGCAGAUAUAUAAAAGAAGGUUUCUUUUACCUCGCCUACAAUAGCUUUCCCUAUCAUUGUUUUGCUAGUUCCCUAAAGCAUGAGAGAGUUAAAAGUUCAUAAGAACUUGCUUCUUUUAAAUCUAUCUUGACCGGGUGGACUAAGAACUUAAUGGUGGACCAAAUAGAAGAAGAGCUUGCCCUGUAGAUCGGCAACCUUUGAAGAUGUCUGGAUGUAAUAAUGGAUAGAUGACCAUCUCAGUUAUACAUUUUUUAGCAUGUUCCAGGCCAUCAAUGUCAUUCCACUGCACAUUGGGAUCCCGGUGCAUAAUAUCAAUAUUGGUAUGCUCAAUAAGUCAAGGUUCUAUAUUUCUCAAUUUCUCAGGAAGCUCACCAUCAGGACCAACCAACAUUUCCAAACUGAAUGUCACAGAAAGUGAAGAAUUAGGACUAGUGUUUUGAAUUAUAAAGCACCUAUUUAGAUCUUCUUGUGAUAAUCUUUCGUAAAAUGUACUAAGCUAAUACAACUUGAAUUAAAUAGCACAGUUAGCCCAAAGUAGAUCUCUAUUGAGACAAAACAAGCAAAGUCAACUAACCAUCUUCUUGUGGAAUCAUCUAAUGAAUCUUCUCCUUUCGCAGCAUUGCGUGAAGUAACAUUGCCUACAUUUUUUCCACUACCUCUAAUAGGAGGAACGAAAUUGUCUCAUAUGCCAUGAUGUGAAAUACCAUAGGACCUGACUCCACAACCUUUGUUCAUCAAGGUGUUAUCAUUUUGUGGGGAGAUUGAAGCACUUGGUGAUCUACUCAACCCUCGCCUCUGUCUUGUGUCUAUUUCCUACAACAUGAAAUGAUCAGAAUGGACACACAACACAAAACAAAACAAAACAAGCAAACCAAAAGAUUACAAAUCUGUGAAGUUUCAAGAGCGAUAGUCCUUAAUAAAUAAAGCAAAUUGAUACUUCUAAGAUUUGUUGCUCAAUUUAAAAAAUACAUUUAUCAAAUUAUAUAAUUUCUUCUUUGAAAAUCAAUCAGUCUCUUUACAUAACCAGGGGUUCUGUCUGGAUGCUUGAAGGUAUGACAUCAUUCACCUAUGCCAGUUCGAGAAAACACAUAGAUGCUUACAACGAUAAAUACACUUGCUAACAGCUACAACAUUCAUGUUUGGAGUCAUGAUUGCAUGUAUAUUAUACUAAGAUCUACACUAGCAAUAGGUUGGAAAUACAUCAUUGAUUAAAAAAUACUUUAACUUGCCAAUUAGGAGUCUUUAUAGUAAGUUUCAUUAAAUAAAUAGAAACCACUAAAACAUAGGACCACUUCCAGUAGUCAGUACAGAAAUCACCUGAAAAGAGUCAGGUUGAGGUAGGCUAUAUAAAUUUGUUACUUUUUUUUUUAAUGACAGAAGCUUUUCUCAAAAAAGAAAGGGAAUUAAAGAAAUAACAAGUGGUGCAACAUUCCCUUGGGUUUAAGGAGUUGUGCAUCUUCUAUCAAAAUCUAAGCCCAUAACAUUCUUCCCUAUCAAACCAAUCUUCUUAUUUGUUAUUAAAAUAUACUCUUCUUCCUCUUAACAAAGAAUUUGAACUUGUAUAGCAUACAAAAUUUCUGAUAAAUAAGAAAAUCUUUUAUCCAGAUGCAUUUACUCAUUCCCUUCUCAGGGAAGGGAAGGGUCCACCUGAGUACUUAAUGUGUUUUAAAUUAGGGAAACAAGAACUGUGAAUCAGAUCUUUAUGUUUGUUGAUAGGAUUUUCACAUAAACAUUUUUGUAUUAAAAAUAAGGGAAAAAGAAAGAAUAAUGUGAACAAACAUAAGUUGGUUGUCAGCCAAGGAAUUCUUUUUCUAUGCAUUUAAGCAAACAAGUCAAACACUCUUGAUUAGACAAAAUGAAAACCUAGAGCAUAUUCCCUUCUCGGGGAAGGGUCCACCUGAGCACUUAAUGUGUUUUAAAUUAGGGAAACAAGAACUGUGAAUCAAACCUUUAUGUUUGUUGAUAGGAUUUUCACAUAAACAUUUUUGUAUUAAGAAUAAGGGGAAAAGAAACAAUAAUGUGAACAAACAUAAGUUGGUUAUCAGCCAGAGAAUUCUUUUUCUAAGCAUUUAAGCAAACAAUUCAGGCACUCUUGAUUAGACAAAAUGAAAACCUAAAGCAUAUUGUUUCAGAAAGUUGUAGGCUUGUGGCUGUGAUAACAUAACAUUCAAAAAGAUUCCACAAAAAUUGUAAGAGGUACCAGUUUUUCUUUAGCCGUGACAAAUCCAUUUGGAGAAGCAUCUGCAUCAGUUUUUUCAGUGCACACGGGGGAUGAAAUGUUUUCAUCUCUAGUGCCACUACUUCCCUGUGCAACCAUCUUGUGUUGGAACUAUUGACAUAGGUUUUUUCUUCCUUUUCAUCUUUAAUUUCCACUGCUUGAUGCUUCGGGUAGCUAUGAUUUAAGUGAAACCUUUAAACAGGGAGAACCUCUGGGCUACUAUUAUUUGCAAAGCUUUUAUUUUUCAUCGUGGAUAAAUCUCUUGGAGUAGUGUGUACAGGUGGUUUCAAGGUCCUGCUACCCAUAUUGUUAUAUCUGUUUAAUUGAUCUCCCUGCAAGAUAAUACGCUUCAAAUGACUUCUUCUAUCUCAAAAUGAUCGCUCUUUAUUCACAAGAAAUGUGAAGCAACUUGAAUAAAGUUGGAAAACCAAAGAAAAAUGAACAAGCACGUAGAUAGGAUUUUCAGCGCUGGUGACAGAAAAGAAAAGGGAAAUAAAUAAAUUCUUUAGUUCACACACCUGUUCACCUUAAGCAGUGCCUUCAUGUAGCUGAAAAAGAGAAAGAAAGUACUUAUAUUGAUUAAUCUUCUCAAUAUCAAUGUCUUUUCCUUGGGUAAAUAUGUAGCCUAGGUCUCUCCCUGCUUGUUCAAAGGCGUGUCUGGAGAUAUAUAGUGAAGAACAACAACUUCAACAUGUAAGAACAUCUUUAUUGCUAAUAUAAGUGAAUCGUGAAAUGAUGAACGAAAUGAUUCUUAUCAGGUUCUAAAUUGUAAAAUAAGAAAAUAAUAACAAUACAAAUCAACCAAUGGAACACCAAUUAAUCUGCACAUCAAUAUAAACAAGAACACCCUUAAAAAUGCUAAAAUCUACUGCAGUUAGCCCAACUACUACAGUUACUCUAAUCAGUAACGCUAAUGUUCCUCAACUUUCUCUUGUCAAUAUAACACAUUACAAUAUUUUUCCCAACAUAACGACUGUAAUCGGCAGAAUUACAAGGAAGAAUAAAAAAUUUCACGCAAUAAAAUGAGCCCAGCAAUCAAAUGUUCUCUAAGGAGAAGAUAAACCCAAAAUCCCUAAAAAUUAGGUCAAAGUCAUAGAAGAAUACACUAACCUUAAAAUUCCCAAAUUGAAGCAAUUAAAGUGUAAAUUUGAGAGAAAUUAAAGUGCAAAUUCGGUCUAACUUUUCAACACAAAUCGAUUUUCGAAGCGGCACUAGUAAAUCCCAUAGAGCUCACCACCGACAGCUCACUACCAGAUCAUCUCCACAAUAUUGAACCAUUUGCAGAAAUUAUAGCAAUUGUCGUUGUCGAGAUUUUAGCGAAGAGUACACUAGCAGCCCUAAUCAUCGAUUAUAGCAAUUCUAUCAGCUAAUCGAAGAGUACACCAAUAGCCCUAAUCAUCGAUUGUAGUGAUUCUAUCAGCUAAUCAAAGAAUACACUGGCAAUCCUAAUUGUCGAUUGUAGCAAUGAGAAGCUACGAGAGAACUGUAUAGGUUUAAGCUAAGAGAAAGUUUUGUUAAAAUGUUCUUUUUUUCUUGGCGGACUUAAUGUAAAUUUUUGUGAAAAUGGAGGGAAUAAAAUAAGGGUUUCUAUAGGUCAAAAGCAACCGUUAUAAUGUUAAAUUAUAUCUAAUAUAAUAAUUAGUUUUGGCAACACUUGAAAUUGUUGCAAUAGACAAUCUAUUGCAACGCUUAUUAACCGUCGCCAAAAAAUUCAUUGCGAUAGGGGUAAUUUUCAAUUGUUCCAAAAGUGACAACAAAGAAUGUAUGAAUUUCAAUAUGUAUCAUGUGAAGUUCACCAAAAAGGUGAGCAAAAAUAAAAGCAUGAAGACGACUUCUCAAGCACUUCCAAAUUAAAAGUUAGAUUUGAAGGAGAUACAAGAAAAGAAAUAUCCCUUCCUUGAUUUUGAUAUUGCCAAAAUUUUAAGUAAACAUCUUGAGUAUAAAUACAUUAAUCUACUAAAGAUGAAUCAACUAGACGAAGAUGGAAGGAUUGAUGAGCCUAACUAUUACAAAUAUCACAGGCUCGUAGGUCACCGUAUGGAGAAAUGUUUUAUCUUCAAGGACAAGAUUAUGAAAUUGGAAAAUGAGAAUAAGAUCUUCUUUGAUGAUGUGAAGGCCAGUUCUUAUCAAGUCUCAAUCACUUUUGGCUCGAUCGAUCCAUUCCAAAGGCACUUAAAAGAGAAUAAGGAGAAAUCAUUAGAGCAUGAAAAGUCUCCAGUUGAUGAAGGUAGUAACGUAGGUUGGACUGUGGUGACUAGGCGGAGUCGCAAAAAGACAAAUCUACAAAAAGAUUCAUCUGAGUAACCAACUAAAAGGAGGAUGGUGAAGAAACUAAAGAAAUAGAGGCUAAUUAAGCUACCAAAGAGGGAGAGGGUAGUGGAGCAUCACCACCAAAAAUCACGACGCCUUUGAUAUUUGAAGAAUUCUUGCCAAGUCGAUUUCAUGCAAAGACUGCUCAAGUAAACCUUCAGGUAUCUUGAUUUAUGUGGAAAUCUACCCAUGGAAGUUCCUUCGUCUCCAAAAAAAGCCUACUAAACCUCUUAGUAGACUUGAAUUGUGACCUUUCUUCAUAUCGAAUAAGUGUUAUUUUCACUUGUUUUAAUAUUACUUUUUUUUAAUUUUGUUUUUACAAAUUCAUCAUGAUUCUAAGAGGAAUAAUAGAGGGUUUCUAUAAUAUUUCAUCAUUUAUAUAUAAAAUCACCAUCUAAGCUUAAUCCCACUGUAAAUCAUAAUGUCAUAGUGGCAGUUUUAGUUCAUUUUGUCAAGAAGUUCCUGAAUGUGACAAGAUAUAAGGAAAUUAGAUUGUUAAGAGUGUUGUGGCAUAGCUACAAGCUUGAGCAACAAGGUAAGAGUCUUGUAUCUUUGAUUCUUUGCUAACCUGGGGUCUCGAAUUUCUAGUUAUGAAGUGAACUUAUAACUGUCAACAAAUUAUAGUAUUUCUUUUCUUAUAACAUUGGAAUUAUGAUUCUUUGUUAUAGUUGAAGUGGAUGUGGGAUUAGAGUUUUGUGUAGCUUCAAAAUAACUAGAGUAAGGUAUGUGAAGGAUUUAUGCCCAAUGAUGUGGAAUAAUACAUACCUUCUUCUGUAGGAUAGAUGUGUGUUAUUGCCACCAAUUGAAUUAGUGAUUUCUUACAAUAUCACUAUGGAUUCUUGUAUAUUAUCCACGACAACUAUAGUCUUUAUUUAAGAAUACUCUCUAAAUGUCUCUUGUGUGGUGUUAAGAAUGAUCUCUUUGGAUGAGCUCAAGUCCUUUUUUUAUAGUAGAACAAAGUAACUUUAACUUCCAUAUUUAUUGAAGAGUUUCAUAACUUCAUUGAAUAGUUUCACAACUCUUCUUCAAUUAAAUUCAUUUAGGAAUCAAAUAACUCUACCUCUUUUAUUAUAAAGAGUUAUUUAGUGGACAUGUAACAUUAUUCAUGAAUAAGUAACUAGUCAGGCCACCAAUGGAUGUAUUUACUUCCAAUAUAUCCACUCACAAUGAUGGGAUGGAUCACAUACAAAGAUUUCCUUGUAGGCAUUCAUAUUGAGUGUGUCGUCGUGACCGCUCAGCCACCAAGUUUGGGAGCUCUUCUACCAGAAGUCCUUUAUUAGAUUAGAAUAAGAGACUACUACCCUUUUUAUCAAUUAUGAUAUCUUAUCAUCUCAUAUAAAGUGCCUUAAAUGCCCUAGACAUAUCUAUAUACACAUAUGGCUUCUUUAACCCUUUUAUCAUUUUCAGUUUUAAUAUACCUUGUAUCCAUACUUAUGAUUCCAACUAAAAUAGGCUAUAUAGUGGAUUAAUUGCAUAUGUCUUAGACACAAACAUAUUGUGCAUAUAUUUGACAUGAUCUCCCUUUUGGCCAUGUAUCAUUAAGAUCAAGAUUAAUUACUUUCCUAGUAUUACUCUGUUAGGUUAUAUUUCAUAAUCUUUGGUUUCAUACUAAAGUAACAUUCACUAAUCCAUCACCUUAUGAUAUUAUCAUAGUUAUAAGGGCACCAAUGAAAGAAUUUAAUUUCUUCAAGGUCUCAUACAAAAAUGAAGUGGGGUCUAUUCAAUUAUAUUUCAAUUUGUGGUAAUAAAGCACAUGCAGUAUGAAAUGCAUCUUGUGGUGUGCCUCUGAGUACAUCAAAGCGUAUAUCAAUUUUUAUCUCUCUACACUAUGUAGAUCUUGGUCCAAGAAAAUCAUUUACGUGACUCGAGUUCUAUCACUUUUCUAAAUUUUAGAGGAGAUCUCAUAUCUGAAUAUGGUAAGUGGGAAUCCAUAAUUUUGAUCCUUGUAUUUAACAUUUCUUUUGAAUCUCAUCCCAGUCUUCUGAUGGGGUUACAUCAAAAUGAUGUAUUCUUUUAACUACUCUUUUAGCACUAAGAAACAUGAAUGUCUCAUCUUGGCUUGCUUUUUAUAAGCACCCGAGGUGGUUGCUUGAGUGAGAAAGCCAACCUUAUUAGCAUGCAUGACAUACUUUAAUAUUAUGGUUGUGCUAAUCAAAUAAUAAUGUAUGAAAUAAUCAUGAAAAAAUGUGCACAUUAUUUCAAUAAAUAGAAAUAUCCAUAAAUUACACUCAAGAUAUUCUAACAAGGAAAUAUAAAAUUUACAUCCUGGACAAGCUUAGAGAUUUCACAUCUUCAAUAAACACAUUCCUUGGUAUUGAAUUUAUUAAGGGAUCUAUUACCAUCUAAUGCGUAGAGAUAUACUGUAAAGUAAUUUCUUUACGUGCUAUGAUGUCUUUAAAAAAGUUUUACUUUGUAUAUAUGUACUUAGUCUUACUAUGAUACUCAGGGCCUUUAGUAUAAUCCUUGUUGCUUAGCUAUCACAAAAGAGUUGCACUGGAACCAUUGGCCUGUUAAUGAUCCCUAAGUGCUCUAUUAAACUCUUUAGCUACACAACUUCUUGUCCUUGCAGAACAUGUAACAAACUCUACUUCAAUUUUAUUGAAUAAAUUUCAAUGGCUUUUUGUGCAUUUUAUUGCACUUACAUAAAUUACAAAAAAAUUUAGAGGAAACAAAAUAAUUUGGAAAGUUGAGAGCACGUAGAAUAUAGGGCAAUAUUGGUGAAGAUAGGUGACCAAGUCUAAUGUGUCAUGAUAAAACAACUGAGAACUGACUGUGUAAAGCAGUAGGAUUGAUGGCCGACUUUACAAAAGUGGAUAGAAGAUUUGGCUACUCGUACAGGCCAUUGCUAGGAUUUUCGCUUACCACUAGCAUUCUUAUCCGAUGGUCCUUCACAACAUAAAUGAAUUGUGAGAAUUUAAUAGAGACAUACUAAUAGGCACACAACUGAUAAACAAAAAUAAAAUUCUUUUUCUUCCUAGGAACACAUAGAACAUUAGAAAGGUGAAAAUCAUGAUGAGGAUACAAAAGUUUGGUGGAACCAAAGUGUGUAACACGUAAGUUUUUACCAUCACCCAAUAUUAAAUCAUCAAUGGUAUAAUUGGAAUGCAAUGAUAGAUUCUGCAGGUCACUUGUGACAUGAUGGACACCCUAGAAUCAAUUAACUAGUUUGGAUUUCUAUUUUCUCCUACAUUAGCCAUGUUUGCAUUUAGUUGUGGAGUAUAUGUAUUCUAAGUGGAGGCCAUACUAUUGGAGGUAAAAAUAUUUAGCCAAGGAAAGGCUACUUGUAGUUUAUGACAUUUCUUGAUGAAUUGGUUGAUUGCCUUGUUUUCUAUUAGAGCGAUAACUGCUUCUUUGAGUGGUCCACGUAAUAGAUAUAGUACUAGACCUAUUAUUUCACGAGUUGGAAGAGGUGUUCUUGGCUGCAAAGUUGGAAGCCAAUGGAAAAGAAGGAGGAUUGGGAUUUUGUUGAAGUUGCUGCUCAUUGUCACACAACUUUUCAUAAAGUUUAUCAAAUUGAAGUGAGGUAUCUUGAGUCCAAAUAGAAUAAGAAAUACCUUUAUAUUCAGGUGGAAAGACAUUAUAAACAUAAAGAGUGAUGUCAUCAAGAAUGAUAACAAUCCUAGUAGAAUAAAAGUAGUCAUAAGUUGCUUGAUAUAUUGAAGUUAAGCAAACAUAUUUUGAGUACCAUUGGUAGCACGGGUAAAUAAGUCUUUGAGAUUGAGAAUUCAAGCAUGAGAUGGAUACAUACCAUAUAGAGUAGUCCAAACAUCAUAAGAAGUUUCAGCAGUGUUGACCAAAGAGACAACUUCAAUAGAUAGAGUAGUAGUAACCGCACUUCGUGGCAACUGAUCUUGGUGAUACCAUUAUUUAUUAUGCAGAUGAUAAAUAGUUGGUUGAUCAUUAAUGUGAUAUGUAAUACCCAAGACAAUGAGUACAAAAUUCCAUUGAGAGUACUAUGUCUGAUAAUUGGUGGAUCUAAGUUUAAUAGGAGUAGUCAGAGAGGCUGGAAAAGGGAAUAGAACUAAGCUCUAUUUUGAGAGUUCUAGAUAGUUAAGGGAAUUAUAGUUGGAGUGAUUGGAUUAUGGUAGUGGGUACUGGAAACCUUUGAUAAGCAGAGGUAAAUGGUUGAGGGUGAGAUUGGGAUAUGGUUAUAUUUGUGAAAUCUAGUAAGGAUUUGUCGAAAAGGGUUAGGUGUUUUCUAUCAAAAUAUCACUAGGAAUUGUUUGAAAAAUAUGGGAGAGAAAGAUGAAGGUUCCAUAACAGUAGAGGGACAAAAAAUAUUGGUAUAUGAUAGCUGUCUAAGAGGAGUGACAAUGAAAGAUUGAGUUUUAGUGAAAGGGUUAGUGGAGGAGAAAUGAUUGGUUAAGGUAAAAGACAUAACAAUAUGAGGCAUUGAGGUGGAUGUGUUUUGCUCAAUAGAAGAUAAUGGAGAGGAAGAGAUAUCUUCCAUGAGGCUAUUUGAAAAAAACUGCAAGAUCAAAAGAGCCUUUUUGGCAUUUGGUCUAAUACCAUAAAAGAGUUGAAGUGAAAACUAAUGCUUCAUGAAUUGUAUUGAUGGAGGUAAAUACAUAUAUACAUAAUAGUCUUGGUAAAUAAGAAAGGAAUAAAGAUAUAAAAGGUAUCUAAAUCAAUUAGAACCAAUUAACUAUAUAUCUAAAUCAAUUAGAACCAAUUAACUAUCCUACAAUCUUUGAAGAUAUAAUACAAUCAAUUUCCUAUAUUUGACAAAGAAAAAUCAAGGAAUAAGACUUUAAUAGUUUUUGUACUCUUAGAGGCUUGAAUAACCAUAAUAUAUGUCAGUAUGUUUAUAUGGCCUUGUCGGCCUUGUUGCUAGUUGGAAUCUCAUAUUUUUCCCUCGUCGGCCUUAUGUACAUACAUGUUUGGGUUGACUUUCAUGCAGGUUGUCCUACAUAAAGACCUUGUUGGUUUAUUCAGUGUAACCUACACGUUGAACAUAUGUGUUUAUAUGGUGCACUUGUUGGACCAAUGUUCUGUGCUUUUAGUUAUAAGGUUUACAUUGAUUCACUCAACCAGGUGAGGCAUCAAAUGCCCAUCACGCCUCCCAGGUUUGGGGCGUACAAUACUUGUGUCACCAGUUCUUGGGAGUUGUAUCAAUUUCUCUGUUAUGAUUUGGCUUCCAUGACCAAAUUUAUGACUUACUACCUUAUUUUUGCAUUUCCACUCAUCAAAUAUGGCUUAAUAAUGAAUGGGGUUCGUAUAUGCGGGAGGGGUAGGUGCUCUCAUGGCCUAUUAGAAUAAUUUUAGGUCAUGAAAAGUUGCUUUUGUACUUAUGUCAUCAAUUUUGGGGGUUGUUUUUAUUUACAUGUAUGUUGUGACUUGUACCUCAAAUUUAAGGAUUAUUAAUGCUUUAGAUGAAUGCCAUGUAAUUCCAUUUUUUACUCAUCUUAAAUGGUUUAUUAAUGAAUGAGGUCUGCUUACGAGGAAGGGUUGGUGUCAUAGUGACCUAAUUUAAUUUUUGGGUUGUUAUAAAGGUAAUAAUUAUUUGGAUACUUUAAUUGGCUUUAUAACACAUUAUAACACUUUAUUUGGAUAUUUUUCAACACAUUAUAACAAUUGACACAGUAGAACAAAGAUAAUAGAAAUUAACUUGGAAUUCUAAUAGAAGUUAAAAAAGUCAAGUUAUUUCUAUUCAUCUUUCUAAAGAUUUGGUGGAGAAGUGUUAUCUUGUACUUUUAUUGAUAGAAGGAUGCAUGUGUUGGAAUAGACGACAUGCAUGUUAGUCUUACACCACCAAUAUUAUCUUAAACAGAGUUGUCCUUGAGUGGGAAAAAAAAUUAAAGAGAGGUAACAGAAGAAACACCUAUAGUUAGCUUUUAGUAGACUAAUAUUUGCCUAAAUUUAUGUACCAUGUCCCAUGUGUUAAGACUUAGACGAGUGGCAUGUAAGAAUGACUCAAAUUUAUUAAAUACAAGUAGAUCCAUACAAAAACUGGCUGAGAUAUAACCAAUAUGGAUUGAUUCUUAACUCUAUGUUUGGGACAAUUAGUUUACCAUUUCUUUUACUAAAGAAUAUCAAGAAAAGAGUUAAAUAAUAAGAGAUUUUUCCCCCUAAAAUCCCAUUGUAUUGUUGAAAAAAGGUAUUAAAUUGGAUAGGGUUCAAAUAUCUUAUGAUCCAUCCUCGACCUAUAUUAUCUUUCAAGUUGGGUCAUGAAAUUUACUUUUUAUUGUUUGUUUGGUCUAGGGAUGUGCAUUCUUUGUUUAAAACUGAAUUAUCAUAUUGCCUAGCGAUCUAUCAUAUGGUGCACUACCUACCAAUCCCAAAAACUAAAUCAAGGCAUCUCUGAGCAUUGAACAAAAAAUAAUCUCUGGUGGUGCCUGGGCUGCCCCUUGGCCUACCAAUGGAUCGGGUAGAGGAACCUUUGGAGCUACCUCUACCUCAAGAUCAAUGAUAGGAUAUGAUGAAGUCUCUCUGUCAUGACUCCUAGCUGAGGUUGAAUCUCUAGCAUGGCCUUGGCCCGUUGUUCGGCUAUGAUCUCUGGCAGGUGUUCUAGUUGUAGACUCAGGGUCCUCGUCUCUGGUUAUCAUAUAUCACAUCCUAACCAUCUACAAAAAAGUGAAAUAAGGAGAAUUUUGAAACCAACAUAGACUCAUCGCACAAAAAUUGUCAUGACUCGAACUAGGGUCUGGCCAUGAUAGGUAUCUCAAGUAUUUCGAGGACCGGAUACCACCCUCUUAUCCUAGUUAACUAGAACACAAUAUAAUAUAACAGAGAAAACAAUCCCAAAAGACAAUAAGAGACAAGAUAAGUACUUGGAUAGAAGGAAACUAAGAAUCCAAUAACCAUCCCAAUCCACAGAAAUCCACAAAGACUCUAUGGAACCAUUAUCAAUCUAGGUAGGGACAUGCCCUUGAUGAUAGCAAAAAAGGAACCAAAUGGUAGUAUAUGACACAAAAGAAACAUGACUUUAAAAUGAUAACCCUUCCAGAGAAUGGAAGCUCAACACUUCAAAACUGACAGUCAACAACGCAGAAAUCUAUCACUGUGCAGGAAAAGUAGAAGUGCCUUCAGACCCUGCAUCGCGUGGGGAUAUAACAUCUAGAGACAGUUAGUGGAAUGGGCACUAGAAUUCACUCAGGGAAGGGAUAAAACAAUGCCAUGUUCAAUAGUUUAAAAAUCAUUCAAAAACCAAUGCACACAAUUAUAUCUAUCUAUCUAUCUAUUUAUAUAUAUAUAACAUGCCAGGAUAGGGAACAAGUCUCAACAUGUACUUUAAAACUUUAGCCUAGAUUAUGAAACAUAACUGUCAUAAUCAAGCCACCGACGGGCUCUAUGGGCCCAACUCUACCCUAGUUGGAAGGGCCCCAGUGCAUGUGAUCGCACGAAUCAGAGGAUAAUCAUAUGUGCAUAUAUCUGAAGGGAGACUCGAACCUCCCAGCAUAUCAAGGUGACUUGAGCACCAAAUCAUGUGAUAUGGGGGACUCGAACCUCCCAAUUAUAUAAUAAGGGGGACUCAAACCUCCCGGUCAUUUAGACCUCAGUGUUGGCAACCACGUCUUCCAAUUUUGUCCCUCAGGACCUCCACUAUCAUGGCCCAACUACACAAACCUAUUUUAAGCCCAAUUAAAACAAAAUAUUAGCAAAAAUUCCCAUUAUUUGAACCAGUUAUGCAUUAAGGCAUCCCGUUGGCAUCAUCAUACCAACCCUACUUACAAGGUCAUUAUCAUGCCAUAUCCAUUAUCCAUCACAUGAGGAGAUUCAUGACCCUUAGGUUCAAAUCACCCAUUCGUACAUAAAAUCCAUGUACCUUAAUAUUCAAUGAAAUCAAUCCAUGGUUCAUUAACCUUUUAUGCCAAUGCAUUAGUAUAAGUGAACAAGUCAAACCAUAUGACAAAAAAACCAUAUUCAUUACCAAUUUCACAAUUUGAGUUAAGGGAAACACAAUUUAAAAAAUCAUAUAUCAAGGCAAAAUCAUCAAACUGGGAAUAACCAUGACCUUUUAGUUUGUUUACCAUUCCUAUGCACCCCAAUGAGUGUACAACUCAGUAAUGUAAAGCAUAAUAGUUCAGUAGUGAUCAGGAGAAAACGUCCAAACAAUUUAUAUCCAAGACUCUCAACCCAUAGUUCAAAAACCAACAUCAAAACACUGAAUAAUAAACCAAUUUUUAUGCCAUUAAGAAAGUUAAAAUAUAUGGAAAGAGGUAUAUGCCUUAGACAUAUAAGAAUUUGAAAGAAAGUCAAAGCUUGAGACCCGAAAGAUGAACGUACAAUGAAAUCCUUAGGCUCUCUUGGGGUUUGCGAGUUUGAGAGUGGAAUUAGGGGUUUUCAAUCCCAUAAAAUUGAAAUGAAUAGACUAUAUGAUUCUUAAGGGUCGUGCAUAGGUGAAAAGACCCCAAUACCCCUCAUUCUAAGUUAACAAAACAAAAAUUUUAUGGACUUCACAUAGCAGUAUGGAACAGACCUUAUCACGGAGGCUAACCUCCGUGACACGCUACUAAAUGCAAAGAUUAUCCUUCGUGUCAUGCUAUCUAUCGCAAAGUAUAGCCUUUAUGAAAUGGUGAUAUUACAGUGGCUUACUGCCUUCGUGGUCCAAAACCACCCCGAGCCCUAUUUGAAAAAUUUUAAAAUCUCCCGGGACACCCCAUUCAUAUACCUAAACAUAAUUUAAGUCAAAAAUCAUUAGUUCAAAUAAAGGAGGGCCAAGAUUAAAAUGCUUAAAAUUCAGAGGUAAUUACAUUAUCCUCCCCUUAGGAUCAUUCGUCCCUGAAUGAUGAACCAGGAUACUUUUCGCACGAGAAUAACAAUAUUACACCAGAAUCAAAUGAUAAACUUGGGUGAUAAUAAGGGAAAAAUAAAAAUCAUACCUUAGCUCCUUUGCCUGACACAUGGAACAAGAAUGGGUACUUAGCCUUUACAUCUUCCUCUACUUCCCAAGUGGCUUCUUCCACCUUAUGGCUCCUCUAAAAGAGUUUUACUGAAUCUACAUAUUUAGUCCUUAAUAUAUGAACUUUUCUAUCCAAGAUAUCCACUGGUAUUUCCUUGUAUGACAGGAAAUCUAAAAUACCAACACUCUCAAUAAGCACCACCAAGGAAGAAUCACCCACACAUUUAUUCAACAUAGACACAUGAAACAUAGGGAGAAUAGAACCCAAACUUGUAGGCAAUUCUAGCUCAUAGGCAAUAUUCCCCAAUUUCUCCAAAAUCAAAUAGGGCCCAAUGUAACAGGGACUGAACUUUUCCUUCUUUCUAAAUUGUAUCGCUCCAUUCAUGAGAUACACCUUCAAUAACAACCAAUCAUCCAUAUCGAACUUCAACUCUAUUCACCUCAUAUCCACAUAGGACAUUUGCCGACUUUGUAGAGUCUUAAGCCUAUACCAAAUCACCUUCAUAUUCUCCAUAUCUUGACAACCUAAAUCAAGAUUGAACAACCUUGUCUCACCAACCUCGAACCACCCAAUAGGAUAUCUAUACCUCCUACCAUACAAUGCCUCAAAUGGAGCCAUACUAAUGCUUGAGUGGUAGGUAUUAUUGUAUGCAAACUCCAAAUAAGGAAAAUGGUCAGCCCAACUACCACCAAAGUCAAUUACACAAGCUUGAAGCAUAUCUUCCAAAGUUUGAAUGAUCCUUUCUUCUUGUCCAUCUGCCUGCGGGUGAAAACCGGUGCUAAGGUUCAUCUUAGUCCUUAAACCUUACUAAAAUAACCACCAAAAAAUUUAAUGAGAACUGAGUACCACAAUAUGAAAUGAUGGAAACUUGAGCACUAUGCAACUUCACGAUCUCCUGAAUAAACAAUCUUGCAUAGUCCUCGACAGUAUUAUUUAUCCUCAUUGAUAAGAAGUGAGUAGAAUUAGUCAUCCUAUAAAUGAUGAUCCAAAUAGAAUCAAACUGGUUUUCAGACCGCAGAAAUUGGUAACAAAAUCCAUAUUCAUCACUUCCUAUUUCCACACCGACAACUUAAUUUCUUGAGACAACUCACUUGGCCUCAAGUGCUCUACCUUUACUUUCUGACAUACCGUACAUUUAGCCAUAAAAUUAACCAUAUCCCUCUUCAUAUUAUUCCACCAAUAAAUUUCAUUAAGGUCACGAUACAUCUUCAUCUAACCAGGAUGAAUUGAAUAACGUGACUCACGAGCUUCGACUAAAAUUCUAUCUCGCAGCCCAUCCACAUUGAGAAUAUAUAAACUUACUUGGUACCUUAAGGUACCAUCACCACCAAUCUUAAAAGCCAUCACUUUCUAUCUUUCCACAUCAUCCUUGAUUUGCAUCAAGAUAGGAUCCAACACCUGCUUCUUCUUUACCUCAGCACCAAGAGAUGACUUCACCACCUGUUGUACAAAUAUAUCACCAUUCUUAGAAUCUUAGAAACUACUAUAUGUAGUUUUGAUGAGUAGAUAACUAUAAGAGACUAGGUACCUGGAUGUGCAAGUUACAGUACAACUAGCACACGUUGUCUGCACAGUUUUAUCCUCUUAUGCAUCAAACUUACAGGUUCUAUUUUUUACUAAUUAGAACAGCUGGUCCAAUGAUCUUUCAGCCUUAAUCAUAACUCUACUUCAAAAGAAAAGAAAUUCCUCUUUAUCAAAUCAAUUUUUGGCAAAUACAAAAAGUGAAGAGAGGCAGCAAAAACCCCAACUCAACACUGCUUAAGUAUUGCUCAUAUUCUUAUCUUUGAAGUAUGCUUAAAGAGUGAGUAAGUGUUCUUGAGUGCUAAUUUGUAAAUGAGUUACUCAUGCUAUAAGAGUAAUAUCUUAUGCUGUAGCUGCUCAAGAGUGCUUAGGUAGACUUGCCUAAGUUUGAUGUUGAUUAGAGUUAAUCAGUGUAUAGGGUCCUUAGUAGAGUUGCCAAAUUGAGCUUCUAGUAGAGUUAUUACAAGCGAAAAGAGCCUAGAGUUAGGCUAAAAUUGAGUUUGUAAUCAAAAGGUCGAUUAUAGUGAGUUUCAUUGGUGCUUGUGAGGGCAACCUAUGUUUUUUCCUUCCUUAAGCAAAAGGGUUUCCACGUUAAAUCCUGUGUUCUUUACCUUUUAUUCACUCAUUUAUGAUUCUCGUUUAGUUACUGCUCUUUUUCCUGAGAUUGACUUUGAGGGACUUGGUCCCUUACUAUAUGGUGUAACCAUAAGGGUUUCAAAAAUCAGCAUCAGAGCGAGGUUCACUCUAAAAGGUUUAUACCUAGAGUGUUUUUGUAAUAAUAGUUGCUUCACUGAAUCUGAAAAUAGGAGAAAAGGUUCCCUUAUGUAGAGAAAUGAGAGAAAUCCUGGGAGUUAAUCCAAAGUCUUAGAAAAGUAAAGCAAAGGCUUUAGAGCCUGACUCUGGUAAAGAAGGCACUGAUGUUGCACUUCUGGCAAUAAGGAUUGUUAGAGAAAGGAAAAAAUGGUUAGGUUAGCAAAAAGAAUGGUAAAAUUAAAGUAUGUCACAAAGGUGAUAGCUUUGAAAAAUUCAUGUGGAACUACCUAAUGCAAGAGAAGGACCAGAAUCUUGAGAAGUCAAGAAGGAAGGAUGCAGCUAGCCGUAUAGUUAAGAAGAUAUUAGCAACAUGGGGAGACUUUUCCAAUAAUUCAGAUAAAGAUAAGAAGACUGGAGAUGUCACUAUACUAGCAGUGGAAGACAAUCUAGUCAUCCAUGAUUCCUUGUUUUCAUUCAUGGAAAACUCACAAGAUAAAGAAGAUAAAGAGGUAACUCUUCCUGAAUUUAACGAUAACCAAGAUAACUGCUCUACUAAGAAGCUAAAGAGGCUUGCUAGUGUAUUGAUAGAAUAUGUAUAUGAACUAAUUACUGAGAUAAACAUAUCAGAGGAGAUAUUAGAUAAUCAAGAACAUGAUUUGAUUGCUUUAACUCUCCAAAUUUCUAAAACUGAAGAGUUGUUCACAAAGAUAAAUUCAAAAAAUUAAAGUUUAUUGAGUAAUCUGAAGAAAGUAAAUGAUGGAGAUGAAAAAGGAAAGAAAGAAGAUUCAAGGCUUCAAGUUGAUCUUGAGUAAAGAUUGAGGGAUUCCUAAAAAACCUUAUGCCUGAGCUACACAAAGAAUGAAAAGUCAGAAAGAGACCUGGUCCGCUUAAGAGAAAAAUUGAACAAGUCUCUUAAAUGGACUACUCUAUCACAAAUUCUCUCUAAUCUGAUUAUUCAAGGUGUUAAUGAUGGCAAAGGACUAGGCUAUCAAGAAGAAUUCCAACUUUCUGGGUGGAAAGGAAAGACUAUCAAUGGUGCUACGAAGAAGGCUCCCAAAUCUAUAGACAAUCAUUAUGAAAAAAAUAGGCAUUCUAAAGGGAAUUGUCAAAGCUGGAAAAGUGAAGGAAUGAACAAAUUCAGAUAUGUUCUGUAGGAGAAUUCACAACCAAAUGAAUUUAAAUACUUGGAUAAGAUGAAGAAGAACUCUCUACCUAGAUAGGCCAAGAAGGUUUUGGUCACACCAUUGUCUUCUUACAGGGAACUCAAACUCAAGUGGGUUCCAAAAUCAAACAAGUGAUCAUGGUUCCAGGUUGGAGAAAGGGGAUUACAGUCAGUAAUGUUCAUUAAAAGUGAGUGUUCAAGGUUUAAGUUUUGAAGAUCUGACUGUGUUCUCUCUCUCUUAAGGUACUCCAAGAUAUAGGUGUGUAUAUUAAAACAGUUGAUUUUAAGGGACCUGGUUCUUAGAAGACUUAUCUUAAAAAAGGAAGUUUCAGCAAAAGGCCAUAUCAUGGAUUGAUCCAGCCAACCCGACCUAACAUGUGAAUCAGUGUAACUCCAAAAAUUGGCUAUGCUAAGGAGGAAGAUAUCCUUGUUAGAAUAAGUGCUUAAUACCUUGGUUGGUAUACACUCAUAAGAACAACUUAGGAGACCAGUUGAAGCCAACAGAAGUACAAAUUUCAGUCAAAAGGGCGAGGGACCUGGUCCUAUCACUCAGGUUAGUAUCUAUACAAGAAGCUUAAAAUAAUCAUAAAGUGUUGUUUGAAAAAUCCAUAUAUGUUUUCUACUCUAAAGUAUCAAUUUCUAUGAAAAAUAAUGAGUCACUUUCAAUACAACAUCAAACUUUCAUCCAUAGAUUCUUUUGAAUAUCUAAUGGGUGUGUUUAAUAUUUGGUAACCAAACUUCAAUUUAGGCAUCCUUAUUUCUAGGAUAAUACCCAUGGUAUAGUUAACUUCACAAUCACCCUUAUUUCUAAGAUAGUGAACAUUUAGUAAACUACACACAUUAUCGUCUAUCAUUGCUUUGUUCUCCACAUCCCUCUCUCAAGGAUGAUGUGAAUUCCUAAAGUUCACCCAAAACCAUUCUUUCGAAGAUAACCUUGAGUUUUCUAGACUUUCGAGCUUUCACUCAUCAAACCCAUGUGGGUAUUUGGGGCUUUCACCCAUAAAUCCCAACCAAGUUAGCAUAGCAAUUAUAAAACCCAUAAAAAUGAACUACCAAAUAAAAGCUAACAAUAAUAAUCCACACACACUCUAACCCCUAUUCACACAUAACCCCAAGAGGGAAAUCUAGCUACACAUAAGAUAAAUAAGCAUAGAUAUACCCAUAAUAUCCAUUAAAAUGACUUGUUUGUAGAUUAAGUGAAUGUUACUUCAAACUUUACACUCCCAUAAAUCAACAAUAAAAGUAAGCUAUCCCUCCACUUAGAAGGUCUCCAAUGUAUUCUUCACCCAAAAUUUAUACAAUAUUUUCUUCUCCAAGUAUGGAGGCUAUAAACUCAAGAGCUAAACCUAAAAAAUUGGGGAAGAUGGAAUAUGAUCCAUAAUUCAAGGGUUUGAGUCUUUUUGACAAAAUUUGGAUCAACCACGUGCAUUUCCAGAUUUUCCCUUGGGUUGAACUCUUUCGCUAAGUCCCGAUUGCACCAGAUUAGCCUCAACCACAACCAUGAUAAACUUAUGUAACUGUGGUUGAUUGACCCUGCUUAACUACUGCGAUCGUGGUCAGCAGACUACAACUGUGGUAACUGAGGCAUUUUUGCUCCAGGUCUUCAACUGCACGUUCUUGCUCCUUUUUUGACCAUUUUAAGCUCUAAUCCAAAUUUUUCUAUCUCAUCAAAUCUAUACCUGCAAAGUGUGGAUGUUAGUGCACUCGAUCACAAUUAUGUCUUAUUUAUUCAUUCAAAACAAGGUAAUGUAAAUGUAUAAUGAGUGAAAAUGAGUGGUAAAAUCACUACUCAUGUUCAGUCUCCAUUGAAUCCUCAUUAACUUUAGAAGCUUAUGCUCAGCCAAUCAUGAUUGAGAAUCCAAACCAAGGAUUUGGAUCACCAAUAGAACAAGAAACAUCUCAACCUGAAACUCUCUCUUCUCUAGGAAAUUCAAAAGUACCUAAAAACUUCCAAAUUCCUGAGUCAUUCGAUAAAUUCAAAAAUUCUAAACCCUCUAAAACACAACAAGAAAUUGACUCUCCUAUGCCCUCAUAUUCAAACCCUAUUUUACCUAGUUUCUUAGUGAAAAAAUUCUAGUGAAAAGGGUUAAUAUUUCCUCCAAUGAAAAUUGGGUAGCUGAGAAUCUACUCUUACUUGCAUACGAUACAAACAAAAUCUCAGUAAAUAGAGAAGAGAAGAAAGUGGGUGAUAAGGAUAAAGGAAAUUAAGGAAAAGAUAUGAUGGUCCCACUACAUAAGGAAGAUGAAGAGGAUGAGUAUGAAGUACCUCUAAGAUGGUCAGCAAAGAAACUGAGAGGAAGUAUAGGUAAGGAGAAAGUGAUAAACUCAGAGGUGAAAGUGAUAUAACCUAUUUUGCAGGGGGUCUAAAAACAAUAAUGAAAGAUGAUAUCAAGGCUAACAAAGCUUAAAUCAUGAAAAAAAUAAGGCUAAAGAAAUCUAUGGCAGUAGAGGAGGAAGGAAUAUGGAAGUUGUAGAGGUUGAAAAAGAUGAAGACAUAGAUUCAGUAGUUUCUACCGCUACUAAAGAAAUAAAAUUGGAAGUUAAGGAUGAUGAGAGGAACAGGUCCUCUAAGUUAAAGACUGGUAGCUCCACUGGAAUGAGGUAGAAACAUAUAGCUAUUAAGAAAAGAAAAGAUUUUGAGGGACCCGGUCCCAUGAAGAGAAAAACUAAUGAAAAAAGAGAGCCAAGUAGUAAGCCCAAGAGAAACAAAAAGAAUGAAAAAAGAAAGAUAUAUCCAGAGAAAAGAGGAUUGAGAACCUGAGAACAUGAAAGGUUUUACUGGGAGAAUAUUUGAUCCAAAAAUCUAAGGAAAACCAAGGAUGGUAGAACGGGUGGAGUAUGUGAGGCAUCAGGACUGGUUGCACCUGCUAGAAGAACUAACUUUCAUUGUCUUUAAAGGAGAAGUGAGAGAAUUCUACUACUCCAUGGAAUUCUCAAAGGAUGGUCUGUAUUUGAUUGCACAGGUGAAGGGAAAGGUUCUUAAGCUAGAUGAAGAAAUACUAAGAAUAAUCCUGGAUGUACCUAUUGUAGGGAUUAAAAUUGUAGUAAAUCAAUAGCCUACCACUGAGUUCAGGAUUGAGGCAUCAAAGGUAGGAGUGACCUCAACAGUUGCAGUGAAAAAGAAGUUUCUAAAAAGUAAAUAUCAGUUGGCAUUUGAGUUCAUCAACAAGGUCUUAUUGCCAAGAUCUAAAAAAAGAAUAAUUGCUUUUAGUGUUGACUUAUUCUUGAUUGAAUCCUUGAGCAAAUUUGAAUUGAUAAGUCUUCCAGCUCUAAAUAAUAGAGCAUAUGCAUAAAGUGAUCCAUAAAAAGGAAUACAAAUAUGGAAAGACAUAGGGGUAUCUCUUGAACAAGGUGUUUAAACAUUAUGGUGUAUAUGGAACUAAAGAAACACAUGGAACAACCAAACAAAUGAUUAUCCUGACAACCCUUGUGGAGAAUGAAUGCAUAGAGGGAAAAGCUGGAUCUAUGUCUCAAGUGUCUGAGUUGCUAGCUAUUUAGGAAAGGUUGGGCAAAUAAAUGGAUGAGUUAAGGAUUAUGUUGGCUGCCAAAGAUGCUGAGAUAGUGCAUUUAAAGUUGCAGAAUCAAAAGUUGUCUUCUGAGGGACCAGGUACCACUAAUGAGCUUGAUGCUGAAAAUACAAAACUUCAAGCACAAGUGGUAGAACUAACUAGUGAAAUUCAAGAAUUGAAUGCUGAAGUGAAAGUUCUCACCAAAUAGUUAUUGGAUGCCCACAAUGAUGAAAGUGCAAGAAUGAAGAUGCUACUUAAGUCUCUUUCCUCCAAACCUCCCUCUACCUAAGUCUUAUUAUCCCUAUCUUUAAAUCAAUCCAGUGUCAGUUUUAUAUUUUCUCCUUGUGUUGGCUCUUGAAGACAGUUUGUGUUAUGAAUUAUUUUAGUAUGAUUGUACUGAUACUGAUAUUUGAUUUGAAAAUGAAUGAAUUUAGCUUAUGUACCUCAUCUGUCUCCUUUACUUUUAAAACUGCUCUUCAUGCUAGUGUUUCCCAGUGGCCGUAUGUUAAUUAGCCUAUACUUAUCCUUACUUUUUAUUUAUUAUUAGUUCUUUUCAAUAAUGCUAAAAGAGGGAAUACCGACUUCAUGUGUAAGGUGCUCAUGUGUGGUGUAUGUUGGUAGGGGGAAGUAAGUAAUGUGCUAAGUGAAUGAUAAGGCACAGUGACAGAGGGACAAAAAUGUGCUCAAAAGUUUUUGUUGCAAAUAUCAACAAGGGACCAGGUCCCUAUGUUACAUGAUGAUAGGGGGAACAUUCAUCUUCAGGUGGUAAUCACAAUGAUUAAAUGUGAUGACUAUGCACUGAUGCUCAAAAGUGUAUCAUUGGUUUGUCAUCAUAAAAAAAGUGGAAAUUUCUAUAUUUAGUUUUGAUGAUGAGUAGCUAACUACAAGGGACCAGGUCCAUGGAUGUGCAAGGUACAGUACAGUUGGCAUGCGUGUCUGUACAAUUUUGUCCUGUUGUGUAAAAAACUUACAGGUGCUAUUUUGUACUGAUUAGGACAGCUGGUCCAAUAAUCUUUUAGUCCUAAUCAUCACCCAACUAUAAAAUAAAAGAGACACCUCUUCAUCAAAUUGUUUUUUGGAAAAUACAAAGAGUGAAGAGAGGCAGCAAGACCCUUAAUUCAACAUUGCUCAAGUAUUGCUUAUAUUCUUAUCUUUAAAGUAUGCUUAAAGAAUGAGUGAGUGUUCUUGAGUGCUGAUUUGUGAAAGUAUUACUAAUGCUAUAAGAGUAAUGUCUUGUGUUGUAGUUGCUCAAGAGUGCUUAGGUAAGCUUAAAUCGAGUCUGUAAUCAAGAGGUUGAUUAAAGUAAAUUUUGUUGGUGCUUGUAAGGGAAAACUAUGGUUUUUCCGUCCUUGAACAAGGGGGUUUCCAUGUUAAAUCCUAUGUUCUUUACCUUUCCUGCACUCCUUUGUGAUUCCUAGUCAUUUACAAUUGUUUUGCCUAAGAUUGACUUUGAGGGACUUGGUCCCUCAUUGUAUGGUGCAACCAUAAGGGUUUUAACGGAGAUGAACUCCAAGACUAGCCAGAUUGUAAAUAUCCUUCACCAAUUACCUCUUCUCUUCGUCCACAUGGGAUAAUCUUCCCAUAGAUAACCUGCUAAGAGAAUUGACAACCACGUUAGCCUUACCUGGGUGAUAGUGGAGACUUAUGUCAUAGUCCUUGAGCAACUUAACCCAUCUCCUUUGCCUGAGAUUCAAUUCCUUCUGGGUGAACACAUACUGCAGACUCAUAUGAUCUGAAUAAAUGUCAACAUAGAACCCAUAUAGAUAGUGUCGCCAAAUCUUCACUGGGAACACUAUGGCCAACAACUUCAAAUCAUGAGUCGAAUAAUUCCUCUCAUAAACUUUCAACUGCCUUAAAGCAUAUACUACCACUUUUCCAUGCUUCAUCAAUUCACAACCAAGUCCCAUACGAGAAGAAUCACAAUAAAUCACGAAGCCAUUAGUACCACGGGCAAGGUCAAGACCGGUGCAUAAGUCAAUUUAUACUUUAGCUUCAUAAAACUCCCCUAAAAAGCAUUGAACCACAUAAACUUUAACUUUUUAUGAGUCAACUUAGUCAAAGGUGCGGCAAUCAUCGAGAGUCUCUCCAAAAACCUCCUAUAAUAACUGUAUAAGACCAAGAAGCUCCAAAUAUCGGUUAGAGUUGUGGGUCUAGUCCACUUCUUAACCAUCACAACUUUCUGUGGAUCUACCAUGAUCCCCUUACUUGAAACAACAUGACCCAUAAAAGUAAUAAUGUUCAACAAAAAUUCUCACUUUAAUAACUUAGCAUACAAUCAUUGAUAUUUUUGAGCCUACAACACAAUACGGAGGUGAUCAGCAUGAUCAACCUCUCUCUUUAAAAAUACCAGAAUAUCAUCUAUAAAUACAAUCACCAAUAAGUCUAAAAACUGACAGAAUACUUGGUUCAUGAUAUCCAUAAAUAUCGUCAAAGCACUGGUCAAUCCAAAGGACAUGACCAAGAACUCAAAAUGUCUAUACCUGGUACAGAAGGCAGUCUUAGGGAUAUCCUCCUUCCUAAUCUUUUACUGAUUAUAACCCAGUUAAAGGUCAAUCUUAGAGAAAUACUUACCUCCUUGAAGUUGGUCAAAUAGGUCAUUAAUCCUAGGAAGAGGGGACUUAUUCUUCAUCAUCUCCUUAUUCAUUGGAUGGUUAAUGAUAUAUAUCCGAAGUGAACUAUCCUUAUUACGCAUAAAAAGAAUAGGGGAACCCUAUGGAGACAUACUAGGGCAGAUAAUUUUCAAAAAGAUCUUUCAACUACUCCUUCAACUCAACUUGAGCUAUUUUAUAGGGAGGAAUAGAGAUAGGAUGAGUGUCCAAAAGAAGAUCAAUCCCAAACUUAAUUUUCCUAUCGGGAGGGAUGCCUGAAAGAUCAUCAAGGGAAACUUUAGGAAAUUCACUAACCAUGGGAAUAGAUUGUAAAGAAGGAUCCUCCAAGUUAGAAUCUUUAACCCAAACCAAACGAUAAAUACAUCCCUUGGAAAUCAAUUUCAAGGAUCUAAGAUAUGAUAUAAACCUUCCCUUGGGCAUGAGGGAACUCCCUUCCUGCUCAAUAACUGACUCAUUAGGAAAUUUGAAAAUAACCUUACGGGUUUGACAAUCUAAGGAGGCAUAGAACGAAUAUAACUAAUUUAUCCCCAAGAUGACAUCAAAAUCUAGCAUGAUAAUUCAAUCAAAUCCACCAAAGUUUCCCUACCACCAUCAAAUUAAAGCAAACCCUAUAGAUCCUUCUAGCAACGACCGAGUCACCCACCAGGUAGAUACAGAAGAGGGGCCUAAAAUACAUUCAAAACCAAAAUAAAAAUACACAACCACAAAUAUGGUCAUAUAAAAAAGGGUAGACUCUGGAUUAAGUAAACAUUACACAUCACGACAGAAGAGUUUUAGCAUACCAGUGAUGAUAUUUGGAGAUACCUCAUAAUCCUGAUGGGUAGCAAGAGCGUAUAAACUAUUUCAACUAGUGUCAGAGCUGAAAGUGGCACCCUUUGGUACAAGAGAUGAUAAAGUAGCAGCAGAAACCUUGUUGGCAUAGAAGCAACUCUAGAAGGACAAUCCCACAACAUAUGACUAAUCUGACCAUAACUGAAACACCUAUUCAUCCUUUCUCACACUGGACACAAUGCAAUUGACCAUAGAAUCUGAAAGGAGGAUAGGAUAGAGAUGAAUGGGCUUUACUGGCCUGAGAUUAGGCACCCUGUUCCCUAGAACCAUCACCACUAUGAAAAUAAUGAUCUCUAGAUUACUUUGGAUAAGGUGAACUAGCCGUUGAAUAGGAGCUAAAAGUUUCUCCACUUUUUUGAAGAGCAGUUUUUACCAUCUCUACCACUCAGUUUCUGACCUACUCUUAUGCAAAUAUCAAAAUUUCUUACUCUACCUUUCCCCCACCUCAGCUUGCUUUUUUUUCACUUCAACCUGUUAUAUAUACACUACCAGUCGAGAGAUAUCCAUAUCUUUGUUCAACAAGGCAUCCUUGCUCUCCAAAGUCAAUUUAUAAGACAAACCAAAAGCAAAUUUCCUCAUUCUAUCCCUCAUGCUUUACUCUAGCUCAGAAGCAUAUCGCGGCCACUAGUGGAACUUCAAGGCAUAUUCGUUUACCAUUAUCCUAGCUUGCUUUAAGUUCAUAAACUCCUCAGCUUUUGAAUCCCUCAAUUCCUAAGGAAAGAAGCGAUCAAGAAAAGCACUAUAUCAUCAACAAAUUGAUAUACCAUUGGUACGUUACAUCCUUCAAUUGAUAAGGAACAAAUUCCAUACCCUUUACAUCAAUAACAUGUAUAACCUAGAAGAUCUUCUCUAUAUCAUCAAUAAAACCUUGAGGAUCCUUCUCAACCUUUUUACCAGUGAAAGUUGAAGGGCUCAACCUUAUAAACUGGCCAACUCUAGUAGCCUCAGAAGAACUCCAAGGAAUAACUGCAAAACUCGUCUGAUGUGACUAAGAUAUCGCCAACUAGAUCAAUAGAUAAAUAGCUUGGCAAAACUCAGCAUCAGUAAUACCUCCCUGAGUUGACUGAGUACGAGUGCCACCAGCUGGAGAAGGAUCAGUGGAGAAAGGUAGAACUCGAUGGGGGCAAUCUGAAGCAGCAAUACUUUACUGAGUUUGUACCCCAUAAGUUGGAUGAGAUUCGGCCACAUAUCUGUAGGCGAGAUAGAUUAGUUCCCACGAGCUUCAGAUCAUCUGGGAGCAUCAUCUGAAAGGCUAAUGAGUGGGAUUUAGAAGAAUCCAAGACCUUAGAAUCUAUAGCCCAAAAAUAAGAUAAAUAGAGAGGGAAACAUUCCUAAAUGCCUCAUAGCCUCUCCCUUAUAAGUGUGGCAUGCUACAUACUUAUAAAAAGACUCUACUUGACACAGCUUUGUGGACACCCAAUUGGCUAUGAACCUAGGCUCUGAUACCAACUUUGUCACGACCCAAACCAGGUUUAGCCGUGAUAGGUGUCUUAAGUUUGCCAAGGAUUGGAGACCAACCCCUUUGCCUAGUCAACCAGAACACAAUAUAAUAUAUUAGCAAAAGCAAUUUGAAAGACAAGAAAAGAUAAUAUAAGCACUUUGGAUAUAAAGAAAUUGAUAAUCCAACAACUAUCCCAAUCCACAGUAAUCCACAAACCCUCUAUGGAACCAUUAUCAAUGUUAGUCGGGACAUUCCCCUACCGAUAUCCAAAAGAAAAACCAAAUGGUAGUCUAUGACACAAAAAAACAUGACUUUAAAAUGAUAACCCUUCAGGAGAAUGAAAGCUCACUACUUCAAAGCUGACAACUGACAACCCAAUAAUCUAUCACUGCACAGGAAAAGCAAAAGUGCCUUCAGACCCUGGAUCAUAUGGGGAUACAACAUCUGGAAAUGGUUAGUGGGAUGAGCACUAGCAUGUAACUCAAGGAAGGGGUAAAAUAAUCCUAUGUUCAAUAGUUUAGAAAUCAUCCAAAAAUCAAUACACACAAUAAUAUGCAUGUACAAAUAAUAAAUAAAGCAUGCCGAGAUAGGUAACAAGGCUUAAUAUGCACUUUAAAACUUUAGCCUAGAUUUUGUAGCAUAACGGUCAUAAUUAAGUCACACACGACCAAUAUAGGCCCAUCUCUCCCACAGUUGGAAGGGCCUCAGUGUGUGUGGCUGAAUGAACUAGAGGAUAAUUAUACAUACAUAUUUCUUAUGGGGGACUCAAACCUCCCAACAUAUAUCAAGGUGACUUAAGCACCAAAUCAUAUGAUAUGAGGGACUCGAACCUUUAAAUCAUAUAAUAAGAGGGACUCAAACCUCCCGGUCAUUUAGACCCCUGCAUCGGUAACCACGAUUUUCAAUAUUUGUCCCUUGGGACCUCUACUUUCAUGGUUCAACUACACAACCCUCUCUUAAGCCCAAUUAAAACAAAAUAUUUAGCACACAUUCCAAUCAAUUGAACCAAUUAUGAAUUAAAACAUCUUGCUGGUAUCAUCAUACCAAUCCCCCUUGUAAGUUCAUUAUCAUGUCAUAUCCAUCAUCCAUCACAUGGGGAAAUUCAUAACCCCUUAGGUUCAAAUUUUCCAUUUGUACGUGGAAUCUAUGUACCCCAAUGUAAAAUAAAAUCAAUCCAUGGUUCACUAACCUUAUAUGACAAUGCAUUAUUAUAAAUGAGCAAGUCAAACUGUGUCAUAAAACCAUAUUCAUUACCAAUUUUCACAAUUUGAGUUGACGGAAAAAUAAUUUCCAAAACCAUAUAUCAAGGAAAAAUUAUCAAACUAGGAAUAACCAUGACCCUUUAGUUUGUUUACCAUUCCCAUGCACCCCAAUGAGUGUACAACUCAACAAUAUAAAGAGUAAUAGUUCAAUAGUCAUGAAAAUAAAACAUCCAAACAAUUUAUAUCCAAGACCCUCAACCUAUAAUACCCCAUAUUUUUCUAGUCCCGUUUAGCUCCUAGUGUGUCAAUGGACAACUUUAAAAAUGUAUAACUAUUGAUACUUAUGGAAUUUUAUAGCUCUAGACCCACCAUUCUGUAGAUAAUUGAAUUAUCUUUCCAACGAUACCAAUUUUGCCUUAAUCCAAUACUCGGUUGAGAAGUUAUGGAAAUUUUAGUGAAAAAUAGUAGAGAACCGCGAUAGCACCACGUCGUAGUAAGGUACAGAAUCACAAUUGUCUGAUUUCCAGUGAAGCACCAUAAUUAUCCCAUGUCGUGGUAAAGUCCAAAUUCCCUUUACUCUCUUUUCUAGUAGCUCACCUCGAUUGGCCGGUAUCACGCCAAAAAUCUCAAUGGGACAAACACUGCAUCGCAGUGGAGUGUAAGAUGGCACUCGUCCGUUUCCAGUGACGCAAUGCGAUUAAGUUGUAUCACGCCAGAGGUCAAAAUGGCACUCAUCCCUUUUCUAGUAAGCAACCACGAUAAGCAGCACAUCACGCCGUAUGCUCACUUUCAUCAAAAUUACUCUCCAAGAAAACCCUAGAACUCAAAUCAUAAACCUCAAGAAAUCCAAAAUUCCACAAUUCUUUUUCUAAGAUAACCCAAAAUUCAAAAUAUUCAAUAAAUCAUCUUCCAAAGCACAAAUAGGAAUUCAAGUUCAAGCUUCUUUAUCAAUUUCAUCAAUUAAGGUAUAUGGGGUUAUGAACAAGGAUAAAAGAGCCAAAAACUAGUUUUAAAGUUGAUUUUUACAUGAAAUUAUAUGAGUUUUAAUUUAGGGUUUAUACCCACCUAUUGCUAUUUGAAGAUUAUGAGAUUACAAUUGAUUUAGAUGUUGAAUUACAUGUCUACUUUCGUAUUUUUAUGCAUAUGACAUUAAUUCUCAAAUUUAGAAUUGAAUUAUCAAGAUUUUUAUUAUUUAGCAUGAUAUUUAUGAUGAUUUGAUAUAAAAUAGAUGCAUGGGUUAUUAACCCUAGAUUGAAUGUUGUUAUUUUAAGAAGAUUGUGCUUUUAAGCAUCCCAUGACUUGUUAUAUUCAGAUUUUGAAUAAAGAUUUGAUCUUUUGAUCUCAUAUUAGAUAUGGAAUCCGCUUUACAGAUUUAACUACAGUUUACAGUAAAUAGAUUCAUAAGAGGUUUUCAUUGUAAACCCUUAUACUAGUUUUAAAAGUGGAUUUCCUAUAGAAUGAGCAUACAGAUUAAAGAGAGUAGUAUUUAGCACCGAGUUGGGUAUAUUUAUAUGCCCCAGAACUACGAGCUGACGUAGAUAUAGAUUAUUAGAUUAUUCCUAUUUCUAUAUGGGUGACAGUUAUAAAUGUGAUCACUUAGAUUAGGUUAUACUCUAUGGCAAGAGUAUGACACCUCUCUCCAACGUGAGGUUUUCCCAUAAGGGAACUAGACGUUGGACUCCAUGUUAGCUUACAUGGUUUAUGUUGGUUAGAAGAACCUCCCUAUAGCCUAAAGAAAAGAGUAAAGAAUAACAAAAAAGCUUUCAGAAAGUAAGUGUAAAGGCUCACAACUUUAUUCAGAUAUUGCUUUACAUAAGACAUUAAUUACUAGAUUUUAGCUUUUAAUUUACAGAUAUAAAAGUGAGUCCUUUCUACACUUAUACCGCAUAAUUUAAAGACAGAAUAUCAGUACAUAUUUUAGAACUAAGUGUUUUGACUCACAAGAUUUAUACAAUAUGUUUUAUCACUCAUGAUGCAUGAUUUUUUUAGCUUUCAAUUAUUCCAGUGAGUUAUUUAUACUUAGCAUGCAUUAUUUUACAAGUUUAUACAAACAUUGAGAUAUUAUUUUACUUAUGUAUUUACCCCCAUAUACUCAGUACAUUCUAGAAGUACUGAUCUGUACAUAUGUCUAUGUGCUACAUUGUCUUAUAAUAUAGGUUCAGGUGCUCAGUUUUAGUAGCGUGUGUGAUUUUGAGCAUCUCCAUCUACAUCCCGAUAGUUGGUGAGUCCUCAUAGUUUGGGGACCCAGUCAUUCAGAUUUUCUAAUUUAUUACAAUAGUUGAUUUAGUAUUUUUCAAUUCAUUCGAGUCAGCUGGGAACUUGUCUAGUGGCUUUCUAGUUAUUAGUAGUAGAGGCUUGUCAGACUAUUAGACAUAGUUCAGAUUUCUAGUAUUACUUUUCCAAACUUUGAGUCUAGUAUUUUUAGAUAUUAUGUUUAGAUAAUCUCAGGUUAGCUUAAUAGAAUUCCCUAAUUUAGCUUUAAUUUUAUAGCUAUAUUUCCUCUAUUAUGAGCUUCAGAUUUAGUAGAAGGUUGAUAGGGUUAGCUUAAGGCUACUCAUAGUUUUGAGCCCUGUGUGAUGUCCCAGGACCCAUUUUUAGGGUGUUGCAAACUUAGUAUGAGAGCCCAAGGUUAUAAGAGUCCUAGGGAGUCAGCCAAGUCGCGUUACGUAGAGUCUUGAUCACGGGUGUGAAGCACGCCACAUUUAUGAUCAAGAGGCUACGGGACAUUUUUAGGAAAUUAUCCUUUUCUUUCAUGAUCUAUUUUCUUACAGUGUCUCUAUUUGCUUUUAGCUUAUUCUCUUAUAUGACAGUUGAAUAUGCCUUCUUACCAAGCUAAUACACGCAGAAAUAAUAGCUAUCCACCCCAACCUACUGACCCUAUGAAUGAAAAUAUAUCCUAUGCUGAAUUUCGAGAUGCCUUUCAGGCGUUAGCCCAAGCUAUGACUGUAAAUGUUCAGCACAACAAUCAGGCGACAUUCCUACUUUAGCAGAAUGGGGAUUUAGCAACAGCCAAAAUUCAUGACUUCAUGAGAAUGAAUUUACCUGAGUUCUUUGGGUUAAAAGUCGGUAAGGCAACAACUUUACUUAGAUGAGAUAAGGAAUAUCACUAAUAUUAUGCAUUUUACUGAGAAGGAGAGUGUGAAGUUGGCAUCGUAUAGGAUGAAGGAUAUGGCAUAUGAUUGGGUGGUUAUGUGGAAGAAUGGUAGAGGUGAGAAUACAACGCUUAAGAGUUGGCAGGCGUUUUAGGAUGUAUUUCUCAAUAGGUUAUUUCCACGUGAAAUAAGAGAAGCUAAGGUAGAGGAGUUUGUGAACUUCAGACAGGGCUCAAUGAUGGUGAAAGAUUAUUGUUUUAAGUUUAACUAGUUGUUUAAGUAUUUCCCUGAUAUGAUGGCUGGCCCAUGGCCGAGUAUGAGUAAGUUUGUUACUGGAGUAUCUGGUUUGGUAGUCAAGGAGCGUAGGACGUCCAUGCUUGUUGGUGAAAUGGAUCUUACUAGGAUGAUAUUUCAUGCUCAAAAUAUUUAGGUAGAAAAGUUGAAGGGAAGAGAGAGGGGAAAUAAGAAGGCUAGAACUAGGCAAUUUGAGUACGGCUAGACAAAGUUUGGAGAGGAAAACCAUCCAUAAUUUUAGAAUCGUUCAUUUAUGCCAACACAGUCUUCAUCCAGUGCUCCCACCUCUAGAGAUAGACAAGAGCAGUGGGAUAAGACAUAUGUCCAGAUCUCAGAAUAGUGUGAGUGGAAAACCUAGUUAUCCUCUAUGUUCUAAGUGUGGUAAAAAUUAUCUUGGUGAGUGUUUGUUGGGAAAGAUUGGUUGUUAUAGUUGUGAUAAGUUGGGUCAUGGACUCAAAGAGUGUCCUCAUGCUGGGUAGGGAAACAGGGAUGUUCAUCCCCAGACUCAGGCUACUAGCGCAUCAGCCCCUCUAGGUUGCCCAGUCCAUCCUUAGGGCAUAUAAUUCAGUACCAAUAGUGGUCAGUGCUAGAAUCGGUUUUAUGCUUUACUAUCCUGUCAGGAGAAGGAGAGUUCACCAGAUAUUGCUAUUAGUAUGCUUCAUGUCUUUCAUCUCGAUGUUAAUGUAUUGUUAGACCCUGGGUCAAAUUUCUCUUAUGUGACCCCACUAGUUGCAGUAAGUUUUGGAGUAGGUCCUGAAAAGCUUCCUAAGCCCUUCUUGGUUUCUACCUCAGUCGGUGCAUCAGUUAUUGUUGAAUGAGUCUAUAGAAAAUGUCCUAUCAUUGUUCUUCAUAGGAUUAUGUUAGCAGACUUAAUAGAGUUAGAUAUGAUAUAAUUUGACCUUAUUCUGGGCAUGAUUAGCUCCAUUUCUAUUAUGCAUCUAUAGAUUGUUAUACCCGAGUGGUGAAGUUUUAGUUACCAGAUGAGCCAGUAUUUGAGUGGGAAGGUAAUUCAGUGUCUCCUAAGAGUUAUUUCAUAUCCUAUCUUAAAGCUAGAAAGUUGAUAUCAAAAGGGUGUAUCUAUCAUCUAGUAUGAGUCAAAGACAUUAAAUCUGAGGCUCCAACAGUUCAGUCAGACCGUGUAGUCAAUAAGUUUCCUGAUGGUUUUCCCAAAGGUUUGCCAGGGUUACCUCUCGAUAGGAAAAUAGAAUUUGGUAUUGGCCUUCUUCCAAAUACUCAGCCAUCUCUAUUCCACCAUAUCAUAUGGCUCCAUCCAAGCUUAAGGAGUUAAAAGAGCAGCUUACAGAUCUCUUAGAUAAAGGUUUCAUAAGACCACGUGUUUCUCCAUAGGGCGCUCCCAUCCUAUUCGUGCAAAAGAAAGAUGGUUCUUUAAGAAUGUGCAUUGACUAUCAUUAGUUGAAUAAAGUCACAGUAAAAAACAAAUAUCCUCUUCCUAGGAUUGAUGACUCAUUCGACCAACUCCAAGGUGGAAGUUACUUCUCCAAGAUAUACCUUAGAUCCGCUAGAGUAAGGAAAUGUGAUAUUCCAAAGACAACUUUUAGAACCCGUUAUGAUCAUUUCGAGUUUCUAGUCAUGUCUUUCGGGCUAACAAAUACCCUAACAGCCUUCAUGGACUUGAUGAACAGAGUCUUCAAACAGUAUUUUGACAUAUUUGUUAUAGACUUUAUCGAUGAUAUUCUUGUCUAUUCUCAUAGUGAGGAUGAUUAUACAGACCAUUAUAGAAUAAUGUUGCAAACUCUUAGAGAUUACUAGUUAUUUGCCAAAUUUAGAAAAUGUAAAUUUUAGCUAAGAUCAGUAGCUUUCCUUGGUCAUAUUAUUUUUAGUGAUGGCAUUAGAUUUGAUCCCCAAAAGAUAGAAGCAGUAAGAAACUGGCCUAGACAUAUCUCUCCAUCAUACAUUAGAAGUUUCUUGGGUUUAGUUGUCUAUUAUAGAUGUUUUGUUGAAAGUAUUUCUUCUAUUGCAUCCCCUAUGUCUAUAUUAAAUAAGAAAAAAGUUAAUUUUCAAUGGUCAGAUUCCUAUGAGAAGAGUUUUCAAGAGUUGAAGACUCAACUCAUUUUAGCCCAGUUUUAGUGCUACCUGAUGGUACAGAUAGAUUUGUUGUAUAUUAUGAUGCCUAUAGAAUUAGUUUGAGUUGUGUUUUGAUAUAGAGAGGUAAGGUUAUAGCCCAUUCCUCUAGAGAGCUUAAGCCUCAUGAAAAGAACUGUUCUACCCAAGAUCUUGAGUUAGCUAUUGUUGUAUUUGCGUUGAAAAUUUAGAGGCACUAUCUUUAUGGGGUGCAUGUUGACGUGUUCAUGGAUCACAAAAGCUUGCAAUAUGUGUUUACUAAGAGGGAGUUGAAUUUUUUUAGAGAAAGUAGUUAGAAUUAUUGAAGGAUUAUGAUAUGAGUGUGUUGUACCAUUCAGACAAGGAAAAUGUAAUGGCAGACGCCCUUAGUAGAUUGUCUAUGGGCAGUGUUGCUCAUGUAGAGGAUGAUAAGAAGAGUUAGUUCGGGAAGUUCACAGGUUAUCUAGAUUGGGUGUGAGGUUGGUUGACUCAGUUGAAGGGAAUGUUUAGAUUCAGAGUAGUUUAGAAACUUCUUUAGUUUCUGAAGUGCAAGAGAGGCAGGUUAAGGAUCCUAGUUUAGCCAAACUAAAGGGUUCAGUUAAAGACCAAAAGGUAGAGGUUUUCUUCCAAGGGGGAUAUAGUGUACUGAGAUGCCAGAAUAGAUUAUGUAUGCCAUGUGUUGAUGAUUUGAGGUAGUAGAUUAUGGAAGAAGCGUAUGGUGCACAUUAAUCCAUUCAUCCAGGAGCCACCAAGAUGUACCAUAUUUUGCAAGAAGUCUAUUGGUGGAGUGGUAUGAAGAAAGAUAUUGCAUAAUUUGUAGCCAAGUGUGCGACUUGUCAACAGGUUAAGGUAGAGCACCAAAGACCAAGUGGCAUAUUGCAGGAGUUUGAUAUUCCCACUUGGAAGUAGGAAGAGGUGAACAUGGACUUUGUGAUAGAUUACCCCAUUCGCAUCGACAGCAUGAUUCAAUUUGGGUUAUUGUAGACCGAUUGACUAAAUCAGCCUAUUUCUUGCUAGUUCACACAUCCUACACAGCUGAAGACUAUGCUAAGCAGUAUAUCAUAGAGUUGGUUAGAUUGUAUGGAAUUCCCUUGUCCAACAUCUUAGAUAGGGAUACUCAGUUUACCUCAUAGUUUUGAAUGUCUUUCAGAAAAGUCUUAGUACCCAAGUUCAUCUCAGUUCAACUUUUUAUUCGUAGAAAGAUAGCCAGGCAUAGAGAACUAUUCAAACCUUAGAGGAUAUGUUAAGGGCAUAUGUUCUUGAUUUCAAAGGCAGUUGGGAUGAAAACUUGCCAUUGAUUGAGUUUGCCUACAAUAACAAUUUCUAUUCUAGUAUUCAGAUGGCCCAGUUUGAGGCUCUUUAUGGGCGAAGUUAUAGAUCACUUUUCAGUUGGUUUGAAGUGGGUAAGGUCACUUUAAUUGGGCCAAAUAUGGUGUUUGAAGCCAUGUAGAAAGUUCAGUUGAUUCGAGAGAGAUUGAAAGAAGCUUAGAGUCAUCAAAAAUCUUAUCCAGACGUAAGAAGGAGAGAUCUUGAGUUUUAAGUAGAUGAUCUUGUGUAUUUGAAGGUUUCACCCAUGAAGGGGGUGAAGAGAUUAGAAAAAAGUGGAAGCUCAGUCCCCGAUAUAUGGGUCCCUACAGGAUUUUAAGUCAUGUGGGGAAGGUAGCGUAUGAGCUUGAGUUACCUGUAGACUUAUCAUCAGUUCACCCAGUGUUCUAUGUAUCCUUAUUGAAGUAGGGUAUGGACGAUUCAGCUGUUGUAGUCCCUUUAGAAAUCAUGGAUAUUCAGAAUAGUCUUUCAUACAAAGAAUUUCCAGUAGAGAUUCUUGAUCAUCAUACUUGUAGACUAAGGAACAAAGAAGUUUCCUUGGUCAAAGUAUUGUGGAAAAUUCAGUCCAUUGAGGGUGCUACUUGGGAAGUAGAAGCAUACAUGCGUACCAAGUAUCCUCACCUCUUCUCCAUUAACUCGGAUUUAGCCUAAGGUAAUAGUCUUCCUUAAUUCAGAUCUUUUCCAGUGUCAGAUUCAUCCAUAAAGUUAUCUUCAUGUAAAUUCAUGCAUUUGUAGAUUAGUUCAGUCGCUCAGUAUGUUUCAGAUUUAGUCAUGCAGUUUUGUUUCAGUUGUGCAUGCUAGAGUAUAGCCUCAGUCCUUCAGUAUCUUCAGUUUAACUAUUCUCAUUCGAGAACGAAUGUUCCCAAGGGGGAGAUAUUAUAAUACCCCAUAUUUUUCCUAGUCCCGUUUAGCUCCUAGUGUGUCAAGGGAUGACUUUAAAAAUAUAUAACUCUUGAUAUAUUUGGAUUUUUCCAGCUCUAGAUCCACCAGUAUGUAGAUAAUUGAAUUAUCUUUUCACUGAUACUAAUUUUUCCUUAAUCCGAUACUCGGUUGAGAAGUUAUGAUGAUUUUAGUGAAAAAUAGUAGAGCACAUAGAAACCACAUCGCGGUGAGGUUUAGAAUUGCAAUUUCUUGAUUUCCAGUGAAGCACCGCGAUUAUCCCGCGUCGCGGUGAAGCCCAAAUUCCCGCUAGUCCCUUUUCUAGCAGCUCACCGCGAUUGACCGGUAUCGUGCCAGAAAUCUCAAUGGGACAGACACCGCAUUGCUGUGGAGUGAAAAAGAGAACUUAUCCUUUUCCAGUGACACAAUAUGAUUACGCCACAUUGUGCCAGUGGCCAAAAUAACACUCGUCCCUUUUCUAGUAAGCCACCGUGAUAAGCAGCGCGUCGCGCUGAGUCCCAAAGUCGUGAUUCUAGUUCUAAACUAAUUUUUCCAAAGGGCAAUCUAGUCAUUUCCUAAGCCCCCAAUUGGUGAAAAAGACUAGAUUAAACCUAUUCUAAGCAUUGUAUGCUCACUUUCAUCAAGAUUACUCUUCAAGAAAACCCUAGAACUUAAAUCUUAAACCUCAAGAAAUCCAAAUUCCAUCAUUCUUUUUCCAAGAUAACCCAAAAUUCAAGAUAUUUAAUAAAUCAUCUUCAAAACCCUAAUUUUAUGCCUGUUCAUGUCCAUUUCGGAGAAUCAGUUUGGUUUUAUGCCUGGUCGCUAGACGACAGAGGAAAUCCACCUAGUGAGGAGAUUGGUGGAGCAGUAUAGGGAGAGGAAUAGGGAUUUGCACAUAGUGUUCAUCGACUUGGAGAAGGUGUAUGAAAAAGUCCCUAGGGAGGUUUUUUAGAGAUGCUUGGAGGUUAGAGGGGAGCUAUUAAGGACAUGUAUGAUGGAGGGAAGACUCAGGUAAGGACGGCAGAAGGAGACUCAGGGCAUUUUCCGGUUGAGACAGGGUUGCAUCAGGGAUCGACUCUUAGCCUAUUUUUGUUUGCAUUGGUGAUGGAUGUGUUGACGUAGAGUAUUCAAGGCGAGGUGCCUUGAUGUAUGUUAUUUGCAUAUGAUGUAGUGCUGAUUGAUAAGAUGUGAGAGGGUGUGAAUGAAAGACUGAAGGUUUGGAGGCAAACCCUUGAAUCUAAGGGGUUCUGGUUAAGUAGGUCCAAGAUAGAAUAUAUGGAAUGCAAGUUUAGUGAUUUGACUUAGAAGGAUGAAAUGUUGGUGAGGUUAGAUUCCCAGGAUGUUUGUAAGAGGGAUAGUUUCAAGUAUCUUGGGUCUAUGAUUCAGGGGAAUGGCGAUAUUAAUAAGGAUGUCUCUAAACAUAUUGGAGCAAGUUGGAUGAAGUGGAGGCUCGCCUCGGGAGUUUUGUGUGAUAAGAUGGUGCCCCUUAAGCUUAAAGGCAAAUUCUACAGAGUGGCAGUCUGACCGGCCAUGUUGUAUGAAGCGGAGUUUUGGCCAGUCAAGAACUCCCACAUUCAAUGAUUGACGGUGGUGGAAAUUACAAUGUUGUGUUGGAUGUGUGGACUUACUAGAGGGGAAAAAGUUAGGAAUAAGACUAUUAGGGAGAAGAUGGGAGUAGCUUCGGUGAAGGACAAGUUGCGAUAGGGAAGGCUUAGAUAGUUUGGCCAUGUGAUGAAGAGGGGCACGGAUGCCCCAGUUCGUAUGUGUGAGAGGUUAGAUUUGGAUGGAUUUAGAAGGAGUAAAGGUAGGCUGAAAAAAUACUGGAGGGAGGUGAUUAGACAUGACAUGGAGCAGCUUCAGCUUACUAAGGACUUAACUCUAGAUAGGAAGGUGUGGAGGUCGCAGAAAGGGUAGAAAGCUAGUGUGAGUGUGUGGGUUAUAGCAAGAUGUUAAGAGAGAUCUUGUGUAACCGAAUUAGUAAGCAUAGGACUGUGUCCAUUAGUAGGAGACACUAGUCAGUAGAGUUUGUAUAUGGUGGGUGUCUUUGGUCUAUAGGUGUAUGUUCCUAUCUCUUAUUUCUUAUUUCGAAUUACUCAUAUUUCUUUUAUUUUGUAUUUCUAUGAUAUCUAUUUUAUUAUUACUUAUUCCUUAUUUAUGUUAUGUCAUCCAUCUUAUUGCAUGUUUCACUACGACCUUAUGUACUAUUCUCUAGCCUGAGCCGAGGGUUUAUCGAAAAUAACCUCUCUACUUCUUCGGAGGUAGUGGUAUGGACUGCGUACUUUUUACCCUCCCCAGACCUCACUUUGUGGGAAUACACUGGGUCAUUUGUUGUUGUUGUAUCUUCAAAACCAUAAAUAGGAAUUCAAGUUCAAGCUUCUCUAUCAAUUUCAUCAAUUAAGGUAUGUGGGGUUAUGAACAAGGAUAAUUCUUUCAUCCUUGUACCAAAAACUAGUUUUAAAGUUUAUUUUUAUAUGAAAUUAUAUGAAUUUUAAUUUAGGGUUUAUACCCACCUAUUGCCAUUUGAAGAUUAUGAGAUUACAAUUGAUUUAGAUGUUGAAUUGCAUGUCUACUUUCGUAUUUUUAUGCAUAUGACAUUAAUUCUCAGAUUUAGAAUUGAAUUAUCAAGAUUUUUAUUAUUUAGCAUGAUAUUUAUGAUGAUUUGACAUAAAAUAUUUUGGGGACCUAGUCAUUCAGAUUUUCUAGUUUAUUAUAGUAGUUGAUUUAGUAUUUUUUUGUUCGUUCUAGUCAGCUGGGGACUUGUCCCAGUGGCUCUCUAGUUAUUAUUAGUAGAGGCUUAUCAGACCGUUAGAUAUAGUUCAGAUUUCCAGUAUUACUUUUCCAAACUUUGAGUCUAAUAUUUUCAGAUAUUAUGUUUAGAUAAUUUCAGCUUAGCUCAGACAAAAUUCUACAAUUUAUCUUUGAUUUUGUAUCUAUAUUUGCUUUAUUAUGAGCUUCAGAUUUAGUAGAAGGUUGAAAGGGUUAGCUUACUACUAUUCGUAGUGUUGAGCACCGUGUGACAUCUUAGGACCCAUUUUUGGGGUGUAUCACAACCCAUAUCUCAAAACCCAACAUCAAAACUAUGAAUAAUAAACAAAUUUUCCUGCCAUUAAGAAAAUAAAAGUAUAAGGAAAAAGGUAGAUGCCUUAGAUACACGAGAAUUUGAAAGAAAUUCAGAGCUUGAGACCCAAAAGAUGGACAUAUGAUGAAAUCCUUAGGCUCUCUUGGGGUUUGUGAGUUUGAUAGUGGAAUUGGGGAUUUUUAAUCCCUUAAAACUGAAAGGAAUAGACUAUAUGAUGCUUAAGGUUCGUGCAUAGGUGAAAAGGCUUCAAUACCCCUUAUUCCAAGUAAACAAAACAAAAACUGUGGAGAUUUUACAUAGCGGAGUGGAAUGGACCUUAUUGCAUAGGCUCACCUCCGUGCUACGCUGCUAAAUACGGAGAUUAUCCUCUAUGGCAAGCUGGCUAUCACGCAGUGUAGCCUCUGUGACAUGGUGAUUUCACGGAGUCUCACUGCCUCUGUGGUUCAAAACUACCCUAAACCCCAUUCAAAAAAUCCGAAACUCUCUUGGGAUACCCUAUUAACAUGCCUAAACAAAAUUGAAGUAAAAAAUCGACAGUUUAAAUACGGGAAGGCCAAGAUUAAAAUGCUUGAAAUUUGGAGGGUGUAACAAAAAUAAAUAAAGAAAAUGAGGUUUUCCUAAGAGUUCCUUUGGCUUCCCAAAGACAGGAUAUAGACGUUAUCACAUUGAUCCACAUGAAUCUAUUAGAUACUUUCUCUUGUACCGACAAUACCAGUGAACUAGGUGCUCUGAUACCAAUUUUGUCAUGACCUAAUUUCAGGAGUCAAGAUGGCACCUACUUUAACCCACUAGUAGGUAAGCAAAAUUGUAGCCCGAAAUAAAAAGUAAUGGACUAGAUGGUGGAAGGCAUAAAAGGCAUCGAAGGUAAGCACACAAUAUAGAGUUGUAAGCAAUAUAAAUAUGAGUACAACAAUACAAAUGUCAAAUGAGAGAGAGACAGAGAAAGAAUAAAAAAAAUAUCCCACGACCUAUUAAGGUCGGUACAAAAGCCACAAAAUCCAAAAGAAUAAAAGUACUAAAAAGUAUCCAAUAUAAAGGUAGUCUCAAAAAGUAAAGACCAUCCUAAAAGUAGUAGAAAGAGAGAGGAUCAGCUUCGACUCUGAAAGCUCACCCUAUCUCCGAAUCCUAAAAGUAAGCUAGAUAAAACAUCAGCGAUGGUGAAUCGUACUCAAAUAUGCACUAGAAAAAGAUGCAAAAGUGUAGCAUUAGUACCAAAGCAACAAAUACUCAAUAGUCACCAUUGGUCGACUGAGCUAAAUCAUAAUAAAAGUAUAAUAAAAUGCGAGAAAGCAAUAUGAAGUCAUGGAAUGAGAUGAUAUCAAGAAAACUACUCUAAAUUGGGAAUAAGUAAUUAUAAUACAUAGUAAAUAAUUUAAAUAAUUAUAGACUAACUAUAACCUAACUGGACCCCCAUAAGCUAUAAGUUGCAAAUUAUGAAGGAAAACCCAGUAGAGCCCCCAUAAGCUUGGUAGGUUCAAAUAGGGAAGAGAGUAUCGAUAAUCAUAACUUCACGUGAACAAUAAUGAGUCUAUACUUGAGAUUCCCUUCAAAUAGGGAAGAGAGUAUCGGAACUAGAGAAUGACAUCAUCAUAAUAAUGUCAUAAAAGGGUCAUAAAUGUCAGACUUGAACUGGAACUAGAGUAUCAUACCAUCAUAUCAAAGUAUCACACAUGAAUUAUAAUUACUGGGCUUGAAUUGAAACUAGAAAACAAGUACAAGGUCACAACUUUAGCCAAAGGUUGAAAAGGUAUCUAAAUUAUUCUAAGGGUCAAGAAUUAUUCGAGGGUGUCUAAAGAAGACCUCCCAUGUCUACAAGGGGAUAAUUUAGAUAUUUGACUUAAAAGAGGACUGUUGGGGCCCACUACUAACCCUAAAAGUACAUACUAAGGUAAUUUUCAACCCAAAACUAAUCUAAGGCUCUAAUAUUUCACUAUUAAAUAUUAAAUAAGUCAAAACUGGGCUUGAGAUAACACCCUAACACAAGGGAGCAAGAAUGAUCCCAAACUCUAUCUAGAACGGCUCUCUAAGUGGCUAAAUAUUCCAAAAAUCACUUAACAUACAAUCAAGUCAUAAAACCCAACCCAUCGCUAGCAUAAUAGCAUAAUACUAUACCAAUAUCAAAACAAAGUUUAAUAUGUGAGGAAAAUUCGCCUAGCCUACCUAAACAUCAUUGAAAGCUUGAUAAAGUCCACUAAAUUGGAUUUUUCCCUUCCGAGAAGCUUUUGCAUGAUUCACACCAUUAAAAUAAUAAUCUAUAUGUUAACACGAGAAAAAAAUACCCAUAUUGCAUUUAAAUGCAUUGGGUCAAAAAUUGAGCUAAACAUCUUGGCGGGGCCCGCUUGCAAAAUCACCACUUUGAAAUCAUCGACGUAUACCUCUAAGACAAGGAUCAUUUAAUCUAAAAAAUUGGUGAAACUUGAGCACAAAUGGACCCUAAAUCAGCCCGUAAAUUAAACUAGAGAUUUGGGUUUAAAUAAAAAAAUAAAUCAAGAAUUCAAUGGAAACUUAUGAAAAUAGAGGUGAGAAGAUGAUCAAAAUGAUAUCUCCAAAACACUGCGGACACCAAAGGAUUGAUCUCCACACUUUCUCAGCUCUCUAGGGUUUUUAUGUAUUUGGGACUAAAAAAAAUUGUAGAGAAAUUAGGUUUCACAUCAUUUAAUAUCGCUAGGUGUCCCUUAAUCGUGAUAGCAGGGACCUCAUUGCGAACACGAUGCCUGACCCAACUUACCCUUUGCGAACGCAGAUAGUACACCAAGAACGUAAAGGAGAAAGUGAGACCAAUCGGUCAGGUGAUUCUCCAUGAAUUCGAAGGCCGGCUUGCAAACUUGGCCUGCACCAGCUGAAGUUGUCCCUUGGGAUUCGUUUUGAAUCCCAUGAACAUAAUUGAACUAUGAUACCCUACUAAAUUCAAUAAUCUAGAUGCAACAUGCCAUUAAAAGCUUCAUUUGAGGCCGUUUCAAUGAAAUGUGGGUCCUACACCCUAGGGUUGUUUUAGCCAUAAUCCAUCCAAUAGCCCAAAAUGAGUUCGAAAGCCUUGAGACUCAAUCCAAGGGUCCCCCAGCCUAAAUUUGACGUUUCAGAUCUGAUAAAACUGUCAAAAUUAGCAGACAAGACUUUUUACCUAUAGUAUAGGCCUGAUACCCUAUGUUGAACAACAUAAACUUUAAAAUUAGGAAUUGGCUCUAAAAUAAAAUAAACUGUCUCACAACCGAACUAUCAGCUCUUACAAGUCACAAAUAACUUUGGACAACUAUGGGAAAGCUUUAAACUAUGAAAUAGUAUAGAAAUGUAGAAAAUAACCUAGAGAGUCAUUAUAAUAUUCACUACUAGAAGAACUUUCAUCUACAAAAGUAAAGGAUUAAGAUGUACCUGAAGGCUCAAACAGGAGGAAAUAGUGGGCCUGUAUCUCACUCUCGAUCUCCAAGGUAGCCUCCUUGACUGGACGGUGUCUCCACUAGACUUUAAAUACUGGAAUCUCUCUAGAGCAUAAUUGCCUGACAUCCCUUGACAAUAUAGAAACUGGAUCCUCCAUGAAUGUCAGACUCUCAUCCAACUAAAUUGAGUCCCAUCGAAGCAAGUGAGACUCAUUCAAAAUGUAUUACUUCAACACAUAGACAUUGAAAACUGGGUGAAUAGUUGAAAAGUAUAGGGAAAGUCCAACUCAUAAGCUAGUUCUCCAAUGGUUCAAAGUAUGUCAAAUAGCGUAAUAUACCUGGAGUUAAACUUGUCCCUUUUUCCAAACCUCAUUAUGCCCUCCAUAGGCGAUACUCAAAAGAAAACCCAAUAAACAACUCCUAGUUUCAAUAAGCGAAGUUUGCAGUCAGCAUAACUCUUCUACUUACUCUGAGCUACCCAUAACCUAUCCUAAAUCGCCUGCACUCUAUCCAAAGACUCACGAAGCAAGUCUAUACCAUAAGGACUAAGAUCAAAAGUUUCAAACAUGCUAAUUGGAGAUUGACAAUGCUUACCAUACAAUGACUUAUAUAGUGUAGCUAAGUGUUUCUCCCACUAACCUCCAAAGUUUAUCACACACGUGCGGAGAAUAUCCUCCUAUACCUAAAUAGUUCGCUCUAUUUGACCUUCAAUAUGAGGGUGGAAUGCGGUUCUAAGGUCAACCUGAGUACAUAAUUACUCUUUAAAUAUCCUCCAAAAGUUGGAAGUGAAUGCUAAGCCUUUAUCUGAAAUAUGGAAAUAGGUACUCUAUGAAGGCGAACUAUCUCACAAACAUAGAUACGAGCUAACCUCUUGGCCUUGAACGAAAUCUGUAUUUGGAUGAAAUUCAUCGAUUUGGUAAACCAUAUAUAAUGAUGCAGAUACUAUAGGAACCACAGGAAGUAUGAGGCAAACCACUCACGAAGUACAUUAUAAUCGCUCCCAUUUCCCCUCAGGAAUGGGUAGCUCCUAAAAUCAUCCACCUGAUCCUUGAUGCCUAAUAUUUUCCUGUUGACAACACAAACACCGAGCUACAAAGUUCCCUACAUCCUUAUUUAUACCACUCCACUAGUGAUGCUGCCUCAAAUCUCUAUACAUCUUAGCAGUCUUAGGGAAAAUAAAAUGUUAGGAGCUAUGAUUCUUUUGCAAUAUUAACUAAUUAGGUCCCCAACCCUCGAAACAAAAAUACAACUAUCAAAGCUCAGAUUCCCUCAGAAUUUAAGGUAUUUUGACUGGACUCACCUCUCAGCACCUGAUCAUAAAUGCCACAAAGUCUACUAUUCUCAAAAUGACAAUCCAAAAUUUGCUUCAUCAAAUUUGAUCUAUCCUCAACACUAGAAAGAAUCUCAUAGGGUCUGAACUAUCAAGUCGAACCAUCAAGUUGGCUAAGGAAAAUUCCAAAGCCAACAGCUACUCUAAAAUAGAAAUAAAGGCCAAGCUACCCAUACUCACCACCUUUUGGAUCAAGGCAUUCGCUAUCAUAUUCGCCUUGACCGGAUGGUAUAUCAUAAAUAUAUCAUAGUAUUUCUUCAAAUCAAUUCACAUGUGCUAUCUCAAAUUAAGCUCCCUCUGGGUCAUAAUAUACUGAAGAAUAUAUUGGUCAUUAUAGAUCUCACAACAAAACCAUAUAAGUAAUGUCUCCAAAUAUUAAGCACAAAAACUAUGACUGCUAAAUCCAAAUCAUGUGCAGGGUAGUUACGCUCAUGCAUUUUUUGUUUCCUCGAUGUAUAAGUAAUAACUCAACCCCGCUACAUCAAAAAAUAAACCAACCCAACACCAUAAUAAUCCCAAUAAACAAUAACCCCUUGCUUUUAACUGAAAGAGUCAAAAUAAAAGAGAAAUUGAGCAAGUCCUUAAGCUUUCAAAAGCUCGACUCACACUCAAUAGACCUUUGAAAAAGAGCCUCUUUCUGAGUAAAUCUAGUUAUAGGUGUUGUAAUAGUAGUCAAUCUCUCAACAAACCACCUAUUUAUUCCUACCAAAAUAAUAAAAUACAAAUCUUGGUCAGAGAUAUAGGUCUAGCCCAAUCACAAAUAUCCUCAAUAUUCAUCAGAUCCACCAUAAUCCUAUCCUUAGAUACCACAUGCCCUAGAAAUGUCACAGACUCUAACCAGAACACACACUUUGAGAAUAUGGCAAAAUGCCUAUGAUAUCUUAAAGUUUGGAGCGCAAUCCUCACAUGCUGCUCAUGCUCCUUUAUACUCCUCAAAUAGAAAAGGAUAUCAUUAAUGAAAACUAUCAUGAAUAAGUCUAAAUAGGGCCUUAUAACACAAUCCAUCAAGUCCAUGAAUGCGACCGAGGAAUUAGUCAACACAAAAGACAUCACUAGGAACUCAUGGUGACCAUAGCGAGUUUUGAAGGCUUUCAAUCCUCAACUAGUGGUAACUGGAUCUCAAGUCAAUCUUAGAAAAUACUACUGCUCCCUAAAUCUGGUAAAAUAAAUCAUCAAUGAGAGGUAUAUGCCACCUAUUCUUCAUUGUUACCUUAUUCAACUAUUGUAGUCAAUACAUAUAGGAAUGAAACCAUUCAUUUUCUUUAUAAAUAAGACUGGAGUACCCUAAGGUGAUACACUAAAUCUAAUAAAACCCUUACCCAAGAGAUCCUAAAGCUAUGAAUUUAGCUCCUUAAGGUACCAUAAAAAUAGGUCAGGCACCCAACUCAAAAUCAAUAGCAAACUUAAUAUCGCACUCAGGAGAAAGGUACCAUAAAAAUAGGUCAGGCACCCAACUCAAGAUCAAUAGCAAACUUAAUAUCGCACUCAGGAGAAAGGCCAAGUAGGUUAGUAGGGAAAACAUCAGAAAAAUCACAAACAAUAGGAACAUAAUCAAAUGAAGGACUCACAACACUAAUAUUAUGAACAUAAGCAAGAUAAGACUCACAACCCUUCAACACUAAUCUCUUAUCCCAAACAUAAAAAAUAAUCCCCGUUAGUGCAUAACUAAUAAAACGUUGCCAUAAAACCAAGGUGUUCCAAUCAUGGAUUAAGUAACAAUUUUGGUGAAGCAAUCUAAGAUCGCAUGGCAAGGGAAAAACCAUUCCAUGCCAAUAAUCACAACUAAAUCCACUAUAUCUAGCAUAAUAAGGUUGACCCAAGUAUCAAACUCUCAAACAGUCCCUCAAACAGUCAUAAAACAUGAUCAUUAAGCCGAUCCACUAUUAAAAAAUCACCCAUAGGAGUAGAUACAAACAAUGUCACAGAUAAAGACUUCUAAGACAACUCUAACCAUGGUGCAUCAUAAGUAAACAUACAAAAUAAAUGAUAUCGGAUCAAAUAAAGAAAUAGAUGGCUAACGACAUGCUGAAAUCGUACUUUUAAUAAUCAUAGUUGAAGAUUCCAUCUCUGGCCUACUAUGUACAACAUACAAUUGGCCCCGUGUGCAGCUGGGCUGGGUACCUAACUGACUACCUGUGCUACCUGCUUGAGAACAUCCUCUAGAUUUUUGAGGACUACACAUGUAACCCUUAGCACCACCCCUCAGUAGCGGUGAUAAUAAUCUGAUCGAUUGAUUACUCUGGGCUGCAGGCUGAAUCCGUCCAUGUCGAGGACACUUUGGAGAGUGGACAAUAACUGCAUAAUCAUAACAAGACCUAUGUACUCUUUUCUAUCUAGAAGAUGCAACUAACUAUGCAUAGCUACCUCGAUUUGAAUACCCAGACUGUGCACCUCUCAAAAAUUAACCACUACCCUGGCUACUAUAAUUGGACUAAUCUCUAUUGGUAAUCUGCAGUGCUGUAUGAAUGGGCCUCUAGACUAGCCCUAGUACUGAUGAGACCAACAUAAAGGGUACCUACUAUGAAAACCUUCUGCUCUGAACUGUGAUCCACUAUGGUUCCCACUAAAGCUACCCUACUGACGUUGCCUCUUAUCGGUGCCCCCUUAGGCCUUGUAAUGCAUCUCUUUAAUAGUCUGAGCGUAAUUAGAAAUAUCAAUAAAGGACCUACCAGGGGCAGGUAAACUCUGAUUAUCCAUGGAAAUAAAAAGACUUUGCCCUAAUAAAAUACCAAAUCCACUCAUACUCAGUAGGUAAGAUCGCAAUAACAUGUUUGGCUAACUUGUAAAACUAUGACUCAUACUUAACAACUGACAUAGAAUCCUGCUACAUGCUAUUAACUGAUCCCAUAGAAGUUCUCAAAGACUACGAGGCAUAUACUUCUCCAAGAAAGCCUUAGAUAAUUGAGUUCAUGUCAUGGGGGAGAUCUAGUUGGCCUGGAAUCAACAUAACCUCACCACCAAUGUCUAGCUACCUAGUCUAAUUAAAAAGUACUGUAGUAGACCCUACAUACCUCAACUAUGACCAAAUUAUGGAGCCUCUCCUAACAACAAGUCAAAAACUUAAACACAUCCUUUCUUGGGCCCUUUCAAAUCUAGGUGGAUUCGAUCUUAAGAAUUGGCCCAACAUAUUCUGCUUAUUAAUUAUCAUAGCUGGCUAACCAACUACCAAUUGUGGAUCUACCGGUGCUGGAGGAAUCUUAACUCUAAGAGUCAUAACUGUAAGUUGAACUUCUAAAUCAGUACCACUAUAGUCUGCGGACUGAGCACAUCAGACGAUACACUAUCUACCAAUCCCAAUAACUAUAUCAAGGAAUCUUUGAGCACUGAAGAAGAAAUAACCCCUGCUGAGGCCUGGGCUUCCCCUGGUCUAUCAAUCACUGGGGUGGCGGAACCUUUGGAGCUACAUCUGCCUUAGGAUCAAUAAUAGGAUAAAAUGAAGGCUUUUUUUCCUAAUACUUAGCUGGUGUUCCAGAUCUAGCAUUUCCUCGACAUCUAAUUUGGCCAUGACCUCUAGUGGGUGCUCUGGAUGGAGACUCGGAGUCCUCGUCUCCAAUCAUCGUAGCUCGCGUCCUAACCAUCUGCAAAAAAGUGAAAUAAGGAAAAUUUACAAACCAACAUAGUCUCGAAAAACAAAAAUAAAAAAAUAAAAUAUGAUUUUCCUAAGAAUUUCUUGUAGCCUCCCAAAGAUAGGAUGAGACGUUAUCACACUGAUCUAUAUGAUUCUAUUAGAUUCUUUCUCUUGUACCAACAAUACCAGUGAACCUAGGUGCUUUGAUAUCAGUUUUGUCAUGACCCAUUUUUGUAGUCAUGAUGGCACCUACUUUAACACACCAGUAGGUAAGCAAAAUCAUAGCCUAAAAUAAUGAGUAAUGGCCUAGAUGGUGGAAGGCAUAAUACAUACCAAAGGUAAGCAUACAAUAUAGAGUUUUAAGCAAUAUAAAUAUGAGUAAAACAGUACAAAUGUUAAAUAGGAGUGAGAGAGAGAGUAAAAAAAAUAUCCCACGACCUAGUAAGGUCGGUACAAGAGCUACUAAAUCUGAAAGAAUAAGAAUACUAAAUAGUAUCCAGAGUAAAUACAUAAAGUACCCCUCGAUCUUGGCCGACUUUUUCAAAAAGACACCUAAACUAUACUUUUGACCUAUUACCCUACAAAUCUUACUUAAAUCAUUGCAAAUACACCAUUUUGACCCUUUGCGUGUAUACAUGCGCCUGUUGUGCGUGAAAGGCUCAAAAUUAACUUUAUUUACCAAUUAAAAGGUGCCACGUGUAAAUAAUUUUAUCUAUAAUUUAUAUUUUUUUACAAAAAUCAAUAUUUAUUUACUUUUUAUCCCAUACCCCCCCCCCGCAACACCCCCACCCACCAACACAAACCCCAUUGUCUUCUUCAACACUUGUAUAUACUACUUCUCUUUUCCUCCAUUAAAGCUCCAUUAAAGCUAGUUUUUUUUCCAAAUAAUCAUUUAUCUAUUUUAAUUAAGAAUUAUAAAACUCCAUUAAGUGGAGUUUCAAUCUCAUGGUGAUGGUGAGUGUCUCUCAAUGGAGCUGCUGGAUGGAGAUGGAGCAUCUCCAAAGAAAAUUAUUGUUUUGACAAGAAAAUCAAAAGAAUAAAAAAGUUUUAAUCAAAUCAACUAAUAGAUUAUCAAAACAACAACUUACCUAUAUUGGGUGUUUAUGCCAACUAAUUUAAUUUCAUAUGAAUAUAGAAUAUAAACAAGUGGUGAAGUUUAAAUAGAUAUUUCAUGGAUUAAUGGAGCUGGACGGGGGUGGGGGUGGGGCGGUGAUACUGGAUGAGGGUGAGGGGUAGAGGGGAUAUGUUGGAUGGGGUGGGAGGGGGUAGGUGGUAGGCACUCUCUUUCUUGUGACUGAAAUUUAAUGAAAAAUGGAGUAUUUGCAAUGAUUUAAGUACGAUUCAUGGGGUAAUAGGUCAGAAGUAUAAUUUAGGUGUCUUUUUGGAAAAGUCGGCCAACAUCGGGGGGGGGGGAAAGAUCAUCCUAAAAGUAGUAGAAAGAGAGAGGACCGGCUUUAGCUCUAAAAGCUCACCCUAUCUUUGAAUCCUAAAAGCAGGUUGGAUAAAACAUCAACUACGGUGACUCGUGCUCAAAUAUACAUCAAAAAAAGAUGCAAAAGUGUAACAUGAAUACCAAAGUAAUGGGUAACAAUAGGCAUCAUCGAUCAACUGAGUUAAAUCAUAAUGAAAGUAUAAUAAAAUGCGAGAAAGUAAUAUGAAGUCAUGGAAGAAAAUGAUAUCUAGAAUACUACUCUCAAUUUGGGAAUAUCAAUAAUUAUUCAUUAUUCAAAUAAUUACAGUCUAGCUAUAACCAAACUGGACCCCCAUAAGCCCAAAAGGUGCAAAUAAUAAAGAAAAAUCUAAUCGAGCCCAUAUAAGUCUAGUGUAUGCAAAAAUUGAGGAGCACUGAUAAUCUUAACUUAACGUGAACAACAGUGAAACCAUAUUUGAGGUUACCUUCAAACUAUAAUGCCGAAUUUAAACUGGAACUGAAGAGUGAUAUCAUCAUAAUAAUGUCAUAAAUGGUUCAUAAAUCAGACUUAAACCAGAAGUAGAGUAUUGUAUUAUCAUAUUAAAGUAUAAUUUAUUAAUUGCAACAACUGGACUUGAACAUGAACUAUGCAAGUACAAGGUCAUUAGUUUAGCCAAAGGUCAAAAAGGUGUCUAAAUCAUUCCAAGUGUCAAGAAUAAUUCUAUGGUGACUAAAGAAGACCUCCUAUGUCUACAUAGGCUAAUUUUGAUAUUGACUUAAAAGAGGGUCGGCGAGGCCCGCUACUAAUAUCGAAAGUACAUACUAAGGCAAGUUUCUAUCCAAAACUAAUCCAAGGCUCCAUUUUUUCCCUAGUAAAUAUUAAAUAAGUCAAAACUAGGCAUGAGAUAACUCCCUAACGCAAGGGAGGAAGAAUGAUCCUAAACUCUACCUAGAACAACUCUCUAACUGGCUAAAUAUUCCAAAUAUCACUAAACAUACAACCAAGUCAUAAAACCCUACCCAUAUCUAGCAUAAUACCAUACCAAUAUCAUAAUAAAUCUCAAUUUAUGAGGAAAAUAAGCCUAGCCUACCUGGAUACUGCUAAAAGCUCAAUAAAGUCCACUAAACCGGAUCUUUUUCCUUUUGGGAAGCCUCCGAUGCAAUGCUAUCAAAAUAAUAAUUUAUGCAUUAACACGAGAAUAAAAAUUCCCAUAUUGCAUAUAAUGCUCUAGGUCCAAAAUUGAGCUAAAAAUUCCUUGUGGGGCCUUCUUGCAGAAUCAAAAUUUUAAACCGUCAACAUAUUCAUCUAAGCUCACAGAUCAUUUAUCAUAAAAUGGGCAAAAUUUGAGACAAAGGAACCCUAAAUCAGUCCAUAAAGUAAACUAGAGAAUUGGAUGUGAAUAGAAAAAUUAAUCAAGAAUUUAAUGAAAAUAUACGAAAAUAAAAGAGAGAAAAUAAUCAAAAUGAUCAAAGGAUCAAUCUCCACACUUUCUUAGCUCUCUAGGAUUUUAAACAAACUUGGGACUUAAGAAAAAUAGAGAUAACUUGGGUUUCACAAUAUUUAAUACUUCUAGGGGUGCCUUCAUUGGGAUCGCAAGAACCCCAUCGCAAAUGCGAUGCCUGACCCAGCUUAUCCUUCGUGAACCUAAUCGGUCCACCGCAAUGUGAUGAAGAAUGCCAGACCGGUCAGUCAAAUGACUCUCCACGAACGUGAAGGCCGACUCGUGAACACGAUGGCUAAUAAACUUGGCCAUUUUGAAUGCGCCAUGGCCUCGCAAAUGCAAAGGUUAUUUUUGUCCUACACCAGCAACUUGGCAAAUUUACUAAGUUUUUGAUCAGAUCCUCGAGAUUCAUUUGGAAUUUUGUUAUCGCAAACAAGCUAUGCUACCUUACCAAAUUUGAUAUUCAUGGCUCAACUACGCCAUCAAAAUUUUCAUUCGAGAUUAUUUUGAUGAAAUAUGGUCAUACACCUUAGGGUUGUUUUAAUGAAAAUCCACCCAAUAGCCCAAAAUAAGUUUGGAAGCCUUAGGAACCUGACCAAGGGUCUUCUAGCCUAAAAUCUACAUUCAGGAUCUAAUAGGACUAUUAGAAUUGGCAUAUGAGUCCAUUUACAUACAGUUUAGGCCCAAUACCCAAUUCUAAACAGUGCAAACUUUAAAAUAGAGAAUUGGCUCUAAAAAUCAAAUGAAUUGUCCGGCAAUCGAAAGGUCGUCUCCAACAAGUCACAAAUGACUUAGGGAAUCUUUGCUAAAGCUCUAAACACUAAAAUAUUAAGGAAAUGUAGCAAAUGACCUAGAGCGUCAUUACAAUAAUUGUCUGGUGGCCCUUCAGCAAAAAUAUUCUCUUAAAAGUUGUAUAGUAUUUGAAUAAUAUUAUUAACUUAUAACAUAUGUCUAACUUCAUAUGCAUGCUUGAAGCUAAUGAAGUCUUGGAUUAUUAUAAUUUGACUAGAACAUUCUGACAACUUGUCAUGACCCCAAAACUAAGGGUCAUGAUGGUACUUGUUGCGACAGGCCUUGAUAAGUAAGCCAAUCACCCAAACAGAUAUGGAAAGAGAAAAUAACACUAUAUCCUAAGGCAAGAUAAUUUGAAUGAAUUCAAACCACACAUAUAAAAUAAUAGCAAAAACAUACAUAGAAAUGAUACCAUAAAUCACCUCAAAACCUGAUGUCAUAGUGUAAGGACAAUCAACAUACAACUUGAAGUCUAAAAAUAUAACCGAUAAUCCAAGAAGGAACAUAAGUCUAUCGAUGAAUAUAGCUAAGGCAUAAACUAGAUAAGAUAGGGUAGGAGAUUGACUCUAGAAGCAUAGAGCUACCACUAACUCAAAAAUAUCCAAUCACCACUUGAAAAUUAACUGCCAUGCGGCACACUCAUACCUGGAUCUAUACCAAAAGGGAACAUGAGGAUGAAUAUGGUCCACUUGUACUCAGUAGGUAUCAUAGACCAACCGAGAAAAGUAUAAAAUAAAUCAUAUAAAAUACACACCAUGGGCGCGUCACCUGCAAUAAAAAAUUAUCCCAAACAGCAUCCCACACCAUCUCCACUAACAUUUCUAAAUAUCAGCAUAUAUAUCAAGUACAAGUACAAAAAAGAAGCACCAAAAAAUAGACAUUAAAUCAAACAUGAAAGUACAACAUAGAGGGUGUAUAAAGUAUGAAAUGCAAUGCAAAUGAUGAUGGUGAUGAUGAUGAUGAUAUGAUAAGUCUGAGGUUGUCGCACAAUUUUCCAUAUACACCUACAUUGCACCCAAGAUAGGACCCAUAGAGGGUUCCACAACCCAUAUACAAUCCAAUAACCAAUAUUGAUACCAAUCCAAUAUCUAUAACUUCUCCCCAGGACAUGAUCUUCAGUAGAAGGUUUUUAAAGGUGUCACAUUUUUGUUAGAAAAUCAAAAUUUCAACAAUGCUACAAAUGCCUAAUGAAUGUAUAUAUGAGAUAAGGAUAUAAUGUUCACAACCAAACUAGAAUAAGAAUUUCAAAAGGCCAACCACUAUACAAGAAUGUGAGCUAAAAUCCACCCAAUAAGCCAACCAUUCAUGAUCCAAUAUAGUCCACGUACCAGUAGAGUAAGAUAAUGCAAUAUUAUGUUAUUGAUACCAUAUAAAUUCCUAGUUAGGCAAUUAUCUCCAAGAAUAAAAUAAUUAAAUAUAUAAAUACCAGGACAACAAUAUUAUAUAAGACCUCAUACGGUCGCACUUAGCAAAUAAUGUCUCAAACUACCAAUAACAACAUUAUAGGCCUCCACACAAGCACAUAAUAGGAAUACCUACCCAACCUAGUCUGAAGAAAGUUAAAUCAUACCAUACCUCAAAUGUAGAAAACCUUAUCCAAGAAGUCCUCAGUACAGAGCCUCCCCUCCCCGAAUGGCCUCGGAACCAACUAAAAAAUACAAAUAUAAAAUCUACGCAUAAAAAAAGGCCAACGAUACUUAUAUUACCUAUUUCUGAGUCGAGGUCAAAACAGAAGCCUGAAAUGAGUUUUCAUAAAAAAAAGGUUAAAAUCAGAAUUUUCGUUCAUGAAUACAUUACCCAUUAUUCAAGGAAUCCAUAGAAGAAAAUCCAAGUGAAAACGGGUUGGUUUAAAGUUGAAGAAAACUAUUUUAGGAAUUACGAGGCCAAAAUUUCCAUAUUUCAGUUUUGAAAUCAUGUUUUAACUAGAUUUGGAUGACAAGAAGUAAAAAAAAAAUUGAAAUAGAGACAUGGAGCUUAGCCAAGAUUAAAUAUGGAAGAAAAUGCCCAAAAACUCUAACACCCAUAGCUCAAUAUCUCAAAAAUAAUGGAAAAUUGAGAAAAAUUAAUUUUUAUAUGGAUGCCUAACUGUGAUUGCUUAAGCUAAAUAAUUUCUUAAGUAAUCAUCGCUUAAGUGACUAGGUUGUCUCUUAAGUGGAUAGGGACACAUCAGAUGUCCACUUAAGUGGCCUCCUGGUCUCUUAAGUGACCAUAGGAUUACUUAAGCUACUGCAUCAGGUGAUGCUGCACCAGCUGAAGACUUGAAAAAUUUUAAGUCUCCACUGACCCCUCGAGAUUCAUCCAAAAUCUCGAGAACACAAAUGAACUAUGCUACCCUAUCAAAUUUGACAGUCAAGACUCAAUUGCGACCUCAUAAUUUUGAUAAAAGGUUAUUUUCAUAUAAUUGACCCCUAAUGCCCAUUUUCAUGAUUUUCCAUAUAGAGGGUCAAAAUGAGAUAUAAAAGCCAUAAAAUCUACCAAUCGUGCUACCAACCCAAAAUCGAUGUUUCGGAUCUACUAGAGCAUACUAUUUUGUCAUCCAACAUAUGAAACAAAAAAUGUUGACCGAAGUUAAUUAUAAAGCCUUUUUAACCUCCAAAAAUGACAAACUUGUUUAAAUCACACUAGAAUGCAUUGGGAAUCAUGUUGACCAUCCCCAUACCCCAGAAAUAUCACGUAGCAACCAUGGGAAGGGAUAAAAUAGUCAAAUUACAUAAAAACACAUAAUUCAUAUAAAUCAAGUCACUACACCAUCCACCACUAAGAAUCUAGUUCAUCCUCAAACUAAAGGUAAGGAAAAUACCCAAAUUCGUUAAAAGCUAGGGAUAACUACCACAUCUAUCAGACUUAACAUCCCAAGUAGCUUCAUCUAUAGGUUGAUGUCUCCACUGGACCUUAACCACCGAAAGAUCUCUAGAAUUCAACCACCUAACAUCCCUGGCUCGAACGGAGACAGGCUCCUGAAUAAAUGAUAACCUGUUAUCUAAAUACACUGAAUCACAAUGAAUGAUAUGAGACUCGUCCUGAAUAUAACAUCGUAACAUGGAAACAUAAGAAACUAGAUGAACAACUGAUAAAUAUGGAGGCAAUGCUAACUCAUAAGCUAUAUCCCCAAUAGUCUAAAAAAUCUCAAAUGUGCCAAUAUACCUGGGGCUAAGCUUACCCCUUUUCCCAAACCUCAUCACCCCCUUCAUAGGUGAAACAUGAAGGAAGACUCAAUUACUAACACCAAAUUUCAAGGCACGAAGUGUACGAUAUGCAUAAUACUUCUGCCUACUCUGAGAUGCUCAAAGUCUAUCCUAAAUGACUCAAACUCUAUACAAAGACUCACGAAGAAAGUUCAUACCUUAAGAUCUAAGAUCAGAAACCUCAAAUCAACCAAUUAGACAGCGAUGACGCCUACCAUACAAAGCCUUAAAGAAAGCCAUCUCAAUACUGGAAUGGUAGCUAUUAUUAUAUGCAAACUCUGCCAAAGCUAGAUGCUGCUCCCACUAACCUCCAAAGUCCAUCACAUAAGCGUGAGCAUAUCCUCCAAAAUUUGAAUAGUCCGCUUUGACUGACCAUUGGUCCGGGGAUAAAAAGUUGUGCUAAGAAUAACUUGGAUGCCCAACUCUCUUUAAAAUGCCUUCCAAAAGUGAGAAGUGAUCACUGAACCUCUAUUUGAGAUGAUAGGAAUUGGUACACCAUGAAGGCAGACUAUCCCACAAAUAUAGAUAUGAGUUAAUCUCUCAGUACUAAAAUAACCUAAAUGGAAUAAAAUAAGAAAAUUUGGUCAAUCAAUCAACGAUAACCCAAACACUAUCCAAACCAUGAGAAGUACAAUACAACCCAGUCAAGAAGUCCAUAGUGUUCCAUCCCCAUUUCCAUUCGAGAAUGGAUAACCUCUGAUAUAAACCACUAGGCCUCAAAUGCUCGGCCUUCACCUGCUGGCAACAUAGGCAAUGAACUAUAAAAUCCACUACAUCCUUCCUCAUACCACCCCACCAGUAAUUCUGUCUUAAAUCAUGAUACAUGUUUGUCACUCUUGGAUGAAUGGAAUACCUAGAAUAAUGAGCCACCUCAAAUAUCAAUCUUACUCAAUCACCCACUCUCGAUACAAAAACUCAGCCUCCAAUCCUCAAAACACCAUCAGAAUCAAGUGAGGCUUCCUUAGCCUCGUCAUCAACACCUUAUCCUAAAUUACUCUUAACCUAAAAUCAUCAAAUUGUUGAGCUUGAAUCUACUCCAUCAAAAAAGAUCUAGCCUCUACGAAUGCCAAAACACACCCAGGUGUAGAAAUAUCAAGCCUAACCAUAUGGUUAGACAAAGACAAAACCUCUAAGGCCAAAGGCAUCUCCUGAGUCAAAAGAUGAGCCAAGUUACCCAUACUAGUUGACUUCUGACUUAAGGCAUCUGCAACCACAUUAGCCUAGCCUAGAUGCUAGAUAAUAGUAAGCUUAUAGUCCUUAAGCAACUCAAGCCGAUGAUGCUACCUUAUAUUAAGAUCUCAUUGGGUGAAGAAAUACUGAAGGCUAUGAUAAUCCGAGAGUAUCUCAUAACAAACUCCAAACAAGUAGUGCCUUCACAAUUUUAAAGCAAAUACAACCACGCACAACUCCAAAUUAUAGGUAGAAUAAUUCUUCUCAUGGGAUUUUAAUUGAUGAGACCAGAAGUAUUAGAGAAGACGGUAAAACCUACGCCCUUCUUGGGUAAGGUCAAGAUAGAAGUUGAGGUCAAUAAAUGCUUUAGCUUCUAAAAUCUCACCUCACAAGCAUCAUAGAGUCAACUUGGUCAUUGGAGUCGCAAUAGAUAAUAAAACCCUUAACAAAGCAUUAAUAAUGGUGUGCUAAACCAACAAAACUCUAAAUCUCAAUAGGAGAAGUAGGCCUAGCCCAAUCAAGAACCACUGUAAUCUUGGCAGAAUUAACCAUGAUACCAUCCUAGGUUACCUCAUGACCUAAGAAAAAUAUUGGCUCCAACAAAAACUCGCACUUGGAGAACUUAGCAUAUAACUUCUUAUCUCUUAAUCUCUAAAGCAUAAUCCACAAAUUCUCCUUAUAGUCAGUCUUAUUCUUGGAGUAAACCAAGAUAUCAUCUAUAAAUACAAAGACAAAAGAGUCAAGAUACGAUCUACACACCCGAUUCAUUAUCUCUGUGAACAUGGUUGGGGAAUUGGUCAACCUAAAAGACAUGAACAAGAAUUCAAAAUAAUCGUAUCGAGUCCAAAAAUCUAUCUUUAGAAUAUCCGAAGCUCUAAUCCUCAAUUGGUAAUACCCGACCUCAAAUCAUCUUCAAGAACACUGAAGUACCCUAAAGUUGAUCUAAUAAAUCAUCAAUACAAGGAAGAGAGUACUUAUUCUUAACCGUCGCCUAAUUUUACUGUCGAUAAUAAUACACAUACACAUAGAACCUUUUUUUCUUCACAAAUAAGAUAGGCACAUCCCAAGGUGAUACACAAGGUCAGAUAAGUCCCUUAUCUAAUAACUUCUAUAACUGAUCCUUUAAUUUUUUCAAUCUACUAGGUCCAUCCUAUAAGGAGGAAUAGAUAUGGGCUUGGUACUCAGCUCAACAUAAAUAAUGAAGUUAGUAUCAUGACCCAAAAGUAUACCAGGAAAAUCCAUAGGAAAAACAUCCAUGAACUCACGAAUAAUAUAAUUUGAAUCCAAAAAAGGAGGUGAAACAAUACUAAUAUUGCAAAUAUGGCCAAAUAAGACAAAUAUCCCUUUUGUACUAGGUGACGAUCCUGAAGGAAAGAUAUAACUCUCUUGGGACCCAAAUGAAGUGCACCCUUCUAAGCUAUCCUUGGCACACUCGGUGGAGCUAAAAUUAUGGUCUUAGCAUAAUAGUCUAGAAUAGCAUGAGGAUCUGACCAAUCCAUACCCAAGAUGACAUCAAAUUCUACUAUUUCUAGGAUGAUCAGAUCUAUCUAAGUCUCACGCCCAGCAAAGGUCACAACAUAGGAUUGAUACACCUGAUCUACCACUAAAGAGUCUCCUACAGGGAUAGAUACAUAAAUAGGAAUGGUAAGAGGCUCACUAGUAAAAUCAAAAUCCAAAAUAAAAUAUAUCGACACAUAGGUGAAAGUUGAUCCCGAAUUAAGUAAUGCAAAUGCAAAUUUGAAGAAAAUGGGGAUGAUACAUAUAAAAUCAACAUCAGAAGCCUAUGCCUCUAGUCUGGUGGGUAUAGCAUAACAAUGUCCUUGUCCCUAAACUGACUGAAUAGACCCACGACCACCCCCGCAGGCAUCACUAUAUCUACCACAUGAAUCUUAGUAGUCCUCUACCUCUUCGAGGGUCACCUCUCACUGUUGAUAAAGGAGUAGAGAUAAAAACACGAUGGGGAUAGUUCUUGGCCAAAUGGCCAAACUCAUCACACACAUAGCAAACUCUGCAGCUCAACUCAAUAGGAGGAGGUAUGACUGUGCUAGAAUGACCAUCCUGAAGUGAUAAACUAGCACUACCAGAAAUUAGAUCUAUGGUGAAGGUUGCAGAACCGUUGUAUUAGUCCAAAAGCCAUUGCCAUAGACCUAUCGCAAUGGUUCAGCAAGCAUCCCAUAGGUGGGUAUUGCGAUAGGUCUAUGGCAAUGAUUUCUCCAAUAGUUGUAUAAAUCGUUGCCAUAGGUAGAGCUAUAGUGACGGUUUCUUACAAUCGUUGUCAUAGAUAGGCCUAUUGCAAUGGUUAUUUUUGGACUUAUUGAGAUGCCUAUUUCUAUCUAUUGCAACAGUUAUGAACCGUCGCAAUAGAAUUUAUUGCAACGGUUACGAACCAUCGCAAUAGAAUCUAUUACAACGGUUACGAACCGUUGCAAUAGAUACUAUUGUGAUGCCUUCGUUAUUCUGUUGCAACACUUUUUGAUGCCUAUUUUCAUCUAUUGCAACAGUUACGAACCGUUGUAAUAGAUUCUAUUGCAAUGACAUUAAACCAUCGCAUAACAUCUAUUGUGAUGCUUUUGUUAUUAAAUUAAAAUAAUUUAUAUAAAUAGUCAUAUUAAUGUAAAUUUUUAUUUAUAUACAUAAUAAAUUAUAGCAAAAUAUAUACACAUCACACAACAAAAUCAUUCAUUAAUAAUCUCAUAAUUCAAAAUAUGCAACAAGCUAGUAAUUUAAACCCUAAAGUAAAAUGUAAUCAAGUCCAAAUGAUUAGUAAGGUUUUACAUACCAGCAAGUUUAAGUCGCGAUAAGGUUAAACAAAUUCACCACAAAACUUUUUAUAUUAGAGCAUUUAUCCACAACCCAAAAAUUUUCUCAAGUAUGGUCAAUGUCUUCAUCAUUUUCUUCAUCUCUUGUGUUCUAGUAUUUAUUUGUUUCGUAGAGUUGCUAGUGAUCCAGCUAAAAGAAUGUUUUUAGUUUUCUGAUGAUUUCUCGAACACCUUUGUUGAUUCAUGAUUCUUUAAGUCUCUAUAAGAUCAAGAGCAAAAAUAUAAUGUCAAGAUGGUUAAAAUAACAAAAAAAAAUUGGCAUGUAGUAUAAGUGUGUCUUGAUCUUCUAACAUACAACUAGAAGCCUUAUAAAUCAACAAAUUCAGAACACACAAGCCUUAUAAAGCAAAAACUCCCAGUUGCAAACUAAACAAUAUUCAAAUACAUAAUUAUCGUUUAGAUGAUAAUCCUGAAGUUUUGCCUUUUUUGGCCAGGUUAAAACUAGAAGCUCAUGUCAAAGGUUAUGUUAGAAUUUCUUGGAUGUAUUGGUUUAAAAAGAUUUUAUAUAACCAAGUUGCUCUUGUUUACGUGCUUACUAAACUUGUGACUAAUGUUUCCCAGGUGAGUCUUAUUUCUUUUGAAUGUAGACCUUUUCAAUGGUUAUUACAAUAGUGGCAUGAUUUUAUUUAGAUUAUUUUCCCUAAGCAUUCACUUGGUUUUAUAACUGAUACAGUUCUUGUAAUUACAGGCCUUUCUUGCUUUCUAUGUGAUAAAUGCUAACAAAAAUCAUAACAAAAGCAAACUAAAACAAAAAAAGACCAACUAAUAAGGUUAUAAGAUUAAACGGUAGCUGUUAAGGUUAUAGGGUUAAAUAGUGGACGUUAAGGUUAUAACGUUAAAUGGUGGCUGUUAAACUUAUAAGGUUAUAAGGUUAAACGGUGGCCGUUAAACUUAUAAGGUUAUAAGGUUAAAUGGUGGAUGUUAAGGUUAUAAGGUUAUAAGGUUAAAUGGUGGCCGUUAAGGUUAUAAUGUUAAAUGGUAGCUGUUAAGGUUAUAAGGUUAAAUGGUGGCCGUUAACCUUAUAAGGUUAUAAGGUUAAACGGUAGCCGUUAUCGUUAUAAGGUUAUAUGAUGGCCGUUAAGGUUAUAAGGUUAAACGGUGGCCAUUAAAGUUAUAAGGUUAAGGUUAUAGAUUUCACAAGGAAAGGGAAACAUAAUUCAAGGUUAUAAUUCAUGGAACCAUACCUCAAGUCUCUAUUCUGAGUCGUUCCACUCAAAUAUUGGAAAGUCAGUCACCCAAAGUAUUGAAUGCCUGGACUAGAUAUAUGAACAAAAGAAAAAUGGAUAUUAGGAAAUACAAGAUUUUACUCAAGAACCUAAGUCUUCUAUAGAUAAGCACAUAUGUUAAUCCAAAUUUGGACAUCAGAUACUCACAUUGUCAAUUAAACCCAGUUCAUGUGCAACAUAUGUUCUUAGAUGAUCCAAUGUUUUAUUGACUUCUGCAUGGUGACCAAAAGCAAACAAGAUAAGAUCAUCUGAUACCGCGGAGAACUGAUUCAACAAUUUCUUUUUCUUUGCCGUAUAGAAACUAGAAACCAGCGGCGGAAUCCCUUCAAAGUACUAUUUGUGCAUCUGCUUGAAAAACUACACUAUUUAUUGUAUUGUGAACAAAUUAUCACUGGUUCAGGUGAUCUGCAGCGAUCAACGUGGACACUAGGUAUCUAAGUGGUCGCAUCAGAAACAGAGAAAGGAAGAGCAUAGGCCCUUUUUACAGAGAAAUACUCAAGGGGUGUUGCUGAGAUAGACAGAGCUGGGAGAAACAACCACCCUUUACAAAAAACCCCAUCCCUCUAAGGCUCUAGUUAUGAUGACUGUAGUACUGGUGAUGACGAUCACUGGUACAAUGAUGAAAGAAUGGGAAAUGACGCUAGUAAUACUGAAAAUGAAAAUUAUGUUGGAUCUACUUAUAUAUUGACUUAGAACUCUACCGGGAUAACUAUGAAGUCUUCAGGAUUAACAUGUAUGGACAUAACAUCAAUGAAGUUCUUGCACUGAAAAAUGGUUCUUGGACAUACUUUUCAACUUUACUAGAGCAAGGCACAAUAUUUGGAGGAACUUUAUAAGUUAAAGCCACAAGGCAAAGAUAAAGUUGCAAGCAAAACAAUAAAUUCAAGUAAUACACAUUUCAUAAAUAUUUAUGCCAAAGUGAAAAUGAGAGAAGACUAGCUAAAACUAACACACUUGCAUAAUCAAUGAUACAUCCCAAUUACAAAUAUAGACACCACCUUUAGUAGAAAAAAUUAUUCAUCUACUAUGGCUAGUCAGUAGUUAAUGAUGAAGGUUACCUGUACGGUCUCUUUUUUGUUUCAAAUGUGUUUUAAGUUUUUGGAAGACAUUAAUCUCCGAGCCUUAGUUUAAGCUGAAGCAGAAGCAUCUAUAUCAUACCAUUACCACCAAAAUCUCCAAGAAAAAGAGGAGUCUUGUGAAGUAAAACACACUGAUUUAUAAGAGAAAAGUCAACCGAAGAGACCCCGUAAGUUUACAUUUAAGAAACUAAUCCUCCCAAUUUUAUGCUUUCAAUGCUAAUUUGGUUGAAAAUACAGCCAUGCAGGAGCAGGGUAGUGAUAGAUAGAUAUUUAGACAGACAUAGACAUACAAUAAAAAAUAAAUAUAUAUAUAUAUAUACACACACAUACAUGUGUAAAAGGAAUUCAGCAUGCAGUUUGACAAUAUAGAAACUUAAAAAGGGAGUCAAACCAAACAAGUGUCAGUGAUAUAGUGCUCCUAAUGGCUCUCAUAAUGUGUUUCCUGACUAGUAAACAAAAGUUUCAUCAACAAUCCAAAUACUUCCAUUGUUGGACGUAACAGGUAAUUUACUGAGUUUCGACUAGUAAAAACACACAAAUCUAUACUAAUAACUAGAAAAAAGGAAAGAGGCCUCACAUAGCUUCACAAACCAACACAAGAACAACAAGAUGAACAACAAGUUGCUAGUGAAUCGAAAUAGGCCUCACACGGCUUCACUAGACUUUGAGUUUGUAUUUUGAAAAAGAAAAUGAGAUGAAUAACAAGGCAACAAUGCUAGUGAAUCGAAAGAAACCCCCACACGACUUCAAUAGUGAACUCGGACAUGCACAACAGUACCUGGUGGUGAGGCAAGAGAAGAAAGUAGAAGUGGGAAUUGCCUGUCACCUAAUAUGAACCAAGUAAUUAAUAUAAAGAUGCAUCUAUCUCAAUUCAUAUUUAAUAUCUUAAAAUUCUUCUGGAUCAUAAAUAUUAAUAUGACCAAUUAAUAUUAACAUAGGUGUAAAACUUCAGUGCAAGCCUAAAAAGCAUCAGGCUACCAACCAGCAUCCGACGAAAGGUACAUAGCAGCCAUGGCAAUAUUAUAUUUCUCCCCAAGUUUGUACAGAGGCAUGUAUUCUCUGCUCUUAUUGCUUAUCUCCUCCGAUCCACGUUUAUGCAUGCCAACAGUGUCAUCUAUGCUGCCUUGUGCAAUACCAUUUACCCUAAUAUCAUAGUCUGUGCCCCACUCUAGAGCCAAAUUUCUAGUGAUUACAUCAACAACAGCCUGUACCGAGAGAUGAUAUAAGAGGGAAUUAAAAAUAACAAAAUAAAAAUGAACACAACCUCAUCUUGAAUCUAAAGUUCCAAACCUUAGCAACAGCUACAUGGAUUUGAUACCAAGAUGUAGCGUAAUGCAAAGUAACACUGAUGUUCAAUAUCAGUCCACCAGAAGUCGAACUCCUCCCAGGUCCCCCUUUCUUGAUAUAGUUAAGUGCUUCAUGGCCCAUAGUAAAUGUACUAAUAGAAUCAAUGUCUAGUAUUACAAAAAACAUCAUGAGCAUAUAAAAAGAAUCAGAAUGUAAUCUGAGAUAGGCUUUUUCUCACGUUAAAUUAAAGAGAGGAAAGUGACUUGCUAUCCCCUUUUACUACACAAGCACUUUCCUUACUCAACCUCUUUUCCGUCCCUCCUCAAGAAACUGCCAUAAGACCAAGAUAUCCUAUUAAAUGAGACAAAGAGAGAGUAAUGAAAAGAACUUGUUUAGGAGCAUAGUGACAUUGAGGUAAAAGAUGCAAAAAGUAAUAGGUUGACAGAAGAUACAACAAUGAUUCACAACGAAGAUAAGGAACAAAUUUCCCCUAAGGAUGAUAUGAAACAACAAUAACCCAUAAUUAAGGAAAGUGGAAAAUUAUAACUCAUCCAGUAAUAUCCUUGAAGCAGAAAUAGAGAUUAGUAAAGAAGCUAUCGUACCAGAAUGUUCUAAGGAAAAACAACCUAUAAAUGAUAUGGAGUAGCAACAACUAGACUCUUGCAGAAACAAAAUUAAGGAGGUUAACAUGACUAGUCCAUCCAAGGAACAUGGAGAUAUUAAUCCUUUUAAAAGUUUACUCCAACAACAGCAAGCUAAGCUGCAGGUUCAGCAACAGCAUAGCAGCCUGUAGUUGACAACAACAAUCAUCAAUGUGUAAUAGAGAUGCAGUCUGUAGUCAAUAACAACAUUCUAAUGGGAUCUGAGACCAUAAAUUCUGUUAGACAGUAGACUUUUUUUCUGUCAUUUUCAUUUUAACAUCACACCCUUUGCCGUGCGGCCCUUUGCUAGACCCUACUAACAUGGGAUACUUUGUGCACCGGGUUUCCCUUUUAUUUUCUCUUAGACCAUAAAUAUUGGUGUCAAACUAAUAUUAUCAAAAUUGGUUUGAAGUACAUUUGCUUUUAUGAUUAUCAAAGAACAGUUAGUACGACAAAAAGUACUGGUUCGUGUUUGCCAUAACCACAUUAACAUGAAUUACUUAAAAACUAAUCUUUUACAAUGAAAUAUUAAUCAUUUCUUUAUACUUAUCUCAUUGUAUAAAUUUUACCCCAUCCAAACUUCUUUACCAUGUAACCAACCUUCAUUCCAAUUUCUUCUUCCUUUCAUUACCAAGCAUUUAAUUUUGACACUCAUGGAUGCAUUAUUACUACAGUAGCAGAAAUCCUGAAACUUUGUUACAUCAGCAGUCAAAAUUUCACUUCAUAUGAGCUGUCUUAGUUUAAACUAACUAAUGGUAACAUAAAAAUCAUUAGCAAUCAAAAUUUACCAAGUCAUGGUCGCAUUAUUACUACAGUUUUUACCAAUAUUCACGUAAUUAAAUGAACCCAACAUUAAAAUGUUCUCGAAGGAGAAGAAAAACUCAAAAUCCCCAAAAAUUAGGUCAAAGACGUUGAACACUACACUAACCUUAAAAUCCCUAAAUUGAAGUAGUUGAAGUGCAAAUUUGACAGAAAUUGAAGUGCAAAUUCGGUCUAAAUAUUCCUUGCACCAGUAAAUCAAUUUUCAAAGCGGCACCAGUAAAUCCUACAAAGCUCACUACCAAAUCAUAGUAAUUGUAGUGAAGAGAAAAUGAAUCCCUUAAUCGAGUGAUUGUCAUUGUAGCGAUUGCAGUGAAGAGAAGUCAAUUCCCCUAAUUGUUGAUUUUUGGUAUAGCGAUUGUAGCGAAGAGAAGCCAAUUCCCUAAUCGAUUGAUUGUUGUUGUAGCGAUUUUAGCGAAGAGAAGCCGAUUCCCAAAUCGAUUAAUUGUCGUAGCAAUCGAUUGAUUCCCUAAUCGUAGUGUAUUUUUUUUAAAGGCUUAGUAAGCUAAGAGCUAAUACAGAAACUAAGAGAGAAAGGGAAGUAAGUAAAAGCUAAGAGGGAAGAGACAGUUGUCUUAGGUUUUCUUUUUUAGCGGACUUAUCAAAUUUUUAGUGAAAAUGGAGGGAAUAAAAUAAGCAUUGCUAUAGCUUAUUUUAUUUAUCUAUGGUAACGCUUAUUAUCAAAUGCAACAGUUAUAGUGUAAAAUUAUAACUAAUAGAACAAUUAUUUAUGGCAGCACUUGGAACCGUCGCAAUAGACCACCUAUUGCAAUACUUUGUUAACCGUCGCCAAAAAGUUUGUUUCCAUAGGGAUAAUUUCCAGCAGUGUAGAAAACCUACAAUCUGAACCCUGAAAGGCAGCCUACACUGGUCUACCAUGAUACCUAUAAAAACCUCUAAAAACUCUACCUCAAGGAGUGCAACUACUGAACUUACCCUGACACGGCACCCUCUUGGCAUCUCCCUGAGAAGCUCGAAGAAUAAACUCAGUCAUCUUUGUAUAAUCCACUAUACUAAAAAACGAUGCCUGUGACACUACCAUUGUAACGCCCCAAAUCUGGUACCCAAAACGUUACACGGUGCUCAUGACCCCGAAGGACCACAAGCUAACCCAUGACUGAUAUCUGUACCUGUAUACUGCAUAAAAGACUGUAUAAUAUGGAAACAUAAACUAAAAGGCCAUAAGGUUCAAUACUAGUACAUAACUAAAAAUAUGGUAUAUCAAUACCAAAAUAAUUGAAAUAACUGUCCGACAUGCUAUAGUCUGAAAUCCUCUAAAUCGUGUGAAAAAAGAGUUGAUGGGACAUAUCCCCAACUAACUCCGACUACUGAAAUAAACUAAAAACUUAAAUAGUAAUAUAAUCAUCAUGUCCUUAAAGGAUGAGGACUCACAACUGACUUUGACUACUGAACCUGGAUGCUACUGAUGCUCUAGAGCUCAUGCUUCUAAACCUAUGGUAUAAGACAGCAUAGCACAAAUGUGUCAGUACUUUGAAUGUAUUGGUAUGCAAGUGAGGUAGGUUGAAUACAAAUGAUUCAUAUGCAUGAACAAUACUAACUGAUUGACUAACAUGAACAUGAGAAUACAUGCAUGACUACAUAACUGUAACUAAGACCAUGAUAGGACGAAAUACUGAGUUCUGACUACUGAGUUUACUGAUAUUGACAUCUGAAUCACUGAUGAGUGAGAAAGACUUAUAGUAUAUUACUGAAAACUGAGGGACUAAUACUAUGUUACUGAUACAUGAAUAACUGUGUCUAACAGUUCUGAUUAUGAAAAACUGGUCUGGUUGAUUGUAUCUGACAGUCCUGAAGCUGAAUACUGAUAACAUGAGUUUUGAUAACUGACAUAACUGAUAAUAUAAGUGACUGUAUUUGACAGUUCUGAAUCUGAUGGAACUAGCUGAGUUCCAUACUAUAUCUGAGUAACUAAAUCUGAGAUCAGUCCUAUCUAGCGGGUGAUCUCUAAAUCUGAUAAUAUUGAUACCGACUGACCAUAGUUGAGAUCAGCCUUGUCUAGUGGGUAAUCCUGGGGUCUAUUUAUAAUGAUAAGGAUUGACUGUAUCUGACAGUACUAAAUCUAUACUAUUGAGCUAAAUCGACUGUAUCGGACAAUCCUAAUUCUGUAACUGAAACUGUGGGAUAUGUUCAUCUAACCGACAUGCCCCAUACUAUGCUAACUGGGGUCCAACCUAUAACCCCAGUUGGAAAGGUGUCAGUACCGCGCCAUUGGUAAAGACAACUGCUAUGGAGUCAGUCCUAAUCUAGUGGCUAACCCCUGGGAUCAGUCCUAUACAUUUAAAUAUGCUAACGGCUGAUCCUUGAGUAUGUCAUUCCUAUCUAAUGGGUGACAUCUUGUACCUACACUAGCUACAUAGUUCUAGAACUUAGGGAUUGCUUCUAGGGAUCUCAGUCCUAUCUAGAGGGUGAGUCCCCAUUCCUAGGCUCGCUUGGUGCUAAAUCCUACUCCCAUCUAAAAGACUUUGAACUGAUUAACUGAGCUGAACUGAUUAACUAAACUGAACUGAUACUAGUGGUAUUGUCUAGAGGAGCAAAACUGAAUUUACUGAGUUUCAUUGACUGACGGAACGUACUAAGUUUUGAGGACUGACUGAGAGUACUGUAGUUACUGAGAUUGACUGGGAAGAUUGAGGUUACUGAGAUUACUGAGUACUGAGAUCACUGAGAUUACUGAACUAUUGAGAUUACUGAGAUUUCUGGGUUUUCCUAAGUCACAUGACUGACUGAGUUCUGUGGAUCAUGGCUUGAUUGAGUAUCCUGAAAACAUGACAUGGCUCUAGGCACACAACUAAUAUUUUAGGUACAAGUACCUCCCGAACUCGAUGGAAAGAAACUGACAUAGCAUGACUUACUUGAACAUAUGACUAAUAUCAUAAUCCAUAAUUCAUAUACUGAAGCACUUCAUUAAACAUAUGAUAUGCAUAAACUUGUACAUAAUUGGGGAUUUCAUGAUAUCAUACUAGUUGGACACUCUUCCUUCAUAUAGGCAUUUAAUCAAACACAUAGUAGGCAUGGUACAUAUAAAGAUCAUUAUACAACAAUUAAACAUCAUAAUUCAACUCUAAUUUCAUCAUUCUAGGGUUUAAUCAUAGGUUAACAUGAAUAUACAUCUAUACAAAUCAAUUCCACAUAACAUUGAUCACCUAACAUGGAUUAGAAUUCAAUUGAUCAUUCUCAACAUAAACAAAACAAACCAAACAUGAAAUUCAUAGAGAAAUCCAUAAACUUGAACUUAGAAAAGAGAUUCUUGGUCUUCAUGGAAAAAGGAGUCCAUAAAUGAACACUAUGCAUACCUCAAAAUCUUGAAUCUUGAAGGAGGUUAACUUUUCUUGUUGGUUCUUGAAUGGUGACGCUUUGAUUCUUGAGUUUUCUUAGAGAAGGAUUUGAAUCUUGUUCUUUGAUUUUGAUCUUGAAAGAAACCCUAAUUUUGAUGUCAUGGAUGAAUGAGGAGUUAUAUGUUUUGACUUGACAUGAUUGGGUGUUAAAUAGGGUGGAAAAAGACCCAAAAAUCCCUUUAAAACGGCGUUUCAGACAAAACUGAUGGUCUGAGUGAUGGACCAUCACUCUGGUGACUAACUUUAACGCCAACCACCAUUUUUGGGCCAGAAAACGGCAUUAAUGCUUCAGUUAUGAUGGCUAAAACGACAGUCCAUCGCUGACUUGAUGGUCCGCCAGCUUGCUUAUCGCUCCUGGACAGCUCGAACAACUCUCAUUAAAACAGCUAUAACUUUUUCCUCCGAUGCUGGAUUUUGGUGAAAUUGGUAUUGUUGGAAAGCUAAUUUAAUUAUCUAUCUGUUGGUGCAUAAUGAGCUCAAAAUUCUUUGUGAAAUAGGAGAUAUGCUCAUUUGAAGUUGACUAUGGCAAUGCCCUUCUCAAGAAUUCAAUCGGUAAGGGAUGUUUUGAUUAGUCUAAUAGCUAGGACGUAUUUGAGGACUUAAUAUACAUCUAACUUGAUCAUAAAACUACCAAAUUACUAUAAUUUAUUUCUCAUGAGCUUGAAGCAUGGUUCUACUAUUGGUUGGGAUUCUCGAGGUGUUACAACCAUCUGGGCAAUAUCCAACUAAAGUGAAACAUCCCUUCACAAACUUUCGAAUAUUCUUAGAUUUGGUAGCAAUACUAGCAAGAAAAUAUCUAGACAAGGCAUGGAAAUAUGGCUCAUACUCUGCAAUAGUUAUGGAUCCCUGUAUCAAGUGAUCAAACUCAUCUCUCAUAUAAUCCCUCAGACUAAAUGGCACAAAUCUACCUAAUAAGGCUUCAACAAACUGAUCCCAAGUCAUCUCUAGAAAACUCAGAGGUCAUUAAGUAACAAGUGACCUCUACCAAGAUCUGGCUGUAUCUCUCAACUGGUAGGUGAUGUAAGCAACCCCAUGCGACUCAAACCAUCCAAGGUUAUGCAACUUCUCACGACAAUCAAUCAAGAAUUCAUAAACAUCCUUUUCCUCAACACCAUUGAAUCUAGGUGAACCCAAAUGAGCAAAUCUCUCAAACCUCUUCCAAGACAUAACUAUACCCAUAAUAAUAGGAUGCAUAAUGAAUCUAGUUGGAUGAAAUCCCACUAGAGAAGGUAACAUAGAUAAAGACUGAAUCCCUAAUCUUGGAAUACCAUACUCGGAUACCGGCAUAGAAGGAGGAACAAUACUCAAAGUCUAUGAAGUACCAUAAGCUGAUAUCAGUACCACUGAAAGAUCCACACUCGAAGAUGGAGGAAAACCAUAGGCGGGCUCUGGCAAAGAUUGAGGUACAAUACUCGGAGAUAGAGGAUCACCAGGUGUACUCAAAGGAAUAGCCUUCAUACGAGUCAACAAACGAAUCAACAACCCCUCUAAGAUCAGGGUAGACAAACCCUGUAGAACCUAAGUAGGUUUCAUAUCUCCAGCAUACUCUACUUAAGGCUUAGGGGAGAUCCUCCUAUUACUACCUCCGAAAGGGGUAGAUCCUCAUGCCCCACCCUCUACCUUGGGCUCUUUCACGACUAGCAACUCACCCUUUAGACUGGGCUCUCUCCUAGGAUGAUGGCUAAGUAUCUAUAACCUCAUGGGAUCUAAUCCUAACCAUCUGCACAAAAAAGAGUAAAAUAUGAUUUCGAACACGAGGUAUGAAGAAUUUGCAUAAUAAGGAAUGAAAAAAAAGGAGUUUCCUAAGGAUAUCUUAUAGCCUCUCAAAGAUAGAUAUAAAUGUCUAUGUACCAAUCCACGAGACUCUAUCAAACAUCCUAUUCUUAUAUUGAUGAUACCAAUAAACCUGGCUGCUCUGAUACUAAUUUAUCACGAUCCAAAAUCUAAGGGUCAUGAUGACACUUGUUGCGGUAGGCCUUGACAAGUAAGUCAAUCACCCAAACUGAUAUGAAAAGAUAAAAUAACACCAUAUUCCAAGGCAAGACUUUUAGAAUGAAGUUUAACUAAACAUAUACAAUAAUAAUGAAAACAUGCAUAGCAAUGAUACCAGAAAUCAUCUCAAAAUUUGGAGUCACGGUGUAGGAACAAUCGGUAUAUAACUUAAAAUCUGAAAAUACAAUCGAUAAUCUAAGAAUGAACAUAAGUUUGUCUCUGAAUACAACUAAGAUAUAAACUAGAUAAGAUGGGGUCGGAGAUCGACUCUAGAAUCAUAGAGCAAGCACUACCUCGAAAAUAUCCAAUCACCACCCGAAAAUCAGCUGGCAUGCAACGCACUCAUACCUGGAUCUGCAUCGAAAGAGCAUGGUAGGUAUGAGUAUGGUCCACUUGUACUCAGUAGGUAUCAUAGGCCGAUUAAGCAAAGUAAAAAAUAACGUAUAUAAUAUACACAGUAUGGGCACAUCAUCUACAAUCAAAAAAAUAUUUCAAACGGUAGCCCACACUGUCUCCACUAAUAGUUCUAAAUAUCAACAUAUAUAUCAAGUACAAGUACAAAAAAGAAGCACCAAAAUAUAGACAUUAAAUCAAACAUAAAAGUACAACAUAAAGGGUGCAUAAAGUAUGAAAUGCAAUGCAAAUAUUGAUGAUGAUGAUGUGAUGAGUCCAAGGUUAUCGCACAACUCCAUAUACACCUACCGAGCAUUGCUCUCGAGGUAGAACCCAUGGGGAUUUCUGCCAUUCAUAUACAAUCUAAUAACAAAUAUCAAUACCAAUCCAAUAUCCAUAACUCCUCUCUGGCGCAUGAUCUUCGGCAGAGAGUUGUAAAGGUGUCACAUUUUGGUCGGAAAAACUAGAAUUUUCAUAGUGGUACCAAUGCCUCAUGAAUAUAUAUAUAUAUAAUAUGAGGGUGUAAUGCUCACAAUCAAACCAGAAUGAGAAUUUCAAAAAUCCAACCAAUACAUAAGCACGUGAGCUAAAAUACACUCAAUAAGAGAACCUUUCAUGAUCCAAUAUAGUCCAUGUACUAGUAGAGUAAUAUAUGCAACAUUAUGUUAUUGAUACCACAUAAAUCCCAACUUAGGUAAUUUCCACCAAGAAGAAAACAACCUAAUAUAUAAAUACCAGGCCAACAACAUCGUAUAAGACCCCACAUGGUCACACGUAGCAAAUAAUGUCUCAAACCAUCAAUAACAACAUCUUAGGCCCCCCCACGUGUACAUAACAAGAAUAACAAUAUUCUUAGUAUAAAUAACAUAAAUACCAACCAUUUUGGAAGUAAUUACACUCUCUCUCACUUUUUUUAAUUACUUUACUCUCUCUCUCUAUUAAUAUACAUAACAUAGUCGACAUAUACAUAUCAUUCUAUGUAUAUGUUGGGAUUUCGUAAUAUGUUUAGGGAGUUGAAAUUUUUUGUAAUAUUGAAAAUAUAAAUUGUGUAUUUGUGUAAUUUUUAGAUAUUUUUAUGAUUAAUACCCAUACCCAUAAUAUGCUUUUACAUAAAUAUUAACUAUCCAACCAGUGUGAAGAUAGUUAAGCCAUAACCUGCCUCGAAUGAAGAAAACCCGGUCUAAGCAGUCUUUAACACGAAGCAUUCUUUUUGGAAUGGCCUCGGAACCAACUAAAAUAUACAAAUGUAGAAUCUACACUCAAAAGAAUGCCAACGAUACACAUAUUGCCCAUUUCUGAGUCAAGAUCAAAACAGAUCCCCGAAACAAAUUUUCAAAAAGAAAGAGUAAAACCAGAAUUUUUGUUCAUAAUUACAUUGCCCAUGAUUCAAGGAAGCUAUAGAAGAAAACUCAAGUGAAAACGAUUUAAAAACGAGGUUUGGGCCAAUAUUUCUAAAUUUUAUUUUUGAAAUCGCAUUUUAAUAAGUUUUAAAUGACAAGAAUCGAAGUAAAAUAAUUGAAAUAGGGAUUUGGAGCUUACCCAAGCCUGAAUAUGGAAGAAAUCUCCCCAAAAAUCUAACACUCAAAGCUUAACGUCUAAAAAGGGUGAAAAAUUAGAAAAAAUAAUUUUUUUAUAGAUGCUAGCUAUGAUCGCUUAAACGAUUAAAUGAUCUCUUAAGCGAUCAGUUUUGUUGCUUAAGCGACUAAGGACACAUCAACUGACUGAUUAAGUGGCCUUUUGGUCUCUUAAACGACCAUAGUAUCGCUUAAGCGGCUGCAUCGGCUGAAGACAUGGAAAAUUUCAAAUCUCCACCGAUCCCUCGGGAUUCAUUCAAAAUUCCAAGAACAUAAAUGAAUUAUCCUACACUAUCAAAUUCAAUGCUCCAGACUCAAUAACGACAUCAGAUUUUCAAUAAAAGGUUGCUUUCACAUAAUUGACUCCCGAGAUUUAAUUUCACAAUUUUCCAAAUCGAGGGUCAAAAUGAGAUAAAAAAAAGUCAUAAGAUUAUGCCAACCAUGUUGCCAACUCAAAAUCGACGUUCUAGAUCUGUUGGGACAGUCUGUUUUGCUAUCCGACACAUAGAAUAAAAAAUGUUGACUGAAGUCAACUAUAAAACCUUUUUUUAACCUCCAAAAACCACAAACUCGCACAAAUCACACUGAAAUGCAUUGGGAACCAUACCAAUAAACGAUCAUCCCCACACCCUUGAAAUAUCACGUAGUAACCACGGAAAAGGAUAAAAUAAUCAAAUCACAUAAAAUACAUAAUUCACAAAAAUCAACUCGUUACUCAAAUAUAAAGUUACCAUUAGGAAUCAAUAAAUACAGUGAAGUUUAGUAGCCAAUAAAAUAACUUAAUUUAAAAAUGAUAUACAGUUAACAUAAUUUAAUUUCUUAUUCAGGCUAUAUUAUCUUAUCAAGUCUUUGAUUUUGCAGUAUUUUGGUUAUAAGAGUUACAUAAUCUCAAUGUCCCGAGUUUUAUUGAAAUACUUCCCAUUUUCUGGUUAAUAUUUUUUUGAGGCUGGGUAAUUGGAUUAAAUAAAAGAAAGUUAUUAGCAACAACUAAUCAAUAUAUGGUAAGUUAUUAUCAACAGUAAGAUGCAAAUCUAAAUUGAUCACAUAAUCUCAAGUAUUUUUAAUUUAUUCAAUAUAAACACUUUUUUAAAACUGAUUUAUAACUCCUUUUUCUUUCUUUGCUUUUUAAAUUUAACUAGUAUAGGUACCCACGCGAUACACGAUUUUUUUAAAGAAAAUAUUGAUUAACAAAUGUUAGCUUAUUCAUUUUAAAAUAAUAAAAUUAAUUAAUUUAAAAUUAUUUUAGAUGUUUUGAUAUGAAAAGAAUAAUAUUUGUAUUUUCUCUAAUUAUAUUUCAUUGGUUGAUUUUUAAAAAUAUUAAAUAAUGAUUAAUUUUGUUGUUGGACGUUUACCUUUAUUAAUCAAUUAAAACAUGUAAUUACAAUCUUUCCCUUCCAUUUCAAAUUUCAAUUUUUUCCCCUAUCAAUUCAACCUCAACAACUAACAACACUCUUCUUAAAAGACUUAAUUUUAAAUUCCAAUUCAAACAGUAAAAGUAUUUAUUAGUGUCAAUUACAAAACUUCUAAUUUUAAAUUUUAAAUUUCACUACUCUCAAUUCAAAAAUUAAGUACAUACAAUUUAUUAUUUUAUUUUAAAAUUUUAAAAGCUAUUCUACUAUUCGUAAUUUUUCAUUGUUUGAUUUUAUUAUUUAUAUUUUUUAAGUAUUUUAUUUAUACUUGUUAUUGUAUCUUCUAAAUUAAUUCAACUAAGAUCUCUCAAAUCACCCUCCUCCCCCACCCCCCAACCCCAAAAAAAUGACACAUCCAUCCCAAUCCUCCACCCCUACCCCACCACCAUUUAAUNNNNNNNNNNNNNNNNNNNNNNNNNNNNNNNNNNNNNNNNNNNNNNNNNNNNNNNNNNNNNNNNNNNNNNNNNNNNNNNNNNNNNNNNNNNNNNNNNNNNNAAAGAAAAUAUAAAAUUCUAAAUUAUUAAUUUUAAUUAAAAAUAUUAAAUUUGCAUCAAAUUACAGAAGAAAGAAGAUUAAUUUCUCAAUAAACAUCAACAUGACGAAAAGUCUCAAUAGAUUAAUUUCUCAAUAAACAUCAACAUGACGAAAAGUCUCAAUAAAAGUUGAUCUCUUUUAUGUAUUCAAAUUUGUUUAUGUUUAGCAAAAAUCAAACGAAUAAAAUUAUAUUAAAAAAUAUCAUUUACUUGAAUCUAGACUUGAAUAUAGUAGAUAAAAAUUAACUUGUUAAACAUAAUAGUAAAAAGUUAAACAAAAUAAAUCCAAAAAGUGAAGAAUAUAAAGAAUAUAACAAUCAAUAACAAAAAAAAAGAGAAAAAGGUUAAAAUUAUUUAUCAACAUAGGAGUAUAUAUAAAAGAGAUUAAGAAGAUAAAAUUUUAUUCCAAUUCAAAUAUUUUUAAAAUUGAAAUUCAAUAUCUUUACUUACUUGAAUUCAGGGAUGGAUAUAGUAGAAAAGAUGGUCUGCAAUACGAUUAUCACUAAAUUACAUAUAAAAAACAAAAAUGUUAAAACCAAAAAAAUUUAAUUAAUGAAAAACAUGAAAAUGUAGUAAAUGAAGCUAAUAUAUAUAUAUAUAUAUAUNNNNNNNNNNNNNNNNNNNNNNNNNNNNNNNNNNNNNNNNNNNNNNNNNNNNNNNNNNNNNNNNNNNNNNNNNNNNNNNNNNNNNNNNNNNNNNNNNNNNNNNNNNNNNNNNNNNNNNNNNNNNNNUAAUAAUAAUAAUAAUAAUAAUAAUAAUAAUAAUAAUAAUAAUAAUAAUAAUAAUAAUAAUAAUAAUAAUAAUAAUAAUAAUAAUAAUAAUAAUGCUAAUAAUAAUAAUAAUAAUAAUAAUAAUAAUAAUAAUAAUAAUAAUAAUAAAUAGUAAUAGUAGGAAUAUAGUAGGUAAUGUGUAGUAGUAGUAUAUAGUUCGUAAUACGUGUAGUAUUAAGUAGUAUAGUAAGUAUUAUGUGCAGCAGUAGUAUGGUCAAAAGUCCCCCCAACCUUUAUCCCAAAUCUUAACUACAAACUUAUACUUUGUAGGGGUCCUGUGACCCCUUGAACUAUUUUAAAGUGAAAUUAUUAUCCCCAAAAAACCUGACAAGCAAUCAUUUUGGAUAAGGUGUGAUGCACGCACCAACAACAUUUUGACACGUAUUUUUUUUGUUUAAAAUUAAUUUUUAUUUAUUUUCUUUUCCAUUUUUAUCACUUUUUAUCAUUUUUUUCACCAUUAUUUUUUUCACCAUUACUUUUAGUCUCUUUUCCUUUUCAAACUUUAUUAUUCCAUUUCUAUGCAAAUAAUUUUUCGACAACCUUGAAGUGGACAAUAUUGAACAAUACCGAAUUUGAAAUUUACAACGAUCUUGAAGUCAAAAAUGAUAAACAACAUCGAAUUUAAAAUUUCUGACCACCUUGAAGUUGGAAACAAUGACAAUAUCAAUUAUUAAAUUUCUGACGAUCUUAAAUCGAGAAAUAAUGAACAAUAUCAAUUUCAAAAUUUUCAACGACCUUGAAGCCGGAAACAAUGAACAAUACCAAAUUUAAAAUCUUCGAUGACCUUAAAGUCGGAAACAAUAGAGAAUUUUAAAAUUUUCGACGACCUUGAAGUUGAAAAUAAUGGACAAUACCCAUUUUAAAAUUUACGACGACCUUGAAGUCUGAAAUAAUUGACAAUAUCUAUUUUGAAAUUUUUGAUGAUCUUGAAGUCGAAAAUAAUAAACAACAUCAAAUUUGAAAUUUUCGACAACCUUGAAGUUGAAAACAAUAAACAAUAUCAUUUUUAAAAUUUCUGACGAUCUUGAAUCCGAAAACAACGAACAACACCAAUUUUAAAAUUUUCGACGACCUUGAAGACGGAAACAAUGAACAAUACCGAAUUUAAAAUUUUCAAUAACCUUAAAGUCGGAAACAAUAGAGAAUUUUAAAAUUUUCAACGACCUUUAAGUCGGAAACAAUGGACAAUACCUAUUUAAAAAUUUACGAUGACUUUGAAGUCGAAAAUAAUGGACAAUAUCGAUUUUAAAAUUUUCGACAAUCUUAAAGUUGGAAACAAUGAACAAUACCCAUUUUGAAAUUUUCAAUGAAUUUAAAUUCGAAACCAAUCGAUUUUGUGAUUGGAGAUGAGAAAAAUUAUAAAUUGAUUUUGGAUGUCAUUGAUGAGUUCUUGGAUGCCAUUGUUUGUCAGAAAGAAGAAGAAGAAGAAGAAGAAGAAGAAGAAGAAGAAGAAGAAGAAGAAGAAGAAGAAAGAAAAUCAAUAAAGAAAAAGAAUAAUUGAAAAUGAAUAAAGAAUAAUUGAAAAUGAAUAAAGAAAAGAGAAAAUAGUCAAUUAUCCCUCCAACCUUUAGUCGAAAUCCCAACUACACACUCAACCUUUACUAAAGUCCCAUUACCCCCUAAAUAUUUUUUUACUGUAUUUUAUACCUCUCCCAUUGCUAACCUGUUAAUAUAAACCAAACAAUAACUCAUGCGUGCAUACACGCGCCUGGGCCCACCACUACUUUUUCACAUUCUUCCUAAAACAAAAUAGGCCAUUUCCAUGGAUAACACAUAAAUGACAUAUAUCUCAGCUCUCUAUACACAUAAUCACCAUCUACAACACAACACAUAACUCUUUAUACACACACUUACCAUCUACAGCACAUAAAAAGACACACACAUUACAUAGACUACUACACACAACCAAACGAGAGAGAUGGGAGAAAUAAUAAAAGAAAAAAUGGAGAAAGAGGGAAAACAGAGAGGGCAGGUCCGUCGGGGGAAAAACAAUUUCUUUUUCUCAUCUUUCGCAGGCGAAACCACUUUUUAAAUCCAAAUCACCACCAACUUAUUUUUUCAGACCAAAUCCCGUCAGAAAAUAAUUAAAAACACCAAAUUAGCGAUGAAAAUGCCUGAAACAACCCCAUCUCAGUAUAAAUCCACCAGUUUCAUCGAAAUUCAUCAGAAAAUGAAUGAAACAGAACUGUUCGCAUGUGAAAUUCGGUACGGGUUGUUUUUGAUUUCAUAGGUUAUUAAAGAACGGAAAUAGGUGUAGAAAAUUUUUUCUGUGAUUUAGAAAUUAGAUGAAAAUUCUUUGUGUUCAUUUAAUAUGUUGACAAGAUUGUGAUAUUGCAGUUGCGUAGAUCGAAGAGAAGAAAUCUAACAUUUAACUAGUCAAAUUUUGCAAUUAUGGUGAAUUAGAAAUCCUUCUAACUGUCAUUAUAGAAACUUUUUCAAUUUAAAUGGUGAAAGAGAUGAAUUCAUUUUGUAGUGAUCAGCAUUGCAACAAUACGCGCAGACAUGUUUGGAGAUGAGAUUUGGCGUUUGGAGAUGAAGAAUUUCGUUGAGCCUUUUUCUAGUUGGAGAAAACAACAUUAAUUAACAAUUAAAAAUAAUAAUGUGUAUUAUAUACUUGGUACUUAAAAUAAUAAUUUUAUAGGGUUAAUUCUUCAACUCACACACCUAUUGGGGGUGUUCUCACCUCCCAUGAUAGGUCAGCAAUGAAAGGGCUAUAAAAUACAGUAAAAAAAUAUUUAGGGGGCGUAAUGGGACUCUAGUAAAGGUUGCGUGUGUAGUUGGAAUUUUGACUAAAGGUUGGAGGGGUAAUUGACCAUUUUCUCUAAAGAAAAUAAAAAAAUAUUAAAAAUAAAAUUUUAAUAAAAAAAAUUAUUCUCACUCUCUUUAAAAAGAGUGAAACACACUCUCUUUCCAUGUCAGCAUUCAUGGGGGUAAUAAUUCCACUUUAAAAUAGUUCAAGGGGGUCAUAGGACCCCCGCGAAGUAUAAGUGUGUAGUUGGGAUUUGGGGUAAAGGUUGGGGGAGGGCUUUUGACCAUUUUCUCAUACUAUAAUAAUAGUAGUGACAGUACAUAAUAGUAAUACUAAUAGUGAUGGUGAUAGUAACAAUAAUAAUAAUAAUAAAUAAAUAAAUAAAUAAAUAAUAAUAGGAGAAGGAGGUGUACAUAAUAGUGAUAAAAAUAAUUAAAUGAAAAAUAAAAAUGAUAAAUAAUAAAUAAAAAUGAUAAAUAUUAGGUGUAGUAGUAUGUAGUACUUUGUGAUAAUGAUAGAUAAUAAUAUUUAUUUAUAAUUUUUAUAAAUAGAAUCCCAUAAUAGAAGACUUCUAAAUGAUAUUAAAUAUUUGAAUUUGAAAAUUUAUUAUCCUUUUAGAAAGAAAAAAAAAAUUAACUUAAAAAUAGAAACUUAUGGUUAAAGAGUCAUAAACAAACUCUUACUAUUUCAUAAAUUUAUUUCUUUUAUAUACUAUAAAAUAUAUUUGAAUAAAUUUGAUUUACUAAUAAUAAAUAGUAGUACGCAGGAAUAAUUCUUACAAAAAAAUGUGUAGUAAUAGUAUUAGUGUGGUGAUAAUAAUCUCUCUCUAUAUAAAAACAAGAUUAAAAGAAAGAUAAGAAGUCACACUACAGAAGAAUAGAAAGUUAUGAGGCAGUUUUUAGGAUAAAGCUUGAUAGUAUUGUAAUAAAAUUUUUAAAUUAAAAAUGUUAAAAUUAUUGUUGUUAUUGUUGUUGUUGUUAUUAUUGUUGUUGUUGUUGUCGUUAUUGUCGUUGUUAUUAUUAUUGUUGUUGUUCUUGUUGUUGAUGGUGGUAGUGUUGUUAUUGUUGGUGUUGUUGUUAUUUUUGUUGUUGUUGGAGGUGGUGGUGUUAUGGUUGUUGGUGGUAGUGGUGGUGUUGAUGUUGGUGUUGGCGUUGUUAUUAUUGGUGUUGUGUUGUUGUUAUUGUUAUUGUUAUUAUUAUUUUUACUAUUGCUGCUGUUGUUGCUGCUGUUGUUAUUGUUGUUGUUAUUGUCAUUAUCAUCGUUGUUGUUAUUGUUAUUGUUGUUAUCGUUGUUGUCAUUAUUAUCAUUAUUGUCUUUAUUAUCAUUGUUAUUAUUGUUGUUGUUGUUAUUGUCAUUAUUGUCAUUGUUGGUGUUGUUGUUAUUGUUGUUGUUGUUGUUGUUAUUAGUAUGUUAGUGUUGUUGUUAUUAUUGUGUUGUUGUUAUUGUUGUCGUCAUUAUUAUUAUUGUUGUUGUUGUCAUUGUCAUUGUCGUCAUCGUUGUUAGUAUUAUAGUUGUUAUUGGUGUUGUUGUUGUUGUUAUUAUUUUUAUUGUUGUAUUGAUAUUGUUAUUAGUGUUGGCAUUAUUAGUGUUGGUGUUAUUAUUAUUGUUAUUAUUGGUGGUGGUGGUGAUGUUGGUGGUGUUGUUGUUGGUGUUAGUGUUGGUAUUGCUAUUGUUGUUGUUGUUGCUGCUGCUGUUGCUACUUUUAUUAUUAUUAUUAUUAUUGUUAUUGAUGUUAUUGUUGCUGUUGUUAUUAUUGUUAUUACUGUUGUUGUUGUUAUUAUUGCUAUUAUUGUUAUUAGUUUUAGUGUUGGUGUUAUUCGUGUUAUUAUUGGUGUUGUUGAUAUUGUUGGUAUUAUUAUUAGUGUUGGUGUUGGUGUUGGUGUUUGUGUUGGUGUUAUUGUUGUUGUUGGUGUUUUUUGUGUUGUUGUGUUGGUAUUGUUGUUGUUAUUAUAGUUAUGUUGUUGUUGUUGUGGUUAUUUUUGUCGUUGUUGUUGUUGUUAUUAUUGUCAUCAUUAUAGUCAUCGAGAUCUUCUUAUUGUUGUUGUUGUCAUCAUCGUCGUCGUUGUUGCUGCUGCUAUUGCUGUUGUUACUAUUAUUGUUGUUGUAAUCGUUGUUGUCAUCGUUAUUAUCAUUGUUAUCAUCGCCAUCACCGCCGCUGUCGUUGUUGUUGUCAUUAUUAUUGUGGCUGUUGUUGUUCUCGCCGUUAUUAUUACUAUUGUUGUUGUUGUUAUUAUUGUUAUUAUUAUUAUUAUUGUUGUUGUUAAUAUCUUUGUUGUUGUUGUCGUUGUUAUUGGUGGUGGUGGUGAUGGUGGUACAUGGUGUUGUUAUUGUUAUUGUUGUUGUUGUUGUUGUUGCUGUUGUUGUUAUUGUUAUUCCUGUUAUUGUUACUGUUGAUAUGGUUGUUGUUGUUGCUGAUAUAGCUGUUAUUAUUGUUGUUGUUGUUGUUGUCGCUGUUGUUGUUGUUGUUGUGGUUAUUGUUGUUGUUGUUGUUGUUGAUGUUGCUGAUGUUGCUUGUAAUGCCCCGAGUCUGUACCCCGAUCGCUACACGAUGCUUAUAACCUCGAAAGACCACAAGCUAACCCAUGACUGGUACCUGCUGCAAUAACUAAAUAGUAAUACUACAAAUAUGCAAAAAUUAGGCGGAAAACAUGCCAUAAGGUUCAAUAUUGAAAUAAAACUGAAUAUGGUAUGACAAUACCAAAACUAAAACAUCUAUCUAAAAAUACUCUAGUCUGAAAAGCCUCUAAACUGUCUGAAAUGUAGUGUUGAUGGAACAAGUCCCCAACUAACUCCGGCUACUGAAAUAAAACUGAAAUGCUUAAAUAAUAAUCAUGUCAUCGAACUAUGAGGACUCACCACUAACUCUGACUGUUGAAAAUAUGUAUCUGCUAGGGAUGAUCGGGAGCCCGUGCAUCUGAACCUAUGAUAUAAGACAUCAUAGCACAAGAGAAAAGUAUGCAUCAGUACUUUGAAUGUACUAGUAUGCUAAGUGAGGUAGGCUGAAAUGCGUGGGUUCAUAUGCAUAAACAAUACUUAAUGAAUGACAUGAAUAUAACUGAAUGUGAGUACAUGCAUGAAUAAGUAUACUGUAACUGAGAUCGUGAUAAUAAUGGAUACUGAGUCUGAAUAUUGAUUAAAUGGCAUCUGAGUAUACUGAUACUGAAUUACUGAUAACUGAAUGACUGUAUCUGACAGUCUUGAUUCUGUGGAACCAUACUGAGUUCCGUACUGAAUGGAGUGACUAUGUCUAACAGUCCUGAAUCUGUAGGACUAAACUGAGUUCUGUACUAAGACUGAAUCUGAAACUGAGACUGUAGGAGGUAAUUAUCUAACCGACAUGCCCCCUUCUAAAUAGAUUUGGGUUUAACUUGUAACCCCAAUUGGAAGGGUGCCAAUACCGUGCCACGGGUAAAGAAAAGCUGUGAGUUAACCCUCUCUGACAGGAAUCUCUUUCAUCAACCCUCGCUGGCAGGAAAACUCGAAUGAGAUGUAUCAACCCUCAUAAUAUCUGGCAGGAAAAUAUCUCAACCUACACUGGCUAUAUAGUUCUAUAACGCAGGAAUUUCUACUAAAGGUCAAACCCUCUUUGCUAGCAGGAAUUGCACCAUCCUUGGGUUAACUCGGUGCUGAAUCCUACUGCCAACUGAAUAGAUACUAAACUGAUUUCUAGUUCAUACUAGGCUUGACUGAACUGUUACUGAUUAUAAUGUCUAACUAAACUAGACUGAGUUUACUAAGUUCCGUUGACUGACGAAAUACUACUCAAUUCUGUUAACUGGCUGAAUUUUACUGAGGCCUAAACUGAAAACUGAACUGGACUAGACUAAUACUAAGUCUACCGAGUUUUUUCUGAGUUCUGUAACUGAGUGAGAGUACUACUGAUCGUGACAUGAAUGAUACUAUCCUGAAACUGACCAUGGCUCUAGGUGAUCAGCUAAACUGUCGGGUAUAAAAUGCCCCCAGGACUCGAUAGCAUAAAUUAUAAGACAUGCCACAAUCUUGAAACAUGAUAAAUAACUACUUGAUCAUCAUUCAUUCAUUGGGACAUUCUAGCAAACACUCGCAUGACAUGAACUUGAAUAUAUAUUAUCAUGAUAUAAUUUUAUUAUUUAAUUCUCAUGAACAAUUCAUCAAACACUUGGAAGACAUUGUAUAUGCACAUAAUACAAAUCAACACAUGAGCAUCACAAUUUCAAGGCUUUAACAUGAAUUCAUAUGAUACUACAUACAUGUAGUUGUUUUUACAUAAUUCUUGCACUUAAUGGAAUAGAAAUCCAAUCAAUAUUAUAAUCAUGAAUACACUUGAAUCCAGUAUAAAAUCAAGCUACAUGAAGUUUAAAAGAUUUUUUUGGACUCCAAGAGUGGAAGGAACCUUUGGAUGAACACUUGACAUACCUUGGUUUCUAAAUUUUUGAAGAUUAAUGGUGGAAUCUUGAGCCUUGAAUUUGAAAUUGAAUCACCUAGGGUUCUUGAGAAAUUUAAGAGAAAGUAAGUAUAUUUUGCUUAAUAAAAGCUGAAUCUCGUGUUUUAGGGUUAAAUAGGGGUGGGGAAAAGACCCUAAUACCUCUGAAGAUGCGGUUUUUUAAUGAUUGAAAACCAAACUGUCGAGGCACAGGACGACACACCACGUCGUUGGCAUCAAUGCGAUAGCUAAUGUGCCAUGUCAAGUCCACAUCAGUUCACUGGAAUUGCCACUGGGAGCCAAGAAAAAAUAUUGAUCGACGCAAUGACCGGCACGCCGCACCGAGAUCACGUCGAUGAACUAUUUUGGAUUCCCACAAGUAGUUCAAACGAGGUCCAAAAAAUACGAAACUCAUUCGGGAACACCUACUGACAUUCCUGAUCAUGCAUUAACCUAAAGCUUGACAUUUUAGGGUCAUACGAGUCAUGAAAUAGAGUUGCCAACUUACGAAGGCUAAAAUAAUACUAAUUUUAAAUAUUAGCUAAAAUUACUUAGCUAGAAUUUUCUAAGUCUAGGACCCCUUAGCAAGCUUAAAAGACUGAGUUGAGCUUAGAAUUUUGCAGGAUCUUACAAUAUAUUCCCCUUGGGAAUAUUCAUCCUCAAAUGAAACUGAUUAAACUAAGAAUACUAAUUGACUGGAUUUAGACACUAGACAUGCACAACUGAAGCAUGAUUCAUGACUGAAAUUACUUAUAUACUGAAUUAUCAUACUGAACAUGCAUAUCUGAUGCAUGAGUACUGAUAAGCUGGGCAUAUAUACUAGACAUGCAUGUCUGAUGCAUAAGUACAUGACUGAACUGAUUCGUGAAUGCAUGACUGAGUAUGUAACGUUAAUUGAUACAAAGUUGGUAGCUAUAUCUGAACAUGAGAUAGAGUAAAUUCAAAGGAAAACUGUUACCUUGGGAUGAAUAUGAGUUUACGGAGAAGAGGUGAGGAUACUUGGUCUGCAUAUCUACUUCUGCUUCCCAAAUAGCUCUCUUAAUGAAUUAAUUCCGCCACAGAACUUUGACUAGAGAGACUUUUUCCUUCCCCAGUCUGUAAAUCUGAUAAUCAAGAAUUUCGACUAGGAUCUCUUCAUAAGAGAGGUUGUUCUGAAUGUCUAUGCCCUCUAUAGGGACUAUGACUGUUGGGUCACCUAUGCAUUUGUUAAGGAAGGAGACAUGGAACACUGGAUGCACUGAAGCUAAGUCGGAAGGCAACUCAAGCUCGUAAGCUACCUUUCCAAAAUGACUGAGAAUUUAGUAAGUACCAACAUAUCAGGGACUGAGUUUCCCCUUCUUGCCAAACCUCUUCACUCCUUUCAUAGGAGAGAUUUUUAAAUACACAAAGUCACCAAUCUCAAACUCGAGAUUCUUUCUGCGUAUUUCUGCGUAUGAUUUCUAUCAGCUCUGAGCUAUCUUAAUCCUUUCCCUGAUCAACUGAACUUUCUCUAAGGUAUAAAAUACCAAGUCAGGCCCUACCACUAUUCCUCACCCACUUCAAACCUACCAAUGGGAGAUCUACACCUCUUCUUAUAAAGUGCCUCAAACGGAGUUAUCUGAAUGCUGGAAUAAUAACUGCUAUUAUAUGCGAAUUCAAUCAAAGAAAAGUAGUCAUACCAACUACCUUUAAAGUCUAUCGGACAUGCUCGCAGUAUAUCUUCUAAAGUUUGAAUGGUCCUUUUUUCUUGACCAUCUGUCUGAGGAUAAAAGGAUAUACUGAGGUGAACUCGAGUACCAAGACCCUUUUGGAAUGCUUUCCAAAAAUGAGAGGUGAACUGGGUACCUCUAUCUGUGAUAAUGGACAACGGAACAUCAUGUAAUCUAACCAACUCCAACCACCUUCUCUGACAAAGGUUUAAAUUUUUCUGAGAGAACAUAUACUAUAGGAUCUUAUGGUUAGUGAACACAUCAAUGUGCACCCCAUACAAAUAGUGCCUCUAAAUCUUUAAGGAAAAAACUACUGCUGCUAAUUCAAGACCAUGAGUAGGAUAGUUCUUUUUAUGGGGCUUAAGCUGUCUAGAGGCGUAGGCUAUGACCUUACCUCUCUGCAUCAAAACAUGCCUCAAACCAACUUUGGAGGCAUCACAAUAUACCACAAACCUAUCCGAACCAUCUGGUAGGGUCAAAACUGGAGUUGUAGUGAGUCGAGUCUUCAACUCCUAAAAACUCUUCUUAUAAGAAUCUGAUCUCUGGAAUUUGACUUUGUUCUAAGUCAAUCUGGACAUAGGGGAUACAAUAUAUGAAAAUACCUCAACAAACCAUCGGUAAUAGCAAUCCAAGCCCAAGAAACUCCUGAUAUCUGAUGGAGACAUGGGUCUAGGCUAGUUUCUCACUGCUUCGGUCUUUUGGGGAUCAACUUUAAUGCCAUCACCGAAAAUGAUAUGGCUAAGGAAGGCUACUGACCUUAGCCAAAAUUCGCACUUACUGAAUUUGGUGAAUAGCUGAUGGUUUCUAAGAGUCUGUAAUACUAUUCUGAAGUGGUUUGUAUGAUCAUGCUCACUGCGGGAAUAGAAAAAAAUGUCAUCUAUGAAGACUAUGAUGAACAUGUCCAAGUACUACUUGAAAACACGGCUCAUAAAGUCCAUGAAGGUUGUAGGGGCAUUGGUAAGACCAAAAGACAUAAUUAAGAAUUCGAAGUGACCAUAUUGAGUUUUGAAGCCUAUUUUUAGGAUGUCACAUUCUCUGACUCUGAGCUGAUGAUAGCCUGAUCUGAGGUCUAUCUUUGAGACAUAUCUGGAACCCUAAAGUUGGUCAAACAAGUCAUCGAUUUUGGAAAGUGGAUACUUGUUAUUGACCGUGACUUUCUUUAGAUGACGGUAAUCAAUACACAUUCUGAGAGAACUGUCUUUCUUAUGCACGAAUAAAAUUGGGGCAUCCCACGGGGACAUACUAGGUUUGAUAAAUCCCUUAUAUAGGAGAUUUUUUAACUAUUUUUUUAAUUCUCUGAGUUCUGUAGGUGCCAUUUUAUAUGGCGGAAUAGAUAUGGGAUGAGUGUCUGGAAGAAGGUCUAUUCUAAAGUCGAUUUCCCUUUCGGGAGGAACUCCGGGAAGAUCUUUAGGAAACAUAUAUUGGAAUUCACAUGCUACUGACACUAAUUCAAGAGUAGGGGUUUCUGAAUUAGAGUCCUAGACUUGAACGAGAUGGUAGACACAUCCCUUAGAUAUCAUUUUUCUCACUCAAAGGUAAGAAAUAAACUGACCCCUAAGUGUUGAAGUACUACCCUCCACUCAAGGACAGGUUCAUUCAAAAACUGAAACUGGACAAUUCUAUUUUUACAAUCGACUGAGGCAUAGUAGGAAUGAAGCCAAUCAAUGCCGAGAAUGACAUCAAAGUAAGUCAUCUCUAAUUUGACUAAGUCUGCUGAAGUGACUUUCUAAGAUACCAUAAUCGAACAGUUCCUGUAUACCUGUCGGGCUAUGAUAUAUUUACCCACUGUGGUAGAUACUGAGAAAGGCUCUGCAAGGAUUUUGGGAAUUACUCCGAAGUCAAUAGUUAUAUAAGGAGUAACAAAGGACAAAGAAGCUCCUGGGUCUACCAGAGCAUAAACAUGUAAAUGAUAAACUUGUAACAUACCAUUGACCACAUUAGGAGAACUUUCUUGAUCCUAUCGGAACUGAAGAGCAUAGACUCUGUUUGGGCGCUGCCCAUUGUGGCAUGGGAUGCAGUACCCUACUGAUUCGGACGACCGGACUGAGCUGGAGAGAAAUUAUGCUGACUCUGAGAACCCACCUAAGGACACUUUCUGACCUUGUGGCCUAGCUUUCCAUAUCCAAAACACACAUCACUUCCAGCUCUGCAGAUACUCUGGUGGUUUCUGCCAUACUUCUGACAAAGGGUAUUGGUUUGGCCAUACUAAUACUACCCUAGGGUUUAGGGCCUAACACCCUAUCUUUGUUGUCGUCUCUGAAUUUCAGCACAAGAGAACUGGAUGAGGACGGAGCUACAACUGAGGAUUUUAGGAUAAACUAAAAACGAUUCCCACCUUUUGAAUUAGGCUGAGCAAAGUUAAAACUACCUAUUCUCACUCUCUUGUUCUCCCUCUCCUUCUUUCUAUUCUUAGCCUCUUCUAUCUGCUGAGCAUGGACCAUAAGCCUGGAUAUGUCUAUCUUCUUAAUCAACAUUGUGGUCCUACAUUCCUUAACCACACUAUUAGAUACGCUAAAGACAAACUUAUUCAUCUUAGAUUUGCUAUCUGCUACCACAUGAGGAGCAUAUCUAGCUAAUUGAGUAAACUUAAGAGAAUACUCUUAUACCAUUAUGCUGCCCUACUUCAUAUUUAUAAACUCCAAAACCUUUGCUUCUCUCAACUCUAGUGGGAAGAAGCUAUCCAGAAAAGCAAUAGCAAAAUCCUCCUAUUCUAUGGACCCUAUAUCUGUGGCCCUUUCUGCUUUCCACUAUUUAAACCAUGAGUGUGCCACAUCCUGUAAUUGAUAUGCAGUUAACUUGGCACUCUCACUAGCUAUCACCUCUAUAAUAUCUGUAACUUUCUGCACGUGAUCAAGAAACUCCUGAGGGUCCUCAUCUGACUUAGAUCAGUAAAAGAUGGAGGGUUUAUUCGGGUGAAAUCCUGAAUUCUGGCAGCAGCAGUAUUGGCCACUAGGUUGUCCAGAAAAGCAGCUGGGCAUUCAUUCUAGGCAGCCAUAGAAUGAGCUAGGGUGGUGAAAGAUGCUCAAAACUCAGCAUGAGAGACAUGUUCAUCAAGAGGAUAUGGCUGGACGGGCUGGGGUUUGGAUGGUCUCCCAUUUCUCUUUCCUUAGUCCUCUUUGGAGGCAUAUUCUAUAAACAAAAGAGAAAUUUGGAUUAGACAGGGAGUUUAAUUGGAGAUCAUGCUCACUCGCACGACAAGAAUACUGAAAAAAGGAAAACUUUUCCUAAAACACCUCACAACCUCCUGUCCAUAAGUAUGGCACACUACACACCCAUGAACAAGAUUCUACUAGAUGCGGCUUUUAGACUUCAUAGGAUUUUGUUGAACCUUAGGCUUUGAUACCAAGUUUGUAAUGCCCCGAGUCUGUACCCGGAUGCUACACAGUACUCAUAAUCCCAAAGGACCACAAGGUAACCCAUGACUGGUACCUGCUACAAUAACUGAAUAGUAAUACUACAAAUAUGCAAUAAUUAGGCAGAAAACAUGCCAUAAGGUUUAAUACUAAAAUAAAAUUGAAUAUGGUAUAACAAUACCAAAACUGAAACAUCUAUCUAAAAAAACUCUAGUUUAAAAAUCCUCUAAACUGUCUAAAAUAUAGAGUUGAUGGGACAAGUCCCCAACUAACUCUAACUACUAAAAUAAAAUUGAAAUGCUAAAAUAAUAAUCAUGUCCUCAAACUAUGAGGAAUCACCACUAACUUUGACUGCUGAAAAUCUAUAUCUGCUAGGGAUGAUCGGGAGCUUGUUUGUCUGAACAAUUGAUAUAAGACAUCAUAGUGCAAGAGAAAAGUAUGCGUAGUACUUUGAACGUACUGGUAUGCUAAGUAAGGUAGGCUGAAAUGCAUAGGUUCAUAUGCAUGAACAAUACUGAUUGAAUAACAUAAAUAUAACUGAAUGGGAGUACACGCAUAAAUACAUAUACUGUAACUGAGAUCGUAAUAACAAUGAAGAUUGAGUUUGAAUACUGAUUAGUUGACAUCUGAAUAUAAUGAUACUGACGUACUGAUAACUGAAUGACUGUAUCUAAUAGACUUGAUUUUGUGGAACCAUACUGAGUUCCAUACUGAAUAUAGAGACUGUGUCUGAUAGUCCUAAUUCUAUAGAAACUGAACUGAGUUCUGUACUGAGAUUGAAUAUGAAACUGAGACUGGGGAAGGUAAUCAUCUAACCAACACGCCCCUUUCUAAAUAAAUUAGGGUCAAACCUGUAACCCCAAUUGGAAGGGUACCAAUACUGUGCUACGGGUAAAGAAAGCUGUGAGUUAACCCUCCCUGAAAGUUAGCUCUUUUUUCAACUAUCAUUGGCAGGAAAAAUUGAACAAGAUAUCAACCCUCAUAAUAUCUGGCAGAAAGAUAUCUCAACCUACGUUACCUACAUAGUUCUGUAACAUAGGGAUUGCUACUAAGGGUCAAACUCUUUUUAUUGGCAGGGAUGCCCCCAUCUCUGGGUUAAAUUGGUGCUGAAUCCUACUCCCAACUGAAUAGACACUGAACUAAUUUUUAGUUCAAACUAGGCUUGACUGAACUGUUACUGAUUAUACUGUCUAACUGAACUGGACUGAAUUUACUAAGUUUUGUUUACGGAUGGAAUACUAUUGAAUUCUAUUAACUGGUUAAAUUUACUGAGGUCAAACUGAAUACUAAACUGGGCUGGACUGAUACUGAGUCUAUUGAGUUUUUCUUGAAUUCUAUAAUUGACUUAGAGUACUAAUGAUCGUGACAUGACUGAUACUAUCCUGAUAUUGACCUUGGCUCUAGGUAAUCAGCUAAAUUAUCAGGUAUAAAAUACCCUUAGGACUCGAUAGCAUAAAUUAUAAGACAUGGCACAAUCUUGAAACAUGAUAAAUAACUACUUGAUCAUCAUUCAUUCAUUGGGACAUUCUAGCAAACACUUGCAUGACAUGAACUUGAAUAUAUGCUAUCAUGAUAUAAUUUUAUUAUUUAAUUCUCAUAAACAACUCAUCAAAUACUUGGAAGGCAUUGUAUAUACAUAUAAUACAAAUAAAUACAUGAGCAUCAUAACUUCAAGGCUUUAACAUGAAUUCACAUAAUACUACAUACAUGAUAGUUGUUUUUACAGUAAUCUUGCACUUAAUCAUGGAAUAGAAAUCCAAUCAACAUUAUAAUUAUGGAUACACUUGAAUCUAAACCAUAGAAAGCAUGAAAUCAAGCUACUUGAAGUUUAAAAGAGUUUCUUGGACUCCAAUGGUGGAAGUAACCCUUGGAUGAACACUUGAUAUACCUUGGUUGCUAAAUUCUUGAAGAUUAAUAGUGGAAUCUUGAGCCUUGAAUUUGAAAUUAAAUCACCUAGGGUUCUUGUUCUUGAGUAAUUUGACAGAAAGUAAGUAUAUUUUGCUCAAUGAAGAUUGAAUCUCGUGUUUUAGGGAUGAAUAAGGGUGGGAAAAAGACCCUAAUACCACCGAGGAUGCGGUUUUUUAAUGAUUGAAAAUUAAAUUGUCGACACGCAGCAUGACGCACUGCGUCGUUUGGAUUGACGCGAUAGCAACACACCGUGUUGAGUCCACGUCAGUUCACUAAAAUUACCAUUGAAAUCUAAGAAAAAAUAUUGAUCGACGCGAUGGCCGAUGCAUCACACUAAGAUCAUGUAGAUGCACUAUUUUGGAUUCCCAAACGUAGUUCAAAUGAGCUUUAAAAAGUAUGAAACUCAUCUGGGAACACCUACUGUCAUUUUUUAUCAUGAAUUAACCUAAAGAUUGAUAUUUUAAGGUCAUAAGAGUCAUGAAAAAGAGUUUCCAACUUACGAAGGCUAAAAUAAUACUAAGUCUGAAUACUUAGCUAGAAUUUUCUAAGUCUGGAACCCCUUAGCAAGUUUAAAAGACUGAGUUGAGCUUAGAAUUUUGUGGGGUCUUACAUUAUUAUUGUUGCUGUUAUUGUUGUUGUUAUUGUUAUUGUUGAUGUUGUUGUUGUUGCUGAUGUUGUUGUUGCUGUUGUUGCUGUUGUUGCUGCUCUUAUUGUUGUUAGUGCUGAUUUUGUUGCUGUUGUUAUUAUUGUUGUUAUUGCUGUUGUUGCUGUUGUUAUUGAUGUUGUUAUUAUUGUUGUUGUUGUUGCUACUGCUAUUGUUGUUAUUAUUGUUGCUGUUGUUAUUGUUAUUGCUCUUUUUGUUAUUGUUAUUGUUGUUGUUACUAUUGCUGUUGCUGUUAUUAUUAUUGUUACUAGUAUUGCUAUUAUUGUUACUGUUGUUGUUGCUAUUGUUGUUGUUGUUGAUGUUGUUGAUGUUGUUAUUGUUGUUGUAUCAUCACUACUACUCCUAUAUUUUCUUUUUUAAAUUAAAAGUACUACAACUUGUGUACUACUGCUUGUAUUAAUUUUAUUAUUUUAAUUAUAUUUUUUUCUAAUGUAUAAAUAAAUUAUAUUUAAAUAUAUUUUAUAGUAGCAUUUAAAUUUUAAAUGAGAUAAGCUUGAAAUAUUAAAUGUCUAUUAGAAUUCUUUAAUUAUGGUUUCUAUUUUUCAGAUAAUGAAAGCAUUUUUUUACGGGAUAAUGUAAUUCAAAUUCGAAGAGUUAAUUUUUCAAUUUAAAUUCUUUUCUUCCUUUUAGUUUUCCUUUUAUAUAUGUAUACAUUUAUUCACCUUUCACUGCCACCACCUCAUUAUCUCUCUUCAACUCUUUUCUUAUCUCUCUUGAUCAGCAUUCUUCUUUGCGUAAUCUAAGUGGGAUUUUGGUUCUAGAGACUUUUCUUUAAUCCUUUUUAAUUGUUCUUGCUCAAACAUUCUUUUUCUUCUCUUUUGUUUCUUAACCAUGGCUUUGAUUUUGGUGAUCAUGAUAAGUCUGGAGGCUCAAUGCGGAAAAGUUCUUAUGUGUUAAAUCGUCAUUUAUUUAUAAAAAAAGCUACUAAACCUCAAUGUUAUUUUACUUCAAAUUUGUAAUGAUUGAUAUACUUGAUAAUUUUUAUUUGUCUUCUCUCUUAUUUUUUGUUUUAUGCAUUUUUUUCUUUUGUUGGACUAUUUUCAGUCAUGUUUCUCUAUUUAUUUGUUUGUGUUUUCUCAGACUUGAUCUAGUCAUUGCCAAUUUCAUGUAUGUAAGAGGUUUUCAUCAAAUAAGAGAGACAUUUUUUCGUGAAAAUUCUGAUGGUGAGUCUUUUCAAUGAAUUUCAUUCUCUUAAUCAUAUUUUAAAAAGCUGAUCAUUUAAUGGAUUAAGAUAUGUGUUUUAGUAAUGAUUUUGUUUUUAUCUGAGAGGGUUGUAAAAUUCUUAUACAUAAUAUGUUUGAUAUUCUUACAUAUGAUCAUAUGGUUCAUUGUUGAUCACGUUGUUCUUGAAAAUUUUGUUUGCAAGUUGUGUUCAUUCUCUUUGAUUGAUGAAGUAUAUUAUAGUUACCAAAUGUUAGAUUUUAUAUAUACGGUGUUACUAUCUUUUACUAUUGUAAAGUUAUGUUUGAUGGAGUUGAAGUUAUGUGAUAUCAAGCUCAGAGUAAUAAUUUCUUACCAUGUUUAAAUGAUAUGAAAUAGUUGUAAAUUAAAUACUUUCUUAAAUUUUCAGGCAACGUUUACUGUGGAAGAUGUUGCAUCCAACAAUGUUUAUGCAAAUCAAACAUCAUUUUCUGAACCUACGGGACUAAAUAUAUCUAAUGUAAUGCCCAUGAUACUUUCACCUCAGUUGAUGGCAUCCUCUCUUAUAAUGGAGUCCAGUGGUCCUGAUGAUACAAAUGUCAGACAUUCUGAUUUGAUAUCAAAGAGACAUGCCAGUUUAACACAUCUUGAGAUGAAUGAGAUGGAUGACAUGCUUCCAUUUGCAAAUAACAAUGGGUAUAAUAAAUUAUGUUUAUUUCUAAAUUGAUCAUAUUUUCUACAUUUUAAUUUAUUUCGCGAUGCCUUCUUAGUCAGUUUGAUGAGGAUAAAGAUUGAGAUCAUGGCUUGAUAUGGAUUUUGUUCUCCUAAAUUUGAGGCCAUAUUCUUAAGCUGCUAAGAAAAUAAAAUAAAUUUGAUCAAAAUUACGUUCUUAUUCUGCUUGUGUAUUACUAUUUUAAGACUUUAUGAUACAUGAAAUGUUCUUUCAUGUAGUAACUAGCAGUGUUUUAAAAUACAGUCACGAGACUCGCCUCACGGUGAGGCAUAGUCAAAAAGGUCUCAAGGCAUUAUGGAGAGACGAAACUACUGAAAGGCGAGCGCCCCAAAAUUUGAGCCAUUUGUCUUAGCAUAAGGGCGUUCGCCUAAGCCUCAAACAUAAAUUACGCGUAAGUCUAGAAAAGUUUACAAAGUAAAAUACUUUUUUCCUAUUAAAUAUCUAAUUUAAAUUUAAUAUGAAAAUAUAUAAUUGGUAAAUACUUAAAUACUCAUAUCAAAGUCAAAGAAAACUUAAAAGUCACACUUUCAAAUAUACUGCGGUGGUUGUUCAAAACGCCGCUAUCCAAGAAGGUAUUGAGUCUACUUUCUUCUUCCUAAUUUAUUUCUUUUCUUUUAGUUCUUUUCAAGUCUCUCAUAGUGGCGAGCUUUUAAGUUGUUUACUUUUUUAUCUCUAUUUUAAAGUAUAGUAUAUGGUAACUGGGUGCAUAAAUAUAUUGAAGAAGUAACGAAAAGGUGGGAGUUGAUUAAUUAUAUCACUAUUUUCUUAUAUAAACUUGUGCUUUUGAGGACAUAUUAUAGUUUAGUUGUAUCAAGUGGCUUUUGUUAUUUUUUUUUUGCUGAAGUAGUUUUACAUACAUAUUUCACUUAUUUUCUUAUAAUUUUGAUGUAAUUUUACUUUUUGGGUGAUUUAUCUCUUUUAAUAAAUAUUUAUUUUUAAUUAUAUUAAUUUAUAAACAUUAAAAAUUAAAGGAUCUGUGGGGCUUACGUCUCAUCACCUCGGGGCUUACGCCUCACAUCGUACCAGGUAUAAUGCCCCUGCCUUUAAAAACACUGAUAUGUACAACCAACUACUUGACCAGUAAUAUAAGAUAAUCAAUCAUGUUUUGUAUAUGAAAUCAUUCCUUUGGUUGUUGAGUUUGCGUAAAAAAGUCUUCUAAUUUUGUAUGGUGUGUUCAUGUCCUUCAGUUAUCAAAUGUCAAUUGUUCCUCAGAGUGUAANNNNNNNNNNNNNNNNNNNNUACAAAUUUACAAGGUUUUCAAUAAAACCUUAUUAAUGUUUAAUUGAUAUAAAAUAAUUUCAAACUAAAUACUUAAUUUCUAAUUUUCAGGUAACAUCUAUCGUGGAAGACGUUGUGGCUAAAAAUGUUCAUAUCUAAUGUGAUGCUCAUGAUGCAUUCGCCUCAUUUGAUGGCAUCUUCUCCUAUUAUGUGUUAGGAUUUUUAUGAUUUACAUUUUCUUGUAAGAAAAAUAAAAGUAAUCAUAAAUAUUUUUACUUCUUCUAGAAGAAAAAUAUAAUUUUUUUCAUAUUUGGAAAACCUCUUUCUUGGAGGAAAGGUUUUGGACAUCUAUAAAUAGAAGACUCCCUUCUUAUACCAUAACACAAUAGCAUCCAUAAUUAUUCUUUAAAGAGUCUCGUUUAUGAGGAGAUUUUCUCCCAAUAGUCUUAUAUUACUUUAAAAUUAGUUUCUUGUGUAGGCCAGUUGGCCAAAUUUUAUUCAAUAAUAUAUUUUUAGUAUAUUUUUAUUUGUCAUCUGAAUUAUCACAUGAUUUGCAAACUUUAAGCUUCUACAUGUCACCCUCUUGACGAAUCCAAUAAGUGGUAUCAGAGUUUAUGGUUUAAAGAUCCGAUGGUUUAGAUUGAAGACAUGUUAAGAUUUAAGUUGCAACCAACUUGGCGAUGAUGAAUAUUUUCUUGUAAAAAAAAACUACAUGUGGAUAUAAUGGUCAAUCAUAUUUUCAACAAUCCUGCUGUUACAUAUUUGAAAAUAAAACUCAGUUUUAACUCUACAAAGAGCUCCAAUAUUUUUAACCCGAAAAGGGAUCAUAUACUUCCAACCCAAAAGUUCCAUUUUUAAGCAUGCCAAGCAGCAGUGAUGAAGACUAUUUGAAGAACAAGGAUCAAAGAUGUGAAGAAGGUUGAUCAAGUGAACAAAAUCAAGCCAAAAAGGGGAGAAUUGCUAGGUUUUUUGUCUCGAUUUUCUUACCAAAAGUAAGUUUUAUUUUUUUUUGUUAGAAAAAUAAAAGUCCCUUCUCAUACCAUAACACAAUAGUAUCCACAAUAUAGUCUUUAAAGAAUCUCAUUUAGGGGGAGAUUUUCUCCCAAUUAUUUUUAUAUUUCUUUAAUAUUAAUUUCUUAUGUAGGCAGUUGACCAAAUUAAAUUCAAUAGUAUAUUUUUAUUGGUCAUCUGAAUUAUCACAUGAUUUGCAAACUUUAAACUUUCGCAUGUCGUCCUCUUGAUUUCGAACUCAACAUGAUGGAGUCCAGAGGUUCUAAUAGUUCGGAUUCUAGGACUUUAGAUUUGAUGUCUAGAGACCAUCCUAAAUAGAUGUCAGAGUUACUGCCUCUUGAAAUGGAUGACAUACUUCUAUUUUCAAUCAAUCUGGGUAUUACAUAUUAUGUUUAUUGCUAAAUUGAUUAUUUUUUCCACAUUUUGAUUUAAUUUACGAUGCGUGUUUGUCACUUUAACGAGGAUAAAGAUUGAGAUGUUGACUUGAUGUGGAUUUUGUUAUCCCAAGUCUGGUGCCAUUGUCUUAAGUUUCUAAGUAAAUAAAAUAAAAUUGUCCAAAAUUGCGUUUUUAUUCUGCAUAUGUAUGUCUAUUCAGGAAUAUUCUUUAGUGUUGUAACUAAAACCAACUACUUGGCCAAUAAUUUGAGAUAAUCCAAAUAUGUUUUGUAUAUGAAAUCAUUCUUUUAGUUGUUGAGUUUGCGCAAUUUAAUCUUCUAAUUUUGUUUGUUGUAUAUUCAUGUCCUUCAGCUAUCAAAUGUCAAUAAUUCUCCAGAGUGUAACUUAAGAGUAUGUUCAUAUUUCCCUUCACAUUUCAAGCUUUUCAAUAAAUACUUAGCUGAAAAUAAGCUACAAGGUUUUCUUCUUUCUAGGAUGAUAGACAUGACAUAGGCUUGGGAGGACCUACACUAAUGGAAACAAAUAUGCAUGCCCCUGCAAAUGCUUUACCUAUUUUAACAAAACUUUUAUACACAGGUUUGUUUCUAUUUUAGCUUUAAAUAUUUGCAUUUAUUUUCUAUAAUUUUUUAUCUUUUACAUCGAUAACAUUGGUUAUUUGAAUAUUAAGAUAAUAUGCAAAUGCUUAAAACAAUGAGACGAUAUUGGGAAAAUAAAUAUUUCUACCCCAGAUAAUAUCCACAUAAAAUAGCAAUAACAAGAGAGUAACAACGACAUCAAAUAUUAUAACGGGGUAUUACUCCCAUACUAUUUUCUCACAGACUAAAGAAUAUCUGUGGAUUACUCUCCUUUGCUCUCUAUUGCUCUCUUUGUUUUAGUGUAUCUCAAAAUGAAAGUGAAUCCAUCUAUUUAUAGAUGAAUGUCCAAGCUUUAAACAAUCAAAACACAUGUUAUAAAACCAUGUCACAACACCAAUUUCCAACUUGAUCAUGUUGCAACACCAACUUCCAAAUUCAUGUCAUCACAUUAGGCAUGUUUCAAUGCUAACUUUUUUUAUUUAAUUAUUUUUAAUCCCACAAAUCUCUUCCUUAAUUUUGAUUUUUCUUGUUCUUCAAUUCAAGCCUUGAUCUCAAUCUUUGAAAGUCUUCAAACUUAAGAGGCUUUAUGAAAAUAUUUGCAACUUGAUCAUAGGAUUUUACGUACUUGAUACGACAAAAAACCUGUGUUUAGCGAUGAAAUUUACCGUCAGAUCAUUUUUCGUCACUAUAUAGUGACGGAUUAGCAACAGAACAAUCAAUUUGAUUGCAUGCAAAACAAUUCAAUUUUUAUGUGCUAUUAGCAACGAAUCAGUGAUGGAAUUACGAUUCCGUCGCAAAAUAAUAGCGGAAAAAAUUGACACCUAAAUUUAGUGGCAGAUUAUCAACAAAAUAUUGGUCACUAUGUUAAUUAUUUCAUAGAAACGAAUUUAGCAACAAAAUAUUCGUCGACACACUUUGGAUUUUUUUAUUGAAAAAAUUAUUUUAUUUAGUGGCCAACUUUCCCGUCGUAAAAUAUUCAUUUUACUUUUUUAAUUAAUAACAAAGUAUAGGAUAGGGGAGCUUCUAGGGUCUUAAUUCAUUUUAGACCUCCCCCCCCCCCUACCUCUUUCUACUCUUUCUCUCUUAAGAAUCAUGUUCAUGAUUUUAAGGCCCUUUUGCUCGAUUUGAACGAGUUUUUGUACGAAUUAAAGGUAUUUCUUCAUGUAUUGAAGGUCAAGCAUACACUGGUUUGCCGAUUUGAAGCAUUCAAAGGUAUUUGCUUCCACUGUACACUCUCUAUCUGAAUUGAAAUUUGUGUUUUCUUUAAUUUUUUGAGUCAAUUUUAAAUUAUUGUUCACUCUCUAUUCGAAUUGAAACGUGAAUUAGUUUUAUCUUAUCAAUUUCUUUGAGAAACAGUUUGGUUUUGGAUGUUUGUCCAUGAUUUUACUUUACAAUGGAUGAAUCUUGUGAUUUUACUUUACUUUACUCGAUUUUGGAUGCAUGCAACCAGUUGGGGUUAGGGUUCAUGAAAGCAUUUGGAGCUAGGAUAGUUGACUGUUAGGGUUCAGAGAAUUUCAAAAUUUUAAUGGCUCCUAUGGUAAGUAUGAGCAAGUAUCACAAUUUUGUAUUUUCGCCAAGCACAAAACUCUAACAAGUCUUGGAAGACUGAACUCAGGUAUAUGGCAAAAAAAUAAGAUUGUCUCAUGUGGCUAGGGGUGACAGUUCAACUAGAUUAGAUGUGGUUUGUUUUCUUAUAAAAUCUUUCCAGCAGAGCGUAUCUUGUCGAUAGCUUAUGUUAGAGCUCUCAGUAGGCUGGGUGAUCAAAUUUCAUCUUACUAAUCCUGGAGCAGAUUAUAUAAACAUACUUUUUAGGUUCUUAGCUAUUGCCUACUGCUUCUUGUUCUUAUAUUAUGUAUUUAUCUAGAUUAUUUUUAUCUUGAGUCGGGUGUCUAUCAGUGUAAUAACUCACAUUUUGGACUAGGAUAAAAUCCAUAAUUUCUAUGCAUAGACGUUUCAAAAGCCUUAAAUCCUAUGUUAAUUUAGUGUGUUCAUCAAUUUUGUAGUGUGGGAAUCUAUUUUAGCAUGAAUUUAGAUCAUAGAGGUCCCCUAAAUUAAGUACAAGUUGAAAGCUUUCCUAUCGUUCAAGUUUUAGUGAGCGUCAAAACUUGGGUCAACUUCAAUCGACCAUAACUCGUUACAUAUGAUGAACUGAGUGGAUUACUAUAUAUCAAAUGAAAGUUGUUUGAAUUAUCUCUCCAACUAUACUAAUUUAGCCUAAAUACAAUAUUUUAGAAAAGAGUUAUACCCAUUUUACUCCAGCAUGUCUGGCUGGGAAACUGGUGAUGACAAUUGUGACAAGCCGUUACGCCCGUGAUGGCCUAUCAGCAAUGUCGUCAGACCUGGACAUAUUUCUGACCUUAGUGACGACAUUUUAUGACAAGCCAUCACGCUCGUGAUGGCCUAUCACCAAUGUGUCAACCUUAAUCAGAAACUCAAAAUUUCACCCUUUUGUGACAAUAAUUCAUAACGGCCUAUCACCAACUUGAUGGCUUGUCACGAAUGUCGACAGCUAUUUUUUCCAGCAAUUAAGGGACAUUUUAUUAGGGGUAUUUUGGUUUUUUUUCUUUACUUCCCUCAGCUUAUAACCCUCAAGGAGUAUCUUUAGUUAAAUAUCUCAAAAAGCUCUCUUAUACACUCUCAACCACAAGAUUAGGGUUUCCUCUCAAGAUCAAAACUCUCAAGAAUAAGCCCAAGGGUUUUCAUAGAAGAGUCUAUUUCAAGGAAAUUUCCUCGUCAAUCUUCACGAAUUCUUAAUCUAAGGUAUGUGUAGUGUUCAUCCAUGGGUCCCUUUCAUCCAUAGAGCUCAAGAACCAUGUUUUAAAUUAUAAAUUAUGAUUUCCUUGUUGUGUUAUGACUAUAUUCAUAUUGAUGAUUGUUGUUUGGAUUCAAGGUUGUAUCUUGAUGUGUUUUUCAUGAAGCAUGUGAAUAGGUUAGUUGAAACCCAUGAAUUUUAGAUGGAUUAAGAUUGUCAAAUUGAUAAGCACACCUAUGCCUUAAAUAGUGCAUGUAAGGUGUUUGAUAAAAUGCUUAGGAUGCUAGAAAUUCAUGUUUACAUUGUUCCAUGAUAUCUAAAUGACAAGUCCAUGUUAGCUAUAUACUUUAAUAUGAAUUCCAUGCUAUUGAUGUAUUGCUAUUGUUGUGGUAUGAAGCAUGUAUGAUAAUGGAGAUAUACAAUAUGUACAUGAAAUAUAUCCAUGCACUCCCUACUAUGCUUAAGAUGUUGAAGAACUACAUGAAGUAUAAUAUCCCCUACUUAUGAUAAUGUGAAUUGUGGACUCCAAUCUCAUGAUCACGUUAGUCAUGUUGUGUUAGUUUCCUUCCAUCGAGUCCUGGGGGUAUUUGUACCCAAAAUUAUAGUUGUGUGCCUAGAGCCAUGUCAUGUUAUCACGAUACUUUCAAUUAAGCCAUGAUCUAUAAAAUUCAAUCAAUCAUGUGACUCAGGAAAACUUAAAAAUCUCAGUAAAUCUCAGUAGUUCAGUAUUCUCAAUGAUAUCAGUACUUAGUAAUAUCUGUAACCUCAGCAUUCACAUUCAAUCUCAGUAACUUCAGUUCUCUCAAUCAGUCCUCAAAACUAAGUACAUUUCGUUAGUCAUCAAAAUUUAGUAAACUCAGUUUAGCCCCACUAAACAAUACCACUAGUAUCAGUUCAGCUAAUCAGUUUAGUUCAGUUAUUCAGUUCAGUCCAGUUAUUUAGUUCAGUGUCUACUUAGUUGGGAGUAGGAUUUAGCACCGAGUGAACCCAAGGAUAGGGACUCACUUGCUACAGUCAGAGGGUGUGAUUCCUAGAAGUAAUCCUUGCAUUCCAGAACUACUUAGCCAACAUAGGUUAAGAUGUCCCUACCCAUAGGGCUAAUACAUCUCCUUUGAUUUUACUUGAUAGUAGGGCAGACGUAAUGAGCUCCCAAAAAUAGAAUAGGGUACUCACAUGUUGUCUCUACCUGUUGCACGGGAUUGAUGCCCUUCCAAUUAGGGCAAGUAUUGGACCCCACCAGUUUAGUUUUAAGGCAUGUUGGUUAGAUGAUUACCUCCCAUAGUCUCAGUUUCAGUCUCAGUAAAAGAACUUAGAUAGUUAUUCAGAUUCAAGAUUGUCAGCUAUAAUCACCCCUCAAUGUGAAACUCAGCUAGUUUCACCACAUUCAUGACUGUCAGAUACAGUCACUCAUGCUAUCAGUUAUAUCAUUUAUUAGAACUCAUAUUAUCAUUAUUUGCAUUUAUGACUGUCAGAUACGUUCAAACAUAUCAGCUCUUAAUAUUCAUAGCUGUCAGUUAUAGUCAAUUAGAUUUAUUCUUUAUAAUUAGACUGCCAAAUGCAGUCAACCAGGCCAGUUCUUCAUAAUCAGAACUGUAAAAAAUAGUCAUUCAUGUAUCAUUAAUAUAGUUUCAGUCCUUCAGUAUCAUCUCCUCACUUAUUACUGAUUCAUAUAUCAGUAUCAGCAAACUUAGUCAUUUGGUAUCUCAGUACCAGUAAACUUAGGUUGUCAUUAUUCAGGAUCAGUAGUUAGUAUCUCCACGAGUUCAGUUAUAGUUAUGUAUGUAUGUAUUCUCACCUUCAUAUCAAUCAGUAUUGUUCAUGCAUAUAACCCUUUGCAUUUAUCUUACCUCACUCAUAUACUCAGUACAUUCAGACGUAGUGAUGUAUUUGCGCUAUGGUACUUUCUCUUAUGUUACACCAUAGGUUCAGAGGCACGAGCUCCAGAUCAGCAGUAGCAUUUCAGUGUUCAGAGUUUGUAGUGAGUCCUUCUCAUUUGAGGACGAUAUGAUUAUUGCUUCAUUUGCUAUUUUAGUUCAGUUUUUAGAUGGAGUUAGUUGGGGUUAUGUCCCAUGAACUUCUUAUUCAAAUAGUUAGAGUCUUUCCAGACUAUAGCAUGUUAGACAGUUACUUCAGAUUUUUUUUGGUAUUAUUAUACUGUCUUCAGACAUUGUUCUUAUUUUUUAUUCGAACCUUAUGGCCUUUCCAUACAUAUUUUUCUGCAUCUUUAUGUUAUAUUAUGCAUUAUAUAGGUACCGAUAUCAUUCAUGGGUUAGUUUGUGGUCCUUCGGGGUUGUGAGCACCGUGUAGCAUUCCGAUUCAAAAAAAUUAGGGCAUUUCAAACUUGGUAUCAGAGAAUAAGGUUCAUUAGAGUCCUAGAAAGUCUGAAAACCGCAUCUAGUAGAUUCUUAUACAUGCGUGUAUUUUGAACCACACUUAUGUUCAAGAGGCUAUGAGAUGUUUUAGGAAUGGUUUCCCUUCUUUCAGUAUUUAUGUUGUUCCAGUGAGCGAAAGCUGUAAUUAAACUCUCAAUCUAAUUUGCUUCUUCCUUUCAUUUAUAAAACAUGUCUUUAGAAAGGACUAGUGAAAGAAGAACUAAAAAUUAGUCAGUACCUUAGCCCGUCUAAGCAGGUUCUUUGGACGAACACGUUUCUCAUACAGAAUUCAGGACUGCAUUCACUACUCUAGCCAGUUCAGUCUUAGCUCAAAAUGAACGGCCAACCGCUGUUUUAUCCAACCUAGAGGCCAAUAUGGCUGUAUCUAGGAUUCGAGAUUUCACCUGAAUGAAUCCUCCUCUAUUUACCUGUUCCAAGUCUGAAGAAGAUCCACAGGAGUUCCUCGAUCAAGUUUAGAAAGUCACAGACAUCAUGGGAGUGAAUUCCAGUGAGAGUAUAGAGUUAGCCACCUAUCAACUACAAGAUGUAUCCCAUAUGUGGUUUAAAUAGUGGAAGGUAGACAGGGGUACAGACAGAGCCCAUAGAGUGGAAAGAGUUUGCUACAGCUUUCUUAGAUAGAUUCUUUCCCAUAGAUCUGAAGGAGGCUAAAGUGUUAGAGUUCAUCAAUCUCAGGCAGGAUAUGAUGAGCGUGAAAGAAUACUCCCUUAAUUUCACCCAGUUAGCCAGGUAUGCUCCCCAUGUAGUGGCAGACAGUAGGUUUAGAAUAAAUAAGUUUGUAUCUGGGGUAUCAGGUAGAGUGGUUAAAGAGUGCUAGACUGCAAUGUUGAUUAGUCAUAUGGACUUGUAUAGGUUGAUAGUCUAUGCUCAAAAUAUUGAGGAGCAUAAGCUUAAAAAGAAAGAGAGAGAAAAUAAGAAGACUAGAAUAGGUAGUUAUAGUCCUUCUCAGCUGAGGCCAAAGGGUAGUGAGGGUAGAGUCCUUACCCAUCCCUUUUGUCAGACUUGUGGUAAGUAUCAUAAGAGUGUGUGUAGAAUCGGGAGUGAUGUGUGUUUCGAAUAUGGUGAGUUAGGUCACAAAGUCCGAUAUUGUCCUAAACCCGGUCCACGAGGUCAUUACGGUCGUCCUUCAGUUUAGCCCGAUUACCCAAAUUGGUAGGAUGCCACUUCCAGUGCUAUCAGUGGAUAACGCCCAGACAUACUCCAUAAUCCUCAGUCCUGAUAGGAUUAGGAAACUCCUCCUAAUACAGUCACUGGUAUGUUUCAGAUAUCUUAUUCGCAUGCUUAUGUUUCACCUUACCCAUAUGCCUCUUUUCUUUUAAAACUCUUUGCAUAACGGUCAAACUUAAGGUCAGACCAAAUAUUGACAGGACCUUACCCAGUCUCUACCCAGUAGGUCAGUCUACCGUAGCCUGAUAGGUAUACAGGGACUGUCCGAUUAUGAAAACUCAGAAAGUCAGACCUUCAGAAUUCUAUUAGUUGUGCCAAAUUAGUAGAUGUGGUAUCCUUAUUUUAUUUUAUGUCUCAUUUAUCAUGUUUCCCAUGCAUGCUUCAUAUCUCAGUUCCAUGAAUAUAGUUAAUAUUCACACAUUUUCCUCUAAGGAUAGCAUACGCUUUUAGUUUCUAGUGUAAGGUGUUCCAAACUCAUUAAGUGUUACGAAUCGUAUCUCAUGAACAUAGAAACUCCAAAACUUAAGUCAUGCAUCUCAUGAAUCAUGUACUCAUGCCAAUCUUUACAAUAUUCUUAGUUUCUGCUAUCUAUUCUACGAUCCUAACAAUCACAUAAAUUCAGAACAUGUCCCAAAAAUUCUCAAUUUGGAUCUUGUGAUAAAUUCAUGAUGUUGACAUUCCAUUUCUAGUAUUUAGCACUUAGUAAUUAGUAUUCUAUUCAGUCUCAGAACUAAGUACCUGAUUGUCAAUCAAAACAUCAAUUUUAGAAAUUCAGUUAACCGAACCCUGCAUUCUAUCCUAUUUCAGUAAUUAGAUCCUAAAACUCAAUUUAGUCUCAGAUUCACUAAGCCAUGGAAUGAAACUAUUAGUUUCUCUCUUAUUUGUCAGUACCUCAGUUUACUAAAUCUUUCAGAAUCAUAUUACAGGCGUGGCACUUCAUUUUCAAGUAAUACAGUCUCCAUGAAUCCAUGCUCAGUCACCUUAUGGUACUCAGUUAAUCCUUACCUCCUAUGUACAAUAUUCUAUAGUUCCAGUUCAGUUAUUCCAACUAAGUUCAGUUUAGUAUUACAUGCCCAGUGUUCAGUUAUUAGCAUAAAUUAGUCAGUCAAGUCAGUUUAGCAGAUAUGCAGUCAAUUUAGUAGGGGUUGUUCUCCCAUCUUCCCAUCCAACCAUACUAACAGAUAGCUCUAGGAUGUAACCAUCUCCAAGAUAGAGUUUAAUAGUAUAUGCAAGCUCAGUUUAGUUCAUGUAUCAUGUAUCAGUCACCAAUUCUAGAUAUUCAGUUAUAACUCAGUUCCUAGGUGCCUUAAGUAUCGCCUCAGUUUUUCCUCAGUAUCUCAGCCAAGUUAGCAUUCUUUGAAGGACCUAGUUUCCUAAGGGGGAGAUAUGCGAUGAUCACCCAAGCUUUCAUAAUGUAAGCGUCCCAUUCUCUCUUCACGUAAUAAAUCCAGUCUAGAGUAGGGAUACUCAUAAGUCGUCCUCUAUAUCCAAUCUCAUUCGUAGGCCAUAUACUCAAUGUCUCAGUUUAGUUCAUGUAUCACGUUCCAAAUUAAGUUAUGUUCUCAUGUUUUUGCUCAUGCAUGUUUAGUAAACGAUCUCAGGAUUCAUUAGCAUUUUCAUUGAAGGUAACAGUCCUCUUUAAGCUUAUUCAGCUUUAUGUAGAGUAUUUAGUACAAACUUGGUGUUCAGUUCCAUGCUCAAUUCCCAGUUCAAACUUGGUAUAUUUAGCAUUGCAUAUUCAUUGCAUGUUCAUAAUCCAGUUCAGUCUUAUAUUCACGCAUCAGAUAUGCAUGAUUAGCUUAUCAAUACUCUCCCUUAUGUACUUAUGAAUCAGUUAUGCAUGUAUCAGAUAUGCAUGUUCAGUAGGAUAUGUUCAGCUUAUCAAUCAUGUCAUCCAUGAAAUCAUGAUCAGUCAUUCACACUCUAUAUCCAUGCCAGUUGUCUUUUCUCUUAUCUCAGCCAGUCUCAUUUGAGGACGAAUGUUCCCAAGGGGGAGAUAUUAUAAUACCCUAUAUUUCGAACUAGGAUGAAAAUCCGUCAUUUCUAUGCAUAGAUGUUUCAAAAACCUCGAAUCCUAUGUAAAUUUAGUAUGUUGAUCAAUUUUGUAGUGUGGGAAUCUAUUUGAUCAUGAAUUUAGAUCAUAGAGGUCCCCUAACUUAAGUACAAAUUGAAACCUUUCCUAUCGUUCAAGUUUUAGUGAGCGUCAAAACUUGGGUCAACUUCAAUCGAACAUAACUCAUUGUAUAUGAAGAACUGGAGGGCUUACUAUAUAUCAAAUGAAAUCUCUUUGAAUUAUAUUUCUAAUGAUACCAAUUUUUCCUAAAUCUAUUAUCAGAGCAAAGAGUUAUACCCAUUUUACUACAGCAUGUCUGACUGGGAAACUGGUGAUGACAAUUGUGACAAGCCGUCACGUCCGUGAUGGCCUAUCAGUAAUGUCAUCAGACCUGGGCAGAUUUCUGACCCUGGUGAUGAAGUUUUGUGACAAGAAGCCACGCCCGUGAUGGCCUAUCACCAAUGUCGUCAACCUUAACCAGAAACUCAAAAUUUUACCCUUUUGUGACGAUAAUUCAUGACAGCCUAUCACCAACUUGAAGGCUUGUCACGAAUAUCGUCAGCUAUUUUUUCCAGCAAUUGAGGGAUAUUUUACUAAGGGUAUUUUGAUCUUCUUCAUUCACUUCCCAUGGCUUAUAACCCUCAAGGAGCGUAUUAUCUUCCAUUCUCUUUAGUUAAACAUCUGAAAAAGAUCUUUCAUACACUCUCAACCACAAGAGUAGGGUUUUCUCUCAAGAUCAAAACUCUCAAGAACAAGCCCUAGGGUUUUUAUAGAAGAGUCUAUUUUAAGGAAAUUUUGCCGUCAAGCUUCACAAAUUAUUAAUCUAAGGUAUGCGUAGUGUUCAUCCAUGGGUCCCUUUCAUUCAUGGAGCUCAAGAAUAAUGUUUUAAAUUAUAAAUUGUGAUUUCCUUGUAGUGUUAUGACUAUAUUCAUGUUGAUGAUUGUUGUUUGGAUUCAAGUUUAUAUCUUGAUAUGUUUUUCAUGAAUCAUGUGAAUAGGUUAGUUGAAACCCAUGAAGUUUGGAUGGGUUAAGAUUGCCAAAUUGAUAAGCACACCAAUGCCUUAAAGAGUGCAUGCAAGGUGUUUGAUAAAAUGUUUAGGAUGCUAGAAACUCAUGUUUACAUGGUUCCAUGAUAUUUAAAUGACAAGUCUAUGUUAGCUAUAUACUUCAAUAUGAAUUCCAUGCUAUUGAUGUGUUGCUAUUGUUGUGGUAUGAAGCAUGUAUGAUAAUGGAGAUAUAAAAUAUGUACAUGAAAUAUAUCCAUGCACUCCCUACCAUGCUUAAGAUGUUGAAGAACUACAUUAAGUAUAAUAUCCCCUACUUAUGACAAUGUCAGUUGUGGACUCCAAUCUUAUGAUCACAUCAGUCAUGUUGUGUCAGUUUCCUUCCAUCGAGUCCUGGGGGUAUUCAUACCCGAAAUUAUAGCUGUGUACCUAGAGCCAUGUCAUGUUAUCACGAUACUCUUAGUUAAGCCAUGAUCUAUAGAAUUCAGUCAGUAAUGUGACUUAGGAAAACUCAAAAAUCUCAGUAAAUCUCAGUAGUUCAGUAAUCACAGUGAUCUCAGUACUCAGUAAUAUCUGUAACCUUAGUAUUCAUAGUCAAUGUCAAUAACUUUAGUACUCUCAAUUAUUCCUCAGAACUCAGUACAUUUCAUUAGUCAUCAGAAUUGAGUAAACUCAGUUUAGCCCCGGUAAACAAUACCACUAAUAUUAGUUCAGCUAAUCAGUUCAGUUCAGUUAUUUAGUUCAGCCCAGUUAUUCAGUUCAGUGUCUACUUAGUUGGGAGUAGGAUUCAGCACCGAGCGAACCCAAAGAUAGGGACUCAUCUGCUAUAGUCAGAGAGUGUGAUUCUUAGAAGCAAUCCUUGCAUUCCAGAACUACAUAGCCAGCGUAGGUUGAGAUGUCCCUACUCAUAGGGCUAAUGCAUUUUCUAUGAGUUUACCUGAUAGAAGGGCAGACGUAAUGAGCUCCUAAAAAUAGAAUAAGGUUACUCACAUAUUUUCACUACCCAUGGAACAGUAUUGACUCCAAUCAGGGCAAAGAUUAAACCCUACCAAUUCAGUUUUGGGGCAUGUCAGUUAGAUGAUUACCUCCCAUAGCCUCAAUUUUAGUCUCAUUCUCAGUCUCAGUAAAAGAACUCAGAUAGUUCUUCAGAUUAGAACUAUCAGCUACAGUCACCCCUCAAUGCGAAACUCAGCUAAUCCCACCACAUUCAUGACUGUCAGAUACAGUCACUCAUGCUAUCAAUUAUAUCAUUUAUCAGAACUCAUAGUAUCAUUAGAAUUAAAACUAUCAGAAAUAGUCAUUCAUGUAUCAGUAAUAUAGUUUCAUUCCUUCAGUAUCAGCUUCUCACUUAUUAGUGAUUCACGUAUAGGUAUUAGUAAACUCAGUCAUUUGGUAUCUCAGUACCAGUAAACUCAGGUUGUCAAUAUUUAGGAUCGAUAGUCAGUAUCUUCAUGAGUUCAGUUACAGUUACAUAUGUAUGUAUUCUCACGUUCAUAUCAAUCAGUAUUGUUCAUGCACAUAACCCUUUGCAUUUAGCUUACCUCACUCAUACACUCAGUAUAUUCAGAUGUACUAACGUAUUUGCGCUAUGGUGAUUUCUCUUAUGUUACACCAUAGGUUUAUAGGAAUGAUCUCCAGAUCAACAGUAGCAUUCUAGUAUUCAAAGUUUGCAGUGAGUCCUUCUCAUUUGAGGAUGAUAUGAUUAUUUCUUCAUUUGCUAUUUUACUUCAGUUUCUAGAUGGAGUUAGUUGGGGACAUGUCCUAUCAACUCCUUAUUCAUACAGUUAGAGGCUUUCCAGACUAUAGUAUGUCAGACAGUUACUCCAGAUUUUUUUGGUAUUAUUAUACUAUCUUUAGACAUUGUUCUUAUUUUGGAUUCGAACCUCAUGGCCUUUUAGUACAUGUUUUUCCACAUCUUCAUGUUAUAUUUUGCAGUAUACAGGUAUAAAUAUCAGUCAUGGGUUAGCUUGUAGUCCUUCGAGGUCGUGACCCGUGUAGCAUUCCGAUUCAGAAAAAUUAGAGCGUUACAAUCAGCAACAACCUCCUUGCCUGACCUCUGAGUUAGUGGUAAGGACUUCCAACUAUGUAUAUUUUAUCCUCCUCAGACCCCACUGAGUGAUAUUAUAUUGGGUACAUUGUUGUUGUUGGUUAAAUAAGUAUAUGUUUGCUCGUGUACCUUCUCUACCUGUUAAUUAAUGAAAUCACUCAUCAACUAUGUGUAAGACUAUAUCUGUCAAAGUAUUUGAACCUGUGCACCAACUUCUUAAUUCUUUUAAAGUAUGCUAAUUAUUUCUUUACAUUGUACAAAACAAUGCUGAGUGGGAUGGUGGAACACCAUGUGUUCCUUUUAUUUUUCUGCAAUCUUGCACCCCUUUAGAGCUGAGUAUGUUUUCUUCAAGUCUUAUUUAAAUAAUUUAAGGAACAUAUUAAUUAGUUGUCUUAGCUUGCAACUGAAUGUAAGAACAAGUGAUGUACACUCCCGGCUUACGAAUUGAGAAGUAUUAAAUGACUUGAACAUGAUCAAUGUGUUCCCUAAGAUUUUGUUUCUAUUUUCAAUGGAAAAAUUACCAUUUUGGGCAUUUAAAGGCCAAAAAAAUGGUGCCUUGACGACUUUUAGAGUCGAUCUCUCUUCUUCCUGUUGAUUUUCAAGAACAUAUGAGCUAUAAAAGCACAACUGAAUCUUUUUUUUUGUGCUUGUUUUUAUGUCAUAACUCUCAACAGUUUGUAGCUAACUUAUCUGAAUAUUCCUAUUUCUUAAGAGAGAAAAUCUAUAUAUCAAAUGAAACUAAGGGAAGCUACAUGGGUUCCUCAAUAUUCUUGAUUUGUUGCAUGUAGAAGAUAGGUAAGUGCAUGCUCAACGUUGUUAGGUCUAUAGCUAUGUUGCCUUUUGGAUAGAAUUUGAGAUUGGACAGUUGACCGGUGAUAAAAUUCUAUUUUUCAAAUGUCAAAGGACGACCCAUAUGAAAAGAGGUAAAAUACACGAGAAAAUUAUUGGUGGAAUCUACUUUUGUCUUUAAUAUUUCCAAACUGAAAAAAGAGUUUUUGCAGAAAAAGAAAAGGGCUAGCUCUAAAAGGAAAGUAAUGUUAAUGGUGAUAGACUGAUGUUAUCUAUAAAUUUCUUCCUCUGUUUACAAAUUUUUCAUAAUCCAGGAUCAAAAUUUUUUCUCUUGAUAGAAAGGCGAAUUAUAUUGCUUUGAUGCUUAAAAUUUUAGAUUAAUGAAUCAUAUUCUUACCUUUAUUUAUCUACAAAAAUGAUCUUCUAGAUUCAUUUACUACCUCAUCAUUUAUUUAUCUACAAAAAGCUUAAAAUUACAUCGAUACUCAAGUGCUCUGGAGAGCGCUCUGCCAGUAAGGCUCUGAAAAUAUAACUUCUCAUCUCAGGUUUUUGGCUAUCCCAAUUUAUAUUAUUAUUCCAAUGGUUUUUUUAGUUAAUUUAGUUGGAUCGAUAAAUGUGAAAUUGUUUGGUACUGGUGUUUAGUGGGUGUGCCCUGAUGUGUUUCUGAUUGUCUGCUGCUCUUUCAUUCGUGCUACAUUCCAUAUUCAAACUGAGCAUUAGAUUUCUUUGUAUCCUGUAUAGUGUUACGAAGAAAUUAAGCUCAUUAGACAUCGUAUAUGCUCCUAUCGCCAUCUAUAUAUCACUUUAACUACUGGCUCUAUGUAUAUAACAAUGAAAGUAACUAAAUAUCUGCAUGUGUUCUCGUCAGCUGUCUAUAUUUCGAUACAUAGAGCUACAUUAGUCGGUUAAUAUCAAAGGAUUAAAAGUAGAAAUUCAUUCAAGUAUUUAGUUUAAAAUUAAGCAUGUGAUUUUGGUAUUUGGGCAUGUCCUACUUGAUUUUUAUAAUUUGAGAUGAGAAGGCAGCAUCUGCAUGAGUGUUAUAUUUAGUUUUCCUUGGAAAAACUUGUGUUUUAGUUGGAGCUGCUAUGAAGUUGUCUAUUAUCUAAAGUCCAUAGAAAUCGUUAUUGCAUUUUAACAUUUUCCACAAUAUAUCUAAAAUAUUAAUUGUUAGAUACAGUAUUAACCCAAAAAAUUGAGUAUACUAUGCAGGAAUAUGCCCCUAUUUUGCAAAAUAACUUUUAUUAUACUGGAAAACUAUAAUCCAGCUUUAGUUCCGCGAAGUGAAAUGAGUAAACUUUUUUCUUUCUUUCAUCAGAGGUUUAUUAUUUUAGCUUUUAGAUUAGUCUACAAGCCGAAGUGUCUUAACGUGUUUAUAUGUUUAGGGGUCGUUUAGUUCGUGAACUAGUUAUGUGGGGAUUAUAAUGCAGGAAUUGCUUAUGCAAUCAUGUCGAAAUUGUUACCUAAUGAAGAAUAAAGCAGGUAUUGUUAUUUUAUAGCAGGGUUUUCUUUGCCUUUAGUUACUCUUGUGCAUGCAUUUAUUUAAUACAUAAAUUCCCUCAUAUCUUGUAUUAGUUUUAACGACAACCAAGUUAAUAAGGCCAGUGAAUGUUGUAUUAUGGUAUGUGAUGCCUAUAUUUCUUGUAUGACCAAAAAUUUUGUAGAAUGUGCAUAAUGUCUUCACUUCAUAACAUGUAAUUAUAUUGGUUAAGUGAAUGUACACGCUGUCUUUAUUUUGAUCAAAGAGAUGUCACUAUUGCUAGAGUUGCUGCUAUAUUUUCUUUGUUUAGCUGCUAUGCCAAGAACUUUUAUGACUCUCUAUUCUUUUGGUUUGCUGCUAUGUACGUUGGUCUAAUUUUAAAUACCUAGAAAUUCUAUAUAGUCUCUUAAAAUAGGUUGAGAUCCAAUUCCAAGUGAGUUACAUUUGAACGUCCAUACACAUAAUCAUGAUGCAAAAUCUUUUGUUGGUGAGCGUUCCCGACUUCUGCAUGUAAGUUUAUAAUUUACAUCAUUACUCUUAUCUUAUUUUUCUUUUCUAUUGACAUGAACUUGAGUCUAUUUUAAUAACUCUACUUGUUACAGGAAAAGUAUGAAGAAAUUAUACGGAAAAAAUUACAAUGUGAAUAUGAAAUUAAUCAAUUGGAAUCAUAUUAUGAAGCCGCGGGAGGAACAAAGAAGAAAAGAUUAUUUGGUCUUAGGUCUGAAGCUGAAAGUUACUACGGAGAAAAACUUUGUUCCUGUAAUGCCUCCACAUCAUCAAUACCACCUUCGGUUUCUUUACCGACAACAAAUUUGGAGGAGUUUGUGAAGCAAUUGAUUAUGACACUUACUACUCAUUUUCGUCUAGUAGUUAUUGAGCGUGUUGGUGGUAUUAGGGUACAAGAAGGGGUUGUUCUUGAUCUUCCUCCUACUAAUGAUGAUGACAACAUUGAUUCCUAGCUUCAUAGUACUCAUAGUCCUUGAUCAUUGCAUUUUUUAUAGACUAUUUUGUUUGAAAGUAUAAAACAUUUAUGUAGUAAUAAAUACUAAUUAAUUUUAAUGGAUGUUGGUUUGACAUUAGUUUAUUUUAAUCAUUUUAUAAUUUACGUGUUUCAAUUAUUUUCUUACAAAAUCAUUAGCGACAAAAAAUUAGUGACUAACAUUUAUCGUUGCUACUGAAAAACUUUAAGGAUGAAUAAAUUUAGUUGCUAAAGACAGCUGCUAUUAGCGACAAAAAAUUAGUGACUACCUUUUGUCAUUGCUACUGAAAAACUUUAUCGAUGGAUAAAUUUAGUCACUAAAGACGGCUACUCAGUCGAUCAAACUAUGUUACAACGGAUUAGCGAUAAAAUAUUUAGUCGUAAAUUUAGCCAAGACAAAAAUAAAUUUUAGUAAUAGCAACAUUAUAGUAAUGAAAUAAUCUGUCAGUAACAGCAACAAUCGAAAUAUAUCAUUGCUAAGGGGUCAAAAAUUUGUGAUAGAAAUUAAUUUUUCGUUGCUAUGAGGCUAGCAAUGAGCAAUAUAGCGACAAAAUACAAUUCGUUGCUAUUUUUUCGCUAUUUCUAUUUAGCGAUAGAUUUUCAUAUGAUAGUGAUGAAAAGUACAUGUCGCUAAAUGCUUUUUUUUUGUAGUGUGAGUUAUACCUUUUCAUGAGUAUUCUUCUUUGCUUUGUAUACUCAUUUUACUUCAAUCGCUUGAUGAUCUUUAGGAAGAGUUGUUAACUCCCAAGUGUUGUUUUUUUUUAUUGACUGAAUUUCUUCCUUCAUGGCUCAUCUCCACUUUUUGUCUAUAAUAGCUUCAUCAAAAUUCAAUGGUUCACUGUCAUCAUAGAGACGACGUAAAAAAAUAAAAUUAGUAACUUUCUCUACAUCAUCAUAGAGUUCUUGGAUGCUCUUCAUCCUCUGUGGCCUUUCACUUGAAAUCUGAUCUUGAGAAGAAGGAGAUACAAUAUUUGCUGGUAGGGUUGCAUCCUGUGCAGGUGUCAUGGUAUCAUGUUCUUCUUCAUCUCCAAAGUAUGAAAGAAAAUUAUAUGUUCUUUCUUCCUGAGCCUCCUGGCCAUCCCAAUUUCAUGACGCUUCUUCAUCAAACACUUUGCAUUAAUGGUCUUAAGAUUCAAAUGAAAUAAUCUAUUUUUUUUCUAUAUGCACUUUGGAAAUUAAAUUAUUACUUGAAUCUCCAAGUCAAAGAUGCAUAUUUUUCAUAUGAAUAUCAUAUCCUUUUUCAAGAAGUUGGCCCAAACUCAAAAUAUUAUUUUUUAGUUUUGGCACAUAGUAAACCUCAUUGAUCAAUUUGUGAUCACUAUUUUUACAGAAUAUCAAAAUCGUACCUAUUUCUUCAAUUUGAAUCUUUGAGGUAUCUACAAAAGACACAUUAACUCUCGUCGUCUUCUUGAUCUCCACAAACUUGUCUUCGUAUUCACACAUAUGAUUACUUGAUCCAUUAUCAAGAUACCAUGAACUGUAAUUACCUGUAUCAUUUUCUGUGAGUACCAUUAACAAUGUUGACUUAUCUUCUUCUUUAUUGUUGUCAACAAGGUUAGCUUUUUCUUCAACAUUACUACGAUAUUCCCAAGAGUAAUGUCCAAAUUUAUGAUAGUUGUAGCACUCGAUUUUAGAUUUUUCAUACCUCAUUUCAUUGAUACCUUGAUAAGUUCUACGUCCCCUUCCUCCUCGUUGUCCAUGACCACAACCUCUGAAUAUUUGGUGGUUUUUAUCUUCAUGGUUGAAUUUAUUGAUAUAACUCCUUCCUCUUCCACGACCUCCACGGCAGCCACGGCCUCGCCAUUAUCCAUUUCCUCUACAACUUUUUGCACCUCCAAAAUCUUUGAAGGAUGCUUGAGUUUUAAGAAGUUGCUCUAAUGGCUCUUCUUUUCUGCUUUUCAUUUUUUCUUCGUGGGCUUGUAAAGAACCUUCUAAUUGCUCUACUGUCAUAGAGUCUAAAUCUUUAGACUCUUCAAUAGCACACACCACAUAAUUAAAUUUGAGUGUUAAAGAGAGAAUGAUCUUUUCUACCGCACACAUCAUCUACUUCCUCUCCGUACCUUCUUAGUUGAUUCACAACAGACAUCACUCUUGAACAAAAAUCCAAAAUAGAUUCAGAUUCUUUUAUUUUUAAAACUUCAAAAUCAGCCCUUAGAGUUUGAAGUUUUACCUUCUUCACCUUAUCAACUCCUUGGAGAAAAUUUUGUAAAAUCUCCCAAGCUUCCUUCGAGGUGGUUGCAUUAGCCACCUUCUCAAACAUACCAUCAUCCAGACAUUGGUGGAUGAGAGUGAAGGCCUUUUGAUCUUUCUUCCUUGUCUUAAUCAAGACAUCUUUUUUAUUUUGAGACAGAGUCUCCUCAUUGGCGAGUUUUGUAUACCCUUUGUCUACAAUAUCCCAAAAAUCUUGAGAACCAAGAAUGACUUUCAUUCGUAGGCACCAUUUUUCAUAAUUUUCUUUUGCAAGAUGAGGGUACUGAAAAGACAGUGGACUAUUAUUUAUCAUCGCUCUGAUACCACAUUGUUGGAAAAAUAAAUAUUCCCACCCAGGAUAAUAUCCACACAAAAAAACAAUAACAAGAGAGUAACAACGAUACCAAAUAUUAUAUCGGGGUAAAUAAAAAACCCAAUGGAAUAAUACAAUAAUACUGAUUACAAAAUGGUAGUGUCAAAUAACAACUACUUUUAUAAAAGAAAUAAUUUUCUCACAGACUAUAGAAUAUAUGUGGAUUACUCUCUUUUUCUCUCUUUGUUUUGGUGUAUCUCAAAAUGAAACUGAAUUCAUCUAUUUAUAAAUGAAUGUCCAAGCUUUAAACAAUCAAAAUACAUGUUACAACACCAUGUCGCACCACCAAUUACCAACUUGAUCAUGUUGCAACAUCAACUUCCAAAUUCAUGUCACCACAUUAGGCAUAUUGCAACACUAAUUUUUUUUAUUUAAUUAUUUUUAAUCCCACAAUGUAUGGGUUUAAGGAACUUUUGUAACUUAAUUAUUAGAAAAUACAUAGUUUUUCAACUAAUUAAAGAUAUUAAGUGAUCCGUGUUUGUUUGUACAUAUACAACCCAACUUGCUCAAUCUUAGCCUAUUUAAUAAUUCCAACAGUGUACCUUAAGGUCGACUCAUGUUCUCUAAAAUAGUAAUUAUUUUGAUACAAGUGUAAAGUUUACUAGUAAUUCCAAGAUACAAGUGUAAAGUUUACUAGUAAUUCCUUAAAAAAGUGAAUUGAAUUUUUUGCCCUUUAUUAAAAAACUCCCCUUUAGACAAAAUUGUCUUUUCACCUUUUUCCUACAAUUAUUAUAUCAUUAUAUAUAUAAUAUCAACUCCUAAAGUAUAUGGGAAAAGUCCUAAAAUAUAUGGUAUAGGAAGAAUAUAUGAUAAGAUAUAAUUAAUGUAGACUCCUAAAAUAUAUAUAUGUUGGGAGGUUUCUUUUAACAUAUAUAAAUUGUAGAAAAAUUAUUAUUUCUAAAUAUUAGGAAAAAAUUUAGAACACUUAAAAAAAAUGGAUAUUAGGAAUUAAUUCCUUUUAAAAAGGAUACAAUUUUAAAAGACAAAAAGUCCCACGAGUAUUUUUUUUAAAGCCUUUUCUUCUAAAAAAAAAAAUAUUAUGAUAGAUAGUUAAGAUUUUAUUUAUAUCAAAUAAAAUUCUAAUUUAAAUUUUUGUCCCAAUAAACUUUGGUUAUUGAAAUUUUCCUUAUUUGAACAAAUUCUAAAUUUUAGAAUUUUGAUCUCAACUUUAGAUUAAAUCGUCUUUUCACUAUUUUUAUAAUAUUUAAUAGUUGAAAAUUAAUCAAAUAUUUAUAGUAAAAUCUUUUUUAUUAGAAGUCAUCAUCAUAAUUAAUGACAACUAAUAACUUUUUUGUUAGUUUAAAAUUCUAAAUCAACUAAAGUUGAUUUUAAGAAAAUCUGAAAAAUCUAGAAAGGAAUAUGAAAGCAUUAAAAUAAGAAAAAUUUUAAAUAUAGAAUAAAUAAAUAAAUAAAUAAAUAACGUACUACAAAUAUGGUUCAAAUCGAUGUGUCUCUCUUAGUCUCUAGCAAUAAAAAAAAAGAGAUACUACAUGACGAGCACAGAAGUGAUGAUCCAUUAAACACUUAAACUUUUGAUGGUAAAAUAUAUAUGUAUUUACAAUAAAAUAUAAGUUAUGUUUACAUUACUAUAUUAAAGUGUGAAAGAUUUUGGAGAUCACGUGAUUUGAACUUUUUACACGUCAUUAAAAAAAUUUGCAGUAGACAAAAUCUUCAAUUUUAAAUAAUUAUAAGUUACACAUGCGAGAAACGUGCUGUAAAACUAGUUAAUAUAUAAGUAUCUUUCCUGAUUUGAUUCUAAGAUAUAUUAUGAUAUAUGUGUAAGUACAAGUUAGUUUAGUUUGACUUACUUGAUUUCAAUAUUGUUACACUACUUGUCAUUAUAUACAUUUGAAUUUGAACUUAUCUAUAUAUACAUAUAUAUAUAUAUUCGAAUUGAGUUUGAACUUCACUUUAUUAUAUUUAUAGCUGAGCUCAAAAUGAUCAUGGCUUCAAACUACAUCUGUGAUAUCUAUCUUCAACUUUUAGUGAGGAUUACAUUUAGUAAAAUUUUAGCAACUAAGAUUAUAAAUGACACUUCAUAAGUUAGAAAAAGAUCCAUGACACACACCCCGUAUUUUCCUAGCAUAAUCUAAGUCCCUAUAUAUGAGUAGUCAUAUAUGAUAUUUUUGAAACACUCAUUAUUUUCCAGUUUAGAGCCUGCUAUUGUGUAAGAAAUUGAAUAAGCUUUCCAACGAUAUAAAAUUCGCCUAAAUCCGAUAACCUGGUAAGAAGUUAUGGCGAUUUAAAGUUUCAUUCGUUAAACACUAUCAUUUUAACCCUUAGUGCGUCGCGUAGGCAGCCCAAAUGACAAUUGUCAAUUUUCAGUGUGACUCCACGACUAUGGCGCAUCAUAGAGUAGGCCAAUUUCCCGUUUGUCAAUUUCCAGCGGGCAUUCGCGAUGUUGGUGUAUCGCGGAGGUGGCCAAAAUGGCAUCCAAAGGCUUACCGCGAUAAUGGUGUGUCGCGCCGUUAGCCUAGUUUCCAGUUGUCAGUUUCCAGUGACCUGGCACGAUAGCAUUGCGUCGUGCCAGGUGCCUAUUUCGAAAAAAUUUGAUGAAAAAUUAAUAUUUCGUUCAGGGAUAAAAUAGUCCUUUUUUUAUUAUUUUAGUCUGCCCAGGUGUGAUAUUUAAGCCCUAAAAAUAUUUUUAAAAUCAUUCUUUAAUUAAUUUCCCCCAAUUCAAAAGUCAUUCUCUCCCAAUUAAGAACCCUAGCUCUCAAAUUCAAGGUCAAUCCUCAAGCAUUCACCAAGAACUUCAAAAAAUCCAUCAAUUAAGGUAUGUUAGAUGUUCAUCCAUGGAUCUCUUUCAUUCAUGGAGUCCAAGCAACCUUUUUAAAUUAUAAAAUUAUGAUCUUUUCAUGUUAUUGUGUUUUAAAUUGAGAAUUUCACCCAUGAAUCUCCAUGAACUAUGAUUCUAUACUAUGUUACCAUGAAAUUAUUAUUAUUCAAUCCUUCAUGUUUUAAUAUUAUUAUUUAUUAAAUUAAACCAUGAUUUAAUACUAUUAUGAUGAAUUCAUGCUAUUUCUUCAAGUUUCAUGACAUUUCAAUGAUUAUUUUAAAACCAUGAACUACAAGUGUUUGAUAAAAUGCCUACAAGAGUGAUUUAUUUAUUAAGAGCCUUCAUGUUUUGGCCUUCAAGCUUUAGUGUCUUUUUAGUAUUGUUGUUUUGAGUCCUGGGGGUAUUGAGUACCCAAAAACCAUAGCUGUUUAUUUAGUCUAGCCUUAGUACAUUACAGAAUAGUCUUCAGAUUAUGCUAUGAGCAUUAUCAGAAUAGUCAGAUAUCAGUUAUUCAACUCAGAACAGUCUAGUACCUUAGUGUCUUUCAGUUGGGAGUAGUAUUUAGCACCGAGCGAGUGUAGAGAUGGCAGUUUCUCCAUCAGAUAGGCAGAAUCGUUAGUAAAAAUCCCUAUACUCCAGAACUAUGUAGCUAGCAUAGGAUAUGAGUAGUCACCCAUCAAAGUAGGCUUGACUAUCUCGCAGGGGUCACCCAUCAAUUCAGGCUUGACACCCUUAGUCCUUUGGAUAUUAUAUCAGUUUAGUAGAUCCACAUAGCCAUCGUUAGCACCCGUGUCAUGGAAUUAACACCCUUUCAACUGAGGUUACAGGUUGGACCCCGAUCAACUCAAAUUGGAGAAUGUCGAUUAGAUGAUACCUCCCACAGUUUUAGAUAUUAUCUUAGUUACAAUCCCAGCUCAGUUAUUCAGUCUUAGUAUUGUUUGACAAAAGCAUACAGAUUUUAGUUAUCUCAGUAUAUCAGUUUAUAGAUUUUACUCAGUUCAUGUUAUACACUUGGUCAUGCAUCCAUAGUAUUUACAGGUUUUCAUGCAUUAUCAGUAUCUACAGAUUCCAUGCUUUCUAUUCAGUACUCCUUGCUUUACAUGUAUAUCCAGUUAAUUAUUAUCAUUCCUCUUCAUGAGACCAUGCAUAUUAGCCUACCUCAUUUAGUAUACCAGUACAUUCAAAGUACUAAUCGCAUACCUUUUCUUUUGCGCUAUGAUGUCUCAUAUCAUAGGUGCUGACGCUCAGUUUCCGGAUCGCACCUAGAUUCUCAGAUUAUCAGCAUUACAGUAGUAGUGGUGAGUCCUUAUCAUUCGAGGAUAAAUUAUACUACUUUAUGUCUUUAUCUUAGUAGUUAUUAGGGUUAGUUGGGGCAUGUACCAUCAACUCACCGUAUCCAGUUUAUAGGCUUUUCAGACACUACAGUUAGCUAUUUAGACUAUUUAGAUUUUAGUAUUUUAUCAAAUUCAUAAUUCAGUAGUUAUUUCAUUAUUAAAACGUUAUAGUAUUUCAUUUAUUCUUCCACAUUCAUGAUUAUAUUAUUCAGUGCUCACAGCAGGUACCAGCCCAUGGGUUAGCUUGUGGUCUCUCAGGACUAUAAGCAUCGUGUAAUGACUAGGGGAUAGUCUCGGGUCAUUACAAACUUGGUAUCAGAGCCUAAGGUUUUAAAAUAUCCUAGGAAGUUUGAAAACCACGUCGAGUAGAGUCUUGUGCAUGGGUGUGUAGUGCGCCACACUUAUGGAUGAGAGGCUACAAGGUGUUUAGGAAUAAGUUUCCCUUCUUUCAAGUAUUCAUGUUGUGUGAUUGAGCAUGAUAUCACGUUAAACUCUUAAGUCUAAUCCAUUUCUUCCUUCCGUUUAAAGAACAUUCCUCCCAAGAAGAAUAAAAGAAGGACAGGAACUCAGCCAACCCCUCAGCCCAUCUAGGAAGAUCCUCUAGACGAGCAUCUCUCUUACACAGAAUUCAGGGUUGCAUUCACUACUCUAGAAGACUCCAUUACAGCACAGAAUAAACGUCCAACCAUUGUUCUAGCCAACCCAGUGGCUAAUAUUGCUGCAUCUAGAAUUCGGGAUUUUACCCGAAUGAAUCCUCCUUCUUUCACGAGAUCCAAGUUUGAAGAGUACCCACAGGGUUUUCCACGGCUUUCUUGGACAGAUUAUUUCCAUUAAAGUUAAGAGAGGCCAAAGUGUUAGAAUUUAUUAAUUUGAGGCAAGACAGCAUAAGUGUGAGGGAGUAUUCUCUCAAGUUCACUCAGUUAGCUAGAUAUGUUCCUCAUGUGAUAGCUGACAGUAGGUGCAAGAUAAGUAAGUUUAUGUCUAGCAUGUGUAAUAGUAUGGUCAAGGAGUGUAGGACCGUAAUGUUGAUUAGUGAGAUAGAUUUGUCUAGGCUGAUGGUCCAUGCUCAAUAGAUAGAGGAGCAAAAGAUUAAAAAGAGGGAGGGAGGAAAUAAAAGAGCUAGGAUGAGUAGUUUUAAUUUCAAUCAACCAAAGUUAGAAGGUGGUAACCAUCCUGAGUUCAUCAGAGGUCUUCAGCCCUAGUACCUUCUUUAGCCAGUGCCCCAAUACCCAAAUUCAAAAAUGGCAAUAGGGAUAGGGCACCAGGCUCUAAGUCCCAGGUCAGUGUUAGUAGUGCUCGUACCAAUCUUUUGUGUCUAUAGUAUGGAAGACACCAUCAGGGUGAGUAUAGAGCAGGUAAUGAUGUGUGUUUCGGGUAUGGCAAACCAGACCAUUGGAUUCGAGAGUGUCGGGUAGUUUCUCAUAAAGGUAGGGAUACACGCCAAUAGGGCCAGUCCUAUCAAUCGUCAGUUCUAUCCAGCCGCCCAACUCAGUAAGGUGCCACUACCAGUGCUACCAGUAGUCAGCGUCCAAACAGAUUAUAUGCUCUUUAGUCCCGCCAAGAUCAGGAAAAUUCUCCUAACGUAGUUACUGGUAUGUUACAGGUCUUUCACUUACAUGUUUAUACUUUACUAGACCCUGGAGCUUCUCUCUCUUUUGUAACUCCAUUUAUAGCUAUCAAUUUUGGAGUCAGUCCCAAAACUCUAGCAGAGCCCUUUUCAGUGUCUACCCCAGUAGGAAUUUCCAUUAUAGCCAGACAGGUAUACAGGAAUUGUCUGGUCACAAUAUCUCAAAAAGUUACCUCAGUUGAUCUCGUGGAGUUAGAGAUAACGAAUUUUGAUGUCAUUCUUGGCAUGGAUUGACUCCACUCAUGCUAUGCCUUAGUUGAUUGUAGAAAUAAAAUAGUUUAUUUCCAGUUACCAAAUAAACUAGUCCUUGAAUGGAGGGGUAGUACUAUAGCUCCUUGGGGUUAGUUAGUUUCAUACCUUAGAGCUAGAAAGAUGAUGUCCAAAGGGUGUGUCUACCAUCUUGAAUGAGUCAAAGACUCUAACUCAAAAACUCCUACUCUUGAGUCAGUCCCAGUAGUAAAUGAAUUCUCAGAUGUAUUUCCUGAAGAUCUUCUCGAGGUUCCUCCCAAAAAUAAAAUCAACUUUAGAAUAGACCUUCUCCCAGAUACUCAACCUAUAUCCAUUCCACCGUACAGAAUGGCUCUAGCUAAACUCAAAGAACUGAAAAAAUAGUUAAAGGAUCUCAUAGAUAAGGGAUUCAUCAGGCCCAGCGUCUCCCCGUAGGGCGCAUCUGUUCUAUUCGUGCAUAAGAAAGAUAAUUCUCUCAGAAUGUGCAUAGACUACCGUCAAUUGAACAAGGUCACAGUCAAGAAUAAAUAUCCACUUCCUAGAAUCGAUUACUUGUUCGACCAAUUUCAGGGUGCUAGUUAUUUUUCCAAGAUAGACCUCAAAUCAGGCUAUCAUCAGCUUAGAGUCAGAGAAUGUGAUAUUCCAAAAAUAGCUUUCCAAACUCGGUAUGGUCACUUCAAAUUUCUAGUCAUGUCCUUUGGUCUUACAAAUGCCCCAGUAGCCUUCAUGGACUUGAUGAACAUGAGUUCAAGCAAUACUUGGACAAGUUCAUCAUAGUAUUCAUUGAUGACAUUCUUGUUUAUUCUCUUAGAGAAAGAGAUCAUGCAGAUGAUAAAGCUUAAAUUACACUCUUGAAUGGGUGUAAGAGAUCGUUGUAAAUAUAAAACUCAACUAGGUUGGGGUCGAAUCCCACAGGGAAUAGGGUGUGAACUUUGAUUUGUUUACGAAAUGCUUUGCUAGUAGUUUACUGUUGCCGAAGGUGGGGGUUUAAAUUUCACAAAGAGUCAAUAAUCACUUUCAAUAUUUUAGUGUUGUAAUCAAUAUAAAUAAGAAUGGGUGUAAGCGAUCAUUGUCAAUAUAAAACCGAACAAGGUUGGGGUCGAAUCCCACAGGGAAUAGGGUGUGGACUUCGAUUUGUUUACGAAAUGAUUUACUGGUAGUUUACUAUUUCCAAAGGUGGGGGUUUAAAUUUCACAGAGAGUCAAUUGUCACUUUCAAUAUUUUAGUGUUGUAAUCAAUAUAAAUGAGAAACUAGAGUUAUGUUCACCAUGGGUAUUGGGAGUUAACAAAUUCUAGGUAAUGCUUGGGAUUCUUGAAGUAAGUAGAAACAACAGAAUAUCCUUGACUAUGAUACUUUCUGACUUAUAUUUCGACCUCACCAGAUAAUUUAUUAUCUAAUUCUCUCAAACUUACACAACUUAUCUAUUUCCAAUAGGAUGUUAUCUCAAAUAGAUUACUCCAGUUACUGGAUCAAUCAUUAAACAAAAGGUUGGUAGCUUCCGAGUCCCUAUUGAUAAUUCACAACCUCUAGUCUAUUUCUCUCUUAGAAGCAAAUAAAACCUAAGGCAUAAUCUAAUGUUUGCAACCACUAGAUUUCAGUUAAAACAACAGAAUUUUAAGACGUUCUACUACUCUUUGAAUCCGUUAAAACACCUAGUAUCAUAUCAAACCCUAAUCCAUGGAUCCCAUAACUCUGGCUAAUGGAAUUAGUCGCUCAUGAUUUGAUGAACGAACUAACAAGUUGAAUUCAUGAUGAUAAGGUUAAAAUUAUGAAUAGAUGAAAAAACAACAAGUAGUUCCUUCAAUUUAAUCACAAGGUGGAAAACCAAAAAUAGUUGAUAAGAAACAAGAAUAUUUAAUGAAAGAGAGCAAAAUAUGUCUCUCCUUUUAGAGCUAAUGUCUGAUAGAUAAUGAUGAAUGGAUAUUUAAAACCCUUAAAAGAUGAUAUUUAUACUAAAGCCUACUUAAGGAAAUAAAAUAACAAAAUUAAUAAAGUUCUCGCAAUAGAUGACGCCCAAGCUGAUGCCACGUCAGGGGUCUGACGCCCUAUCACAGAUAGCAUCAGAAAUGCUUCAUUUGCCUUCAAAAUUUGUCUUAGGAGGACAAUGUAGCUGACGCUGCAUCACGGAUCUAACGAUGUAUCACCAACAUCGUCAAAUUUUUUCUUCAAGGUCAAUUCUCUAGUUUAGGCUGACGCCCUUCGUGACACCUUAUCACCGUCUUGAUGCCUUAUCAUCGACAUCAUCAAAACUUUAUCUCAGGGUCAAGUUUUUGGUUAAGGCUGACGUAACUACUGAUAGCCUAUCACAAGGCUGACGACUUAUCAUGGAGGUCGUCAGCCAUGUUUUCUUCUCUUUUGCUCAGAUUUUCAACUCUUUUGCUCCAUUGUCGUAUAUUUUCAUUCCUUCAGCCUUUUACUUCAAUAAACAUGAGCAAACACAUCAAAACAAUAAGAGUUGCUUCAGGAUUCACAAUUAUUUUGAGCUAAAAAACAUUAAAUGUGUUAGCUUUUACUCACACAUCAACUCUCUUAACUUAAAAUAAUUGCUUGUCCUCAAGAAACAAACUAACUAAGAGAAUACAAAGAACAUUCAGUAGUCAACAACCAUUUUAGCUCAAAACUCAGUUACCACCUCCAAGGUCAACCAAUUUAAACUAUUGUGUAUCUUAUUGAAAAUCAGCAAUGUAACACAAAGGAUUCCAGCCAUGGCAUCAACUACAUACCAACAAUCAUGCUUAUAUCAAUAUGACACUAUCCAAACAAGUAAGUCACCUAGCAACAUACUAGUUUGCCCUCACAACAAAGAAUUUCUCCCUUUUUUUUCUCUCAUGAAAAGUCAAAAUAUAAGAAUGAGGAUAAUCACAAAAGCACUCACUCUCAGAAUGAGGUUCAAACCAAUGCAUGUCAAAUACCAUAUGCUUUCCCUUAUCAUCAUUACCAAAGUGUUUGGACCGGUAAGCUAGGAUCACUAUAGGUCUUUCUUUGGCUUGUAACAUAGGCUAGGGGCUGGUAUGAUAUUAGAUGGCAUUUAGAGUAACUAACCUCCUUGGCUCUACCUUAAUCUGUGGGGUCUACUUAUUAACCUCUUUUACUCUCUUUUCCUUUUCUUUUCUUUUUCUCUUUAUCACAAAUUCAGAAUAGGUGUGGUUUUUCUUUUUAUUCAAACACACUUCUUUUCUUGCUCUUUUUUACCAACACCCAAUUUUAUAUUUCUUUUUCACUUAUUCUUUUUCUUCUACUCUACCCAUCUUCAUACCCAAUUUACAUUGCAUACCCCUAUUAGCCACCCUCAACUUAGGUUGUUUACCUAAGUUAAGGUGCACAGUGUCCAAGGAGGACCAGGGCCAAAAUAGGUUCAUUAUGAUCUAAAAGGGAAGGUGAUAGGUAUCACAGAAAAAAACUGGUCAAUUCAGCUCAAACAGGGAUCAAGGGAUAUUAUGCAUUACGGCAAGGUCAUUUAGGCUAAUAGUGACUGAAAUUGGAAAAUGGCCUAUGAUCCUUUCCUAACCCCUAUCUUUCAAAUAUGGUAAGACAAACCACACAAGUUCUAGAUCCGGUAAUAAAAAAAGAGAACUCAGUAUAGUCUCACACACACAUGGAACACAAGCAAUAUCACUGGAUACUACCUAUUUGGUUCAUGAAAUUUUUCAGCAGUGAUGAUCAAGAAACUAAAAUAAUGCCAUGAUGAGAUGCACAAUGGUCACAUUAAGAUGCGAUUCACACAGCCAUACAAAACAAACCUUCGAAGAGGUGUUCAAAAUUACAAAAUUAGUUAACUGCCUACAGAACUUGCACUACUCCUAGUUAUUUAUAGAAUAUGCUACAACAAUAUGUUACCUUACACCCUCAACUUAAAAUCAAAACAAAAUAAAAUUAAGGGUUAGGGAAUACCUGGAGUCAAUCAAGUCUUAAAUCAUGCGUCCUCGACCCUGCAGCAUGUUAUCCUCAUUAGGAGUUUCUCUCUGCUUUGGUUCAGCUGCUCUGCUAGAUGAGGCUCCUAUAGCCCUCGCUCUCAGUGCUUCUUCCCAUUUCCAGUUGUCCUCUCGGGAUGCUUGCAUUGCUCUUUUCAAAUCCACUUUCUCUUGUUCUGUCAACUUAUCAUCUGCCUGCAGUGUCUUCUCUGCCUUCUUCUUCUUCUUUGAUUUUUUCUCGGCCUUACUCUUAUUAUCAUCAUCUUCUUGUCUCUUUCUCUUACCUUUUUCAGCUUCUUUGUCUUUUUUUUUCUUUUUUAUUGGCUCUACAAUGAGAUUAAGGAUUGGGGGUUCAUCAUCAGAUUCCUCAGCUGUCUGCCCUUCAGGCAUCAUAAACUGGUGUUAUUGUACCACCACCAUCUCAUCUUUUACCUUCUCUAAGGCCACUCUGAAUUUAGCGAUUUCUGCUCCAGUCAACUCUUAUGCCCUUACAUCAAAAUGGUUCUCUAGAUCUGCAACCUAUGCAGGCAAAGUAGUAAAGGAUUAAGAGCAGCCCUGAUUCUCUUAACUACAACAGCAAUAAACUACUCAGCAAAGGCACGUAGCUGUGUCUCACACUAUCUAGCCUGUUUGGACACUUUUCUAAUAUCAAUAGGCUGGGAUGCAGCUUUCUCUAGUGCUGUAAGAACUGAUGGACCUGGCUCAUCAUCAGGAGCUGAGCCUGUCUGUGUAGCCUCAAAAGCUUGCACCUCAACUUCAGGUACUGAAUUAGGGAUUGCAACUGAUGGGUUCACCUCAACCCUCACCUCUCUAUUAAGUGUCAGCCUUGGUUGAUUCUCCACAUAGCGAAUAGGGUUAUGGAUCUUGGUGGCAUAUAGUGUAUUAUCGAUUCUAGCAAUAUAUGGUACCCCUGCCUCUAUGCAUAGCCUAGUAAUCAGACAAGGGAAUGGAUAAGCAGUGUCAUACCUCAUUACCCGAAUCUUAAUCUCUUCAGCAAUAAUAUCCCCAAAAUUUAGCUUAAGGUUGGCCAUAAUACAUGCAAACAAUAUUGCUCGAUCAUCACCCAGAAUGUUAUCUCCGUCAGUCGGCAUCAAAUGGGUGCACACAAUACCCCACAAAAUUUUUUCCUCUUGAGUGAAAGAAGCCUUGUAAAUACGCUCACUAGGUCGGGUCAUCCAUAAAGGAUCUCCCUCAGCUAUAAGUGUAGCUAACCAAGGACGCUGGUCAUCUUUACUCUUCUAACGAUGGUAGAAUGCAGGAUUUAUGACCUAAGGAAUGAAGUUAGGUCCAUGUAGAACUCUGUUGAUAGUCAUAUUAGAAAUAUCUACAUUUACCCCAUGAACUGGAACUCUGUCAGCAAAAACUGGUUUGCUGUGGUCUCUCCACUCUUGCACAUGCUCUCUAAUCUAGCCUGGUAGUUCACAUAGAACUCCCAGACUACUGUAGGAUAAAAUAAUUUACCUUCCUUAGCAGUCCAUCCCAGCCCAUAAUCUUUGAAUUUCUUCUCAACUGUAGGAUACCUAGGCAAUCCUAUGAUGAUGACUCUCUUCUCUGGAAACACUGGCCGUCUGGUAGAUCUUCUUUUUGUUCGAAUCAAACCUUUGAGGAAGAUGUCAUCUGCUUUAGGAAUCUACCAUCUAGCAUUCUCUCAAACCUCCAGAUUCUUGCAUUUUAUCAAAGUUCCCCAAACUGGGGGUUCCUUCUCAGCUUGAUUCUCAGUCGAGGGACUUUCAGAGGAUGUUUCCUUAGAAUCAACUUUGUCAGACUCAGCAUAUUCUGCCUCCGAUUCUUCAGAUUCAGCCUUCUCAGACUCAGGUUGUUCGGACUCAGUUUGUUCAGAACCUUCUUGCUUAAAAGAUUCAAUCUUAGUUGGGGUGGUAGUCUCAGUAUCAUCACUAUCCUCCACCGCAAUGGGUUUAGGUGGAGGAGGUGCCUUUGGACUGGGUUUCUUUCUCUUUCACCUGAGUAGUGGUUCUUCAUCUUUGUAAUUAGAGUCUUCAUCAAUAAGCUUUCGAACCACCUUAGGCUUGUCAACUUUCUUUAAAGUGUUAGGAUUUUUUUUUAGGUGCCAUUAGAAUGUUCCUAGACCAUAAGACAAACACAAGUUAAUAAUCUAGGUAUAACAGUCAAAACAUGUUAUUCAAGUUCACUUAGCAUUAUCAUCUAACUUGUGACGACGUGCCUGAUAAGGCGUCACAUUUGUGAUAACCUAUUAGGUAUGUCGUCAGCCUUAAACAGAACUGGCAUACUUCUUUCAAACUUGUGACGAUAUUCCUGAUAAGGCAUCACAAUUUUGAUAGCCUAUCAGGUAGGCCAUCAGCCUUAUACAGUGAAUGCUCACUUUUUCCCAUUUGCUGACGAUGUAGCUGAUAAGGCGUCAGGCUUGUGAUAACCUAUCAACAAUGUCGUUAGCUCAAAUUUUUUCCCCCACUCAGUUUGCAUUCUUAAUUUUGGGACCAAAUUCUUCAUAUAAUCACAUGGAAUUUUUGGUUUUGUACUUAGGGUUUUCAAAUUUUUGCAAUUUAGGCACAACUUAACCUUAAUUUCUAAUUUCCAUGCUAUUACAACUUGAACUCAAGUUUCUCCUUUUUGAACAUCUUGUUUUCAACAAAUUUACCACUUCAAUGAAAGUAGAACAAAGUUAUAAGCAUACCUAUGAGUUGACUCCACUUGAUUACACGAGAGAGAGAAGAAAAGAUUGAGAGAUAGACUUUGAUUUUCCUUGCAAUCCUAAAACUAUCAGGAAGGAGGUUUCCUUGUAUACUUGGAAGUUGUUUGAAAGGAAGUAAAUAUCCUACUAAGGAAAUAAUAUAAUACUUAAAGAAGGAAACAAAAUAAAGCGGGAACUUGAAGGGUUUUGGAUCUGGGCCGGGUCGGAUUCGGAUCAAUUUGGGCCCAGAUUUUCAAAAUCUAAAUAAUGGUUGAUGACAACUUGUGAUAAACCAUCACCAAUGUGAUAGUUUAUCACGGAGGUCGCCAGCUUUAACAAAGAAGGUCUCACUUACUGGUCUUCUUGAUGACAUUGGUGAUAAGCCAUCACAGUAGUGAUAGCCUAUCACGAGUUUCGUCAAGACCACUUGUCUUGCAUUCUUCAGUUUUUACCUUGACCUUUUUGUACCUCUUCAGUUCCUUCCGAUUACUACCUAAAUGAAUAAAAACAAAAUGCAAGAAAAUAAAAUUUUGGGUUGCCUCCCAAUAGCGCUUGAUUUAGUAUCGCGGCACGACUUGGUUGUCUUGACUACUCAAACUUCGUCAAGAUACUGUAUCAAUACCUCAUUACCAUUUUCCUGAAAUACAUCUACAACCGAGAAAAUAUAUAUCUCCUCCAACUGCUUCAUAGGAGGUUGCAUUUUGAAUCUGGCCUCCUUUUUUCCAUACCUAAACUUGAACUCAUUGAGCAUUAUAUCAACCAAUACUCUUCCCGUGGCUAAUAAUGGUCUACCCAAAAUGAUGGGUAUCUUAAAAUCAACAUCAUAACCCAAUAUCACUAAAUCUACAGGCAAGAUAAAGUCAUCCACUUUUACCGGCACAUCAUGCAAUAUACCAAUUGCUCGCUUCACCGAUCUGUCUGUCAUAACAACACGCAUCAUUAUGGGGUAAGGCUCCCUCAAUCCAAACUUCUUGUAGAUAUCAAGCGACAUCAGAUUAAUACUUGCUCCUAAGUCACACAAAGCUUUGGUAAACUUCAUGGACCUAACUGUGCACGGUAUAGUAAAUGCUCCAGGGUCAGGCUUUUUCUGCACUAAGUAUUGUGAAGAAACGGAACUACAGUGGUGGAUUUUUUCCACCGGCUCACAACUUACUUUCCGCUUCUUUGUUAACAAUUCCUUCAUAAAUUUAGCAUAGUUUGGAAUUUGCUCAAGUGCCUCCAUCAAUGGCAUAUUCACUGUCAGUUGUUUCAGUAUUGCUAUGAACUUUCUAAAUUUCUCAUUAUCUUUUUUAUUUUUUAAUAUCUGAGGAAAUAGAGGUGGUGGUCUUGUCAUUUAUUUCAAUACCACUUCCCCUUUCUUUUCUUCUUCUUUCUCUAAAAUAUCAACAAAGCCAUCCAGCUUCUCAGACUCUAUUGGAUUGCGUUCUUUUGAUUUAUCAACACUUACCUUCUUCUUCACAGCUUUGCCCAUAGAAGGGCUAGAUAACAUCUUUCUACUCUGACUAGUAAUCUCCAUACAAGAGCCAUCAGUCCACAGAUUCUGAAUCGUAUCACUAGGUAAAGUACCAACUUUUCUCUGGUUUAUAGUAGCCAAAAGUUGGCUCAUCUGCUGCUCCAAUUGCUUAAUAGAAGCAGAGUGUGAGCUAACCAACUAACUGAUGGUAGAAAACUCACUUUUCAUAUUAGUUGCCCCCGAGUUGGUUGCCUCAACUCCCUUCAACAACUUUCUAUCAUGUCUUCCAUGGACAUCUUGCCAGAACGAGUUAUCGCAGCAUCCCGACUUCCAAGAGGAAUAUACAAACCACUCCUAUCAUUAUUAUUUGUCCAAUGUCCCUACUCCCUAUCUUUAUAAUCAGGCUUGUCAUAGAAAGUCCGACCUUGGUUCCCUUGGCUAUUGCCUCAAAAAAACCCCUGAUUACUCACAUAGUUUGCCUCAGCCUCAGCACCUAUAGACACAGUACCCUGAGAUUCCACAACCUUAACCAUCUCAGUCUUUCCGAAUAGAAAGCACUUAGUUAGCAAGUCCAUCUGUGUCGUCAAAUGGGCCAUGUACUGAUCUCGCUUCUCCUCUCUUCUAUGUUGCUUCAUAGUAAUAUCACCAGCAACAGUUAGGCUAGCCACUACAGAAUCCCUAGUGUGCCAAGAUCGACUCUGUUUGGUCAUUCUAUUCAACAUGUCGGAAGUAUCUAGAGAAGAGAGAUCAAUGAAUGAACUACCAGCACCGUUGUCAACAAUAGGCUUUUUCACAGAGUUGAAAUCUCUGUACAAAGUCUCCAUCAAGUGCAAAUCUAUCAUAUCAUGUUUCGGACAUUGUGCAUGUUUCUUCUUAAAUCUUUCCCAGGUUUCGUGCAGUGCUUCAGUCAGAAGCUGUUUGAAGUUGCUAAACUCAUCCCUCAACUGUACCUUUUUGGAGGGUGGAAAGAACCAUUCUAGGAAUGCAUCUUUCAACUAUCUCCAGUUGGUUAUAGAAUUGGGCUCUAAUUUAUUCAACUACAUUGUUGCCUCUCCAGACAGAGACAAUAGAAAUAAUUUGGAUCAUGGUACUUUUUAUGCUGAACUUUGCACUUGGUGCCAACAGUGGUGGAAUGAUAGCACUCGUCUCACUAGCUCCAUCCAUUCCUUCAUCAUCUUCAUCAGCCUCAUUUUUCAUAGGCUAUUGACCAUAUCUUUCACGGACUGGACGAUUCCUAUUGAUAUUUCGCUACAACGGUGAAACAACUAGCUCAACUCUCCUUGGGUUUUGAGGAUUCAGCAAUUCCUCAUCACCCAAGUCUUCAUCAUCAGGGUCUUGGUAACGUGCUUGUUGACUCAAAUUCUGCACAUUCACCUAAGCCCUGGCUAAAGCAGCUAGUCUUUUUGCUUCCUGUUGUUCAGCCAUUCUUCUAAUUAGUUGAGGUUUCGGAUUGUUUGGUAAUAGUGGUUCUCCAGAACUUCUCGUGCUUGGCAUAAACAACAUAGUACCUACAAUAAACAAAAACAACAAAUAAACAUAAAUCAAGGAAACUUAACUAUCAGUAAAUUUUCGUACACAAAAUUUUCAGUCUACAACUGUAUUCCCCGGCAAUGGUGCCAUUUUUGAUAACACUCAAAUUACACUCUUGAAUGGGUGUAAGCGAUCGUUGUCAAUAUAAAAACCAACUAGGUUGGGGUCGAAUCCCACAGGGAAUAGGGUGUGAACUUCGAUUUGUUUACAAAAUGCUUUACUGAUAGUUUACUGUUUCCAAAGGUAGGGGUUUAAAUUUCACAGAGAGUCAAUUGUCACUUUCAAUAUUUUAGUGUUGUAAUCAAUAUAAAUGAGAAACUAGAGUUAUGUUCACCAUGGGUAUUGGAAGUUAACAAAUACUAGGUAAUGCUUGGAAUUCUUGGAGUAAGUAGAAACAAUAGAAUAUCCUUGACUAUGAUACUUUCUGACUUAUCUCUCGACCUCACCAGACAAUUUAUUAUCUAAUUCUCUCAAACUUAGAUAACUUAUCUAUUUCCAAUAGGAUAUUAUCUCAGAUAGAUUAAUCUAGUUACGACAUCAAUCAUUAAACAGAAAGUUUGUAGCUUCCGAGUCCCUGUUGAUAAUUCACGACCUUUAGUUUAUUUCUCCGUUAUAAGCAACUAAAACCUAAGGCAUAAACUAAUGUUUGCAACUACUAGAUCUCAGUUAAAACAACAAAAUUUCAAGACGUUCUACUACUCUUUAAAUCCAUUGAACACUUAGAAUCAUAUCAAACCCUAAUCCAUGGAUCCCAUAACUCUGGCUAAUGGAAUUAGCCGCUCAUGAUUUGAUGAACGAAAUAAAAAGUUUAAUUCAUGAUGAUAAGGAUAAACUUACGAAUGGAUGAAAAAAAAACAAGUAGUUCCUUCAAUUUAAUCACAAGGUGGAAAACCAAAAAUAGUUGAUAAGAAACAAGAAUAUUUAAUGAAAGAGAGCAAAAUACAUCUCUCCUUUUAGAGUUAAUGUCCAAUAGAUAAUGAUGAAUGAAUAUUUAAAAACCCUAAAAGGUGUUAUUUAUACUAAAGCCUAAUUAAGGAAAUAAAAUAAAAAAAUUAACAAAGUUCUCGAAAUAGGUGACACCCAAAAUGACGCCACAUCAGGGGUCUGACGCCCUAUCACAGAUAGUGUCAAGAAUGCUUCAGUUGCCUUUAAAAUCUGUCUUAGGCUGAUGAUGUAGCUGAUGCCGCAUCACGGAUCUGACGGCGUAUCACCAACGUAAUCAGAUUUCUUCUUCAAGCUCAAUUCUCUGGUUUAGGCUAACGCCCUUCGUGAUGCCUUAUCACCGUCUUGAUGCCUUAUUACCGAUGUUGUCAGAACUUUCUCUCAGGCUCAAGUUUCUUGUUAAGGCUAAUGACUUAUCACGAAGGUCGUCAUCCAUAUUUUCUUCUCUUUUGCUCCAUUAUCAUUUAUUUUCAUUCCUUCAGCCUUUUACUAUAAUAUCAUAAGCAAACACAUUAAAACAACUAGAGUUGCUUCAGGAUUCACAAGUAUUUUGAGCUAAAAAGCAUUAAAUAUGUUAGCUUUUGCUCACACAUCAGCUGACCAUCUCAGCAUAGUACUUCAGACUCUUAGAGCCCAUCAGUUGUUUGCUAAAUUCAUUAAGUGUGAAUUUUGGCUAAGAUCAGUAGUUUUCUUUGGCCAUAUUUUUUUUGGUGAUGGCAUUAGAGUUGAUCCUUAAAAAGCUGAAGCGGUGAGAAACUAGCCUAGACCUAUCUCUCUAUCAGAUAUUAGUAGUUUCUUAGGUUAAGCUGGCUAUUACCGUCAGUUUUUUGAAGGGUUUUCUUUUAUUACAUCAGCCAUGUCUAGAUUGACUCAGAAGAAAGUUAAGUUUUAGUGGUCAAAUUCAUGCGAGAAGAGUUUUCAGGAGUUGAAGACUCGACUCACCUCAGCCCUAUUCUUGACUCUACCAGAUGGUUCAAAUGGUUUUGUUGUGUACUGUGAUACAUCCAGAAUAGGUUUGGGAUGUUUCCUCAUGCAAAGAGGUAAGGUCAUAGCCUACGCCUCCAAACAGCUUAAGCCUCAUGAGAAAAAUUAUCUGACUUAUGAUCUUGAGCUAGUAGCGAUGGUAUUUGCCUUAAAGAUUUGGAGGCAUUACUUGUAUGAGGUGCAUGUAGAUGUGCCUACAGAUCACAAAAGCCUUCAGUAUGUGCUCUCUCAGAAAGAUUUAAAUUUGCAUUAAAGAAGAUGGUUAGAGCUAUUGAAGAAUUAUGACAUGAGUGUUCUGUAUCAUCCAAGUAAGGACAAUGUAGUGGCUGAUGCUCUCAGUAGAAUGUCUAUGGGUAGUGUAGCUCAUGUUGAGGAUGGUAAGAAGAAGUUAGCUUAGGAAGUUCAUCAUCUUACUCGACUAGGUGUUCGUUUACUCAAUUCAGCAGAAGGUAGUGUAUGGGUGCAGAGUAGCUCAGAGACAUCUCUACUUUUUGAGGUAAAGAAAAAGCAGGAUAGAGAUCCCAGUCUAGUUAAGUUGAAAAAAUCAGUCAAAAAUCAUAAAGUGAAGGUUUUCUCCCAAGAGGGAGAUGGUAUUUUGCGUUGUCAGGGUAGAUUGUGUGUGCAUAGUGUAGAUGAGUUGAGGCAAUGAAUUCUUGCAGAAGUGCAUGGUACGUGUUACUCUAUUCAUUCAGGGGCCACUAAGAUAUACCACGAUUUGCGAGAGAUUUAUUGGUGGAGUGGGAUGAAGAGAGAUAUUGCAAAGUCUAUAGCUAAGUGCUCUAAAUGCCAGCAAGUUAAGAUUGAGCACCAGAAGCCUAGUAGGUCCAUGCAGGAGUUCAGUAUUCCUAUGUGGAAAUGGGAGGAAGUGAACAUGGACUUUGUGAUAGGUUUUCCUCAUACCUGUCAUCAGUAUGACUCUAUUUGGGUUAUCUUAGACAGGAUAACCAAAUCAGCUCAUUUCUUGCUAGUCCAAACCUCUUAAUCAGCCGAGGACUAUGCCAAACUCUUAUCUCAGAGAGUUAGUUAGGUUGCACGGUGAUCCCUUAUCUAUCAUCUUAGAUAGAGGUACCCAGUUUAUGUCUCAUUUCUAGAAAGUAUUCCAAAAGGGUCUUGGUACCCAAGUCCACCUCAGUACAACCUUUCACCCUCAGAUAGACGGUCAAGCAGAACAGACCAUUCAGACUCAUGAGGAUAUGCUGAGAUCAUGUGUUGUUUAUUUCAAGGAUAGUUGGGAUGACCAUUUGCCUUUGAUUGAAUUUGCAUACAAUAACAACUAUCAUUCCAGUAUCUGUAUGGCUUCAUUUGAAACUCUUUAUGGUAGGAGAUGUAGAUCUCCAAUUAGUUGGUUUGAAGUAGGUGAGGCCGCAGUAGUACGGUUUGAAUUGGUGUUUGAUGCAUUAGAGAAGGUUCAGUUGAUCAGAGAAAGGCUUAGGGCUAACCAGAGCCGAUAGAAAUCGUAUGUCGAUGUGAGAAAAAAGGAUCUCGAGUUUAAGGUCGGUGAUCUUGUGUUCUUAAAAAUCUCUCCCAUGAAAGGAGUGAGGAGAUUCAGCAAGAAAGGGAAACUCAGUCCUUGAUAUCUCUGUCUCUUCAGAAUCUUCAGUCAUUUCGGAAAGGUAGCUUACGAGAUAGAGUUGCCUUCAGAUUUAGCCUUGUUACACCCAGUGUUUCAUAUCUUAUUGUUGAAAAAGUGUAUUGGUGAUCCAACUAUAGUUGUUCCCUUAGAAAGUAUAGAUAUUCAGAACAGUCUUUCCUAUGAAGAAGUUCCAGUUGAAAUUUUUGAUCACCAAGGUCAUAGACUAAGAAACAAAGAAGUUUCAUUAGUUAAAGUUCUUUGGUGAAAUUAGUCCGUUGAGGGAGCUACUUGGGAAGAAAAGGCAGAUAUGCGGACCAAGUACCCUCAUCUCUUCUUCGAUAAUCCAAAUUCAAUAUAAGGUACCAAAUCUUUGAAAGAUUUUUCUCUAUUAUGCUCAGUUACAGUUGCACAUCAUGUUCAUGUCAGUCAUGCAUUCAUAAACCAGUUCAGUCAUGCAUUCCAUGCAUCAGACAUGUAUAUUCAGUGUGUAAGCUCAGUCCAUCAGUUCCCUCAGCUCAACCAAUUUCAUUCAAUAACGAAGGAUCCCAAGGGAGAGAUAUUGUAACACCUCGUAUUUCCCUAGCAUAAUCUAAGUCCCUAUACAUGAGUAGUCAUAUAUGAUAUUUUCAAACACUUAUUAUUUUCCAGUUUAGAGCCUUUCAUUGUGUAGGAAAUUGAAUUAUCUUUCUAAUAAUAUAAAAUUUGCCUAAAUUUGAUAAUCGGGUAAAAAGUUAUGGCGAUUUAAAGUUUCACUUGUUAAACACCGGCAUUUUAACCCUUAGCGCAUCGCGUAGGGAUCCCAAAUGACAAUUGUCAAUUUCCAGUGUGACUUUGUGAUCAUGGCGCAUCGCGAAGUAGGCCAAUUUCCAGUUUGUCAAUUUUUAGUGUGCCUCCACGAUGUUGGUGCGUCGCAGAGGUGACCAAAAUGGCAUCCAAAGGCUUACCGCGAUAAUGGCGCUUCGCGCCAUCAGCACAGUUCCCAGUUGUCAAUUUUCAGUGACACGGAGUAAAAGCACCGUGUCGCGCCAGAUGCCCAUUUCAAAAAAAUUCGACGAAAAAUUAAUAUUUUGUUCAGGGACAAAACAGUCCUUUCCCUAUUAUUUUAGUCCGCCUAGGUGGGAUAUUUAAGCCCUAAAAAUGUUUUUAAAAUCAUUCUUUAAUUAAUUUCCCCCAAAUCAAAAGGCAUUCUCUCCCAAUCAAGAACCCUAACUCUCAAAUUCAAGGUCAAUCCUCAAGCAUUCACCAAGAACUUCAAGAAAUCAAUCAGUUAAGGUAUUUUAGAUGCUUAUCCAUGGAUUCCUUUCAUCCACGGAGUCCAAGCAACCUUUUUAAAUUAUAAAAUUGUGAUCUUUUCAAGUUAUUGUAUUUUAAAUUGGGGAUUUCACCCAUGAAUCUCCACGAACUAUGAUUCUAUACCAUGUUACAAUGAAAUUAUUGUUAUUAUUCAAUCAUCCAUGUUUUAAUAUUAUUAUUUAUUGAAUUAAACCAUGAUUUAAUGUUAUUGUGAUGAAUUCAUGCUAUUUAUACAAGCUCCAUGACAUUCCUAUGAUUGUUUUAAAACCAUGAACUACAAGUUUUUGAUAAAAUGCCUACAAGAGUGAUUUAUUUAUUAAGAGCCUUCAUGCUUUGGCCUUCAAGCUUUAGUGUCUUUUCAGUAUUGUUGUUUUGAGUCCUGGGGGUGUCGAAUACCCAAAAACCAUAGUUGUUUAUCUAGUCUAGCCUUAGUACAUUACAGAAUAGUCUUCAGAUUAUAUUAUGAGCAUUAUCAGAAGAGUCAGAUAUCAGUUAUUCAACUCAGAACAGUCUAGUACCUUAGUGUCCUUCAGUUGGGAGUAGGAUUUAGCACCGAGCGAGUGUAGGGAUGGUUGCUUCCCCAUUAGAUAGGAAGAGUCGUUAGUAGCAGCCGCUAUACUACAAAACUAUGUAUCCAUUAUAGGAUAUGAGUAGUCACCCAUCGGACUAGGCUAGACUAUCUCUCAGGGGUCACCCAGCAGUUCAAGCUUGACACCCUUAGUCCUUUGGACAUUAUAUCAGUUUAGUGGAUCCACACAACCAUCGUUAGUACCCAUGGCACGGUAUUAACACCCUUCCAACUGGGUUAUAGGUUGGACCCCAAUUAGCUCAAAUUGGGGAAUGUCGAUUAGAUGAUACCCCCCACAAUCUCGGAUAUAGUCUCAGUUACAGUCCCAGCUCAGUUAUUCAGUCUUAGUGUUGUUUUAAAAAAGCAUACAGAUUUUAGUUAUCUCAGUAUAUCAGUUUACAAAUUUUACUCAGUUCAUCUUAUAUGCUUGGUCAUGCAUCCACAGUAUUUAUAGAUUUUUAUGCAUUAUCAGUAUCUACAGAUUUUAUGUUUUCUAUUCAGUACUCCAUGCUUUACAUGUAUGUCCAGUUAAUUAUUAUCAUUCCUAUUCAUGAGACCAUGCAUAUCAGCCUAUCUCAUUUAGCAUACCAGUAUAUUCAAAGUAUUGAUCGCAUACCUUUUCUUUUGCGCUAUCAUGUCUCAUAUCAUAGGUGCUGACGCUUAGUUCCUGGAUCACACCUAGAUUCUCAGAUUAUCGGCAGUACAGUUGUAGUGGUGAGUCUUCAUCAUCCAAGGAUAGAUUAUACUACUUUAUGCCUUUAUCUCGGUAGUUAGUAGAGUUAGUUAGGGCCUAUACCAUCAACUAACUGCAUCCAUUUUAGAGGCUUUUCAGACAAUACAGUUAGCUAUUCAGACUAUUCAUAUUUUAGUAUUUUUAUCUGAUUCAUAAUUUAGUAGUUAUUUCAUUAUUAAAACCUUAUGGUAUUUUAGUUAUUCUUCCACAUUCAUGAUUAUAUUAUUCAGUGCUCACAACAGGUACCAACUCAUAGGUUAGCUUGUGGUCUCUCAAAAAUGUAAGCACCGUGUAACGACUAGGGGGUAGUCUCGGGUCAUUACAUCUCACCUCUGAAACAUCAAACCAACCCACUGGGGAGUGACAACACUUACCAUACAAUGCAUCAAAAUGAUCCAUUUCAAUACUGGAAUGGUAACUAUUAUUAUGUGCAAACUCUGCUAAAGCCAAAACCUGCUCCCAUUGGCCACCAAAAUCCAUUAAACAUGCAUGGAGCAUUUCCAAAACCUGGAUAGUCCGCUUUGAAUGGCCAUCAGUUUGGGGUGAAAUGCUAUGCUAAGAUCAACCCAAGUACCCAACUCAUCCUGAAAAGUCUUCCAAAAGUGAGAUGUGAACACAAAACCUUAGUCUGAAAUAAUGGACACCAACGCACCAAGCAGACACAUAAUCUCAUGAAUAAUGAUAGGGGCUAACCUCUUAGCAAUUAAUGAGACCUAAACCAGAAUAAAAUAAACUAACUUGGUCAAUAGAUCUACGAUGACCCAAACACUGUCAGAACUAUGAGAUGUACAAGGAAAACCUGUCACAAAGUCCAUAGUGAUCCGUUCCCACUUUCACUUGCGAAUGAGAAACCUCUGAAGCAAUCCACUAGGUCUCAUAUGCUCGGACUUCACCUGCUGGCAAUAAAGGUAACGAGCUAUGAAGUCCGCCAUAUAUUACCUCAUUCCACCCUACCGGUAGUGUUGUCUCAAAUCAUGAUACAUCUUAGUCAUACCUGGAUGAAUAGAAUAUCUGGAACAAUAGGCCUCCUCUAAGAUCAAGCUAAUCCAAUCACCCAUUGGACACAAACUCAGCCUCCAACCCAUAAAACUCCAUCUAAAUCAAGUGAGGCUUCCUUAGCCUUCUCACUCCACACCUUAUCUCAAAUUAACCUUCAUCCAACAUUAUCAAACUGAUGAGCUUAAAUAUAUUCCAUCAAAGAAGAUCUAGCCUCCACAAAACCCAAAACAUACUCAAGUGUCGAAAUAUCAAGCCUAACCAUCUGGUUAGCUAAAAUCUGAACCUCUAAGACGAAAAGCCUCUCCUGGGUCAAAAGAUACACCAAGCUACCCAUGCUAGUUGACUUUCGGCUCAAGUCAUCUGCAACCACAUUAGCUUUGCCCGAAUGAUAGAGAAUAGUCAAGUCAUAAUCCUUAAGAAACUCAAGACAACGACGCUGCCUCAUAUUAAGAUCUCGCUGGGUGGCGAAGUACUGAAGGCUACGAUGAUCUGAGAAGAUCUCACAAAAAACUCCAUACAAGUAGUGCCUCUACAACUUUAAGGCAAACACAACUGCGCACAACUCCAAAUCAUGGGUAGAAUAAUUCCUCUAAUGAGGCUUCAACUGACGAGACGCAUACGUAAUCACCUUGCCCUCCUACAUAACCACAACACCCAAAUCAACUCCGAAAAUAUCAUAAAACACGAAAAAGCCCACGCUCUCCUUGGGAAAAGCCAAUAUAGGAAUUAAAGUCAACAAAUCCUUAAGCUUUUGGAAGCUCGCCUCACAAGUAUCGAACCACUGAAAAGAAAUCUUCUUCUAGGUCAACUUGAUCAAUGGAGCUGCAAUAGAUGAAAAACCCUUGACAAAACAUCGAUAAUAGCCUGCUAAUCCAACAAAACUCUGAAUCUCAAUGGGCGAAGUAGGUCUAGCCUAAUAACAAACUGUGGCAAUCUUGGUUGGAUCAAUUAUAAUACCUUCCUUAGUCACCACAUGCUCCAAGAAAAAAAAAACAGACUUCAACCAAAACUCACACUUAGAGAACUUCGCAUACAACUUCUCAUCCCUCAAUAUCUGAACCAUAGUCCACAAAUACUCCUCAUGCUCCCUCCCUCUAGGAAUACAUCAAGAUAUCAUUUAUAAAUACAAUAAUAAAUGAGUCAAGAUACGAUUAAAACACUCGGCUCAUCAACUUCAUAAAUGCGGUAGAGGUAUUGAUCAACCCGAAGGACAUGACCAAGAACUCAUAAUAACCAUAUCGAGUAUGAAAAGCUAUCUUUGAAAUAUCUGAAGCUCUAAUCCUCAACUGGUGAUAACUAGACUGCAAAUCAAUCUUGGAAAACACUGCAGUGCCCUGAAGCUGAUCAAACAAAUUAUCGAUGCGAGGAAGAGGAUACUUAUUCUUAACCAUCAGCUUAUUCAAUUGUCGAUAAUUAAUGCACAUCCGCAUAGAUCCAUCCCUUUUUCUUCACAAAUAAGAUAGGGGCACUCCAAGGUGAAUCACCAGGUCGAAUAAAUCCCUUAUCUAACAACUCCUACAACUGAUCAUUCAAUUCCUUCAACUCUGCUGGGGCCAUCCUAUAAGUAGGGAUGGAAAUAGGCUUGGUUCCCAACUCAACAUCAAUAAUAAAAUCAAUAUCUCAAUUCGAAGGCAUACUAGGCAAGUCAGUAGGGAACACAACCAUAAACUCACGAACAACACAAAUAGAAUCCAAGAAAGGAGGCAAAACAACGUUGGUAUCACAAAUAAGAGUCAAGAAUGACAAACAUCCCCUCUCAACUAAUUUACAAGCCUGAACAUAAGAUAUAAUCCUCUUAGGAAUCGAACGAAGAGUACCCUUUCAACCUAUCUUUGGCAUACCUGGGGAAGCUAAAGUCACAGUCUUAGCAAAAUAAUCUAAGACAAUAUGAUAAGAAGCCAACUAAUUCAUACCCAAAAUAAUAUCAGAAUCAACCAUAUCUAACACAAUCAAGUCUACCAAAGUCUCAUGCCCAGCAUAAGUCACAACACAAUAUCGGCACACUCGAUCCACCACUAAAGAAUUACCUACUGGGGUAGAUACAUAAAUAGGCAUGGCAAGAGACUCAUUAACAAAAUUAAAAUCCAAAGAAAAAUAUAUAGACAUAUAGGAAAAAGUAGAUUUGGGAUCAAAUAAUACAGAUGCCAGUUUGAAACAAAUAGGGAUGAUACCAGUAAUCACAACAUCAGAAGCCUGUGCCUCAGGUCAGGCUGGUAUAGCAUAACACUAACCACGACCACCUACUACUUAAGUGGCCCCACGGCCACCCUUAUGACCUCCAUUGCCGCUAUCUUUCACACCUCUGGUAGCACCCCUACCCCUCACAGCUGAAAUAAGAGUAGCUUUAAAUCAUGGCAAGGACAGUCCUUGGCCAUAUACCAGUCUUACCACGCACAUAGCAACCUCUAUGACCAGUAUCAACAGAAUAAGGCACAACUAGGCCUGAACAGCCACCCUGAACUGCUGAACUAGAAGGUACAACACCUGAACUCUAUAAGGCCGCCUGCACUAGCAUAUAUUAUCCACGGGAACCAUUAAAAUCUCUACAAUAGGGAGACUGACCUCUGAACUUACAAAAAUAAUGUGCCUUCUUGGCGCCACCCUGAGAUACUUGAAGAAUAUCCUCUGUCAUCUUAGCAUGAUCCAUAAUACUUUGAAAGAAAGCCCUAAGCACAACCAUCUGAGAUAUAGACAACUAAAGAAAGACAUCCAAACCUUUUACAAACUUCUGAGUCUUCUCAGUCUGGAUGGAAAUACUAUCAUAGGAAUAUCUGGACAAGGCAGGGACAUAUGCCUCUUACUCAGCAACUGUCAUGGAGCCCUUCUCCAAAUGAUCAAACUCGUCCCACAUACGAUCUCUAAAACUGAAAGACACAAAUCUCUCUAGAAAGACAUCAACAAACUGAUCCGAUGACAACUCAGGAGCAUCAACAAGCCUACAACUGAUAAAUAAUCUCUAUCAAUAUCUCACAGUAUCUCUCAACUAAUAGUAGUAUAAGCCCAAUUCAUGCAGAAAGAGUGAAACACAACGUAGAAUACAAGGUAUAAAAGAACUUUGCACGAUAAAGAAUAAAAUAAGGAAAGUUUCCUAAUGACUUCCUAUAGCCUCUCGAAGAUAGAUACGGACACCUACGUACAAAUCUGUAAGACUCUAUUAGGCAUCUCAUUCUUACAUUGUUAAGACCAAUGAAACCUGGCUGCUCUAAUAUCCAUUUGUCACGACCCAAAAACGAGGGUGAUGAUAGCACUUUUUACGACGUACCUUGACAAGUAAGCCUAUCACCUAAACAGAUACAAAAAGAAAAAAAGGUAGAAAUAUCCCAAGAUAAGGCUUCUAGAAUGAAGCCAAACUAUAUAAGUAAUCAUAACAAUGCGAAAAGAACUUAUCCAAAAUACCAAUCAUGCCCAAAACUAGGUGUCAAUAGUGUAAGAACUACUAAUACAAUCCAAGAGUCAAAUACAUCAAAAACUAACCCAAAGGAAUAAUAACUGUCUCCGAAUACUAAUAAAGACAUAACUACUAUAGAAAGAUAGAGGUGAACUUCGAAUGCAUGAAUGUCCAACUGCUACCUUGGAAGCUCCGACUAUCGCUUGAGUUAAGCAAGUUGAGGCACACUCAAGCUAAGACUGGCACUGCAAGGGCGUAUUAGGCAUGAGUAAAGUCCAUUUGUACUCAGUAGGUAUCAUAGGCCAACCAAGCAAAGUAGUAAAUAAAGCAUACAAAAUAUACACUAAAGGCACGUCACUUGCAAUCAGAAAAUAUCCCACAAUGGUAGCCCACACUGCUUGCACUAACAAUUCUAAUAUAUCUCACAUUUAUUGCAACAUCACACCAAGAUAGAACAAAAAUAUGUAUUAUAUCUCAUAUAAGAAGAACAAGGGGGAACAUUCAUAUAUAAGAUCAUCAGAUACAAGUAAAAGAAGAUACGAUAAAUAUAUAGAUGACAAGUCAAUAUGCCAAUACAACACAACAUAACAUAAUAAAGUAACUGCAAUGUAUAUAAUGAUGAUGAUGAUGCACGAGGUUAUCGCACAACCUCCGAGAUCAUCGCACAAUCCCCAUAUAUACCUACGGAGCUAAAGCUUCCCAACGUAGGAUUCAUGAGGAGUUUGUCAACCCGUAUACAAUCCACAUAUCUCAUAUCUCCUUUCUGGCACAUCCCUUGGAAAGGUUUUUAUAAGGCGUUACAAUAUCUCUUCCCGGCACAUCUCUUGGGGAGGGUUUUAAAAAAAUGCUGCUAAUGUUUCUCAGAUGUUGUAGUGUUUCUCAGAUGUUGCCACGGUGGUACCAAUGUUUCAUGAAUGAGCAUGAUAUAAGGAUGUAAUGAUCGCAACCAAUCACAAUGAGUAUUUUUACAACCAACCACAAUGAUAUAUUUCCACAACUACGUGAGCCAAUAUCCACUCAUUAUUUUAGUUUUAUUUAUGAAUUUCCAUCUGUCUCAUAUGCCAAAUAAAAUAUAAAUAUAAUCAUAAUAUAAAAAUAACACCAUAUUAAGCAUAUUAAAAACACAAUACAAUUAUUCAUAUAUAUUCAAGGCUAUUAAUAUCAUAUAGGACCCCACACAGUCACACAUAUCAUAUAAUAACUCAAUUUCGACAAUUACAUUCCAUAUAGGCCCCUACACGACAACACAUAAAUAGCCUUUUUCAUGAUUAGUUCGCACUCUUAACAUGCAUUGUGUAUUAUCAUUUACUACCCAACCCAGUCUGAAAGAGUUAAGCCAUAACCUACCUCAAAAGCCAAAAUCAAUCCACUACACUUGAACCCGCGAUCUUACUUUCAUGAACAAUCCCAAACUUCAUUAAAAAUAUCAAAUAUGAAAUCUACGCGUCAAAACAAAAGCAAUGACACUCAUAUUAACUACUUUUGGUUCGGGGUCAAAACGGACCUUCAAAAUGGAUUUCUAAAAAACAAGGUCAAAAUCAGAACUUUACUUCAAAAAUAUGUUCCCCAUAUUUUUAGGAAUUUCCAGCUGAAAACCCAAGACAAAUUGAGUCAAAUACGAGGUUCAAAUAAAAGAAAAAAUAUUUUUAAGCUUUACCGGAUAAAUUUUUUGAAAUCUGGGUUAAAAUAAAGUAUCGGAGUUGUUUGGCAGGUUAAAUUGAUGAAAAACUAGUAAUUAUAAGAUAAAAACAUUAUUCAAGUGAAAAAAAAAAGAAAAAAUGGAGUUCAAAAUCAAGCUCUAAGAUUUUUGGGGUUUUGAGAAAUUAAUUAAGAAAUUAGUAAGAAAAGGGUGAAUUCUUACCUUAAAUUCGUAAUAACACCAAGAAAUAGGUGUUAAUCUACCUUCUCAAGCUUCCACAAACUUUACUUUUGAGCUCCCACACUAUUUGAGGAUUUAACUCUCAAGAGGCAAGAUGCAAAAUGAACAAAAUGGACCCAAAAACUUCUAUAAAUAAUGCAAAUUUUUUGCACCAGCUACAGCAAAAAGUUGCUUUUUAUAAGUCCAAUUCGAACUUCGAUUGGGUGUCCUGGAUUCGUUCGGAGUCCGAUUUAUGCAAACGAACUAUGCAACCAUACUAAAUUUGACAUUUCGAAUGUGUUGGCAAAGUCAUAUUUUUGAAAAAAUAUCAUUUUCACAAAGUUGACCCGCAAAACCCGAAAUCAUAAUUUUUCAAACCGAGGGUCGAAAUGAGAUUUAAAAAUUGUAAAAUCAUACCAAACAUGAUAACACCGUAAAUUUGAUAUUUUAGAUCUGCUAACGAAGUUAAAUUUUUCAUCCGAGGUCGUUUCAACCAAAUGUGGGUCCCACACUCAUAUUUUUAAUUUUUCAACUUUUCGACCAAUAGGUCGAAAUGAGCUCGAGUGCACCAAGACCUGAGCCAAAGGUCUACCUAGCCUAAAAUUGAUAUUACGGAACUGCUGGCGUAGUCCAUUUGGCCAUCCGUCAUACGGAUCAAAAGAUAUCCACAUAAUUCCAAAAUAAGGCUCUCGAAGCCAUCAAAAACCACAAUAUUACAUAAAUGAUACCAAAAUGCAUUAAAAUCUUGUCAAUCACUGCCAUACCUCAGAAAUACCAUAAUACAACCACGGUGAGGGGUAAAACAUUCAAAUCACAUAAAAUCACAAAUUUUACAUAUUUUAUCAAAUUUUUAGGUCGUUACAAUUUCUAGAAGUACUUGUCAGGCCGAUAUUUUUAGACUCCAAGCACAAUAUAUUUAUUAUUUAUCUACAUUAUUAAAAAUAUUUAAUGUAGAAUUUUUCUAACUUCCAAUGUUGGUCGUGCUGUUAAUAAAAAUGAUUAUUUAACCAUUACUUGUCAUUUGAUAGAUAAUAAUUUUAUUAUGCAAAAAAGUAUUCUAGCUUUUUUGUAUGAUGAAGAUCGUAGACAUACUGAAAAAAUUAUUUUUGAAUCUAUUACUAAAAUUACAGAAUAUUAUGGUAUUCAAAAAUAAAAUUAUGUAUUGCUUUUGAUAAUGCAUCUAACAACAAGGUUGCUAUUGACAAGUUAAAAACUGACUUUUCUCCGUCGUUACCUGAAAUAUUUCAUGUUAAGUAUGUUUGUCAUAUAUAUAGCUUAAUUGUAAAAGAUGGUCUUGAAUUUUUUUGGCUUUAUAUUGAAAAGGUCUGGCUUGUUGUUGGCUUUAUUCAAGGAAAUCAUCGAAAAAAGAGUAAAAGAAUUUAAAGUUAAAUGCGAACAAAAUGGACUUAGACCAAUAUUAAUGCCUGAAGAAUGUCAUACUAGAUGGAAUGCUACUUAUACUUAUUUAAAAACUUGUCUUGCAUAUAAAGUUUCUAUUACAAUGACUUUUAAUCAAUAUUCUAGUUCUUUUCCUGAGUGUAUGCUACAUGAUUCUGAUUGGGCUGCAGUUGAUAAUCUUGUUAAGUUUUUGAAAAAAAAUUAUAUAUCUACGGUUGAAUUUUUCGGUGCUUAUUAUCCUACUGUUUGCUAUAUUUUAGCUUAUUUAGCCGACAUUUCUUGUUUGGUUAAAGAAUAUAAGAAUAGAAAAGGUUACAAAGAAGCUGGUAGUGCUAUGUUUGCUAAAUUUAAAAAAUAUUUUUAUCCGCUUCCCUCAAUUUAUUUGGUUGGUGUUAUACUAAAUCCAUGUAUGAAAUAUAAUACAAUGUGCGACUUUAGUUAUAUUAUUUAUACUUCCUUAGAGAUAGAGCCUGAAGAAAAAUCAUAUUUGUUUACGGCUAUGAGUGAUGCAAACAUUUACAUAAAAGCAUUAUAUAACCAUUAUGCCGAUUUACUUGAUGUAGUUGUACCAACAAAUAUCAGUCCAACUAUUGCUCCCGAGGAGCCAUCAUCUUCUAAAAUGUCGGUACAUAGUGAUUUUUCUGAUUACUUUUAUGAUUUAAAUAUUUAGGACAGGGUUAAGACUUCAACAUACACAACAACUUCUCGGGAAGAGAUUAAUUAUUAUCUUCGAAAACCGAUAAAGAAUCGUAGAGCAAGGAUCAAUGCGUUGGAUUGGUGAAAGAAUAAUGAAAGAUAAUAUCCUGUGGUUUCAAGAUUCGCCUGAAAUAUAUUGAAUGUUCCAAUGUCAACCGUUGCACCGGAGAGCACUUUUAGUCAGGGACGACAACAACUUGGAGACAACUGACGCUUAUUGGAAAGCAAUGCUAUGAAUGUUCUAGUUUGCCUUAGAGAUUGGAUUAGAGCGGAAAGAAGAAAUCAAGGAAUGGAGAUGGAGCUGAAAGACGAACAGAAUCUUGAAGAAAUUCUGACUUCAAGGGAACGCAGCAAAAUCAAGUCCAAUGCAUGGUUUUGCCCCCAUUGAUUUUGACUAUCCUAUGGUAGUUCCCAUUAAUAUUAGCAUGAACGAGUUGAAAAAAAAUGAUGCAAAAUUUGUUGAUUUUUCAUUCAUGUAAAUUAUAAAUUUUGGAUAUUUUGCAAUCAAUAAAAUACAAUAUUCAUUCACUCCCUACUUUGUAUUUUUUUCAUUUAAAUUGAAUUUUUAGUUUGAUUAAAUACUUUUAAUAUAUUACUAUCAAACUUUAGACUAAGUAAUAAACAUAACAAACAUAUAUACACAUAUAUUCUACAUAUAUACACAAGUGGUAUUUAAAGUAGUAUAUAUUCUACAUAUAUGUGUGUAUAUUUUUUAUAGACUCUAAAUUAGUAUUUAUUUAAUGUAUACAUGUUUAUAUGUUUUCUAAAGUAGUAUAUAUAUAUAUAUAUAUAUAUAUAUAGUGUAUAUAUGUUGCAUGUAUAAUUGUAUAUUGUUUCAAGUGGUAUUUUAAGUAGUAUAUAUUCUACAUAUAUGUCUAUAUAUUUUCUAUAGACUAAAAUAAUAUAUAUUUAAUGUGUAUACGUUUCUAAAGUAGUAUAAUAUGUAUUGUAUAUAUUAAUCCGUGCGGCCAUCCAGACUAAUAAGUUAAUAUCAAAAAACAAAAUCAACCGAAAUAUAUAAGAAUUUCAUAUAGCUUAAUGAAUGUAUGAAAGUUUUUACCCGAAAGGGGCUUGUCAGAAUUUAAUACAUACUUCAGUUGAGCCCAUGUGUCUAGCGGCUCUAACCGUAAAAAAGAGCGCCCUUUUCUUCAACUUUAAUGGGCUUAAAGAUUCACGGCUCACUAGGCGUAGUUACUAAGACAAAGCCAACAAAACCAGUAUCAAAUUCGACUGUACCAUCACUUCGGAACUAAUCCAGGAAACUAUAGAAAAAUUCUUUUAUAUUUUGAUAGAGUCUGAAUCUUUCAUGGAUAUUAUACAAGAGAAGUUAGAUCUUCAGUAUAGAGAUAAAAAUUAUUUAGCUGGACAUACAAAGUUCAUUUCAGAAGUAAUAUGAAUAUCUCUAUCAGAGAUAUUGUCAUUAUCUUGAACAAUAUUUGUUCGAGGAUUGACUUUAACUUUCUCUACAAAUCUUGUAGAAGCUGAGUAAAUUGUAUGCAAAGAAGCUGCACGACUUCUAGCUGGACCAUAUGAUGGUUCUACAGGAGAAAUAUGGUGCAUAGCAGGCAAUAAUUUAGGCAUGGAGAAUGAAUAUUGUAUGUAUGUUGUAUAUUUAAUGUGUAUAUGUUUCUAAAGUAAUAUAAUAUGUAAUGUAUAUAUGUAAUAUGUGUAUAUAUUUUUUAUAGAUUCUAAAGUAAUAUAUAUUUAACGUAUACAUGUCUAUAUGUUUUCUAAAGUAGAAUAUAUAUAUAUAUAUAUAUAUAUAUAUAUAUAUAUAUUUUCUAUAGACUCUAAACUAGUAUAUAUUUAAUGUAUACAUGUCUAUAUAUAUUCAAAAGUAGUAUGUAUUUAGUGUAUAUAUGUUUUAUGUAUAUUUUUUCAAGUACUAUUUUAAGUAGUAUAUAUAUUAUAUUAUACGUAUAUAUGUGUAUAUAUUUUCUAUAGACUCUAAACUAGUAUGUAUUUAAAGUAUACACAUGAAUAUAUUUUCUAAAGCAGUAUAUAUUUAGUGUAUAAAUGUUGUAUUUAUAUUUUUUAACGUAUUUAAAAUGUAUAUAGGUGUGUAUAUAUAGUUUAUCUUUGAAUAAACAUUUAAUUUUGAGUUUUUUUUUAGUUUUGACCGGUCAAAAUCGAACCAAGGUUAAGUGAGUCGGUUCGGAUUUAUUUCACAGAUUUUCACUGUUUGGGGCUCGGCUCGGACCGAUCCGUUAAAAUUAAUCCGGUACCGGAUCGGCCCAAAACCCGGUAACUUGAAGUGGGUAGGUUCCGAGUUAAAUCGGUCCGACCCGUUUAAUAGGCCUAAAUCUAACCAUUAGCUACCCCUAUAAGUUACAUAUUAAAAAUGAAAUAGAAAUAAAAGAUUUUCUUAACAUGCUCAUUAAUAAUAUAUUUUUAAAAAUCUCAUCAAUUUAGUAUUUUUAAAAAUUCUAAACUAAUUACAAUUUUUAAAAAUAAUAAAAGAGAAAAUAAGUCAAAACAAUUACUAAUUGAAAGAGGGGCAAAUCCUACAAAAUCGAAUGCUUCCCAACUUUCUUUUAAAUUUCUAUCUUCUAAUUUAAAAUAAUAAAAUGAAAAAUCAAAUAAAAUAUCAAAUAAAAAAUAAAAAAUUAAAAAUUAAAAAUAAAAAAUUAAAUUAAAUACUUCAAAGAUAGUAGAAGAAGAUUUGAAAAUCACCACUCCUUCCUAACUACUCCCGUUCCCUCUCUCAGGAACAGUUUUUUUUUUUUAAAUGGCUGACAGUUUUUUUUUUUUCAAAAACUUUUACCCCCCUUUUCUCCCCUAUAUUUCUCUAUGUAUAUAUAUUGUUAAUUUAUAUAUAGCAAAUCAUCCAAACAAUUUGUCAGAGAGAGAUUUUAAUCACUUUUUUUUUUAUUGGCACAUUCUAUUCACAAGCAAUGUUGUUUUUGUGCCAAAUAUAUAUUCUCCUUCUCAUUUUUAUUUAUUGAUUUUCCGUUUAAUCUCAUUAGUGAUAAUUUGAAAAAAAAAUUCUAACCAAAGGGCAAGAACAAAGGAAAAUCUCAAACUCAAUUGUUCUGCCACUGUCGGUUGAGAAUGCUAAAGAGCAUCUUAAUUUUAUCUAUGCCUGUUUCUCCGAUUUCGAUGGUAAGAAAAAUACUUUUUAUUAUUUCUUUCUAAAUUUCGUUCCUCCAUUAUUUGUAUUUUGUAGAAUUAUUAACUUUGUUUUUGUUGAUUCACAUGCACUCAAGAAUAAUAGAAUGGAGGUCUACAAACUCAGAAGAAUUUUCUAGUGCAUGAAAAUUAAUCUUAUUUCUUAAAAAUAUCUUUUCUCUAUAUAUAGGAAAGCACAUCGUAAAAGAUCACAUCGACAUUCUAAGAGUAUCAAAAGAUAACUUGAAUACACACACCCAUAUAUUAAAUUAUUAUGUAUUGUGUUUUUUCAAUUAGUCAUAAGUAGUUUGUAAAACAUUUACUUUAUAUUUUGCAUAAUGUGUAAUUUAGAAUUUGUGUACUUCAUAUAAAAGUUGAAAGUAUAUUACUCAUUAGAAUCUUCAGAUCUACUUUCAAAGGACGAUAUCUUUUAAACUUAUUUUUACAAUUAUAGUUUGGUUUUCUUAUUUCUGAUGUACUAAGUAUUAUAUUUUUAUGUAGAGUAUUUAUUUCUGUAUUUAUUAGUUCUAGAUUUCUUUAUUUUCUAAUUUUUUUUUAAAUAGAUUUAUCUCGUUUAAUAAUUUUGUUUUUAUCAUUUUCUUCUUUUUCUUUCUGUCUUUUUUCAUACAGGUCUUUUAGCAUUUGUAGUUCAUUUUCUAAUUCGGCAAUCCUACUAUUUUUAGUUUUUUCUAUUUUUCAUAUUUCUUUUGUAGUUUGUUGUUUUAUUUUAUCUAUUUUCCUUUUUUCUGUCUAUCUCUUCAUUUUAUUUUUCUAUUCUUACCAUGACUGCCAACUUAUGUUCUAAUUUUAAUUCUUUUUUUUUCUAACAUUAAAUAUAAAUAUUCACCUAAACAAAUAAUUACUAUACAUAUGCAUGUAAACGCAUUUGGAUUAAUACUUGAUUGAUGUGCUUGUUAAGAGCCUUCUUAAAUAUCAUUAUAUGACAUUAGUUUUUUCUAUUUUUCAUAUUUCUUUUGUAGUUUUUUGUUUUAUUUUAUCUAUUUUCCUUUUUUCUGUCUAUCUCUUCAUUUUAUUUUUCUAUUCUUACCAUGACUGCCAACUUAUCUUCUAAUUUUAAUUCUUUUUUUUUCUAACAUUAAAUAUAAAUAUUCACCUAAACAAAUAAUUACUAUACAUAUGCAUGUAAACGCAUUUGGAUUAAUACUUGAUUGAUGUGCUUGUUAAGAGCCUUCUUAAAUAUCAUUAUAUGACAUGAUGAAACUGAUGAAAACUUUAUACAAGAUGAUAACAGGUUCGAUGUUCAAUUGGUAAUAUGUGUUUUGAGAAUUGCAUCAUUUUGUAAUCAAAAUAUAAUUGAAAUCACCAAACAUUUUAAAUAUCAAUUUACAUUGAAACUUAAAUCUUUUUGAAAGAUAAAAAUUGUAUUAUCUUAUCUUCAACUAAUAUAAAAAUAAAGAUAAGAGAUCCACUAAGAUAUUUCAUGUCUAACAGAAAUUUUGGUGAUAGAAAUUUAUUAGCAUGCAAAUUUGUACUGAUAAUAAUCAUAAACAUGAUAAUAAUAAUCAUCCACAAAAAAGUUACGUAUGUCAUGAAUAACAAUUAUUAUAUUCUGAAAAUUACGGACUAUAUAUGUUGCAUUUGUUUGAUCACUCCAACAUAAUCUAAAUAAAUUUUUAUAUUACUAACUGCAUGUAACUGUGGAUAGAGUAAUUGAAGCGUAACUGGGGAUAAAGUAAUUGAAGCGAAUAAUACCUUAAAUUUAUAUAAACAUCUCCAAAGAUGAUUUUUAUAAGUAACUUUGUAGCAUUAUAAUUUACAGCAAUGUAGAACUAUAUCAUAAAAUAAAAUAAGGAUAAAAAUGAUAUUAGAGUCCUAUUUAGAGCCGUCAAUAUGGGCUAGACCCAUUGGGCCGGCCCGAUCUGGCUUAUAAUUUGAUGGAGUUGGGCUUCAAUAUUUGCAGCCCAUUUAAGAACAGGAUUUUUUAGCCCGCUCGGAUAAACCCGUGGCUCGUUGGGCUUACGCAAUGUGGGUUGGGCUAGUCCGUGGGCCGACCCGUAAGUCAAAUACAUACAACUAUUUAGAUUAUUUAUUAGUAUUUUUGUUUGAUUCGACGGAUAUCAUGUCAAAAGUUAUUUAAUUUCGCUGUUAAGAGUAUUUUUUGGGGUGUUGGAGACUUGAUUAACAAGUAUUAACACUAUGUAAUAUUAGCUGGUAAUAUUUAUGUUUAUUAACAUUCUAAAAUUAAAUUAUAAAAUAUUAUUUUUUAAAAGGUGGGCUGGCCCGUAUGAUUCGCAGCCCACAGAGUAACGGUGUGGGCUUGAUAUUUUUUGGCCCAUCAUUUUAAUGGGCCAGCCCAACACGACCUCAAACUCAAAGCCCGUGUGGACUAACCCAAAUGGGCUGGCCAACCCGUAUAGACAGCUAUAGUCCUAUUUUUCAAAUAUACAUUUUUAUUUAUAAGUGAACUAUUUCUAACAAAAAUUUAUAUCAUAAAGAAGAAUGUGACUUUUUGAAUUUUAACAAUAUACACAGUUUAUUCUCACAUAGUAGGAUAUGAAAAAGAUAGCAUGAAGGCAGUUCAUAUAAUUACCUCAGUGGUUUGAUAGAUUGGUGAUUUUUGAUAGAUCCUCGGCUUAAUACAAAAUACAGUUCAAAAAAAUGUUAAAAGGGUACUAAAGACAAUAAGAGUAACACAACAAUAGAUAGUAACAGAAAAAUACUACCACAAAAUAAUAUUAUAAGCGAUCUACCCGAAACAACAUAUAUCGACAAGAAUUCAAGAAUAAAAAAUCUAUAAGCAUAAAACUAUGACUACUAUUAAGAACAAUAUUCCUACUUACUAUCAUGAACUCAUGAUAAGGCGAAGUAACUUAUAUUUGUGUUAAUUACACUAAAUAUAUUGUUUUUGUUGUGUUGGUUAUACGACCAAAUGUACUUCAACAAAUGUGAUUAUAGUAACUGAUUUUAAGCCAGUUUUAAAAUUUAGGCGGUGGUUAAUAUCACAAUAUCACCAUAUAUACCUAAUUGCAUUUUAUUUUUACUUCCUUUAGAGUAUGUUUACAUAUAUAUAAACGUGUUUAAUAUGAUUUAUUUUAGAUUUAAUUCUGUUAUGCAUAACUAAACUUAUAUAUUCUAAUUUCUUUAUUUUGAAUGGGCGAUAAGAAAAUUCAAAAUACUUAUAUAUAUAAAAUACACAAAAAGGAUAUUAAUCUAAAAUCAAAUGAGACAAAAUAAUUAGUAUACAAUGUACAAAAUGUGCACAUAGUGGGGGUGGGGGUGAGGGGAUUCAAACUAAUUUUAAGAAUGUAAUGAACUAAUUUUAACAAUCUAACUAUAUAUUCAACAUAAAACCAAUCAAUUGUAAUGAAUUAAUCAAUCAUGUAUAUUCUUCUUUUUGCCUUUGCCUUACUUUUUUAUUUUCUCGAAGUUAUGUUAUUCUACACAAAACAUGCGAUUACGAUAAUUAAUUUGACCAAUGAUUAAUAUUACCAUAUAUACAUAAUUAUUUUUUACUCCUUUAAGAGUAUAUUUACAUAUAAAUAAACGUAUUUAGGGGGCUUAUUUUAAAUUUUGUCUUGCUAUGUAUAACUAAAUUUAUAGCAUAUUUUAAUUUUUAUAUUUUGGGAUAAGGGAAAAGAAAACUAAAUUACUUAUACAUGUUAUAUAAAAAAGAAAAUUUAGAUUAUUAGACAAAAAUAAAGUAAUAAAAAUACAAUAUAUAAAAUGAAUAAAUUAAUUUUAAGAAUAUAUUGAAGUAAUUAGAUAAUGCAGAUGUUACUAUGCAUAAAUUUAAACCGGAGAGAUGUGAACUAUUGUAUAAAAAUUUAAAAAUAAAAAUAAAAUAAUGUUAACAAUAUAAUAUCUUUAAAUUCAGAAUAAUGUAAUUAAAAAAUUACAAACACUAGAGUUUCUUUUUACAUUUAUAUGUUUGUCUAUAUUUAUAUAGAUUUAAUUAGGCGUGUCUAUGAUAGUGUAGGAUGAGUGUGGGGCGUGUGGGUAUUUCAUUGAGAAAUAAUAUGAUAGUUAAACUUUAUGAUUUAACAUGCUUUAAUAAAAUAUUGAAAUAUGAAAUGAUUAAAAAUAAUACUCUAAUAUCAUCCACGUAUCGCGCGGGUACAUACACUAGUAUUAAUAAAAGCGGAGGUGCGAGCAAUUCAAUCUAUGCAUUGACGGAAGGAGCUAAACAAAAAGGUAGGUGACAAUAAGCUUAAUGAUUCUUAAAAAAGCUAAUAAUUAAAAGCUUGGCAAUUAAGAUAAUUCGUAGGUAAAAUACUUGGCUUUUGUUAGGGCCAAUAUUUACCCAGAUACAUUGUGCAUCUAAUGUUCACAUGUUGAGGAAAUAACUUUACCCUAAAAGAACCAAAUUAUAUUGGUUUUAUUAACAUUAUACCCAAUCGUCUAGUGUUUUAGCCUUUACGGCCUAGACUGAACAAUGAAAUCUUUUUGUUGUUCUUAGUAGUUUUGGAGUGUGUUACCUUGUCUGAGUACUGUUACUUGACUUACUAGCAUAUUCAUUAAUUGUGGUAGUAUUAGUUCCUGCUAUUGACUAUUGUUUAUCAAAAUUUGUGUUAUAUUAUUGGUUUUGUUGCUCUCUAUCUAUUAUAGAUUGUUGGUUGUGUCCCUAGCUCCUUUAUUGGCUUCAUUGUAACUAGUGUGCCCUUUUUACCUUAUCUUGAUCCCCUUUGUUAUCUUUCUUCCCUUUUUCCCUUCAUCCCUUUCCCCUUUGUUGCAUAAUGGCGGUGAUUGGCGAUGGUAGAAAAGGGUCAUGUCAUAGGUCGAGGUCGGGUUCAUGGUCAGGAGAUGUUGGGUCUGGGUCGGGGUUUGGGGGGGUUGGGUCUGGGUCGGGUCUAGGAUUGGGUUUGGAGUUAGGGGCUAGGGGUAGUAAGGUUAGGCGGGAUAAGGGAGCUUUUAGGUUGCGAGUUACGUCUUGGAACAUCGGUACUUUGCAUGGUAAGUCUAUAGAGCUGGUGAAGAUUCAUAGAAAGAGGAGGGUUAGUGUAGCGUAUGUCCUGGAAACUAAAUGGGUAGGCACUAAAGUGAGAGAUGUGGAUGGAUAUAAGUUGUGGUACUCGGGUAGCGUGAGACAUAGAAAUGGGUAGGUAUCUUAGUAGAUGAAAAUCUUAAGGAGCAGGUGGUAGAGGUAAAGAGAGUUAGUGAUAGAUUGAUGUCUAUUAAGUUGGUCAUAGGAGUGUCUACGGUGAACGUUAUUAGUGCCUACACCCCGCAAGUAGGUUUAGACGAGGAGGAGAAGAAGAAAUUCUGGGAGAUUUUAGAUGAGGUGAUGAGGAGCAUCCCGAGCAUUGGAAAGCUUUUCGUGGGAAGGAAUUUCAAUGGGCAUAUUAGGUCUCUGUUGAGAGGGUACGAUGAUGUGCAUGGUGAUUUCAGUUUUGGUAAGCAGAAAGAAGGAAAAACUUCUCUGUUGGAUUUUUCUAGGGCUUUUGGGUUAUGGAUAGCAAAUUCGAGCUUUUCGAAGAAGGAGGAUCACCUUAUUAUGUUUCAUAGUUCAGUAACCAAGACUCAUAUAGACUUUUUGAUUCUUAGAAAAGUGGAUCGAGUGCUAUGUAAAGACUGUAAGGUCAUACCUAGCGAGAAUCUCUCAACUCAACAUAGGUUGUUUGUGAUGGACUUGGUUAUGAAUAAGGGCAAAAAAAAAGAGAAGUGGGGAGGCACGACCCAGGAUUAAGUAGGGUAGCUUGACUUUGGCUAGUGCUUUGGAGAUGGAAGAAAAGUUAAAGAGUAGGGGGCGUGGGAGAGUAGAGGGGAUGUAGAUAAUAUGUAGGAGACGACUGUCAGUUGCAUUAGGGAGACCGCUAGAGAGGUGUUGGGUGUCUCAAGAGAUCGAUCUGGCAAACAUCGAGGAGACUAGUGGUGGAAUGAAGAGGUCAAGAGAAAGGUGGAGUCUAAGAAGGUGGAUUAUGCUAAGUUGGUUAGGAGUAAGGAUGAUGAGGAAAGGCAGAAGAAUAAAGAGGAGUAUAAGGUAGCUAGAAGAGAAGCUAAGUUAGCAGUUACGACGGCUAAGACAACAGCUUUUGAGAGUUUAUAUGAGGCUUUAGAGGAGAAAGAUAAAGAUAAAAAGUUGUAUAUGAUGGCCAAGGACAGGAAGUGGAGGGGCUCAUAACCUUGACCAGGUGAAGUACAUCAAAGGAGAUGAUAGCAUAGUGUUGGUUGAGGAUGCCCUCAUUAGGGAGAGGUGGCAGUCCUAUUUUCAUAAACUUUUGAAUGACGAGGGGGACAAAGGUUUUGUGUUGGGAGACUUGGAGAUAUCUGAGGAGGGUCACGAUUAUAGUUAUUGUAGGCAUAUCGAUAUUGAGGAGGUCAAAGGGGCUAUUUCCAGGAUGCGGUAGGGUAGGGUGACAGAGCCAAAUGAGAUUCCAGUAGAUUUUUGGAAGAGCACUAGAGGGGCAGGUUUGGAGUGGUUGACAAGGUUGUUUAACAUUAUUUUUAGAGCUGCUAAGAUGGCUGAAGCAUAGAUAUGGAGCACGAUGAUUUCAGUGUAUAAGAACAAGGAAAACAUUUAGAGUUGUAACAACUAUAGAGGUAUUAAGUUGUUGAGUCAUACUAUGAAGGUUUGGGAAAGGGUGGUAGAGUUGAGGAUGAGGAGGAUCGUGACGAUCUCUAAGAAUCAGUUCAGUUUUAUGCCUAGUCGCUCGACCACUGAGGCCAUUCACCUUGUGAGGAGAUUAGUGGAGCAGUUUUGAGAGAGGAAGAAUGACUUGCACAUGGAGUUUAUUGAUUUAGAGAAGGCAUAUGACAGAGUUCCCAGGGAGAUUCUGUAGAGGUGCUUGGAGGCUAAAGGGUUGCCCAUGGCGUACACUAGGUCAAUUAAGGAUAUGUAUGAUGGUGCCAAGACUCGUGUGAGGACGGUAUGUGGAGAUUCAGAGAACUUCACAGUUUUGAUAGGGUUGCACUAGGGAUCUACUCUUAGCCCGUUUCUAUUUGCUUUGGUAAUGAAUGUUUUGAUGCGACAUAUUCAAGGGGAGGUGCCUUGGUGUAUGUUAUUUGUAGAUGAUAUGGUUUUAAUAGACGAGACUUGGGGUGGAGUUAAUGAUAAGUUGAAAAUUUAGAGACAGACGCUUGAAUCUAAAGGUUUUCGAUUAAGUAGAACCAAGAUGGAGUACUUGGAGUGUAAGUUCAGUGAUAUGUCGCAAGAAGAUGGAGUGGUUGUGAAGCUAGACUCUCAGGCCAUCUAGAAUAGGGAGAGUUUUAAGUAUCUGGGAUCUAUAAUUUUGGGUAAUGGUAAGAUUGACGAUGAUGUCACGCAUUAUAUUGGGGCAGGGUGGUUGAAGUGGAGGCUCACUUCGGGAGUCCUUUGUGAUAAGAAGGUGACCCCGAAGCUUAAAGGUAAGUUCUACAGAGUGGAAGUUCGGACGGCUAUAUUGUAUAGAGUGGAGUUUUAGCCAAUUAAGAACUCCCACAUCCAAAAGUUAAAGGUGGCGAAGAUGUGAAUGUUGCGAUGGAUGUGUGGACAUACCAGGAAAGAUAGGGUGAGGAAUGAGAUUAUUCGAGAGAAGGUAGGAGUUGCCUCGGUGGAGGAUAAGUUAUGAGAAGUAAGGCUUCGUUGGUUCAGGCAUGUGAUGCGGAGGGGCCUUGAUGCUCCAGUGGGGAGAUGUGAGACUCUGGAUAGGGAUGGUUUUAGGCGGGCCAGAGGUAGACCGAAGAAAUAUUAAAGGGAGGUGAUUAGGUAUGAUAUAGAGCAAUUACAACUUAUAGAGGACAUGACCCUUGAUAGAAAGGUGUGGAGGACGUGGAUUAGGGUAGAGGGUUAGGGGGUGGGAGUGCGGAGGUAGUAAUAAGGGAGUGCUCCUUUGGGUUUGGAGUUUCUGGUUCGUAGUGUUGUGGCUGUAGUUUGGGGCUAGUGGUGUUGGAUUUUUCGCAUCCCAUACUAGUUUAUUAUGCACUUAUCUUUUGUGUUUGUUAUACAGUUAGUUUGUUUUGUGUACCAUACUAGUUUAUAUGAGCCUACUUUUUGUAUUUGUUAUACUUUUAUUGGUCCUAAGCCGAGGGUCUAGCAGAAACAACCUCUCUACUUCUCUUAAGAUAGUGGUAUGAUCUGCGUACACUCUACCCUCCCCAGACCUCACUAAGUGGGAAUACAAUGGGUAUGUUGUUGUUGUUGUUGUAAUGUGACAGAUAGAUCUCUAAGUUUAUCUUGUAAUUACUUGCAAGGUGAUAAGAUGGUUCAUCAUAACUUUUUUCUUUUGGGUUAAAACAUAUACUUCAAUUGGAAAAACAUAAUAGUUUACAAAAGGAGGCAUUCAUCCUGGAUCAACCAAAAAAGAUGUUGGAUAAGGACUAGCUUGGAAAUCAUGAGAAGAGUUUGUUCUCCUAAUGUAACUAGUUCCACUAAUGUCUGUCCAGACAUGCUUGGAAGCAUAUAUUGGAGGAACUACAAAAAUAAGUGUUCUUUAAAAACUUCCAUUGAUGCUCCCUUCUUUGCAAGUGCAUCAACCACUCCAUUUUGUUCACGAUAAAAAUGCUAUAUAUACUAGAGAACUUUUUAGCCUUCUUAGUAUCAACCUAUAUUUAUCAACAAUCUUACCAUUUUUAAGCAUAGAAAGCACUUCCAUAGAUUCUAUAUUACUGAUGAUGGGGUGGGAUUGUUUUCUUCAGCAAUUUUAAGGCCUUCUCUUAAAGCAAAGAGCUUCAUCUGGUUGUUGGUAACUCUAAUUUAACUUUUGGAGAUACCAAUGAUCCAAUCCACUAUGUGUUUCUAAUUACAAAACCUAUUCCACCCUUUCCAGGAUUUCCCAAGAAAGCACCAUCAAUGUUAUAAGCUUAUAAGGCAUUGGAAAAGGGGGGAUUAUCUUGGGUGGGGAGUUACCCUUGUUUUACAGUUGGGAGUAUUUCAUAUCCUCAUUUUAAUUACUAUUGAAGGAGGAUAUGUCUUUUUUGAGGUUGAACAAGUUAUGUUUUCUGUUCCUCCAGAUAGACCAGAUGCAUUAAGGAAGGAGAUUUUCCCAAGAUACUAACCUAUUGAAGUUGGUGCUUUUGAGAGAGCUCUAAGUGAAAUUUUAGUUGGCGGUGGAGAACGAGUCUAGAUUAAUGGGCAUAUAGAUGAAGGACUUCCUAAUGAGAUUAUUCCAGAAGUUAUAGGUUAAGGGUACCUAUAAAAAAUAUGGUCAAGGUCUUCAAUUUGUUUUAUGCAGAAGCUAUAAUUUGGGUUGACAUUAAUUCCCCUAGAAACUAGAGUAAAGCUAGUGGGAAGGAUUUUAUGAUCCAUUAACCAAAGGAAAAACUUGAUCUUAUUGGCAGUAACUAUUUUCUAAAUCCUGUUCAAACGAUUACCAUUAUAGGGGUUGUCUUGGGUGAGAAAGUUAGCUAUGUGGGUAUAGGCACUCUUGUAUAAGUAGAUUAGCAGUAAGUUCCCAAAUAAGAAAAGAUGUGAUGAGGUAUAUCAAAAGAAAUAUUUUGAGGGUCCCAAUUGUUAUCUUUCCAGACAUCAAAGAGUUUAAGAGAAGAGAUGGAGGGAAAUGAGAGACCUUGAAUAAGGUGGUUGAGGAAGGGUGAUUAGGAAUCCAUCUAUCAAGCUAAAAUUUCAAUUUGUAGUCCUUGUGGACAAUCCAUUAGGAGACAUCUGUGUAUAUUUCCCAUCCUUUCAUGAUGAUAUAAGUUCUAGAGUAGGGGCAGGGGAAAACUCCCAUAUUUCUAUAUGAGGACAUCUUCCCAUAAGGAAUUUUAUGGUUAUUAUUGAAUCUUCAAGAUAAACUACUGAGAAUUGUGGUGUUCUUAUUAGCAACUUUUUAAAUUCCAAGCCCUCCAAGGUGCUUGGGAUUGGUGAUAGUAUAUCAAUUUAUCAGGUGCAUCUUCCUUCUAUCCUUAGAGAAGCCCCAAAUAAAGUUUCUUUGGGUUCUACUAAUUAGAUUAAGAAGUUUAUAAGGCAAGAAGAUAUAUUGUAUGACAUAGUUGGGCAUACUAUCUAAGGAGGCUCUAGAAAGGGUAGUUCUACCAAACAUGUUCAAAAUUUUUGUUUUCCAACCAGUCAACUUCAUGUUAAGAUUGUCAAUAAUGAAUUGAAAAUCACUUGAGGAGGGCUUCUUAUGGAAUAUGGGGAAGCCCAGGUAUUUCCCAAAUAUGUCUUUAGCAAGAACGUUAAGGAUAGAGGAGAGUCUAUUUUUUCCCUCUUUACUAUAGUUAUUGAAGAAGAUAACUUUCGAUUUGUAAGGGUUAAUCUUUUGCCCAGAGAAAUGGCUAUUAACAUUGAGAUUGUUGACAAUGGUGGUGCAAUUGAUAUCAUCAGCUCUGACUAUCAAGGUAAGAUCAUAAAAAAAAGAGAUAAGAAAUUCUAUGGCUUCAUUUGUUGAUAUCAUAGGGUUCCAUCUCAGGAGGUCUACUUUAUGGUCAAUUCUUCAAGAAAGAAGUUCCAUAUAUAAAAUAAAAAUAUAGGAGGAGAUGAGAUUUUAUUUUCUGAUGCCCCUUGAGGGCUUGAAGAAAUGAGUCUUGCUACUAUUUGUAAGAACAAAGAUGAAAGAAGAGGAAUUCAAGAUGUGAUGGGGCUCAGAGGCCUUUAGGAAAGUUGAAGAAAGUUAGAACAUGUCUGAUAAAGACCACUCUAAUCCAUCAGAGGUCUUCUCAAGAUAAAUUUUGAGGAUUAUGUUAGCUUUUUUCCUUUUUAUUUUAUGAAAAUGGCUGAUGUAUUCAUGGGAAAUUAUGGCAUUAUCAGAUGCUCUUCUUUUGGAUAUGAAGCAAGCUCGACUUUUGCCAAUGAUGUUGACCAUAAAAGUUUUUAUUCUAUUGACAAUGAUUUUUCCAAUAAUCUUGUACUGAGUAUUACAAAGGCUAAUAGAUUCAAAGUUCUUAAGGGUGGAGACAUUUGUGCACUUAGGGAUGAUACAGAGGUAAGUAGAGUUAACUCUUUUAUCCAUAGUGUAGAAAGAGGAGUCAUUAUAGAACUUGAUGAGAGGGUUGAUGUCGCCCAAAACUACAUUCCAAUUAGAAAUAUAAUGUGGUCGGUUGCAAAUAUAAUAACCCAACUAGGUUGGGGUUGAUCCCACAGGAAAAAUGUGAACAAUUGCUUGACUUGAUGUAAUCCUCGAGUAACAUAUGAAAGUAAAUAGGGGGAUCAUAGUAUCAAGCACAAGUAGUAACCAAACUCUUGAGUACUUUUGAGUUGUAGACAAUAUGAGAUAAACACUAGGUUUGUAUUUUCCCUGGCUUCUGAACUCUAUAAAUUUCUUGAGAGAUCAACCCAACUGUUCUGUUGUUCUACAUACAAAGUCUAUAAGAUAGGUAUUAUCAGUCACCUAGUGAGUGCAAAGAUAAAUUUCACCCUUUACCACGUAGGUCUCAGGGUGUCGCCUUGUUGUUUCUUGCUAUGACCUCAGUUCACUAUCAGGGGGUGGGACAAGUGAUUAGAUAAGAUGGCAAGAACUAAAAGGUAGAGGUGAAUCUCAAAUCACUGUCCUAAUCUUCUUUUUCCAAUCACAAUCUCCCUUGUAGGGAUGGAUGCGAAUACAUGCGAUCCUAAGUUACUGCAAAUAAUUGAGAUUAAUUAUUGUGAAGAAGAUUAAGAUACAUGUAUAAACUCUAGAAUAGAUAAGUUUCACAUUUUUCUACAUAGCUAAUCCACCAGGGUUCCCACAACCCUAGUCAAGGAGAGUAGCCGCUCAUGUUUGUGCAAGAAACCAUGAUUCUCACUAAAUAACACGUAAAAUCAAUUGCACAAGAAUAAGAUGAUUAAAAUCCAAAUUCUUUAAUUGAAUAAACCCUAAGAUCUCAAUAACAAUUGUAAAAGUAUUGUAAUAUUAUGUAAAAGAGAGUAACCUAAUGAAAGAUAAACUCUACGGCAUUUAUAGUAUCUCAAAAUAACAUUAAAAUCUUAAUAAAAAUGAGAAAGAUAAAGUUAUGUCGGCAGUUGGUACGACUAGGUCUUCACUCAGAUCAACUUCAUAUGAGUUGUACCCUGCCUUCUCGUAUCUAUUCCAGUGUCUCAUCUCCCAAGGCUUUAACUUCCUAUUCAGCUUACGACUUCUUCUUACGAGUCAUACCUGAGUGUACGACUCGCGUCCUUUACUCGUAUCCACAUGGGACUUUUGUCUUCUAAUCUUUGAGCAUUGGUUUGUAUACUACAUCCUUAUAUGAGUUGUACUCAGACGUUCGACUCAUAUACUUUUGAUACUUUAAUUCUUGAGCAGUAGCUUAGGUUUUGUUAUGCUUAUGACUUCUCCGUACGACUUGUAUCCUGUCUUAUGACUCAGAUACUUGAUUCGUAUCUUCCCCAUACUUGGCUCUACAGGUUGACCUUUGGUUUUGUCGUGAGUACGAUUUUGCCUACAAGUCAUAUCGGAUGGUUAUGAUUCAAGAGCUGACUAGUAUACUGCUCAAAGUUGGUCUUUUUCAGGUCUCUUUCUUUUUUUUUGGUUCAAACAUUGUAGUAGAACUGUUUUACCUGUAAUUCAUAUGAAAUACAUCAUAUCUAACAAAAUAUCCUAAGUUUACGCAUGAUUCACAGUUUUAAGUAUUGAAAGUGUCGUAUUUCCAUGCCAAAUCACGGGUGGCUAAAAGUUUCCCAAAAAAUUUAAAAGAUCAAGAGGUGGAGCCCAUCUAAACCAAAAGCUUUAGAGGGAUUGAAGAAGAAGACAACACUCUUGAUCUCUCUUUAACUAGGAAUGCUUCAAGAAGAAGAUGGUCCUCCAUAGGGAUGGAUACAGUGGAUGAAGGUUUAUUUUAGCAAAGGAGAGGGGAAGACAAGUGUUCAGAAGUGAAGAGUUUAUUAUAGAAGGAGAUAAUGGUAUUAGUGAUUUUCCUUUCAUCAUAAAUCCAAUUGCUAGAGUUAUCUCUAAGGCCCUGGAUUUUUGUUUUUUCUCCUCAUAUUAAGGGUGGUACUAUGGAAAAUUUAGUGUUUGAGUCCCCUUUUAUAAGAUAGUUGAUUCUGGAUUUUAGUUUCUAAAAUUCCCAUUCUUGUUAGAAGAUGUCACUGUAGUCUUUAAAGAAGGUGUUUUUAAGGUUAUGAAGGAAGGAACUAGUGGAAUAGUGCAUGGAUUUUUGGAUACCAACAAUUCUGACAAAAGUAUUUUUUUUUCUUAUUAAAACAUUGCCAAAAAACCUCUUUAUUCUAAAUUUUGAUGGAGGUCUGAAAGUUAGAAGUAAAAUUGCAAAGAUACAUAUCUUUAGAGAAAGAGUUUUGGACCAUGUCCUUGAACAGCAGAUGGGUCCACCAUAUGAUCUCAACUCUAAAAGGUUUGUUAGAAGUAUUAGUAUCCUUGGAAAGACUAAUGAGAAGAGGACAGUGGUCAGAGUGGGUCCUACAAAAAUGAGUUAUAGAGGCUUCAGGAAAGAGAUGGAUCUAAGAAUCAUUCAUAAAGAAUUUAUCAAGGCUGUCAAAAAUAAGAUCACUCUUCUUUAUAUAUCUCUUGUUAUUCCAAGUGUAUUUACUACCAAUAAACCCAAGGUCAGUUAGGCUACAAGGAUUGAUCCAAUUCUAAAAGUAGGAAACUCUGUUGCUAUUUAUGGAGUUGCCCCCAUACUUAUUAAAAGCCUUAAGGAUUUCAUUGAAAUCAUCCCUAAUAAUCUAGCUAUAGUUAGUAGAGUUCCUAAUACUAUCAGCUAUGUGAGAGAGUUGAUUCCAUAAGAAAAUUCUAUCAUUAAAAGAGUUGAUGGGAUAAAUAGUACUAAGGAACUAUUUAAAGAGAGGAGAGUGGACCUAAACAAAUCCAUGGAUAGCUUGACUGAAGAUGGAGAAACUAAUUAUGCUAAGGGAUCCAUCCUUCCACAUAAUGACAAUGCCUCUAGAGUUACUAAUGGUAGAGUGUUGGAUAUAGUUUGAGAAGCCAAGAUCUUUAAUGAUGCUUUUAUAGCCAGUCAUUCUAGUUUUCAGAAGAACAAGCAUAGAGGGAUGGUGAAUUUUAAUAAUGAAUUUGCAUUGCCUUCUAAACUCAAUAUUAUUUUCCCCGGUAUUCUAUACUAUGCAGUUCAUCAUCAUUUAGUGGUUGAGUUUUGAGAUUUUCUCUGGACUUUCUUGCUCUUUCCCCUUUAGUUGGAAGUCUAUGGAUUCUAUAGUUCUUUUCUCCUUUUUGAUAGUGGUUUUACCUUUACUAUGAAGGUUUCCACUAUCAUUGGUCUUGGGAUAAGAAUGACCAGUUUUAAUUUGGUAAGGUCCAGAGGGAGAAGAAUAAUGACUAAUUUUUGGAUGAUUUCUGUGAACUCUAGAGUUAGUAUAUCUAUCUUUGGAACUUUUGAGCUUUCCAAAAUACUUCCUAUUUCUCUGUUAUUUUCUCUCAGUAUGUUUAGGUUUUUGUCUCCUUCCAUCAUUUACAGAGCUAAUAGAGAGGUUGAUAUUAGAGUCUCUAUUGGGGGUUCGGGGGGGGGGGUCUCUAUUAAUUUUCAUAAAAAUUGAUCCCUUAGAUAGAAGUGUUGGCUCACAUAAGGGAAGAAUGUCAUGGACUAGCUUAUCAGGUUUAUCUGCUCUGAUAAUGAGGCUGUGGUGAGGUCCCCCUGAAAGGAGUGACUCAUCACUUGUAUGAGAGUCGAGAUCCAUACAUUGUUUCUAUAACUUAGGAGUUCUUAGUUUAGAUAAGAUGCUGUCACUUGGUCUAAGUAAGCAGGAUCUUGGAUGAUUACUUUUAUGGGAUUGUGCUCCAGUCCCAUGUUUAGGGAGAGAUAUUGAGUUUGGAGACCCAUUUUGAUCCAUGUGGAGGAGAGGUAUCUAAAAGUGGUUCCCUUAUGAUAAAUGUGACUAGAGGAAGAAGGGGAUUUGAGAGUGAGGAAGGAAUAGUCAUUAAGAGGAGUAGAGGUUUGAGAGCGGUGAGAUAGUACAGAGGGGAAUCUAGUUUUCAGAGGUAUCUUUCUUCUUUCUCAAAUUUUAGUAACUUCAAUAUUUAAUGUUGAGGGAGAUAAAGUGACUAUAUCCAUAAAAUCCCCAGUGCCUGCUAUGCCACACACUGAUAUUUCACUUGGAAAAAAAGACAGACGUUUGGUUACCAGAGAGAGACAGAGUUAAAAAAAUUUAGGGUGUUCAUUACACCCAUUAUUACUAUUAUUCUUGUUGUCUUUUUUAAUAUCACGAGAAGAAGAAUAAUUUACUUAAGGCUUGGAAUUCUUUAGUAGAAAGAGUAAUAUUGAGAUUACUAUUCAUCUUCGAAUAGUUGGUGUUUGGAUGUCCCAUAGAGAUUGAUUAGAUUUUUGGCCUUCGGAUAAUGUUUUAGGACUUUCUAUGUCAAUGAGCCUUUUCCUAUUAGAAACAAGAUCUGACCUAAUAUAUAAGGGUUUGGUAAAGUUGGUCUGGUUGCUUUGCCCAUUUGACUUAUAGGUGUUGGGCCUAUUUCUAUUGAAAUUUGAGGCUGGCCCAAUAGAUUAGCCAAGAAUCCCUUUCUCUUUUGAGUUAGGUCUGACAUUUAUCAGUUUAAUGCGAAUGUUUGACCUCCAACAAGCUUGGUCAAGCCUGGGCUAUAAGCAUAAUUAUGGGUUUCAAAGAACUUUAUGGGUUUCCAAGCACUUACUUUAAUCCGCAUCGAAGAGUUUUAUCUUGAUUUUCUAUUGAGAGUCACUUGUCUUGUGUAUGUUUCCUUUUUUGUCUUGUGACUCUAUCUUCGUUCUUGGGUGAAAGUCAUAGUUUUCCCAUCUCCAUCUAUUUUUUAUCCACUAGUAGUUUGUCCUACCAAAGGAAUGCUAAUGGGUUUGUGGGGAAUAUUAGACUAGUAUACUGUAUUGGAGCCUAUCUUGCCAAAGAAGUGUCAAGAUUUUAUGGGGGCAUCUUAGACUAGUGUGACCCAAUCUACUGCACAAUUUGAAGAGGAUCCUUUCACGCUCAUAGAAAACUAGAUGCUUGUGAUUUUCAAUGGUGACAGAGGUUUUUACAAGCGUUUCUAUUGGAAUUUGUAUGCAUAUUAUUGUAUAUCUGCCUCUCAAGGUCUAGGAGGUGCACAUGUUGAUCUUAACAAGCUCUUUAGUUUUCUCCUUAUUUUUUAGAUUUUGUUUAUCAUAAAACUCGAUAAAGAGAGCUAGAAAUCAAACAUGAUAAUGAAGGAGAUCUGGGAUUCAUUUGUGAUGAAGUUUGGUUCCUAAUUUCUUCUUGUGAGGAAACUACACGCUACAAACCAUGGUCCUCCUUGUAGUGCCUUGAUGCGGCUCUCUUGAGUGUUGAGUUUUACAGUGUAAAAAUCAGAAGCCAAAUCUAUUAGGUAGAAAAUUUUUCAUUGAGUUUUCAGAGAUCUGAGAGUUUUGUAUUGAGGUACUGAUGAUUGAAUUUCCUAUUGAAAGCUUUGAUUAUUACAGAGAAUCUCCACAGGGCAUAUAGUAUUUUUUUCAAUCGAAAGUGUUUUCAGGUUAUCGUUCAUAUCUAGAUUGAUGAAGUUCCCUUCUAUAAAAUUUGCGGAGUUUGAAAUUUCAUGGAGAGUGUUUAGUAUGAAAGUAAGUUUCUUUGCCUCCCCAUCAAUUGUGACUAGGUCUAUUGGAUCUGGUGGUUUAGGUGGAGAGUUUUUGUCUACCGCUGGACAUGAUAAGAAGGUUUAUCUUUAUUUUUUUCAAAAAAGUUUGGUUUUUUCAAUAGGAAAUUGCUUAUCUCAGCUUCUUUUAUUAAUGAAUUUGUAUUAUGAUAUAUUUUAGGUUCUAAUUUGGGAGUUGAAAAAUAAUAAUUUUAGUAGUAGAGAAGGUCAUACUCAUGAAAUUACAGAUGUUCAUUUUAGACCAAAACUCAAUGGUGUUUACAACAUCUUCUCUUGACAGAAUUGUGAAAAUAUGGGAUGCAGACGAGGUACUACCACUAUUGCCAUAAUGAUAGCUUUCUAAUAUCUUGAAUUUAUUUCUUUUAAUUUGUGUCCAUUACAACCAUGAAAUCGUACAUAUAUUACCAUUUUGUCAUUAUCCAGCCAAGCAACAGGGUUCAAAAUUUUGUUGGCCAUGAUGAGCAAGUGAUGUCAAUAGAUUUUUAUCCAACAAAGAUAAGUCUCAUCAGUUCUUGUGAACGAAAUGAUGAGAUUAGAUUGUGGGAUGUCACUAGGGACGAUUGCAACCUCAUUCUUAAGAUUGGUGCCUCUAUUUCCUUCCUUUUUGAUUUUUAGAUGUUCAUAAAGAGGUAUCUUUAUUUGACAUAGGAAGACUUCUUAAUUUGGUAGUUAGCUAUUUUUCUAUUUCUAUUUCAAUUUGGAGAUUCCUUAGUUACCUCAUUCAAAAUUAUUUUUGAAUUUAUUUUUCUUUAAUUUCUAUAUUUAGUGUAGGAACUAUUUUUCAAAUUAUUCUUUCUUUUUCAUUUCAAGAAAUUUAAGGUUUUCAAAAUUUGUAGUUAGUGAUCACCGAAUACUCAUGCAAAAAGAUAUUUUAGAAAAUAAAAGGGUUUCACCAUAGUAUUUGAACCAACAUUCAUAUCACAUUAAAUAUCACAUUGUACAAUAUUCUAAACAACAUACUUUGUAGGGAAUUAGGUAUUAUUCAUUCACCAUAAAAGAUAUUAAUCGCUCUUGAUACAAAUGCAGGAAGGUAGUACACAAGUUAGAUUUCAACCUCAUUUGGACACCUUUAGGCAAGUUCUACCAAAAAUACUUUAAAUAUCUUUUAUAUCGAGACUAACAACAUCAAAUAAAAGUUACAACUAAGAUUCUUACACUUGUUCAUUGGUCAAACGUGUUUUAAAUUUCUUACAUGUUGCAUUACUAUAUUGUAAUAGUGUGAUGUUGGGUUUAUUUGGUUUAUAAGGACACGUCAAAAACAUCUGUUCAAUUUGUUGGGAUAUGAGUGGAAAUUACUUAGCAUUUGUAAGCAAAUAUAGUGCACAAAUAUGGUCUAUAUGUGAAGGAACGUGCAUAUCAGAAUUGUUCUCUAGUGAGAAUUAUUUAGCGGUAAUUUUGACUUUUUAAGAGUCGCUACUUAAUUUAUUUGAAAAGAAAUUAAGAAAACCUUUAAAAGUUACUUAAAUGAUCCAAAACAAAAAAAUUAUUUAAGUUUGAAGAUCCUGAGUAAGCAGUUCCUAUUAAUACUCUUGGAAGGUUGUUAAGGCACCAAGAGUAUUCGCUAACUUGCGGUUAUCCGGACUGUUUGAAAAUAUCUUUUGACUAACUUCAAAAAGAAAGAUUGAUUGUUAAAAAGUAAUUGAUUUUAGGAAAAGACUUGUGUAAGAUAUAUUUGGACGACCUAGUAGGGAUUUUAACUAAGUCUAAACAAAUUAAUAACAAAGCAUGUAAAAGGGAAAAGGGAGAAAAUAAAAGACUUAUGUCAUUGGACCCAAAUCAAUAGACCCUGUCCAAAUCUAAUUGGGAUUUUGUCCUACUUGCACCCGUCCUAAUCUAAAUAUUGGGCUUUCGUUCCACAACCUGUCCUAAGCUAGUUUUCGGACCUUUGAGGCCCAAAAUUCAUCUCACCUGUAUUAAAAUACAACUUUGGCUUCAAGGCCCAAAUGAAUGAAUAAAUAAAUGACUAAAUGAAUAAAUAAAAAGAAGACAAUAAUAAAAAAUAAGACUUUUCAAGUCUCUUAGUGACCUUAUCAAUGGAUUUUGACUCAUUUUCCUUCUUCGUCUAUCUUCUAGCACCCGCACGCCAUGUAGUGGGCCUUGGGUUUAAACUUCGGAAUUGACUCAAAGAUGUGAGCCUCAUUGACCUAUUACGAAAUGCAAGAGGAGAGGAGUCCAUUUGAACUCGAGAUAUUUUUUACUUGCAAAGAAAAGAUAAAGAACUUAAUAUACGUUCAAGGCAUAAUAGUUACAUAUUUCAAAGCAAAAGAAAAUAUCAAGAAUCAAUUUUUUAGUUACAAUGAUAUGCACAGUUGCACACGUAUAACAAGAGUGAGAGUCAAUUGAUAAAAUGCAAAGCAAAGACAUCCACUUGCACGCCUCAUGAUUUUUGUUCAUAUUAAGAAUGAAUAAAGGUAAAAGGAAGAAGGUCAUAUUCAGUGAAUUAAUGCGAGAAACAAACAACAUAAGAUUGCGAAAUUAAAGGGAUGGGGCAACAAGAAAAAUACUCAUAACUUCUAAAAUUGAACAAAUAUAGACACUAAUCCAUAUAACAAAAAAAAAUAAAGGUUAACUUUUCAAGAAAGAGAAUCUUUAAAUUUCAAUUAAGGCGACAUUAACAAAAAUUUAUACAUCUAAAUUACAACCAACAUUUUAUGGAAAAGCAUAUAACGACCUAUGGUUUAUAUUUCUAAGACAUCGUUGAUUCUCUUUGAUAUUAUGAAUAAAAGAGAGACAUGAAUCAAGUCUUUACACACAAAAAGAGCACAUAUAAUAAUCCGGAAUAAGAAAAUAAGAAUAAAAGUUUAGCAUCUCUAAAAUUGAAAUAUCGUUCAACAAUCAUACUAUGCAUGAGUCAAAAAUAUCCAAAUAAUUCUAUUUAGCCACAAAAGUCCGAACUUUCUCAUCAUUUUGACAAGACAACAUGCGAACAAAAGAGGAAUAAACAUCUUGGUGGAAAAUAAAGCUAGCACUUCAUCUCUUAUAUGAGGAUUUUGAAAUUCAUUAAAAUAAUUAGCAAACAAAUGACAAAUUCUUGACUUAACUAAUUACUAUUUUUAUUAAGGCGAAACAAACAAUAAUAAUUAUUUUUCCAACAUAAAAGAAAUAAUUUUACAUGCUAAAACAAACAUAUCCACCGACAAUGAAUUUAAACAAGGCAUGAGUUCGUCUUUUGAGCAAAGAUCAAAACUUUAUACAUAACAAUCAAAGAAUAAAGUCAAAAAGAAAAACAAUCAAUAUUAACUAUUCUUUUUAACAUAAAGAAAAUAACUUUACUUGCUAAAAACAAACAUAUCCACCAACAAUGAGUUUAAACAAAGCAUAAGUACAUAUUUUAAGCAAAGAUUGAAACUUUACUAUAAUAAUUAUAGAAUAAAGUCAAAAAGAGCAUGUACAACUAUUGCUAGCUCAUUUUUAUAUCAUGAACAUGAAAAUAAUAAAAAUAUCGAUACCACAACAUCCUAUGGCCUUCAAGGCCAUCUACAACAAACAAUCACAUCAAACAAAAUUAUAACUAUGAACUAUGAAGAAGAGAAAGAUGAAGAAUAAAACAAUAAUAAAACUAAAAAGAAAAAGGAAAGGUGUGUUUACCUUUAUGGGGGUAGCAAAACGAGACUACGAGCUUCGUCAGAAUCAACCACCACCUAAAAAAGUCGCCGGCAAGUCAAAAAUUUUGAUUAGCCGACCAACUCUAUGAAACAAAAUUUUUUACUAAAUAAAAAUAACUAUUUUGCUCAAAGGUCUUUUUCACCUUUCUAGCCUUUUUUUUUACUUUUCAACCCUUCUUUCUACCAAAGUAGUGGUAGUAUUUAUAGGAGAGAAUGAAGUUUUAUUUCAUUUCCUCCACUAAUGUGGGAGAAAAGUAUUUAUAGGAAAGGAUGAGAAUUUAUUUCUUUUCAUCCAUCAAUGUGGGAGAAAAGACAUUUAGGGGUGUUUUUGGAUUUUAAAAUUGAAGAUAAGGUGAAGUGAAAGAUAAUGUAUGUGUGUGUGUGUGUGGGGGGGGGGGGUUUCUUGGUCGUCUUCAUCCUCAUCUUACUUAGGAGCUCAAUAGCCUCAGUCUGUGUUAUAGACUGAGUAAAAUCUGUCCACUUUCCCCACUGUGACUUUUCUGUAAUCUAUAUGCCUAUCUUAGCCAUAAUAAUAGCUUCAACAACCUUCUUCUUUCCUAGUCACUGUCCCUGAUGCUUUGGUUGGGGCCGCUUUGUUCGGGGCUGUUCUGGUAUGGGCAAGUGCAUAUUCCUCCUUUGAGCUACCACUCUAGGAAGAUUCAGCCUGUUUCCUAGAAGCUGUGGAUAUCUUCUUUAAAUACUUAGGAUCCGUAUGUAUCUAAAAAACCAAGUUUUAGUAUUCAACAACUAAUAUUUUGAUAAUAAAUUAUAUUAAAAUUAAUAUUUUAAUCAUCAUAUUUAUUUUCAAAAUAAUCCUUAAUUAAAAUUCAAUAUUCCAUGGAAUAAAUAUUUAACUAAUUAAAUUAUAUAAUCUCGUAUAACUGAACACGAUAAUAUAUAAUUGCUACUUAAAAUGACAAAAUUACCUAUAAAAAAUAUGUUGGAAAAAAAAAUUAUUCGGAUGAAAUAAAUAUUUCAAUUUUAUUAAAAAUCGAAGAAACUCAAGAUUAAAUUUAGUUGUGGAGGGAAAAAAAUUAGGUUUUAACAACUAUCCCCUCCUUUGGGAGGGUGGAUGCAAGUAACCUUAGGCAAAGGGAGGUUGACGUUCCUAAUUUUUGUCCGACUACAAAUUCAAAUCUGAAAGAAGUUGGCUUUCGCAUGAGUUUGAUAGAGACAUGGCCGGACCUUGGUAUCAGGUUUUCUAUAUAUCUCAAGUUACAUGAGAAUUUAGGCCACUUGUAGUUCAUAAAGCUUGAUUUAAAGCACGACUUUCAAAAAAUUCACCAGCUAUCUCGAUUUUUAGAAUUUUUAACAAAACUAAAAAGUUAGGAAAUAGAGGGAUUUCGGGGAAUGUUGGAAUGCAGCCAAGUUUUUAAAAUAUUUCCCAACCUACAUAUCCCCGAGACUCAAGGAAUCAGACUACUUGUAGUUCGACUCAAUCGGUAGAAAAAAUAGUCUUUUAUUUCAGAUGAUCUUUGACUCGGGAUGAGCGACAAGUUGAUUGAGUUGCAAAAAAGAGGCUUGUAACCUCUUAACCAUGAACGUGGGAUCCUUCACAUCCAUAGGCAAGAACUUACCUAGACAUAAUUUUCAAAACUCUAGGUUUACUAUCACUCGAAUUUGAAAGAAAGAGAAGGUUAUCCUCGGUAUGAGUUUAGAAAUAUCCCGAAGGUGAAGCUGAAACCAGAAUAUCCUAAAAUACCCACAUUCCUUAUAAUAGGGGUAUGGUUGGAUGGUGGUGGUGAUCAUCUUUUAGUUCGCGUCUAAAGAGUUUGACGUUUCUCUCUAGACUAUAUCCCAUUUUGCUGCUAAGAAGGAGUUCCAUGUCGUGCUAUGUCCUAUCUAGAGUCGUCCGCACCUGUCAUUUUGAUUUGAGAUUUUCAUCCCCUCGGAUGCUCUUGGCAAUGUCUCAAACAAAAAUCGUUAGUUAUAAACAUAAUUCAUGAAAGAGGUAUAUAGUCUUUACCAUAUCUCCACGUGAGUUGUCGCCUGAAAAGCAAAGUCAUCCUUUCAUGUACUUGUUUGGAAGGAAAUAACUUGAAAUAACAGAUACAAAAACCCUCUUGGUUUUUUCAUAAUCAGACUAUUUAUCAGUUGAUAUGUCUUUAAAGUAGGAUGGCCCUUUUGGACAUCGCUGACACUUUAUGUAGAAUGGUCCCUGCAACCGUGUAAUCUUAUGCUAAUGCGACAACCUUUAGGUCACCUAUAAUUCUUGUCGUAUGUAGAAUUAUAACAUCUCUGGCUAUUGACAAUGUUUUUUUCCAUGUGACCCUCGGGUAAGUCUUGUGCAUCUUUUGUAUCGAUACAACUUACAGAUUUCCCUUAAAUUGUUAAUUUUUGGAUAAUCUCGCGUAUUAUUUGAUGUUGGAUACAAGGCAACUUACAGAUAUCCUUUGAAUUUCUAGCCUUUAGGUAAUCCUGCACAUUAUCCGACCUUCGAUAAGAUAUGGCCUAUAGAUAUUCCUCCAACUGAUAGUUGUUAGGUAUUCCUACACAUCAUCCAACCUUGGAUACAAUAUGACUUAUAGAUAUGUCUCAAAUUGCUAGUCUUUGGGUAAUCCUGCACAUAAUCAAUUAUGAUGUUCCGCAGAUUAUAGAGAACCCUUGGACUUAUCAAUUUAACAAUCUUGCAUAUUCUUCGGUAAGGAUUUAGUUACGACUUACGGAUAACCUUCAGACUAUCAAUUUUUGGAUAACCUUGCACAGUAUCUGAUUAGGAUAUUGUUGCGGAUUAUGAAUGACCUAUGGGCUAUCAACUCAUAGGUAAUCUUGCACACUAUCCUAUUUCAAAUAAUAUGACUUAUAGAUGACCCUUAGAUUGUCAAUUUCUAGAAAGUCUCAUAUGUCGUUCGCUUUUAGAUAGAAACUUAAAGAUGCCCCUUUGAAUCACUUGAUUUUGAUACAUUUAGAUGCUUAUUCAUAAAAUGAUGAGAUAUUAUUGAAGUCAACGUAUGCUAUCUUAUAUGUUAAUAGAUAUUAGAUGCUAAUGAUAUCCUCGACGCCAGCGUAUGCUAUCUCGCGUGCCAACAGAUAUUAGAUGUUAAUGAUAUCCUCGAUGCCAACAUUUAUGUCUCACGUGUCAAUAAAUAUUAGAUAUUGAUGAUAUCCUCGAUGCUAGCAUUUGUGUCUAACGUGUCAAUAGAUAUUAGAUGCUGAUGAUAUCCUCGAUGCAAUGUUUGCUAUCUUACAUGUCAACAAAUAUUAAAUACAUUGGUCCUCUUGGCAAUGAAAUGAUAUGAAAUAGCCCUUUUGGAAAUGGCAUAAAAUGGAUCUCUCGGUGAUGAUAUGAAAUGGCCCUCUCGGUAAUAGCAUUAAAUGGCCCUCUCGGCAAUGGCAUGAGAUGGCCCUCUUAGAAAUGAGAUGAAAUAGUUCUUCCGAUGGUUUGAAAAUAGUUUCACCUGAGUCUGUUUUUCUGCAUUUUACUUUCUACAUGUACCUGUACUCAAGGUAGAUAGUUAGUAGACAUAAUAUUGCUCCCACUGGCGACCACAAUCAAGCUUUAUGAUAGUUUAAUGACAAAUACUGAGCAUCAUAAUUUGAAUGACUUAUUCUGCUAUUAAUCUUGUCUCUUUGAAGAAAUAAUUAAAUAGCAGAUCCACCGAAUGCAAGUAAAUGGGGCAAAAUCCUUGUUUAGAGACUACUCAAAUACUGUUUGCUUCACUUCAAGGCGAAUUUUGAGGAUGACUUUUGGCUCUUCCUCCUGUUGAGUAAUACUUUGAUUGUUGUAUUUAUUGUGCCAAUUUUCUUGAAUGCACCUGCACUUAAAGUAAAUAUUUAAUAGUCAUAAAGCCGCUUAUGCUAGAGACUCCUUUUAUAUAAAGAAUUCCAAAUACAAUAUUCAUAAAGUAGAUAAGGCAACUUUGUUUGUCCUUUAUGGUCUAAAGAAAUAAGAUAGACAUUUCAAAAGGUCCUCAAUAAAUGGAUAUUAAGCCCAUCUUCGGGGCUAUCCGAAAAUACCGUUCUUGAGCAUUAUGUGCAUAGGAGUAGAUCACAAUCGCUUGGGGGUUUUCUGAAAAAGAUUUUCAUCUUUGUAUAUUAAUCCCUACAUCUACAGAAAAACAGUUAAUUUUGAGUGAAACUACUCCGUGUUGACCUUCUUCGGUCCUUUAUUUGCUCCUCGUCAUCUUUUGGGUACUCCAUCAUGUUGAGACUUCCAUCUUGACUCUUCAUUCCAAUAGAUGUCUAUGAAAUUACUAAAUAAAAUAUUCGUAUUGAUUUUCAAAAAUAGUCUUAUUUUUAGAAACGAGUUUUAAAACUUCUACAAAAGAUUUAGAAAAUCUCUGCCAGUCAUGUCAUGUACCAGCUCAAUGAACAUCUUUCUGUUGGUUUUGACUAUAUCCGAUGGAAGAUUUUCAAAACUUAUCAUCAUUGUUGAGGCUUUCUAUCAAAAGUUUUGUCUAGCCGAAGAUUUAGUCUAACUAGACUUUGUCGCAGAUGGUGACUUCUAAAGAUUGACUUUGACCUCUGGUGCUAGGGAAUUUGAAAUAUAUUCCAAUAUAUUAGUGGAAAUUUUGAGGACCUUCUCAAAAUUUAUGCCCCAGUUUAAGGUUGUUUGAGAUGAUAUCAGCCCGUGAGGAUCCAAAGUCUUUCUUAGUCUUCGUUCUCUUUGUUUUUGGAAGAUGAUCUUUCUCUUGUGAAUUUUUGAGAUUCCUUCUCGAAAAUUAUGCCCCAGUCUCAUUUCCUGGGGUUAUAUGACCGAGCCAUUGGGGCUCCUACAUAUUCCGUUGAAGUAGGAAUCAGGUCAAACGUAGUUCAAGACAACAUUGGGGAUACAUAUAAAAUUCUAAUGGGUUGACCGAAGCCGACAUAGGCCUCCUACGUAUCUCAUUCUUGAGAAUUCAGGUCAUCACAAAGUUCAUACAUAAAUGGAAGGGAUAAAUUAUCCUAAGGGGUUGACCGAAGCUGACUUAGGCCGUCUACGUAUCCCUUUUUUAAGAAUUUAGGUCAAACGUAGUUUGUAUAUGAGCGAAAAGGAUAAAUUUUCCUAAAGGGUUGACCGAAGCCAACAUAGGCCGCCUACGUAUCCCAUUCUUGGGAAUUCAGGUCAAACGUAGUUCUUACAUGAAAGAAAAGUAUAAAUUUUCCUAAGGGGUUGACCGAAGAUGAGAUAGGCCACCUACGUAUCCCUUUCUUGGGAAUUCAGGUCAAAUGUAGUUCGUAGAUAAAGGAAAAGUAUUCUAGGAAAUUACACAACAUAAAACAAAUACUAUCAUAAAGGCGAUUACAAAUGAACCAAGGAAAUAAAAGUAAAACACCAUUCAAACAUAAUAUCUCUUUACCGCAUCAAAAUUGUGUAUGCUUCUGCUAAGUGAUCACUAACACUUGUCUCUUUGAUUUCAUCAUGAUUGCCCAAGUUGACUAUCUCAGUUUUGUCCAAGUUGGGUUUUUCUCAGUUUUUCAAAUUCCUCUAUAUCUUCCACUAACUGCUCUUCAUCACCUUUUUCUAUUCACUAUCAUUUCCCUCACUUUGUUCGUCUAACACUUGUCAUGACAUAACAUUAGCAGGUUUUAAACUACUGCUACCUAUUGAUCGGGGAGUAAUAAGUGAACUGAAAGUCCAAUUCAGCAAUGUUUCUUCCAAUUCAUCUUUCUUGAUUCUGGUUGUCUUGAAAAAAUCUUCCCUCACAUUUUUCUUAUUUCAUCCUCGAGACCAUCGCUUAUAGGUUUUGAAAAAUGAUUGGUAGAGUCCAGUUUUAUUACUAGUCAUUUUUAUUUUGCUGUAAAAAUGCUAUAGUCAAGAGGGGGAUCUUUUGUUCACUUUGAUCUAGUCAAGUAGGGUCAUUUUGUGCCAAGACAGAGUAGUUUCUAUUACCUGUAAAGUAAAAACAACUCAAACGCUGACGUGUUAGAUUUUGUUAGUAAUAAGUAAAGCAAGAAGAUAAGGUAGGAAUUAAACACAUAAAGUUUUUUCUUAUCUCACGAAUUGAUCCAUGAAGUAAUGAUGACUUGAGAAUUUCAAUGAACAAGAUUUUGCUCAAUAUAUGGAUAGGUGGAAUUUGUCAGGAAGGUUCAACUCUUAUUCUUCCUUCAAGAAAGUGGAGGACAACAGAGUUUUUGAAGAUGGGGGCCAAAAAGCUACCUACGUAUCUCACAGACGAGAAAUCAAGCCCUACAUAGUUCGAAACUAUAAUGGCUUUUUUUGAUUCUAAAGUCAACUUUACUAAAAUGGUAGAGAUCAUUUUGGAAGUUUAAAGAAUGAUUGCAGACUUUUCUGAGAAACUUAGGAGACUUGGAGUAGGUUUGGUCGGACAUUUGUAUAGUGGAGUGUAUUUCUGCCUAGAGAUGUUCUAUGGAAAAUGGGAUUGGAUCAAUUCGCCUUUAAUUCGAAUCAAUAUAACACGUAUAAGAGCAUAAAUAGUAAUAUUACACAAGCAUAUUGUAUAAAUAUGCAUCCUAAUUGGGUGACCCUUUUGAGCCAAGGGUUUAGGCCUAAUGAAUUUUGAAUAAAAUAUACGCCUUUUUAAAGUCAAUCCAUUAUCCCCAAAAGUCUUCAUAGGUAUAUAUAAAUGACAUAAAUGUCUACAAAAGUUGCACAAAAAGGAUAUGAUUUUUAGGAAAAGGGAAAAUAACAUGAAAAAAGGAAUAAUGUCCUGCACAGGGGAUGGGAAAUACUAGUUCCUGAAUGCUCUUCUAUUGACCUUUGCCCUCUUAUCUUUGUCCACUUCUUGUCACUGGUGAGAUCCAUUGAUGGUCAAAUGAUUUAUGUAUAGUUGUUCCCUAGAUGAAACCGUCCAAAUCGAUCAAUUUCUUUCUUGGCUUGCUUCAAUUCCUCUCUCAAUUGGUGUAUGAUUGAGGUAUCCUUACACGAAAGUAAGAAAAGUAAGCUAUCUCUGGAUUAAAUAAACAUAUAUUUCUGCAAUACAUAAUUAUGAUUCAUCUGUAAUUGACUCGGGGUCAAUAAACACAGGGAAGGUUUUCUAAUGGGCCCAAUACCCCCUCGGGUAUUGGGUCAUCCUAGGCUCGUGCCUAAAAUAAGAUUUUGGUUUCGCUCAAUCCUAGGUAUCUAGAGUGGGUUUGAGCCAGGUUCCAAGUGGAUGACUUGGGUUUAAAAAUAUGAACAACCAUUAGAUGACUCACGUGCUAAUAAACCAUCGUAUUUCCAACACUUUAUUUGGAGUUAAACAAUCGGGGCUGGGACAUCCACGCAAUCCCAAAAUAAUUUAAUAAUCAAUGUAGAAUUAUCUUAUGAGAUGUAAUAAUUAAAUUUCACAAAAUCGAAACAUAUAAACACGUAAGAAAUUUAAUUAGUUAGUCAAAAUAUAAAAUCAAACAUUUGGUUAGAACCUAGUUAAAUAUCCCUAGAAGAAACGCUAUUUCUAUUUUGCCAAAAAUUUUGACUUUUGAGAGUUGCCAGUUAUUUGAAAAGGAAUUAAGAAAACCUUUAAAAGUUACUUAAACGAUCCAAAACAAAAAAAUCAUUUAAGUUUGAAGAUUCUGAGUAAGCGAUUCUUAUUAAUACUCUUGGAAGGUUGUUAAGGCACCAAGAGUAUUCGCUAGCUUGCGGUUAUCUGGACUGUCACACCCUUUUUUACCAAAAAGAUUAGAUUUUAAAGUUUGAAAGGGUUUUUAUUACUAAAGUGACAAAAUGAAGCUUUGUUCCGUAAAAGGAUUAUUUUUACAUUCAAAUCUCAGAGUUGCCACUAGGAAUAAUCCAGUGUGCCAAGUCACCUUUGGACAAUCCUUUUCAAAAUGGUUUUGACUUUUUAAAACCGAUCCACAAACAAAGAUUCCGGCUAAGGAAUUCUGUUGAUCGAGGGAAAGGUGUUAGGCACCCCUUGAUCAUAUGGUUCGACAAUGGUCUCUUGGUGGAGUAUAUCGGCUCGUAGACAUCAUAAAAUGAAUAAACCAACACACACACAAACAAGAAAAACAAUCAACCAAACAAUCAAAAGUCCAAAAAAUAAUGUCCAGUCCAAUUUAUUACAACCCAAAAUAAAAUGCUGAAAUUAAAAUCUAAACUAUUCUAACUAUCCUAGCUAUGCCUUACCCGAUGCCUCGAGCCGUCAUUACGAGCCUCAUUUGCAUACAUGAUACGUCAGGGCAUUCCCCGAUAAAUAAAUAUAAAUGACCUUGGGGCAUUCCCCGGCUAAAUGAAUACAUUUUUUUAGUGCGAGAAAAUCAAACCAUUCAACAAAAUUUCAAAAAUUCAACAAAACCACGAAUUCUAAACUUUGCCUACCCAACCUACAUUUGCCUACCCAUUCGACCUAUCAUGAUACUAUCAAGUUCGAUAAUAUAGUGUCCAUUUCAAAAUAAACAACAAUUAAAGAAUUAAACUAACUGACAUCCACCCUUUUUAUCAGUUUUCCAUUCACACCCCAUGAUUAACAAAUUUCAAUUUAAAAUCAACCAAUCACGUUAAGAUAUUACGGAGAAACUCAAACACAUUCAAACACAUCACCAAAUCAUAUCAUCAAACACGUUAAGAUAAUACAAGAGUAGAGUUAAGAAUUUGAACCUCAAAAUAAUAAAUUUCUAUUGAUAAUAACGAGUUAACAAGGCACGAACUCGAAAUCCUGAAUAAAAAUCUAAAUAGCGACCAAAAAUUCAACUCGGUAUCGAGAAAUAUAACCCGAAGAGAUUUGUCAUCGACGAAAAAACGCCAAAUCAAAAAUUUCCAAUUGUCCAUAACCUAACCCACUGGAAUCAAAGCUAGUUGGCCAUUUGUACCUCCCCAGAGCUCCGACAGACCACUUAGCCCACGAAUUGGGGUCUCUCUCCAGCUAAAUCUCAUCGAAAAAAUCCAGAAAUAGAAAAGGAAAGGGGAUUUCAUAGAGCUGCGAGUGACGGGAUUUAACGGGUGAGGAUGAGUGUUAUUGGAUGUCUAUUUCUGUGUGUGUAUUCUCGAAGGAGAAGGAAAAAUAGAGAUUAGCAGUGUGUUUGUGCAGAAUUGUGUGGGUGGUGUUGUGUAUUGUUUUUUGGUCAAUGAUGAGGAUGAUUGUUAGGUGAAUGUGUAAGUUAGUAAGUAGGAUUGGAUGGGGAUAAGGGUGAGGGUAGGGGUAGGGUAGAGAGAGGGAAAAAUGAGAAAAAUUUAAUUUUUGGACGGACAAAAUUACAUGUCUACAUUAAGCCCCUCUUUGGAUGUAAAUGCAAAGUGUUUUCAGAUAAAGAAGUAGACAACGAGACAAAAUUUUGACCGACCAUUAUUCAGAAGAAAGAAACACAAGGAAGGAGGGCAAUCGAGUCUUGAUUUUGCUUUCCUACCUAUCCUGAGUUAUGAGAGAUUCAAGUCAUAUGUAGUUAUAGGGUUGAAAAGGAGAUGGACUAUACCGAAUUGGAGAGUCGAGUGAGGUCCUGUCGAGGUUCUGGUCCACGGCUCUAUCAUUACACCAAAAUAAAAAUUACAAGUUAAAAUAUAAAUGAAAUUAUAAAGUCUUAUCUAUGCAACAUCUCUUGAUUUUUGUCUUGGGUCUCUGAUGCUUUUAGAAGUGACAAAAGAUCUAAUCUUCUUUCGAUUGAACUUGAAGAUAGAAUUUUUCUCUAUACAAAUUUGGUGUUGGAGAUGAACUCAAAGUUAGUCAUGCUGCAGGUGGUAUCUCUGAACUUGAACCUGGAUUUGAAAUUCUUCACCCUAUUCUUCAGGUGGGCUCCUAACUUGCAGUCUUUCACCUAGUUGCUUGAAUUUUAAUCUCUUUACCGUAUUCUCCAGGUGGGCUCCUGACUUGCAAUUUCAUCACCCUGUUCUGCAGAUAGUCUCCUGACUUGCAAUUUCAUCACCCUAUUCUUGAGGCGAGCUCCUGACUUGUAACUCCAUCACCCUUUUCUCCAGACAGGCUCAUGACUUUCAAUUUCAUCACUCUAUUCUCCAGGACUCCUGACUUGUAACUCCAUCACCCUAUUCUUCAGGCGGACUCCGGAAAAUAAAAUCAAAACUAGAACAAAAAUUAUCCCACACAAAGAUUAUGAUAAAGAAAGAUUUUAUUUUUUCAGAAAAUAAUGUCUCAUUUUACAAGAGAGUUCUAAACAGAAAAUAAAGUCCCAUUUUUUAGGCGGGUCCUGAACAAAAGUAAUGUCCCAUUUUUCAAGAGGGUCCUGGACAUGAAGUAAAUUCCCAUUUUUCAGGAGGGUCCUGAACAUAACGUAAAUUUCCAUUUUCCAGUUGGGUCCUGAACAUAGAGUAAAUUUCCAUUUUUAGGAGGGUCUUGACCAUAAAAUAAGUUUCCAUUCUCCAGAAGGGUCCUAAACAUAAAAUAAAUUCUCAUUUUCCAGGAGGGUCCUGAACACAAAGUAAAGUCCCAUUUUUCAAGAGGGUCCUGAACAUAAAAUAAAUUCCAAUUUUCCAGGAGGGUCCUGAACAUAAAAAUAAAUUUUUAUUUUCCAGGAGGGUCCUAAACAUAAAAUAAAUUCUCAUUUUUCAGGAGGGUCCUGAACAUAAAGUAAAUUUCCAUUCUCCAGGAGGGUCCUGAACAUAAAAUAAAUUCUCAUUUUUUAGGAGGGUCCUGAACAUAAAAUAAAUUCUCAUUUUUUAGGAGGGUCCUGAACAUAAAGUAAAUUUCCAACCAAAUGCAUAUUUAUCCUAAUAAAUUAUUGAUCCCGAACUUUUUGAUUUAAUAAAACCAAAUGCAUAUUUAUCUAAAUAAAUUAUUUUGAUAAUAAAUUAUAUUAAAAUCAAGAUUUUAGUCAUUAUACUUAUUUUUAAAAUAAUCCUUAAUUAAAAUCCAAUAUUCCAUAGAAUAAAUAUUUAAGUAAUCAAAUUAUAUAAUCUCAUAUAACCGAACACAAUAAUAUAUAAUUGCUACUUAAAAUGAUAAAAUUACGUACAAAAAAUAUUUUAAUUUUUUUUAUUUGAAUGAAAUAAAUAUUUUAAUUUUAUUAAAAACCGAAGAAAUUCAGGAUUAAAUUUGGUCGUGGAGGGAAAAAAUUAGGUGUCAACAAGAAUAAGUUUCAAUCCUGCACUUUCCACCCGGGGCACCCUCUAGUGUUAGUAAUUGGUUUUGAUAGGGUAUGAUUAGCACAAUUUGAAUAUUUCUUUGCUAAACUAUUGAGAUCAUAUAUACAGGGCCGACUCGAUAAUUAUGAAGGCCUAAAUCAAAACUUCAAUGAGAGGCCGAAAAUUUUAUUAAAAAAUCAUAUAUUCUAUAGGAUAUCACUUGAAGUCUAUUUUCUAGCUUUUUAUAUACAAAAUUUAAGAUACUAUCUAUAUCUUAAUUUGUAUGAUAAUUUUCACUUUUUGACUUUGAAAAGUAUAAUAGGAUUAAGUUUGUAAAGAUACUUUUCAUUUUUUAAAAAAUAAGUAAUUUUUAAAAAGUGCUCUCAAACUUAAAACACCACACACACACUACACACACAUAUAUAUAUACACACAUAUAUACACAUAUACAGAGGCGGAUCCAAGGUUCAAAAACUCCGGAUACCACCUUAUUUUGAACAAUAACGUAUACUCCAUACGGUAUUUUAGGAUAGUGGAAUCAAUAUUCAAACAUUAAACUAUAAUUAUAUAUAUCUAACAAGUGUUAGUAUUAUAUGAAUGCUUGCCUAGUUGGUGUUGUCAGCUGUUUUGUAAAAAAAGAGGUCAAGGGUUCUAUUCUUCAUAGCCACACUAUAUAUUUUUUUAAGAGAAAACAAACAAGUGCUAAAAAUCAUUCUAAAAAUACAGUGCCACACGGGUUUCGAACCCGCGUUGUUGGAGUUAAACUAAACAAUUUCUACCACUUACACCACUAGUCCCUUUGAUAUUGUGGGUGUCAAGUAUAAUAUUUGUACAUUAACUGAUACAUAUACACAUAAAUAUACAGAGUUUCAUCCGAGAAGUGCGGGUGCCAUGCCACCCCAUACCUUCUACAUUGAUUCGCCCCUGCACAUACAUACAUACAUACAUAUGCCAGGAAAUUUUGGGCAGCAGUGGCUUUAGAAGCUUUACGCUUUAGCCGACCCUGCAUGUAUAAGUUCCUUGUAGGCUUGGCUCGAUUAGUCAUGUCGAUAUAUCUACAAAACAAAAAAUACCUAGGAAUCUUGAAAUAAAAAAGAAAUAAAAAUCUUCUCUGGAUCAACCAAAGAUAAGAAAUGGAAAAGGAAUAAUAGUAGGGUAAGAAUAUGCAAAGUCUGCAAUAUUAGGUUCUAGUGUCACAAUAAUAUGUCAUAGAGUUCCCAUUUUGAUAUGAGUUUUGCUUGCUAUAUUUUUAUUUUAUUAAAUAGAAUGUUAAUUUUAACUAAACAUUUUUGCCUUCCUACUUGUGUAAUAUUAUUUCACGAUCCUUGAUGACUUCUCUAUUGAGGAACAUUCAGGAAUAUUAGAUCUUCAAACUAAAUAAUUGUCAAGUUAGAUGAAAUUGUUCAUGUUUGAAGCUUAUUCACAUGUAUAGUCCUUGAUUUUUCUUUCUCCCUUUUCUCGCUAUUUUGUAUCUAUUGAAUAUUGUUGCAGGUCUUGGAGUUGUGGAACCAUUCAUUCAGAGCAACAUAACUUGGCCACAUAAUGAACAUGAGGGCAUAAUUUCUUCAUUAGCGAAUUCGCGUGUGAAAGAAAAUAUAGCUUCAGUGAGUCAUGACCACCGGAUGAUGAUUUGACGAUGAUAUAUAUUUAUGGAUCAAGUUAUAAGAAUAGACAUUCUUUCAUCUUUCUAUUUUCAAAAUUACGUCAAUUUAUGAAUAAAAUAUAUUUGCAUACACCUUUUUGCUAACAAAUUGUAUUUGGGAUCAAGCAAGGAGACAAUAUUAUUGGUGCAUCACCAAUGUAAUGAGUUAUUUGAAAGGUUACAUCAUUUACAAACUUUGAUCAGUAUUUCAAACUCUCUUCUCUCUAGUUCAUCAUUUCGAACCUGAUAUUUAAAAUGUUAAUUAGACUUCUUGUUAUUUUAAUACAUAUCAAAGUCUAAACUUGAAUAACUAUAAUGAAUUUAAAUUCUUAAAUAGGAAAGUUUGUAAAACAAGUGAAGGAAAAUAUUUUCGGAAUGUGUUUUUCCUAUUUUUCAUGUUCAUUUGGAUGAAAUUUUAGAAAAAUAUUUUCUUUAGGAAAACAAAUCAUUGGAAAUAAGGAAAAUUUCCUUAAUGAAAGUAAGGAAAACAAGUGUCAAUAUCUCCCACCGUUCACAAAACCACCCACCCCAUCAAAUCCCACACUGACUUUACCCCUACCUCACUACAACCCCCUUGCCCUCCGUCUUCCCUACCAAAAUAUGCCUCACUCUACCCUUAGUCGUUGUCAUUAUUUUUUGUUAGAUAUAUACAAACGCUUUUAGAAUAAUAUUUAUUAUUGGGAUACUGAAUAUAAUAAAAUAAGUAAGAACCAACUUGAUUUCCUUGAAAAUAUUUUUCUCCAUAUUGAACACAACUGAAUGUAUACUCUAGCAACUACAUUAAAACAACUUAGUAAUAUAGUUAGAAAAUACUCAAAAAAAAAGAAGAAGAAAGAGAGUGACACCACUAUUUCAAAAGAAGGCCUCUCUUUCCUAUUUUGAAGUUACAAAUUAAAACAUUGCAUAGUGUCCAAAGCACAUCGUUCAUCUUAGCACUUAGAAAGGGAGGAGUUGGGGAAUCGGAAGGGAUCCAUCCAGACCUAUAAAAAAUAACACUACAUAUAUGCGGGAAAAUAAUUAAGAGUGACAAAAAAAUUUCAAAACUAAAAAAGUGACACAAGUUUUAGUUAUUGAGUUAAGAUGACAAUUUUAAGAUUAGUGUAAGUGGCACUAAUUUUAAAACUCCCAAGUUUGUAUUAUUUACUCAAAAUUAAGUCCUAACUUUCUCUCAACCCUUCUUAUGCCACUGCUGGCACUACCACCACCACCACCACCUCCACCAUUACCAUCACCACCACCACCUACACCUCCUUCUCCUCCACUAUAACUGGCACAACGGCCACCACCUCCCCCUCCACCUCCUUCAACAAUAGUUUGAGUAUUUCCACAAUGAUAAUAGUUGUUGCAGCAACCAUUAACUAUAGUAGUUGCAACAUAGCAACUAUUGUGGGUUCUAUAUUUUUUGCAGAAUUUUUUUCAAUGACUUAAAAAAAAUAUAAAGUUUCUUUCCAAAAUUCUCCAUGUUUAUCUUGACGAAAUGAGCAGAAUUUCUAUUCCAAUGCCAAAAGUGUUCAUGAUAUCACUUUCGUAUUUAGUAAACUUAUCAAUGGUUAUAGUCAUAGCGAUCCUCCUACUCAACUACUUCGAUUAUUUUCGAGCACCUAAUAUCUUUUUUGGAGUGUUCGAAGAUCAUUUUUAUAUGAUUUCUCUUGAUCCCAUAAUCAAAGAAAAAUAGUCCAUAAGAAAGGGCACGCCAUGAAAAGGAUGAACCAAAUGUAAAAGGAUAUAGCCCCCUCAUAGUGGAUCCAUCUUAGACAACUUAUUUAUGACCAGUUGGUCUUCCAAGGAGGUUCUAGUGUAGAUGUAGCAACUCUCAUAGUGAUUUUUUAGGUUUUCCUAUGUUUUGAAUAUUUCUGUCCUUCUCGUUGUUGUCUUAUAGCACUUGUGAGUUGCGGUAGUGGAGGCCAUGGUCCCCAAAGUGUUCAAAAGAGUUUUAUAGUUUUUGAUUUUUAAAAGCUUUUAAGUUAUUAUAAUUGACUUAAGUCAAUAUUUGAUGAUCUAAGAAUUGGUUAAGAUUCUUGUCAGUUCCAUCAUGCUCGAAAUAUAUUUUACAAGUGUUUACACUGUUGGGCUGUGUUUGGGAGAUCUCAGAUGAGUUUUGGGUAUUUGUUCAGAAUUUGGAGUUUUAUAUUAUUGAGUUUUAUUAGUGUCACCUAAAAUUAAUAAGCUAUGUUGUUAUUUUUAUGGUAACAUGAGAUCUGUAUUGAAAUUUUGGAAUCAAAGCAAAAAUAAUCGAUGCAUUUGAAGUCGGUAUGGGGGAGAUAUGGCCAUUUUAGUACGGAUAAUAGUUGCUGAUUUUCUAGUGUGGAGGUUCUUCUCCAUGAAUGCGAUGGACACACCACGAAUGUGAAGAAGGACCCUUUUUUGAAUGGGCAAUGGAAAAAUUUAUUCUUCAAAUGUAGUUAGGGUCCCACGAAUGCAAAGAAUAAAUAUUUACCUGGAUAAUGCUUAAAUCAAUAGAUCACAAAUUUUUAGUAUUUUUAAAGCUAGAAAGUUCUAGUUUACCAAUGAUUUUUUCUCGUAUAAUGACUGAAUACCUUUGUUUUACUCAUUUUCCAAGUAUAUACAUUUUUUCAUGAUUUUGAUUCAUAACGUUUAGUUUUGAAAUUCGGAGUUAUGAAAUCAAAAGUUUUUCAUUUAAGGAUCAAUUUGUGAUAGAAUUUCAUUGAUAUUUAGGAUUUUUUUUAGGAACAGAUCUUACCCGAGUCUCUCAAAUCCCAUGGCGGUCAGGGGUUGAGCCACACACCUCCAAGUCUUAUCAUAAAUAAAAUAAAGUGAGUACACAAAGGGGGGCAUAGACCUUACCUCCAACCUGUGGUGGUUCAAAUUCAACUAGCCUACUAAGGCCAGUCAACUCAUCCCCGAUACUAGAAUGAUAUUUAGGAUUUAAGGUCCUUGUAUUAUGCAUAAACUGAUUUUCAUAAAAAUUUAUUGAAAUUUCAAAUUUUAAAUAGUGUUUGAUAAUGGAGAUUUGAGGUUUUCCAAGUAAAGCUAAAAUUUAAUUUUUUGAUGAUUUCAAACUCGAUUUCAACUUUAUUUUUGAUGGAAUUUUACAUUUGAUACCCUUCGACUAUGGGUAAAGUGAUAUUUUGCAAAAAUUUUAGUUUUAACCCUGUGGGCAUGAGAUUGAUUUUCAAACUGAGUUUGGGUACUCUAAACCAAAGUAUAUCAUAUGAGUAUUAUUGUACUCAUAUUUAUGUGUAGAUCUCAUAUGUUUAGAUUUAACAUAUUUGCUGGUGAUUUGGGACAGAAGAUACUCUAUUUGAUUUUUUAGGCUGUGGUUUGACUUUGCAGAUCAUCUUUGAGGUAAUUGAGGUUUAUCUUGACUCUUUUCUGAGGUGUUUAUGUGUUAUAUAUUAUUUUUCUGUAUAUUUUAAAUAGUUGGGAAUUUAAGGGUCCCGCAUAGAUGCAAUGGUGAGCAUCUAUGUUGUACCAAUGUUUAUUGUUGUGUUAAAAGAAGUAAAUGGAACAUCUUGAUUGUUCCUUUUUCUAGUCGAUAUAUUUAUGAUAAAUUGUGUCAAUAAUUGACUUGUUGAUCAUGAAUAAACUAAUAGCGAGUAUCUAUAAUAGGAUUUGAAUUAUGCUUAGUGAAAUUUGAUGGAAUAAUUGGGGUUUAGUAACAACAUAAGGUAUAAGAGAUUGUGGCUAUAAUGAGAAUGUUAAAACUAGAAAUUCAAGCGUCAUUGCUAUAUAAUAUGAGCCAAAUUGAAAUGUUGAAUAUUCUUGUCGAUGAGUAUAUUUUCCUUUUGAGCAUUUGAGUCUAAUUGUAUCAUAAUUAGGAAAAGGUUGGAGACUUAUUGUGUAAAGCAUGCUAUGGGUUGAGUGAAUUUUAAUAUUUAUAUUAUUUUUGUUGAUUAUCAUUAUUGUGAUGGCCACGUGGGGGCUUGUGUGAAUUAUAUUAUUAAAUUAAGUGAUUAACAUUAUAUUAAUGCCCCCAUGGUUCCUUGUGUGGAACUUUUAAUUGACUUGAAAAAUCAUAUCAUUGUGAUGCCCGAAUGGAGGCUUAUGCUGAUAUUAUUAUUGAUUAGAGAGUUUACUAUUAUUGUGAUGCCGGAGUGGGGGCUUGUAUUAACCUCAUUGGUGUCUUAUUUGGUACUUUUACUAUUAUGGUUCCCAUGUUGAGGGCUUGUCGGGGAUAUUUUCAAUACCUUGCAUUGAUUAUAUAUUGUAUUUUGAUGAGAGGACUUGUAUCAUGAUUUACCCAGAUUUGGGCGAGUUGGGUUCAUUUAUACUAUUGUUAAGCUGAUUAUUAUGUAUUGUUGGGUUUUUUCAUGAACAUAUAUACUCAUUAAUUUCUCUAUUUGUGGAACUGAUACUACUGUGAAAUUUGGAUUCUUUGGGAAAGAAAAUAAAUUAUUUUAUAAAAUGACUUGACCAAGGAAAGUGCUGGCAAGAUCGAUUAUUUGAGGUUAUGAUUAGUUUGUGGAGUGUGAACCCCUCAUAGAACCUCUCUUAGAGCUUAGGAUUGAAAGAUGCAUACAAUGAGAUAGGAUUGCAUCACACUCAUAUUAUGCACCAUCAUUAUUGUACUUAUCUAAUGCAUCAUCAUUAUCAUAUUCAUGCACUUUUCUUAUCUUAACCUUGAUGACUGGUUGGUAUAGUGAGAAGGUAUAAUUCUAGCUUGGUUAAGGUCUUUCCUGAUAUGAGUUGGGCUAUUAUUGUUGAUCAUAAACUUGUAUAUAUUUGACAUACUUAUAUGAGUUGGGCUAUUAUUGUUGAUCAUAAACUUGUAUAUAUUUGACAUACUUAUAUGAGUUGGGCUAUUAUUGUUGAUCAUAAACUUGUAUAUAUUUGACAUACUUAAACUAGUUUGAUUACCUUAUUAAUUGUUGCUACUACUAGAUAGGUGGAGACUUUUAUCAGUGCAAAUUUAUUUGGUUGGCAUGUAUGGUUGAUGUAAUGGUCCUCACCGUUACUUUGGAUUAGGAUGCUUGCUGAGCACACGUGUUUCAUACUCACUGUUACAUUUUUUGGCACCUAUGUACAAGUACUGGGUGGGUAGCUGAGCAUUGAUUAUAAUUCUCGGUGUUUGCUUUUUGGAGAUUGAUGUAGAUUUUGUUGUAUCUCAGAGAAUACCUUGGUAUCUCCUUAUUUUAUCUAAUGCUUAUGUGCAUAUGAGAUACUUUAAACUAUUUCAUUGAACUCGGUAUUAGAGGCUUGUACUAGUGACAACCAGAACUAGGACAUUGUAUUGAUAUUGUACCUCUUUUUUUAUGUCAUUUGGAGAUUAUUUCUUUCAUACUUCUUUUGAUUUUUAUUUACUUCUAUAAUUUAGUUUGGGUAGGGAUACACUUACUUUUAUCGAAAGUUGUAACAGGUACCAUCACGAUCUUGAUUUUGGAUCAGGACAAGUUGGUAUCAGACUCCUAGAUUCAUUGGUCCCACAAGUACAAGCUAAGUCUAUUAAAGUCAUGCAGAUUGGUGUAAAGAUGUUAGUUAUCUAUCUUUGAGAGGAUACAUGACUUUAGGAGAAAUCCAUAUCUUUAUUUUGUGUCAUGCAUUCAUAGUCUAAUGCAACUCAAAAGUCUCUUAUUGAUUUUCUCAUAGAUGGUAAGAACACCUUUCUUUUUUGCUAGAGACUAAGAGUUCUUGGCUCUAGUUAGUGGAGAGGCGAAGGUCAGACGAGAAAAGGUUAGACUAGUGUUGCCUUCUCAGGUUCAAGAGUUACUCACUGAUAAUGAGUUUGUUGGGAUCAAGGGGUUGAUCCCAACAAAGACACCAUCUAUUUUUAUAUCUAUAUUUAUGCUUGAGCAUUUCUCGAUAGGGGUGUUGGGUAAUGUCGCCCAAAACUACACCUCAACUGGAAGUAUAAUGAGGUUGAUUGCAAAUAUAAUAACCCAAUAAGGCUGGGGUCAAUCCCACAGGUAAAAUCUGAAUAGUUGCUUUCCUUGAUAUAAUCCACGAGCAGUACAUGAAAGUAAAUGGGGGGGGGGGGGUUAUUAAUUAGAAAUAGUGACCAAUUAUUGAGUGCUAUUGAUUUGAAAUCAAUAUGAGAUGAACGCUAGGUCUAUGUUCCCCCUGGAUUCUCAACUUCAUAAAGUUCUAGUGGUCAACCUAAUUAUUCUGUUGUUCUGCAUGCAAAGCCUACAAGAUAGGUAUUAUCCACUUCUUAGCAGAUAAAUUUCACCCUUUGACUUGGUUAUCAUCUCAGGGUAUCGCCUUGUUUCCCCUUGAUAUGACCUCAGUUACACUUGUUGGGGUAGGAUCAAGUGAUAAGAUAAGAUACGUGGUUAUCGUACCCUAAAUCACUAUCUUAAACCAUCUUUUUCUUAAUCGCAAGCUUCUUAGUUAUCGAAUGGAUACAAAUAUAGGCAAUCUCAAGCAUCUGCAGCUGCUAUGAGUUUAAUUAUUGUGAAGAAGAAUUACGAUACAUGCAGAAACUUUAGAACAACUGAGUCUCAAACUUCCUCUUCGUAGCUAAUCUACCAGGGUUCCCAUAACCCUAGCCGAAGAUAUUAACCGCUCAUGUUUGUGAAAGGAACCAUGGUUAUUAAUUAAGAACACAUAAAUCAGUUGCACAAAAUAAGAUGAAUACAAUCCAAAGUCUUUAAUUGAAUAAACCCCUCAAAUUUCAAGAACAAUUGUAAAAGUAGGUAAUAAUGUGUAAUCGCGCGUAAAAGAAUGUCACAAUGUGUAACCUAAUAAAUAUAAACCCUAGGGUAUUUAUAGUAUCUAAAAAAACAUAAAAAUCCUAUUAAAAAUGGGAAAGGUAAAGUUAAGUCAAUAGUCGUUACAAUUAGAUCUUCACUCGUAUCCUUAGCUUACGAGUCGUACCCUGACUUGUCGUAUCCAUUCCAAUGUCUGAUCUUCCCAAGUCUUCAACUCUUUGUUCAGCAUAUGACUUAUGCUUAUGAGUUAUACCUUAGUGUACAACUCAUUUCCUUCAUCCGUAUCCAGCUGGGACUUUAGUCUUUUCAGGUCUUGAACACUGGUUUGUAUACGACAUCCCUAUAUAAGUCAUACUCAGACUUUCGACUCAUAUAGAUUUGAUAUUUCAACUCCUGGAUAGUAGCUCAGGUUUUGUUAUGCUCAUGACUUCUGCAUAUGACUCGUACCCUGGCUUACGAAUGGGGUACUUGAGUCGUAUCUUUCUCAUACUCGGCUUGUCAGUUUGGAUUUUGGUUUUGUUAUUCAUAAGAUUCAAUAUACGAGUAGUAUCGAUUGGUUACGACUCAAAGACUGACUUGUAUACAGAUUAGAGUUUGUCUUUUUCAGGUCUUUUUCUUCUUUUUUUUGUUCAAAUACUGUUGUAGACCUGUUUUACCUGUAAUUCACACCAAAGUGCAUCAUAUCCAACAAAAUACCCUAAGUUCAUACAUAAAUUCACAGUUUCAAGCACCAAAAGUGUCAUAUUUCCACACUACAUCAACACCCUGAAUUUAAAAUUUUGCAUGUCCUCAGGCAAAUAAAACCAAAUUACUAAUUUCUAGCAUAGAGCCAAUGCUUAAAUAGGAACAUCUCAAGCAAACCCAUGGCAGUGAUUCUGAAUUAUAGUUCAAUCUUGUUGUUCCCCUCUUAAUUUUUCAACUUUUCAACUCAAACUUGCGUAUAGAAAUUUAGCACAUGUAGAAACACGAAGGAAUCUGAUGAUGACAUUAUAUUAGCAAUAGACACUUGGGCAUAGACAUGCUUUACAUUCAUCAAAUAAUCUAGCAACCUAGCAAUAUAAAUCCCAUUCACUCUUCAUGGGUAGACUACUCUAUUCAGGGAUAUAACAAAUGGCUCUCUCACUCACAAUGAAGUAUCAUCGGUGUGCACAGAAUACCAUAGGCUUACCCUUAUGCUCUUUUCCUAAGUUUUCAGACAGUCACAGUAGGAUCACUAUAGGACUUUAUUUGGCUUGUAACGAAGGCUUGAGGCUGGUAUGAUACAUAUGGAUAUCUAAAUUGACUAAGACUUCUAGACACUACGCUCUUCUCGGGGUCCACUACUUUUGACUUUUUUUAUUUCCACCCUUAUGUCUCCUUUUUUGUUUUAAGCACAUUCUGCUUGGGUCAGGUGUUUCUUUCUAGCACUUAUUUUUCUUAUUCUUUUUAUUGUUAAAUACCUUGCAUAUUUCUUUUUUUUCUUUCAUCACUCCUGCCCAUGUUUCAACUAUUUCUCUUCUACCCAUUAUCUUUAUACUCGUUUUCCUCCUAUGCAACCAUAGAAUAGCCACUCUCAACUUAGACCAUUUGUAUGAGUUGAGGUGCACAGUGUCCACAGGUGGGCCAGGGACAAAAUAGUUUCAUUAUAAGUUAAAUGAGAAGGUGAUAGGUGUAAUAAGAAAAAUUGGUCUAAAAGGCUUAAAUAUUUGGAUCAAAGGGAUUUAUUCCUUUGGUUAAGGUAGUUUAGGCUCGAGUGGACUCAUACAACAAUGGCCUAUGAUCAUCUCCUACUUAACCAUCCUAGACAAGGGUAAAAUAAACCGAGAACGUUGUAGAUUCCAACACAACUGGGAACUCAGUAAACCUUUUACACACACCUACACAGGGCUACACUACUAAGUACUAGUUAUCCAACUAUGCAAUUGUUUUGUCCCAGACUGUACUAUCCCUAAUCCUAAUGUCAUUAUCAAAUACUCAACAGUCUCACAAAAAUAUAUAAAUCAUGAAAUUCAUUAAAUAAAAACUUUUGAGGGGGCACCACUUUCACAAUAGAAUUUCAAAAAUCAUCACAAAUCAACAGUGUUUCGUCAAUUACAAAGUAAGAAUCAAAACAGAAUCAAAAUCUUUCAAUACAACAUGAAUUUCUUUCAAAAUCCAUAAAUCAUAAUAAAAAUUAAAAAAUUUGCUGCUAUAGUUGCCUGAUCUACUCCCUAUCUCAGUUUCCCGCACAACUUGCAAGUGAUAAUAGACUUUUAGUUUUAGCUACAUCUGAAAAUUUUCAAACUACUCCUAAAUUUUUUUUCGGUACCUCAACCCAAACUAAAGAAUGUUGUACUAUCUUCAGUGCAACAAAAAUAAGAUAAAGGAUCAGGGUCAUACCUAGGCGCUUAAGACGUCGGUGCAUCAACAUCAGUACGUGGGCCCUUGGGUCAGGUCCCAUUCUCAUCAACAAUAAUACCAUCAAUAGGGACUGCAGCAACAGAAGACUGGGGCAAAAUAUCAACCCCCUCGGCAUUAGGAAUCGGAGCUAUCGAACCACCAGCUCCCAUAGCCAUCUUUUUGACCCAUGUCUGAGGGUUUUGCUCAUCCUGGAUGCUAUCAAGUUUAGCCUUCUUCUUAGCAACUCUAUCCUCUUUCUUCUUUUUUCUCUUUUCUCUUCUUUCUUCCUCGAUUUUCUCAACCUGAACAUCUAUCGGGACGAUCUAAAUAUUAGGCACCUUAAUUAUGGAAAUUACAGUCUCUACAAUAGGCUCCAAAAUUAUCGGCCCUGUAGACAGUUCGAUGACCAUCUUUUUAAUCUCAGUAAUCUCAAAUCAAAUAUCAGUAAUAUUAGGCUUCCACCCACUACCCAACUGUCGAGUAAUCCUCUACUCAAAAGCAUCUAGGCGCUCUUGUACUUGCCUAUCUUUUGCCUUAAGAUGUUGAUCUAUCCAACUUUGUAAUCUUCCCUCUAUAUGACCUAUCUUUACAGUGAGAGUAGCCAACUGAGUCACGACUUCAGUACAAGCAGCCUGAGAGAUCAACAUCACCCCAGGAGGCAUACCCCAUAUCCUAGGUGGCAUAGAAUGGACUAGCGGUGGGGUACUAAAAGUACCCGCUGUAUCUAUGGGUGCAGCCUCAGUCUGUGCACCUGCCUCAGUAGUCUUAACUAGAGUAGGGGUAUAUGUCCAGUCAUCUUAUGGGAACAAUCCCGCCAUAGCAUCUAUAGACUAUUACAUAGGUCAGUCCCGAGGGUUGGAUGCAUCUUAAAUCAAGCCAAUAUCGAAAGUCUAUCGGGCCUCAAUCAUCUCAUCAACUCUCGAUAAUUCCACUACUCCAAUAACUAAGCAAAUCUGCAUGAUCAUGUAGGGGUAGGAUAGCAGUGCCUUUUGGACCUUGACUACCCUAUCUCUCAUCUCUCGAUCUAGGAACUCAUCAACAUCGAAUGGGUUCCUGGAUAUCAAACCUGCUAUUAUAGUUGCCCGAAUCGGGAUCAGCACAUCAUUGCCUUUCAUGGGACAUAGCCGGUAACGGUUUAAUGUCCACCAUGCCUUAACCUCAGAGUUGAGGGAUGCUUCUUUAUCUACUGAGAAUCACCAAUACCUCCGACAACCUAAGUAGCAUGCUCACUAUAUGUAGCUAUGCUCUCAGCCAUCCAUCUAAACAUCGCUAUUUUAUCAUUUCUACCCAAUGUCUAAUUCGUGAUCUUUCUUAUCUCUACUAUUCUAUAGUCCAUCUCUCUAGUGUUGAUCGGGGCCUGAUAUUUCAGCCCAUAUAGAAAUCUAUCAAUAGUCAGGAGAGAAAUAUCAACAUGCAUACCUCGGAUCAUAAGGGAGGAAAUAGGUUUACCUGUCUUUGACAACAUACCCUAUGAAUACUGCCUCAUCAGCUCUUCCUUAUAUAUGGUGAAGAAUUUACAAAAGAGGAACUCACUAUAUCUACCCAAUGCUUUAAUCAUCCAUCCAUCCCUGAAGUAGUCAAUAACCUCUCCAAGUAUAGUACUUUUAUUAUCUUACACCCGGAAGAUGAGACAGUCCCAUGUUAAAUGUCUCCUAUACACCGAGGGUACCUUCAUCAUUCAAUGAUGGGCACCAGAGUAAUGGUCAAUGCGAGUACGGGGGGCGUGUCUUUCUAUAGGGGUCGCAUCUACUUUAGGACCCUGACCAUCAUCUAGACUCUCCUAAGCUAAACUAGACUCAGCCUUAUCGUCAUUAUCAUUAACUGGCACUGGUGUGUGUGGAGAAGAGACAGUUGUAUUCUUUCUUCUCGGCCCCCUUUGUGGUGGUGAUUCAGAUUCUUAUGGCACUGCUUUCUUCCCCUUAGACUUAGCAGGUGCCUUUUCUUUGUUUACAUCUUUCUUAAAUAUAGUUCUGUCACACUCUUCUCUACUGCUCUUUGAUAUUAUUUCAGACUCAAAAAAACUGGUUUCCUCACUCUCAAUAGGUGGUUGAUUGUUCCCCUUCUAAGCAACUGUUUUGGAUGAAGAAUCGUUCCUUGGAGGCAUUUUCCUGCAAGUACAAUAAUAUUAGUAACUAAGAAAAGAAAAUAAAAGAAAAGAAAAAGUAAAAAUUAAAGUUCAAUGUGUUUGGUUUCAGUUAGGUACAAGUGGUAGGUACUGGUCAUACCCAUUGGGUACAAAUCGUAUGCCUGAGUCAUAUCCUAGACAGUGCAUGACCUUUGUUCAUUGGCCUACUUAUGACUCCUCCUUACCAGUCAUACUGACCAUGUACGACUCGUGACCAAUAAUCGUAUGCUGGUUUGAAACUUUUAUUCUAUUAUCAUUCUUCCCAGGUGGGUACGAUAAGUGUGUACAGGUCGUAUAGUCUUGAUACGACUCAUAUUGUUGAGUUGUAUCCAUUCUAAAACCUUGAAUUUGUUAAAUUUUCAUGUUUUCAGUGGGUACGAGUCCCAUUAUAGCUCCCAUACCGGUAGGUAUGAGUCGUAAGAAGCCUUGUAUCAACUGUAACAUAGAAGUCCAACUUCAAAGUUUGACUCUGGUGAAAUUCUCAAAUUACCCACUACUAUAUUUCUAUCUAUAUCAACAUUUUCACAUACAUAGACAUAAAAAUCCAUUCCUAAACCCUAGUUCUACCCCCAUUUUCAAUUUUCAACACAAAUAUUACAAAUAUUAUACCAACAAUCCAUAAAAUGUAGAAAUUCUACUUAAACAAAGUUAAUAAUAUCACGUCUACUUCAUUUCAACUUGCAAAGUAAAGAGAAUGAGAUUUGGAACUUACUUGAUGAGUUGAAGAAAUGAGUUUCUAUUUUUCGAUCUUAGUACUCCUCAGUUUUGAGUUUAAAUCACAAAAUAGGAACAAAUUGAGGUUGUUGGUAAGUUAAUUAAGUUGGAAAAAAGUUGAUUUUUUCGUUUUUAGUUUGAAAUAUGGGUGAAAAAUACACCGGGUAUGCUUUGAAUGUCUCGAGUAACCAAUUGGGUUUUCUUUUCCAUUUUUAAUCAAAGCGCUGGGUUGGGCCAAACUCGAGAUGUACCCUAGUAAGCCAGGGUAUGAUUAGUCUAUAUGACUCAUACUGUAAUGCCUCGAGAGUACACCCUGGAUGCCAUACGGUGCUUACGAUCACAAAUGACCAUAAGCUAACCCAUGAGAUGAUAUCUGCUAUGAGCACUGAAUAAUAAUAUCAAAAUAUAUAUGCAGGAUAUCUGAAAAUGCCAUAAGGUUGUAAGUACUAUAAAUAUUUCUGAAUCAUAAAUCCAAAAACAACUGUCUGAAACUAGUAAAAUAAUGACAAACUGACUGACUAUCUGAAGUGUCUGAAAGCCUCUAACACUGUCUGAAUAAGAGUUGAUAGGACAGGCCCCAACUAACUCCAACUAACUACUGAACUAAAAGCAUGAAAAAUAAAUAUAGUCUAUCCUCGAAAUAUGAGGACUCACCAUGACUGCUGCUACUGAUGUGAUGGGAUAUCUAAGUACGGUCAAGAACCUAAGCGUACGAACUAAUGAUAUAAGACAUCAUGGCACAAAAAAUGAAUAUGCGGUCAGUACUUUGAAUGUACUAGUAUGCUAAAUGAGGUAGGUUAAUAUGCAUGGUUUAAUGUACCUAAGUAAUAACUGAUUGAAUGAAUAGCAUGACGUACUGAAUAGAAUGCAUGAAAAAUGUAAAUACUGAGAAUGUGUGACCAAACAUAAAACAUGUUUUGAAUAUAAUCUAGAAAAUAAAAUACUGAAUAUUGAUAAAUGAAUUACUGAUAUUUGUAUGCUAUGGUCAAGAAAAACUAAAAUUGAAUUACUGAGUUGAUCACUGGACUGAGACUAUGGGAGCUAUCAUUUGACCGACUUGCCCCAAUGAGCAAUUUGAGGUCCAACCUAUGACCCCAGUUGGAAGGGUGUCAGUGCUGUGCCACGAGUACUAACAUUGGCUGUGUGGAUCCACUUAUGUACUGUCCCGAAGGACUAAGGGUGUCAAGCCUAAACUGAGGCUGACCCCUGGGAGGUAGUCAUGCCUGAACUGACGGGUGACUCCUCAAACCCUACACUGGCUAUGUAGUUUUGUAGUAUAGGGACUGCUACUAAUGACUCUGUCUAACUGAUGGGGAAUCUUGCAUCCCUGUACUCGCUCGGUGCUAAAUCCUACUCCCAACUGAACUGACUCAGAAUACUGAACUGUUCUAAGUUUAAUUGAUCAUGAUAGCUGACUGAACUAAUACUGCUCAUAACAAGUUUGAAAGUAUUCUGAAGAUACUGAGGCUAAGUAAACAACUAAGUUUUUGGGUAUUCACAAACCCCAGGACUCAAUAGCAAUAAUAGAAAAAUAGUACUAAAACGUCGGGGACAUAAUAUGAAAGCAUUUAUUCAAAAUUCAUUCUUGUAGGCAUUUCAUCAAACACUUGAAUGCAUAGUGUAAGAUAACUAUGAGAAUAGUUUGAAGCUUGUUGUAAUAGCAUGAUUUCAACAUCAACAUCACUAAUUAUGGUUUAAAUCAACAAAUAACAUUAUUCAAACGUGUGGGGUUUAAUAACAACAACAAUUUCAUGUAAACGUGGUAUAGAAUCAAGAUUCAUGAGAAUUCAUGGUUAAAAAUCAUAAUAACUUGUAAAAGAUCAUAACUUUAAAUUUAAAAAUUAGAUUCCUAUGCUCCAUGGGUUAAAGGGACCCAUGGAUGAACACUUAACAUACCUUGAUUGAAGAAUUCUUGAAAGUUCUUGAAUUGAAAACCUUGAAUUUGAAUUAUCUUGGAAAAAGAAUGGUGAAUUUUGGAGUUUCUUGAAGUUGAAUGUUGAAGCCUAGGGUUUUCUCGGAGAAUAAAUUGAUGAAAAAUCAAUAUAAUAAGCUUAUUAUAGGUUAAAUCCUUUGUUUACAGGAAUUGGGGUCUACGGGAAAAGACCAAACUAACCUUGGGAAUUAAUACUCAAAACUGGACUGAAAAUCCUAAUUUUGACCUUCAGCGCGGCCCUGUGCUUAUCGCGUUGAGCCACUAGAAAAGUACGAUCCCUAUUUUGCCUAACGAGGCGACGCGGUGCUAUUGCAUAGCACUACUGGAAAUGGACAGUCCCAAUUUUUCACCUUGGCACGAUGCGGCGCUAUCGUGGUGCCCCACCGAACAUGAAUUUGACCCUUGGACCCAUGCAGUGCCAAUCGUGAUGAGACACUAAAAAAGGACGAAUGUGAUUUUGGUCAUCAUCGCGGCAUGGACUAAUCCUGAUGAUCUACUGCCAUUCAUUAAAAGUGCCAUAACUUGUCACCCGAGUAUCAGAUUUGGGGAAAAUUGGUGUCGUUGGAAAGAUAAUUCAAUUUUCUAUAAUUUGGUGGGUCUUGACCUGGAAAAUUAUUAGGAGAAUAAAAGAUAAGCUCGUUUAAAGUUGACUAUUGCAACAUCUUUCUCGAAAACUCAAUUAGUAAGGAAUAAUUUGAUUCGUCUAAUAGCUGAGUGUUAUUUGAGGCCUUAAUAUACACCAAACUCACUCAUAAACUACCAAAGAACUAUAAUGUACCUUGAAGGAGAUUGAAACAUGGUCCUAACAUUGGUUUGGACUUUUGGGGUGUUAUUAUAUCUCCCCCUUGGGAAUAUUCAUUCUCGAAUGAGAUUGGUUAAUCUCAAAGCACCGAGGAAUGAGUUACAUACUGAAUAUACGUGAUGAAGUCGUGAUUACAUGAAUGAGUAUGUAAUAUGACACAUGAAUGAAUUGGUUUUAUGAAUACAUGAAUGACAUGAGAAUGAUAUGCAGCUGAAACUGAGCAGGGAAAAGAGAAAUUCUAAGAAGAUUGCUACCUUAAGCUGAAUACGAGUUUGCAGACAAAAGAUGAGGGUACUUGGCCCACAUAUCUGCUUAUGCUUCCGAAGUGGCUUCCUCAAUGAACUAAUUCCACUAAAGAACCUUGACUAAGGGAACUUCUUUGUUCCUAAGUCUACGUGUUUGUCGAUCAAGGAUCUCGACUGGAAUUUCUUCAUAAGAAAGAUUGUUCUAAACAUCUACAAUUUCUAAGGGAACAACUACAACUGGGUCACCAAUACAUUACUUCAACAAAGAGAUACUGAAUACUGGGUGCACUGAUGCUAAGUCUGCAGGAACUCAUGUUCAUAAGCCACCUUUACAAGAUGGCGGAAAACUCUAUAAGAGCCAACAUAUCGGGGAAUAAGCUUCCCCUUCUUACCAAACCUCUUUACCCCCUUCAUAGGAGAGAUUUUUAGAUAUACGAAAUCACCAAUCUCAAAUUUAAGAUCCUUUCUCCUCAACAUCUGCAUAAGAUUUUCGUCGGUUUGGGCUGUCUUAAGCCUUUGUCAGAUUAUCUAAACUUUCUCCAAAGCAUCAAACACUAAAUCAAACCCUAUCAAAGCGGUUUCACCUCUUUCAAACCAACCAAUCGAAGAUCUACAUCUCCUUCCAUAUAGAGCCUUAAGUAAAGCCAUCUAAAUACUAGAAUGAUAGUUGUUAUUAUACAUGAAUUCAAUCAAAGGCAAGUAGUCAUUCCAACUGCCCUUAAAGUCAACCACACAUGCUCUAAACAUAUCCUCAAGGGUCUGAAUAGUGCUAUCUACCCGACCAUCUGUCUAAGGAUGAAAGGCUAUACUGAGGUGAACUUGGGUACCAAGACACUUUUGGAAAGCUUUCUAAAAGUGAGAGGUAAACAUAGUACCUCUAUUUGAAAUAAUAGAUAAUGAAAUACCGUACAACCUAACCAACUCUCUAAUAUAGGGCUUGGCAUAGUACUCGACUAAAUAAAAAGUAUGGACUGGUAAGAAAUAGGUUGAUUUAGUCAUCCUAUCCAUAAUGACCCAAAUCGAAUCAUGUUGCUGAUGAGUAUGAGGCAAACCUAUCAAAAAAUCUAUGUUCACUACUUCCCACUUCCUAGUAGGAAUACUAAACUCCUACAUGGACCCACUAGGCUUCUGGUGUUCAAUGUUAACCUACUGACAAGUGGAGCACUUAUCUACAAACUCUGCAAUAUCUCUUUCUAUCCCACUUCUCCAAUAGAUUUCCCAUAGAUCAUGGUACAUCUUUGUGUCCCCCGGAUGAAGCGAGUAAGACACACCAUGCGCUUCUACAAGGAUUCUCUAUCUUAACUCAUCAAUACACAACACACACAAUCUACCCUGGCAAUGUAAUACACCAUCUCCUCUUGGGAGAAAACUUCUACUUUCUAAUCUUUGACUGACUCCUUCAACUUCACCAGACUAGGAUCCCUAUCUUGAUUUUCUUUCUCUUCAUCAACCAAACAAUAUUUUGAACUAUACUGAACCCAAAUGCUACCCUUAGCUGAAUCAACCAACUGAACACCUAACCUGGUAAGCUUACAAACUACUUGAACUACCUUUUUCUUGUCAUAUUCAACUUGAGAAACACUACCCAUAGGCAAUCUAUUUAGGGCAUCUUCCACUACAUUGGCCUUGCCCAGUGAUGUGUGAGCAAAAUCUAACACAUUUAAUGCUUUUAGCUCAAAAUAAUUAUGAAUUCUGAAGCAACUCUUGUUGUUUUGAUGUGUUUGCUUAUGAUAUUGUAGUAAAAGGCUAAAGGAGUGGAAAUAAAUAACAAUAGAGUAAAAGAUUUGAAAAUCUGAGCAAAAGAGAAGAAAAUAUGGCUGACGACAUCUGUGAUAAUUCGUCAGCCUUGUGAUAACCUAUCAGAAGUAAUGUCAGCCUUAACCAGGAAAUUGGAGUUGAGAAGUAUUUCUAACGAUGUCUGUGACAUGGCAUCAAGUGGGUGAUAAGGCAUCAAUAAUGGCGUCAUCCUUAAGCAAAAAAUUAGUGAUAGGAGAAAACAUCUAACGACAUUGGUGAUACGCCGUCAGAUCCUUAAUUUGGCAUCAGAGUUAUUGUCAGCCUAAGGCAGAGAAUUGAAGAAACUGGAGCAAGUCUAACGCCAUUCGUGAUAGGGCAUCAGACUCUUGAUGCAGCGUCAGCUUGGGUGUCACCUAAUCUUAGAAUUAAUUGAAUUUGCUAUUUUAUUUCCUUAAUUAGGCUUUAGUACAAAUAGCCUCUUUUAGGGUUUAUUCGGGGGGUUCUUUUUUUUAGUUUUUUGGGAGAGUUUUAUUUUCUUCAAUACUUAUCAACUAUUUGUGGAUUCCUAUUUUUCGGGAUUAAAUAGAAGAGACUACUUGUUUCUUUUCAUCCGUUCGUAAAUUUAUCCUUAUUAUCAUGAAUUCAACUUUGUAUUUCGUUCAUCAAAUCAUGAACGGCUAAUUCCAUUAGCCGGAGUUAUGGGAUCCAUGGACUAGGGUUUGAUAGGUUACGAGGCAUUUAACGGAUUUAAAGAGUAGUUAGACGUCUUGAAAUUCUAUUGUUUUAACUGAAAUCUACUGGUAGAAAAUAUUAGGUUAUGCCUUAGGUUUUAUUUACUUCUAACAAAGAAAUAGACUAGAGGUCGUGAAUUAGCAACAGGGAUUAGGAAGCUACCAACCUUCUAUUUAAUGAUCAAUACCAUAACUAGAUUGAUCUACCUGAGAUAAAAUCGUAUUGAAAAUAGAUAAGUUAUCUAAGUUUGAGAGAAUUAGAUGAUAAAUUGUCUAGUGAGGUCGAGAGAUAAGUAAGAUAGUAUCGUCAUCAGGGAUAUUCUGCUGUUUCUACUUACUUCAAGAAUCCUAAGCAUUACCUAGUAUCUGUCAAUUCCCAAAACCCAUGGUGAACAUAACUCUGGUUUCUCAUUUAGACUGAUUUCAAACACUGAAAUUAAAGUAACAAAAAAAAUUUAUUUUUGAAUCUCCAAAACCUCCAUUUUAUCUUUUUAUAUCGACUGUUUGAAUUUAACUUGUAGCUUUAGUUUCAAACUAGUUUAAUCGCCACUUACAUUGUUCUAUGUGGGAUUCGACCGCAACCUAGACCUAGUUGGAUUUUAUAUUGACAACGAUUGCUUACAACCAUUCAAGAGUGUAAUUUGAGUGUUAUAAAAAACGGUGCCGUUGCCGGGGAACAAUUUGGUGUAUUGAGUUGGUUUGGAAUUUUAGCUUACUAGCUUGAAUUCAAACUUGUAAAGAAGAAAUCAAGAACAAUCCUUGUGAAGACUCUAGUCCAUUUUGGGGUAAAGAUAAUAAUAGAGACACUACUUCAGAAUUGAGAGUCAGUCCUCAUUCGAACCACUUUUUAACAUUAUUCUUGGUGGAUGUGAAGAAAGACGAACCACCAAAGCAAAUGAUGAAUUUUGAAAAUGAGGAGGAAAAUUCUUACAUUUUGGAGUUUAUCUUUCCAAAAGGGUAUACUACAACCCAGUCGUGGAGGCCAAGAAGCUUAAAGAUCGAUAUCCAUUUAAUGGCUUUUUAAGAUCCUCAUCAUUUCCCAAUGAGCCCAAAUGAAAGUUCGAUGCAAAAUUAGGCAAGAAGUUUAAGUCUUCGAAGUGACGUGAUAGAACAUUCCUUAUCAUGCCCUCACAUUUGCCCAAUAAACCUAAAAGAUGUAAAGAUUAAAAAAUGGGCCGAUAAUUUAAAUCGUCAAAGUGGAGACAUAAAUAAUGACUGGAUAUUAUCAUGCGCGACACUAAAUUAGGCACUUCUUGGGAGGCAACCCAAGGUUUUUUGUUGUUUGUAUUCAUAUUAUGUGAUUAACAUCAGAUCUUCGCACCCAUAGUGCCACAGGUAUGUUUCUAACUCUUUUGUUUUGGUUUGACGCAUUGGGGACAUUGCAUGAUUUUAAGUUGGGGGUGUUGGGGCUACUUGUGGGUGUUGAUGUCCUCCUGGGUUUUUUGUUAUCGUGCCUCUUUUCCCCGAAGUCUUGUUCCCAGUAGAGCCGGCAUGUUUAGGCGUAUUGCACUUGUUUUGUGAUGUGUUGUAGUUGACUAGAAGAAAUACUAGUAACUAAGGCAAUUAACUUGUUUUUGAGAUUUUUGAGCACCUCUCCAUUGGUCUGAUAUAUUACUAUGUUAAUUGCAUCCAUUUGUGACCAUAGUGUAUCUUUUUAUGGCAUUAGUCUGGCAACUGAAUAACCUUUGCUAAACAAGUGUAUGGAUUGGAUAUGUAGUAAUAUGCGAGAUACUUGUGUGCCUUGUGUGUGUAAGGUCUUACUCAGAUUCUAUUGUGUAUUGAAUUUAGAACUUGCUCUGUUAGUCUUUGCAUGGUCAUAGGAUAGGAGUUAGUAAAGGAUCAUAGGCCAUUUUUUAUUUUAGCCCACUUUAGCCAAAAUAAUCUUCCCUAUGUGCAUAAUAUCUCUUCAUCUUUGUUUUGAGUCUAAUUAGCCUAUUUGUUUCUACGACACCUCUCACCUUCCCGUUUACAUCACAAUGAACUUGUUUUGGCCCUGGUCCUCCUUGGACACUGUGCACCUUGACUUAGGCAAACAGCCUAAGUUGAGGGUGGCUAUCAUAGAGGUACGUGAUACAAAAUAAGUAUAAAGAGAGGAAGAAUAAAAGAAAAGAAUAAAAAGUUGGGUGUCGUGUAAAAGGAAUAAUAAAUGAGAAAGUUGUGUAAAAGAUGAUAAAAAGAUAAUGUGAUAAUUGAAAAGACCGCAUCCAUGUUGAGCAUGUGUGAUCAAUAAAAGAGAGAAAGAAAAGAAGGUUGGGAGUUGAAACCCCAAGAGUUUAGUGUAGUGUCAAGGAGGCAUAGUCACUCUGAAAUAUCUAUGAAUAUCAUACUAGCCCCUAGCCUACGUUACAAGCUUAAUAAAAGCCCUAUAGUGAUCCUAACUGACCUAUUUGACGACUUGGGUACUGACUAUAAGGGCAAGCCUAUGGCAUUUGAUGUGCAAUGUUGGAACUUCAUUAUAAGAGUGAGUUUUAUGUUUAUCCCUGUGUUUAUGUAUGUAAAUUUUGACAUGAGUGAAAAAGGGAUUUCUUUAUUGUGAGGGCACACUAGGUAUGUUGCUAAGCACUGCCUUAUUCGGAUAGUGUGAUUUAGGUGUGUGCUGGGCUGUUAUUGCUAAAAUUAUUGCCAUAUCUUGAUCCUCGUGAGUUGCAUGGGUGUUUUCAAUAAUAGAUGCAGUUUCUCUUAAUUUGACUGACCUUGGAGAUUGUGUAUGUAUUCUGAACUGAUAUAAAUAAUUAGUUGCCAACUUGUACUUUGUAUACUCUUAGUUAGUUUGUUUCUUGAGGAUAAGAAAUUGUUUUAAGUUGGGGGUGUUGAUGUGUGAGCAAAAGCUAACACAUUUAAUGUUUUUUAGCUCAAAAUAAUUGUGAAUUCUGAAGCAACCCUUGUUGUUUUGAUGUGUUUGCUCAUGAUAUUGCAGUAAAAGGCUGAAGGAGUGGAAAUAAAUGACAAUGGAGCAAAAGAGAAGAAAACAUGGCUGACGACAUCCAUGAUAAGUCAUCAGCCUUGGGAUAGCCUAUCAGAAGCAGCUUCAGCCUUAGCCAAGGAAUUGGAGUUGAGAAGCAGUUCUAACAACGUCUGUGAUGUGGCGUCAAGUGGGUGAUAAGGCAUCAAGAAUGGUGUCAUCCUUAAGCAGAAAAUCAGCAAUAGGAGAUGACAUCUGACGACGUUGGUGAUACACCGUCAGAUCCUUGACGUGGCAUCAGAGUCAUCAUCAUCCAAAGGUAGAGAAUUGAAGAAACUGGAGCAAGUCUGACGCCAUCUGUGAUAGGGCAUCAGACUCUUGAUGCGGCGUCAGCUUGGGCGUCACCUAAUCCGAGAAUUAAUUGAAUUUGCUAUUUUAUUUCAUUAAUUAGGCUUUAGUAUAAAUAGCCUCUUUUAGGGUUUAUUCGGGGUUUUUUUUUUUAAGUUUUUGGGGAGAGUUUUAUUUUCUUCAACACUUAUCAACUAUUUGUGGAUUCCUAUAUUUGGGAUUAAAUUGAAGAAACUACUUGUUGUUUUUCAUUUGUUCGUAAGUUUAUCCUUAUUAUCAUGAAUUUAACUUUGUAUUUCGCUCAUUAAAUCAUGAGCGGCUAAUGCCAUUAGCCGGAGUUAUGGGAUCCAUGUACUAGGGUUUGAUAGGUUACUAGGUAUUUAACGGAUUCAAAGAGUAGUAGAAUGUCUUGAAAUUCUGUUGUUUUAACUGAAAUCUACUAGUUGCAAAUAUUAGGUUAUGCGUUAGGUUUUAUUUACUUCUAACGGAGAAAUAGACUAGAGGUCAUGAAUUAUCAAUAGGGACUUAGAAGCUACCAACCUUCUGUUUAAUGAUCAAUGUCGUAACUGGAUUGAUCUGCCUCAGAUAAAAUCCUAUUGGAAAUAGAUAAGUUAUCUCAGUUCGAGAGAAUUAGAUGAUAAAUUUUCUGGUGAGGUUGAGAGAUAAGUCAGAUAGUAUUGUCGUCAGGGAUAUUUUGUUGUUUCUACUUACUUCAAGAAUCCCAAGAAUUACCUAGUAUCUGUCAAUUCCCAAAACCCAUGGUGAACAUAACUCUGGUUUCCCAUUUAGACUAAUUUCAAACACUGAAAUUAAAGUGACAAAAAAAAAUUAUUUUCUAAUCUACAAAACCCCCAUUUUAUCCUUUUAUAUCGAUUGUUUGAAUUUAACUUGUAGCUUUAGUUUCAAACUAGUUUAAUUUUCUCUCACAUUGUUCCUUGUGGGAUUCGACCCCAACUUAGGUGGGUUUUAUAUUGACAACGAUCGCUUACACCCAUUCAAGAGUAUAAUUUGAGCAUUAUCACCGAGGUGAUACAAAACACUCAUAUCAUAAUCUUUUAAUAAUUCUAACCAUCUUCUCUAGCGGAGGUUCAAAUCCUUCUAGAAAAACACGUACUGCAAGCUUUUAUGAUUUGUGAACACAUCAACAUAAGCCCUAUACAAAUAGUAUCUCCAAAUCUUUAAGGCAAAUACAACAGCUACUAACUCAAGAUUAUGGGUAGGGUAAUUCUUUUCAUGGGGCAUAAGCUAUCUAGAGGUAUAGGCCACAACCUUACCCUUCUACAUCAAAACAUACCCAAAACCAACUGUGGAAGCAUCACAGUACACAACAAACCCAUCUAACCAUCAGGUAGCAUCAAAACGGGAGCUGUGGUGAGUCGAGUCUUCAACUCCUAAAAAUUCUUCUCUCAAGAAUCUAACCACUUAAACUUAACUUUCUUCUGAGUUAUCUGGACAUGGGGGAUGUAAUAAACAAGAACCCUUCAAUAAACCAUCGGUAAUAGCCAACUAGACCCAAGAAACUCCUUAUAUCUAUUGGAGAGGUGGGUCUAGGUCAAUUUUUUACUGCUUCGGUCUUUUAAGGAUCAACUGUAAUGCCAUUACCAAAAAUAAUAUGGCCAAGAAAAGCUACUGAUCUUAGCCAAAAUUUCCACUUACUGAACUUAGCGAACAACUGCUGGGCUCUAAGAGUCUACAAUACUAUUCUAAAGUGGUUUGCAUGAUCAUUUUUGUUACGAGAUUAGACAAGAAUGUCAUCAAUGAAUACUAUGAUGAGCAUGUCCAAGUAAUGGUUGAACACUCGGUUCAUCAAGUCUAUAAAGGCUGAUGGGGAAUUUGUGAGACCAAAGGACAUGACUAGAAACUCAAAGUGACCAUACCGAGUUUUGAAAGCUAUUUUUGGAAUCUCACAUUCUCUGAAUUUGAGCUGAUGAUAGCCAUAUCUGAUUGUGAAGUUGUUCGAACAAGUCAUAAAUUCUGGGGAGUGGACAUUUGUUCUUGAUUUUGACUUUAUUCAACUGAUGGUAGUCAAUACACAUUCUAAGAUAACUGUCUUUCUUAUGCACAAACAGAACUGGUGCGCCCCACGGGGAGAAGUUAGGACUGAUGAAAUCCUUAUCUAGAAGAUCUUUCAAUUGUUCUUUCCACUCUUUGAGUUCGGCUGGAGCCAUUAGGUAUGGUGGAAUAGAGAUAGAUUGGGUAUCUGGAAGAAGGUCAAUUUCGAAGUCAUUUCUCCUUUUGGGAGAAACUUCGAGAAGAUUUUCAGGGAACACAUCUGGAAAUUCCCUCACUAAUGAAAUUGACUUAAGAUUUAGAGCCUCAAAAUUAGAGUCCUUGACUUGGACAAGAUGAUGAAUACAUGCCUUGGAUAUCAUUUUUCUCGCUCUAAGGUAUGAAAUAAGAUGACCCCUAAGCAUUGUAGUACUACCCCUCCAUUCAAGGACUGGCUCAUUUGGAAAUAAAAAAUGAACUACUUUAUUUCUACAAUCGACUGAAGUAUAGCAUAUUGUAGCCAAUUCAUGUUGAGAAUGACGUCAAAAUCCAUCAUCUUUAACUCCACAAGAUUAACUGAAGUAACUUUCUGAGACACUGUGACUGGACAGUUCCUAUAUACCCACUGGGAUAUGAUAGACUUACCCACAGGGGUAGACAUUGAGAAAGGCUCUACUAAGAUUUUUGGACUGACUUCGAUGUUGAUGGCUAUAUAAGGGGUUAUAAAAGAAAGAGAAGCUUUAGGGUCUAGUAAAGCAUAAACAUGGAAAUAAAAGACUUGUAACGUACCAGUUACUAUAUUAGGAGAACUUUCUUGAUCUUGUCAGGACUUAAAAGUAUAGAGCCUGUUCUGAUGCUGACCAAUAGUAGCACUGAAGGCGGCGCCCUACCAAGUCAGGCGGCUAGCUAGAACUAAUGAAUAAUGGGACUGGCCCUAUUGGUGCAAAUACCUUCCUUUAUAAGCAACUACCUGACACUCCCAGAUCUGAUGGCCUGGAUUACCAUACCCAAAUCAUACAUCACUGCCAGCUCUAUACUCACCCUAUUUGUUUCUACUAUAUUUCUUGCAAAGAGGAUUUGUAUAACCACUGUUUACACUUCUUUGGGACUUAGAUCCUGGCGCUCUAUCCCUAUUAUCAUUUGUAAACCUUGGCACAGGGGCACUAGCUGAAUAUGGGGCAGGAGCUGAAGAUUUUUGAUGGAACUGAGGACGAUUACCACCUUUUGACUUUGGCUGAGUAAAAUUAAAGCUACCUAUUCUAUCCUUCUUAUUCUCUCUCUCCUUCUCCUUAAGCUUCUACCCCUCAAUCUAUUUAGCAUGGACCAUAAGCCUAGAUAUGUCCAUAUCUUUAGUUAACAUCGCAGGCCUACACUCCUUGACCACACUGUCAAAUGCCCCAGACAUGAACUUGCUCAUGCUAGACCUUCUAUCAGCCACCAUAUGAGGAGCAUACCUAGCUAGCUGGGUAAAUUUAAGGGAAUACUCCUUCACACUCAUGUUGCCCUGCCUUAAGUUGAUAAACUCUAAAAGUUUUUCUUUCCUCAGAUCUAGCAGAAAGAAUCUAUCUAAGAAGGCUGUAGCAAACUCCUCCCACUCUACAGGCCCUACAUCUGUGCCUCUAUCCCUUUUCCACUACUUAAACCAAGUAUGAUCUAUAUCCUCUCACUGGCAAUCAUAUAAUUCAGCACUCUUACUAAAAUUCAACCCCAUAAUAUCUAUUACCUUCUGGACCAUGUCUAAGAAUUCGUGCGGAUCCUCUUCAAAAUUGGAUCCCAAAAAUAGAGGAGGAUUCAUUUGGGUAAAGUCUCGAAUCCUAGCUGUGACAGUAUUGGCCACUGGGUUGGAUGAAAUAAAGGCUGGCUAAACAUUCUGAGCCGCUACAGAGUGAGCUAGAGUAAUAAAUGCAACUCAAAACUUUGUAUGAGAAACAUACUCUUUCAGGGGAUCAUCCUAAACAGGUAGAGGUGCUGGCUGGUUGAAAUUUCUUCUUUCGUUUGUCUUUCUGGGAGGCAUGUUCUAUAAAUGAAAGGGAGAAUAGAUUAUACAGAGAGUUUAACAUGAGCUCAUGCUAAGUUGCACAAUAUAGACACUGAAUAAAGGAAAACUUUUCUUAAAAUGCUUCGUAGCCUCUUGUCCAUAAGUGUGGUGAACUUCACACCCAUGCACAAGACUCUAGUUGACAUGACUUUAAGACUUUGUAGGAUACUUUACAACCUUAGGCUCUAAUAACAAGUUUGUAACUCCCUGAGAGUACACCCUAGACGUCACAAUGCUGCUUACGGUCAUACGUAACCACAGGCUAACCCAUGAGCUAGUACCUGCUGUGAGGAUUGAAUAAUAAUAACAAAAAACGUAUGAGUAAUAUCUGAAUAUUCAUAAGGUUUUAAGUACUAAAAUAUUUUUGAAUCAUAAAUUUGAAAACAACUGCCAGAAAAUAACUGUCUGAAAGUUAUAAAAUAAUGACAAACUGACUAACUGUAUGAAGUGUUUGAAAGCCUUUAACACCGUUUGAAUAAGAUUUGAUGGGACAUGCCCCAACUAACUCCAACAAACUACUGAACUGAAAAUAUGAAAAAUAAACAUAGUUUCUCCUCAAAAUAUGAGGACUUACCAUGACUACUGCUACUGAUGUUCUGGGAUGUCUAAGUGGGUCAGGAACUUGAGCGUCCGAACCUAUGAUAUGAGACAUCAUAGCACAAGAAAUGAGUAUGCGGUCAGUACUUUGAAUGCACUGUAUGCUAAAUAAGGUAGACUGAUAUGCAUGGUUUUAUGUAUAAGAGUAAUAACUGACUGAAUAAAUAGCAUAAUGUACUAAAUAAAAUGCGUGAAAUCUAUAAACAUUGAGUAUGCAUGACCAACCAUAAAAUAUGUUCUGAAUAUAAUCUGUAAAUUGAACAACUGAUAUUUGUAUGCUAUGGUCAAUUAAAACUAAAACUAAGUAACUGAGCUGAUUACUGGACUGAGACUGUGGGAGGUAUCAUCUAACCGACAUGCCCCAAUAAGUAAUUUGGGGUCCAACCUGUGGCCCCAGUUGGAAGGGUGUCAGUACCAUGUCACUAGUACUAACACUGGCUGUGUGAAUCCAUUAAUGUACCAUCUCAAAGUACUAAGGGUGUCAAGCCUAAAAUGAUAGGUGACCCCUAGGAGGUAGUCAAGCCUGAACUGAUGGGUGACUCCUCGAAUCCUAUGCUGGCUAUGUAGUUCUGGAGUACAUGGAUUGCUACUAAUGACUACCUAUCUAACAUGGAAGCCUCCAUCCCUGCUCUUGCUCAGUUCAAAAUUCUACUCCCAACUAAACUGACUCAGAAUACUGAACUGUUCUAUGUUUAAAUGAUCAUGAUAACUAGCUGAACUGAUACUGCUCAUAACAAGUCUGAAACUAUUCUGAAGAUACUGAGGUUAAGUAAGGAAUUAAAUUUUUGGGUAGUCACAACCCCCAGGACUCAAUAGAAAUAAUAGCAAUAUAGUACUAAAACUUUGGGGACAUAAUGCACUUAUUCAAAAUUCAUUCUUAUAGGCAUUUCAUCAAACGAAAUGCAUAGUGUAAGCUAAGCAUGAAAAUAGUUUAAAACUUGUAGUAAUAGCAUGAUUUCAACAUCAACAUAACUAAUUAUGGUUUAAAUCAACAAAUAACAUUAUUCAAAUGUGUGGGGUUUAAUAACAAUAACAAUUUCAUGUAAACAUGGUAUAGAAUAAAGAUUUAUGGGAAUUCAUGGUUAAAAAUCAUAAUAACUUGUAAAAGAUCAUAACUUUGACUUUAAAAAUUAGAUUCUUUGACUCCAUGGGUGAAAGGGACCCAUGGAUGAACAUUUAACAUACCUUGACUGAAAAAUUCUCGAAAGUUCUUGAAUUGGAAACCUUGAAUUUGAAUUAUCUUGGAAAAAAUUGGUGAAUUUUGGAGUUUCUUGGAGUUGAAUGUUGAAGCCUAGGGUGUAAAUUGAUGAAAAAUCAAUAUAAUAUGCUUAGGAUAGGUUAAUACUUUGUUGACAGUAUUUGGGAGCUAUGGGAAAAGGCCAAACUAACCGUGGGAAUUAAAACUCGGAACAAAACUGAAAAUACAGAUUUUGACCUUUGGUGAGACGCGGUGCUUAUCACGUUGUGCAACUGUAAAAGGCCGAUACUCAUUUUUUCCAAUGACAUGAUGCGGUGCUAUCACGUUGCGCCACUGGAAAUGAUCUAUCCCGAUAUAGAACCUUGGCGCGAUGCGACUCUAUUGCGGUGCCCCACUAAACGUGAAUUGAUCCUUGGCGCCAAGCAGUUUCAAUUGCGGUGACACAUUGGAAAAGGACGAACAUGAUUUUGAUGAUCACCGCAACGCGGCCUAAUUGCGAUGGGCUACUGCCUUUCAUUAAAAGUGACAUAACUUCUCAUCCGAGUAUCGGAUUUGGGCAAAAUUGGUGUCGUUGUAAAGAUAAUUCAAUUUUCUAUCAUUUGGUGUGUCUUGAUCUGGAAAAUUCUCAGUUGAAUAAAAGAUGAUAUUAUUUGAGGUUGACUAUUGCAACAUCCUUCUCAAAAACUCAAUCAGUAAGGAAUAAUUUGAUUUGUCUAAUAGCUGGGAGUUAUUUGAGGCCUUAAUAUACAUCAAACUCACUCAUAAACUACAAAUAACUAUAAUGUACCUUUAAGGAGAUUGAAACAUGGUCCUAAUAUUGGUUUGGAUUUUUGGGGUAUUACACGUACCCAAGCUUAUGGGUCAUUUAUUUGAUUUGUAUGGCCCUAGGAUCUUACCUAGGUUCUGGAAGAGAUACGACUCUUGGUCAUGAAUCGUACCCAAAGUGUAGACUCAUACUGGGAGUCGUAUUCAUUCCAGAAACUACUAUCUGAUUUUGAUUGUUCUCCCAGGCUAAUUCGACUCCUACUCACAAGUCAUAUCGUAUAGAUACGACUCGUAAAGAGUCCGUAUGAUACCUUUUCAACUUCUCUGGAUUUUGUCUGCAUUCUUUAGCCCUGUACAUUGAAUAAACAUAUUUCCCUAUAAUUAUAAUAAAUAAAACAACAUGGGUUACCUCUCACACAGCGCUUGAUUUAACGCUGCAGCAUGACGUGGGUAAGUUGGACACUUAGACUUCAUAAAUAGCUUCAUAGGUUUCCUUCCAUACAAUUCUUGAUUUAACAUCGCGGCAAGAUGCAAUUGCCUUGAUUACUCAAAUUUUAUCAAGUUCAAUGUCAGAUAAUUCUUUCACCUCUUCUAUGCUUCGCAUAUAGUGUUUUACUCGUUGUCCGUUUACCUUGAAUGAGCUUGAACCAUCCUUCUUCAGUUGUAAAGCACCAUAGUGUUAAAUUCUUGUCACAAUGAAUGGACCAUGCCAGCUAGACUUUAGCUAACCAGGAAACAAAUACAGUCUAAAAUUGUAAAGUAGCACUUGUCCACCUUUUUCAAAUACCCUUUUCUCAAUCUUUCGGUCAUGAUAUAACUUUAUCUUUUCCUUGUAAAGUGCUAAAAUUUCAUAUGCUUGAAUUUAGAAUUCAUCCAACUCAUUAAUGUUAUUUAACCUUGACUUGGUUGUAUCCUUCCAUUCUAACUUCAGCUUCUUCAAUAUCCAUAGCACCUUUACUCAAGCGAAAUUGGUAAAUGGCAAGUUUUGCCAUACAUAAGAUGAUAAGGUGAAGCACCUAUGGGGGUUUUGUAAGAAGUACAAUGAGCCUAUAAUGCAUCAUCUAUUUUCUUAUCCAAUUAGUCCUAUUGGUAGUUACAGUCUUCUCCAAUAUGGACUUAAUUUCUCUAUUGGAUACUUCAAGUUGUCUACUAGUCUUCAGAUGAUAAGGUGUUGCCACGUUGUGAUUCACUCCAUAUUUGUCAAGUAGACUCUUGAAUAUAUGAUUGCAAAAAUGUAACCCUCCGUCACUUAUAACAGCAUGUGGCAUAUCGAAUUGAGAUAAGAUGUUCUUCAUAAAAAAUACGAUGACACUCCUUGCUUCAUUAUUAGGAAGCGUGUUUGCCUCCACCCACUUUGAAACAUAGUCAAUAGCUACAAUUAUGUACUUCAUUCCAUACAAACUCACAAAAGUUCCUAUGAAAUUUAUGCCCCAUACAUCAAACACUUCCAAUUCUAAGAUAGUGGUCUUAGGUAAUUCAUGCAUUCUAGAAAUAGUACCUUGUCGUUGACACUGAUCACACGUGGCAGCAUAGUCAUGCGCAUCUUCGUAUACAGUUGGACAAUAGUAGCCACAUUGUAGGAUAUUAUGUGUGGUGUGGGCCCCUUCAUGAUAACCCCCAAUUAGAGAUAUGUGACAAGCUUUAAGUAUGCUCAUCAUCUCCACUUCAGGUAUACACCUAUGAAUGAUUCCAUAUAAACAAAUUUUAAAAAUAUAAGGUUCAUCCCAGAAAAAUUUUCUUACCUCAUGCAUGAACUUCUUUGUUUGUUGAUGUGAAAGAUCUUCUGUGACUAGAUCACUUGCUAAGUAAUUUACAUAAUCUGUGAACCAUGGAAUUAAAUCUCAGGAAGCUUCCAAUAUCUGUUUGUUUGGAAAACUAUCAUCAAUCUCCAAUCCCUUAGCAACCUUCUGUAUAGCUUCUUCAUCAAGUCUAGACAAGUGAUCUGCAACUUGAUUUUCUGUGUCUUUUCAGUCGUUCACCUCAAAAUUAAAUUCUUGAAAUGAUAGUACUCAUUGGAUAAACCUCGACUUUGCAUCCUUCUUAGCCAUUAAGUGCCACAAUGCCGCAUGGUCUGUGUGCACAAUCACCUUUGUCCCAAUCAAGUAAGAUUUAAAAUUUUCAAAGGCAAGAACCACUGCCAAUAACUCUUGCUCCGUCAUGGUAUAGUUAUUUUGAAUAGGGUUUAGUGCCUUACUAUUAUAGAAGAUGGGAUUAAGGAUCUUUUCUUUUCUUUGUCCUAGUACAACCCCUAAGGCUAAUCCGCUAGCAUCACACAUAAUUUCAAAAGGUAAAGACCAAUCAGGAUACAUAAUAAUUGGAGUAGACACCAACUUCUCUUUUAGGCUUUCAAAAGUUUUCUUACAUGCAUCAUCAAAAUAAAAUUUUACCUCCUUCCCGUGAAGCUUGCAAAGCGGACUAGAAAUCUUUGAGAAAUCCUUGAUAAAAUGCCUAUAAAAACCUGCAUACUCUAGAAAACUCCAAAUUCCCUUUACAGAAAUUAGAUAAGGUAAUUUUUCAAUCACCUCAAUCUUUGCUUGAUCAACCUCUAUGACUCUCUUCAAAAUUUUGUGCCCAAGCACAAUUCCUUCUUUGACCAUGAAAUGGCACUUCUCCUAAUUAAGUACCAAGUAGCACACCUCACACCAUUUUAGAGCCUUUGCCAAGUGAAUAUGGAAAUCAUCAAAAUAAUCACCAACAACUAAAAAAUCAUGCAUAACAACUUCAAUAGUGUCUUUGACCAUACAAGAGAAAAGAGAUAUCAUACAUUUAUGAAAUGUGGUUGGAGCAUUGCAUAGCCCAAAUGACAUUCCUUUGAAUACAAAGGUCCCAUAAGGACAUGUAAAGGUAGUCUUCUCUUGGUCCUCAGGCGCAGUAGUGAUCUAAUUAUAUCCUGAGUAUCCAUCAAGAAAACAAUACCAUCCUCUUCCUACUAAACGGUCGAGUAUUUGAUCCAUGAACAACAUAGGAAAAUGGUCCUUCUGAUUCCAUGAAUUCAACUUCCUAUAAUCAAUGCACACUUUCCAUACAGUGGGUUGUCUCAUUGGUACUAGCUCAUUCUUCUCAUUAUGGACGAUAGUUAUUCCACCCUUUUUUGGUACGCAUUGAACCGAACUAACCUAUUUGCUAUUCGAAAUGGGAAACACUACACCAAUAUCUAACCACUUGAUGAUAUCCUUCUUAACUACCUCUUGUAUAGAAGGAUUGACUCCACGUUGAUGUUCAAUAGAUGGAACACAAUCUGCCUCAAGCUGAAAUUUAUGAGUACACAAACCAGGCAUUCACCCACAAUAUCAACAAUGGACUAUCCACAUGCCUUCUUAAAAUUUUGCAACACUAAAAGUAAUGCUUCUACCUCUGACUGGCUUAGAUCAGCUACAAUAAUAACUGAAAAAGUAUUGUUGGACUCCCAAAAUGCAUAUUGCAAGUGACAUAGGAGGGCCUUUAAUUCUAAUACCGGUGGUUCCUCUAUGGAUGGGAGAGCAGGUGGAGUAGUUCAAUUCUGUAAAUAUAGAUCAAGAUUCUUUGGUGCAUCAUUAUAACUAUCACCAUGCAAUUCACCCACUAACUCCUCAUACUCUUCGAUAUCUUCAGAGUCAAAAUUCAUAAUCAGAGUCAUAAGAGCUUUGACACCUAACCUCUCUUCAAUAGGAAUAAUCGUAUUAUAACCAUUAUCCCAUAGAGUAACUGCAUCAACAUCAUGGAAUGAAUAUGUUUCCUCAUCAUAUACAUCAAUCAUAGAUACUACUCUCAGUUCAUCAAGAUGAUUUAUAUAUUUUUAUAUGUUGAAUGUCAUCUAUUCAUCAUUGAGUUAUAGCAUCAGAUUUACUUUCUCUAGAUCAAUCAGUGUCCUAUGCCAAAAAUGGUCUUCCCAAGAUAAUGUGGACUUGAAUGUCCACUUCAAAAUCUAAUAUAACAAAAUCAGCAGGGAAUAUAAAAGAAGACACUUCAGCAGGAAAUAUAAAAAAAACACUUUUAUAAAAAUAUCGUAAAGGAUACCAACAGGCUUCUUCACUGUCUUGUACGCCAUUACUAGUCUCAUGGCAAUGGGUUUGGGAGCUCCCAACCCCAGAUGUGUGAAUACAAGAAAUGGCAUGAGGUUGAUGCUAUCCCUAAAAUCACAUAAUGCUCGAGUAAAGUUGAAAAACCCAAUAAUCCAAGGUGUUGUGAAAGCGCCAAGGGUCCUUCUUCUUUUCUACCAAAGAUCUAGUGAUUACAACACUACAAUGAUAAAUAUUGUCAAUAGGUUCACAACUGACUGACAUUUUCUUAGUGAUCAAAUCCUUCAUGAAUUUUGCAUAUCCUGGAAUCUUCUCUAAUUCCUCCACAAGUGGUAUAUUGAUAAUUAACUCUUUUAACAUAGACAAAAAAUUUAUACUUACCUUUUUCUUAUUUCUUUCUCAAUCUUUGUGAAUAGGGAGGAAGUGGUCUUGGAAUGGGUUUUAGCAUAGGUUUUGUAGCCUUUUCUUUCCUUUAUUCGGCUUGUUAUUACUCCCAACAUCAAAUAGCUCAUCCUCACUCUUCUGUGUAUCAUUUAUGGAUAUAGGUAGAUCUAUAGUAAUCUUACCACUCCAAGUGGUAAUGGCAUGGCAUUGAAUAUCAUUUCUGGAAUUACUACUGUAUUGCUUGGAAGAGUGCCAAGUUGUCUUUGAUUCACUUUGGCUGACAUCUGACCAAACUACAUUUCCAACUAUUUGAUUGUUGUAGCAUAUCACUCAACUUUCUAGUUCAAUCUUGAUAGGUCAGCUUUGAUAUCCUUCAAGCAGUUCUCUUGAUUUUCUUGCCCUUUGACUAGCUUGGCCAAGAGUUUCUCCAUUCCGAACUCUGUAUCUCAAUUUUCUAGUGGAAUAUAUUUGUCACUCUUCUUCUUAUAGUCCUUCUUAUACCACCAAUCACCAUUUCUAUCUCUACUCCUAUCUCUGUAUGUAUCAUUAUAAUAGUUCUGACCUUGACUCCUUGCCCCUGAGUUUGGAAAUCCACCAAUCUAUGAUUAAGGUACUUUACCUCUUCCUUAGAUUCAAUCUUGAAUAGUUUGGAGGUAGACCUCUAUGUCACUACUUCAUUUAACUUCUCAAUAUUCAUUCACGCAAAUUAUUUUAUAACCAACCUAAUAGCUGUACGAAGUUGUGUAACCGUUUGAGCUACCAUGUCAUUUUCUACUCUAUACAUAUUUGUUGCUCCAAUAGCAUAUGUACCACCACGACGUUCCAAAUGGGAGUAAGGGAUUGCCUCUACUUUUCAUACUUGGCAUAUACUAACAUACUCUACUCUUCAUACUUGGCAUAUACUAACAUAUGCUAAAGAAAAAACAAAAAAUUAAAAACCUGUGAACUUUAUCAAUUCAAUUUACUACUAAACCAUCUUCCCCGGCAACGAUGCCAAAAUUUGAUAUCGCUCAAAACUAUACCUCAACUAGAAGUAUAAUACGGUCGAUUGCAAAUAUAAUAACCCAACAAGGUUGGGGUCAAUCCCACAGGGAAAACGUGAAUAUUCGUUUGCCUUUAUGUAAUCCAUAAGUAGUAUAGGAAAGUAAAUGGGGGGAGGGUUGUUAUCAAUUACAAUUAGUGACCAAUUCUUGAGUGUUGUUGAGUUGAAAUCAAUAUGAGAUGAAUUCUAGAUCUGUCUUACCCCUGGCUUCUCAACUUCAUAAAUUUCUCAUGGUUAACCCAAGUAUUUUAUUGUUCUAUAUGCAAAGCCUACAAGAUAUGUAUUAUCCACUUCUUAACAUAUAAAUUUCAUCCUUUAAUUUGGUUAUCAUCUUAGGGUGUUGCCAUGGUGCCCCUUGAUACGACAUCAGUUACACUUGUUGGGGUAGGAUCAAGUGAUAAGAUGAGAUACUUGGCUAUCGUACCCCAAAUCACUAUCUUAAAAAUUUUUCCUAAUCGCAAACUCUUUGGUUAUCGAAUGGAUGCGAAUACAGGAAAUCUCAAGCAUCUGUAGCUACUAUAAGUUUAAUUAUUGUGAAAAAGAAUUAAGAUACAUGCAAAAACUUUAGAAUAAUUAAGUCUCACACUUUCUCUACAUAGCUAAUAUGCCAAGAUUCCCACAGCCCUUGCUGGGGAGAUUAGGUACUCAUGUUUGUGAAAAAAACCAUGGUUAUCAAUGAAGAACACAUAAAAUCACCUGCACAAGAAUAAGAUGAAUAAACUCCAAAGUCUUUAAUUGAAUAAAACCUCAAAUCUCAAGAACAAUUGUAAAAGUAGGUAAUAAUGUGUAAUAGUGCAUAAAAGAAUGUCACAACAAAUAACCUAAUAAAAGAUAAAACCUAGGCUAUUUAUAGUAUCUCAAAAUAGCAUAAGAAUCCUAUUAAAAUGGGGAAAGGUAAAUUUAAUUUAGUAGUCGAUAUGACUUGAUCUUUAUUCAUAUCCCAGCAUAUGAGUCGUACCCUGACUUGUUGUAUCCAUUCCAGUGUUUGAUGUUCCCAAGGCUUCAACUCUCUAUUCAGUAUAUAACUUCCACUUAUGAGUUGUACCUUAGUGUAUGACUCAUAUUCUUCAUCUGUAUCCACCUAGGACUUCAGUCUUUUCAGGUCUUGAACACUGGUUUGAAUACGACAUCCCUAUACGAGUCAUAAUCAGACUUUUGACUCGUAUAGCUUUGACACUUCAACUCCUGGAUAGUAGCUCAGGUUCUGUUAUGCUCAUGACUUUGCAUAUGACUCGUACCUUAGCUUACGACUGGGGUACUUGAGUUAUAUCUUUCUCAUACUCGACUCCUUAGUUUGGCUUUUGGUUUUAUUAUUCAUAUGAUUCAGUAUAAGAGUCAUAUCGAUUGGUUACAACUCAGAGACUAACUCGUAUACUAAUCAGAGUUUGUAUUUUUAUUCAAAUACUAUUGUAAACUUAUUUUACUUGCAAUUCACACUAAAGUUUAACAUAUCCAACAAAAUACCCUAAGUUCACACAUAAAUUUGUGGUUUCAAGCAUAAAAAAUAUUGUACUUCCAUGCCACAUCAUUGGGUUUCUUAGAGGGGAUGGUUCAUACUUUCAUUCAGCACACUAAUUUGGGGCCUUAGACUAUAGAUACUUAGUUGUCUACUAAUAUAGGUUUUGUUAGUAAGGAUGUGAUAUUGCUACCUAUCUAGUGACUCUACCCGUUAUGUCUGUGGAGAGGUAGAGUAGGUUUGUGGAGUUUAUAAGGGUGUAUCCCCCUCAAUUCAAUAGGAAUCUAAGGGUCAAUUCUUAUGAGUUCUUGGUUUUUUGCAUUAGAGGUUGCACAAAUUAGGCCUGGUAGACUCUAGUGGAGUGAAUUUCCAUACUUUUCAGUUGUCUAGACCACCCAAAUAGUUGUGAAGGACUAUUGUUGAAAGUAGAUCAGAUGGAUCACCUCCUCUAUCAUUAGAUCAUUUUACUCAAGAGUUUUUAUAGAAGUUUGUCUAGUGGCGCGAGGGGCAUGUUACCAAGAGGUGCCCUAGACUUGAUAACGACAACAACAUUUAUGGUAAAUGCCAAACUUCUCAUGGUUAUUCUAAGAGAUAGUUAGGCUGUAGUAGCCAUUUAGGAUCCGCAGAUUCAAGUUAGUGGAUUCCUACUCAUUUAGGUUGCUUCAUAUGUGGGCAUUUCAGGCGCUAUAGGAAAGAUUGCCACAACAGAGACAAAGAGAUACAUCAUCAGUAGCUUGGGGAAUUAGCAUGGUGAUAUGCUUCUCAAGGUGGAUUCGAGGAAGGAUCUUUUAGUAUAGUGGCCACAGGUAUGGUUUUAGUGCAUAUUUAAUCUGUAUCAGUAGUAUUUUGCUAUGGUUCUAAAUUCUCCUAUGUUCUUACAUAUUCUGCAUUAGAUCAUAAUAUAAUUUGUGAGUUUUUGUCAUGUCUAUCCAUAUUGCUACCCUAAUGGUUGAUCCUUUAGUGGUGGCUCGGGUGUGUCAAUCCUGUGUUAUGACUUAUUUAGAGUAUGUCACUGGGUAGAUUUGGUUAUUAUGUAUAUUAUAGAUUUAGGUGUCAUCUUCUAGAUGUUACAUUAUGGAUAUUUGUCGAUUAUAUUGAUGAUAGAUAUUAGUGUAUUUGAAUUAGGAUAGUGUAUUCCAGAGAUUUACUUGAUGAUCAUGAUAUUAGUUAAGGAAAAAUAAGGCAAAAUGAUAUUGGGAUGAUGAGUUCGUGACUAGAGAGGUUUGUAGUGAAUAUUAUUUUUUGGAAUCAUUUACAAGUGUUACAGAAGUGUAUGCACAUGCACUAUUUGUCUUACAAGGUCAAACUAUUUUAUUGUUGGUUUGGGUUAAGAAAUUAAUGAUGCAAUAAACCAUGUAGGAUGACUAGGGCUAUUCAAAAAUUAGGCUAGAAGACCUUGAGAUGGAUUGGACUUGUGAUAUGGCAAACUUGGAAUGAUUGCAAUUAAAGGAUUUUAGUUAUUUACCAAAGGAUUUUCAGGUGUUUUGGGCUUGCAAUUUUUUACCACCUUGGUGAUUAUCUUGGCUUGCAUGGAAUGACUUAUGGUGUUUUGAAACACUUCUCUGGUAGUCAUGAAGGAGUUCAACUUACAAGGGUAUCUACUUCUUAUUUGGAAGGUUAUGGGUUCAUUUUCAAGAAUCAGAACUUGCGAUUAGAGUGGCGUGGUUACUUGGGUCUGGUUCGGUUGUCAUGGUGCUAUUUCAUAUUUUGAAUGGGUUGUUAUUGGUCGGUAAAUAAAGUUGUUUACAUGGUUUGAGGUUAAAAUUUUUACGUUUUAUUGGAAGGCUACAUUGUGAUAGUGGAUUAUGCUAUAGUAUGAAUUGAAAAAAGAAAAGAGAUUAAACAUAUCAAUUUUAGAGGACUUGAAGGGGCUAGUGCAUGGAAAAGUACAUGGGUUGUAGUAAUACUUCUUUAUAAGUUAUAUUUUAUUGCCCACCAUAAGGGUAUCACCAUGGUUAAAGGUGUACCACAUAUUAAAUAAAUGCAAGUAGAAGUAGAUACAAUGAACAGAGUGGAAUAUCUUCAAUAUGCAGUUGUUGGUAAAUUUACCUAAGAAUGGGCUGACAUUGAUUAAUUAAGAAAGGUUAUACCACAACAAUGCGACAUAAAAGGUGAAUAUCAAAUUGGUUUACUCUGAAAUAAGCAUUUUCUAAUUCUUUUGAUUCAACAAGCAGAUUUCAUACAUCUCAUUUCAAAGGGAGCUUUCUAUAUACUAUGUAAGGAUUGAUAUUUAUAUCUGAUGAGAGAUCUUAUCUAUGAUCCUUGAUUCAAGAUGAAUGAGAAAACCACGAACUCUCUAGGAUGGAUAUCAUUCCUUAAUAUUUUACCCACGUACUUUGCUAAAGAGUGCCUUUUCUCGUUAGCUACAGUAGUAGGUAAACCCGUCCAACUUGAUCUAGCUACCAUUAAUAUAACUAGAACUUAUUUUUCACAAGUUAAAGUACUGGUGGAUUUGAAAGGAGACUUCAUUAAGAUAGUGAUAAUAGAUAUUGACAAGAAGUCACAAAAGAUUCAAGUCAAAUAUGACUAUGUUCCUAAAUAUUGCACAAAAUGCAAAAUGCAAGGUAAUGACAACAAUGAAUGCAGAUGCAACAUUAAAGUAAGUGUCACAACCCAAACCCAGGCCUGGCCGUGACGGGUAUCUCAAGUUCACCAUGGGCCAGAGACCACCCCCUUAGCCUUAUCUCAAGAGAACGAUAAAAAUAAACAGUAAAAGCAAACCAAAAUUGUAAAAAGAUAGAUAAGUCAAAUGAAAAUUCUAGGAAUCAAAACGAACAAUCAACCCAAUACUUGUCCACAAAAGCCUCUAAACCAAGAAUACUAGACGAAGUCGGAAUAUGCCCCCACUAUGGCAAAAUAAAUCCACAAUUCCAAAAAUAUGAACAGAAACAUAAUAAUAGAAUAGGGUCUUCAAAAAUAUGGAGACUCACCACAUCACAACAAUGUAGCAGAUAUACCACACCACCUAACAUUGCACAGGAGUGUUGCGUUCAAGAGCACAUGCAAGUGUAUGUAGUCUUACCAAGUAAUACAGUGGCCUUAUAAAAAGACAAAUAUCCAUCCCUCAGAUACUUGUGUUGACAAAUGUCCAAGCUUAUUUCACUAAUAAGAUUAAUCAAGUGCUCUGUAAUCAAAAAGUUUGUAAGUUAUAAGUAACUAUCAACUAAACAAUACGGUACAGUAAAGGUUUGAACAAUCAGCGGGAAAUCCUAAGAUUAAGUCUCUAUGAACAAUCAUACUACGUUUUCAAACUUCAUUAGUUAGGUUAGUUAUAUUGAUUAUUGUUUUAUGGGUUCUACACUACAACUAUGAUCUUCCGAACCUCUAAUCAAUUAUCCAACUUAGCCCCUACAACUACAUCGGUGAGCGUGGAUGUGAACUAAGUUAAAUGCUUUAUUAUUCAUCCCGUUCCUGAACUAAACAGGACACUUAAUUAUAUUCCUAUCCUAAGUGAAAAUUAUAACAUCAUUCUAUGAAGAUUACGAUCCUAUUCUAUUCAUCCCACGUUCAUCUCUACCAUUCGUCUUUCCGGGUUCACAGUAGAGUUAUAGAAUGUAUUCUAAGGUUCAUGACUCCUUAAAAUAGUAAUGAAUAAUAUAAAUAAACAACCAAUAAUGAUAAAAAACCAUAACCAAAUCAAUUCCUAACAAUAGUACUUAUGUUCUUGGCCAUAAACCCGGAAAAGGGUGUUUAGCCGCUCAUAGACGUAACAAGAAUCACAAUAGUAAAAUCCAUGUUAACAUCCAUAAACAAACUAAAUUAAAGCAAUAAAAAAACCUAAUUAAAGUGUUCUCCAACCUCCCUUCAAGUCCCAAGGUCAUCUAAGGGGUUUACACAAGUGUUUAAGUGUUCUACUUAUAGGACACAAGUUGCUUGUUUAAACUUAAAGGCGUGCCAUGCCAAUAUAGCAACAUGUAGGCAGUGUGGAAUGAUAAAAAUGAGGUGGAUAACUGUAAAUUUACAUCUCAAAAGUUUCCAAGGGCGUUCCAUGGCCAUAUCACAACAACUAGGCAGCGUGGCACACCAAGCACUCCAAAAACUUCCAACUUUACCAAGUUUUGUCCCAUGCUUUUGUCCUUCAACUCCAUGCAUUGUGGUGUUGUUUUAGCUUUAUUUACAGGUUUUUUAACAUACCUUUAUCAUCAUGAUACAAUUACCAUGCUUCCUACACUAUCAAACACCAUACAUUAGAGCACAAAACACAUACAGUUCAAGACAACGAACUAGUAAAGGCCAUAGCUCAAGUUAAGAGUACUAGCUUUUGUCCCUUGAUUCUUAACUUGGUGUUUUGAAUCCAAAUUAACUAUGAAAUCACUUUUAACAUUACAUUUAUGUAACAUAUCAUAGCCACACAAAUCAGAGAUAUCAUAGGAGCCGGGGAUUCCCGUGUAUCCUUCGCCCUUCAUGAUACAUAUAUAAAAGUAUAAAUUUAGGGGAUUCCUGUGUAUCCCACAAGUAUAUAGUCACCAUGACCAACCCUCAUGUCGGGAAACAUGAGUUUCUAGUGUCCAUACAUUGAAAUCACACCUUUACAGUUAGCUAUCACAACCUGCCAUUAUUUCCUAAUUAAAACCUUUACCACAUAACCAAAUCACCAAUUCUAGAAGUUUAAUUACCAAGGCAUUAUGAAGUGGUAUCGUCUUACUGACUAUAGCUUGCAAGCAAUAUCAUUAGCCAAAACUUUGGGGAUUCCCAUGUACCCCACAUGAUUUACAAUUAAACCAAAUCCAUGGCCACCAAGUCCCUUUCAAUCCAUUUAAAACCAUUUAAACCAAUUUAGGUUCCAUUACCAUAUUAUGCAAUGCAAGGUUUUCGAUAAAAGUAAAACUAUGUGACAAACCAUUCUCAUACUCAUUUUAACAAACAUAUUGAGGGCAUAUAGUUUCCAAAACCACGAACCAAUUAACCAUUCCCAUGCAACCACAUAUUCAAACCAACAUUGUAACAUCAAAAACCAUAAAUAGAACAUGGGAAAACAUUAUCCAACCACUAGUAACCAAAAUCCCCAGCAUAUAUUUCAAAACCCAAAACAUACAAUAAUAAUACCCUAAAAACCAUCCAUGAAAAACAUGCUUUUAGUUUGAACUAACAAUGGGGAAGGAGUAACAUGCCUUAGAAAACAAGGAAGAUAGAGAAAACCUUCCCUUUGGAGCACUAAUUGACAGUCUUAAAGAAAACCCUAGCCUUUCUUGAACCAAGAGCUUUGAGAGAGAUUUUGAGUGUUUUGAGAAUACUUGAUUAAGAAAUAAAGGGUUAAUAAAGUCCCAAAUAUUUUUUAUGUCAUGGGGUCAAAAUAAGUUAAGAGGGAAAAUAUCUAGAAUACCCCCAACUUAAACUAUAAAAAUUACCUCAAGAGGAUAUGAUUUGGACCCCUUACUCGUGCCCACAUCAUACGAGGGUUACCCUACACUCAUACCUUGAUCAGAAUGUUGGACACCACAUACUAUCCACCAUAAAACUCCCCUUGCCCCACUUGUACCCAUAACAUAUGAGUAGUACCCAUAAGUCGUAUCCAAGAUAGAAUCAAAGAGGUUCGACAUUGGACAAUAUACGACUUCAUUGUACCACUCGUACCCUAUCCUCAUGGCUCAUGGUGAGCCAUUCAUACUCAGAACUAAGUCAAGUCACUAAGUUUUAGAUUAAGUAAAGGAUCAACCCAAUGACCCAUCACCAACCAUACGACCCAUACCACCAAACUGUAACCAUAACAGAAACUUGACCACCACAUACUGGACAUCCUAGGAGUUGGGUCACCUAACCCGUACCCUCACCAUACGAACUGUAUGGUGAGUCAUAUAAUCAACAGAGAGCUAAAAACUCAAGAAAGUUUUAAGGGCCAAAACCCAGGGUGUUUGACCUAUGCACCCCUAUGAAAGCCAUCCUAAAUUUAGGUGAUUUUUCUGAGUUGAGGAACACAAUGUCUUAAGAGGGACAUGGGACAAACAUAUUCAUUGUAAGUACAGAUGGAAAGAUAAUUUGGCUGAUAAAAUAAGAUGGUCAAUUAAGGCUCAAAUUCGGGAUAAAAUAACUAAUUUCAUUUGGUCGGGCAUUUAGGCCAAAAGUUGACUUAUUCAAGAACGACCUAUGAUUCUAUCCUAACCAACUAUCCUACAACCUAGGCAAAACUAAUUGGACAAGUUUUGUAUUAUACACAAAGUGAACUCAAUAAACAAUCUCACACCCACAGAGCAUAGGGUUACACCAUCAACUACUACCUAUCUAGUUCAAGCAUUACUAUGCUACAUUUAUUCUACAAAUAAUACUAAUGCUAUAACAAGAUCAACAGUUGUCAUAAUUAAACACAAUUGCAACACAUAGUCUAAAAUAAAAUUUUAGGAGGGGUAUCCUUUAAAUAUCAAAAAUUAAAAUCAUAACAUUCAAAACUUGAUUGCAUUAGGGUUCCCCAUGUUUCUCCUAAUCAAACACAAUAAAAACAUAAGAAAAACAAAUUUAACAUCCUAGACGUGAUAGUUCUACUAUGAUAUAACCAAAGGGAAAAUAAAUACGACAACAAAAAUUUCUAAGAGAAUAUAAAAACCCACAAGUACUGCCACCCCUAUCAAAUAAGUAUGUGUUGUCCCAAAUGCAUUAGACCGAGUAAAAUAAGGGAGUUAGGAACAUAACAAUGGCAUCUAGGUGAGUUGGUAUAGUGUCUAUCAAAGUAACAAGAAUAAAAAAAAUGUAGAAAUAACAAGAAACCUUGGGUUGCCUCUUAAGAAACAAAAGAUUUAACAUUGCGGCACGAUACGGGUGUAUUGACUACACAGGCUAUAUCAAGAUAUCCCUUGGGUUGGAUUCCAAAUUCAUCUAAACUAUUCAUCACCAAAACCACCCUUAUGUUCUUUGGUUGCUUCAUAGUUCUACCAAUAUUCAAUAUGACUUCAACAUUAUUCAACCUAAUAUUAGCUCACCCCGCUCCAUAUCUAUCUAUGCUCUAUCAGCGGCUAAAGAAGGUCUUCUAAAAAAUAUAGGCAUCUCAAAAUUGACCUCACAAUCUAAGACAAUAAAGUCUGUAAAAAAGAUAAAGUUUUAUACCAUGAACAAGAAAUUAAACAAUAUGCCCAGGCUUUUUGACCAUACAAUACGCUAUCAGUAAGUAUAUCUUUGUUGGUUUAGGUGUUCUCAAGCCUAAUUAUUUGAAUACUACCAUAAGUAUCAAGUUAAUAUUUUUACCUAGGUCACAUCAAUCUUUGGCAAAGUUAGAUGACCCAAUUGUAUAAGGAAUUGUGAAGCCAUCGAGGUUAAUUUUAUUUUGCAUAAUAGAAUAGGAGUCAAUUGCACUACAAUGGUACAAAUCACCAAUAGACUCAUAACUGAUAGUUCUCGUCUUUGUGACCAACUCUUUUAUGAACAUUGAAUAUCUCAACAUUUAUUAAAGUGACCCCACCAGUGGAUGUUUAUAAAAAAAAAUUUCAAUAUGGACAUGAACUUAUGAAAUGUUCCAAUCUCCCCCUUCUUCUUCAAGCACUAAGGGAUGAAGGUAAAGGCUUAGGAAUAUGGUUUAGCAUUUGUAGGGCUUCCGUCUCCUUCUUGUUUUCAUCAUUCACCUUAUUUUCAUUAUUUUGAGGAUCUUCAACAUCUUUCAGGAUCUCCCCAUAAAUAUUUUUAUUAUCAUUUCACCUUUUCUUAAGACAUUGAGGGAAAUGUGGAGGAAGUUUUGGGUGUGGAGGAAGUUUUAGGAAUGGAACAUACAUUUUUACAGCUUUCUUUACCUAUUUUGAGGAAUUUAUUUACUAUAUGAUAAAGAUCCUCAACUUGUUUGGGUGCGUCAAUAAGAGUCUUCCCAUUUUUUUUUGUGACAGCCAUACAAUGAGAAUCAUUUUCUGGGUUCUGGAUGGUAUUCAAUGCAGUAGACAUCUAAGUAAACUAUUUAUCAAAAUACUUAAUGAUGGUAGCAUGUGAAUCGACCUUUUAUCUUAGCCUCAAAAUAUCUACUCUAAUCUUUUUAAGGUAAUUUUCUUAUCUCUCCGACCCCUUUAAAAGUUAUACAAGCAAAGCUUCCAUCCUUGAAUUGCCAUAAUAGGCAUCAUAGUUUGCUGGAGGAACGUAAAGACCACUCUAGUCCUUAUAAUCAUCUUUCUACUUCCAAUAAUCAUCCUUGUCCCCCACUCUUCUCUCUAUACCUAGACCAAUUAUAAUUGAUUUCAUAGUAGUACUGACCUUAAUUCCUUUAUAUAAAGUUCUAAUUAUGUUGAUUAAACCCUGGCCCUUGGCUCAAAAACCCACCACCUCUCUAUCAAGAUAUUUAUCCUUCUUUACGAAAUUCAAAUAUUCAUAUCUUGAAGCCUUAUCUCAUGUACUCCCUACAUUGAUCUCCUCUGCUCUAACUGCAAUAAAUUCUUUCUAAGCAACCCAAUCUUAGUCCUCAUUUAUGCCACCUCUUGAGUUACUAUAUCACCUAGUGCUCACUACUCUAUGAAAUCUCCAAUUGAAUAAGUACCAGUUGAACUAUCUGCCUCUUAAGAAUGCCACCCUCAAUUGGUUUUUAUAAUCUAAUCUAAUAUCCCAUAACAAUACUCUCAUCAUAGACUCAUGAAAGCCCUAAUAGUGAUAGUUUCUAUUGUAGUCUUAGUAUUAAUAUUCAAGGCUUGAUAAAAGAUCUCUAGUAAGUUUCUACCAGUAAUCCUGUGAUUUAGAACACUAUGUAUCUUUUUCUUGAACCUCAACCAUGUCUUUUAUAGUGCCUCUAAAUACAACAAACAGAAGUUGUAUAUCUCAUCUUUCAAUUGCAACAUUUUGGAGGGCAGAAUUUUUUUUUCUAAGAACUGAGUGUUUAACUUAUUCCAAGUAGUAAUAGAUCCAUGGGGCAAUUCUCCCAAUCAUAGAGUAACUUCUGCCAUCAAAGAGAAUUGAAAUAGCCUCAGUCGAAUAGCUUCCUAACUCACCCUAGGUAGAUUAUAUGAAGUGCAGAUCCCCAUAAAAUUUAUAAUAUGCAUGUUAGCAUCAUCAGUAAGAAGGCUAAAAAAUACCUCUUUAAAUUUUAGCAGCUAGAUAUUGGACUCAUGAUGUCGAACUUAGUGCCUUGAGAUAAUUUUGUUGGAAUGAUUACACCUAUUUUAAUUUUCUCCAUAUAACCCAGGUCUUUCUCUAGGUCUUUAUAAAUAGAAAGAUAUUAUUGGAGAGGAUAUUAUCCCUUAUUUAUUCUCAAUCUAUCCCUCUCAUCAAGCAUAGCAAGAUGAUUUGCAUCUUUUUGUAUAGCCUUUUUGCCUUGUUAUCCACCUGAUAUCUUCUUGCCUAGCAUUUUUCUCAGCCAUUAACCGAGUAGUGACUUGUUUCGUAGUUUCUUGACCAUCAUGUUAUUGUAGCAGUUGAUUCAAAAUUGCAUGGUCAUCAUUAACCCCCUCAAUAAGGACUCUUUGAUCACAAACUUCUUUGUUAACCAUCCUUCGAUUUUGUAUUAAAACUCUCUCAAUCCCAAUAUCAAGCAGAAUUAGGCAAUUUCCUUGACUUCAAGUAUUGUACAUACAAUGUUGUGUUCCCUAGAAACAAUAAAAAGUAAACUCAGCAAAUAAAACCAACAACUCAACAAAUAAAAUCAAUCAACUCUAAAACCAUAUUCCCCAUCAAUAAUGCCAAAAUUUGAUAUCUCCCAAAUUAUACCUCCUAGAAAGUAUAAAGCGGUCGCCUAAUCAAAAAUAGAAACCAACUAGGUGGGGUUGAUCCCACAGUGAAAAGGUUAAAAUUCUAUCAAGUGUUUGUCUAAGAAACUAGAAAAUAAGUAAGGAGGGUUAUAUGAAAAAGAGAACUAGUAACAGUUGAUGAUUUUAGAUUUGUGAUCAAUAUGAGAAAACACUAGAUUUUGAACCCCGUGACUUUAUAGCUGCAUAGGUUUCUCAUGCUAGAAAACUAUUGCGGUGCAUUGCAUGAAAAAUCUAACAAGACCGACUCAUCUAAAUUUCUCUCAAUCUUGGUUAUAUGAAUUUCACUCUUCUCAUCUUGGUCUUCAAGUGUUGCACUUUUAACCCUUGUUAUUGAUCUCAUAUUAACACUCCCUACUAUAACUUGAUUUAUUGGAUGACGGUUGAUAACUUUGAAUUUUUGUUGUUAUUUUUUCCUUAAUUUUGCUUCUCUCACAAGCAAAUCUAGAAUACAGGCAAGUUCUUAAUGUUUGCAACCAUUAGAAAAUAGUCAUAACAAAGAAAAUACCAUUACAUGCAAGCACUCUGGUCUAGAAUUUUCCCCACACUUAAUCUAUUUUGUUAAUUCGGCAUGUGAAAGUCCUUUUAGGUGUUUCAUGUAAAAAUCAAGAAGGUAAAGGUAGUACUAGCUAAAUGGAGUAAGGAUACUUUUGGGGACUUUUUUUAGACAAAUUGCUACCUUAGAGGAUGUGAUUAAGGAAAAAUUAGUUUGAGAUAUAUUCAAAUCCAGAGAAUAGAACAUACUUGAGUAGGGUAGAGAAAAGUUGAAGACGUUUAUGUACAUCGAUAAAGAAUAUUUGAAGCAGGAGGCUGGUAUGAGGUGGUUCAAUUAUGGGGAUAGAAAUACCAAAUUAUUUUACUCUUAUGUGAAAGACAGGAGGAGUAAACUUCAUAUAGCAGAGAUUCAGAUAACAUAAGGUGAUAUGGUUAAUUUUAUUGAGAAUAUUGUGAAAGAAGCAUUAUUAUUUUCUGCUGCAUAGUUUAAGGAAGAUGUCAGGAGUGAAGAUUUCAGCAUGUUAAAGCAUAUUCUUAAACUGAUUUUAGAUGAUCAGAAUAAGGUGAUGACUUCUCUACCUACAAUUGAGGAAGUUAAGAAAGUGGUCUUUGAGAUGAAAGGAGAUAGCGCCAGUGGUCUAGAUGGUUUCUCUAGACAUUUCUUUCAAGCAUGUUAGGAGAUAGUUGGAGAGGAUAUUACUAAUUUUUGUUCUGUGGUUUUCAAUUACCCAAAUUUAUAACUCAUAGUAAUCUGGUACUGAUACAAAAUAAAGAGUCUAUAAAUAAUUUUGUAGAUGUGAGACCUAUAAACCAAAGCAUUUUUGUAAAUAAGAUCAUAUCAAAAUGCAUGCAUAAAAGAUUGGUGCUUGUUCUUCCAAGUAUUAUAUCAAAAAAGUAAUCAAGUUUUGUCAAGGGUAGAAGUAUAACAAAAAAUGUCCUUCUAGCUUAGGAAAUUAAAAGGGAUAUUAAUAUGAGAAACAAAUUUCAUAAUCUGGUCGUUAAGCUUAAUAUGGUCAAAGAUUAUGAUAGAUUAUCUUGGAAAUUCUUUAAUAAGGUGAUAAAAAGGUUUGGAUUCUCAGAGAUCAUAAUUGAUAUGUUAUGGAGAAUUAUUUUUGAUAAUUAGUAUCAGUACUUGUUAAUGGAUAGUCCUAUGGAUUGUUUCAUUCAUCUAGAGGUUUGAAACAAGGUGAUCCUCUAUCACCAACUUUAUUUAUUAUUACUACAGAAGUGUUAUCUAGAGGAUUAAACAGUUUAUUUGAUGAUAUGGAAUACUAGAGUUAUGGAUUACCUAAGUGGAGCCCUAAAAUUAAUCACAUCUCUUAUGCUAAUAAAACUAUUUUAUUUAGCUCUGGAGAUAAGGUUUCUAUUCAGAAGAUGAUGAAAGUGUUGAGGGAGUAUGAACUAAUUUCAGGCCAGAUGGUCAAUAAGGACAAGAGUUUUUUUCUAUCUUUAUGAGAAAACCCCUUUAGCCAUUUGGAUAAGGCUAAGAAGAAUAACCGGGAUCAAGAUGGGUAACUUCCCUUUUGCAUAUUUGGGAUGCCCAGUCAUUUAUGGCAGAAAGAACAAUUUCUAUUUUGAAGACAUUUUAAGGAAAGUUACCAGAAGAAUAAUAUCCUGGCAGAAGAAUUUUCUUUCAUAUGGGGGGAGAUUUAUUUUGAUCAAUCAUGCCUUACAAUCAAUGCAUGUAAUCCUUCUAUUAGCUAUAAAUCCAUCGAAGAAGGUAAUUAACCAACUUCACCAAACUUUUGCAAAAUGUUUCUGGAGUAAAGCAUAUGGUGAUAGAGGAAAACAUUGGGUUAGUUGGGAAAACAUGUGUUAUCCUAAAAAUAAAGGUGGAAUUGGUUUCAGAUCUUUACAUGACAGCUCAAAAGCACCCUUUACAAAAUUAUGGUGGAAUUUUAUAGUGUCAUCAUCAUCUUUAUGGACAUCAUUCAUAUGGAACAAAUAUUUUAGAAAAUUACAUCCUACAGUAUCCAGAGGAAUAGGGGCAUCAUAAGUAUGGAAAAUGAUAAUAAGUGUAAGAGAGGAAGUAGAACCUAAAAUCUAGUGGCAAAUAAAAUCAGGAAAGUCCAGUUUUUUGGUUUGAUGAUUGGACUAAGAAGGGGGCUUUGUAUUUUUGAGAAAUAGAUUUUGCAUGGGAAGAGGAGAUGAACGCUAAAGAGUUCAUUAUAGAUAGAGAAUGGGAUAUGCAGAAGCUGGAUGGUACAUAUCUAAGGAAAUAGUUAUACACAUUAUUGAAAAUAUCAGUCCUAAUUAGUCUAAAAGUAAGUUUAUUUGACUCCCCAUCAAUUGUGACUAGGUCUAUUGGAUCUAGUGGUUUAGUUGGAGAGUUUUUGGCUACCACUGGACAUGAUAAGAAGGUUUAUCUUAUUUUUUUCAACAAAGUUUUGUUUUUUCAAUAGGAAAUUACCUAUCUCAACUUCUUUUAUUAAUGAAUUUGUAUUGCGAUAUAUUUUAGGUUCUAGUUUGGGAGUUGAAAAAUAAUAAUUUUAGUAGUAGAGAAGGUUAUACUCAUGAAAUUAUAGAUGUUCAUUUUAGACCAAAACCCAAUGGUGUUUACAAUAUCUUUUCAUGACAGAAUUGUGAAGAUAUGGGAUGCAGACGAAGUGCUACCGCUAUUGCCAUAAUGAUAGCUUUAUAAUAUCUUUUAUUUAUUUCUUUUAAUUUGUGUCCAUUAUAACCAUGAAAUCCUACAUAUAUUGCCAUUUUGUCAUUAUCCAGCCAAGCAACUAGUUUUGAAACCUUGUUGGUCAUGAUGAGCAAGUGAUAUCAAUAGAUUUUCAUCCAACAAAAAUAAGUCUCAUCAGUUCUUGUCAACGAAAUGAUGAGAUUAGAUUGUGGGAUGUCACUAGGCACGAUUGCAAGCUCAUUCUUAAGAUUGGUGCCUCUAUUUCCUUAUUUAUUUUUAAAUGUUGAUAAAGAGGUAUCUUUAUUUGACAUAGGAAGACUUCUUAAUUAGGUAGUAAGCUAUUUUUCUAUUUCUAUUUCAAUUUGGAGAUUCCUUAGUUACCUUAUUUAGAAUUAUUUUUGAAUUAAUUUUUAUAUUUAUUGUAGGAACUAUUUUUCAAAUUAUUCUUUCUUUUUCAUUCUAAGAAAUUUAAGGUUUUCAAAAUCAGUAGUCAGUGAUCACCGAAUACUCAUGCAAAAAUCUAUUUUAGAAAAUAAAAGGGUUUCACCAUAGUAUUUGAACCAACAUUCAUAUCACAUUGUACAUAUUCUAACUAGUGUAACUGAAGUUUUUAAUGUCUGAUGGAUGAUGGAUUGAUUACUUUAUAUAGUUUAGAUGCUGGUUUAUGGAUAUAGGUACUGAUUAUACAAACAAAUUUUGAUGUUUUGAAAUGGUUCUAAUUGUAGGUUAUAAUAGUACUUAUUUUAACUAAAUGAAAUUAAUUCAGUUUUGAAGUUUAAUCUGAGUCUUUUCUGGUGUUCUUCAUUUUACUGUGUGAUUUAGUUAAAAAAAAUACAUAUGUAUUGUUCAUAUUAUGCUAAAAAUACAUAUGCAGGAAAUUUUAUGCCUAAAAAAUAUAUAUGUAUUGUUUUUAGCUGAUAAAAAUACAUAUGCAAUGUUAUGCCUAAGCAUUCCAAAACUAUAUCUGAAAUUUUUAGUUUAAAAAUGUCAAUGUUAUGUUCAAAAUACAUAUGCAAUGUUAGAAAAUACAUAUGCAAUGUUCUUAUUUUGCAAAAAAAUAUGUAAGCAUUAUAAAUAAAAUUUAGCCUAAAACUACAUAUGCAGUGUUAAGAGUAAGCUUUUCUAAAAUACAUAUUGUUCAUAACUAAUAUGUAUUUUGAUAUGUGUCCAUUUAAUAUGAUUAUAAAUGAAAACUCGAAUUAAAGAUAAAUUUGAAACUUUUGAUACAGUUCUGUAAUUUAUGGUGAGAUUUUAUUUUACAAAAAUACAUAUGCAGUGUUAAUAUUUUUUAUUAAAAAUACAUAUGUAUUAUACAUUUAAAUGUAUUUUUAGCAUAUAAAUACAUAUGCAGCUCUAAGAUUUUGGAAUUCAAACAUAGAUUUGCAGAAUAUGUCAUAUGUGGCUAAAUCAAUGAAUAAUUACGAACUAAAUAAGUGUUUGGUUAAUCAAAGUUACCAACUUUAACAUAAAAAAUAUAUUCAAUGUAAAAAAUACAUAUGAACUACAGAUUCAAAAUACAUAUGUAAUGUUCAGAUCUUGCAACAUAUACAUAUGCAGAAUUCAGAUUUUACUGUGUUCACUUGUCUAAUGAUGAUUAAAUGUAUUAACUAAAAAAAAUAGUUCAAGUUUAUUAAAAAUAAAAAUAAAGUUUUAAGCAAUAAUACUGAAGGAGAAAUGUAUCAUUUUCGACAUUUCCUACAAGAACGACAUUUCCAAACAUAUUCCGGCCUGAUUUUCCACAAUCCUUCUUUGCAGGUCUUCCUGAAGGUCUUUUGUAUUUUGGAGGCAGUACUAUUUCACCAAGUACGCUAUCUGGAAUUAGCCAGUCAUCUUUAUGUGUCAAUGGGUAGAUGGGAACAUCAUAUGUCUUCAAAACAGUUUUUGGUUUAAACAAAUCACAACAGUAUGGCCCCUUCGCAAAAUUCUUCUUCUCUAACACUACACAAGCAUGUGCACAUGGUAUCUGAUCUAGUUGAAAUACAUUAGAUGAGCUUUUUUUUUCCUUGAGGCAAACAAUGAAGUAUUUUUGUUUGUAAUGUACUGUAUACACAUAUUCUAUGGCUGUACAACCUGAUAUAAAAAUAAAAAGUUUAAUGAAAUGCUACAAAAAAGAUGAAAUUCAUAUUACACGAUAUGUUGUAAAAACACCAGCAUUUUUGCAGAAAAAUACAUAUGCAGAGUAAAAAUACAUAUGCAGAGUACAUUUUUAUAGAGCAUCCAAAUACAUAUGAAGUGUUAAUUAUUUUCAAUUAAAAAAUACAUAUGCAAAAUACAUAAUAUUAUUUUUACUGAACUUUUUAGUUUAUUUUUAUAUGUUUCAAUUCAUUUCGAACUUAAUGGAAGUUAUUCUAUUAAUUAUGUUUUUCCGAAGUAUAAAUUCCAAAAAUGUAAAAGGUCAUACCGUCAUACGAGUACACAAAGCCUCGUUUUCUUUGAGUAUGUCAUUAAAUUUUUCAAUGAGUGGUGUGAAGAUAUAUAAAGCCUGUUUCCUGUUUUUGCAGUUACAUUUUGCAAACAAUAAUCAAACCUCCUCAAGAAAGUCAUAAAUUGUCAGUUCUCUAGCUGAUACAAGUACUCCAUUUAUUGACUCCGCAAUGUUUCAAGUCAAAGUCCAGCCUCGGUAAACUGUUGCAUAGGACCUAGCCCACUUUUCGUAACCAGCCAAUUCUAAAUAAUUCUUCACCCUAAUAUCAACUGCCUCAACUUUUUCCAUUAACAUGUGGAAUUUUGACUUUGAAUAUGAUUUGGCCAUUGUAUAAAAGAUCUCCGACAAUGCAUCAUGUCACUUUCUGUAAACUUUUUUAACAUUUUUCUAUAGAUGCUACAUACAUGCAUAAUGUGGAACAUCACUGUACACAUUGCUAACAGCUUUUAUGAUGCUUCGAUUCCUAUCAGAAACAACAUACAUAUUUUGUCUUUUCCCGUAUGCUUCUUUUAGAUUAUGAAAGAACCACAUCUAUGAUGCAUCAUUUUCAGAAUCAAUCAAACCAUGUGCCAGAGGGAAUAUAUGACCUGUAUAUACAGAACAGUUAUGCGCAGUAAAAUAAAAAUACAUAUAGGAACUGCAUAUGUAUUUAUUAAAUAUACAGGUAAUUAAAAUUGUAUAUUUUAUCAAAUAAAUGGUAUCGAUUACAUAUAAUAAAAUUUAGACACCACAUAUAACUAUAAAACAUAAUCAAUUUUACAUGUUUUCAUUCAUGAAACUUUGAAAAUAUAGGUAAUUUUAUACAGAUAUGUAUAUAUCUAGUGGAGAUAUGUAUUUUCAGGUGAUACGCAGAAAUACAAAAAAAAUACAACAAGUUAUACAAUAAAAUUAUUAUAAAAUCAUACUAACCUGCUCCAUCCAUUGUACAUGUUGUUACAAAUUCCCCAGUAUACAUUCAUCUCAGAUGACUAGCAUCAACAAAUACGACUGGUCUACAAUGAUCGAAUCCCUUAAUGAAUGCAUUUAGAGCGAUAAAUACAUACAAGAACUCAUUCUCAUCUAUCUUCUUCAUUAUUAUAUAUGACUCUGGAUAGGUAGUAUUUAGUACGUAUAAGUAUAAUGGAAGUUUCCCAUAAGAUGCUGAUGGCUUACCCCUUAACUUUUCUAACGCUCUUUCUUUUGCCCUCCAACAUAAAGUGUAUGUUAGAUCCAUACCAAAAUCUUCCUUCAUGUCAUUUUUAAUUUCUAAAGCACUGUAUUUUCUUUUGUGAUUCUUGAAUUUUUGUUUAACCAUACCACAUAUCAACAUACUAGUAGCAUGCACCUUUGGAUAGAUCUUGUCCUUUACCGGGAAUGUAUGUUGAGGUCUGAAUGCUCUUAUUCUAAACAUUCCAGUUUCUCCCAUUCCUGAUGCGUGCAUUAAAAACUCGCGAUUUCUUGAUUUUCAAAACAACGUAUACCUGCAUCCAAUAUAAUUUAGUAUUUUCAAAAUACAUAUCCAAACUAAUAUUAAACAAGAACAGAGUGAUAUAGAAUGUACGUACAUUUUCUUACUUGACCUUUUACUUCACGUUUGAAAUUUCUCCCUAAUUAAAUAGUGUAAUACCUCAUAUUUUGGACUAGAAUGAAAAUCCAUCAUUCCUAUGCGUGGAUAUUUCAAAAUCCUCAAAUCCUAUAUAAAUUUAGUGUGUUAAUCAAUUAAUUAGUGUGGGAAUCUAUUUGAGCAUAAAUUUAGAUCAUAGAGGUCCCCUAACUCAAGUACAAGUUGAAAACUUUCCUAUCCUUCAAGUUUUAGUGAGCGUCAAAACUUGGGUUAACUUCAAUCGACCAUAACUCAUUUUAUAUGACUAACUGGGUGGUUUACUAUAUAUCAAAUGAAAUCUCUUUGAAUUAUCUUUCCAACUAUACCAAUUUUACCUAAAUCUGAUAUUGGAGCAAAGAGUUAUACCCAUUUUAUUUCAGUAUGUCAAGCUGGAAAAUGGUGACGAUGUUUCUGAUGGGCUAUCACGUUUCUGACGACCUUUUUGAUGACAUCUUCACAUUCAGAUGACAUUUCUGAUGAUGUCGUCAGCCUUGGGUAGAAAAUCAAGAAUUUGGACCCCUUUUGUGACGACCAUUCGUGACGGCCUAUCACAGACCUGACGGCCUGUCACGGACCUGACAGCCUAUCACAGAUGGCGUCAAGUAUAUUUUUCCAGAAAUUCAAGAGCAUUUUUUUCAAGGGUAUUUUGGUCAUUUCCUUCACCUUCCACUACUUAUAACCCUAAAGAGGGGUAAUUUUUCCCUUUUUCUUUAGUUAAGCAUCUCAAAAACCCUCUUUUACACUCUCAACCACAAGAUUAGGGUAUCCAUCAAACUCAUCUCUCAAAAGUAAGAUUCAAGCCUUUUUCUAAGAUAAUCAAGAAUUAAGUUUCCCAAUCCAAGAACUCUCUAGUAAAUCAUCAAGGUUUCUUUUCUAAGGUAUGCGUGUGUUCUUUCAUGGACUCCUUUCUUCUAUGAAGUUCAAGAACCCUUUUCUAAAACUAUGUAUUAUGGUUUUCAUGUUAUGAAUGGAUUGUUGAUCAUGUUUAUGUGUUGAAUGAUGCCAAGAUAGAAUCUUUAUGUGUUAUUAUGAAUCUAUGACAUCAUAUGAGUUGAAAACAUGUAAGUUUGAUUAUUUAUGAUGAGUAAUUGUAUGAUUUACACCUAUUACUAAGUUGUGCAUGUAAAGUGUUUGAUAAAAUACCUAAAAGAUUAGAAAUUAUGCAUUAUAGCUAAAUUGUGACUAAGUGAAGGAUUCAUGAUAGGCCUCUAUGAUUCAAUGCCAUCCAUGUUGAUAAUGUGUCUUGUGAACACUGUUGGAUUACUCAUGAACUAGUUUUAUGGAAUUAUGCUAUGCUUACUUGCAAAACCCACUCAUGUACAAGAUGUAGAAUACCCAUGUACUUCAUGAAAUUCCCCAAGUUAUGAUAUUAUGGAUUGUGGUUGUAAUAGGUAAUGAGUAAAGCUAUACAAGUAUAUACAUGUUGUAUGAAAUUCCCUUCCAUGAAAUAGAUUGUUGAGACUUAGUAUGAAAUCCCUUAUUUAUGAUAUUGUGGAUUAUGGACUCUACUCUUAUGAUCAAGUCAAUCAUGUGUGUUAGUUUCCUUCCAUCAAGUCCUGGGGGUACUUGUACCCAUAAAUUAUAGUUGUGUGCCUAGAGCCAUGUCAUGUUUUUACGAUACUCUCAGUCAAGCCAUGAUCUAUAGAAAUCAGUCAAUCAUGUGACUCAGGAAAACUCAGUAAUCUCAGUAGUUUAGUAUUUUCAGUAAUCUCAGUGCUCAGUAACCUCAGUAAUCGCAGUAAAUCUCAAAAACUUUAGUACUCUUAAUCAGUCCUCAAAACUCAUUAUAUUUCGUCCGUCAUCCAAAUCCAGUAAACUCAGUUUUAGCUCUGCAAAACAAUACCACUAGUAUCAGUUCAAUUAAUCAGUAUCAGUUCAGCAAAUUAGUUCAGUUAAGUUAUUUAGUUUAGCCCAAUUAUUCAGUUCAGUGUCUUUCAUAUGGUAGUAGGAUUCAGCACCAAGUGAAUCUAGGGAUGGGGACUCACCCGCUAGAAUAGGACUGAGAUCCCUAGAUGCAAUCCCUAUGUUCCAGAACUACGUAUCCAACGUAGGUACGAGAUAUCACCCGUUAGAUAAGACUGACAUACUCAGGGGUCACCCGUUAGCACAUUUAUAUGUAUAGGACUGAUCCCAGGAGUCACCCUCUAGAUAAGGACUAACUCCACAGUAGAUUUCUUUACUGGUGGCGCGGUACUGACACCCUUCCAGUCAGGGCAGAUAUUGGACCCUAGUUAGCUUAGCUUGGGGCAUAUCGGUUAGAUGAACACAUCCCACAAUUUUAAUUACAGAUUCAAGACUGUUAGAUACAGUCAACUCAGUUCAAUAGUACAGACUCAGUACUGUUAGAGACAAUUAAUCCUUAUCAUUAUAAAUAGACUUUAAGAUCACCCAUUAGACAGGACUGAUCUCAAUUAUAGUUAAACAGUAUCAGAAUCAUCAGAUUUAAAGAUCACCCGCUAGAUAGGACUGAUCUCAAAUUUAGUUACUGCAUAUAAAAAUAGAACUUAGAUAGUUCCAUCAGAACUUAGAUUGUCAGAUACAGUCGCUCAGUAUCAGUUACAUCGGUUAGGUUGAUCAUCACAGUUAUAUUAGUUAUAUCAGUUUUCUAAAAUCAUGUAUCAGUCAUAUCAGUUAUCAAAAUUCAUGAUAUUAGUAUUCAGCUUCAGGACUGUCAGACAUAGUCAGACAGACCAGUUUUUCAUAAUUUGAAAUGUCUAAAAUAGUCGUUCAUCUAUUCAGUAUCUCAGUAUUAGUACACUCAUGUUGUCAAUAUUCAGACUCAGUAGUCAGUAUCUCCAUGAGUUCAGUUACAAUUAUUUAUGUAUGUAUGUAUUCUCACAUUCAUAUUAGUCAACAUUGUUUAUGUAUAUAACCCUUUGCAUUUAGCCUACCUCACUCGUAAUCUCAGUACAUUCAGACAUACUGACGCAUUUGCACUAUGGUGCUUUCUCUUAUAUUACACCAUAGAUUCAGAGGCACGAGCUCCAGAUCAGCAGUAGCAUUACAGUGUUCAGAGUUUGCAGUGAGUCCUUCUCAUUUGAGGACGAUAUGAUUAUUGCUAUAUUUACUAUUUAGUUACUAGAUGGAGUUAGUUGGAGACAUGUUCCUUCAACUCCUUAUUCAGUUCAGUUAGAGGCUUUCAGACUAGAUGUCAGAUUAGAUAUUCAGGUCUCAUUAUUUUCAGUAUUUAUGACUUAUUUUGGUAUUGUUAUACCUUUUUCGGACAUGUUAUUAUUAAACGUUUAUUCAGUUCGAACCUUAUGGCCUUUCAUGUUUAUGUUUCCAUAUUUUAUUUUAUAUUAUGCAGUAUAUAGGUACAAAUAUCAUUCAUGGGUUAGCUUGUGGUCCUUUGGGGACAUAAGCACCAUGUAGCAUUCCGGUUUAGAAAAUCGGGGUGUUACAAAUAGUCCUUCAUGAAUGACUUCAAAAAAAAAAUUUCAAGUAAACCUGGUCUUCCUCAACUUGAUUGUGAUGUGGAUCUGAGAUAAUAACUCAACAGUAUCCAUUUCAAAUACAUUUAAUGCUUGUGUAUCUUCACAAACCAUCAAAGCUCCUUCAUUUGUUGUAUUUAUCAGUGUUUAAAUAUUGUCACAGUUGGUUAUUCUUUCAGCAACACAUAUAGAUGAACUUGCCACGUUGCUCCCUACAACUUUCUCCAAAAUGCUUACAUAUAAAAGAAGAUAAUUUAUGUCUUGUAUCUACUUUUUUUGAAAUAUAAACACCUUUAAACCCAUAUCAUUAUGUAUUUCUAUCUGCCCUGCAUUAGCAGUAAUUUGAUAUUCCAAUAGAAUACAUUUUCUCAUUAAAUCCACACUUAAGUGAGAUGCCAAUUCAUCGUGCAGCUCAAUGAAUGUUGCUGAUGUGCUCAACAGUAUAGCAUCAGUGACAUAUUAUUCAUAGUUUUUUUCAUACGUCCACCGACCAGAGUGCUUCACAAGCACUGGUAUGCUUCCCAUUUCUAUUUGAUUUAACCAAAAAAUAAACAAAUAUAAACAUUUUGUCAAAUUGUAACUUGUUAAAACAAACACUUUUCAGCUUUAACUGUAAACAAACUUACACAGCCAACAUCUCCACUUAAAAAAUAAAUUUAAACAAAAUUUGUUAAACAUAAAAUACAAACACAAAAAAAGUUUUAAACCAAAUAAAAAAACUAAUGAAUCAAACCGAAGAAAAAUUUGUAUAAAAUAUAUUUUUAGCAAAAAAGUAAUACUCUCAAAUUCCAACAAGCAAACAAAAAAUACAUAUGCAACGUUAACAUUAAGAAGUUCAAAAAUACCUAUGUAGUGUUAACAUUAAACACAUCAAAAAAUACAUAUGGAGCAUACCUAAUUUGUAUUUUGAUAUGUGUGAAUAGAAUUUCAUCACAUUCAGCAGCUCAAUUGAAUCAUCCAUUGAUCAAGGAUUUUCAGAAAAUAAUUGAAUCAAAUUCAACUCAAAAUUUGUUUAAAUUAUUUUCAUAAUUGGGGAUUUCACAAUUUGAUCAAUUGUUAAACCGAUCAAAAUAACAACAACCGAUACUGAAAUAAAUAGUCGAACAAUGAAAUCUAAAUAACUGAAACAACUUCUAAACUUAAAUUUUGCAACAAAAAAGUUCAAUUCUGAAGGUUUUUGUUAUAUAUGUUGAAUUUUCUCCUGCUUUAAUUAUAAAUCAAAACUAAAUAGGAGCAUCAGUAAUGACUGAAACAAAAAAUCCAACCCAAAAAACUCAAUGAUUAUGUACCUUAAACAACAGUAAUGGGUGAAUUUUCAACUGAUAGUUGAAUUUGAACAAUUUGAACUAAAGAAUCUAUAAUUGAAUUUGAUUCAAAGAAAUUAAUGCUUCAUUUUGAAACUGAUGUUGAAUUCAAAGAAGAUACUAUACAAUUUCAUAUGAACAACAGCAAUGGUUAAACAUAAAAAAAAAAUGGUUGAAUUAGAUGAAAUUGCUUAUAAAAACGAAAAGCAUAUUUUGAUUUUGUUUUUGUUUUUCUCAGAUGAACUCAUUAAUGGAGAAAACUGAAAUUUAAAAUUUGAUUAAUGCUGUUAAGCUAAAACAGAAAUCACGUGAUUGAAGUUGUUUUAACGGAAAAGGAAUCUACAAAAUUAAUUAAUUGGUAAUUAUACCAUAUUUAUCUCAACCAAUUUCAGUUAUUUAAGGGAGGUAAAAUUAGUUGUCUAUGUAUUUUUAUAGCAACAGUUUUUAAAAAUACAUAAUACAAGUUGCUACAAAAUAUAAUUAUGAAACUGUUCCUAUAAAUUAAUAAUUAGGGCCUCAAGUAUGUCAUUUCUGAAUUUUAUCCUAUUAAAAAAUCAUAUUUUGUAUAGAAUAUCACUUGAAGUCUAUUUUCUAGCUUUUCAUAUACAAAAUUUAAGAUACUGUCUAUUAUGUUAAUUUGUAUGAUAAUUUUCACUUUUUGACUUUUACAAGUAUAAUAAGUCAUAAUAAUUUAUAAUCUAAAAUAAUUUUUAAAAGUAUAAAAAUUUACUAUAAAAAAAAUAAUUAAUUCUUGAAAUCUAAAAGUGUCACUUAAAUUGAGACGUAUGUCUACUCCUUCUGUUCUUAGAUAAGUGGUGUUUUAUCCUUUUCAUUUUGUUUCAAAUUAAGUGAUUAAGAAGGAAUUAUCUUAUGUUUUCAGAGUUAUCCUUUUUUUAAUACAUAGAGUUUUACACCAGUAAAGAAUCACUUUUUUAUUUAAGGCAUUUAAUUAGGAGUGAGUUAGUAAAGAUACUUCUAAUUUUUUAAAAAAUAAGUAAUUUUUACAAAGUUUACUCAAACUAAAAACACCACACACACACUACCUACACACACACAUAUAUAUAUACACACACAUAUACACAUACAUACAUACAUACAUACAUACAUACAUAUGCCAGGAAAUUUUGGGCAGUAGUGGCUUUAGAAGCUUUACGCUUUAGCCGACCCUGCAUAUAUAAGUUCCUUGUAGGCUUGGCUCGAUUAGUCAUGUCGAUAUUUCUGCAAAACAACAAAUAGCUAGGAAUCUUGAAAUAAAAAAGAAACAAAGAACUUCUCUUGAUCAACCAAAGAUAAGAAAUGGAAAAGGAAUAAUAGUAGGGUAAGAAUAUGCAAAGUCUGAAAUAUUAGGUUCUGGUGUCACAAUAAUAGGUCUUAGAGUGCCCAUUUUGAUAUGAGUUUUUCUUCCGACAUUACUAUUGUUUUGCUUGUUAUAUUUUUAUCUUAUUAAAUAGAAUAUUAAUUUUAACUAAACAUUUUUUCCUUCCUACUUGUGUAUUAUUAUUUCACGAUCCUUGAUGACUUCUCUAUUGAGGAACAUUCAGGAAUAUUAGAUCUUCAAACUAAAUAAUUGUCAAGUUAGAUGAAAUUGUUCAUGUUUGAAGCUUAUUCACAUGUAUAGUCCUUGAUUUUUCUUUCUCCCUUCCCUCGCUAUUUUGUAUCUAUUGAAUGUUGUUGCAGGUCUUGGAGUUGUGGAACCCAUUCAUUCAGAGCAACAUAACAUGGCCACAUAGUGCACAUGAGGGCAUAAUUUCUUCAUUAGCGAAUUCGCGUGUGAAAGAAAAUAUAGCUUCAGUGAGUCAUGACCACCGGAUAAUUUGACAAUGAUGUAUAUUUGUGGAUCAAGUUAUAAGAAUAGACAAUCUUUCAUCUUUCUCUUUUCAAAUUAUGUCAAUAUAUGAAUAAAAUAUAUUUGCAUACACCUUUUUGCUAACAAGAUUGUAUUUGGGAUCAAGCAAGGUGACAAUAUUAUUGGUGCAUCACCAAUGUAAUGAGUUAUUUGAAAGGUUACAUCAUUUACAAACUUUGAUCAUUAUUUCAAACUCUCUUCUCUCUAGUUCAUCAUUUCGAACCUGAUAUUUAAAAUGUUAAUUAGACUUUUUGUUAUUUUAAUACAUAUUAAAGUAUAAACUUGAAUAACUGUAAUGAAUUUAAAUUCUUAAAUAGGAAAGUUUGUAAAACAAGUGAAGGAAAAUAUUUUCGGAAAGUGUUUUCCUAUUUUUCAUGUUCAUUUGGAUGAAAUUUUAGAAAAAUAUUUUCUUUAGGAAAACAAAUCCUUGGAAUAAGGAAAAUGAUUUCCUUAAUGAAAGUACGGAAAACAAGUGUCAAUAUCUCCCACCAUUCGCAAAAUCACCCACCCCAUCAAAUCCCACACUGACUUUACCCCCACCUCACUACAACCCCCUUGCCCUCCGUCUUCCCUACCAAAAUAUGCCUCACUCUACCCUUAGUCAUUCUCAUUAUUUUUUUUAGAUAUAUACAAAUGCUUUUAGAAUAAUAUUUAUUAUUGGGAUACUAAAUAUAAUAAAAUAAGUAAGAACCAACUUGAUUUCCUCAAAAAUAUUUUGUUGAAAAAUAUUUUUCAUUGAAAAAUAUUUUCUUCCAUAUUGAACACAACCGAAUGUAUACUAUAGCAACUACACUAAAAGAACUUAGUAAUAUAGUUAGAAAAUACUCAAAAGAAAAAAAAAAAAGAGAGUGACACCACUAUUUCAAAAGGAGGCCUCUCUUUCGUAUUUUGAAGUUACAAAUUAAAACAUUGCGUAAUGUCCAAAGCACACCGUUCAUCUUAGCACUUAGCAAGGGAGGAGUUGGGGAACCGGAAGGGAUCCAUCUAGACCUACAAAAAAUAACACUACAUAAGUUUUAGUUAUGCGGGAAAAUAAUUAAGAGUGACAAAAAAAAUUCAAAACUAAAAAAAGUGACAUAAAUGUUGGUUAUUGAGUUGAGAUGAAAAUUUUAAGAUUAGCGUAAGUGGCACUAAUUUUAAAACUCCCAAGUUUGUAUUAUUUACUCAAAAUUAAGUCCUACCUUUCUCUCAACCCUUCUUAUGCCGUUGCUUGAACUACCACCACCACCACCACCACCUCCACCAUUACCAUCACCACCACCACCACUACCACCUGCUCCUCCUCUUCCUCCUCCACCAUAACCGGCACAACGACCACCACCUCCUCCUUCAUAUCCUUCAACAAUAGUUUGAGUGUUGCCAAAACAAUGAUAGUUGUUGCAGUAACCAUUAACUAUCGUAGUUGCAACAUAGCAACUAUUGUGGGUUCUAUAUUUUUUGCAGAAUUUGUUUCAAUGACUUAAAAAAAAUAAAAAGUUUCUUUCCAAAAUUCUCCAUGUUUAUCUUGACAAAAUGAGCAGAAUAUUUAUUCCAAUGCCAAAAGUGUUCAUGAUAUCACUUUUGUCUUUGGUAAACUUACCAAUGGUUAUAGUCAAAGCGAUCCUCCUACUCAACUACUUCGAUUAUUUUUUAGCACCUCAUAUUUUUUUUGGGUGUUCAAAGAUCAUUUUUGUAUGAUUUCACUUGAUCUCAUAGUCAAAGAAAAAUAGUCCAUAAAAAAGGGCACGCCAUGAAAAGGUUGAACCAGAUGUAAAAGGAUAUAGCCCCCUCAUAGUGGAUCCAUCUUAGACAACCUAUUUAAGACCAGUUAGUCUUCCAAGGAGGUUCUAAUGUAGAUGUAGCAACUCUCGUAGUGAUUUUUUAGGUUUUCCUAUGUUUUGAAUAUUUUUUCCCUUCUCGUUGUUGUCUUAUAGCACUUGUGAGUUGCGGUAGUGGAGGACAUGGUCCCCAAAGUGUUCAAAAGAGUUUUAUAGUUUUUGAUUUUUAAAAGAUUUUAAGUUAAUAUAAUUGACUUAAGUCAAUAUAUGAUGAUCUAAGAAUUGGUUGAGAUUCUUGUCAUUUCCAUUAUGCCAAAAAUAUAUUUUACAAGUGUUUACACUGUUGGGAUGUGUUUGGGAGAUCUCAAAUGAGUUUUGGAUAUCUGUUCAGAAUUUGGAGUUUUAUAUUAUUGAUUUUUAUUAGUGUCACCUAAAAUUAAUGAGCUAUGUUGAUAUUUUUAUGAUACCAUGAGAUCCGUAUUGAAAUUUUGGAAUCAAAGCAAAAAUAAUCGAUGCAUUUGAAGUCUAUAUGGGUGAGAUAUGACCAUUUUAGUAUGAAUAAUAAUUGCUGGUUUUCUAGUGUGGAGGUUCUUCUCCGUGAAUGUGAUGGACACAUCACUAACAUGAAGAAGGACCCUUUUUUGAAUGGGCAAUGCAAAAAUUUAUUCUUCAAAUAUAGUUAGGGUCCCACGAAUGGAAAGAAUAAAUAUUUACCUGGAUAAUGCUUAAAUCAGCAGAUCAUGAAUUUUUAUUAUUUUUGAAGCUAGAAAAUUCUAGUUUAUCAAUGUUUUUUCUCGUAUAAUGACUGAAUACUUUUGUUUUACUCAUUUUCCAAGUAUAUACAUUUUUUCAUGAUUUUGAUUCAUAACAUUUAUUUUUGAAAUUCGGAGUUAUGAAAUCAAAAGUUUUUCAUUUUAGGAUCAAUUUGUGAUAAAAUUUCAUUGAUAUUUAGGAUUUUUUUUAGGAACGGACCUUACCUGAGUAUCUCACCUCCCGUGGCGGUCAGGGGUUGAGCCACACACCCCCAAGCCUUAUCAUAAAUAAAAUAAAGUGAGCACACGAAGGGGGGCAUAGACCUUACCUCCGACCUAUGGUGGUUCAAAGUCAACUAGCCUACUAAGGCCGGUCAACUCAUCCCCGAUACUAUAAUGAUAUUUAGGAUUAAGCUCCUUGUAUUGUACAUAAACUGAUUUUCAUAAAAAUUUAUUGAAAUUUCAAAUUUUAAAUAGUGUUGGAUAAUGGAGAUUUGAGGCUUUCCAAUUAAAGCUAAAAUUUAAUUUUUUGAUGAUUUCAAACUCGAUUUCAACAUUAUUUUUGAUGAAAUUUUACAUUUGAUACCCUUCGACUAUGGGUAAAGUGAUAUUUUGCAAAAAUUUUAGUUUUAACCCUGUGGGCACGAGAUUGAUUUUCAAACUGAGUUUGGGGACUCUGAACCAAAGUAUAUCAUAUGAGUAUUAUUGGACUCAUAUUUAUGUGUAGAUCUCACAUUUGGUUAGAUCUAACAUAUUUGCUGGUGAUUUGGGACAGCAGAUACUCCAUUUGACUUUUUAGGCUGUGAUUUGACAUUGCAGAUCAUUUUUGAGGCAAUUGAGGCUUAUCUUGACUCUUUUCUGAGGUGUUUAUGUGUUAUAUGUUAUUUUCCUGUAUAUUCUAAAUAGUUGGAAAUUUAGGGGUCCCACAUAGAUGCGAUGGUGAGCAUCUAUGUUGUACCGGUGUUUAUUGUUGUAUUAAAAGUAGUAAAUGAAACAUCUUGAUUGGUACUUCUACUAGUUGAUAUAUUUAUGAUAAAUUGUGUCGAUAAUUGAAUUGUUGAUCAUGAAUAAACUGAUAGCGAGUACCUAUAAUAGGAUUUGAAUCAUGCUUAGUGAAAUUUGGUGGAAUAAUUGGGGUAUAGUAACUACAUUAGGUAUAAGAGAUUGUGGCUAUAAUGAGAAUGUUAAAAAUAGAAAUUCAAGCAUAAUUGCUAUAUAAUAUGAGAAAAAUUAAAAUGUUGAAUAUUCUUGUCGAUGAGCAUAUUUUCCUUCCGAGCAUUUGAGUCUAAUUAUGUCAUAAUUAGGAAAAGGUUGGAGACUUAUUGUGUAAAGCAUGCUAUGGGUUGGGUGAAUUUCAAUAUUUAUAUUAGUUUUGUUGAUUAUCAUUAUUGUGAUAGCCACGUGGGGGCUUGUGUGAAUUAUAUUAUUAAAUUAGGUGAUUAACAUUAUAUUAAUGCCCCCAUGGUUCCUUGUGUGGCACUUUUAAUUGACUUGAAAAAUUGUAUCAUUGUGAUGCCCGAAUGGAGGCUUGUGUUGAUCUUAUUAUUGAUUAGAGAGUUUACUAUUAUUGUGAUGCCUGAGUGGGGGCUUGUAUUAACCUCAUUGGUGUCUUAUUUGAUACUUUUACUAUUGUGGUUCUCAUGUUGAGGGCUUGUCGGGGAUAUUUUCAAUACCUUGCAUUGAUUAUAUAUUGUAUUUCCAUGAGAGAACUUAUAUCAUGAUUUACCGAGAUUUGAGCGAGUUGGAUUCAUUUAUACUAUUGUUAAACUGAUUAUUAUGCAUUGUUGGGUUUUUCAUGAACAUAUAUACUCAUUAAUUUCUCUAUUUUGUGGAACUGAUACUACUGUGAAAUUUGGAUACUUUGUGAAAGAAAAUAAAUUAUUUUAUAAAAUGACUUGACCGAGGAAAGUGCUGGCAAGAUCUAUUAUUUGUGGUUAUGAUUAGUUUGUGAAGUGUGAACCCCUCAUAAAUCCUCUCUUAGAGCUUAGGAUUGAAAGAUGCAUACAACGAGAUAGGAUUGCAUCACACUCAUCUUAUGCAUCAUCAUUAUCGUACUUAUCUAAUGCAUCAUCAUUAUCAUAUUCGUACACUUUUCUUAUCUCAACCUUGAUGACUAGUUGGUAUAGUGACAAGGUAUAAUUCUAGUUUGGUUAAGGUCUUUCCUGAUAUGAGUUGGGCUAUUAUUAUCGAUCAUAAACUUGUAUAUAUUUGACAUACUUAAACUAGUUUGAUUACCUUAUUAAUUGUUGUUACUACUAGAUAUGUGGAGACUUUUAUCAGUGCAAAUUUAUUUGGUUGACAUAGAUGGUUGAUGUAAUGGUCCUUACCAUUACUUUGUAUUAGGAUUAAUUAUUGAUGAUGUUUGCUGAGCACAUGUGUUUCAUAGUCACCGUUACUUUUUUUUGGCACCUAUGUAUAAGUACUGGGUGGGUAGCUUGAGCAUUGAUUAUAAUUCUCGGUGUUUGCUUUUUGGAGAUUGAUGUAGAUUUUGUUGUAUCUCAGAGAAUACCUUAGUCUCUUCUUAUUUUAUCUAAUGCUUAUGUGCAUACGAGAUACUUCAAACUAUUUCAUUGAACUCGGUAUUGGAGGCUUGUACUAGUGACAACCAGAACUAGGACAUUGCAUUGAUAUUGUACCUCUUUUUAAUGUCAUUUGGAAAUUAUUUGUUUCAUACUUCUUUUGAUUUUGAUUUACUUCUAUAAUUUAGUUUGGGUAGGGAUACACUUACUUGUAACGGAAGGUGUGACAGGUGUCAUUAUGAUCUUGAUUUUGGAUCAUGACAAGUUGGUAUCAGAGUCCUAGGUUCAUUGGUCUCACAAGUACAAGAUAAGUCUAUUAAAGUCAUGUAGAUUGGUGUAAAUACGUUAGUUAUUUAUCUUUGAGAGGAUACAUGACUUUAGGAGAAAUCCAUAUCUUUAUUUUGUGUCAUGCAUUCAUAGUUUAAUGCAACUCAAAAGUCUCUUAUUUAUUUUCUCACAAAUGGUAAGAACACCUUCCUUUUUCGCUAGAGACUGAGAGUUCUUGGCUUUAGUUAGUGGCAGAGGCGAAGGCCAGACUAGAGAAGGUUAGGCUAGUGUUUCCUUCUCAGGUUCAAGAGUCACUCAUUGAUAAUGAGUUUGUUGGGAUCAAGGGGUUGAUCCCAACAAAGACACCAUCUAUUUUUAUAUCUAUAUUUAUGCUUGAGCAUUUCUCGAUAGGGGUGUUGGGUGAUGUCGCCCAAAACUACACCUCAACUGGAAGUAUAAUAUGGUCGAUUGCAAAUAUAAUAACCCAAUAAGGCUGGGGUCAAUCUCAUAGGUUAAAUGUGAAUAGUUGCUUUCCUUGAUGUAAUCCACGAGCAGUACAGGAAAGUAAAUGGGGGAUUUUAUUAAUUAGAAAUAGUAACCAAUUCUUGAGUACUAUUGAGUUGAAAUCAAUAUAAGACGAACGCUAGGUCUAUGUUCCCCUUGGCUUCUCAACUUCGUAAAGUUCUAGUGGUCAACCUAAUUAUUCUAUUGUUCUGCAUGCAAAUCCUACAAGAUAGGUAUUAUCCACUUCUUAGCAGAUAAAUUUCACCCUUUGACUUGGUUAUCAUCUCAGGGUAUCGCCUUGUUGCCCCUUGAUAUGACCUCAUCUACACUUGUCGGGGUAGGAUCAAGUGAUAAGAUGAGAUACUUGAUUAUCGUACCCCAAAUCACUGUCUUAAACCGUCUUUUUCCUAAUCUCAAGCUUCUUGGUUAUCUAAUGGAUGCAAAUACAGGCAAUCUCAAGCAUCUGUAGCUACUAUGAGUUUAAUUAUUGUGAAGAAGAAUUAUGAUACAUGUAGAAACUUUAGAACAACUGAGUCUCAGACUUUCUCUACGUAUCUAAUCUGCCAGGGUUCCCAUAACCUUAGCUGAAGAGAUUAACUGCUCAUGUUUGUGCAAAAAACCAUGGUUAUUAAUGAAAAACACAUAAAAUCAGUUGCACAAGAAUAAGAUAAAUACAAUCCAAAGUCUUUAAUUGAAUAAAACCCUCAAAUCUCAAGAACAAUUGUAAAAGUAGGUAAUAAUAUGUAAUUGCGCAUAAAAGAAUGUCACAACACGUAACCUAAUAAAUAUAAACCCUAGGUUAUUUAUAGUAUCUCAAAAAAACAUAAAAAUUCUAUUAAAAAUGGAAAAGGUAAUGUUAAGUCAGCAGUUGUUACGACUCGAUCUUCCCUCGUAUCCUCUGCUUACGAGUCGUACCGUGACUUGUCGUAUCCGUUCCAAUGUCUGAUCUUGCCAAGUCUUCAACUCUUUAUUCAGCAUACGACUUCUGCUUAUGAUUCGUACCGUAGUGUACAACUCAUGUCCUUCAUCCAUAUCUAACUGGACGUUAGUCUUUUCAGGUCUUGAACACUAGUUUGUAUACGACAUCUCUAUAUAAGUCGUACUUAGACUUUCGACUCAUAUAGAUUUAACAUUUCAACUCCUGAUAGUAGCUCAGGUUUUGCUAUGCUUAUGACUUCCGCAUACGACUUGUACCCUGGGUUACCACUGGGGUACUUGAGUUGUAUCUUCCUCAUACUCGUCUCCUCAGUUUGGAUUUUGGUUCUGUUAUUCAUACAAUUCAAUAUACAAGUCGUAUCGAUUGGUUACGACUCAGAGACUGACUUGUAUACAGAUUAGAGUUUGUCUUUUUCAGGACUUUUUCUUCUCUUUUUGUUGAAAUACUGUUGUAGACCUGUUUUACUUGUAAUUCACACCAAAGUGCAUCAUAUCCAACAAAAUACCCUAAGUUCACGCAUAAAUUUGCAGUUUCAAGCAUCAAAAGUGUCAUAUUUCCACACUACAUCAACACCCUCAGUUUAAACUUUUGCAUGUCCUCAGGCAAACAAAACCAAAUUACUUAUUUCUAGCACAGAGACGAUGCUUAAACAGGAAGAUCUCAAGCAAACCCAUGGCAGUGAUUUUGAAUUAAAGUUCAAUCUUGUUGUUCCCCUCUUAAUUUUUCAACUUUUCAACUCAAACUUGCGUAUAGCAAUUUAGCACACGUAGAAAUACAAAGGAAUCCGAUGAUGACAUUACAUUAGCAAUAGACACUUAGGCAUAGACAUGCUUUAUAUUCAUCAAAUAAUCUAGCAACCUAGAAAAUUAACCCAUGUGCACUCACAGUCAAAGAAAUCCUAUUCACUCUUCAUGGGUAGACUACUCUAUUCAGGGAUAUAACAAACGACUCUCUCACUCACAAUGAAGUAUCAUCGGUGUACACAAAAUACCAUAGGCUUUCCCUUAUGCUCUUUUCCUAAGUUUUCAGACAGUCACAGUAGGAUCACUAUAGGACUUUAUUUGGCUUGUAACGUAGGCUUGGUGCUGGUAUGAUACGUAUGGAUAUCUAAAGUGACUAAGCCUUUUAGACACUACUCUCUUGUUGGGGUCCACUACUUUUGACUUCUUUUAUUUCCACCAUUAUGUCUCCUUUUUUAUUUUAAGCACAUUCUGCUUGGGUCAGGUGUUGCUUUCUAGCAAUUAUUUUUCUUAUUCUUUUUCUUUUUAUAUACCUUGCAAAUUUAUUUCUUUUCUUUUUAUCACUUCUGCCGAUGUUUCAACUAUUUCUCUUCUACCCAUUAUCUUCAUACUCGUUUUCCUCCUACGUACCUCUAGAAUAGCCACUCUCAACUUAGACCAUUUGUCUGAGUUGAGGUGCACAGUGUCCACAGGGGGGCCAUGGCCAAAAUAGUUUCAUUAUAAGUUAAACGAGAAGGUGACUGGUGUAAUAAGAAAAAUUUGUCUAAAAGGCUUAAAUAUUUGGAUCAAGGGGAUUUAUUCCUUGGUUAAGGCAGUUUAGGCUCAAGUGGACUCAUACAACAAUGGCCUAUGAUCAUCUCCUACUUAACCAUCCUUGAAAAGGGUAAAAGCAAUCGAGAAAGUUCUAGAUUCCAAAAUAAUUGGGAACUUAGUAAACCUUUUACACACACCUGCACAGGGCUACACUACUAAGUAUGAGUUAUCCAACUAUGCAAUUAUUUUGUCCCAGAUUGUACUAUCCCUAUCCUAAUGCCAUUAUCAAAUACUCGACAGUCUCACACAAAUAUAUAAAUCAUGUAAUUCAUUAAAUAAAAACUUUUGAGGGGCACCACUUUCACAAUAGCAUUUCAAAAAUCAUCACAAAUCAGCAGUUUUUCAUUAAUCAAAAAGUAAGAAUCAAAACAGAAUCAAAAUCUUUCAAUACAACUUGAAAUUCUUUCAAAAUCUAUCAGUCAUAAUAAAAAAAAUUGCUAUAGGUGCGCUAAUCUACUCCCUAUCUCAGUUGCCCACAUCAACAUGCAAGUCAUAAUAGACUUUUAGUUUAGCUACAUCUGAAAAUUUUCAAACUACUCCUCAAAAAAAAUUUUGGUACCCCACCCCAAACUAAGAAUGUUGUACUAUCCUUAGUGCUACAAAAAUAAGUUAAAGUAAGGAUCAGGGUCAUACCUAGGCACUCAAGGCGUCGGUGCAUCAAAAUCAGUACGUGGGCCCUUAGGUUGGGUCCCACUCUCAUCAGCAAUAAUCCCAUCAAUCGGGACUGCAGUAACAGAAGAAUAGGGCACAACAUCAACCCCCUUGGCAUCAGGAACCAGAUCUCUCAAACCACCAUCUCCCAUAGCCAUCUCUUGGACCCAUGUCUGACGGUUUUUCUCAUCCUGGAUGCUAUCAAGUUUAGCCUUCUUCUUAGCAACUCUAUCCUCUUUCUUCUUUCUCUUCUUCUCUCUUCUUUCUUCCUCGAUCUUCUCAACCUGCACAUCUAUUGGGACGACCUAAAUAUUAGGCACCUCAAUUAUGGAAAUCAUAGUCUCUACAAUAGGCUCCAAUAUUAUUGGCCCUGAGGAUAGUUUGAUGACUAUCUUCUUAAUCUCUGUAAUCUCAGAUCGAAUAUCAGCAAUAUUGGGUGUCCACCCACUACCCAAUUGUCGAGUAAUCCUUAACUCAAAAGCAUCUAGGCGCUCUUGUACUUGCCUAUCUUUUUGCUUAAGCUGUCGAUCUAUCCAACUUUAUACUCCAUCCUCUAUAUGACCUAUCUUGAUAGUGAGAGUAGCCAACUGAGUCAUGACUUCAGUUCAAGCAGCCUGAGAGAUCAACAUCACCCCAGGAGGCAUACCCUAUAGCCUAGGUGGCACAGAAUAGACUAGCGGUGGGGCACUAAAAGUACCUGUUGUAUCUAUGGGUGCAGCCUCAGUCUGUGCACCUUCCUUAGUAGUCUCAAUUGGAGUAGGGGCAUCUGUCUGGUCAUCUUACAGGAACAAUCCCACCAUAACAUCUACAGCCUAUUGCAUAGGUUAGUCCUGAGGGUUGGAUGCAUCUCGAAUCAAGCCAAUAUCAAAAUUUUAUCGAUCCUCAAUCAUCUCAUCAACUCUUGAUAAUUCUACUACUCCCACAACUAAGCAAAUCUGCAUGAUCAUGUAGGGGUAGGAUAGCAGUGCCUUUUAUCCCUUGAAUGCCCUAUCUCUCAUCUCUCAGGCUAGGAACUUACCAACAUCAAAUGCAUACCCGGCUAUGAAACUUGCUAUCAUAGUUGCCCAAACUGGGAUCAGCACAUCAUUGCUUUUCAUGGGACAUCUCCGGUAUCGGGCUAGUGUCCACCAUACCUUAUCCUUAGAGUUGAGGGAUGCUUCUUUAUCUGCUGAAAAUCACCAAUACCUUCAGCAACCCAAGUAGCAUGCUCACUAUAUGUAUCUAUCCUCUCAGCUAUCUAUCUAAACAUCGCUAUUUUGUCAUUUGUACCCAAUGUCCAAUUCGUGAUCUUUCUCAUCUCUACCAUUCUAUAGUCUAUCUCUCCAGUGUUGACCGAGGCCUAGUAUUCUGACCCAUAUAGAAAUCUUCUAAUACUCGGGAAAGAAAUAUCAACACACAUACCUCGAAUCAUGAGAAAGGCAAUAGGUUCACCUCCCUUUGACAACAUACACUGUGGAUACUGCCUCAUCAGCUCUCCCUUAUAUGCGGUGUAGAAUUUACAAAAGAGGACCUCACUAUAUCUACCCGAUGCUCUAAUCAUCCAUCCAAAUCCGUAUUUCCUAAAGCGCUCCUUAAAAAUGGGUAAUUCAACCAUCCCCAUAGUAGUCAUUAACCUCUCCAAGUAUAGUACUUUUAUUAUCUUACCAUCUGGAAGAUGAGACAGUCCUAUGUUAAACGCCUCCUACGUACCGAGGGUACCUUCAUCAUUUAAUAAUGGGCACUAAAGUAGCGGUCAAUGUGAGUUGGGGGGUCCUAUCUGUCUAUAGGGGUCGCAUCUACUUUAGGACCCUGAUCAUCAUCUGCACUCUCCUCAACUAAACUAGACUUAGCCUUGUCAUCAUUAUCAUUAACUAGCACUGGUGUGUGUGGAGGAUAGACAGUUGUAUUCUUUCUUCUUGGCCCUCUUUAUGGUGGUGAUUCAGAUUCUUGUGGCACUACUUUAUUCCCUUUAGACUUAGCAUUUCUUUGUUUACAGCUUUCUUGAAUGUAGUUCUGUCAUACUCUUCUCUACUGCUCUUUGAUAUUGUUUUAGACUCGGAGAAACGGUUUCCUUACUCUCAAUAGGCUUGUUUGUUCCCUUCUAAGCAACUAUUUUGGAUGAAGAACCGUUCCUUGAAGGCAUUUUCCUACAGUACAAUAAUAUUAGUAACUAAGAAAAGAAAAGAAAAGAAAAUAAAAAGUAAAAAUUAAAGUUCAAUGUGCUUAGUUUCAGUUGGGUACAAGUGGUAGGUAUUGGUCGUACCCAUUGGGUACGAAUCAUAUUCCUGAAUCAUAUCCUAUGCAGUGCAUAACCUUUGUUCAUUGGCCUACUUACGACUCCUCCUUACCAGUCAUACCGACUAUGUACGACUCGUGACCAAUAAUCGUAAGCUGGUUUAAAACUUUUAUUCUAUUAUCAUUCUUCCCAGGUGGGUACGAUAAGAUUGUACGGGUCGUAUGGUCUGGAUACGACUCAUAUUGUUGAGUUGUAUCUAUUCCAAAACCUUGAAUUUGUUAAAUUUUCAUGUUGUCAGUGGGUACGAGUCCCAUCACAACUCUCAUACCGGUGGGUAUGAGUCCUAAGAAGCCUUGUAUCAACUGUAACAUAGAAGUCCAACUUCAAAGUUUGACUCUGAUAAAAUUCUCAAAUUACCAACUACUAUAUUUCUAGCUAUAUCAAAUAUUUUAACAUACAUAGACAUAAAAAUCCAUUCCUAAACCCUAGUUCUACCCUCAUUUUCAAUUUUCAACACCAAUAUUACAAAUAUUAUACCAACAAUCCAUAAAAUGUAGAAAUUCUACUUAAACUAUGUUAGUAAUAUCAUGUCUACUUCAUUUUAACUUACAAAGUAAAGAGAAUGACAUUAGGAACUUACUUGAUGAGUUGAAGAAAUGAAUUUCUAUUUUUCGAUCAUAGUACUCCUCAGUUUUGAGUUUAUAUCACAAAAUAGGAACAAAUUGAGGUUGUUGGUAAGUUAAUUGAGUUGAAAACAAGUUGAUUUUUCUAUUUUUAGUUUGAAAUUUGUGUGAAAAAUACGUUGGGUACACUUUGAACGUCUCGGGUACCCGAUCAAGUUUUCUUUUCCCUUUUUAAUCAAAGCGCUGGGCCGGGUCAAACUCGAGAUGUGCCCUAGUAAGCUGGGGUACGAUUAGUCUAUAUGACUCGUACUGUAAUGCCCCGAGAGUACACCCUGGAUGCCAUACAGUUCUUACAAUCACAAGUGACCACAAGCUAACCUAUGAGUUGAUAUCUACUAUGAGCACUGAAUAAUAAUAUCAAAAUACAUAUGCAGAAUAUCUUAAAAUGCCAUAAGGUUUUAAAUACUAAAAAUAUCAAAAUACAUAUGCAGAAUAUCUUAAAAUGCCAUAAGGUUUUAAAUACUAAAAAUAUUUCUGAAUCAUAAAUCCAAAAACAACUGUCUGAAACUGGUAAAAAAAUGACAAACUAACUGACUGUGUGAAGUGUCUGAAAGCCUCUAACACUGUCUGAAUAAGAAUUGAUGGGACAGGCCCCAACUAACUCCAACAAACUACUGAACUGAAAGAAUGAAAAAUAAAGAUAGUCUGUCCUCAAAAUAUAAGGACUCACCUUGACUGCUACUACUGAUGUGAUGGGAUAUCUAAGUACGGUCGAGAACCUGAGCGUCCGAACCUAUGAUAUGAGACAUCAUAGCACAAAAAAUAAGUAUGCGUUCAGUACUUUGAAUGUACUGGUAUGAUAAAUGAGGUAGGCUAAUAUGCAUGGUUUAAUGUACAUGAGUAAUAACUAAUUGAAUGAAUUGCAUGACGUACUGAAUAGAAUACAUGAAAUAUGUAAAUACUGAGAAUGUGUGACCAAGCAUAAAACAUAUUUUGAAUAUAAUCUAUAAACUAAAAUACUGAAUAUUGAUAAAUGAAUAACUGAUAUCUAUAUGCUAUGUUCAAGCAAAACUGAAACUGAAUUACUGAGUUGAUCAUUGGACUAAGACUAUGGGAGCUAUCAUCUAACUGACUUGCCCCAAAUGAGCAAUUUGAGGUCUAGACUAUGACCCAAGUUGGAAGGGUGUCAGCACUAUGCCACGGGUACUAACACCAGCUGUGUCGAUCCACUAAUGUACUGUCCCGAAAAACUAAGGGUGUCAAGCCUAAACUGACGGUUGACCCCUGCGAGGUAGUCAUGCCUGAACUGACGGGUGACUCCUCAAACCCUACGCUGGCUACAUAGUUCUGGAGCAUAAGGACUGCUACUAACAACUCUUUCUAUCUGAUGAGGAACUUUGUAUCCCUGUACUCGCUCGGUGCUAAAUCCUACUCCCAACUAAACUGACUGGAGUACUAAACUGUUCUAAGUUUAAUUGAUCAUGAUAACUGACUGAACUGAUACUGCUCAUAAGAAGUCUGAAACUAUUCUGAAAAUACUGAGCCUAAGUAAACAACUAAGUUUUUGGGUAUUCACAAACCCCAGGACUCGAUAGCAAUAAUAUAUAAAUAGCACUAAAAAUUCGGGGACGUAAUAUGAAAGCAUUUAUUCAAAAUUCAUUCUUGUAGGCAUUUUAUCAAACACUUGAUUGCAUAGUGUAAGCUAAGCAUGAGAAUAGUUUAAAGCUUGUUAUAAUAGCAUAAUUUUAAUAUCAACAUCACUAAUUAUAGUUUAAAUCAGAAAAUUACAUUAUUCAAACGUGUGGGGUUUAAUAACAACAACAAUUUCAUGUAAACAUAGUAUAGAAUCAAGAUUCAUGAGAAUUCAUGGUAAAAAUCAUAAUAACUUGAAAAAGUUCAUAACUUUAAAUUUAAAAAUUAGAUUCUUGUGAUCCAUGGGUUAAAGGGACCUAUGGAUGAACACUUAACAUACCUUGAUUAAAGAAUUCUUGAAAGUUCUUGAAUUGGAAACCUUGAAUUUGAAUUAUCUUGGAAAAAGAAUGGUGAAUUUUGGAGUUUAUUGGAGUUGAAUGUUGAAGCCUAGGGUUUUCUCGGAGAGUAAAUUGAUGAAAAAUCAAAAUAAUAUGCUUAUGAUAGGUUAAAUCCUUUGUUUACAUGAUUUGGGGUCUACGGUAAAAGACCAAACUAACCUUGGGAAUUAAUACUCAGAACUGGACUGAAAUUCCCAAUUUUGACCUUCGGUGAGACCCUGUGCUUAUCGUGUUGCACCACCGCAAAAUGACGAUCCCAAUUCUUCCUAAUGGUGCGAUGCGGUGCUAUAGCAUUGCACCACUGAAAAUAGAAAAUCCCAAUUUUACACCUUGGUGCCAUGCGGCACUAUCACGGUGCCCCAGAGAACAUGAAUUUGACCCUUGGCCCUAUGCGGUGCCAAUCGCGAUGAGACACUGAAAAAGAAUGAAUGUGAUUUUGGUCAUCAUCACGACAUGGCCUAAUCGUGAUGACCUAUUGCCAUUCAUUAAAAGUGCUAUAACUUCUCACCCCGAGCAUCAAAUUUGAGCAAAAUUAGUGUCGUUUGAAAGAUAAUUCAAUUUCCUAUCAUUUGGCGGUUCUUGAGAUGGAAAAUUCUUAGUAGAAUAAAAGAUAAGCUCAUUUGAAAUUGAAUAUUGCAACAUCUUUCUCGAAAACUCAAUCGGUAAGGAUUAAUUUGAUUCGUCUAAUAGCUGAGAGUUAUUUGAGGCCUUAAUAUACACCAAACUCACUCAUAAACUACCAAAGAACUAUAAUGUACCUUUAAGGAGAUUAAAACAUGGUCCUAACAUUGGUUUGGACUUGUGGGGUAUUAUAAUAUCUCCCCCUUAGGAAUAUUCAUUCUCGAAUGAGAUUGGUUAAGCUCAAAGUACCAAGGAAUUGAGAUUACAUGCUGAAUAUACGUGUUAAAAUCAUGAUUACAUGAAUGAGUAUGAAACAUAACACAUGACUGAACUGGUUCUAUGAAUGCAUGAAUGACAUGAGAAUGAUAUGCAGCUGAAACUGAGCAGGGAAAGGGGAAAUUCUAAGAAGAUUGCUACCUUAAGCUGAAUCUGAGUUUGUGGAGAAAAAAUGAGGGUACUUGGUUCACAUAUCUGCUUCUGCUUCCCAAGUGGCUUCCUUAAUGGACUAAUUCCGCUAAAGAACCUUAACUAGGGAAACUUCUUUGUUCCUAAGUCUACGAGUUUGUUGAUCAAGGAUCUCUACUGGAAUUUCUUCAUAAGAAAGGUUGUUCUAAAUAUCUACGAUUUCUAAGGGAACAACCACAGCUGGGUCACCAAUACAUUACUUCAACUAAGAGAUAUAGAAUAUUGGGUGCACUGAUGCUAAGUCUGUAGGAAACUCAUGUUCAUAAGCCACCUUUUAGAGAUGGCUCAAAACUCUAUAAGGACCAACAUAUCGGGGACUAAGCUUCCCCUUCUUACCAAACCUCUUUACCCCCCUUUAUGGGAAAGAUUUUAAGAUAUACAAAAUCAUCAAUCUCAAACUCAAGAUCCUUUCUCCUCAAUAUCCGCAUAAGAUUUCUGUUGGCUUUGGGCUGCCUUAAGCCUUUCUCAGAUUAGCUGAACUUUCUCCAAAGCAUCAAAUACUAAAUCAAACCCUAUCAAAGAGGUUUCACCUAUUUCAAACCAACCAAUUGGAGAUCUAUAUCUCCUUCCAUAUAGAGUCUCAAGUAGAGCCAUCUGAAUACUAGAAUGAUAGUUGUUAUUAUACAUGAAUUCAAUCAAAGGCAAGUAGUCAUUCCAACUGCCCUUAAAGUCAACUACGCACGCUCUCAACAUAUCCUCAAGGUUCUGAAUGGUCCUCUCUUCCUGACCAUCUGUCAAAGGGUGAAAGGUUGUACUGAGGUAAACUUGGGUACCAAGACACUUCUGGAAAGCUUUCUAAAAGUAAGAGGUAAACUGAGUACCUCUAUCUGAAAUGAUAGAUAAUGAAACACCGUGAACCUAACCAACUCUCUAUUAUAGGGCUUGGCAUAGUCCUAGACUGAAUAAAAAGUAUGGACCGAUAAGAAAUGGGCUGAUUUGGUCAUCCUGUCCCCCAUGACCUAAAUCAAAUCAUGCUGCUAAUAAGCACGAGGUAAACCUAUCACAAAAUCCAUGUUUACUGCUUCCCAUUUCCUAGUAGGAAUACUAAACUCCUGCAUGGACCCACUAGGCUUCUGGUGUUCAAUCUUAACCUAUUGAUAAGUGGAGCACUUAGCUACAAACUCUAUAAUAUCCUUCUCUAUCCCACUUUACCAAUAGAUUUCCCACAGAUCACGGUACAUCUUCGUGUCCCCCGGAUGAAGCGAGUAAUACACACUAUGCACUUCUGCAAGAAUUCUCUAUCUUAACUCAUCAACACGCAACACACAUAAUCUACCCUGGCAACGCAACACACCAUCUCCCUUUAGGAGAAAACUUCUACUUUCUGAUCUCUAACUGACUCCUGCAACUUUACCAUACUAGGAUCCUUAUCCUACUUUUCUUUCUCUUCAGCAACCAGACAAGAUUUCGAACUAUAGUGAACCCAAAUGCUACCCUCAGCUGAAUCAACCAAAUGAACACCUAACCUAGUAAGCUGAUGAACUUCUUGAACUAACUUCUUCUUGUCAUCUUCAACAUGAGCAACACUACCCAUAGACAAUCUAUUUAGGGCAUCUGCCACUACAUUGGCCUUGACCAGGUGAUACAAAACACUCAUAUCAUAAUAUUUCAACAAUUCUAACCACCUUCUCUAGAGGAGGUUCAAAUCCUUCUGCAAAAACACAUACUGCAAUCUUUUAUGAUUUGUGAACACAUCAACAUAAAACCUAUACAAAUAGUAUCUCCAAAUCUUUAGGGCGAAUACAACAGCUACUAACUCAAGAUCAUGGGUAGGGUAAUUCUUUUCAUGGGGCUUAAGCUAUCAAGAGGUAUAGGCCCCAACCUUAGCCUUCAACAUCAAAACAUACCGAAAACCAACUUUGAAAGCAUCACAGUACACAACAAACCCAUCUAACCAUCAGGUAGCAUUAAAAUUAGAGGUGUGGUGAGUCGAGUCUUCAACUCCUAAAAACUCUUCUCAUAAGAAUCUGACCACUUAAACUUAAUUUUCUUUUGAGGGAUGCAAUAAAUAAGAACCCUUCAAUAAACCACCAGUAAUAGCCAACCAUACCCAAGAAACUCCUGAUAUCUAUUAGAGAGGUAGGUCUGGCUAAUUUUUUACUGCUUCAGUCUUUUGAGAAUCAACUCUAAUGCCAUCACCGGAAAUAAUAUGGCCAUGAAAAGCUACUGAUCUUAUCCAAAAUUUGCACUUACUGAAUUUAUCAAACAACUGUUGGGCUCUAAGAGUCUGCAAUACUAUUCUGAGGUGGUCUGCAUGAUCAUUUUUUUAUGGGAUUAGACAAGAAUGUCAUCAAUGAAGACUAUGAUGAACAUGUCCAAGUAAUGGUUGAACACUAGGUUCAUCAAGUCCAUAAAGGCAGCUGGGGAAUUUGUGAGACCAAAGGACAUGAUUAGAAACUCAAAGUGACCAUACCGAGUUCUGAAAGCUAUUUUUGGAAUGUCACAUUCUCUGACUCUGAGCUGAUGAUAGCUAGAUCUGAUUGUGAAGUUAGUCGAACAAGUCAUCAAUUCUGGGGAGUUGAUAUUUGUUCUUGAUUGUGACUUUAUUCAACGGAUGGUAGUCAAUACACAUUCUAAGAGAACCGUCUUUCUUACGCACAAAUAGAACUGGUGCGCCCCAUGGGAAAAAAUUGGGCCUAAUAAAACCCUUAUCUAGAAGAUCUUUCAAUUUUUCUUUCCGCUCUUUGAGUUUGGCUGGAGCCAUUCUAUAUGGUGGAAUAGAGAUAGGCUGGGUAUCUAGAAGAAGGUCAAUUCUGAAGUCAAUUCUCCUAGAGAAACUUCAAGAAGAUCUUCAGGGAACAUAUCUGGAAAUUCCCUCACUACUGAAACUGACUCAAGAUUUAGAGCCUCAAAUUUAGAGUCCUUGACUCAGACAGGAUGAUAAAUACACCACUUGGAUAUCAUUUUCCUCGCUCUAAGGUAUGAAAUAAGCGGACCCCUAAGCGUUGUAGUACUACCCCUCCAUUAAAGGACUGAUUCAUUUGGAAACUAAAAAUGAACUACUCUAUUUCUGUCAGCAACUAAAGCAUAGCAUGAUUGAAGCCAAUUCAUGUCGAGAAUGACGUCAAAAUCCAUCAUCUUUAACUCCACAAGAUCAACUAAAGUAACUUUUUGAGACAAUGUAAUCGGACAGUUUCUAUAUACCCACCAGGAUAUGAUAGACUUACCCACGGGGGUAGACACUGAGAAAGGCUUUACUAAGAUUUUGGGACUAACUCCAAAGUUGAUGGCUAUAUAAGGGGUUACAAAAAAAGAGAAGCUUCAGGGUCUAGUAAAGCAUAAACAUGGAAAUAAAAGACUUGUAACGUACCAGUUACCAUAUUAGGAGAACUUUCUUGAUCUUGUCAGGACUAAAAAACAUAGAUCCUGUUCUAACACUGACCACUAGUAGCACUGAAGGCGGGGCCCUACUGAGUCAGGUAGCUGGCUAGAACUGGUGAAUAAUGGACUGGCCCUAUUGGCGUAAAUACCUUUCUUUCUAAGAAACUAGUUGACACUCCCAGAUCUAAUGGCCUAGCUUACCACACCCAAAGCAUACAUCACUGCCAGAUUUAUACUCACCCUAUUGCUUUCUACCACAUUUCUUGCAAAGAGGAUUUGUAUAACCACUUUUUACACUUCUUUGGGACUUAGAACCUGGCGCUCUAUGCCUAUUAUCAUUUCUAAACCUUGGCACAGGGGCACUAGAUGAAGAUGGGGCAGCAUAUGAAGAUUUUUGAUGAAAUUGAGGACGAUUACCAUCUUCUGAAUUUGGCUGAGUAAAAUUAAAGCUACCUGUUCUAUCCCUCUUGUUCUCUCUCUCCUUCUCUUUAAGAUUAUUCCCCUCAAUCUGUUGAGCAUGGACAAUAAUCCUAGACAUGUCCAUAUCUUUAGUUAACAUCACAGUCCUACACUCCUUGACCACACUGUUAGAUACCCCAGACACGAACUUGCUCAUUCUAGACCUUCUAUUGGCCACCAUAUGAGAAGCAUACCUAGCUAGCUGAGUAAACUUAAAGUAAUACUCCUUCACACUCAUGUUGACCUUCCUUAAGUUGAUAAACUCUAAAACUCUUUCCUAAGCUCUAAUAGAAAGAAUCUAUCUAAGAAGGUUGUAGCAAACUCCUCCCACUCUACAGGCCCUGCAUCUGUGCCUCUAUCCCCUUUCCACUGCUUAAACCAGGUAUGGUCUACAUUCUCUAACUAGUAAGCAGCUAAUUUAGCACUCUUACUAGAAGUCAACCCCAUAAUAUCUAUUACCUUCUGGACCAUGUCUAAGAAUUCGUGUGGAUUUUCUUCAGAAUUGGAUCCUGAAAACAGAGGAGGAUUCAUUUGGGUAAAGUCUAGCAUCCUAGCUGCGAUAGUAUUGGACACUGGGUUGGAUGAAAUAAUGAUUGGCUGAACAUUCUGAGCCACUAUAGAGUGAGAUAGAGUAAUAAAUGCAGCUCAAAACUCUGUAUAAGAAAGAUACUCAUUUAGGGGAUCUUCCUGAAUGGGCGGAGGUGCUGGCUGGUUCACAUUUCUUCCUCUAUUUGUCUUUCUAAGAGGUAUGCUCUAUAAAUGAAAGGGAGAAUAGAUUAGAUAGAGAUUUUAACAUGAGAUCAUGCUUAGUUGCACAAUCUAGACACUGAAUAAAGGGAGAUUUUACUUAAAAUGCCUCGUAGCCUCUUGUCCAUAAGUAUGGCACACUUCACACCUAUGCACAAGACUCUAGUUGACACGGCUUUAAGACUUCCUAGGACACUUUAAAAUCUUAGGCUCUGAUAACAAAUGUGUAACACCCUGAGAGUGCACCCUGGAUGCCACAACGCUUCUUACGAUCAUAUGUGACCACAAGCUAACCCAUGAGUUGGUACCUAUUGUGACCACUAAAUAAUAAUAACAAAAUAGGUAUGCGGAAUAUCUAAAUACACCAUAAGGUUUUAAGUACUAAAACAUUUCUGAAUCAUAAAUUCAAAAAUAACCACCGAAAACUAACUGUCUAAAACUUAUUAAAUAAUGACAAACUAACUGACUGUCUGAAGUGUCUGAAAGCCUUUAACACCGUUUGAAUAAGAGUUGAAGGGACAGGCCCCAACUAACUCCAACUAACUAUUGAACUGAAGGAAUGAAAAAUAAACAUAGUUUGUCCUAAAAAUAUGAGGACUUACCAUGACUACUGCUACUGAUGUGCUGGGAUGUCUAAGUGUGGUCAGGAACUGGAGUGUCCAAACCUAUUAUAUGAGACAUCAUAGCACAAGAAAUGAGUAUGCAGUCAGUACUUUGAAUGUACUGGUAUGCUAAAUGAGGUAAACUGAUAUGCAUGGUUUUAUAUACAUGAGUAAUAAUUGACUGAAUGAAUAGCUUGAUGUACUGAAUAAAAUAUGUGAAAUCUGUAAAUAUUGAGUAUGCAAGACCAAGCAUAAAAUAUGUUCUGAAUAUAAUCUAUAAAUUAAAAUACUAAAUACUAAUACAUGAAUAACUGAUAUUUGUAUGCUAUGGUCAAUCAAAACUGAAACUGAAUUAUUGAGCUUAUCACUGGACUAAGACUGUGGGAGCUAUCAUCUAACCGACAUGCCCCAAUAAGCAAUUUGGGGUCCAACCUAUGACCCCAGUUGGAAGGGUGUCAGUACCAAGCCACGAGAACUAACACUGGAUGUGUGGAUCCACUAAUGUACCAUCUCGAAGUACUAAGGGUGUCAAGCCUAAAAUGAUAGGUGACCCCUAGAAGGUAGUCAAGACUGAACUGACGGGUGACUCCUCAAAUCCUACGUUGGCUAUGUAGUUCUGAAGUACAUGGAUUGCUACUAAUGACUCUGCCUAUCUGACGGAGAAGCCGUCAUCCCUGCACUCUCUCAGUACAAAAUUCUACUCCAACUGAACUGACUCGAAAUACUAAACUGUUCUAAGUUUAACUGAUCACGAUAACUGACUGAACUGAUACUGCUCAUAACAAGUCUGAAACUAUUCUAAAGAUACUAAGGUUAAGUAAAAAACUAAGUUUUCGGGUAGCCACAACCCCCAGGACUCAAUAGAAAUAAUAGUAAUAUAGUACUAAAACUUUGGGGACAUAAUAUGAAAACAUUUAUUCAAAAUUCAUUCUUAUUGGCAUUUUAUCAAACACAUGAUAUGCAUAGUGUAAGCUAAGCAUGGAAAUAGUUUAAAACUUAUAGUAAUAGCAUGAUUUCAACAUCACCAUCACUAAUUAUGGUUUAAUCAACAAAUAACAUUAUUCAAACGUGUGGGGUUUAAUAAAAUAGCAAUUUCAUGUAAACAUGGUAUAGAAUCAAGAUUCAUGGGAAUUCAUGGUUAAAAAUCAUAAUAACUUGUAAAAGAUCAUAACUUUGAAUUUAAAAAUUAGAUUAUUUGUCUCCAUGGAUGGAAGGGACCCAUGGAUGAACAUUUAACAUACCUUGACUAAAAAAUUCUCGAAAGUUCUUAAAUUGGAAACCUUGAAUUUGAAUUAUCAUGGAAAAAGAAUGGUGAAUUUUGGAGUUUCUUGGAGUUGAAUGUUAAAGCCUAGGGUGUAAAUUGAUGAAAAAUCAAUAUAAUAUUCUUAGGAUUGGUUAAUCCUUUGUUGACAUGAUUUGGAAGCUAUGGGAAAAGACCAAACUAACUGUGGGAAUUAAAACUCUGAACAAAACUGAAAAUCCAGAUUUUGACCUUUGGGGAGACGCGGUGCUUAUCGUGUCGCACCACUGCAAAAGGCCGAUACUCAUUUUUCCCAAUGGCACGAUGUGGUGUUAUCGUGUUGUACCACUAGAAAUUGCCAAUCCUGAUAUAGAACCUUCACACGAUGCGACUAUAUUGCGGUGCCCCACUGAAUGUAAAUUUGACCAUUGGAACCACGCGGUGCCAAUUGCGAUGACACAUUGGAAAAGGACAAUGUGAUUUUGGUGAGCACCACAACGCGGCCUAAUCGCGAUGGGCUACUGCCUUUCAUUAAAAGUGACAUAACUUCUCACCCGAGUAUCGAAUUUGGGCAAAAUUGGUGUCGUUGUAAAGAUAAUUCAAUUUUCUAUAAUUUGGUGUGUCUUGAUCUGGAAAAUUCUUAGUAGAAUAAAAGAUAAUCUCAUUUGAAGUUGACCAUUUCAACAUCCUUCUUGAAAACUCAAUCGAUAAGGUAUAAUUUGAUUAGUCUAAUAGCUGGGAGUUAUUUGAGGCUUUAAUAUACAUCAAACUCACUCAUAAACUACCAAAGAACUAUAAUGUAACUUGCAGGAUCUUGAACAUGGUCCUAACAUUGGUUUGGAUUUUUAGGGUAUUACACGUAUCCAGGAUUACUGGUCAUUUUUUGUUAUUCGUAUGGCCCUAAGAUCUUACCUGGGUUCUGGAAGAGGUACGAAUCUUGGUCAUGAAUCAUACCCAAAGGGUAAUACUCAUACUGGGAGUCGUAUUCAUUCCAGAAACUACUUUUUGAUUCUGAUUGUUCUCCCAGGGCUAAUUUGACUCCUACUCAUGAGUUGUAUCAUAUAGAUACGACUCGUAAAGAGUCCGUAUGAUACCUUUUCAACUUCUCUGGAUUUUGUCUGCAUUCUUUAGCCCUACACAUUGAGCGAAUGUAUUACCCUAUAAUUGCAAUAAGUAAAACAACAUGGGUUACCUCUCACGCAGUGCUUGAUUUAACGCUGCAGCACGACAUGGAUAAGUUGGAUACUUAGACUUCACCAACUAGCCUCAUAGGUUGCCUCCCAUACAAAGCUUGAUUUAACAUUGCGGCAAUAUGCAAUUGCCUUGAUUACUUAGAUUUCAUCAAGGUUAAUGUCAGCUAAUUCUUUCACCUCUUCUAUGUUUCCCAUAUAGUGUUUUACUCGUUGUCUGUUUACCUUGAAUGAGCUUGAACCAUCCUAUUCAGUUGUAAAGCACCAUAGGGAUAAACUCUUGUUACAAUGAAUGGAACAUGCCACCUAGAAUUUAGCUUACCAGGAAAUAAAUAAAGUCUGAAAUUGUAAAGUAGCACUUGGCCACCUUUUUCAAAUACCCUUUUCUCAAUCUUUCGGUCAUGAUGCAACUUUAUCUUUUCCUUGUAAAGUGUUAAACUUUCAUAUUCUUGAAGUCAGAAUUUAUCCAACUCAUUGAUGUUAUUCAACCUUGACUUAGUUGUAUCCUUCCAUUCUAACUUCAGCUUCUUCAACACCCAUAACACCUUAUACUCAAGCUCAAUUGGUAAAUGGCAAGCUUUGCCAUACAUAAGCUGAUAAGGUGAAGCACCUAUGGGGGUUUUGUAAGCAGUAUGAUGAGCCUUUAAUAUAUCAUCUAAUUUUUUUGCCCAACCAGUCCUAUUGGCAUUUACAGUCUUCUCCAAUAUGGACUUAAUUUCCCUAUUGGACACAUUCAAGUUGUCCACUAGUCUUCGGAUAAUAAGGUGUUGCCACCCUGUGAUUCACUACAUAUUUGUCAAGUAGACUCUUGAAUAUAUGAUUGCAAAAAUGUGACCCUCUGUCACUUAUAAUAGUAUAUAGCAUACCAAAUCGAGAGAAGAUGUUCUUCAUCAAAAAUACGAUGACACUCCUUGCUUUAUUGUUAGGAAGCGCAUUUGGCUCCACCCACUUUGAAACAUAGUCAACAGCUACAAUUAUGUACUUCAUGCCAUACAAACUCACAAAAGUUCCCAUGAAAUAUAUGCCCCAUACAUCAAACAUGUCCAAUUCUAAGAUAGUGGUCUUAGGUAAUUCAUGCAUUCUAGAAAUAGUACCUUGUCGUUGACACUGAUCACACGCGGCAGCAUAAUCAUGCAUAUCAUUGUAUAUAAUUGGACAAUAGUAGCCAUAUUGUAGGAUCUUAUACGUGGUGCGGGGCCCUUCAUGAUAAACCCCAAUUGGAGAUGAGUGACAAACUUUAAGUAUGCUCAUCAUCUCCACUUCAGGUAUGCAUCUAUGAAUGAUUCCAUAUGCAUAAAUUUUAAAAAGAUAAGGUUCAUCCCCAAAAAAUUUUCUUAACUCGUGCAUGAACUUCUUUAUUUGUUGAUGUGAAAGAUCUUCUGGAACUAGAUCACUUGCUAAGUAAUUUACAUAAUCUGUGAACCAUGGAAUUAAAUAUUAGUAAGCUGCCAAUAUCUGUUUGUCUGGAAACUAUCAUCAAUCUCCAAUCCCUUAGCAACCUUCUGCAUAGCUUCCACAUCAAGUCUAGACAAGUGAUCCGCAACUUGAUUUUCUGUGUCUUUUCUGUCUUUCACCUCUAAAUCAAAUUCUUGGAACGACAGCACCUAUUGGAUAAACCUCGAUUUUGCAUCCUUCUUAUCCAUUAAGUACCGCAAUGCCGCAUGGUCUAUGUGCACAAUCACCUUUGUCCCAAUCAAGUAAGAUCUAAACUUUUCAAAGGUAAGAACCACUGCCAAUAACUCUUUCUCCAUCAUGGUAUAGUUCUUUUGAACAGGGUUUAGUGCCUUGCUAUUAUAGAAGAUGGGAUUAAGGAUCUUUUCUUUUCUUUGUCCUAGUACAACCCCUAAGGCUAAUCCAAUAGCAUCACACGUAAUUUCAAAAGGUAAAGACCAAUUAGGAGACAUAAUAAUUGGAGCAGACACCAACUUCUCUUUUAGGCUUUCAAAAGUCUUCUUACAUGCAUCAUCAAAAUAAAAUUUACCUCCUUCACGUGAAGCCUGUAAAGUGGACUAGCAAUAUUCAAGAAGUCCUUGAUAAAAUGCCUGCAAAAACAUCCAUGCUCUAAGGUAAUUUUUCAAUCACCUCAAUCUUUGCUUAAUCAACCUCUAUGCCUCUCUUCAAAAUUUUGUGCCCAAGCGCAAUUCCUUCUUUGACCAUGAAAUGGCACAUCUCCCAAUUAAGUACCAAGUUGCACUCCUCACACCAUUUUAGAGCCUUUGCCAAGUGAAUAUGGAAAUCAUCAAAAGAAUUACCAAUAACUAAAAAAUCAUGCAUAACAACUUCAAUAGUGUCUUCGACCAUAUAAGAGAAAAUAGACAUCAUAUAUUUCUGAAAUGUGGUUGAAGCAUUGCAUAUCCCAAAUGACAUUUGUUUGAAUGCAAAGGUCACAUAAGGACAUGCAAAGAUAGUCUUCUCUUGGUUAUCAGGCACAAUAGUGAUCUAAUUAUAUCCUGAGUAUCCAUCAAGAAAACAAUACCAUCCUCUACCUGCUAACUAGUCGAGCAUCUGAUCCAUGAACAACAUAGGAAAAUGGUCCUUAUGAGUCCAUGAAUUCAACUUCCUAUAAUCAAUGCACACUCUCCAUACAGUGGUUGGUCUCAUUGGGACUAGCUCAUUCUUCUCAUUUGGCCUUUUUUGGUACGCAUUGAACCGAACUAAACCAUUUUCUAUUAGCAAUGGGAAACACUACACCAGCAUCAAACCACUUGAUGAUAUCUUUCUUAACCACCUCUUGUAUAGAAGGAUUGAGUCGACGUUGAUGUUCAAUAGGUGGAACACAAUCUGACUCAAGCUGAAAUUUGUGAGUACACAAACCAGGCAUUACCCAUAAUAUCAACAAUGGACUAUCCACAUGCUUUCUUGAAAUUUUGCAAUACUAAAAGUAAUGCUUCUGCUUUUGACUGGCUUAGAUCAGUUGUAAUAAUAAUCAAAAAGUAUUGUUGGCCCCCUAAAAUGCAUAUUGCAAGUGAGAUAGGAGGGCCUUUAAUUCUAAUACUGGUGGCUUCUCUAUGGAUGGGCGAGCAAGUAGAGUAGUUUGAUUCUUUAAAUCUAGAUCAAGAUUAUUUGGUGUAUCAUUAUAACCAUCAACAUGCAAUUGACCCCCUAACUCUUCAUACUCUUUGAUACCUUCAGAGUCAAAAUUCAUAAUCACAGCCAUAAGAACUUUGACACCUAACCUCUCUUCAACAGGAACAAUUGUAUCAGAACCAUCAUCCCACAGAGUAACUGCAUCAAUAUCAUGGAAUAAAUAUGUCUCCUUAUCAUAUACAUCAAUCAUAGACACCACUCUCAAUUCAUCAGGAUGAUUCAUAUAUUUUCAUACGUUGAAUGUCAUCUAUUCAUUAUUAAGUCACAGCAUCAGAUAUACUUUCUCUAGAUCAAUCAAUGUCCUAUGCCAAAAAUGGUUUUCCCAAGAUAUUGUGGACUUGAAUGUCCACUUCACAAUCUAAUAUAACAAAAUCAGUAAGAAAUAUAAAAAAAGACACUUUUAUAAAAACAUCAUAAAGGAUACCAACAGGCUUCUUCACCGUCUUGUCCGUCAUUACUAGUCUCAUGGUAGUGGUUUGGGAGCUCCCAAACCCAAAUGUUUGAAUACAAGAAAGGUCAUGAGGUUGAUGCUAUCCCCCAAAUCACUUAAUGCUCGAGUACAGUUGAAAGACCUAAUAGUGCAAGGUAUUAUGAAAGCACCAAGGGUCCUUCUUCUUUUCUACUAAAGAUCUAGUGACUACAACAUUGCAAAGAUGAAUAUUGUCAACAGGUUCAUAACUGACUAACAUUUUCUUGGUGAUCAAAUCCUUCAUGAAUUUUGCAUAUCCUGGCAUCUGCUCUAAUUUCUCUACAAGUAGUAGGUUAAUUAUUAACUCUUUUAACAUAGACAAGAAAUUUGUAUACUUACCUUCUUCUUUUUUCUUUCUUAAUCUUUGUGAAUAGGUAGGAAGUGGUCUUGGAAUGGGUUUCAGCAUAGGCUCUGUAGCCUUUUCUUUCCCUUAUUCAGCUUUCUAUUGCUCCUAACAUCAAUUGGCUCAUCCUUACUUUUUUGUGUAUCAAUUGUGGAUAUAGGUAGAUCUGUAGUAAUCUUACCACUCCAAGUGAUAAUGGCAUGACAUUGACUAUCAUUUCUGGGAAUUACCACUGUAUUGCUUGAAAGAGUGCCAAGUUGUCUUUGAUUCACAGUGGCUGACAUAUGACCAAACUUCAUUUCCAACUACUUAAUUGUUAGAGCAUAUGACUCAACUUUAUAGUUCAAUAUUGAUAGGUAAUCUUUGAUAUCCUUCAAUCAGUUCUCUUCAUUUUUUUGCCUUUUGACCAGCUUGGCCAAAAUUUUCUCCAUUCUGGACUCUGAUUCUCAAUUUCCUGAUGGACUAUAUUUUUCACUGUUCUUCUUAUAGUCCUUCUUACGUCGCCAAUCACCAUUUCUAUCUCUACUCCUAUCUCUGUAUGUAUCAUUAUAAUAGUUCUGACCUUGAUUCCCUUGCCCCUGGGCUUGGAAAUCCACCAAUCUAUGAUUAAGGUACUUUGUCUCUUCCUUAGAUUUGAUCUUGAAUGGUUUGGAGGUAAACCUCUACGUCACUACUUCAUUUACCUUCACAACAUUCAUUGACACAAAUUAUUUUGUAAGCAACCCAAUAGCUGUACAAAGUUGUGUAACCUCUUGUACUACCAUGUCAUUUUCUAAUCUAUACGUAUUUGUUGCUCCAAUACCAUAUGUACCACCACCACAUUCCAAAUCUUGAGUAUGCCAUCCUCUGUUGGUAAUCACAAUAUCAUCUAGCAUUUUCUAUGCAGCUUUCCAAUGAAGACACAUGAAUGUUCCUUCUAAAAUAGUAUCUAUUAUAGCUCUUGAGAUAUCAUUCAAUGAUCAAUAGAAAAUCUCAGACAAAUUAGAUCCUCUAAUUCUGUGAUUUAGUAUCAUGCUAAGAUUCUUCUUGAAUUGAAGCCACACCUCAUACAUAGAUUCUGCAGGUAGCUUUCUGAAAUUGUAAAUUUAAUCCUUCAACUGUAACAUCUAUGUAGGAGGGAAAUCCACUUAGAAGCUGUGUCUUCAACUCAUUCCAAGUAGUGAUAAGUCCUCCUGGAAAUUCCCCCAACCAUAAGGAUUCUUCUCCAUUCAAAGAAAAUGAGAACAACCUCAAUCUUAAUGCUUCUUGAUUAACCCCUAGAAUAUUAUAAUUUGUAUAGAUCCCAAGAAAAUUUGUAAGGCGCAUGUUUGCAUCAUCCUUAGUAAACCACAAAAACACACCCUUCAGAUUCAGCAAUUGGAUCAUAACACUAGUGAUAUCAAACUUUACAUUUGGGGCUAAAGGAGGAGGAAAAAUAGCUCCGAAUUCCGUAGGUUCAACAUAACCCAGAUUUUCAUCAUCUUUCUCAUAUGGGUCUAAGUGUUGAUAUGCUGGAAUAAAUGGAACCCUGCCUAUCUAAACUCGAUGAUCAAUGACCUGUCUCGAUCGUACCAUUCCUCCUUGCUGAGCUACUGCUGCCUCUACAGCAAGUCUAGCUUCUUCUGUUUCUCUACGUUCUUACUCAAAUAGUUGUUGUGUCUAUAAGUCUGUAAUAUUUUAUAGAUCUAGUGGAGCACAUGGUAGUGCCACAUUUGGAUCAACAGGUAGGAGGUAUUGAACCCCAUCAUGAAUUUAUCCUGACAUCCAUCUAGGUGUUUGAUGGAUUCUUUUGGGAUUUGGAUCAAAUGGGAGUAAGGGAUUUCCUCUACUCUUCAUACUUGGCAUAUACCGACAUAUGACAAAGAAAAAACAAAAAAUUAAAACCCUGCAAACUUCAUCAAUUCAAUUUACUACUAAACCAUCUUCACCGACAACGAUGCCGAAAUUUGAUGUCACUCAAAACUAUAACUCAACUAGAAGUAUAAUACGACCAAUUGAAAAUAUAAUAACCCAACAAGGUUGGGGUCAAUCCCACAGGGAAAAUAUGAAUAAUUGCUUGCCUUGAUGUAAUCCACAAGUAUUAUAGGAAAGUAAAUGGGGGGUUUUUAUUAUCAAUUGCAAUUAGUGACCAAUUCUUGUGUGUUGUUGAGUUGAAAUCAAUAUGAGACGAAUUCUAAAUCUGUGUUACCCCUGGCUUCUUAACUUUAUAAAUUUCUCGUGGUUAACCUAAGUAUUCUGUUGUUUUGAAUGCAAAGCCUACAAGAUAGGUAUUAUCCACUUCUUAGAAGAUAAAUUUCAACCUUUAAUUUGGUUAUCGUCUUAGGGUGUCACCAUGAUGCCCCUUGAUACGACAUCAGUUACACUUGUUGGGGUAGGAUCAAGUGAUAAGAUGAGAUACUUGGUUAUCGUACCCCAAAUCACUAUCUUAAAUCAUCUUUUUCCUAAUUGCAAGCUUCUUAGUUAUUGAAUGAAUGUGAAUAUAGGCAAUCUCAAGCACCUGCAGCUUCUAUGAGUUUAAUUAUUGUGAAGAAGAAUUAAGAUACAUGUAGAAACUUUAGAAUAAUUGAGUCUCACACUUUCUCUACAUAGCUAAUCUGCCAGGAUUCCCACAACCCUUGCGGAGGAGAUUAGCUGCUCAUGUUUGUGCAAGAAACUAUGGUUAUCAAUGAAGAACACAUAAAAUCACCUACACAAGAAUAAGAUGAAUAAACUCCAAAGUCUUUAAUUGAAUAAAACCCUUAAAUCUCAAGAACAAUUGUAAAAGUAGAUAAUAAUGUGUAAUAGUGCAUAAAAGAACGUCACAACACAUAACCUAAUAAAAUAUAAAACCUAGGCUAUUUAUAGUAUCUCAAAAUAACAUAAAAAUCCUAUUAAAAUGGGGAAAGGUAAAUUUAAUUCGGUAGUCGAUACGACUUGAUAUUCAUUCAUAUCUUAGCUUAUGAGUCGUACCCUGACUUGUUGUAUCCAUUCCAGUGUUUGAUAUUCCCAAGGCUUCAACACUCUAUUCAGUAUAUGACUUCCGCUUAUGAGUUGUACCUUAGUGUAUGACUCAUGUUCUUCAUCUGUAUCCACCUAGGACUUAAGUCUUUUCAGGUUUUGAACAUUGAUUUAUAUACGAAAUCCCUAUACGAGUCAUACUUAGGCUUCCGACUCGUAUAGCUUUAACACUUUAACUCCUGGAUAGUAGCUCAGGUUUUGUUAUGCUCACGACUUUUGCAUCCGACUCGUACCCUAGUUUACGAUUAGGGUACUUGAGUCAUAUCUUCCUCAUACUCGACUCCUCAGUUUGGGUUUUGGUUCUAUUAGUCAUAUGAUUCAGUAUACGAGUCAUAUCGAUUGGUUAUGACUCAGAGACUAACUUAUAUACCAAUCAGAGUUUGUCUUUUUAGGUCUUUUUCUUCUCUUUUUAUUCAAAUACUAUUGUAGACCUAUUUUACUUACAAUUCACACCAAUGUGUAACAUACCCAAUAAAAUACCCUAAGUUCAUGCAUGAAUUUGUGGUUUUAAGCAUCGAAAGUAUUGUGCUUCCAUGCCACAUCAUUGGGUUUCUCAGAGGGGAUGGUUUAGACUUUCAUUCAACACAAUAAUUUGGGGCCUUAGGCUGUAGAUACAUAGUUGGCUACUAAUAUAGGUUCUGUUAGUGAGGAUGUGAUAUUGCUACCUAUCUAGUGACUCUACCCGUUAUGUCUGUGGAGAGGUAGAGUAGGUUUGUGGAGUUUAUAAGGGUGUAUCCCCCCUCAAUUUAAUAGGAAUCUAAGGGUCAAUUCUUAUAAGUUCUUGGUUUUUUGCAUUAAAGGUUGCACAAAUUAAGCCUGGUAGACUCUGGUGGAGUGAAUUUCAGUACUUUUCAGUUGUCUAGACUACCCAAAUAGUUGUGAAGGACUAUUGUUAAAAGUAGAUCAGAUGGAUCACCUCCUCUAUCAUUAGAUCAUUUUACUCAAGAGUUUUAAUAGAAGUUUGUCUAGUGGCGUGAGGGGCAUGUUACCAAGAGGCCCUUUAGACUUGAUAACGACAGCAACAUUUAUGGUAAAUUCAAACUUCUCAUGGUUAUUCUAAGAGAUAGUUAGGCUGUAGUAGCCAUUUAGCAUCUGCAAAUUUAAUUUAGUGGAUUCCUACUCAUUCAGGUUACUUCAUAUAUGGGUAUCUUAGGAACUAUAGGAAGGAUUACCCUAACAGAGACAAAGAGAUACAUCAUCUGUAGCUUAGGGAAAUUAGCUUAGUGAUAUGCUUAUCAAGGUGGAUUCGAGGUAGGAUCUUUUAGUAUAGUGGCCACAGGUAUGGUUUUAGUGCACGUUUGAUCUAUAUCAGUAGUAUUUGGCUAUGGUUCUAAAUUCUUCUAUGUGCUUACGUAUUCUGCAUUGGAUCAUAAUAUGAUUCAUGAGUUUUCUGUCAUGUCUAUCCAUAGUGCUACCCCGAUGGGUGAUCCUUCAGUGGUGGCUCGGGUGUGUCGAUCCUGUGUUAUGACUUAUUUAGAGUAUGUCACUGGGUAGAUUUGGUUAUUAUACAUAUUAUAGAUUUAGGUAUCAUCUUCUAGAUGUUAUAUUAUGGAUGUUGGUGGAUUAUAUUAAUGAUAGAUAUUAGUGUGUUUGAAUUAUGAUAGUGUGUUCCAGAGAUUUACUUGAGGAUCAUGAUAUUAGUUAAGGAUAAAUAAGGCAAAAUGAUAUUGGGAUGAUGAAUUUGUGACUAGAGAGGUUUGUAGUGAAUAUUAUUUUGUGGAAUCAUUUGCAAGUGUUAGCAGAAGUGUAUGCACAUGCACUAUUUGUCUUACAGGGUCAAACUAGUUCAUUGUUGGUUUGGGUUAGAAAAUUAAUGAUGCAAUAAACUAUAUAGGAUGACUAGGGCUACUAAAAAAUUAGGCUAGAAGACCUUGAGAUGGAUUGGACUUGUGAUAUGACAAACUUGGAAUGAUUGCAAUUAAAGGAUUUUAGUUAUUUACCAAAGGAUUUUUCAGGUGUUUUGGGCUUGCGAUUUAUCACCACCUUGGUGAUUAUCUUGGCUUGCAUGGAAAGACUUAUGGUGUUUUGAAACACUUCUCUGGUAGUCAUGAAGGAGUUCAACUUACAAGGGUAUCUACUUCUUAUUUGGAAGGUUAUGGGUUCAUUUUCAAGGAUCAGAACUUGCGAUUAGAGUGGUGUGGUUACUUGGGUCUGGUUCGGUUGUCAUGGUGCUAUUUUAUAUUUUGAAUGGGUUGUUAUUGGUCGGUAAAUAAAGUUGUUUACAUGGUUUGAGGUUAAAAUUUUUAGGUUUUAUUGGAAGGCUACAUUGUGAUAGUGGAUUAUGCUAUAGUAUGAAUUGAAAAAAAAAAGAGAUUAAACAUAUCAAUUUUAGAGGACUUGAAGGGGCUAGUGCAUGGAAAAGUACAUGGGUUGUAGUAAUACUACUUUAUAAGUUAUAUUUUACUCAGAGAGUGAAAUUGCCCGCCGUAAGGGUAUCACCAUGGUUGAAGGUGUACCACAUAUUAAAUCAAUGGAAGUAGAAGUAGAUACAAUGAACAGAAUGGAAAAUCUUCAAUAUGAAGUUGUUGGUAAAUUUACCUAUGAUUUGGCUGAUAUUGAUGAAUUAAGAAGGAUUAUACCACAACAAUGCGACAUAAAAGAUGAAUAUCAAAUCAGUUUACUCUGAAAUAAGCGUUUUCUAAUUCUUUUGAUUCAACAAGCAGAUUUCAUACAUCUCAUUUCAAAGGGAGCUUUCUAUAUACUAUUUAAGGAUUGCUAUUUAUAUCUAAUAAGAGAUCUUAUCAAUGAUCCUAUAUUCAAGAUGAAUGAGAAAACCAUGAACGCUCUAGGAUGGAUAUCAUUCCCUAAUAUUUUGCCCACGUACUUUGCUAAAGAGUGCCUUUUCUCGUUAGCUACAACAGUAGGUAAACCCAUCAAACUUGAUCUAGCUAUCAUUAAUAUAACUAGAACAAGUUUUUCACAAGUUAAAGUACUGGUGGAUUUGAAAGGAGACUUCCUUAAGACCGUGAUAAUGGAUAUUGACAAGAAGUCACUAGAGAGAGUAGGCAAGAAGUGGUUCAAGUUAAAUAUGACUAUGUUCCUAAAUAUUGCACAAAAUGCAAAAUGCAAGGUCAUGACAACAAUGAAUGCAGAUGCAACAUUAAAGUAAAUGUCACGACCCAAACCCAGGCCUGUCCGUGACGGGUAUCUCAAGUUGACCAUGGGCUGGAGACCACCCCCUUAGCCUUAUCUCAAGAGAACAAAAAAAAUAAACAGUAAAAGCCAACCAAAAUUGUAAAAAGAUAGAUAAGUCAAAUGAAAAUUCUAGGAAUCAAAAUGAACAAUCAACCCAAUACUUGUCCACAAAAGCCUCUAAACCAAGAAUACUAGACGAAGUCGGAAUAUGCCACCGACUAUGACAAAAUAAAUCCACAAUUCCAAAAAUAUGAACAGAAACUUAAUAAUAGAAUAGGGUCUUCAAAAAUAUGGAGACUCACCACUUCACAACGAUGCAGUAGAUAUACCACACUACCUAACGCUACACAGGAGUGUUGCGCCCUAGCACACAUGCAAGUGUAUAUAGUCUCACCAAGUAAUAUAGUGGCCUUAUACAAAGACAAAUAUCUAUCCCUCAGAUACUUGUGUUGGUAAAUGUCCAAGCUUAGUUCACUAAUAAGAUUAAUCAAGUGCUCCGUAACAAAAAAUUUUGUAAGUUAUAAGUAACUGUCAACUAAACAAUACGGUAUAGUAAAGGUUUGAACAAUCAGCGGGAAAUCCCAGGAUUAAGUCUCUGUGAACAAUAGUACUACAUUUUCAAAAUUCAUUGGUUAGGUUAGUUAUAUUGAUUAUUGUUUUAUGGGUUCUAUACUACGACUAUGAUCUUCUCAACCUCUAAUCAAUUAUCCAACUUAGCCCCCACAACUACAUCGUUGUGCGUGGAUAUGAACUAAGUUAAAUGCUUUAGUAUUCAUCCCAUUCUUGAACCAAAAAGGACACUUAAUUAUAUUCCUAUCCUAAGUGAAAAUCAUAACAUCAUUCUAUGAAGAUUACGAUCCUAUUCUAUUCAUCCCACGUUCAUCUCUACCAUUCGUCUUUCCGGGUUCACAGUAGAGUUAUAGCAUGUAUUCUAAGGUUCAUGACUCCUUAAAAUAGUAAUUAAAAAUAUAAAUUAACAACCAAUAAUUAUAAACAACCAUAACCAAAUGAAUUCCAAACAAUAGUUCUCAUUUUCUUGGCCAUAAACCUGAAAAAGGGUGUUUAACCGCUCAUAGAUGUAACGAGAAUCACAAUAGUAAAAUCCAUGUUAAAAACAAUAAACAAACUAAAUUAAAGAGAUAAAAAAAACUAAUUAAAGUGUUCUCCAACCUCCCUUAAAGUCCCAAGGUCGUCUAAGGGGUUUACAAAAGUGUUUAAGUGUUCUAUUUAUAGGAGGCCACUAGCUGUUUAUUUCAACUUAAAGGCGUGCCAUGCCAAUAUAGAAACAUAUAGGCAGUGUGGAAUGCUAAAAAUGUGGUGGAUAACUAUAAAUUUACAUCUCAAAAGUUUCCAAGGGAGUUCCAUAGCCAUAUCGCAGCAACUAGGCAGCGUGGCACACCAAGCACUCCAAAAACUCCCAACUUUACCAAGUUUUGUCCCAUGCUUUUGUCCUUUAAAUCCAUGCAUUGUGGUGUUGUUUCAGCUUUAUUUACAGGUUUUUUAACAUCCCUUUAUCAUCAUGAUACAAUUACCAUGCUUCAUACACCAUCAAACACCAUACAUUAGAGCACAAAACACAUACAGUCCAAGACAACGAACUAGUAAAGGCCAUAGCUCAAGUUAAGAGUACUAGCUUUUGUCCCUUGAUUCUUAACUUGGUGUUUUGAAUCCAAAUUAACUAUGAAAUCACUUUUAACGUUACAUUUACGUAACAUAACAUAGCCUCACAAAUCAGAGAUAUCAUAGCGGCCAGGGAUUCCCAUGUAUCCUUCGCCCUUCAUGAUACAUAGAUAAAAGUAUAAACUUAGGGGAUUCCCAUGUAUCCCAUAAGUAUAUAGUCACCAUGACCAACCCUCAUGUCGGGAAACAUGAGUUUCUAGUGUCAGUCCAUUGAACUCACACCUUCACAGUUAGCUAUCACAACCUGCCAUUAUUGCCUAAUUAAAACCUUUCGCACAUAACCAAAUCACCAAUUCCAGAAGUUUAAUUACCAAGGCAUUAUAAAGUGGUAUCGUCUUACCGACUAUAGCUUGCAAGCAAUUUCAUUAGCCAAAACUUUGGGGAUUCCCAUGUACCCCACGUGAUUUACAAUUAAACCAAAGCCAUGGCCACGAAGUUCCUUCCAAUCCAUUUAAAACUAUUUAAACCAAUUUGGGUUCCAUUACCUAUUAUGCAAUGCAAAGUUUUCAAUAAAAGUCAAACUAUGUGACAAACCAUUCUCAUAUGCAUUUUAACAAACACGUUGAGGGCAUACAGGUUCCAAAACCAAGAACCAAUUAACCAUUCCCAUGCAACCACAUAUUCAAACCAACAUUGAAACAUGAAAACCCAUAAAUAAAACAUGGGAAAACAUUGUCUAACCACUAGUAACCAAAAUCCCCAGCAUGUAUUUCAAAACCCAAAACAUACAAUAAUAAUACCCUAAAAACCAUCCAUGAAAAACAUGUUUUUAGUUUGAACUAACAAUGAGGAAGGAGUAACAUGCCUUAGACAACAAGAAAGAUGGAUAAAACACCCCCCCCCUCCCCCUGUUGGAGCCCUUAUUGACUAUCUUGAAGAAAACCCUAGCCUUUCUUGAACCAAGAGCUUUGAGAGAGAUUUUGAGUGUUUUGAGAAUGCUUGAUUAAGAAAUAAAGGUUUAAUAAAGUCCCAAAUAUGUUUAAUGUCAUGGGGUCAAAAGAAGUUAAGAGGGGAAAUGUCUAGAAUACCUCCAACUGAAACUAUAAAAAUUACCGCAGGAGGGUAAGGUUUGGACCCCUUACUCGUGCCCACAUCAUACGAGGGUUACCCUAAACUCAUACCUUGAUCAGAAUAUUAGACACCACAUACCAUCCACCAUAUAACUCUCCUUACCCGACUUGUACCCAUAACAUAUGAGUAGUUCCCAUAGGUCGUAUCCAAGACAGAAUCAAAGGGGUUGGACACUGGACAAUGUACGACUUUACUGUACCACUCGUACCCUAUCCUCAUGGCUCAUGGUGAGACAUUCGUACUUAGAACUAAUUCAAGUCACUAAGUUUUAGAUUAAGUGAAGGAUCAACCCAACAACCCAUCACCAACCAUACGACCCGUACCAUCAAACUGUAACCAUAACAGAAACUUGACUACCAAACACUAAACAUCCUACGAGUUGGGUCACCUGACCCGUACCCUCACCAUAAGAAUUGUAUAGUGAGUUAUAUGAUCAAUAGAGAGCUAACAACUCAAGAAAGUUUCAAGGGCUAAAACCCAGGGUGUUUACCUAUGCACCCCUAUGACAGUCAUCCUAAACUUAGGUGAUUUUUCUGAGUUGAGGUACACAAUGUCUUAAGAGGGACAUGGGCCAAACAUGUUCAUUGUAAGUACAGAUAGAAAAAUUAUUAGGCUAAUAAAAGAAGAUGGUCAAUUAAGGAUCAUUAUCAGGAUAAAAAAACUGAUUUCAUUUGGUUGGGUGUUUAGGGUAAAAUUUAACUUAUUCAAGAACAACCUAUGAUUCUAUCCUAACCAACUAUCCUACAACCUAGGAAAAACUAAUCGGGCAAGUUUUGUAUUACACACAAAGUGAACUCAGUAAACAAUCUCACACCCACAUAGCACAGGGUUACACCAUUAACUACUAACCUAUCUAGUUCAUGCAUUACUAUGCUAUAUUUAUUCUGCCAAUAAUCCUAAUGCUAUAACAAGAAUAGCUUCCUAACUCACCCAAGGUAGAAUCCCAUAAAAUUUAUAAUAUGCAUGUUAGAAUCAUCAGUAGGAAGGACAAAAAACACCUCUUUAAAAUUUAGCUUCUAGAUAUUAGACUCAUGAUGUCGAACUUAGUGCCUUAAGUUAAUUAUGUUGGAAGGAUUACACCUCUUUCAAUUUUCUCUAUACAACCCAGGUCUUUCUCUAGGUCUUCAUAAAUAGAAAGAUAUUGUUGGAGAGUAUGUUGACCCUUAUUUAUUCUCAAUCUAUCCCUCUUAUCAAGCAUAGCAAAAUGAUUUGCAUCUUUUUGUAUAGCCUUCUCUUCCUUGCUAUCCACCUGAUAUCUGCUUGCCUAGUAUUUUUCUCAUCCAUUAGCCGAGUAGUAACUUGUUUCGUAGUUUCUUGACCAUCAUGUUGGUGUAUUAGUUGAUUCAAAAUUGCAUGGUCAUCAUUAACCUCCUCAAUAAGGGAUCUUUAAUCACAAAAUUCUUUGUUAAUCAUUCUUCAAUUUUGUCUUAAAACUCUCUCAAUCUCAAUAUCAAGCAGAAUUAGAUGAUUUUCUUGACUCCAAGUAUUAUACAUACAGUGUUGUGUUCCCUAGAAACAGUAAAAAAGUAAACUCAGCAAAUGAAACCAACAACCCGACAAAUAAAAUCAAUCAACUCUGAAACCAUAUUCCCCAUCAAUGAUGCCAAAAUUUGAUAUCUCCCAAAUUAUACCUCAUAGAAAGUAUAAAGCGGUCGCCUAAUCAAAUAUAGAAACCAACUAGGUGGAGUUGAUCCUACUGGGAAAAGGUUAAAAUUCUAUCAAGUGUUUGUCUAAGAAACUGGAAAAUAAGUUAGGAGGGUUAUAUGAAAAAGAGAAAUAGUAACAAUUGAUGAUUUUGAGUUUGUGAUCAAUAUGAGAAAAGCACUAGAUUUUGAACCUCGUGACUUUAUAACUGCAUAGGUUUCUCAUACUAGCAAACUAUUGUGGUGCAUUGCCUGUAAAAUCUAGGAAGAACGACUCAUCUUAAUAUCUCUCAACCUUAGUUAUAUGAAUUUCACUCUUCUUAUCUAGGUCUUCAUGUGUUGCACUUUUAACCCUUGUUAUUGAUCUCAGAUUAACACUCCCUGCUACAACUCGAGUUAUUGGAUGAAGGUUGAUAACUUUGAAUUUUCUGUUGUUAUCUUUUUCCUAAUUUUGCUUCUCUCACAAGAAAAUCUAGAAUAUAGGCAAGUUCUUACUGUUUGCAACCAUUAGAAAAUAGUCAUAACAAAGAAAAUACCAAUACAUGCAAGUACUCUGGUAUAGAAUUUUCCCCACACUUAAUCUAUUUUAUUAAUUCGGCAUGUGAAAGUUCUUUUAUAUGUUUCACGCAAAAAUCAAGAAGGUAAAGGCAGCACUAGCUAAAUGGAGUAAGGAUACUUUUGGGGAUUUUUUUAGACAAAUUGCUACCUUAAAGGAUGUGAUUAAGGCAAAAUUAGUUUGAGAUAUACUCAACUCCGGAGAAUAGAACAUACUUGAGUAGGGUAGAGAAAAGUUGAAGACGUUCAUGUACAUCGAUAAAUAAUAUUGGAAGCAGGACGCUGGUAUGAAGUAGUUCAAAUAUGGGGACAGAAAUACCAAAUUCUUUCACUCUUAUGUGAAAGAUAGGAGGAGUAAACCUCAUAUAGUAGAUAUUCAGAUAGCAUAAGGUGAUAUGGUUAAUUUACUAAGAAUAUAGGGGAAGAUGCAUUAUUAUUUUUUGCUGCACAGUUUAAUAAAGAUGUCAGGAGUGAAGAUUUUAGCAUGCUAAAGUAUAUUCUUAAACUGAUUUCAGAUGAUCAGAAUAAGGUGAUGACUGCUCUACCUACAAUUGAGAAAGUUAAGAAAGUGGUUUUUUAGAUGAAUGGAGAUAGUACCAGUGGUCUAGAUGGUUUCUCUAUACAUUUCUUUCAAGCAUGUUGGGAGAUAGUUGGAGAGGAUAUUACUAAUUUUUCUUCUGUGGUUUUCAAUUACCCAAAUUUAUAACUCAUACUAAUCUGGUACUGAUACUAAAUAAAGAGUUUAUAAAUAAUUUUGGUGAAGUGAGACUCAUAAGCCAAAGCAUUUUUGUAAAUAAGAUCGUAUCAAAAUGUAUGCAUGAAAGAUUGGUGCUUGUUCUUCCAAGUAUUCUAUCAAAAAACUAAUCAAGUUUUGUGAAGGAUAGAAGUAUAAUAAAAAAUGUCCUUCUAGCUCAGGAAAUUAUAAGGGAUAUUAAUAUGAGAAACAAAUUUCAUAAUCUGGUCGUUAAGAUUAAUAUGGUCAAAGAUUAUGAUAGAUUAUCUUGGAAAUUCUUUACUAAGGUACUAAAAAGUUUGGCUUCUCAGAGAUCAUAAUUGAUAUGUUAUGGAGGAUUGUUUUUGAUAAUUAGUAUCAGUGCUUGUUAAUGGAUAGUCCUAUGGAUUGUUUCAUUCAUCUUGAGGUUUGAAACAAGGUGGUCCUCUAUCACCAACUUUAUUUAUUAUUACUACAUAAGUGUUAUCUAGAGGAUUAAAUAGUUUAUUUGAUGAUGUGGAAUACUAGAGUUAUGGAUUACCUAAGUGGAGCCCUAAAAUUAAUCACCUCUCUUAUGCUGAUAAAACUAUUUUAUUUAGCUCUGGAGAUAAGGUUUCUAUUCAGAAGAUGAUGAAAGUGUUGAGAGAGUAUGAACUAAUUUCAGGCCAGAUGGUCAAUAAGGACAAGAGUUUUUUCUACCUUCAUGAGAAGACCCCUUUAGCCAUUAGGAUAAGGCUCAGAAGAAUAACUGGGAUCAAGAUGGGUAACUUUCCUUUUUCAUAUUUGGGAUGCCCAGUCAUUUAUGGCAAAAAGAACAAUUCCUAUUUUGACGACAUUUUAAGAAAAGUUACCAAAAGAAUAAUGUCCUGGCAGAAGAAUUUUUUUUCAUAUGGAGGGGGGGGAUUUAUUUUGAUCAAUCAUGUCUUACAAUCAAUGCUUGUAAUCCUUCUAUUAUCUAUAAAUCCACCAAAGAAGGUAAUUGACCAACUUCACCAAAUUUUUGCAAUAUGUUUUUGGAGUAAAGCAGGUGGUGAUAGAGGAAAACAUUGGGUUAGUUGGGAAGACUUGUGUUAUCCUAAAAAUAAAGGUGAAAUUAGUUUCAGAUCUUUACAUGACAGCUCAAAAGCAACCUUUACAAAAUUAUGGUGAAAUUUUAGAGUGUCAUCAUCAUCUUUAUGGACAUCAUUCAUAUGGAACAAAUAUUUUAGAAAAUUACAUCCUACAGUAUCCAGAGGAAUAGGGGCAUCAUAAGUAUGGAAAAUGAUAAUAAGUGUAAGAGAGGAAGUAGAACCUAAAAUCUAGUGGCAAAUAAAAUCAGGAAAGUCCAGUUUUUUGGUUUGAUAACUGCACUAAGAUGGGGGCAUUGUAUUUUCAAGAAACAGAUUUUGCAGGGGAAGAGGAGAUAAAAGCCAAAGAGUUCAUUAUAGAUAGAGAAUGGGAUAGGCAGAAGCUGGCUGGUACAUAUCUAAGGAAAUAGUUAUACACAUUAUUGAAAAUAUCAAUCCUAAUUAGUCUAAAAGUAAGUUUAUUUGCCUCCCCAUCAAUUAUGACUAGGUCUAUUGGAUCUAGUGGUUUAGUUCGAGAGUUUUUGGCUACCACUGGACAUGAUAAGAAGGUUUAUCUUAAUUUUUCAACAAAGUUUGGUUUUUCAAUAGGAAAUUGCUUAUCUCAACUUCUUUUAUUAAUGAAUUUGUAUUGAAAUAUAUUUUAGGUUCUAGUUUGGGAGUUGAAAAAUAAUAAUUUUAGUAGUAGAGAAGGUUAUACUCAUGAAAUUACAGAUGCUCAUUUUAGACCAAAACCCAAUGGUGUUUACAAUAUCUUCUCAUGACAGAAUUAUGAAGAUAUGGGAUGCAGACGAGGUACUACGGCUAUUGCCAUAAUGAUAGCUUUAUAAUAUCUUUAAUUUAUUUCUUUUAAUUUGCGUCCAUUAAAACCAUGAAAUCCUACAUAUAUUACUAUUUUGUCAUUAUCCAGCCAAGCAACAGGUUUCGAAACCUUGUUGGCCAUGAUAAGCAAGUGAUAUCAAUAGAUUUUCAUCUAACAAAGAUAAGUCCCAUCAGUUCUUGUGAACGAAAUGAUGAGAUUAGAUUGUGGGAUGUCACUAGGCAUGAUUGCAAGCUCAUUCUUAAGAUUGGUACCUCUAUUUCCUUCCUUAUUUAUUUUUAAAUAUUGAUAAAGAGGUAUCUUUAUUUGACAUAGGAAGACUUCUUAAUUAGGUAGUAAGCUAUUUUUCUAUUUCUAUUUCAAUUUGGAGAUUCCCUAGUUACCUUAUUCAGAAUUAUUUUUGAAUUAAUUUCUAUAUUUAUUGUAGGAACUAUUUUUCAAAUUAUUCUUUCUUUUUCAUUCUAAGAAAUUUAAGGUUUUCAAAAUCAGUAGUCAGUGAUCACCGAAUACUUAUGCAAAAAGAUAUUUUAGAAAAUAAAAGGGUUUCACCAUAGUAUUUGAACCAACAUUCAUAUCACAUUGUAGAAUAUUCUAAACAACAUACUUUGUAUGGAAUUAGGUAUUAUUCAUUCACCAUAAAAGAUAUUAAUUGCUCUUGAUACAAAUGCAGGAAGGUAGUAGACAAGUUAGAUUUCAACCUCAUUUGGACACCUUUUAGCAAGUUCUACCAAAAAUACUAUAGAUAUCUUUUAUAUCGAGACUAACAAUAUCCAAUAAAAGUUACAAGUAAGAUGCUUACAUUUGUUCAUUGGUCAAACGUGUUUUAAAUUUCUUACAUAUUGCAUUACUAUAUUGUAAUAGUGUGAUGUUGGGUUUAUUUGGUUUAUAAGGACACAUCAAAAACAUUCGUUCAAUCUGUUGGGAUAUGAAUGAAAAUUGCCUAGCAGUUGUAAGAAAAGAUAGUGCACAAAUAUGGUCUAUAAGUGAAGGAAAGUGCAUAUCUGAAUUGUUCUCUAAUGAGAAUUAUUUAGCGGAAAUUUUGACUUUUUAAGAGUCGCCACUUAAUUUAUUUGAAAAGAAAUUAAGAAAACCUUUGAAAGUUCCUUAAACAAUCCAAAAAAAAAAAUCAUUUAAGUUUGAAGAUUCUAAGUAAGCAGUUCCUAUUAAUACUCUUGGAAGGUUGUUAAGGCUCCAAAAGUAUCUGCUAACUUGCGGGUUAUAUGGGUUGUUUGAAAAUAUCUUUUGAAUAACUUUAAAAAGAAAGAUUGAUUGUUGAAAAGUAAUUGAUUUUAGAAAAAUACUUGUGUAAGAUAGAUUUGGAUGACAUAGUAAGGAUUUUAACUAAGUCUAAACAAAUUAAUAACAAAGCAUGUAAAAGGGGAAGGGGAGAAAAUAAAAGACUUACGCCAUUGGGCCCAAAUCAAUAGACUCUGUCCUAAUCUAAUUGGUCUUUUAGCCCACUUGCACCUGUCCUAAUCUAAAUAUUGGGUGUAACGCCUCAAAUAUGGUAUCCAAAAUGCUACCCGAUGCUCAUGACCCCGAAGGACCACAAGCUAACCCAUGACUGAUAUCUGUACCUGUAUACUGCAUAAAAUACUUUAUAAUGUAGAAAUAUAAACUGAAAGGCGAUAAGGUUCAAUACUGAACAUAAUCUGUAUGAUAUAACAUCUGUGUGGGGUAAUAGAAUACCCAAAACAAAAUUGAACAUACUGAAGUCUGAAACAUGAUAGUCUAGAAAGCCUCUAACUAACUGAACUGUCUGAGUAAGAAGUUGAUGGGAUAUGUCCCCAACUAACUCCAACUAAUAAACUGAUUAAUGAGAUAAUAGGGAAAUAAUAAUAUCCUCAAAAGAUGAGGACUCACUUCUAACUCUGUCUGUGGAUGUCUGGAAUAUACUAUUGCUUUGGAGCUCGUGUCUCUGAACCUAUGGUAUAAGACACCAUAGCGCAAUUACGUUAGUACUUUGAAUGUACUGGUAUGCAUGUGAGGUAGGCUGAAUGCAUGGGGCUCAUAUGCAUGAACAAUAAUGAUAACUGACUAACUAUUAUGAGUAUGAGAAUAUAUGUAUGAGACAUAACAACUAACACUAAUAAUGUGAUAACAUGAUUACUGAAUCUGAAUAUAACUAAUAACAUGAGUGACUGUAUCUGAUAGUCCUAAAUCUAAUAGAACUAUCUGAGUUCUAUACUGUAUCUGAGUUGACUGUAUCUGACAGACCUAAAAUCUAAAGAACUAUCUGAGUUCUAUUACUGAGACUGAUUGACUAUAUCUGACAGUCCAAAUUUUGUAACAUGAAACUGUGGGAAGUAGUUAUCUAACCGAAUGCCCCUGAUAUGCCUUAUAGCUGAGUUGAGGUACAAUCUCUAACCCCAAUUGGAAGGGUGUCAAUACCGCACCAUUGAUAAGGACAAGCUGUGGGCGACCCUCAUCUGAUAGUGUCCCUAAAAGUGAACGGUGGGGCCCUUAUCUGACAGUGCUUAUCCACCCCAUCAACCCUCAUUGGACAGUGUUGAUGUCUCAACCUAUACAGUGUUGAUGUAUCAACCUAUGCUGGCUACAUAGUUCUGGAAUGCAAGGAUGACUUCUAAGAAUCACACCCACAUCUAAUAGUGUGUGUUCCCAUCCUUGGGUUCACUCGGUGCUAAUUCCUACUCCCAUCUGAAUAGACUCUGAGCAUGACUAACUGAACUGAACAUGGGCUGAGUUACUAAAUUCCAUUGACUGAUGGAAUACCACUGAUCUGACAACUGACUGAGUUCAUGAGAUUAUGGAGAUUUCCUGAGUCAUAAGACUGUCUGAAGUCUAAGGAUUCAUAGCUUGACUGAGAGUAUCGUGAAAACAUGACAUGCCUCUAGGCAUAUACCCCCAGGACUCGAUGGAAGGAAACUGACCAAGCAUAACUUACUUGAACAUAUAACUAACAUUAUAAUCCAUAAUACAUUUAUAGAAGAAUUUCAUUCAAACAUGUGAUAGGCAUAACUUGUACAUACAUGGGAAUUUCAUGGUAUCAUGCUAAUUAGGAACUUUUCCUUUAUCUAGGCAUUUCAUCAAACAUAUUGUAGGAAUGGUACAUGUAAACGACAUUGUACAAUAAUUAAACAUCAUGGUUCAAUUCUAAUUUCAUCAUUCAAGGGUUUAGUCAUAGGUUUGCAUGAAUCUAUAUCUAUAAUAAUUUAACCCACAUAGAAUUUAUCAACCAACAUGGAGUAGAAUUCAAUUUCUCAUUAUUUACAUGAACAAAAGCAGCCCAAUCAUGAAAGUCAUAAGAAAAUCCAUAAACUUGAAUUUAGAAAAGGGAUUCUUGGGCUUCAUGGAUGAAAGGAAUCCAUGAAUGAACACUAUCAAUACCUUAGUUCGUGAUUUCGUGAAGAUUGACGGUGAAACUUUCAUAAAAUUGGAUAUUCUAUGAAAACCCUAGCUUGUUCUUUAGAGAAACUAGUAUAUUUUGGGUGAAAAGUGGGUAAAUUGUGUGUUAAAGGGCUUAAAUAGGGGUGGAAAGUUGACCCUUUUAACCCUGGACGCGUAAUUUAAUUUCAGUAAAAUUUUCCCAAACUGAACCCCUAGUGUAACGCGGUGCUAUUGUGCCGUGUCAUUGGAAUUUGAAAAUUGGGAUACUGAGGGAUGGCACGACACGGAGCCAUCGCGUUGCCCCUUCUUUUGUGACCUGGAACUUUGGCGCGAUGCGGGGGAUAUCACGUUGAGACACUAGAAAACAGACAAUUUUGAAUUUGGGCCCUGGAAUGAUGUGCCAUAAUCGCGGACCCCUACUGGAAUUUACCAAAUGUCAUUUCCUCUUGUGGCGCAGUGCGCCACUGACUAAUAUGGCAUUAUUUUACGACGGGAACUUGAAAUAGUCGUAACUUCUGACUUGGUUAUCGAAUUUGGGUGAAUCUUAUAUCGAUGGAAAGCUUAUUGAAUUUUCCACAUGACAAAAAGUGAAAAUCUUGAAGAUUCCUCAUGGAAUAAUCAUCAUUAAAUUUAUAAUCUAAUACUAGACAUUUUUAAGAUGAAAUUAGCUAGGAAAAAGUACGGGGUAUUACAUUGGGCUUUCAGCCCACAACCUGUCCUAAGCUAGUUUACAGACCUUUGAGGCCCAAAAUCCGUCUUACCUAUAUUAACAUACAACUUUGGUUUCGAGGCCCAAAUGAAUAAAUAAAUAAAUGACUAAAUGAAUAAAUAAAAAAAAAAGACAAUAAUAAAAAAUCGAGACUUUUCAAGUCUCUUAGUGACCUCAUCAAUGGAUUUUGAUCCAUUUUUCUUCUUCGUCUAUCUUCUUGAACCCGUACAUGAUGUAGUGGACCUUGGGUUUAAACUUCGAACUUGACUCGGAGAGGUGAGCCUCAUUGACCCAUUACGAAAUACAAGAAGAGAGGAGUCCAUUUGAACUCGAGAUAUUUUUUUCAUGCAAAUAAGAGAUAAAGAAAUUAAUAUACGUUCAAGGCAUAAUAGUUACAUAUUUCAAAGCAAAAGAAAAUACCAAGAAUCAAUUUUUGAAUUACAAUGAUUUGUACACUUGCACACGUAUAACAAGAAUGAGAGUCAAUAGAUAAAAUUCAAAGAAAAGACAUCCACUUGUAUUCCUCAUGAUUUAUGUUCAUAUUAAGAAUGAAUAAAGGUAAAAAGAAGAAGGUCAUAUUCAAUGAACUAAUCCAAGAAACAAACAACAUAAGCUUGCAAAAUUAAAGGGAUGAGGAAACAACAAAAAUACUCAUGACUUCUAAAAUUGAACAAACAUAGACACUAAUUCAUAAAAUAAAAGAAAAUAAAGGUUAACUUUUCAAGAAAGAGAAUGUUUAAAUUUCAAUUAAGGCGACAUUAAAGAAAAUUCAUACAUCUAAAUUACAACCAACAUUUUAUGAAAAAACGUGUAACGACCUAUGGUUUAUAUUUCUAAGACAUCAUUGAUUCUCUUUUGAUAUUAUGAAUAAAAGAGAGACUUGAAUUAAGUCUUUACACACACAAAGAGCACAUAUAACAAUCCGGAGUAAGAAAAUAAGAAUAAAAGUUUAGCAUCUCUAAAAGUGAAAUAUCGUUCAACAAUAAUACUAUGCAUGAAUCAAAAAUAUCCAAAUAACUCUAUUUAGCCACAAAAGUCUGAAUUUUCUCAUUAUUUUGACAAGACAACACGCGAACAAAAGAGGAAUAAACAUCUUGGGUGGAAAAUAAAGCAAGCACUUCAUCUCUUAUAUGAGGAUUUUGAAAUUCAUUAAAAUAAUUAGCAAGCAAAUGAUAAAUUCUUGACUUAACUAAUUACUAUUUUUAUUAAGGCGAAACAAAUAAUAAUAACUAUUUUUCCAACAUAAAAGAAACAAUUUUACAUGCUAAAACAAACAUAUCCGCCAACAAUGAAUUUAAAUGAGGCAUGAGUUCGUCUUUUGAGCACAAAUCAAAACUUUAUACAUAACAAUCAAAGAAUAAAGUCAAAAAACAAAACAAUCAAUAUUAACUAUUCUUUUAAACAUAAAGAAAAUAACUUUACAUUCUAAAAACAAACAUAUCCACCAACAAUGAAUUUAAUAAAGCAUAAGUACAUCUUUUAAGCAAAUAUUAAAACUUUAUCUAUAAUAAUCAAAGAAUAAAGUCAAAAAAAGGCACGUACAACUAUUGCUAGCUCAUUUUUAUAUCAUGGAUAUGAAAAUGAUUAAAAUAUAGAUACCACAACGUCCUAUAGCCUUCAAGGCCAUCUACAGCAAACAAUCCUAACAAAUAAAAUUAUAACUACGAACUACAAAGAAGAGAAAGAUAAAGAAGAAAACAAUAAUAAAACUAAAAAAAAAAGUGUGUUUAUCUUUUUGGGGGCAGCAAAAAGAGACUAUAAGCUUCGUCGGAAUCAACCACCACCGAAAAAUGUCGCCGACAACUUGUAAAUAUUGAUUAUCCAACCAACUCUAUGAAACAAAAAUUUUACUAAAUAAAAAUAACUAUUUUUCUCAAAGGAUUUUUUCACCUUUCUAGCCUCUGUUUUUUUUAACUUUUCAACACCUCUUCCUACCAAAGUAGUAGUAGUAUUUAUAGGACAAAAUGGAGUUUUAUUUCAUUUCCUCCACCAAUGUGGGAGAAAAGUAUUUAUAGGAAAGGAUGAAGAUUUAUUUCUGGUCAUCCACCAAUGUGGGAGAAAAGCCAUUUAGGGGUGUUUUUGGAUUUUAAAAUUAAAGAUAAGGAAAGGUGGAAGAUACUGUGGGGGGGGGGGAAAAAAGGGGGGGGAAUUGUACAAUGUAAUACAAUUUUUGAAUUUCAAAUUGGGAAAGGACAAAGUUGGGGGAAAAUAGUAUAAUUUAGUACAAUUUGAAAUUAUUUUUUGGUGGAAAUUGGGUAGAAGUUCUGAGAGUUUUUGGGAAUUUUGGGAUUAUUUAAAAUAUAAUCCCAAUUGGAAUUUAAAAUUUAGACAUAUUCAUUUAAUUUUGACCAAAUGAAAAAUCAAUAGAUGGAUUGCAUUGCAAUUAUGGUCAAUUUUAUUUCAAUUAUGGCCAAAUCUAAUAGAUUGGCUAAAUUAAAUCGAAAUUCGAUACGAAUUAAUACUUCUUUUAAUCCCAAGAUUUUUUAUUUAAUAAAAUCAAAUACAUAUUUAUCCAAAUAAAUUAUUUUAAUAAUAAAUUAGAUUAAAAUCAAGAUUUUAAGCAUUAUAUUUAUUUUUAAAAUAAUCCUUAAUUAAAAUCCAAUAUUCCAUAGAAUAAAUAUUUAAGUAAUCAAAUUAUAUAAUCUCACAUAACUGAACACGAUAAUAUAUAAUCACUACUUAAAAUGACAAAUUUACGUACAAAAAAUAUUUUAAAUUUUUUUUUAUUCGGAUGAAAUAAAUAUUUCAAUUUUAUUAAAAACCGAAGAAACUCAAGAUUAAAUUUAGUCGUGGAGGCCAAAAUUAGGUGUCAACAAGAAUAAGUUCCGGUCCUUCACUUUCCACCUAGGGCACCCUCUAGUGUUAGUAAUUGGUUUUGAUAAGGUAUGAUUAGCACAAUUUGAACAUUUCUUUGCUAAACUAUGGAGUUCAUCUAUACAAGGCCUACUCGAUAAUUAUGAAGGCCUAAAUCAAAACACAACGAGAGGCCCAAGAUUUUAUUAAAAAGGGAAAAUUACAUAUGUUAACAUAAUUAAGUACUUAAUUACAAAAAAUAGCAACACCUUUUCCUAAUUACAUUCUAUAACAUAUGUAGCAUUAUUUUAAGUAGUCCCAAUUUUUUUCCCGCCUAAAUUUUUUACUGUGCUAAAAUCCCCCUUUUCACUCCUCCUUCUUUAUCUUUCCUUAAUUUAAAUUUUUUUUUCCUAUUUUUUCGCCAUUAACCAUCACUCUCUCCUCAAUUUUAUUGCCUUUUACACGAUUUUUGCAUGAUCUGUGAUAAGAUUUUGCCUCCCAUAUUUCAGGUAAUUAUUAAUCGCAUUUUGCAUGUGAGCGUUUUAUUCUUUUCUCCUACUUUAAUCCAUCAAAAAUUUAAUUUUUAAGGGUUUUGUGUUUUAAUGGAUGAACACAUUGCAAAAACACCUACAAACAGUGGUAUAAGAAAUAUGAAAUUAGUGUCUAAUGCACGAUAUUUUAGUCUUGGGUUAACUCAUAUUUCUUAUACCACUGUUCUUAUACCACGAUGAGGAUGCUGAGAAAUUUACAAUUCUGUAUUUCCUGCAUUUAUUCGUAUUGUCUAACAUUGACGCUGUUGUUAUACCCCAUCUUCAUUUCAAUUUGGUAGAUAGUGGUAGAUAUAAGGAUUUUCCAUGGGGGUUUUUUAUCUUUUGAAGAUCUGGCCAGAAUUUUGAACAACCAGUUGAAAGCUGGGGGCAAAUUUUAUUUGAUUCAGGGAAUGCCACUGGCUAUUCAAGUAUGGCUAUAUGAGUGUUGUUCAAAUGUCCCUCCAAAGAUUGCAUUGAAGGUUGAGAAUCAGAUUCCCUGAUUAUUAAUUUAGAAGACGAUUGCACCUCGUCCAUGCUAUAAGUUUUUUUAUGAAUGCUAUGUUCAAGGACAAUGGCAAGGUUUGUUGUGAAUAAAUAUAUACGUAUUGAUAUGUAUUGUAUUGUAUACAUAUAUUCUUUUUCAUUUACAAUUGUUUAACAUAUUCUUUAACAUAUUAUUUAACAUAUUCGUAGGUUGUAUUUAAGAACAUAGAGCCAACUGAAAUAAAAUUGGCAAAGCUUGAAAUACCACAGAAGGAUGUAACUGAAGAUGAACGUUCAGUUGAAUCUUACAAUGACUUCCAGGAUCCACCACCAAAAAAGAUCAACGAACAUUCAAAGAAGAAAUAGAAGGUGGAUUCAUCAACCCCAGUAGCGAAGAAACCUUCAGGGAAAAAGCAAGUCAAUAUUGUUGACGAGCAUACCCAAACGAGGUCUCCACCUCCUCAUGCUGCAAAGGCUGUUGUAAUGAAGACACCAUUAUUCAAGUCAAUUCCAACACGGCAAGCUUCUUCUUCAAAAAUGAAGAAAGGAAAGCAAACAGCUAGGGUUAUUUUUCCUCAGGUACAGUCAAAGCAGAUAGUCAUGUAGAGGAAGUAGCCGUGUCAAAGUGUUAGAGUCAUGUUGAGAAAGAAGCAUUUAUUUCUAAGAAAGUUUUUGAUGCAUUCCGCGAAGAGGUAAUUUUUUUUUGUCAAAUGUUUAUUUUACAUUUAAAAAUUUAUGUUUACUGAAUUUGUAUAAAUACAGUUUCGUCAAGAGUUUAAAGGUGUUCGUGAAGAGUUUACUCGAAUUCUUCAAUUAGUGAAGAAAAAGUUCAAAAAAAUGGUCAAAGCAAUUGAACAUAGCAAGGUAAAAGUUUUAUUAUUAUAUAAUAUCCACAGUAUUAAAAAAAUACAUAUGCAGAGUAUGUGAAAAAAUACAUAAGCAAUAUAUUGCUAAAAAUACAUAUGCAGUUUAUACAAAAAAAUACAUAUGCUUUGAUUUUCAAAAAUACAUAUGAAAUGUAAUACAAAAUACAUAUGCAGUGUAUCAAGAAAUGUAUUCUGCUAAAUACAUAUGCAGAGUAUGUAAAAAAAUACAUAUGCAGUAUAUUGCUAAAAAUACAUAUGCAGUUUAUACAAAAAAUACAUAUUCUUUGUUUUCAAAAAUACAUAUGAAAUGUAAUACAAAAUACAUAUGCAGUGUGUCAAAAAUGUAUUUUUCAACACUAUGUAUUUUAGUGGGUUGGUAUAUACAUAUUAAGUGAAAUCAAAUAAUAAUAGUUUAUUCAAAUUAUAUUUGUAGCAACAACAUAAAGAUACAGAGGUUGAAGCACAACAAAUGGAUUAUGCUGGUGUCGAAACAUCACCACAACAAUUCAGUCCUACUGUUGAUCAGAAUUUGGAUGAGAAUCAGGAUGGUACAAAGGUAAAAAAAAUAACUAAAAUAUGAUUAUUCUUUUGAGUGCACAAAUGUAAUUAUUUUUUUUAACAGUUAUAUGUUAUUUUAUAUAUAGACCUAUAUAAACAUAUACAACUGGAUUUUUGUUUGAAGUUGUUUUAAUUUUUUUUUUUUGCUUGUUUGCAAGGGUUGCACUGAUUUUCAUUCAGAUAAAACAAACAUUGAAAUUGAUUCUCAACAUUUAAUCCCUGGUGAGCUUCUCCAAAGUAUAAAUUUGGAUUAUAAUCUUUCUGAGAAGAUUGUUCAUCAUGAAGAUAGAAUAUGUAUAUGAAUUGAACUUUAGUUUAUGAGAUGUAAAAAUCAUAACAAUCCAUAAGACAAUUAUAUAUUUUCUUUCAUUUCUAUUGCAGAUCACUGAUGACAAAUUGGAUGAUACAAAUUUGUCUGAUUCUUAGUUUGCAAUCCCAGAUGAGUUGUUACCAAGUCUUAAUACAUACCAAAGAGAAAGCAUCAUGAGACUUAUGAAGAAGAACAAAGCGAUGAACAUUUUAAUGAUAAAAAGUCUGAAUCUGUUGUUCAAGAUCAUGGUCAAGUAUGUAUUAUGAACAUAUCUGAGGUUAUGUGGGUAUUUUGGACAUAAAAAAAUAAACUAUUUUCCAUUUUUGAAGGAAAACAAAGAAAACGUUGGAUCGAGCUCUAAACUAGAUAUGCACGGAGAGGUUGAUCUUGGUAUGGAGGAGCAGAUUAUGACAACUCCUAAAAUACAAGAAUUAACCACUGAUGAACAAAGGGAUGAAGUAGUUUGGCCUGAUUCAUAAGACACAAUCCCUGAUGACUUUCUUCCUAGUUUGAAUGUAUACAGUAGUAAAAGCAUCAUUGUUCAUCCCUCUUCUAAUCGUGAACUUCAAACUCCUAUUCCAAAGUUAAGGAUUUCGCGACCAUCCAAAUUCAAUGAGUCACCUUACACGAUGAAAUUUGGUUCAGCUGUCGGUAAGUAUAGUUAGUUAUAUAUUUAUUUUACAAUGUAACAUAUUAUGCAAAUACUUUUUAAUAAUUACCUUUUUGUAUUACGUAACUAUAUAGAGAGCUCGGAAGGGCACAUACGUAUAUUCCCACAGAAACAUCCAUUUGCUUAUUAUCUAAAUUAUGGGAUUGUGGAUACGAAGAUUGUCAACAAGUUCAUGGAUUGGAUUUCUGAAGACCUUCUCAAAGUUCAUGCUAAAAGGUAUUUCUAUUGAACUGUUUUAAGUUUUUUCUUUUAAAAUUACAUUAUGUUCUCAUGAUUUAACAUAUACUGAUUAACAAAAAAAACAGAAAGGAAAAUGCGGAUCAUUACAAAAGGGGGAAAUCAACCAUUCCAAUGAUGCAUUUCGGAAUUGAGACUGUUGAAGAUAAAAAUUGGUUCUACACAAUGGGGUUCCCUGAUCAGUCAUGGACAGACUCGGUUAGUAUAUUUUUUUUGACAAUAUUUUUUUUACAUUUAUAGCAGUAAUUAAAAUACAUAUUAUGGUACUUGAAAAUACAUAUGCAAGUGCACAUAUGUAUUUUUACUAUGCAUUUUUUUAUUAUAUAAGAAAGGAUGUGUUACACUUUAAAUUACAUAUGUAUUUUUAUAUUACAUACACAUGCUAAAUUUAGCAUACAAAUAGUUUGAAUGAUCUAAAAUUUGUGUUGCUACUUACUGCAGCAUAUUGAUGUUUGCUUCUACUACUUGAGGAAGAAGUCGAAGUAUGACCCCAACAGGUCUUACAAAUUCAGCACAGUAGAUUGCAACUUUAUGAACAUAAUUAGGUCUGCUCAUGAUGUUUAUUCUACGGAUGAUGCAAACCUUACAACGAGAGGACAGGUGGCACAUCUUAAUGAAUGCAUAAAUGAGUUUCGUAUGCAUGCCCACUACAAGAAAUACAGUUUUUUGUGAUGACUUUCAGUGGCGACACAAACAGUUGCCACAAAAGCUAGCAUUUCUGUGGCGACAUAUAAGGGUUGCCACAAAAGGUAUAAGAUUUAGAGGCGACCAUCAAAGUCAUCACUAAUAGUGACAUAUUUAGUGGCGACUAUGCAUAGGUUGCCACAAAAGGGAUAAGAUUUAGGGGCGACCAUUAAAGUCGCCCCUAAUAGUGACAUAUUUAGUGGCGACUAUAAAGUCGCCACUAAUAGUGACAUAGGUCGCCACAAAAGGUAUAAGAUAGUGACAUAUUUAGUGGCGACUAUGCGUAGGUCGCCACAAAAGGUAUAAGAUUUAGGGGCGACCGUUAAAGUAGCCACUAAUAGUUACUAUAUAGUGGCGACUAUGCGUAGGUCGCUACAAAAGGUUUAAGAUUUAGGGGCGACCAUUAAAGUCGCCACUGUUAAGACUCUCAGCUCGAGAUAUUUUACAACAUUAGUAACAAAUAAAAAUUAUUUAAACGAAAUAAAUAUAGAAUAAUUAAUGAUAUAAAUUAAAAGGCUGAAAAGUUCAAAAUGUAAACCAAAUCAAAAGCUCAACUUUUCAUUUCACAUUUUUUCUUAAAAAAAUAAAUUAAGUUAUUUGUAAAUAUAUUUUGGAUAUAUAUUUUAUAUAUAGACAAUCCACAUUCAUGAUUUAAAAAUGUACAAAUUAUUUUGAUAGUUUUUAGUAUCAUUUUUUAAAAUUUAUUAAUUCAAAUACGAUAUUUUACAUAAUUUUAUUAAUAUUUAUUAAUUUUUUUUCUCGUAAAUGUUCACACUCACAAUUUACAAAUAUAUUGUCUAUUAUUAUUAUAUUUACUAUAAUUGUUAUUGUUCUUGUUAUUAUUAUCGAUAAUUUUUAUAAUAAUUUUGACGUAACAUUAAUUUAUUUUAAUAGGAUGUCUCAUUAUUAUUAUGAUUAUUAUAUUUAUUAAACUAGCAGCCACUUUUAUACAAUUUUUCUUUCUUGUGUUUAAUUUUUGUAUAGAAGUAUUAUGUUAUUUAUUAUUUACCUAAAUUUUGAUGAAUACAAUUAAUGGGUAUCUAGUAAAAAAUAUUUUCUUUGUCCUUCUUUAUUAAAAUUAUAAAAUGGAAAAAAAGGUCAAUAACAUACAAGAAGAAAAUAAAAAGUGUAGUUACAAUAUGCAGCAACAAACUCAUAUAAUCUUUCCAUUUCAUCUACAUCCAGAAUAAAAAAAAGGAUGGAUAAAUAGAGAUUUGAGAGAGAAAUUGAGAAAGGGAGAGGUACAGAGAGAACAGUGAGAGGGGAGAGAUCGGAGAUGAAGAGAGAGAGGGGUCGGAGAUCGACGAGUCUUCGCCUGAAUCUCACCAAAUAAAGGGUCAUCCGCUGCUGAGAAACACCACCAACCCCUAAUACAUUUUUCGAUCGAACCAUCGCCAUAAAUGUCCCUUCCCCAAAACCCAAUCGAAACCAGCUUCAAUGCACUCCAAAUCCCUUAAAAAAAAUAGCCAAUAUUCAACAAGAACAGUUACCUCGUUCCUUUUUCGGCGACUAUUCAUAAAAAAUCCAUCGACAAAUAACACGGGAUGGGUUCUGGUCUUUUCAGUUUGUGAUUCUUAGUUCCAUUUUGGCGAGGCAAUGCAAAGGGCAUUAGAUCGAAGUUGGAUUUGUUCGUUUGAUUGACGUUUGUUUGAGAUUCCGGUGGCGACAUCAAACAAGUUGGAUUUAAAAUAAAUUGAGGUCCAUUUCUUAUCUCUCUCUCAAUUAAUUUUAAUUGUUUGAUAUUUUGGUGUGUUAAAUUCAUAUUGUGUGGAUUUUAUUUUCAUUGAUUUUAAGAUAGUAUCACGAUAGGUUAAAGUUGGUAGGCAAACGAUAGGCCGGGUAGGCAAACGUUAAUUCUUGCUAAUUCAGCUCGCUUAUACAGAUUCUGUUGCAUAAGGCCUGCAACCAGAUCAAAUUAUCUUCACAUAUGUUGCAAUGAAACAAAAGCCUAGCAUUCCCUGGACACUGAUGGUAUCUUGGGUUUGAAUGAAUUAUAAUGUAUACAUUUUUCUGUCUGACCUGCAGAAAGCUAUGCCCGUGCUUACAUUUCCCGAGCUUAGGAGUUGUGUCCGUUUGUAGUCCUUUAUGUGAUUUGGGUGUUGUUUAGUUCAUUUUUGCAUUUGGGGUUUGCUUAGUUUUGGCAUAUUAAGGCCUAACCACACCAUCAAAGUUUUGUUGUUUCUAUAUUUUUCAGUAAGUAUUGUUGAAGUUGUGAACUUUAUUUUAUUUGGUUGUUGUUGAGGUUUACUUAGUUUUAGCAUGUUAAUGCUUAAUCACACCAUCAAAGUAUUUUUGUUUCUAUAUUUUCAGCAUUAAUUUGUGAACUUAAUGGGAUUUGGAUGUUGUUUUAGUGUUGUUUUGUUCAUUUUGUCAUAUGGGUUUUGCUUAGUUUUGGAUUUGAACUUUAUGUGAUUUGUUAGGUGUUGUUUUAAUGAUAUCUAGUUCAUUUUGGCAUGUCGGAUUUUGUUAUUUUUGGCUGUGCACUGAUUCAGUAACUGACCAGAAAAAAAGAUAGCAUAUUAAGGUCUAAUCACACCAUUAAAGUCUUCUUAUUUCUAUAUUUUUUCAGCAGGUAUUCUUGAAAGUUGUGAACUUUUUGUGAUUUGGAUGUUGUUUUAAUGUUGUUUUGUUCAUUUUGGCAGUGGGUUUUACUUAGUUGGCUACAUUACUAAUUUCAUUGAAAAAUGGAUUUCGCCUUGGUUCUUCAUUGAACAAUAGCUUACGUAGAGAAGGCUUAGCUACAAGGCUAAUUCUUAGCUCUUCACUUCUGCUCUACUGCUACUGGUUUAGUCUGGAAUGAGCAAACCAGAACUUUAUUUUUGGUUGCGGUUGAAGGGGUGUGGAGGGGCUUCUUAUCCUUUGAUAAAUAUAUAAUUUCCGUUUGCACAGAUUGUAAAAGUAAAGCAGAUUCAUAGCUAGUUUAAGAAAUUUUCCAUAUUUCUGCAAUCAAUUUGCAUAGAAUAAUAAUAUAUACACAAAUUUUGGUAGUCUUGUCAAGUUUAUUGCCCUACUGAGUUUUAUCUCGUUUCAAUGUAAAUAACUCAAUACCAAAGAAGAUGGAUCAUAUGUUAAUAAAGUGGCAAAAGAGAUUUGUGUAAGUACUCUGUUGAGCAAUUUUUAUCGUUUUAACAUUGCGUUGUUGAAUCUAUAGUCUAGUGAAGCCGUAUGGGACUCUUUCGAUUCACUAUUAUUGUUCCCUAGUUGUUAUCUCAUUUUCUAGUUCAAAACACAAACUCAAAGUCUAGUGAAGCCUUGUGAGGCCUAUUUCCAUUCACUAGCAUUGUGACGUUGUCUUUCAUCUAAUUUUCUUAUUCAAACACAUAAACUCAAAGUCUAGUGAAGCCGUGUGAUGCCUAUUUCAAUUCACUAGAACUUUGUUGUUCAUCUUGUUGUUAUUGUGUUGGUUGGAAUAUGUUGAUACACACAGUCCUGUAUCAAUACGGCAUUACAAUAUCCAUGUUGUAACGCUCUGUGAAGUGUAUUUAUAUAUAUUCUGGUUAGAUGAUAGGUUUUUGAUAGGCCUAUUUACAAAGGAAACUUUGGCAAAAAAUUUUGAAAAUUUUGAGAGUUAAUAGAAUUUUAGGACCACAUAAUGGAUAAAAUGAAGUGGAAGUUAAGUAAAUGAUCUCAUGAGUGUAUUAGAUAAUUCUUAAGUAAAUUCUUAAGAAAAAAUGUGUUAGGAAUUGAUAUGCCUAGCAUAAAUAAGUUUGGUUGUGUUAGCUAAAUUGAGAUCUUUCUUUUUUACUGACCAGAUCUUUUUGUUAGUUUCAUUGUCCUUUCAGCCUAUUUUGGGUUAACUAAGAGUAGUUAAAAAAGAAGUUCAUUUCCUGGAAAACAGAAAAGGGCAGAAUUUUUAUUGAGUCAAAGUUACUAAGCUUUCUUAAUGUAAUUCAUCAUUUGAGGAAUUAAAAGUCUUAUCAUUUUGGAAGAGCCAGUCUGAUAAGUAUGUUUUUAUCUCCAUUUGUAAGAUGAGUAUUGAGGGAGAUUACCACAGGGGGUAAACUAGUUUUUGCAUUCUGGAAUCUUUAAUGUAUUCCGUAGUAUUUUAAUACAAAGAUAUUGUUGUCAUCUCUUUUACAAAACAACAUUAAGAUUUCUCAAAUCAUUUCUUGCAUUUUAACAAGUUAGAAUCGAUACUUCGCUUUAUUUUUUAUUUCAGGGACAGGUAAUUUCAUGAUGGAAAUUGUUAGCCAUAAGAAGUUUGAAGAUAUUUUGUGAUUUUCUUUCUCAUAUUUAUAUCACAUUGAUUUGUUACCCAUUAAAAACUAUAUAAUUCUCUUCCGGAGAAAUAUAUUUUAGUAUCAUCUUUGUAACUUUAAGUACUGUAGUUGAAUUAUUGACAACGAAGUAGACAAUAUAUAAUUUAUAUUUUUUUGGGGAAAAAAGUGAGUAUUAGUAGCGACUCAUAGUUGCCACAAAAAAGUGAGUAUUAGUGGCGAUCCAUAGUUGUCACAAAAAAGUGAGUAUUAGUGGCGACCCGUAGUCGCCACAAACAGGGAGUAUUAGUGGCGACCCAUAGUCGCUGCAAAAAGUCAUUUUAAAAAAAAAAAAAAAGAAUUCAACCUUCUGUGGCGACAAAAGAUCGCCACUAAAUCAUUGUUUUAUGGCGUAUUUGCUUGCUUUUUUGUGGCAACUUUUGUCGUCACAGAAUGUAUGUUUUGUGGCGACUAACAUAUAUCAUCACAAAAUACUUUUAGUUACGAAAGUAAUUGCUACGAUCCUAAUGUCGCUGCUAAAUAUAUUUAGUGGCGACUUUUGGUUCUUUUGCGACAACUUUUGUCGCCACUAAAAACCAGAUUUCCUGUAGUGGUUGUUGUGCCAUGGCAUACAGUGGAAGACAUUUAUAUUCCAGUAAAUAUAAAGGAAAAACAUCAUUGAGUGCUAGCAAUUUUAUCUUUCUCAAAGAGGUGCAUAUUCCUAUAUGAUUUAUAUGAAUCACUGGUCAUUAUCUGGCUGUUCUUGAUGUCAUUGAGAAAUUAGUUGUGAUUACCUCAUUAUGUGUCCAACAUUGUGAUUUCUAUGUUAAGAAAGAAAUUGAUGUUGAAAACCAUCCAAGAUACAAAGACAAAGACUCCUCAGCUAUGUUUGAUGUGUUAUUUCAAGAGAGUUUGCCUCAACAACUGAGCGGAAGCUUGUAAGUUAUUUAAUUUACAUAUAACAAAAUUGUAUAUUUGUAAAAUAUAUAUUAAAGCACAUAUAUGUUCUUUUUUAUUGUUUUUGUAGGGAUUGUGGUAUCUAUAUAGUUACAUAUACGGACUGUCUUUCUUAUGGUCACAAAGUUCUUGUGAAUGAGUUCGACCCCAAUGCACUCCGUACAAGAUAUGUUGCACUUUUGUGGGAAUAUGGGACCAGAAAGCAAGAUGCAAAUGCUCAUAGUGAUGUCGAAGCACCUUUGAGGCCUGCAAGGCAAAGUAGAAUAACUAGUGUAACUGAAGUUUUUGAUGUAUGAUGGAUGAUGGAUUCAUUACUUUAUAUAGUUUAGACGCUGGUUUAUGGAUGUAGGUACUGAUUAUACAAACUAAUUUUAAUGUUUUGAAGUGGUUCUAAUUGUAGGUUAUAAUAAUACUUAUUUUAACUGAAUGAAAUUAAUUCAGUUUUGAAGUUUAAUCUGAGUCUUUUAUGGUGUUCUUCAUUUUACUGUGUGAUUUAGUUAAAAAAUACAUAUGUAUUGUUCAUAUUAUGCUAAAAAUACAUAUAUAGGAAAUUUUAUGCCUAAAAAAUACAUAUGUAUUGUUUUUAGCUGACAAAAAUACAUAUGCAAUGUUAUGCCUAAGCAUUCCAAAAAUAUAUCUGAAAUUUUUAGUUUAAAAAUGCCAAUGUUAUGUUAGAAAUACAUAUGCAAUGUUAGAAAAUAUAUAUGCAGUGUUCUUAUUUUGCUAAAAAAUAUGUAAGCAUUAUAAAUAAAAUUUAGCCUAAAACUACAUAUGCAGUGUUAAUAGUAAGAUUUUCUAAAAUACAUAUUGUUCAUAACUAAUAUGUAUUUUGAUAUGUGUCCAUUUAAUAUGAUUAUAAAUGAAAACUCGAAUUAAAUAUAAAUUUGAAACUUUUAAUACAGUUCUGUAAUUUAUGGUGAGAUUUUAUUUUACAAAAAUACAUAUGCAGUGUUAAUAUUUUUUAUUAAAAUACAUAUGUAUUAUACAUUUAAAUGUAUUUUUAGCAUAUAAAUACAUAUGCAGCGCUAAGAUUUUCGAAUUCAAAUAUAGAUUUACAGAAUAUGUCAUAUGUGGCUAAAUCAAUGGACAAUUACGAACUAAAUAAGUGUUUGGUUAAUCAAAGUUACCAACUUUAAACUAAAAAGUAUAUUCAAUGUUAAAAGUACAUAUGAACUGCAGAUUCAAAAUACAUAUGCAAUGUUCAGAUCUUGCAACAUAUACAUAUGCAGAAUUCAGAUUUUACUAUGUUCACUUGUCAAAUGAUGAUUAAAUGUAUUAACUAAAAAAAAUAGUUCAAGUUUAUAAAAAAUGAAAAUAAAGUUUUAAGCAAUAAUACGGAAGGAGAAAUGUAUCAUUUUCGAUAUUUCCUACAAGAACGCCUAUUGUGAACCUUAGCCCCACAAACAUCACAUGAGUUGAUGUUCUUCUUUCUAAACAUAUCCCGACCUGAUUUUCCACAAUCCUUCUUUGCAGGUCUUCCUAGAGGUCUUUCGUAUUUUGGAGGCAGUACAAUUUCACCAAGUACGCUCUCUGGAAUUAGCCAGUCAUCUUUGUGUGGCAACGGGUAGAUGGGAAUAUCAUAUGUCUUCGAAACAGUUUUUGGUUUAAACAAAUCACAACAGUAUGGCCCCUUCUCAAAAUUCUUCUUCUCCAACACCGCACAAGCAUGUGCACAUGGUAUCUGAUCUAGUUGAAAUGCAUUCAUGAGAUUUUUUUCCUUGAGGCAAACAAUGAAGUAUUUUUGUUUGUCGUGUACCGUAUACACAUAUUCUAUGGCUGGUACAACCUGAUAUAAAAAUAAAAAGUUUAAUGAAAUGCUACAAAAAGAUGAAAUUCAUAUUACAUGAUAUAUUGUAAGCACACUAGCAUUUUUGCAGAAAAAUAUAUAUGCAGAGUAAAAAUACAUAUGCAGAGUACAUUUUUAUAGAGCAUCCAAAUAUAUAUGAAGUGUUAAUUAUUUUCAAUUAAAAAAUACAUAUGCAGAAUACAUAAUUUUUUUACUGAACUUUUUAGUUUAUUUUUAUAUGUUUCCAUUCAUUUAGAACUUAAUGGAAGUUAUUCUAUUAAUUAUGUUUUUCAGAAGUAUAAAUUCCAAAAGUGUCAAAGGUCAUACCGUCAUAUGAGUACACAAAGCCUCGUUCUCUUUGAGUAUGUCAUUAAACUUUUCAAUGAGUGGUGUGAAGGUAUAUGAAGCCUGUUGCCUAUUUUUGCAGUUCCAUUUUGCAAAUAAUAAUCGAACCUCCUCAAGAAAGUCAUAAAUUGGCAGUUCUCUAGCUGAUACAAGUACUCCAUUUAUUGACUCCACAAUGUUUGAAAUCAAAGUCCAGCCUCGGUAAACUGUUGCAUAGGACCUAGCUCACUUUUCGUAACCAGCCAAUUCCAAAUAAAUCUCCACCCUAAUAUCAAUUGCCUCAACUUUUUCCAUUAACAUGUGGAAUUCUGACAUUGAAUAUGAUUUGGCCAUUGUAUAAAAGAUCUCUGACAAUGCAUCAUGUGACUUUCUGUAAAGUUUUUUAACAUUCCCCCAUAGAUUCCAUAUACAUGCAUAAUGUGGAACAUCGUUGUACACAUCGCUAACAGCCUUUAUGAUGCUUGGAUUCGUAUCAGAAACAACACACAUGUUUUGUCUUUCCCUGUACGCUUCCUUUAAAUUCUGAAAGAACCACGUCUAUAAUGCAUCAUUUUCAGAAUCAAUCACACCCUAUGCCAGAGGGAAUAUAUGACCUGUAUAUAUAGAACAGUUAUGCGCAGUAAAAUAAAAAUACAUAUAGGAACUGCAUAUGUAUUUAUUAAAUAUACAGGUAAUUAAAAUUGUAUAUUUUACCAAAUAAAUAGUAUAGAUUACAUAUAAUAAAAUUUAGACACAUAUAACUAUAAAACAUAAUCAAUUUUACAUGUUUUCAUUCAUGAAACUUUGAAAAUAUAGGUAAUUUUAUACAUAUAUGUAUAUAUCUAGUGGAGAUAUGUAUUUUUCAAGUGAUACGUGGAAAUAAAAAUAAAUACAACAAGUUAUACAAUAAAAUUAUUAUAAAAUCAUACUAACCUACUCCAUCCAUUGUACAUUCUAUUACAAAUUCUCCAGCAUACAUUUCUCUCAGAUGACUAGCAUCAACAACUACGACUGGCCUACAAUGAUCGAAUCCCUUAAUGAAUGCAUUUAGAGUGAUAAAUACAUACAAGAACUCAUUCUCGUCUGUCUUUUUCAUUCUUAUAUAUGACUCUGGAUAGGUAGUAUUCAGUACAUAUAAGUAUGAUAGCAGUUUUCCAUAAGAUGCUGAUGGCUUACCCCUCAACUCUUCUAUUUCGCCCUUUAACAUAAAGUGUAUGUCAUAUCCAUACCAAAAUCUUUCUUCAUGAUAUUUUUAAUUUUUGUUGCACUGUAUUUUCUUUUGUGGUUCUUGAAUUUUUGUUUAACCAUACCACCUAUCAACAUACUAGUAGCAUGCACCUUUGAAUAGAUCUUGUCUUUCACUGGGCAUGUAUGUUGAGGUCUGAAUGCUCUUAUUCUAAACAUUCCAGUUUCUCCCAUUCCUGAUGCACACAUUAAAAACUCACAGUUUUUUGAUUUUCAAAACAACGUAUACCUGCAUCCAACAUAAUUUACUAUUUUCAAAAUACAUAUCCAAACUAAUAUUAAACAAGAACAGAGUGAUAUACAAUGUACGUACGUUUUUCUUACUUGACCUUUUACUUUGCGUUUGAAACUUCUCCCUAAUUGAGUAGUCCUUCAUGACUGAAUUCAACAAAAAAUUUCUCAAGUAAACCUGGUCUUCCUCAACAUGAUUGUGAUGUGGAUCUGAGAUAAUUAACUCAACAGUAACCAUUUCAAAUACAUCUAAUGCUUGUGUAUCUUCACAAACCACCAAAACUUCUUCAUUUGUUAUAUUUAUCAGUGUUUGAAUGUUGUCACAGUUGGUUAUUCUUUCAUCAACACAUACAGAUGAACUUGACACGUUGCUCCCUAUAACUUUCUCCAAAAUGCUUACAUAUAAAGGAAGACAAUUCAUGUCUUGUAUCUGCUUUUUCUAAACUAUAAACACCUUUAAACCCAUAUCAUUAUGUAUUUCUAUCUGCCCUGCAUUAGCUGUAAUUUGAUAUUCCACUAGAAUAUGUUUCCUCAUUAAAUCCACACUUAAGUGAGAUGCCAAUUCAUCGUGCAGCUUAAUGAAUGUUGCUGAUGUGCUCAACAGUAUAGCAUCAGUGACAUAUUCUUCGUGGUUUUUUCAUACGUCCACCGACCAGAGUGCUUCACAAGCACUAAUAUGCUUCCCAUUUCUACUUGAUUUACAAAAAAAUAAACAAAUAUAAAUACUUUGUCAAAUUGUAGCUUAUUAAAACAAAUAUUUUUCAUCUUUAACUGCAAACAAAUUUACACAGCCAACAUCUCCAUUCAAAAAAUAAAUUUAAACAAAAUUUGUUCAACGUAAAAUACAAACACAAAAAAAGUUUUAAACCAAAUACAGAAACUACUGAAUCGAACCAAAGAAAAAUUUGUAUAAAAUAUAUUUUUAGCAAAAACAGUUAUACUCUCAAAUUCUGACAAGCAAACCAAAAUUACAUAUGCAGUGUUAACAUUAAGCAGUUCAAAAAUACAUAUGCAGUGUUAACAUUUAAGCAUAUCAAAAAAUACAUAUAGAGCAUACCUAAUUUGUAUUUUGAUAUGUGUGAAUAGAAUUUUAUCACAUUCAGCAGCUCAAUUCAAUCAUCCAUUGAUCAAGAAUUUUCAAAAAAUAAUUGAAUCAAAUUCAACUCGAAAUUUGUUUAAAUUAUUUUCAUAAUUAGGGAGCUUCACAAUUUGAUCAAUUGUUAAAUCGAUCAAAAUAACAACAACAGGUGCUAAAAUAAAUAGUCGAACAAUGAAAUCUAAAUAACUGAAACAACUUCUAAACUGAAAUUUUGCAACAAAAAAGUUCAGUUCUGAAGAUUUUUGUUAUAUAUGUUGAAUUUCCUCCUGCUUUGAUUAUAAAUCGAAACUAAAUAGGAGCAUCAGUAAUGGAUGAAACAAAAAAUCCAACCGAAAAAACUUAAUGAUUCAUAUCUUAAACAACAGUAAUGGAUGAAUUUACAACUGGUAGUUGAAUUCGAACAAUUUGAACUGAAGAAUCUAUAAUUGAAUUUGAUUCAAAGAAACUAAUGCUUCGUUUUGAAACUGAUGUUAAAUUCGAAGAAGAUAAUGUAGAAUUUCAUAUGAACAAUAGCAAUGGUUAAACAUAAAAAUAUGGUUUAAUUAGACGAAAUUGCUUAUAAAAACGAAAAGCAGAUUUUGAUUUUAUUUGUGUUUUUCUCAGAUGAACUCGUUAAUGGAGAAAACUGAAAUUUGAAAUUUGAUCAAUGUUGUUAAGUUAAAACGGAAAUCACGUGAUUGAAGUUGUUUUAACGGAAAAGGAAUCUACAAAAUUAAUUAAUUGGUAAUUAUACCAUAUUUAUCUCAACCAAUUUCAGUUAUUUAAGGGAGGUAAAAUUAAUUUUAUAUAUAUUUUUAUAGCAACAGUUUUUAAAAAUACAUAAUACAAGUUGCUACAAAAUAUAAUUAUGAAACUGUUCCUAUAAAUUAAUAAUUAGGGCCUCAAGUAUGUCAUUUCUGAAUUUUAUCCUAUUAAAAAAUCAUAUUUUGUAUAGAAUAUCACUUGAAGUCUAUUUUCUAGCUUUUCAUAUACAAAAUUUAAGAUACUGUCUAUUAUGUUAAUUUGUAUGAUAAUUUUCACUUUUUGACUUUGACAAGUAUAAUAAGUCAUAAUAAUUUAUAAUCUAAAAUAAUUUUUAAAAGUAUAAAAAAUUACUAUAAAAAAAAACAAUUAAUUCUUGAAAUCUAAAUGUGUCACUUAAAUUGAGACGUAUGUCUACUCCUUCUGUUCUUAGAUAAGUGGUGUUUUAUCCUUUUCAUUUUGUUUCAAAUUAAGUGAUAUUUUAGAAUUUUAAGAAGGAAUUAUCUUAUGUUUUCAGAGUUAUCCUUUUUUUAAUACAUAGAGUUUUACACCAGUAAAGAAUUACUUUUUUAUUUAAGGCAUUUAAUUAGGAGUAAGUUAGUAAAGAUACUUUUUAUUUUUAAAAAAAUAAGUAAUUUUUACAAAGUUUACUCAAACUAAAAACACCACACACACGCUACCUACACACACACACACACAUAUAUAUAUAUACACACACACAUAUACACAUACAUACAUACAUACAUAUGCCAGGAAAUUUUGGGCAGCAGUGGCUUUAGAAGCUUUACGCUUUAGCCGACCUUGCAUAUAUAAGUUCCUUGUAGGCUUGGCUCGAUUAGUCAUGUCGAUACAUCUGCAAAACAACAAAUAGCUAGGAAUCUCGAAAUAAAAAAGAAACAAAGAACUUCUCUUCAUCAACCAAAGAUAAGAAAUGGAAAAGGAAUAAUAGUAGGGUAAGAAUAUGCAAAGUCUGAAAUAUUAGGUCCUGGUGUCACAAUAAUAUGUCUUAGAGUGCCCAUUUUGAUAUGAGUUUUGCUUCCGACAUUACCAUUGUUUUGCUUGCUAUAUUUUUAUCUUGUUAAAUAGAAUAUUAAUUUCAACUAAACAUUUUUGCCUUCCUACUUGUGUAUUAUUAUUUCACGAUCCUUGAUGACUUCUCUAUUGAGGAACAUUUAGGAAUAUUAGAUAUUCAAACUAAAUAAUUGUCAAGUUAGAUGAAAUUAUUCGUGUUUGAAGCUUAUUCACAUGUAUAGUCCUUGAUUUUUCUUUCUCCCUUCCCUCGCUAUUUUGUAUCUAUUGAAUGUUGUUGCAGGUCUUGGAGUUGUGGAACCCAUUCAUCCAGAGCAACAUAACUUAGCCACAUAGUGUACAUGAGGGCAUAAUUUCUUCAUUAGCGAAUUCGCGUGUGAAAGAAAAUAUAGCUUCAGUGAGUCAUGACCACCGGAUGAAGAUUUAAUGAUGAUGUAUAUUUGUGGAUCAAGUUAUAAGAAUAGACAUUCUUUCAUCUUUCUCUUUUCAAAAAAAUAUAUUUGCAUACACCUUUUUGCUGACAAGAUUGUAUUUGGGAUCAAGCAAGGGGACAAUAUUAUUGGUGCAUCACCAAUGUAAUGAGUUAUUUGAAAGGUUAUAUCAUUUACAAACUUUGAUCAUUAUUUCAAACUCUCUUUUCUCUAGUUCGUCAUUUCGAUCCUGAUAUUUAAAAAGUUAAUUAGACUUCUUAUUAUUUUAAUACAUAUCAAACUAUAAAAUUGAAUAACUAUAAUGAAUUUAAAUUCUUUAAUAGGAAAGUUUGUAAAAAAAAUGAAGGAAAAUAUUUUCGGAAAGUGUUUUCCUAUUUUUCAUGUUCAUUUGGUUGAAAUUUUAGAAAAAUAUUUUCUUUAGGAAAACAAAUCCUUGGAAAUAAGGAAAAUGAUUUCCUUAAUGAAAGUACGGAAAACAAGUGUCAAUAUUUCCCACCAUUCGCAAAAUCACCCACCCCAUCAAAUCCCACACUGAGUUUACCCCCACCUCACCAUUAACCUUCUUGCCCUCCGUCUUCCCUACCAAAAUAUGCUUCACUCUACCCUUAGUCAUUCUCAUUAUUUUUUGUUAGAUAUAUACAAAUGUUUUUAGAAUAAUAUUUAUUAUUGGGAUUCUAAAUAUAAUAAAAUAAGUAAGAAACAACUUGAUUUCCUCGAAAAUAGUUUUCAAUGAAAAAUAUUUUCCUCCAUAUUGAACACAACUGAAUGUAUACUAUAGUAACUACAUUAAAAGAACUUAGUAAUAUAGUUAGAAAAUACUCAAAAAAAAAAAGAAGAAGAAAGGGAGUGACACCACUAUUUCAAAGGAGGCCUUUCUUCCUCUUUUGAAGUUACAAAUUAAAACAUUACAUAAUGUCCAUAGCACACCGUUCAUCUUAGCACUUAGCAAGGAAGGAGUUGGAGAACCGGAAGGGAUCCAUACAGACCUAUAAAAAAUAACACUACAUAAAUGCGGGAAAAUAAUUAGGAGUGACAAAAAAAUUUCAAAACUAAGAAAAAGUGACACAAGUUUUAGUUAUUGAGUUGAGGUGACAAUUUUAAGAUUAGUGUAAGUGGAAAUAAUUUUAAAACUCCCAAGUUUGUAUUAUUUACUCAAAAUUAAGUCCUACCUUUCUCUCAACCCUUCUUAUGCCACUGCUGGCACCAUCACCACCACCACCAUUACUACCACCAGCACCACCUACUCCUCCACCAUAACUAACACAACAACCACCACCUCCUCCUCCACCUCCUUCAACAAUAGUUUAAGUGUUGCCACAACUAUGAUAGUUGUUGUAGAAACCAUCAACCAGAGGCGAACCUACCUUGGCAGUAGAGGGUGCACGUGCUUCUGCUAGCCUCAAGAAAAAAUCUGUAUAUAUAGUUUGUAUAUCUGUAUAUAUAUCAGGGUUUUAUGUUAAAUAUAUGUUGUGCACUCCCGAAAAUAAUUAACUUGAUUGGCAAGAUGGUUGAACACGCCAAUUAAAGGCCUUUUUUAUUGCGUGAUGAGUCGGGUUCGAAGCCCAACAACCAUAUUUUUUUAUUGUUUCUUUUUCAAAUACACUAUCUGUUUGUUGUAUUCUAUUUUGAAUUUUAAGUGCAAACACAUACACACACACACACACACACACAUAUAUAUAUAUAUAUAUCAAUUGAUUAAAAAAAUUUCCCACUUAGUAAUCAUUUAUUUUACACUUUUUCUUUUUUCUUUUGUGUAUUGUGGACAUUGUUAAUGUAUUUUUCAUUUAUUCAAAAUACAAGCUCCCCUCGAACUUCAAAAUGUAGAUAUUCUCCCCACCUCGUACUGUAAAUGUUUAUUUCUUUUAUCUUUUGAUCAUUGACUUAUUUUUUAUUUAAAAAAUUAGUAAUUUAAAAUUUGAGAUAAGUUAAAAUCAAACAUUUUCUGUACAACCAUAUAGCAAACAAAUCUCUUGAAUUUCAUAUUUUCAAAAACUUUUUAUUAUUAUUUAAAAAUAAAAGUGCAUUGAAUUCAAGUAUGAUGGAUAACACACUUUUUUCAUAUUAAAUCUAAUUAAUGAUAUUCAAUAAUAUUAAAAGUUUGCUUAUAAAAUAUUAGAAUUAAUAAGUUUUCAAAGAACUGCAUAUCGAACUUUGACACUAUUAAUUACUAUGUUAAAUAUAAAGGUGCAGCCGUCAAGUUCAAAUCUUGGGUUCGCCUUUGCCAUCAACUAUCGUAGUUGCAACAUAACAACUAUUGUAGGUUCCAUAUUUUUUGCAGAAUUUGUUUCAAUGACUUAAAAAAAUAAAAUGUUUCUUUCCAAAAUUCUCCAUGUUUAUCUUGACGAAAUGAGCAGAAUAUCUAUUCUAAUGCCAAAAAUAUUCACGAUAUCACUUUCAUCUUUGGUAAACUUACCAAUAGUUAUAGUCAUAGUGAUCCUCCUACUCAACUACUUCAAUUAUUUUCAAGCACCUCAUAUAUUUUUUGGGGUGUUCGAAGAUCAUUUUUUUAUGAUUUCUCUUGAUCUCAUAAUCAAAGCAAAACAGUCUAUAAAAAAGGGAACGUCGUGGAAAGGAUAAAUCAGAUGUAAAAGGAUAUAGCCCUCUUAUGGUGGAUCCAUCUUAGACAACUAUUUAUGACCAAUUGGUCUUCCAAGGAGGUUCUAGUGAAGAUGUAGCAACUCUCGUAGUGAUUUUUUAGGUUUUCCUAUGUUUUGAAUAUUUCUCCCCUUCUCGUUGUUGUCUUAUGGCACUUGUGAGUUGCGGGAGUGGAGGAUAUGGUCCCCAAAGUGUUCAAAAGAGUUUUAUAGUUUUUGAUUUUUAAAAGCUUUUAAGUUGUUAUAAUUGACGUAAGUCAAUAUUUGAUAUCCAAGAAUUGGUUGAGAUUCUUAUCAGUUCCAUCAUGCCCGAAUUAUAUUUUACAAGUGUUUACACUGUUGGGCUGUGUUUGGGAGAUCUCAGAUGAGUUUUGGGUAUUUGUUCAGAGUUUGGAGUUUUAUAUUAUUGAGUUUUAUUAGUGUCACCUAAAAUUAAUGAGUUGUGUUGAUAUGUUUAUGAUACCAUGAGAUCUGUAUUGAAAUUUCAGAAUCAAAGAAAAAAUAAUCGAUGCAUUUGAAGCACGUAUGGGGGAGAUAUGACCAUUUUAGUACGGAUAAUAGUUGCUGGUUUUCUAGUGUGGAGGUUCUUCUCCGUGAAUGUGAUGGACACACCACGAAUGUGAAGAAGGACCCUUUUUUGAAUGGGCAAUGCAAAAAUUUAUUCUUCAAAUGCAGUUAGGGUCCCACGAAUGCAAAGAAUAAAUAUUUACCUAGAUAAUGCUUAUCUAAAUUUAGUUUUAUCAAAUAAGUCAGUCAUAAUUAAUAAAUUAAUCAAAUAAAUCUAAAUAUAUACUACUUCCGUAACUUUAAAUAGCUUAGGCUCUGAUACCAUUUGUAGGGGGUGCGGAUUAGGCGCGGUAAGUUUACUAGAUAAUAAAUACGUAUGUAUUUAUUUUUAUAUAAUGUAUUUUGAGAAUAUUAUUGAUUGGAAUAAUUUUCAUUUUUAUCUUCUUGACUUAAGAUGUUUUAUUAAUUCAUAUUCUAGAUUAGAUAUUAUCGUAAUUAAAUUAUCUAGUGUUUUAGGAUCCUCGUUAGUAUUAUGUAACAUUUUGUAUUCUAGGUAUAAACUAUAUAGUUGGGUUUCGAUUUCUUGUAAUGAUUUAUUCUUUUCAUAAGAUGUGCCCAUUAAUUUAUGUAAUUGUUAAAUUCUUUGUAGNNNNNNNNNNNNNNNNNNNNNNNNNNNNNNNNNNNNNNNNNNNNNNNNNNNNNNNNNNNNNNNNNNNNNNNNNNNNNNNNNNNNNNNNNNNNNNNNNNNNNNNNNNNNNNNNNNNNNNNNNNNNNNNNNNNNNNNNNNNNNNNNNNNNNNNNNNNNNNNNNNNNNNNNNNNNNNNNNNNNNNNNNNNNNNNNNNNNNNNNNNNNNNNNNNNNNNNNNNNNNNNNNNNNNNNNNNNNNNNNNNNNNNNNNNNNNNNNNNNNNNNNNNNNNNNNNNNNNNNNNNNNNNNNNNNNNNNNNNNNNNNNNNNNNNNNNNNNNNNNNNNNNNNNNNNNNNNNNNNNNNNNNNNNNNNNNNNNNNNNNNNNNNNNNNNNNNNNNNNNNNNNNNNNNNNNNNNNNNNNNNNNNNNNNNNNNNNNNNNNNNNNNNNNNNNNNNNNNNNNNNNNNNNNNNNNNNNNNNNNNNNNNNNNNNNNNNNNNNNNNNNNNNNNNNNNNNNNNNNNNNNNNNNNNNNNNNNNNNNNNNNNNNNNNNNNNNNNNNNNNNNNNNNNNNNNNNNNNNNNNNNNNNNNNNNNNNNNNNNNNNNNNNNNNNNNNNNNNNNNNNNNNNNNNNNNNNNNNNNNNNNNNNNNNNNNNNNNNNNNNNNNNNNNNNNNNNNNNNNNNNNNNNNNNNNNNNNNNNNNNNNNNNNNNNNNNNNNNNNNNNNNNNNNNNNNNNNNNNNNNNNNNNNNNNNNNNNNNNNNNNNNNNNNNNNNNNNNNNNNNNNNNNNNNNNNNNNNNNNNNNNNNNNNNNNNNNNNNNNNNNNNNNNNNNNNNNNNNNNNNNNNNNNNNNNNNNNNNNNNNNNNNNNNNNNNNNNNNNNNNNNNNNNNNNNNNNNNNNNNNNNNNNNNNNNNNNNNNNNNNNNNNNNNNNNNNNNNNNNNNNNNNNNNNNNNNNNNNNNNNNNNNNNNNNNNNNNNNNNNNNNNNNNNNNNNNNNNNNNNNNNNNNNNNNNNNNNNNNNNNNNNNNNNNNNNNNNNNNNNNNNNNNNNNNNNNNNNNNNNNNNNNNNNNNNNNNNNNNNNNNNNNNNNNNNNNNNNNNNNNNNNNNNNNNNNNNNNNNNNNNNNNNNNNNNNNNNNNNNNNNNNNNNNNNNNNNNNNNNNNNNNNNNNNNNNNNNNNNNNNNNNNNNNNNNNNNNNNNNNNNNNNNNNNNNNNNNNNNNNNNNNNNNNNNNNNNNNNNUUUUCUCCUUUUCCACUUUGGUAAUAAGCUUCUUAACAUGCUAUUUUUUGAAUAAUUCUACUAUAAAGCAACUAAUGUGAACUUAUUUUAUCAUAUCAUGAUUGUUAGGAAUUUAUGAAUUUAGCUAUUCAUAAUAGUAAAUGAAUAUACCUGUUCUGGUAGUUUUGAUAAUUCUAAGCUUUGUUCCUCCAUAUAGAUUUUUAUUAAAAUAUACCUAUUUUUUUUAAUAAAUAAGCAAAAUUUUUUGUUGUGGACAAGAGAUUUUUUGCUUCAAUAUAUGAAGGCUUGCCCUUAUCUGAGCAAGUGCUCAUUUAUUUAUAUGAAAAUGCGUACACUAUUUUUCUUUACAUCUGUCAGCUACUUUACAAAAAUAAGAAAAACGUUUCUGCAAAGAGUCCUAAAGCUAAUGUUUAAUCUAAUAAUGGCACUACUUGCCAAAAAUCUAAUAAUGGCACUACUUGCCAUAAAAGACUAAGAAAAGUCAAAAAUCUUAGUUACAUGAUAUUUACGUAAAACUAUCUAGCUAUCUUCCAUAUUUUUUUUUCUCCUUGAAUUACUUUCUUUGUCUUCUUUCUUUAUCCGUAGUUAUCUUAUUUUUAUUGCUCUGUAUCUGCAUUAUUGCUUCAUAUUUUGCAUCUUCCAGCUGUCGCUUUUAUUUUCUUCUAUUCCAGUUGAACUUCUGGGACAAUAUUAUCUUCUCCAUUACAUUUUGAACAUUGAUGGUCUGGAUAUUUAUGUCCAAUUAACUUGCAAUAUCUGGUUAAUAAUUCUUCCGAAAUAAAUUUUUCUUUAAUGGCUCUGGCGAUAGGUUUUUUCUCUGGAUUGAGUAAAGUCAAGAUCCAUUGCCUAACGUCUUCCAUAUCUGCUUCUCGUAGUUCCUUUGAANNNNNNNNNNNNNNNNNNNNNNNNNNNNNNNNNNNNNNNNNNNNNNNNNNNNNNNNNNNNNNNNNNNNNNNNNNNNNNNNNNNNNNNNNNNNNNNNNNNNNNNNNNNNNNNNNNNNNNNNNNNNNNNNNNNNNNNNNNNNNNNNNNNNNNNNNNNNNNNNNNNNNNNNNNNNNNNNNNNNNNNNNNNNNNNNNNNNNNNNNNNNNNNNNNNNNNNNNNNNNNNNNNNNNNNNNNNNNNNNNNNNNNNNNNNNNNNNNNNNNNNNNNNNNNNNNNNNNNNNNNNNNNNNNNNNNNNNNNNNNNUCUAGGUAUUUCUGGUUGUGGAAUAAUAUCUUCUGGUAUAAUCAUAUCUCGGGUCAUUCCUAUUUUUACAACUUGUA
rnacentral:lncRNA from 1 species